rnacentral:lncRNA from 1 species
UCCCACAACCUCCCUCUGACCCUGCCAACAUUGUUGCAACUGCACUCGCAAGUGUUAUCGUAGAUGAUCAUUUGCAUGAUUUCCCGUAAAACAAAAUAAGAUCUACAAACGAAUAGAAGCUACACAUACCUUGGCAUGCACACACAUUGCAAGCCAUACUAAGCAGAUAAGUGUUAAAAACUUGUACUCCCUCAUCUCAGUUUACAAGUCUUCCACGUGUAUCUAGGUCGUCAAUUUAAUUAUAUAAAAUAAAUUGUUUGACAUAAAUUAUAUCAUUAGAAAAUAGAAAUAUAUAUUUUGUAAUGUAUGCCUCUUAUUAAGUUGGUCAAAUUAACAAUCUAGGUACACAUGCAAGACUUUUAAACUAAGAUGGAGGGAGUACAACAUAUACAACACUUACGACAAGUAAAAGCAAUUUGAUGAGUCAUGGUCUAUCAAAGCAAGCUACAUUACUAAUCUAAUCUAUGUUAACAUGUCACACAUGAUUACAAUCUUUUUUGUGUGCAAGUCAAGCCUAUCUAGUCUACAUGUAACAACUUGUAGAACAUUACAAAAUUGAUGUUUGCUAAUAACUUUUAGAACACUACAACACUUGACAUGUAAAAAGAGUUUGAUGAGUCAUGACCUACUAAAGCAAGUUACAUUACUAGUCUCAUCUAUCUUAACAGGUCACACAAGAUUAAAAACUAAGUUCUGUGCAAGCAAUGCUUAUCUAUUUUACACAUAACAACUUGCAUAACAUUACAAACUUAGUUUUAGAAAAUUAGGCAACCUAGAUUAGUGUUUAGUUGUAAAGUGAAUAAGAUGAGUCAUGUGUGUUAUCACACCUUUUUAUGGUGGAAUGAUAGUGCCACCAAACACAACAUACCAAAAUAUGAUUUUGGGAAGCAUCCAAGCACUUUCCAGACAAGCAAAUGCCAAUUGUGAAAGAGAUAAUGCCAUGGCAGCUAUAAAUAGGCCUGUUGCAUGAUGAUCAUCCUUCCUCAUUCAUCAUUCUCAUAAGUAGAGUGCAUCAUUCAAGCCAAGCAAGCACUGGUCAAUACAAAUCCAUCAUGAAGACAUUUCUCAUCAUUUCCCUCCUUGCUAUCGUGGCGACCACCGCCACAACUGCAGUUAGAGUUCCAGUGCCACAAUUGCAGCCGCAAAAUCCAUCUCUGCAACAACCACAAGAGCAAGUUCCAUUGGUGCAACAACAACAAUUUCCAGGGCAGCAACAAACAUUUCCACCACAACAACCAUAUCCGCAGCCGCAACCAUUUCCAGGACAACAACCAUAUCCGCAGCCGCAACUAUUUCCACAGCCGCAACCUUUUCCGCCACAACUUCCAUAUCCGCAGCCGCAACCAUUUCCCCCACAACAACCAUAUCCACAACCGCAAACACAUCAUCUGCAACCACAACAACCAAUUUCGCAGCAACAAGUACAACAACAACAACAACAACAACAACAACAACAACAACAACAACAACAACAACAACAACAACAACAACAACUACUACUACAACAACAAAUCCUUCAACAAAUUCUGCAACAACAACAACUGAUUCCAUGCAGGGAUGUCAUCGUCUUGCAACAACACAACAUAGCGCAUGAAAGCUCACAAGUAUUGCAGCAAAGUAGUUACCAAGUGUUGCAACAAUUAUGUUGUCAGCAGCUGCGGCUGAUCCCCGAGCAGUCGCGGUGCCAAGCCAUCCACAAUGUCGUUCAUGCUAUUAUUCUACAUCAACAACAACAACAACAACAACAACAACAACAACAAGGACAACAUCAACCGUCGAGCCAGGUCUCCUACCAGCAGCCUCAGCAACAAUAUCCAUCAGGCCAGGGCUCCUUCCAGCCAUCUCAGCAAAAUCCACAGGCCCAGGGCUUUGUCCAACCUCAACAUCUGCCCCAACUCGAGGAAAUAAGUAACCUAGCGCUGCAGACGCUACCAGCAAUGUGCAAUGUCUACAUCCCUCCAUAUUGCUCGACCACCAUUGCGCCAUUUGGCAUCUUCGGUACUAACUGAGAAGAGAAGAACUCUAGUACUAGAUAUAUGAAACACCGUGUUCUUAGUCCAUGGUUUGGUCGUUGUACCGUUGAAAAUAUAAGGUGACAUGCACUAUCAUGUAAGAACCCGAACUAUACUAGUUCAAACAUGGGAAUAAAAGACAAACACAUGUCUUGUCUGCAUAUGAUUGUUUAUUUGAGUUCCAUUCCUAUGCCCAUUCACAAGUUCACCCGUAAUUAUAUAUAUUACACAUUAAGUAGAUAUUUAUGUUGCAUUAAUAUGAAGAUAACAAAAUGAGUCUGAAACUUGAAUUAAAUUGAAGUAUUUUCUUGGACUUUCAAAUUGUGUAUUAUUAAAGUAGUAAGGAUUAUCCACAUCCUUGGCUUGCCCUUCAUCAAUUAUUCCCAGAGAAGCUUUCAGUUCAUAAAUCAAUUACAUUGAUUUUUGUGAAUGGUACAUCUCCUCAUCACGAGUAUCAUUACGGCUACUCCAAAUCGCUCACAUAACCGAAGCAUUAAUAGCGCCCUUCUUGCAUCCGGAAAUAUGGAUCGAAGAUAUCACUUGACCAUGUUUCCAGGUGCAACCUUGGGAUUUUUAUGUCAAAAUAUUCUCAAGCAAAAUCCAAGAAUAAACUUGCAUGCUCACGUGUGAUGAGGGCAGAUGAAGUAACAUUUCCUCCCCAUGGCCACACAUAGGGCACACACAUAACCCCAUCACAUGCCUUUUUAGUUAUGCAUAUGAAAGGUAGGAUGUUUUUAAUUACUCUCUACCAAAAUACUCUUAACUUGGCUUGUACCCUAAUAUUUCGUUGCCUUUUCAAUUGUUCUUCCCCAUUAGACAAAGUAGACAGUCCAUCUACCACACCGUACCUUGUGUCCAUCAUUGCUCUGUACAACAAUUGAACAGAACAAAUGUCAUUUCUUUACGAUACCCACGACCAAAUGUCCUUUGCUGGAUUGUUUGGUCGUGGCAUAUUAAGGAUGGCCACCUCAUCUCAUGGGGUAAACACCUAAUGAAUGAAAGGAUUGUUCUAGUCGCCCGUGUUUUUCAUCGAUAAGAUCAUCUACAAGUUGGACCGAAGUUUCUCACAUGCAUCAUAGUGGUUUCAUUAGCGGCGUGCCCUGCACCCAUUUAUCACGUCGUAUCUCUGUAGUAUGUGCAUUCCCAAUUUGUCACAGCAUACCCUCCUUCAAACCUUCUUUCCCUUUCAGAUUAGCACGCCAAGUUAGCUAUGCACUAUGCGGGAACCAGCAUUUGAAAAAAAAGAAUCUCAUUUCAUGGUAUCUUCCAUGAAGGACCCUCGUACAUUAGCUAUCUAGGUAGAAAUAGCCAUGUAUGUUUGGCAAACUUUGCAUAAGUGAAUAGAUCAAGGUCGUGGAACCCCAAGCCUCCAAUUACACACGGCCUCUCUACCAAUAAGAUCUCCAAAGACAUCAAGGAUACAGACAGCCAAAAAAGAAAAUAAAAAGAAAAAAAAUAAAAAAUACCCUGCCAUGGUGAUCAAUCACAAGCAUCAGCAGCACUCUAACCACCACCAAAGACAAUGCCCAGAUUACAAAAAAAAAUUAUCCAAAAACAAUGCCCCCAAGAAGGAAACAAUACACAAGCGUUGUCGUUGCCCGAUCGAAGAUCGUGGGUUUUCACCCUGGAAAAUUUUUGAGUUCACCCAAAAACAAUGCCUUCAACAAGGCCAUUGCCAAGUACAACAAAUAUGGUCGAGACCUUGGGUUUUCACCCUAGGAAUUGAGACUCGAUGCUCGAGGAGUACCAGCAAAAAUGCAGUCCACUAGUGUUGCCGCCCCCACUUGGCAAGGCCACUGUUGCAAGUCACCAAACACCUGGCAUAUAGUUGUCAUCGCAUCCAAUACACCCUUCGGCCGAAGCUUCAAGACCUUGAUCCGUCUCCAGCGUAUCUAUAAUUUUUGAUUGUUCCAUGCUAUUAUAUUAUCUGUUUUGGAUGUUUUAUAUGAUUAUUAUGGUAUUUUAUAUGAUUUUUGGGACUAACCUAUUAAACUAGAGCCCAGUGUCAGUUCCUGUUUUUUCCUUGUUUUAGAGUUUCGUAGAAAAGGAGUACCAAACGGAGUCCAAACGGAAUUAAACUUUUGCGAUGAUUUUUCUUAGACCAGAAGACAUCUAGAGGACUUGGAGUGCAUGUUAGGAAAGCCACGAGGCUGCCACAACGACAGAGGUGCGCCCCCACCCUUGUGGGCCCCUCGUGACUCUACCGACAUAUUUCUUCCGCCUAUAUAUUCUCAAAUAUUCCAAAACAUACUAGGAGAGCCACAAAAACACUUUUCCACCGCCGCAACCUUCUGUACCCGUGAGAUCCAAUGUAGGGGCCUUUCCCGGCAUCCUGUCGGCGGGGGAUUCGAUCACUUAGGGCUUCUACAUCAACACCAUUGCCUCUCCGAUGAAGCGUGAGUAGUUUACCACAGACCUAUGGGUCCAUAGCUAGUAUCUAGAUGGCUUCUUCUCUCUCUUUGAUUCUCAAUACCAUGUUCUCCUCGAUGUUCUUGGAGAUCUAUUCGAUGUAAUACUCUUUUUGCGGUGUGUUUGCCAAGAUCCAAUGAAUUGUGGAUUUAUGAUCAGGUUAUCUAUGAGUAUUAUUUGAAUCUCCUAUGAAUUCUUAUAUGCAUGAUUUGAUAUCUUUGCAAGUCUCUUCGAACUAUCGAUUUGGUUUGGCCAACUAGAUUGGUUUUUCUUGCAAUGGGAGAAGUGCUUAACUUUGGGUUCAAUCUUGCGGUGCUCGAUCCCAGUGACAGAAGGGGAUGAUACGUCCCCAACGUAUCUAUAAUUUUUGAUUGUUCCAUGCUAUUAUAUUAUCAACCUUGGAUGUUUUAUAUGCAUUUAUAUGCUAUUUUAUAUGAUUUUUGGGACUAACCUAUUAACCCAGAGCCCAGUGCUAGUGCCAGUUUCUGUUUUUUCCUUGUUUUAGGGUUUCGAAGAAAAGGAAUAUCAAAUGGAGUCCAAACGGAAUGAAACCUUCAGAAAAUUUAUUUUUGGAAAGAAAGUAAUACGGGAGACUUGGAGUGCACGUCCGGGGAUCAACGAGGAAGCCACGAGGCAGGGGGCGCGCCCACCCCUCUUGGGCGCGCCCUCCACCCUCGUGGGCCCCUCGUGGCUCCCCAAAUGUAUUUCUUCCGCCUAUAUAUAUCCAUAUACCCCAAAACGACCGGGGAGCACAAUAGAUCGGGAGUUUCUCCGCCAGAAGCCUCCGUAGCCACCGAAAGCUAAUCUAGACCCGUUCCGGCACCCUGCCGGAGGGGGAAUCCCUCUCCGGUGGCCAUCUUCAUCAUCCCGGUGCUCUCGAUGACGAGGAGGGAGUAGUUCUCCCUCGGGGCUAAGGGUAUGUACCAGUAGCUAUGUGUUUGAUCUCUCUCUCUCUCUCUCUCUCUCUCUCUCGUGUUCUUGAGGUGAUACGAUCUUGAUGUAUCGCGAGCUUUGCUAUUAGAGUUGGAUCUUAUGUUGCUUCUCCCCCUCUACUCUCUUGUAAUGGAUUGAGUUUCCCCUUCGAAGUUAUCUUAUCGGAUUGAGUCUUUAAAAAUUUGAGAACACUUGAUGUAUGUCUUGCCGCGUGUAUCUGUGGUGACAAUGGGAUAUCACGUGAUUCACUUGAUGUAUGUUUUCGUGAUCAACUUGCGGGUUCCGCCCAUGAACCUAUGCAUAGGGGUUGGCACACGUUUUCGUCGUGAUUCUUUGGUAGAAACUUUGGUGCACUCUUUGAGGUUCUAUGUGUUGGUUGAAUAGAUGAACUUGAGAUUGUGUGAUCCAUAUCAUAUAAUCAUACCCACGGAUACUUCAGGUGACAAUGGAGUAUCUAGGUGACAUUAGGGUUUUGGUUGAUUUGUGUCUUAAGGUGUUAUUCUAGUACGAACUCUAGGGCUGUUUGUGACACUUAUAGGAAUAGCCCAACGGAUUGAUUGGAAAGAAUAACUUUGAGGUGGUUUCGUACCCUACCAUAAUCUCUUCGUUCGUUCUCUGCUAUUAGUGACUUUGGAGUGACUCUUUGUUGCAUGUUGAGGGAUAAUUAUGUGAUCCAAAUAUGUUAUUAUUGUCGAGAGAACUUGCACUAGUGAAAGUAUGAACCCUAGGCCUUGUUUCGACGCAUUGCAAUACCGUUUACGCUCACUUUUAUCAUUAGUUACCUUGCUGUUUUUAUAUUUUCAAAUUACAAAAACCUUUAUCUACCAUCCAUAUACCACUUGUAUCACCAUCUCUUCACCUAUACAAUUUACCAUUGUAUUGGGUGUGUUGGGGACACAAGAGACUCUUUGUUAUUUGGUUGCAGGGUUGCUUGAGAGAGACCAUCUUCAUCCUACGCCUCCUACGGAUUGAUAAACCUUAGGUCAUCCACUUGAGGGAAAUUUGCUACUGUCCUACAAACCUCUGUACUUGGAGGCCCAACAACGUCUACAAGAAGAAGGUUGUGUAGUAGACAUCAAGCUCUUUUCUGGCGCAGUUGCCGGGAAGGUGAGUGCUUGAAGUUAUAUCUUUAGAUCUUGCAAUCGAAUCUUUUUGUUUCUUGUUUUAGCACUAGUUUAGUUUAUAAAAGAAAACUACAAAAAAACGGAAUUGAGUUUACCUCACACGCUUCAUCUUUUUAAUAUCUUUCGUGAGUAUGAUGGAAAGAAAAAUUGUGCCAAAGUGUUAGAAGAAGAAUGCAUUAAACUGUUUGGCAUUAAAUAUUUGAAUGAUGAGCAUUAUUGCAAUGUUGUUAGUAUGAAUUCCUUGAAUAUCCAUAGUACUAAUGAUGAUUGCACUAGUUAUGAUGAAAAUGUCUCAUGUAAACAUGUCAAUUUUUGUGGAGUGCAUUGGGUUUGCAAGUACACACCAAUUAGGGAAGAUAGAUUUUGCAAGAGGCAUAAGUACUUAGAAACUAAAUUGUUGCAAGAAAGGCUAGAUGAAUGUGCUGAAAAUUUAAAUUUUCUUGGCCAUACUUGUGAGCUUUGCAAUGAACAUGGUUAUUUAACCAUCCGAUGCAAAUUGUUUCAUGAUCUAAUCGUUUCCAAAAAUUGUGAUGACUUGAUUUCCCUUGCACAUCAUAAUGAACUUAGUUUGCUUAUGGGUUAUGAGGAAAUGAAAUGUAUAACUAACUAUCUUCCAGUAUUUUCCCAUGAUAAACUUCUUGGAUUUGACCUAGAGGAAAUUUAUAUGUAUUGUGCGGUGAAUUGCAUUGAAAACCCCUAUAUUGUCAAUUACAUAAAGAAAAGAAAACAAAUAGAGGAUGAACAGAAUACUAAUGAAAGGGAAGAGACCUCCCAAUAUCCUCCUAUUAUUUCUUAUGAUGAACCAGGUAACGAGGAGGAGCCUCCUAUUCAACCAAUCUCAUUAAUAAGGAGCUCCAAAAAGAGGAUUGAACCCACACACGAUGUAGUGAAGAAGAAGAAAAGAAAGAGGAAGAGAGGUAAAAAGAUAUCUCUCCCAAAUAAUGCUGCUCCUAUUACUAUUGUGCCUCAUGAAAAUAUAAUUGUGGAAAAUAAUGAUACUUCUUAUGAUCUUGAAAAUCCUUUUGUCACUUGCUUGGAAGAAUAUGAUAAUUGCUAUACUAUUGGUGCUAUCCAUACUAUUAAUGAUGAGAGUGAUUAUGCUUAUGAUAUGAAAAGGCCCAAGCUUUGGGAUGCUAUGUUUGAUGAAGAUGAUGUUUUUGAGAAUAUAUUUGCUACAAUUAAUGUUUGUCCCAAGCUUGGGGAUGCUAUGUUUAAUCAAGAUGAUAUUUUUAGUCUCCCAAGUUUUGAUAUGCAAAUUUAUAAUGAUGAUAGCAUGCCUCCUACUUAUGAUGAUUAUUGUGAUGAUACUUAUGCUAUAAAAAGUAAUGAUUAUAUUUAUAAAACUUGUCAUGAUUAUGGUUACCCCUUUUCUGAACAUUACUCUUUUAAUGUGGAAACAAUUUAUAGUAUUCGAGUUUCUUAUGAUACUCCCACUAUUCCGAAUGAGAAGAAUUUUGCUUGUGUAGAGAGUAAUAAAAUUUCUAUGCUUGUAGAUCAUGAAAAGAAUGCUUUAGGUGCUGGUUAUAUUUUUGAAUUCAUUCAUGAUGCUACUGAAAAUUAUUAUGAGGGAGGAACAUAUGCUUGUAGGAAUUGCAAUAAUAUCAAGUUUCCUCUCUAUGUGCUUAAAGUUUUGAAGUUAUGCUUGUUUUGCCCUCCUAUGCUAGUUGAUUAUUGUUCCCAUAAGUUGUUUGCUCACAAAAUUCCUACACAUAGGAAGUGGGUUAGACUUACAUGUUCUAGUCAUAUGCUUCAUGAUGCUCUCUUUAUGUUUCAAUUCUUAUCUUUUAUGUGAGCAUCAUUGAAAUCGUCAUGCCUAGCUAGGGGCGUUAAACGAUAGCGCUUGUUGAGAGGAAACCCAACUUUAUUUUUGUUCCUUGAUUUUUGCUCCUGUCUAGCAAUAAAUAAUUUAUCUAGCAUCUGUUAUGAUUGAGUUUUUAUGUUAGAACCGUUGGGAAGACUUGGGGAAAGUCUUGGCGAUCAUGCUGUAAAAAAACAGAAACUUUAGCGCUCACGAGAAUUGCUGACAUUUUUUAUUGGAGAGUGCUAUUUGGUUAAUUAUUUUUGCAGAUGAUUAAUAGAUAAAUUCCUCACGUCCAGCAAUUUAUUUUAGAAUUUUUGAGGCUCCAGAAGUUUGCGUUAGUUACAGAUUACUACAGACUGUUCUGUUUUUGACAGAUUCUGUUUUUCGUGUGUUGUUUGCUUAUUUUGAUGAAUCUAUGGCUAGUAAAAUAGUUUAUAAACCAUAGAGAAGUUUUAAUACAGUAGGUUUAACACCAAUAUAAAUAAAUAAUGAGUUCAUUACAGUACCUUUAAGUGGUGUUUUAUUUUCUUUCGCUAACGGAGCUCACGAGUUUUCCAUUUUAAGUUUUGUGUUGUGAAGUUUUCAAGUUUUGGGUAAAGAUUUGAUGGAUUAUGGAAUAAGGAGUGGCAAGAGAAUAAGCUUGGGGAUGCCGAAGGCACCCCAAGGUAAUAUUCAAGGACAACCAAAAGCCUAAGCUUGGGGAUGCCCCGGAAGGCAUCCCCUCUUUCGUCUUCGUUCAUCGGUAACUUUACUUGGAGCUAUAUUUUUAUUCACCACAUGUUACGUGUUUUGCUUGGAGCGUCAUUUUAUUUCAUUUUUUUGCUUGCUGUUUGAAUAAAGUAUCAAGAUAUGAAAUUAUUAAGUGGGAGAGUCUUCACAUAGUUGCAUAAGUAUUCGACUACUCAUUGAUCUUCACUUACAUCUUUCAGAGUAGUUUGUCAUUUUCUCUAGUGCUUCACUUAUAUCUUUUGAGAGCACGGUGGUGGUUUUAUUUUGUAGAAAUAGAUGAACUCUCGUGCUUCACUAAUAUUAUUUUGAGAGUCCUCAGAACAGCAUGGUAAUUUGCUUUGGUUAUGAAUUUAGUCCUAAUAAGAUGGGCAUCCAAGAGGGAUAUAAUAAAAACUUUCAUAUAAGUGCAUUGAAUACUAAGAGAAGUUUGAUACUUGAUGAUUGUUUUGAGAUAUGGAGAUAGUGAUAUUAAAGUUGUGCUAUUUGACACUACUAGGAAAAGGCCUACUAAUGGCGCACCAGUUUUGCCUACUAAUGGCGCAUCACUGGUGCGCCAUUACUAGCACGCCAUUAGUAAUUUUUAGUAAUGGCGCACCACUGGUGCGCCAUUAGUAUCGGCCACGGUGCGCCAUUCGUAUAGGCCACUGGUGCGCCAUUAGUAUAGGCCACGGUGCGCCAUUAGUAUUUUUGGAUUUUGAAGGCGGGAAAAUAGUAGUGGCGCACCGUCUAACCCCCACCGUGCGCCAUUACUAUUUUUGAAUUUUGAAUUUGGAUCUGGAUCGUGAUUUUUUUGCCCAUUUUUUGCUCGUUUUUUUGCUCGUUUUUUGGCACAAUAUUAUUUCAAAUUUUGUUCUUGUUUUUGGAUCUUGUACGUUCUUUUGCCGUGUUCUUUUGCCGGAGAGGAGUUCGCCGGAGAGGAGGAGGAGGAGGUCACCGGAGAGGCGCUCGCCUACAUCGCCGGAGAGGAGGAGGAGGUCGCCGGAGAGGAGUUCACCGAAGCAUCGGAGAGGAGGAAGGAGAAACCAUGAGGGAAUGGGAGGAGAGGAGGGAGGAGAAACCAUGAGGGGAGGGGAGGAGAGGAGGGAGNNNNNNNNNNNNNNNNNNNNNNNNNNNNNNNNNNNNNNNNNNNNNNNNNNNNNNNNNNNNNNNNNNNNNNNNNNNNNNNNNNNNNNNNNNNNNNNNNNNNNNNNNNNNNNNNNNNNNNNNNNNNNNNNNNNNNNNNNNNNNNNNNNNNNNNNNNNNNNNNNNNNNNNNNNNNNNNNNNNNNNNNNNNNNNNNNNNNNNNNNNNNNNNNNNNNNNNNNNNNNNNNNNNNNNNNNNNNNNNNNNNNNNNNNNNNNNNNNNNNNNNNNGGAGAGGAGAAGGAGGUCGCCGGAGAGGAGGAGAUGGAGUGGAGGAGAGGAGGAGAUGGAGUGGAGGAGAGGAGAGGAGGAGAUGGAAUGGAGGAGAGGUGGAGUGGAGGAGGUGCGCCCAGCCAUGUAUACGACAUAGUAAUGGCGCACCGUGGGCAGGUGCGCCAUUACUAACUUUUUUUAUUUUUUGAUUUAUUUUGAAUUUUGAAGGCGGGAAGAUACUAAUGGCGCACCGUGGGCAGGUGCGCCAUUAGUAACUUUUUUUUUAUUUUUGACUAAUUUUGAAUUUUGAAGGCGGGAAGAUACUAAUGGCGCACCGUGGGCAGGUGCGCCAUUAGUAACUUUUUUUGACUAAUUUUGAAUUUUGAAGGUGGGAAGAUACUAAUGGCGCACCACGGGGUGGUGCGCCAUUAGUAACUUUUUUUUAUUUUGUUGACUUAUUUUGAAUUUUGAAGGCGGGAAGAUACUAAUGGCGCACCAUGGGCAGGUGCGCCAUUAGUAAGUUUGAAUUAUUUUUAAUUUUUUUGCCUCUCCAGAUCUUAAAAGCCCCAUAUAUUUUUUUCUGUUAGGUUUUUGAGGAUUUUAAAAAUGUUUAACGGAUUCCCCGGUUAAAUUUGGAUGUAACUUUUCGAGUAGAUGAUUUUUCAUAUAAAAAACUUUUUCAUCCGAGUUAGUAUGCAAAAGUUAUGCCCAUUUUUACAAAUUNNNNNNNNNNNNNNNNNNNNNNNNNNNNNNNNNNNNNNNNNNNNNNNNNNNNNNNNNNNNNNNNNNNNNNNNNNNNNNNNNNNNNNNNNNNNNNNNNNNNNNNNNNNNNNNNNNNNNNNNNNNNNNNNNNNNNNNNNNNNNNNNNNNNNNNNNNNNNNNNNNNNNNNNNNNNNNNNNNNNNNNNNNNNNNNNNNNNNNNNNNNNNNNNNNNNNNNNNNNNNNNNNNNNNNNNNNNNNNNNNNNNNNNNNNNNNNNNNNNNNNNNNNNNNNNNNNNNNNNNNNNNNNNNNNNNNNNNNNNNNNNNNNNNNNNNNNNNNNNNNNNNNNNNNNNNNNNNNNNNNNNNNNNNNNNNNNNNNNNNNNNNNNNNNNNNNNNNNNNNNNNNNNNNNNNNNNNNNNNNNNNNNNNNNNNNNNNNNNNNNNNNNNNNNNNNNNNNNNNNNNNNNNNNNNNNNNNNNNNNNNNNNNNNNNNNNNNNNNNNNNNNNNNNNNNNNNNNNNNNNNNNNNNNNNNNNNNNNNNNNNNNNNNNNNNNNNNNNNNNNNNNNNNNNNNNNNNNNNNNNNNNNNNNNNNNNNNNNNNNNNNNNNNNNNNNNNNNNNNNNNNNNNNNNNNNNNNNNNNNNNNNNNNNNNNNNNNNNNNNNNNNNNNNNNNNNNNNNNNNNNNNNNNNNNNNNNNNAAUUUUUUUACUAAUGGCGCACCGUGGAUGUGGUGCGCCAUUACUAGUUCAACUAGUAAUGGCGCACCACCCCCACGGUGCGCCAUUAGUAGUUUUGAAAAAAAUUAAAUUUUUUUACCAAUGGCGCACCGUGGAUGUGGUGCGCCAUUAGUAUUUGGACACUAAUGGCGUACCAACACAUGGUGCGCCAUUAGUAUAUAGUAAUGGCGCACCACAUGUCUGGUGCGCCAUUAGUGUCAAUUCCAUCUAUAGCCCUUUUCCUAGUAGUGUGAGUAGUUGUGAAUUUGAGAAAUACUUGUGUUGAAGUUUGCAAGUCCCGUAGCAUGCACGUAUGGUAAACGUUAUGUAACAAAUUUGAAACAUGAGGUGUUCUUUGAUUGUCCUCCUUAUGAAUGGCGGUCGGGGACGAGCGAUGGUCUUUUCCUACCAAUCUAUCCCCCUAGGAGCAUGCGUGUAGUGCUUGGUUUUUGAUGACUUGUAGAUUUUUGCAAUAAGUAUAUGAGUUCUUUAUGACUAAUAUUGAGUCCAUGGAUUAUAUGCAUUCUCACCCUUCCAUCAUUGCUAGCCUCUUCGGUACCGUGCAUUGCCCUUUCUCACAUUGAGAGUUGGUGCAAACUUCGCUGGUGCAUCCAAACCCCGUGAUAUGAUACACUCUUUCACACAUAAACCUCCUUAUAUCUUCCUCAAAACAGCCACCAUACCUACCUAUUAUGGCAUUUCCGUAGCCAUUCUGAGAUAUAUUGCCAUGCAACUUUCCACCAUUCUGUUUGUCAUGACACAUUCAUCAUUGUCAUAUUGCUUAGCAUGAUCAUGUAGUUGACAUAGUAUUUGUGGCAAAGCCACCGUUCAUAAUUAUUUCAUACAUGUCACUCUUGGUUCAUUGCAUAUCCCGGUACACCGCCGGAGGCAUUCAUAUAGAGUCAUAUCUUGUUCUAGUAUCGAGUUGUAAAUAAAUAGAAGUGUGAUGAUCAUCAUUAAUAGAGCAUUGUCCCAAAAAAAGGAAGAGAACGACCAAAUAAAAAAGGGAAGCCCCCCACCCAAAAAAGAAAAGAAAGGCCAGAUAAAAAAUAAAAAAAAUAAAAAAAAUAAAAGGGACAAUGCUACUAUCCUUUUUCCACACUUGUGCUUCAAAGUAGCACCAUGAUCUUUAUGAUAGAGAGUCUCUUGUUUUGUCACUUUCAUAUACUAGUGGGAAUUUUUUAUUAUAGAACUUGGCUUGUAUAUUCCAACAAUGGGCCUCCUCAAGUGCCCUAGGUCUUUGUGAGCAAGCAAGUUGGAUGCACACCCACUUAGUUUCUUUUGUUGAGCUUUCAUACAUUUAUGGCUCUAGUGCAUCCGUUGCAUGGCAAUCCCUAAUCCUUGCAUUGACAUCAAUUGAUGGGCAUCUCCCUAGCCCAUUGAUUAGCCGCGUCGAUGUGAGACUUUCGCCUUUUGGUCUUCUCCACAUAACCCCCUCAUUAUAUUCUAUUCCACCCAUAGUGCUAUAUCCAUGGCUCACGCUCAUGUAUUGCGUGAAAGUUGAAAAAAGUUUGAGAUUACUAAAGUAUGAAACAAUUACUUGGCUUGUCAUCGGGGUUGUGCACAAUGAGAGCAUUCUUGUGUGACGAAAAUGGAGCAUGGCCAAACUAUAUGAUUUUGUAGGGAUGAACUUUCUUUGGCCAUGUUAUUUUGAGAAGACAUGAUUGCUUAGUUAGUAUACUUGAAGUAUUAUUAUUUUUAUGUCACUAUUAAACUUUUGUCUUGAAUCUUAUGGAUCUGAAUAUUCUUGCCACAAUAAAGAGAACUACAUGGAUAAAUAUGUUAGGUGGCAUUCUACAUCAAAAAUUCUGUUUUUAUCUUUUAGCUACUCCAGGACGAGCAGGAAUUAAGCUUGGGGAUGCUGAUACGCCUCCAACGUAUCUAUAAUUUUUAUUGUUCCAUGCUAUUAUAUUAUCAACCUUGGAUGUUUUAUAUGCAUCUUUAUGCUAUUUUAUAUCAUUUUUGGGACUAACCUAUUAACCUAGAGCCCAGUGCCAGUUUCUGUUUUUUCCUUGUUCUAGGGUUUCGAAGAAAAGGAAUAUCAAAUGGAGUCCAAACGGAAUGAAACCUUCGGAAAAGUUGUUUUUGGAAAGAAAGCAAUACAGGAGACUUGGAGUGCACGUCAGCGGAUCAACGAGGAAGCCACGAGGCAGGGGGCGCGCCCACCCCCUGGGCGCGCCCUCCACCCUCGUAGGCCCCUCGUGGCUCCCCUAAUGUAUUUCUUCCGCCUGUAUGUACCAAUAUACCCUAAAACGAUCGGGGAGCACAAUAGAUUGGGAGUUCCGCCGCCAGAAGCCUCUGUAGCCACUAAAAGUGAAUCUAGACCCGUUCCGGCACCCUGCCGGAGGGUGAAUCCCUCUCCGGUGGCCAUCUUCAUCAUCCCGGUGCUCUCCAUGACGAGGAGGGAGUAGUUCUCCCUUGGGGCUGAGGGUAUGUACCAGUAGCUAUGUGUUUAAUCUCUCUCUCUCUCUCUCUCGUGUUCUUGAGGUGAUACGAUCUUGAUGUAUCGCGAGCUUUGCUAUUAUAGUUGUAUCUUAUGUUUCUUCUCCUCCUCUACUCUCUUGUAAUGGAUUGAGUUUCCCCUUCGAAGUUAUCUUAUCGGAUUGAGUCUUUAAAGAUUUGAGAACACUUGAUGUAUGUCUUGCCGCGUGUAUCUGUGGUGACAAUGGGAUAUCACGUGAUUCACUUGAUGUAUGUUUUCGUGAUCAACUUGCGGGUUCCGCCCAUGAACCUAUGCAUAGGGGUUGGCACACGUUUUCGUCGUGAUUCUUUGGUAGAAACUUUGGUGCACUCUUUGAGGUUCUAUGUGUUGGUUGAAUAGAUGAACUUGAGAUUGUGUGAUGCAUAUCGUAUAAUCAUACCCACAGAUACUUGAGGUGACAAUGGUUUGCUCACAAAAUCCCUAUGCAUAGGAAGUGGGUUAGACUUAAAUGUUCUAGUCAUAUGCUUCAUGAUGCUCUCUUUAUGUUUCAGUUCUUAUCUUUUAUGUGAGCAUCAUUGAAAUCAUCAUGCCUAGCUAGGGGCGUUAAACGAUAGCGCUUGUUGGGAGGAAACCCAACUUUAUUCUUGUUCCUUGCUUUUUGCUCCUGUUUAGCAAUAAAUAACUUAUCUAGCCUCUGUUAUGAUUGAGUUUUUAUGUUUUAAUUAGUGUUUGUGCCAAGUAGAACCGUUGGGAAGACUUGGGGAAAGUCUUUGCGAUCAUACUGUAAAAAACAGAAACUUCAGCGCUCACGAGAAUUGAUGGGCAUCUCCUUAACCCAUUGAUUAGCCGCGUCGAUGUGAGACUUUCUCCUUUUUGUCUUCUCCACAUAACCCCCUCAUUAUAUUCUAUUCCACCCAUAGUGCUAUAUCCAUGGCUCACGCUCAUGUAUUGCGUGAAAGUUGAAAAAAGUUUGAGAUUACUAAAGUAUGAAACAAUUGUUUGGCUUGUCAUCGGGGUUGUGCAUGAUGAGAGCAUUCUUGUGUGACGAAAAUGGAGCAUGACCAAACUAUAUGAUUUUGUAGGGAUGAACUUUCUUUGGCCAUGUUAUUUUGAGAAGACAUGAUUGCUUAGUUAGUAUGCUUGAAGUAUUAUUAUUUUUAUGUCAAUAUUAAACUUUUUUCUUGAAUCUUAUGUAUUUGAAUAUUCUUGCCGGAAUAAAGAGAACUACAUGGAUAAAUAUGUUAGGUAGCAUUCCACAUCAAAAAUUCGGUUUCAUUAGCGGCGUGCCCUGCACCCAUUUAUCACGUCGUAUCUCUGUAGUAUGCGCAUUCCCAAUUUGUCACGGCAUACCCUCCUUCAAACCUUCUUGCCCUUUCAGAUUAGCACGCCAAGCUAGCUAUGCACUAUGCGGGAACCUGCAUUUGAAAAAAAAGAAUCUCAUUUCAUGGUAUCUUCCAUGAAGGACCCUCGUACAUGAGCUAUCUAGAUAGAAAUAGCCAUGUAUGUUUAGCAAACUUUGCAUAAGUGAAUAGAUCAAGGUCGUGGAACCCCAAGCCUCCAAUUACACACGGCCUCUCUACCAAUAAGAUCUCCAAAGACAUCAAGGAUACAGACAGCCAAAAAAGAAAAUAAAAAGGAAAAAAAUAAAAAAUACCCCACCAUGGUGAUCAAUCACAAGCAUCAGCAGCACUCUAACCACCACCUAAGACAACGCCCAGAUUACAAAAAAAAUUCUCCAAAAGCAAUGCCCCCAAGAAGGAAACAAUACACAAGCGUUGUCGUUGCCCGAUCGAAGAUCGUGGGUUUUCACACUGGAAAAUUUUUGAGUUCACCCAAAAACAAUGCCUUCAACAAGGCCAUUGCCAAGUACAACAAAUAUGGCUGAGACCUUGGGUUUUCACCCUAGGAAUUGAGAGUCGAUGCUCGAGGAGUACCACCAAAAAUGCAGUCCACUAGUGUUGCCGCCCCCACUUGGCGAGGCCGCUGUUGCAAGUCACCAAACACCUGGCAUAUAGUUGUCAUCGCAUCCAAUACACCCUUCGGCCGAAGCUUCAAGACCUUGAUCCGUCUCCAACGUAUCUAUAAUUUUUGAUUGUUCCAUGCUAUUAUAUUAUCUGUUUUGGAUGUUUUAUAUGAGUAGGGCGUUUUGGUGCCCAGGCUCAUCUGCACCCGGUUAGAAAAAAUUCAUAAAAAAUUUAAACAAAUUCAAAAAAUUCCAAAUAAAAUUUGUAUGGUAGACAAUUUGAUGCGUGAGGCCCGCCUCAAAUUUCAAGUCAUUUGGAUAUAUGAGAAGCUCUCAGCAAAAAAGACAAAUCGGACUAAAACAGUACAUGAACAGUAAACAUUUUUACAGACCCUCAAUUUGUCUUUUUUGCUGAGAGCUGCUCAUAUGUUCAAAUGACUUGAAAUUUGGAGCGUGCCUCACGCAUCAAAAUUUCUAUCACACAAAUUUUAUUUGGAAUUUUUCGAAUUUUUCUAGUAUUUGUUUUGAUUUUUUUCGUCGGCACAGGUGCAGAUGAGCUCAGGUGCAGAAAUGGAUUUUCGGUUUUAUUUGCACUAUUAUGCUAUUUUAUAUGAUUUUUGCGACUAACCUAUUAAACUAGAGCCCAGUGCCAGUUCCUGUUUUUUCCUUGUUUUAGAGUUUCACAGAAAAGGAAUACCAAACGGAGUCCAAACGGAAUGAAACUUUUGCGAUGAUGUUUCUUAGACCAGAAGACAUCUAGAGGACUUGGAGUGCACGUUAGGAAAGCCAUGAGGUGGCCACAAUGACGGAGGGCACGCCCCCACCCUUGUGGGCUCCUCGUGACUCUACCGACCUAUUUCGUCCGCAUAUAUAUUCUCAAAUAUUCCAAAACCUACUAGGAGAGCCACAAAAAAACUUUUCCACCGUCGCAACCUUCUGUACCCAUGAGUUCCCAUCUAGGGGCCUUUUCCGGCAUCCCGUCGGAGGGGGAUUCGAUCACGGAGGGCUUCUACAUCAACACCAUUGCCUCUCCGAUGAAGCGUGAGUAGUUUACCACAGACCUAUGAGUCCAUAGCUAGUAUCUAAACGGCUUCUUCUCUCUCUUUGAUUCUCAAUACCAUGUUCUCUUCGAUGUUCUUGGAGAUCUAUUCGUUGUAAUACUCUUUUUGCGGUGUGUUUGCCGAGAUCCGGUGAAUUGUGGAUAUAUGAUCAGGUUAUCUAUGAAUAUUAUUUGAAUCUCCUAUGAAUUCUUAUAUGCAUGAUUUGAUAUAUUUGCAAGUCUCUUCGAACUAUCGAUUUGGUUUGGCCAACUAGAUUGGUUUUUCUUGCAAUGGGAGAAGUGCUUAACUUUGGGUUCAAUCUUGCGGUGCUCGAUCCCAGUGACAGAAGGGGAUGAUACGUCUCCAACGUAUCUAUAAUUUUUGAUUGUUCCAUGCUAUUAUAUUAUCAACCUUGGAUGUUUUAUAUGCAUUUAUAUGCUAUUUUAUAUGAUUUUUGGGACUAACCUAUUAACCUAGAGCCCAGUGCCAGUGCCAGUUUCUGUUUUUUCCUUGUUUUAGGGUUUCAAAGAAAAGGAAUAUCAAACAGAGUCCAAACGGAAUGAAACCUUCGGAAAAGUUAUUUUUGGAAAGAAAGCAAUACGAGAGACUUGGAGUGCACGUCAGGGGAUCAACGAGGAAGCCACGAGGCAGGGGCACGCCCUCCACCCUCGUGGCUCCCCUAAUGUAUUUCUUCCGCCUAUAUAUAUCCAUAUACCCUAAAAUGAUCGGGGAGCACAAUAGAUCGGGAGUUCCGCCACCAGAAGCCUCCGUAGCCACCGAAAGCCAAUCUAGACCCGUUCCGGCACCCUGCCGGAGGAGGAAUCCCUCUUCGGUGUCCAUCUUCAUCAUCCCGGUGCUCUCCAUGACGAGGAGGGAGUAGUUCUCCCUCAGGGCUGAGGGUAUGUACCAGUAGCUAUGUGUUUGAUCUCUCUCUCUCUCUCUCUCUCUCUCUCUCGUGUUCUUGAGGUGAUACGAUCUUGAUGUAUCGCGAGCUUUGCUAUUAGAGUUGGAUCUUAUGUUUCUUCUCCCCCUCUACUCUCUUGUAAUGGAUUGAGUUUCCCCUUCGAAGUUAUCUUAUCGGAUUGAGUCUUUAAAGAUUUGAGAACACAUGAUGUAUGUCUUGCCGUGCGUAUCUGUGGUGACAAUGGGAUAUCACGUGAUUCAUUUGAUGUAUGUUUUGGUGAUCAAGUUGCGGGUUCCACCCAUGAACCUAUGCAUAGGGGUUGGCACACAUUUUCGUCAUGAUUCUCCGGCAGAAACUUUGGGGCACUCUUUGAGGUUCUAUGUGUUGGUUGAAUAGAUGAAUCUGAGAUUGUGUGAUGCAUAUCGGAUAAUCAUACCCACGGAUACUUGAGGUGACAAUGGAGUAUCUAGGUGACAUUAGGGUUUUGGUUGAUUUGUGUCUUAAGGUGUUAUUCUAGUACGAACUCUAGGGCUGUUUGUGACACUUAUAGGAAUAGCCCAAUGGAUUGAUUGGAAAGAAUAACUUGGAGGUGGUUUCGUACCCUACCAUAAUCUCUUCGUUCGUUCUCCGCUAUUAGUGACUUUGGAGUGAUUCUUUGUUGCAUGUUGAGGGAUAGUUAUGUGAUCCAAUUAUGUUAUUAUUGUUGAGAGAACUUGCACUAGUGAAAGUAUGAACCCUAGGUCUUGUUUCAACGCAUUGCAAUACCGUUUACGCUCACUUUUAUCAUUAGUUACCUUGCUGUUUUUAUAUUUUCAGAUUACAAAAACCUUUAUCUACCAUCCAUAUACCACUUGUAUCACCAUCUCUUCGCCGAACUAGUGCACCGAUACAAUUUACCAUUGUAUUGGGUGUGUUGGGGACACAAGAGACUCUUUGUUAUUUGGUUGCAGGGUUGGUUGAGAGAGACCAUCUUCAUCCUACGCCUCCUACAGAUUGAUAAACCUUGGGUCAUCCACUUGAGGAAAAUUUGCUACUGUCCUACAAACCUUUGCACUUGGAGGCCCAACAACGUCUACAAGAAGAAGGUUGUGUAGUAGACAUCAGGGGAACCGACACAUAUUGUAGUGUUUCCAUCGAGGAUAACAAGAUGGGGUUUUCGUCAUAUUGCUUGAGUUUAUCCCGCUACAUCAAGUCAUCUUACUUAAUGCGUUAUCCUGUUCUUAUGAACUUAGUACUCUAGGUGCAGGCAGGAGUCAGUGGACGUGUGGAGUAAUAGUAGUAGAUGCAAGCAGGAGUCCGUCUACUUGAUACAAACAUGAUGCUUAUGUUCAUGAUCAUUGCCUUAGAUAUCGUCAUAAGUUUGCACUUUUCUAUCAAUUGCUCAGCAGUAAUUUGUUCACCCACCGUAAGAUUUUCUAUCUUGAGAGAAGCCUCUAGUGAAACCUAUGGCCCCGGGGUCUACUUUCCAUCAUAUAAGUUUCUGAUCUACAAUUGUGUUGGUUGAAUAGAUGAAUCUGAGAUUGUGUGAUGCAUAUCGUAUAAUCAUACCCACGGAUACUUGAGGUGACAAUGGAGUACCUAGGUGACAUUAGUGUUUUGGUUGAUUUGUGUCUUAAGGUGUUAUUCUAGUACGAACUCUAGGGCUGUUUGUGACACUUAUAGGAAUAGCCCAACGGAUUGAUUGGAAAGAAUAACUUUGAGGUGGUUUCGUACCCUACCAUAAUCUCUUCGUUCGUUCUCCGCUAUUAAUGACUUUGGAGUGACUCUUUGUUGCAUGUUGAGGGAUAGUUAUGUGAUCCAAUUAUGUUAUUAUUGUUGAGAGAACUUGCACUAGUGAAAGUAUGAACCCUAGGCCUUGUUUCAACGCAUUACAAUACCGUUUACGCUCAGUUUUAUCAUUAGUUACCUUGCUGUUUUUAUAUUUUCAGAUUACAAAAACCUUUAUCUACCAUCCAUAUACCACUUGUAUCACCAUCUCUUCGCUGAACUAGUGCACCUAUACAAUUUACCAUUGUAUUGGGUGUGUUGGGGACACAAGAGACUCUUUGUUAUUUGGUUGCAGGGUUGCUUGAGAGAGACCAUCUUCAUCCUACACCUCCUACGGAUUGAUAAACCUUAGGUCAUCCACUUGAGGGAAAUUUGCUACUGUCCUACAAACCUCUGCACUUGGAGGCCCAACAACGUCUACAAGAAGAAGGUUGUGUAGUAGACAUCAGGGGAACCGACACAUAUUGUAUUGUUUCCAUCGAGGAUAACAAGAUGGGGUUUUCGUCAUAUUGCUUGAGUUUACCCCGCUACAUCAAGUCAUCUUACUUAAUGCGUUAUCCUGUUCUUAUGAACUUAAUACUCUAGAUGUAGGCAGGAGUCGGUGGACGUGUGGAGUAAUAGUAGUAGAUGCAAGCAGGAGUCAGUCUAGUUGAUACAAACGUGAUGCUUAUGUUCAUGAUCAUUGCCUUAGAUAUCGUCAUAACUUUGCGCUUUUAUAUCAAUUGCUCAACAGUAAUUUGUACACCCACUGUAAGAUUUUCUAUCUUGAGAGAAGCCUCUAGUGAAACUAUGGCCCCGGGGUCUACUUUCCAUCAUAUAAGUUUCCGAUCUACAAUUUUAGUUUCCUAUCACUUCCUUUGCAAUCUUUUACUUUCCAUUCCAUAAACCAAAAAUACCAAAAAUAUUACUUUACCGAUUAUCCAUCUCUAUCAGAUCUCACCUUGCAAAUAACCAUGAAGGAUUGACAACCCCUUUGUCGCAUUAGGUGUAAGUUGCUAUUUGUUUGAGCAUGUAUUCAGUGACUUGUGCAUUGUCUCCUACUGGAUUGAUACCUUGGUUCUCAAAACUGAGGGAAAUACUUACUCUACUUUGCUGCAUCACCCUUUCCACUUCAAGGGAAAAACCAACGCAAGCUCAAGAGGAAGUAGGAAGAAUUUCUGGCACCGUUGCCGGGGACAUCUACGCCAAGUCAAGACAUACCAAGUACCCAUCAUAAACUCUCAUCUCUUGCAUUAUAUUAUUUGCCAUUCGCCUCUCGUUUUCCUCUCCCCCACUUCUAAAAUGAUUUGCCUUUUCUUCGCCCUCUUCCAUUCAUCUUCUUCGCUUGCUUUUUGUGUGCUCAUGUGUUGGAUUGCUUGCUUUGUCACGAUGUCUCAAGAGAAUACCAAAUUGUGUGACUUUUCCAAUACCAACAACAAUGAUUUUAUUAGUACCCCGAUUGCUCCCGCUACUAAUGCGGAAUCUUGUGAAAUUAAUGCUGCUUUGCUGAGUCUUGUUAUGAAAGAUCAAUUUUCCGGCCUUCCCAAUGAAGAUGCCGCAUCCCAUCUAAACAAUUUCGUUGAUUUGUGUGAUAUGAAAAAGAAAAAAGAUAUGGAUAAUGAUAUUGUUAAAUUGAAGCUAUUUCCGUUGUCACUUCGAGAUCGUGCUAAAACUAGGUUUUCAUCUUUGCCUAAAAAUAGCGAGUGUCAUUUUUUAAUGCGAGUGAUUAGUUUUUAAAGAAUGAUUGGCAUUCUUUCUUAAUUGCUCAUCUACUAAUCGUUUGGCGUGUUUUCUUAUCUUGUCAAAAUCAUAUCCCCUGGCUGUAAAUAUCAAAGAAUAAUUUCAUUUGUUGGGCUUGGACUGUACUGUCCGAGAGUCAGAGUAUAAAUACCAUACGAUUUCAAGAGCAAUAGCAACGGGGCAACCAUUAGUCCAUACUCUACACCAUAUGGCUAGAAAUUUUAUAUUAUAUAUAACAAAGUUGUGACAAAUUGGAAAUGGAAAGCAAUAAAAUGAAUAUGUUGCUAUAGGUUAUUAUUAUUACACAUGCACGUGUACCUUGAUCCUUGCUUGGACAUAGGGUCCGAGGAAGUUACAUUGCUUUGACUACUGAUAUUGUUUGUGUUAAAGUGUGCCACAAUGGCAUAAAUAUUGUCGUUGCAUAAUGGGAAACCACGUCAUAUUUAUCGAUGAUAUGUGGAAAUAGGGAUAAGCUACUUUAUGAAGAUAUAUAAGGAUGUAUGGGUUACGUUGGUGGAAAAUGUUGUUAUGAACACAAAUGCAGUUGCAUUUAUCAUGCAUUCGCGGUGAAGUGCGCUAUUGUGGCAUAUAUCUUCCUUUUUGCCACAGAAGCAUGGUAGAAUUAUAAAGAGAGUAUGUUUCUAUAGACAUUUCAAAAAAGAGAUUUGUGUAUACUCUCAUUAUACUGUAAUCACCAUAGAUUAUUCAGAUUAGAAGUUGUUGUCUCUACCACAUAUUUAGAUUUUCUAUACAUACUAAUAUCUAUAUCGCAUAGAAAAUCAUGUAUUUAUAUGAGAUCUUUGUGGUGCAUGAUAAAGCAAGAUUCCUUUUGUUAUUGCAGCAAUUUAUAAGUAUUUAAAUAUAUACUAAUAGCUAGUUUCUUCUGUGUUAUAAGGACAAAAUAAGACAUGCAUAGACAUGCAAAUACGUAUUAGAAAUCUGCUACUCCAAAUGUAUCAUGUUAAUCCAUGUAAGCCACGAAUCGCGUGCAUAUCAGGCAAAGCAGUUUUUUUUGUAAAAACAAUACAUAAUACUAAUCGAUGGUAUAGACGAUUCAAUACAUAUGCAUCAAGACACCGCUACCUUGCACAUAGUGAUAUAGGAUGGAAUUGAAUCUGAUCCGCUCCUUUCCAACUUAAUCGAGUAAUGUGUACUUCUCAUAAAUAGGCAUGUAUAUAGUAAUUGUUCUUUUGACCAAACGCUUGGUAUAUUAAUGAUCACAUUAUACAUUUAUGUAACAUUUCUUACUUGCGAAAUCUUUUACAAAUUGGAAUAUGGGAAUUUUAUUAAUACCUAGAAGAAAUACUACUAUUUAGAACAUAUAAUAACUGGUACUAUACUUUUUCUUAAUAUUGGUACUAUACUUAAUUGGACCAAAAGUUGCACAUAUUUUUGAUUAGUUCAUUUUUUUCUACAGAUUUAUCGGCGCCAUUAUUUCUCUAUGGUUGACAUGUAUAUGAACUACUGUCUGUAUAUAUUGAUCUGCAUUUAGACAAAUAUCAGGGACAAACACACAUACUGUUUAGCAUGUGUAGUUGUAAAGGUAGAAUACUGAUUUGUAGUAUUAAGAAAAUAUAUUUAUAAGAUCUUACUACAAUGUAUAUGGAUUGAGAAUCAGAGAAAUAACCAAGUGUUGUGCAAGGAUCAUUCUGACUAUCCAGUGGCAGAAUAAAAAUAGGAUGCUAAGCGCGGGGAGAAUACUUAUGUCCUAUAAACCUGCAAAUAAGAAGCAUGCAUUCACCAUAUAUUAGAAUUCCAAAUUUUAUAGUUCCUUUGCAUGUUGGAAAUAAGCUUUGCCCCUUGUGAUAUGGAUUAUCACGUAGAAUGGAAAGAGGAGAAAAAAAUUAUGGCUUAGCAGAAUCAAUGAGGAAAAGCACUACAUGUGAAGUAUCAAAACGUUGUGAUAGCACGAACCCCACCAGAUUUGAACUCGUGCUCUUAGUAUGACAUGAAAAGAGGGGCUACUCUCCAAUCGAAGUGAAAAUAGUAGAACUUUGAACUUAUAUAUAUAUACGCUUAAAAAUUCUAAAAGCAAAUGGUCAAAAACUCAGAAUAGCUUGAGCGGGCACUACUUGCUAACUCAAGCACAUGGCAACACAGUAUUAAGUCAAGAUUUUGCAACCGAGAGGGAAAGUCAAAUAAAUAAAUAAAUAAAUAAGGAUUCUCAUCAAACCUGUGAAUCCAAGCUAGUAUCUAACUAUUGUAUUGCUCAUAGUUUUGCAUACACCAUGGAACGUACGAUACAUAGCAUGUUGAAAAAUUAUAACCAAUUAAAUAGAAGAUAAAGGCAUAGUGCUAGGAGAUCAUCUCUCAGAGCAAUCAUCGCUGACAUAAACCUUCGGUUAAAUCACAUGUCUAAUUAGAACCUAGAGGUCUUUUACUUUUCCUUUAUAUGGAACCUUUAUUUUGACCUUUGGGGACUAUAGCCGCCUCAAAUAUGCAACUUUUUUUCGAAAUUUUAGUAUAGUGUAGUUGGAGCUUUUCCUGGUGUUCCAUAAAAAUAGCAAAGGGCAUAUUUCCUUUAGCCUACUUAUAUAUAAAAAAACGGCGUUCCUUAAUUAUUAUUCAAACUGAAAACACAUGCUAUCUUUAAAAGCAAAGAUGUACCUUAUGUGAGAAUCAUGCAUGUGUUAUUUCUAAUUAGUUAGGCAAUAAAAUAAUAGCAUCGUAUCAUUAGAUAAAUUAUUUUUCAACUGAAUCAGACAUGUGGGGUUUGACAAAAUUGAAAGUAUAUGCGAAGAUGUUAAGGAGAAAAUGUCAAUAUAAAAAAACUGUUUCUAUAGGCAGAUGUGAAUUACGUACAAAAAUAGGUCUGUUCGCUUUACAAAAGUUCUGGUGAAACCAAACUCCUGAGUUACUACAUGUAGAGCUCAAAAAUACCAGAUAUAGAGUAUAAAAUGAGAAUGGAAUACUAAGUGCAUCUUACAGAAAUUAUAAGAUCUUUUUAAUAGCUUCCUCAAUAUUACAUAGCAUACACAACAAUGAGGCAUCAAAUGAAUCAGUAUUCUAAAUAUGUAAAGAAGAAUAAGAAACACAAAGUAGCUGCUGCUCGAGCAACUACUACAUGCAAAUACAAUGCUUGAGAAUUUUCAAGCGUUCUGUUCGCUUUUUACCCUGAUUCAGCAUGGAUUAAAAAACCACAGUACUUAAUUCCGUGUAUCCUAAAUUCAAGCGUCAUGUUCGACGAAUUUCACCAUAGAUUUACAUGCCUGUGGACUUGUAGAACCAACAGCGCACUCUACAACAUCCGACAGAUAAAUCGAUCUGCUUUCCGUUCGCUGUAGGUUGUUCAUUGGGAAGCAGCACGAUCCACUUUAGACCACCAUCAGUAGACCUGAUCCUACGCUGCAUCGCAUUGUUAUAUUGCAGUCAGCUCGGAACUUAUGUCAAGGAGAAUAGUUAGACGAUGGAUUUGAUAUUUGGCCUUUUUGAGAUCUGAAACGUGUGUGUACUUCGUAGCUGUCAGCAGGUGGAAGGCCGUCCUGACAAAGAGGCAUAUUGCAUCCUAAAUUCAAGCACCAUGUUCGAAAAAAAAUCAGUAUGGGUUUACUUGCCUGUGGACUUGUAGAACCAACAUCAAACCCGACAAAAUCGGACAGAUAAAUCGAUCUGCUUUCCGUUCGUAGUAGGUUCUCCAAUGGGCAGCAGCACGAUCCACUUUAGACCACCUGAUCCUACGCUGCAUCUUGCAGUCAGCUCCGAACUUAACCCAGAAGAAUAGUUAGACGAUGGAUUUGAUAGUUGGCCUUUUUUUAGAUCAGAAUUGUAGGUGCAGGGUGGCUCGGCGAUCCUGACAAAGAUGAGAUUGAUCGGGGUCGCUAAUAAUCCCUUGUAGCACCUGCCGGGAUCCUUUGUGGUUCGCCGAGUGCACUUGAUGGCGAUGGGAUCAAGGGAAGAGAAGAAUUGAAGGAGGUGGGGUCGAGGGACAUGUUUUUCCUAUUUUAGGGGGAGAUAUCUUUCCUUUCUGUUUUUGCGUGAUUGUUUUCGUUUUUCAAUCGGCCGAAGAUUUUAUUGACAGAUCUAUUUUCUUUUUCUUUUCAUCACGGGAUUUUACAUGAAAGGAGGCUAUCUUUUUUUAGCAUGGAAGGAAGAUAUCUUUUUUAAAGGAACCGAUGGAUGCUUUGUUUGUUUGUUAAGCCAAUCUUGACGGUGUCGCGUUCCUUUAUUUUUUACGGGGCCAUAUAUGCUACCAUUGAUUGCAAUUAGUUUUUUUCUCUUGGAGAUGGAUUAUUUGUUUGUUGAACGUGUCUGCCUUAAUUAUGGAUGGACCAUCUGUGUAACGCAUGUUUACUUUUUAUCUUGGACGUUAAUUCUAUAAUCUAUCGGUGUAAUUAAUUUUGAUGAUGUGGAUUAAUGAGAAGGCCUUAAAAGGUGCCUCCAAUUAGUAAAUAUAUAAGAUAUAAGAUAUUGAUUCAUGGAAUAAGUUUAAGGAUGAAUUUAUUUCCAAGUAUUUUCCUCCCGCUAAGAUCAUCUCUCUUAGGAACGACAUUAUGAAUUUUAACCAACUUGAUCAUGAACAUGUUGCACAAUCUCCGUAGAGGAUGAAAUUGAUGAUAUGAAAUUGCCCUACACAUGGUUUGAAUAUGUGGAUGAUUAUACAAUUUUUUAUGCCGGAUUGAAUUUUGCUUCUAGAAAUCUUUUAGAUUCGGCCGUGGGAGGUACUUUUAUGGAAAUUACUUUAGGAGAAGCUACUAAACUCCUAGAUAAUAUUACGGUUAAUUAUUCUCAAUGGUAUACUGAAAGAUCUUCCACUAGUAAAAAAGUGCAUGCGAUUGAUGAGUUUAAUGUUUUGAGUGGAAAGAUGGAUGACCUUAUGAAAUUAUAUGCUAGCAAGAGUGCUUCUGUUGAUCCUAAUGAUAUGCCUUUGUCUACUUUGAUUGAGAAUAAUAAUGAAUCUAUGUAUGUGAAUUUUGUUGGUAGGAACAAUUUUGGUAAUAACGCUUAUGGAGGUAAUUUUAAUCCUAGACUGCUUCCUAAUAAUUCCCCUAAUAAUUAUGGCAAUUCCUACAACAAUUCUUCACUGGUAGAAAAAGGGCCUGUAGUCCCGGUUCGUAAGGGCCUUUAGUCCCGGUUCCUGAACCGGGACUAAAGUGUCGGUACUAAUACCUCCCACCUUUAGUCCCGGUUCAAUCCAGAACCGGGACUAAAGCCCAUCCACGUGGGCAGUGUGCAGAGCCCAGUCAGGAGACCCUUUGGUCCCGGUUGGUGGCACCAACCGGGACCAAUAGGCAUCCACGCGUCAGCAUUUCUGUGNNNNNNNNNNNNNNNNNNNNNNNNNNNNNNNNNNNNNNNNNNNNNNNNNNNNNNNNNNNNNNNNNNNNNNNNNNNNNNNNNNNNNNNNNNNNNNNNNNNNNNNNNNNNNNNNNNNNNNNNNNNNNNNNNNNNNNNNNNNNNNNNNNNNNNNNNCCGGUUCAAUCCAGAACCGGGACUAAAGCCCAUCCACGUGGGCAGUGCGCAGAGCCCAGUCAGGAGACCCUUUGGUCCCGGUUGGUGGCACCAACCGGGACCAAUAGGCAUCCACGCGUCAGCAUUUCUGUGGCUAGGGUUUUUAUUUUUAUUUUUUGAAAGGGGGGGGGGGUUGGGGGUUUUGGGGGGUUAAUUUAGGUGUUUCAUAUAUUGUGUUAGCUAGCUAUAAUUAAUAUAGAGAAGUGUCCUCUCUUAUGUCCGUGCUUGGUCGACGCUACGUACUAUACAUACGUAUAGAGAGGACUAGACACGCUGGCUAGCUAGUAAAGCAAACGAAGGAAACAGAAGAUCGUCAUGAACAUAUAUGCAUACAGAGAGAAGUGAUAUCGACCACCUCUCCUUCUCCGAGAGAUUGGUCGAACAACAAGUUCUCGUAUAUCUAUCUGACAGUACCGGCUACAUAUAUACAGUAAUUAUCUCUUACAAAUAUAAUCAUACGGACUCAGGUUUAACAUAGAAUUCUCCGUCUUCAGGGAUCACGUGGUCAAAAAAGAAUGCCGCCAAUUCCUCUUGAAUUGCUCGCAUGCGAGCUGGUGCUAGGAGUUCAUCCCGCUUCCGAAACAUCUAAUUUGAAGAAGGGGGUCAAUACAUAUAUAUAUAUAUAUGAAUGAAUGAAACUCAACACAAAUGAUGGUAAUAAAAUAAAAUUGUGAAUAUUGUUAUUUACGUACUUCAUAUUGUUCGUUAGAGUACCCGCCCCGCUCACACGUCGUGUGACGGAUGGACUCGCAGAUGUAGUAUCCACAGAAAUCAUUCCCUUGUUCCUGCCACAACCACUUUACAAGAAAUAGAGGUCAAUCAAACUGAUAAGCAAGAAUGCUAAAUGGUAUUGAUGAAACUAGCGCUUGAAUCACUAGGAGAUGCGCGGAACAUGCUACUAUAGUACUUACUUUCGGGUGUCUAAAUUCUAGCUCCUUCGGCAGUCCCGGAACUUUUUUGGUGAAUUUUCUCCAAACCAUGCCGGACAAAGAAAACAAUUACUUGAUAUCAGGAAAUGAACAAAGUUGCUGAUAUGGUGGAUAAUGAUCGAUUUAACUUACUUCUUGAGGAUUUCAGUCAUGUCUGCAUAGUCCUGCGGAUCUUUUCGUUUUGAGUCUAAGAAGGUUACUAGUCCCUGCUCAAGCUUAAUCUCUAGGAGAAUAUAGUGGAAACUGCACACGCAUGCAUAACUUAUGAAUUACAUUACUAUAACCUUGAGUAAUAUAUAAGGGAAACCGAAUACGCACAAGACAGUAGCACUCACUUGAAGUUGUAAGGAAAGAGUAUUAUAUCUUUGUUUUGAUUUAUUACGAACGAUUGUAGAAAGUUGGCCUCGGUAGCUGUGACAUGAAGUUUAACCUGAAUUGCAUCUAUGAGAUAUGUGUUAAUGAACCCAAUAUCACCGACUUGUCUUUUCUUCAAUUCGACGAUCUUCAAUCUGCAUAAUAUAGUGAGGAUGAUUAUAAAUACAUGCAAUGAAAGAGCUAAGCUAUAUAGAGAAACUUAAUGACAGAAGUAGUACUACUUACAGACAGUAGCAGGCGACCGUUGUUUUAUCGAGGGCCAAUUGAUUGAAAAACUGAUAGAACUCCUCAAAUGGAACAGGCAACAGAUCAAUUCCAACGAGGUCAUGCUCCUUUUUAACUCUCACAUACAAAGUACUCCUCCCCCAGAGUCUCUGCAGAUUUUCAAGUACCAAUCAUGCAAUCUUCGCAUCAUCGUUGAUAGAGAUCUUUCAUCUUUGACGAGAGGCUUCCCGUACUCGUAUCUUUGCAUCUGCAUGUCCAUGGGUUCAUAAUGUACUUCGUCGGGUAGGUAAUCUGCAAGAUUAUUAUAACCGGGCACCAUCCUCGGAUCAUUAGCGACUUUGUGGCUAGGCACCUUGAGCGAGGGGCAUGAUUGCUUCGCUUGUUUGCCGAGCUGGGCAAUUUGUUUCCCAGCUCGUCGUUUUUUCAGCCUUUCAUCACUGACAGUAGUUCCCGACCGCUCCGCUUCGGCAAAUUCCUUUCCAAUAAUGCGGUCAUAGUUUCCUUUCGGCGGAUCAGACUUUGGUGGUUUUGUCAGGGCAGCCAGAGUGCGCUUCACUUUCACCCCAUCUACCUUCUCCUCUGGAGGUGGAUGUUUCUUUGCUUUCACCCCUUCAAAGAAUUUCCUCACUUCUUCUCACGCGAUCUCGGCGUUCUCCUCCUGGGUCCUCUCGUAUGGUAACUUCUCUGGAGUCUUCAGAGAAGGACCGAAUCUGUAUGUCCUCCCGCCUCUGGUUGUACUGCUAGACGCCGACCGAGCAAACGAAGCGGUUGUCUUCUUUACUUGCUUAAGAGGCGGAGGAGAAGGACUACGACCCGCCGGAGCAGCUGGAGCGGCGGCAGGUCUCUUCUGCCCUUGCUGACGAGGCGGAGAAGGAGGAGGUUGGCUGCUCGGGCGCGUCGGCGCAGGCGGAGACGGAGGCGGAGUGCCGCCACGCGCCGGAGAAGGAGCCGGCCGAGGGCCCUGAUCCUCACUCGCCGGAGGAGGAGGUGGUGGAGGAGGCGGAGUGCCCUGACUCGCCGGAGGAGGAGGAGGAGGCGGAGGCGUCCAGUUCGGAAGGUUGAUGAGGUCCUUCCGCCAUAGGCAUGGAGUCUUCAGAGCAGACCCCAGCCGAGUCUCCCCUUCACCGGUAGGGUGGUCAAGCUGGAGGUCCUCAAAUCCCUCCGUUAUCUCAUCCACCAUCACCCUAGCAUAUCCUUCUGGAAUCGGCAUGCAGUGAAAAGUUGCGCCGGGUUCAGUAGGAUAAACAGAGCCAACAGCCGCCUUGACCUUCAAAUUCAUCCAUUGCGUCAUAAGGUGGCAAUUUUGAGACUCCGUUAUAGCAUCCACAGGAUAGCUGGCAGGAGCCGUCAAGGCAUGCUGCAGCUGAAGCUGCUCGGUGGAAGCCACGCUGCUUCUGCGCUGAGAUGGCGGGGUAGCUUCGGGGGAGGCUUCGGCAGUACGUUUGUUGCGAUUUGCUUCUCGUUCCUCUAUCGCUUGUACCCUUGCGUGCAGCGCCUGCAGUUCGGUCUGCUGCACUUUUUUCCUCCUCUCAUGGGAUUUGUAACCGCCUGCGUCCGGAAACCCAACCUUCCACGGAACGGAGCCUGGCGUGCCUCGUGUCCGUCCAGGGUGCUCAGGAUUCCCGAGGGCCAUUGUGAGCUCGUUGUGCUCUCUGUCUGGAAAGAACGUCCCUUCCUGCGCUGCGUCGAUAUAGUGCUUAAGCUUACUGACUGGUAUGUCCAUUUGUUCGUUCGUCCAAAUGCAGUUCCCUAUUUCAGGGUCCAAGGUUCCGCCACCCCCGAAGAACCAAGUCCGGCAACGGUCUGGCCAGUUAUUUGUCUCUGGUCCGAUCCCUUUAUGAACCAGAUCAUUCUCAACCAUGGACCACUUAGGCCGGGCUACGAGGUAGCCACCUGACCCCGUGCGAUGGUGAAGCUUCUUCUUCGCGGCAUUCUGCUUGUUUGUCGCCGACAUCUUCUUACUCUUUUCCGAUGUCUUGUAGGCCACAAAUGCGGGCCAGUGAUCUCUGAUCUUCUCAUAUCUUCCCUUGAAUUCUGGUGUCUCUUUUUUAUCGACAAACCUAUUCAGCUCUUUCUUCCACCUCCUGAAUAGAUCUGCCAUCCUCUUCAGAGAAAAAGACUUGAUUAAUUUCUCUUUAAUUGGGUUCUCUGGAUUAUCCUCUGGCGGUAGGGUGAAAUUUGACUUCAGCUCAGUCCAAAGAUCAUUUUUCUGCAUAUCAUUGACAUAAGACACCUCAGGGUCUUCUGUAGCCGGCUUAAACCAUUGCUGGAUGCUUAUCGGGAUCUUGUCCCUAACCAGAACCCCGCACUGAGCAACAAAUGCCCUCUUUGUCCGGAGGGGUUCAAUAGGUUGGCCGUCGGGCGCGAUUGCUGUGAUCUCAAGCUUUUCAUCCGAGCUCAACUUUUUCUUCGGGCCUCGUCUCUUUACCGAAGUUGUGCUCGAUCCGGAGGGCUAGAAAAAAGAACAAAGACUUAAUUAAUAUGUGUACAUACCAAAACAAUGAAUGCAUCAAUCAGCUAGUCAGCAUAGGCUUAACUAAUAUAUAUACCUGGCCGGACUCGGUUCGGUCACCGGAGCCGUCAUCACGGUCUCCUUCUUGCACCGGCAUUGGGUCACCGGCGCCGUCCUCAUGUUCUUCUUCUUGCACCGGCAUUAGGUCACCGUAGCCAGCUUGUUCACCCUCUCCUUCCGGACCAUCGAUGAUAUCGUUGAGAUAGUACGAGACGGCAUCACUUCCUUGUGCGAUUAUCUCCCUCAACAACGCUUCUUUUGUUGCUUCGUCUAGGGCGGUGUCCAUAGUUUCUACAAAUAUUUACAACAUGGCAAUUAUUAUUCAAACAUGACAGAUGGAUAUAUUAGUGCCAAACGUAGAACUACCUACCUAAUCAUAGUAAGCUAUCGGGAGGGGGUAUAUAUCGACAACGACGACACUACAUCUAUAUAUGUCCCUCGAUGACCCUCGUUCCUGAUAAAAAAAGAGGAAGAAGAAGAAAAAAAAGAGGAGAAGAAAGAAUAGAGGAGAAGAACUCCUCUAUUCUUUCUUCUCCUCUUUUUUCUUCUUCUUCCUCUUCUUUUUUUAUCCUCUUCUUCCUCUCAUGUUCGAGAGGAUCGCCUUGGGGUCGGGAGGUUGCCUAGUGUCAAAGGAUUCAACAAAACCAUGUCUUCAUCAUUAGGCGAAAGUAACAUGUGCAUGAUGGUAGGAAGCUCUUCAAAGUUGUUCUGGAACGGAGUCCCAGAUAGGAUAAUUCGCUUUUUGGUACAAAGUUCAGCAAGAGCCUUCCGAAUAUCGCUAUUUGGAAGGCCUUUGCUGAAUUCGUACCAAAAGGCGGAUUAUUCUAUCCGGGACUCCAUUCCAGAACAACUUUGCAGAACUUCAUACCAACAUGCCCUGGUUACUUCCGGCUAAUGAUGAAGGCAUGGAUUUCUUCAAUACUUUGACACUAGGAAACCUCUCUCGACCCCUCGGCGAUUCUUGACCCCUCGAACCCUCAACGACCCUGAAACCCUCGACGCUUGACCCCUUAACGACCCUCGACCCUCUACCCUAGUUCCCGACCCUCGACCAAUAGAGGAGAAGAAGAAAGGAAUAGCUAGAGGAGAAGAUCGAAGAAAAAAAAGAAGAAACAAAAGAGGAGAAGAAGAAAGGAAUAGUGGAGAAGAAGAGAAAAUAGAAUAUAUAUUCUAUUUUCUCUUCUUCUCCACUAUUCCUUUCUUCUUCUCCUCUUCUUUUUCUUCUGUUUUCUUCUUCUUAUUUAUUUCUCCUCUUCUUUUCGGUAGAGGAAACCCUAAAUAGCUAGCAAGUAUCGUGGGUGUGAGAUACAUGUGGCCUUCGGUGUCGGACACUACAUCCACGUCCCACAAGUGACGUGGGCGUCGAAACCCGCGCCACUUGUGGGAUGUGGAUGUAGUGUCCGACACCGACGGUACAUGUAUCUCACACCGACGAUACUUUCUAUUUAGGGUUUCUCCUCUACCACUCGGCGGCCCUCUCGACGACCCUCGUUCCCGAUAAUAUAAAGAGGAAGAAGAAGAAGAAAAAAGAAGAGAAGAAAGAAUAGAGGAGACGAACCCUCGAACCCUCGAACCCUAGACGACCCUCUUCUUCCUCUCAUGUUCGAGAGGAUCGCCGAGGGGUCGGGAGGUUGCCUAGUGUCAAAGGAAACCCUAAAUAGCUAGCAAGUGUCAUGGGUGUGAGAUACAUGUGGCCUUCGGUGUCGGACACUACAUCCACGUCCCACAAGUGACGUGGGCGUCGAAGCCCGCGCCACUUGUGGGAUGUGGAUGUAAUGUCCGACACCGACGGUACAUGUAUCUCACACCGACGAUACUUUCUAUUUAGGGUUUCUCCUCUACCACUCGGCGGCCCUCUCGACGACCCUCGUUCCCGAUAAAAUAAAGAGGAAGAAGAAGAAGAAAAAAGAAGAGAAGAAAGAAUAGAGGAGAAGUCUCCUCUAUUCUUUCCUCGCCUCUCUCAUGAAUGUCCGGCGUUCUCGACCCCCCCCCCUCCCCACGUGUCGAAGAAAAAAAAGAAGAAAAAAAAGAGGAGAAGAAGAAAGGAAUAGAGGAGAAAAGAGAAAAAUAGAAUAUUCNNNNNNNNNNNNNNNNNNNNNNNNNNNNNNNNNNNNNNNNNNNNNNNNNNNNNNNNNNNNNNNNNNNNNNNNNNNNNNNNNNNNNNNNNNNNNNNNNNNNNNNNNNNNNNNNNNNNNNNNNNNNNNNNNNNNNNNNNNNNNNNNNNNNNNNNNNNNNNNNNNNNNNNNNNNNNNNNNNNNNNNNNNNNNNNNNNNNNNNNNNNNNNNNNNNNNNNNNNNNNNNNNNNNNNNNNNNNNNNNNNNNNNNNNNNNNNNNNNNNNNNNNNNNNNNNNNNNNNNNNNNNNNNNNNNNNNNNNNNNNNNNNNNNNNNNNNNNNNNNNNNNNNNNNNNNNNNNNNNNNNNNNNNNNNNNNNNNNNNNNNNNNNNNNNNNNNNNNNNNNNNNNNNNNNNNNNNNNNNNNNNNNNNNNNNNNNNNNNNNNNNNNNNNNNNNNNNNNNNNNNNNNNNNNNNNNNNNNNNNNNNNNNNNNNNNNNNNNNNNNNNNNNNNNNNNNNNNNNNNNNNNNNNNNNNNNNNNNNNNNNNNNNNNNNNNNNNNNNNNNNNNNNNNNNNNNNNNNNNNNNNNNNNNNNNNNNNNNNNNNNNNNNNNNNNNNNNNNNNNNNNNNNNNNNNNNNNNNNNNNNNNNNNNNNNNNNNNNNNNNNNNNNNNNNNNNNNNNNNNNNNNNNNNNNNNNNNNNNNNNNNNNNNNNNNNNNNNNGGGACUAAAGGGGGGCAAUGGUCACGGUUGGUGCCACGAACCGUGACCAAUGCCACCUUUAGUCCCGGUUGGUGCCACCAACCGGGACCAAUGCCCUUGUGCGCCCCGCGCCCAGAAGUUUAGUCCCACAUCGCUAGCUGAAGGGCGCCGAUACUGGUUUAUAAGCGCUGCUCUGCCUCCCCUUUCGAGCUCCUCUCAAAUGCAGGCUUUCGGGCCUAAACUGCUACUGCCUGUGGGCCUAUUGGGCCUCUGCGGGCCUGAAUCCUGGCCCAUGUAGGGUUUCUAGUCGUAUUCAGGCCGUGGAGGCCCAGUAGGAGGCAUUUUUUUUGGUUUUUUCUUUUUUGUUUCUAUAUUUUUUUGGUUUUUUAUUUUUUUUAUUUCUACUUACAACUAAAUACUUACAGUUUUUUAGUGAUUUCUUUUUGCUUUUAGGUCACAAAAAUUAUAAACUUUCUAUUAGUGCCAUUAGUUUUAAAUUUUAAAUAGUUUAAAUUUGAAUUUUUAAAAAUUUGUGUGAAUCACUAGUUUAUGAAUAACUUUACUAUAAAGUUAGAAUUUGUUUUCUAUUUAUUUUUUAUUUCUACUUACAACUAAAUACUUACAGUUUUUUAGUGAUUUGUUUUUGCUUUUAGGUCACAAAAAUUAUAAACUUUCUGUUAGUGCCUUUAGUUUUAAAUUUUAAAUAGUUUAAAUUUGAAUUUUUAAAAAUUUGUGUGAAUCACUAGUUUAUGAAUUUUUUUCUUCUUUGCUAUUUAUUUUUGAUUUAUACUUACAAUUAAAUACUUAUAGUUUGCUUUUAGGUCACACAAAUUAUAUUCUUUUUGCUAUUGAAGAAUAUUAUAGUUUUAUUUUAGUUGAUCAUAACAUAAUAUUUUAAUUGAUUGUUUUUAUUUUCAUAAAAGUUUUGUAGUUCAUUCUGUUUGCUAUUAAUUCAUUCUUUGAGCUAAAUGACUCUGAAAUUGGAAAGCAUUUCAAAAUGAACUCUGAAAAGGUUGAAAGUUGGCAUGGUAUCAUCAUUUCACCCACAUAGCAUGUUCCAAAAAGUAGAGAGGGUUACGACAAAAACUUGAUGCACUUCGUGUACAAAAUGGACAAUCACUUUCGAAGUAUCAAAGUUUCAAACCAUAAGACAUGAAAGCAUUUCGAAUGAACUCUGAAAAAGUUGAAAGUUGGGAUGCAUGGUAUCAUAAUUUCACCCACAUAGCAUUUUCUUAUUGCGGGAGAAAGUCUUCACUUUUUCUUCGCUUGUGUCAUUUGCUUAUUGCGCCGUAACCAUGGAUAAUCUUCAUUGUUUUUAAGGAUGCUUGGGUCAGCCUUGACAUUGAAGGGAGGAAUUUCAUGAAACUUUUCAUAAUCUUCAGACAUGUCUGUCUUGCCGUCCACUCCCAGGAUGUCCCUUUUUCCUGAAAGAACUAUGUGGCGCUUUGGCUCAUCGUAUGAUGUAUUCGCUUCCUUAUCUUUUCUUUUUCUCGGUUUAGUAGACAUGUCCUUCACAUAGAUAACCUGUGCCACAUCAUUGGCUAGGACGAACGGUUCGUCAGUGUACCCAAGAUUUUUCAGAUCCACUGUUGUCAUUCCGUACUGUGGGUCUACUUGUACCCCACCGCCAAACAGAAUGACCCAUUUGCACUUAAACAAAGGGACCUUAAAAUCAGGUCCGUAGUCAAGUUCCCAUAUGUCCACUAUGUAACCAUAAUAUGUGUCCUUUCCUCUCUCGGUUGCUGCAUCAAAGCGGACACCGCUGUUUUGGUUGGUGCUCUUUUGAUCUUGGGCGAUCGUGUAAAAUGUAUUCCCAUUUAUCUCGUAUCCUUUGUAAGUCAAUACAGUCAAAGAUGGUCCCCUGGACAACAAGUACAACUCAUCACAAACAGUGUUGUCACCUCUGAGACGUGUUUCCAACCAACUCCUGAAAGUCCUGAUGUGUUCACAUGUAAUCCAGUCGUCGCAUUGCUCCGGGUGUUUGGAGCGCAGACUGUUCUUGUGUUCAUCGACAUACGGGGUCCCCAAGGUAGAGUUCUGUAGAACUGUGUAGUGUGCUUGAGACCAAGAAUAUCCGUCCCUGCAUAUUAUUGAGUCUCUUCCAAGAGUGCCUUUUCCAGUCAGUCUCCCCUCAUACCGCGAUUUAGGGAGACCUAUCUUGUUAAGGCCAGGAAUGAAGUCAACACAAAACCCGAUAACAUCCUCUGUUUGAUGGCCCAUGGAGAUGCUUCCUUCUGGCCUAGCGCGGUUACGGACAUAUUUCUUUAGGACUCCCAUGAACCUCUCAAAGGGGAACAUAUUGUGUAGAAAUACGGGCCCCAGGAUGACAAUCUCGUCGACUAGAUGAACUAGGACGUGCGUCAUGAUAUUGAAGAAGGAUUGUGGGAACACCAGCUCGAAACUGACAAGACAUUGCGCCACAUCACUCCUUAGCCUUGGUACCAUUUCUGGAUCGAUCACCUUCUAAGAGAUUGCAUUGAGGAAUGCACAUAGCUUCACAAUGGCUAAUCGGACGUUUUCCGGUAAAAGCCCCCUCAAUGCAACCAGAAGCAGUUGCGUCAUAAUCACGUGGCAGUCAUGAGACUUUAGGUUCUGAAACUUUUUCUCUGGCAUAUUUAUUAUUCCCUUUAUAUUCGAUGAGAAGCCAGUCAUGACCUUCAUACUAAGCAGGCAUUCAAAGAAGAUUUCUUUCUCUUCUUUCGUAAGAGUGUAGCUGGCAGGACCUUUAUACUGCUUCGGAGGCAUGUCAUCUUUUUUGUGCAAACGUUGCAGGUCCUCCCAUGCCUCCGGCGUAUCUUUUGUCUUCCCAUACACGCCCAAGAAGCCUAGCAGGUUCACGCAAAGGUUCUUCGUCACGUGCAUCACGUUGAUUGAGGAGCGGACCUCUAGGUCUUUCCAGUAGGGUAGGUCCCAAAAUAUAGAUUUCUUCUUCCACAUGGGUGUGUGUCCCUCAGCGUCAUUCGGAACAGCUAGUCCACCGGGACCCUUUCCAAAGAUGACGUAGGGUAAAUCAUUGACCAUAGCAAGCACGUGAUCACCGGUGCGCAUGGCGGGCUUCUUUCGGUGAUCUGCCUCGCCUUUGAAAUGCUUGCCUUUCUUUCGACAUUGAUGGUUGGUCGGAAGAAAUCGACGAUGGCCCAGGUGCACAUUCUUCCUGCAUUUGUCCAGGUAUAUACUUUCAGUGUCAUCUAAACAGUGCGUGCAUGCGUGGUAUCCUUUGUUUGUCUGUCCUGAAAGGUUACUGAGAGCGGGCCAAUCGUUGAUGGUCACGAACAGCAACGCCUUAAGGUUAAAUUCCUCCUGUCUGUGCUCAUCCCACGUACGUACACCAUUUUCAUUCCACAGCUGUAAAAGUUCUUCAACUAAUGGACUUAGGUACACAUCAAUUUCGUUGCCGGGUUGCUUAGGGCCUUGGAUGAGAACUGGCAUCAUAAUGAACUUCCGCUUCAUGCACAUCCAAGGAGGAAGGUUAUACAUACAUAGAGUCGCGGGCCAGGUGCUGUGAUUACUGCUCUGCUCCCCGAAAGGAUUAAUGCCAUCCGCGCUUAAAGCAAACCAUACAUUCCUAGGGUCCUUUGCAAACUCAUCCCAGUACUUUCUCUCGAUUUUUCUCCACUGCGACCCGUCAGCGGGUGCUCUCAACUUCCCAUCUUUCUUUCGUUUCUCACUGUGCCAUCGCAUCAACUUGGCAUGCUCUUCGUUUCUGAACAGACGUUUCAACCGUGGUAUUAUAGGAGCAUACCACAUCACCUUUGCAGGGACCCUCUUCCUGAGGGGCUCGCCGUCAACAUCACCGGGGUCAUCUCGUCUGAUCUUAUACCGCAACGCACCGCAUACCGGGCAUGCGUUCAGAUCCUUGUAUGCACCGCGGUAGAGGAUGCAGUCAUUAGGGCAUGCAUGUAUCUUCUCCACCUCCAAUCCUAGAGGGCAUACGACCUUCUUUGCUGCGUAUGUACUGUCGGGCAAUUCGUUAUCCUUUGGAAGCUUCUUCUUCAAUAUUUUCAGUAGCUUCUCAAAUCCUUUGUCAGCCACAGCAUUCUCUGCCUUCCACUGCAGCAAUUCUAGUACGGUACUGAGCUUUGUGUUGCCAUCUUCGCAAUUGGGGUAUAACCCUUUUUUGUGAUCCUCUAACAUGCGAUCGAACUUCAGCUUCUCCUUUUGACUAAUGCAUUGCGUCCUUGCAUCGACAAUGACCCGGCGGAGAUCAUCAUCAUCGGGCACAUCGUCUGGUUCCUCUUGAUCUUCAGCAGCUUCACCUGUGGCAGCAUCAUUGGGCACAUCAUCAUCUGGUUCCUCUUGAUCUUCACCAGCUCCCCCCGUUGCAGCAUCACCGUAUUCAGGGGGCACAUAGUUGUCAUCGUACUCUUCUUCUUCGCCGUCUUCCAUCAUAACCCCUAUUUCUCCGUGCCUCGUCCAAACAUUAUAGUGUGGCAUGAAACCCUUGUAAAGCAGGUGGGAGUGAAGGAUUUUCCGGUUAGAGUAAGACCUCGUAUUCCCACAUUCAGUGCAUGGACAACACAUAAAACCAUUCUGCUUGUUUUCCUCAGCCGCAUCGAGAAACUCAUGCACACCCUUAAUGUACUCGCGGGUGUGUCUGUCACCGUACAUCCAUUGCCGGUUCAUCUGCGUGCAUUAUAUAUAAUUAAGUGUCCAAAUUAAUAGAAGUUCAUCAUCACAUUAAAACCAAAGUGCAUACAUAGUUCUCAUCUAACAACAUAUAGCUCUCCAGAGCAUCUAAUUAAUUAAACCAUACAUUGAAACUAUGUAAAACAUUUCAAUGCGAAAACAAAUGCGAUCAUAAUCGCAACCAAGGUAACAAUUGAUCCAACGGCAUAAUGAUACCAAGCCUCGGUAUGAAUGGCAUAUUUUCUAAUCUUUCUAAUCUUCAAGCGCAUUGCAUCCAUCUUGAUCUUGUGAUCAUCGACGACAUCCGCAACAUGCAACUCCAAUAUCAUCUUCUCCUCCUCAAUUUUUUUUAUUUUUUCCUUCAACAAAUUGUUUUCUUCUUCAACUAAAUUUAACCUCUCGACAAUAGGGUCGGUUGGCAUUUCCGAUUCACAUACAUCCUAGAUAAAUAAAAUCUAUGUCACGUUGGUCAGCAUAAUUUUCAUAAACAAUAAAUGAACCAAUAGUUAUAAAGAUAAUAUACAUACCACAUCCGAAUCAUAGACAGGACGAGGGCCGACGGGGGCGGAUACCAAAACCAUCGCACUAUAUAAGAUGCAAUAAUAAAUGUAAGAAAAUGAUACAAGUAUCUAUCUAAACAUACAAGUAAGAAUAUUUUUCCUUUCAGAAAGAAGAUAAGAACAAGAGGCUCACCACGGUGGUGUCGGUGAUGAGAUCGGCGCGGGUGAUCGACGGCAGUGAAGACGGGGACGGGGCGUGACGGACCGCUAAAUCUAGACAAAUCUCGAGGAAAAUGGAGCUUGGAGGUCGAGCUUCGAGAGGAGAAAGCUUAAGUAGUGUGGCUCGGGCAUUCCAUCGAACACCUCAUGUGCAUAGGAGGUGAGCUAGAGCACCACAAAGCCCUCUCCCCCUCGGCCAGAGAAAACAGAGCACUGGGGUGCUCUGCUCACGAGCGAGGGGUAUAUAUAGGCACCUCAUUGGUCCCGGUUGGUGGCAUGAGCCGGGACUAAAGGGAAGCCUUUGGUCCCGGUUCGGGCCACCAACCGGGACCAAUGAUGGUGGGCCAGGAGGGAGGCCCAUUGGUCCCGGUUCGUCCCACCAACCGGGACCAAAAGGUCCAUACGAACCAGGACCAAUGGCCCACGUGGCCCGGCCGGCCCCCUGGGCUCACGAACCGGGACCAAUUCCCACAUUGGUCCCGGUUCAAGACUGAACCGGGACUAAUGGGCUGAGGCGGCCUGGACCAUAGCCCCUUUUUCUACUAGUGCUUAUGGAAAUUAUAAUAAGAUGCCCUCUAAUUUUGAGAAUAGUGUUAAAUAAUUUAUGAGUUCGCAAAAGAAUUUCAAUGCUUUGAUUGAAGAAAAAUUGCUUAAGAUUGGUGAUUUGGCUAGGAACGUGGAUAGAACUACCCUUGAUGUCGAUUCUUUGAAACUUAGAUCUAUUUCACAUAAGCAUGAUAUCAAUGAGUCUCUCAAGGCUAUGAGAAUUCCCAUUGAUGAGUGCAAGGAAAGAACCGCUAAGAUGCGUGCUAAAAAAGAUUGGUUUAUAAAAGCGUGUUCUUCUAGCUAGUUUCCGUGAAAAUAAUGAUGAAGAUCUUAAAGUGAUUGAUGUGACUCCUAUUGAAUUUUUGUUUUCCAAUAUAAAUCUUGAGAAAGAUGGGACUGGAUAUGAGUCAACUUUAGUUAGAAGGCGUCCCAAUGAUUCGGAGUUUUUAGAUAUUAAUGCAAAAAUUGAUAAAAGUGGGAUUGGAGAGGUUAAAACUUUAGGUAGUAAUGAACCCACUCUUUUGGAUUUCAAGGAAUUUAAUUAUAAUAAUUUCUCUUUAAUAGAUUGUAUUUCCUUGUUGCAAUCCAUGUUGAAUUUUCCUCAUGCUUAUAAUCAAAACAAAGCUUUUACUAAACAUAUCAUUGAUGCUAUGAUGCAAUCCUUUGAAGAAAAGCUUGAAUUGGAAGUUUCUAUUCCUACACUAGUAGACAAAGGGUCAAACAUGAAGCACAUUAGUGCCGGUUUGAAUUUGAGCCGGCACUAAUGUGUGCAUUAGUGCCGGUUCCAACGGCUAGCCGGCCGCUCUCAUUAGUACCGGUUCAUGGCGAACCUUUAGCACCGGUUCGUGCCACGAACCGGUACUAAAGUGAGUGGUGGCAGGAUGUUGUCACUCCGGGGCCCCUCCAGCACCUUUAGUACCGGGUCGUAUCACGAACCGGUCCUAAAGGCCGUCCUACAUAGACCCUUCGUCCACCCGAGCUCGCUCUGUUCUUCCCCUUUCCCCUCUCCUCUUUGUACUUUUCCCUCUUCCUCUCAAUCUCAUCACACAUUUUGCCCAAAAUUUGUCAAGAUUUGAAGGCCCCCAUCCAUUCAAAUGAUCACAAAGGUUAGCAACUUUUUCCUUUCAUCUCUCAUUGCUAGAUUAGCUCGUGCAAUGCUUUAUAUAGUGAUUGAUUUUUGAGUUUAGUAAUUUGGGAGGAAUUAUAUAUAUGUGCUAGUAUUUGAUUUAUAUGCAAUUUUAGGUCAAAAAUAACACUUAGUUUGCAUAUGUAGGUGUGGUUUACGUAGUACCUUCUAAAUCUCCGUCGUAACCACCGUCGAUCGCUCGCAACGUCCCGUCACCAGCACCACCUUUUGGUGAGCCUCUUGUUCAUGAAGUUUUAUAUAAAAAAUUGAUGUUUGUGUGAUUUGGAUAUAUAGUUACUCGUAUAAUUAUCUUACCCAUACGUUGUUUGUUAUACAUAGUGCCAUGGUUUUGAUAUCCGUCCCCGUUGGCCCUCGUCCGGGUUAUGAUUCGGAUGUGGUAUAUUCUAUUUUAAAACUAUUCAUUGCAUUUCGUGUUUAUGACAAAUUAUGCCCAUCAAGUUGACAUAGAUAUUUGUAUGUAGGAGGUAGUUGAAACGGAAAUUCCAACCGACCCUAUUGUCGAGAGGUUAAAUUUAGUUGAAAGAGAAAACGAGGAUUUGAAGGAAAAAUUGAAAAGAAUUGAGGGGGAGAAGAUGGAAUUGGAGUUGCAUGUUGCCGAUGUCGUCGAUGAUCACAAGAUUAAGAUGGAGAAAAUGCGCUUGAAGAUUAGAAAGAUUAGAAAAUAUGCCAUUCAUAGUGAGGCUUGGUAGCAUUAUGCUGUUGGAUCAAUUGUUACCUUAGUUGCGAUCUUGAUCGCAUUUGUUGUUGCAUUUAAAUUCUUUAGCUAGGGACUUAUUUGUUUGUUGCAUUUAAGUGUUGUAUGAUCUUUAUGUAUGAACCUUAUGUAUUGUAUUAAUUUGAUGUUUUCGGUGUUGUGUAUUGAAGAUGAGCCGGCAAUGGAUGUACGAUGACUGAUGCUCUCCCAAGUUCAUUAAUGGCGUGCGUACUUUUCUGCUUGCGGCUGAGGCAAACAAGCGAGCGGAUGGUUGUAUGCCUUGUCCAUGUGCUGGCUGUAAGAAUGGUCACAGUUACUCUACGUCAAGAACCAUUCACGUCCACCUGUUUGAGUCUGGUUUCAUGCCCCACUAUAAUGUUUGGACCAAGCAUGGAGAAAGAGGGGUUAUGAUGGAAGACAAUGAAGAAGAAGAGGACGACGAAAGCUAUCCUGGCCAUGGGUUCCCUGAAUACGGUGAUACAACAAUGAGGGAAGAAGCUGAGCCGGUAAUGCGGGAAGAAGCUGAGCCGGCAAUGCGGGAAGAAGCUGAACAAGAGGCACGGAUGAGCCCGUUGAUGAUCUAGGUCGGGCCAUUGCCGAUGCAAAGAGAAACCGCGCUAGUGAUUUGGAGAAGAAGAAGUUGCAGCGCAUGUUAGAGGAUCACAAAAAUUGUUGUACCCGAAUUGCGUAGGUGACAAGAAAAAGCUAGGCACCACACUGGAAUUGCUGCAAUGGAAGGCAAAGAAUGGUGUAUCUGACAUGGGAUUUGGAAAGUUGCUGGUAAUGAUAAAGGAUAUGCUUCCAAAGGACAACAAAUUGCUCGAGAGUACGUACGAAGCAAAGAAGAUUGUCUGCCCUCUAGGGUUAGAGGUGCAGAUGAUACAUGCAUGCCCUAAUGAUUGCAUCCCCUACCACGGUGAGUAUGAGGAUUUGAAAGCUUGCCCGGUAUGAGGUGCAUUGCGCUAUAAGAUCAGCCACGAUGACCAUGGUGAUGUCGAGGGCGAGCGCCCCAGGAAGAAGAUACCUGCCAAGGUGAUGUGGUAUGCUCCUAUAAUACCAUGGCUGAAACGUUUGUUCCAAAACAAUGAGCAUGCCAAGGCGAUGUGAUGGCACAGAGAAGACCGUAAGAAAGACGGAAAGUUGAGAGUACCCGCUGACGGGUCGCAGUGGAGAAAAAUCGAAAGAAAGUACGGGAAGGAGUUUGCAGAUGACGCAAGGAACGUAUGGUUUGGUCUAAGCGCAGAUGGCAUUAAUCCUUUUGGGGAGCAGAGCAGCAACCAUAGCACCUGGCCUGUGACUCUAUGUUUGUAUAACCUUCCUCCUUGGUUGUGCAUGAAGCGGAAGUUCAUUAUGAUGCCAGUGCUCAUCCAAGGCCCUAAGUGUCAGGACCCCGAUUCCAAGUCACAUCGUUCUAGCCGGUAACACCUCAUAUCACUUUGCGGCCUCAUGCACGGUAUCCCACAGGUGUCGCCUUACCAUGGCCCGGGACCGUUUGCGCCUUUUGGCUCACGUAUAUGAUAGUGUCGCUAGCAUCCAUAUGACAGAGAACCCGGGCCGACAUGGCUAGUCGUGAACCCAAAGCGGCACAGACCUAUGGAGACAGGCAUACAUGAAUCACAUCAAGCAUGUCAGUCAUCAGUGAGUGAAUCCGGGCUGUAGCACUGGGCUAACAGGACUCCGGGGAACCCGGGCUGUAGCAGGCUAGGCAGGACUCCGGAUGUCACCGCGUGACAUUUCCCCGAAGGGACAGACAUAGGAACGACGUGAAACACAUGCCGGCCAGUCAAGUGUCCUGAGCAGUAGUGCUGGGCUAGCAGGACUCCGGUGAACCGGGCUGUAGCGGACUACUAUGGCUCGAGGAACACUAGACUACGUUUCCCCAUAAGAAAGGCUGCCAAGGAUAAACAACUAGAUUGUCGGAUCCCACUCAUACCAAGCAUUUCAAUCAUACACACAAUAUGCCCGAUAUGAGUACAUACAACAUGGCAUCACAAGAAAACUCUACAACUCAAAUACUUUAUUUAAAGGCUCCAGAGAGCCAUACAUAACAUGUUCAUACAGAUAGGGGUCACAUGACCCGACACUCAAGUCAUACAAUCAUACAAGCACAAGCGGAAGCAACUAGUCUGAGUACAGACACUAGAAAGAAAGAAGGCUUCUCGAAGCCUGUCUAUCUACAUAGGUCUCUCCAUGGCCAGGAUCACCACCUGGGUGGCUAGUCACUCGUCGACGUCAAGGUCUACGUAGAACCCAUCGGAGGGGCGGUGUUGUCAUCUGAAAACCGUAAUUAAGCAAACAUGAGUACAAAGGUACUCAGCAAGUCUUACAACAUAACCUACUAUAAAUGCUCAUUCUCAAGAAGGUGGUGGGGUUAUUGCAGCAAGCCAGCUUUGACUCUUGGCUAAGCUAUCCUACGGAACUCCACUAGUAAAAUAGUUUUCGCACACGAGUCCACUACUCACCAACAUAAUACUCCACCGGGGAUCCUCUCUCGUCAUCCUACGAGAGGGCCAUCCUCGGUACUCACACUUAUCUUGAGUCUUUUAGUAAUAACCAUUAACUUGUCUAUGAACUGUAUAGGCAACCAGGUAGUCCUUUACCGCGGACGCGGCUAUUCGAAUAGUUUUAUACCCUGCAGGGGUGUACUUCCUCAUACACGCUUUCACCACUUACCGCCGUUUACACGACAUGUACUCGGCAACCUUCAAGCCUUGGCCCAACGAGGGUGUCGGCCACGGCCUACCUAAACACUCAAAUCUCUAGUCCAGGUGCAUCGCCUAUCCAAGUUCCAUCCGCAGGGAGUCCGGCCGAGGUUUCCACAUACGGCCCCGAACGAUGUGAACAGGGUUCCCGAGACACCAAACAGGUGACUCGGUACACCGUGCCACGGUGUAUCUACCGCAACAUAGCCCACCCCUAGGGUCAGUGCUACGCACGGCCGCCAACACAUAACCUACAAACACCAGAAACUAUUUGCAACUCCUGGACAGAGUACUAGGGUAUUUAAGAAGCCGAGAGGGUCAAUUAAGGAUCCCAAUGCAUGGUAGUAGCUGAAUCUUAAAAUCACACAUACAGAUCUCAGUUCUUAGGGACGGCCUCAAUAAAACAACCCACCAUGUACUCCUACAUGGCCUCUCAUCGAUACCUUUACCAAAUCAUGUUCAUCACAUCCCUCACAUUACCGAUAUAACCAUUUCACUCUAGCCCAUCACCCAGAUGGACCAGACCUGACACAACUCUAAGCAUAGCAGGCAUAGCAAGGUAGGAAACACAUACCUGGCUCAAUCAACUCCUACACAUGCUAGUGGGUUUCAUCUAGUUACUGUGGCAAUGACAGGUCAUGCAGAGGAAAAGGGUUCAACUACCGUAGCACACAACAAUUUGAAUCGCGUUGUCUUAAUGCAGUAAACAAGAGCAGAAGCGAGAACAUGGGUUUGUAUCAGAAUGAUCAAUGGUUGUUUGCCUGUUGUAGUGGUAGUAGGGUACUGCCCUUCAGACGGAUACUCGGGGUUAUCCUCGGAGGCAGAACCUACCACGAAAGAUACACCGAACAUAAUCAACACAUGACAAUAUGCAACGGUAUGAUGCAUGCUAUGACAUGGCAAAAUGAAUGUGUCUUGGCCUAAUGCAAGCUGAAACAGGAUGGAAUGAACUCAUUUGAAUCAAAGAUUCAAAUGUUAGCUCAUUUAACAUGGCCUUAUUAGUGCAUUAUCUUAUUCUGCUUAAAUAGCAAGGUUAACUUGUUUUGUCAUGCAUGAAACCAUUACAGAUGGACAGAUUGAAUUUUUUUGAUCAUUUUUCAUAUAUAAAUCUUUGCAUUUGGAGCUAUGGUUGAUUUUCUAAGAUUUUUAGAAGUUUUGGCUAUUUACUGGAAUUUCCUAUUAAAGAAUAAAUCCAGUAAUUGAAUUAAUGCGUCAGCAUGACAUAGGUGUGAUGUCAGCGGGUCAACUGGGUUGGCCAGGUCAAACCUGACUGGCGGGCCCUGUCUGUCAGUGACUCAGCUAAUUAACAGAGUUAAAUUAACUCUAAUUAACUAAAAGUGGGGCCUGGGCCCACAUGUCAGUGACUGAACUAAUUAAAUUUAGUUAAAACAAAUCCUAAACUAAUCAGCAGGCCGGCCCCACCUGUCAUAGACUAACCUGGGCCCACACGGGGGUCAAACAGGGUAAACUCGCCGGCGUCUAGCCGCCGGCGAGGCCAGACGCGGCGGAGCAGUGCGGGAUUUGCACUCUGGCGACCAAAUGGGCGGCGGAGACUAUCUACGUGAUGCGGGGAGGAAGCCGCCUUUGGAAAUAUGCCCUAGAGGCAAUAAUAAAUUGAUUAUUACUAUAUUUCCUUGUUCAUGAUAAUCGUUUAUUAUCCAUGCUAGAAUUGUAUUGAUAGGAAACUCAGAUACAUGUGUGGAUACAUAGACAACACCAUGUCCCUAGUAAGCCUCUAGUUGACUAGCUCGUUGAUCAAUAGAUGGUUACAGUUUCCUGACCAUGGACAUUGGAUGUCAUUGAUAACGGGAUCACAUCAUUAGGAGAAUGAUGUGAUGGACAAGAACCAAUCCUAAGCCUAGCACAAGAUCAUGUAGUUCGUAUGCUAAAGCUUUUCUAAUGUCAAGUAUCAUUUCCUUAGACCAUGAGAUUGUGCAACUCCCGGAUACCGUGGGAGUGCUUUGAGUGUGCGAAACGUCACAACGUAACUGGGUGGCUAUAAAGGUACACUACAGGUAUCUCCAAAAGUGUCUAUUGGGUUGGCACGAAUCGAGACUGGGAUUUGUCACUCCGUGUAAACGGAGAGGUAUCUCUGGGCCCACUCGGUAGGACAUCAUCAUAAUGUGCACAAUGUGACCAAGGAGUUGAUCACGGGAUGAUGUGUUACGGAACGAGUAAAGAGACUUGCCGGUAACAAGAUUGAACAAGGUAUCGGCAUACCGACGAUCGAAUCUCGGGCAAGUAUCGUACCGAUGGACAAAGGGAAUUGCAUACGGGGUUGAUUAAGUCCUUGACAUCGUGGUUCAUCCGAUGAGAUCAUCGUGGAACAUGUGGGAGCCAACAUGGGUAUCCAGAUCCCGCUGUUGGUUAUUGAUCGGAGAGUCAUCUCGGUCAUGUCUGCAUGUCUCCUGAACCCGUAGGGUCUACACACUUAAGGUUCGAUGACGCUAGGGUUAUAAAGGAAGUUUGUAUGUGGUUACCGAAUGUUGUUCGGAGUCCCGGAUGAGAUCCCGAACGUCAUGAAGAGUUCCGGAAUGGUCCGGAGGUAAAGAUUUAUAUAUGGGAAGUCCUGUUUUGGUCACCGGAAAAGUUUCGGGUUUUAUCGGUAACGUACCGGGACCACCGGGAGGGUCCCGGGGGUCCACCAAGUGGGGCCACAAGCCCCGGAGGGCUGCAUGGGCCAAGUGUGGGAGGGGACCAGCCCCAGGUGGGCUGGUGCGGCCCCCCACCAAGGCCCAAGGCGCAAGGAAGAGGGGAAGGGGGCAAACCCUAGGGCAGAUGGGCCCUAAGGCCCACCCUGGUGCGCCUCCCCCUCUCCCCUCCCCUUGGCCGCCCCUAGAUGGGAUCUAGGGGGCUGCCGCCACCCCUAGGGAGGGAACCCUAGGUGGGGGCGCAACCCAUCCCCUCCCCCUAUAUAUAGUUGAGGUUUGGGCUGCCCAAUACACAUGAGUUCCUCUCUUUCUUGGCACAGCCCUAUCCCUCUCUUUCUCCUCAUAUCUCGCAGUGCUUGGUGAAGCCCUGCUGGAUCACCAUGCUCCGCCAUCACUACCACGCCGUUGUGCUGCUGUUGGAUGGAGUCUUCCUCAACCUCUCCCUCUCUCCUUGCUGGAUCAAGGCAUGGGAGACAUCGUCGGGCUGUACGUGUGUUGAACGCGGAGGUGCCGUCCGUUCGGCACUAGGAUCUCCGGUGAUUUGGAUCACAACGAGUACGACUCCUUCAACCCCGUUCUCUUGAACGCUUCCACUUAGCGAUCUACAAGGGUAUGUAGAUGCACUCUCCUUCCCCUCGUUGCUGGUUUCUCCAUAGAUAGAUCUUGGUGACACGUAGGAAACUUUUGAAUUUCUGCUACGUUCCCCAAUAGUGGCAUCAUGAGCUAGGUCUAUUGCGUAGAUUCUAUGCACGAGUAGAACACAAAGUAGUUGUGGGCGUUGAUUUUGUUCAAUAUGCUUACCGUUACUAGUCCAAUCUUGUUUCGACGGUAUUGUGGGAUGAAGCGGCCCGGACCGACCUUACACGUACUCUUACGUGAGACAGGUUCCACCGACUGACAUGCACUAGUUGCAUAAGGUGACUAGCGGGUGCCAGUCUCUCCCACUUUAGUCAGAACGGAUUCGAUGAAAAGGGUCGUUAUGAAGGGUAAAUAGCAAUUGGCAUAUCACGUUGUAUUUUUGCGUAGGUAAGAAACGUUCUUGCUAGAAACCCAUAGCAGCCACGUAAAACAUGCAAACAACAAUUAGAGGACGUCUAACUUGUUUUUGCAGGGUAUGCUAUGUGAUGUGAUAUGGCCAAGAAGAAUGUGAUGAAUGAUAUGUGAUGUAUGAGAUUGACCAUGUUCUUGUAAUAGGAAUCAUGACUUGCAUGUCGAUGAGUAUGACAACCGGCAGGAGCCAUAGGAGUUGUCUUUAUUUAUUGUAUGACCUACGUGUCAUUGAACAACGCCAUGUAAUUACUUUACUUUAUUGCUAACUGGUAGCCAUAGUGGUAGAAGUAAUAAGUUGGCGAGACAACUUCAUGGAGACACAAUGAUGGAGAUCAUGGUGUCAUGCCGGUGACGAUGAUGAUCAUGGAGCCCCGAAGAUGGAGAUCAAAAGGAGCAAUAUGAUAUUGGCCAUAUCAUGUCACUAUUUGAUUGCAUGUGAUGUUUAUAAUGUUUAUACAUCUUAUUUGCUUAGAAUGACGGUAGUAAAUAAGAUGAUCCCUCAUUAAAAUUUCAAGAAAGUGUUCCCCCUAACUGUGCACCGUUGCGAAAGUUCGUCCUUUUGAAGCACCACGUGAUGAUCGGGUGUGAUAGAUUCUUACGUUCGAAUACAACGGGUGUUGACGAGCCUAGCAUGUACAGACAUGGCCUCGGAACACAUGCAAAACACUUAGGUUGACUUGACGAGCCUAGCAUGUACAGACAUGGCCUCGGAACACAAGAGACCGAAAGGUCGAGCAUGAGUCGUAUGGUAGAUACGAUCAACAUGAAGAUGUUCACCGAUGUUGACUAGUCCGUCUCACGUGAUGAUCGGACACGGCCUAGUUGACUCGGAUCAUGUAAUCACUUAGAUGACUAGAGGGAUGUCUAUCUGAGUGGGAGUUCAUAAGAUGAACUUAAUUAUCCUGAACAUAGUCAAAAGGACUUUGCAAAUUAUGUCGUAGCUCACGCUAUAGUUCUACUGUUUAGAUAUGUUCCUAGAGAAAAUUUAGUUGAAAGUUGAUAGUAGCAAUUAUGCGGACUAGGUCCGUAAACUGAGGAUUGUCCUCAUUGCUUCAUAGAAGGUUUAUGUCCUUAAUGCACCGCUCAGUGUGCUGAACCUCGAACGUCGUCUGUGGAUGUUGCGAACAUCUGACAUACACAUUUUGAUAACUACGUGAUAGUUCAGUUAAACGGUUUAGAGUUGAGGCACCGAAGACGUUUUGAAACGUCACGAAACAUAUGAGAUGUUUCGAGGGCUGAAAUUGGGAUUUCAGGAUCGUGCCCACAUCAAGAGGUAUAAGACCUCCGACGAUUUUUCUUAGCCUGCAAACUAAGGGAGAAAAGCUCAACUGUUGAGCUUGUGCUCAGAUUGUCUGAGUACAACAAUCAUUUGAAUCGAGUGGGAGUUGAUCUUCCAGAUGAGAUAGUGAUGUUUCUCCGAAGUCAUUACCACCAAGCUGCUAGAGCUUCGUGAUGAACUAUAAUAUAUCAGGGACAUAUAUGAUGAUCCUUGAGAUAUUCGCGAUGUUUGACACCACAAAAGUAGAAAUCAAGAAGGAGCAUCAAUUGUUGAUGGUUGGUGAAACCACUAGUUUCAAGAAGGGCAAGGGCAAGAAGGGAUACUUCAUGAAAUGGCAAUUCAGCUGCUGCUCUAGUGAAGAAACCCAAGGUUGAACCCAAACCCGAGACUAAGUGCUUCUGUAAUAAGGGAAACAACCACUGGAGCAGAAUUACCCUAGAUACUUGGUAGAUGAGAAGGCUGGCAAAGUCGAUAGAAGUAUAUUGGAUAUACAUUGUGUUAAUGUGUACUUUACUAGUACUCCUAGUAGCACCAUGGUAUUAGAUACCGGUUCGGAUGCUAAAUGUUAGUAAACUCGAAAUAAAAGGCUGCAGAGUAAACGGAGACUAGCCAAAGGUGAGCUGGCAAAAUGUGUUGGAAGUUUUUCCAAGCUUGAUGUCAUCAAGCAUCGCACGCUCCCUCUACCAUCGAGAUCGGUGUUUGCGUUGAGCAUAGACAUGAUUGGAUUAUGUCUAUCGCAAUACGGUUAUUCAUUUAAGGAGAAUAAUGGUUACUCUGUUUAUUUGAAUAAUACCUUCAAUGGUCUUGCACCUAAAAUGAAUGGUUUAUUGAAUCUCGAUCGUAGUGAUACACAUGUUCAUGCCAGAAGAUAUAAGAUAGUAAUGAUAGUACCACCUACUUGUGGCACUGCCAUGUAAGUCAUAUCGGUAUAAAACGCAUGAAGAAGCUCCAUGUUGAUGGAUCUUUGGGCUCACUCGUUUUUGAAAAGUUUGAGACAUGCGAACCAUGUCUAUUGGUGUAUAUGCAUGAAGAAACUCCAUGCAAAUGGACCGUUUGGACUCACUCGAUUUUGAAUCACUUGAGACAUGCAAAUCAUACCACAUGGGCAAGAUGACUGAAAGCCUCGUUUUCAGUAAAAUGGAACUAGAAAGAAACUUGUUGGAAGUAAUACAUUUUGAUGUGUGCAGUCCAAUGAGUGCUGAGGCAUGUAGUGGAUUUCAUUAUGUUCUUACUUCACAGAUGAUUUGAGUAGAUACUGAGUAUAUUUACUUGAUGAAACAUAAGUCUGAAUUAUUGAAAGGUUCAAGUAAUUUCAGAGUGAAGUUGAACAUCGUCGUGACAAGAGGAUAAAAUGUCUAUGAUAUGAUCGUAGAGAUGAAUAUCUGAAUUACGAGUUUGGCACAAAAUUAAGACAUUAUGGAAAUUGUUUCACAACUAAUACAGUCUGGAACACCACAGUGUGAUGGUGUGUCCGAAUAUCAUAACUGCACCCUAUUGGAUAUGAUGCAUACCAUGAUGUCUCUUAUCAAAUUACCACGAUAGUUUAUGGGUUAGGCAUUAGAGACAACCACAUUCACUUUAAAUAGGGCACCACGUAAUUCCGAUGAGAUGACACCGUAUGAACUAUGGUUUAGAGAAACCUAAGCUGUCAUUUCUUAAAAGUUUGGGGCUGCGACGCUUAUGUGAAAAAGUUUUAGGCUGAUAAGCUCGAACCCAAAGCGGAUAAAUGCAUCUUCAUAGGACACCCAAAAUAGUUGGGUAUACCUCCUGUCUCAGAUCCGAAAGCAAUAAGGGAUUGUUUCUAGAAUCGAGUCCUUUCUCGAGGAAAGGUUUCUCUCGAAAGAAUUGAGUGUGAUGAUGGUGGAGAUUUGAUGAGGUUAUUGAACUGUCUCUUCAACUAGUGUGUGGCAGGGCACAGGGAGUUGUUCCUGUGGCACCUACACCAAUUGAAGUGGAAGCUUAUGAUAGUGAUCAUGAAACUUCAGAUCAAGUCACUACCAAACCUCGUGGGAUGACAAGGAUGCGUACUACUUCAGAGUGGUACGUAAUCCUAUCUUGGAAGUCAUGUUGCUAGACAACAAUGAACCUACAAGCUAUGGAGAAGCAAUGGUGGGCCUGGAUUCCAAAAUGGCUCGAAGCCAUAUAAUCCGAGAGAGGAUCCAUCUAUGAAAACAAAGUGUAGACUUUGGAAGAACUACUUGAUGGUCGUAAGGCUGUUAGGUACAUAGGGAUUUUAAAAGGAAGACGGACAAUGAUAGUAAGUAUCACCAUUAAGAAAGCUUGACUUGUCGUUAAGAUGUUUUCCGACAAGUUCAAGGAGUUGACUACGAUGAGACUUUCUCACUCGUAGCGAUGCUAAGAGUCUGUUGGAAUUAUAUUAGCGAUUACUGCAUUAUUUAUGAAAUCUUGCAGAUAGGAUAUCAAAACAUUGUUUCCUCGAUGUUUUUUUGAGGAAAGGUUGUAUGUGAUACAACCAGAAGGUUUUGUCAAUCCUGAAAGAUGCUAACAAGUAUGCAAAGCUCCAGCAAUCCUUCUAAGGACUGGAGUAAGCAUCUCGGAGUUGGAAUGUAUGCUUUGAUGAGAUGAUCAAAGUUUUGGGUGUAUACAAAGUUUAUGAGAAACUUGUAUUUCCAAAGAAGUGAGUGGGAGCACUAUAGAAUUUCUGAUGAGUAUAUGUUGUUAACAUAUUGUUGAUCGGAAAUGAUGUAGAAUUUCUGGAAAGCAUGCAGAGUUAUUUGAAAAGUGUUUUUCAAUGGAAAGCCUGGAUUAAGCUACUUGAACAUUGAGCAUGAAGAUCUAUAAGGAUAGAUCAAAACGCUUAAUGGUAAUUUCAAAUGAGCACAUACCUUGACAUGAUCUUGAAGGUGUUCAAGAUGGAUCAGUCAAAGAAGGAGUUCUUGCCUGAGUUGUAAGGUAUGAAGUUAAGACUUAAAGCUCGACCACGGAAGAAGAAAGAGGAAGGACGAAGGUCGUCCCCUAUGCUUUUGUCAUAGGCUCUCUACAGUAUGCUAUGUUGUGUGCCGCACUUGAAGUGUGCCUUGCCAUGAGUCAGUCAAGGGGUACAAGAGUGAUCCAAGAAUGGAUCACAAGACAACGGUCAAAGUUAUCCUUAGUAACUAGUGGACUAAGGAAUUUUCUCGAUUAUGGAGGUGGUAAAAGAGUUCGUCGUAAAGGGUUACGCCGAUGCAAACUUUGACACUAAUCUAGAUUAUUCUGAGUAGUAGACUGGAUUCGUAUAGUAGAACAGUUAUUUGGAAUAGCUCCAAAUAGAACGUGGUAGCUGCAUCUAGGAGAUGACAUAGAGAUUUGUAAAGCACACACGGAUCUGAAAGAUUCAGACCCGUUGACUAUAACAUCUCUCACAAGCAUAACAUGAUCAAACCCAGAACUCAUCGAGUGUUAAUCACAUGGUAAUGUGAACUAGAUUAUUGACUCUAGUAAACUCUUUGGGUGUUAGUCACAUGGGGAUGUGACCUUGAGUGUUUAUCACAUAUCGAUGUGAACUGGAUUAUUGACUCUAGUGCAAGUGGGAGACUGUUGGAAAUAUGCCCUAGAGGAAAUAAUAAAUUUAUUAUUAUUAUAUUUCCUUGUUCAUGAUAAUCGUUUAUUAUCCAUGCUAGAAUUGUAUUGAUAGGAAACUCAGAUACAUGUGUGGAUACAUAGACAACACCAUGUCCCUAGUAAGCCUCUAGUUGACUAGCUCGUUGAUCAAUAGAUGGUUACAGUUUCCUAACCAUGGACAUUGGAUGUCAUUGAUAACGGGAUCACAUCAUUAGGAGAAUGAUGUGAUGGACAAGACCCAAUCCUAAGCCUAGCACAAGAUCAUGUAGUUCGUAUGCUAAAGCUUUUCUAAUGUCAAGUAUCAUUUCCUUAGACCAUGAGAUUGUGCAACUCUCGGAUACCGUAGGAGUGCUUUGGGUGUGCCAAAUGUCACAACGUAACUGGGUGGCUAUGAAGGUACACUACAAGUAUCUCCAAAAGUGUCUGUUGGGUUGGCACGAAUCGAGACUGGGAUUUGUCACUCCGUGUAAACGGAGAGGUAUCUCUGGGCCCACUCGAUAGGACAUCAUCAUAAUGUGCACAAUGUGACCAAGGAGUUGAUCACGGGAUGAUGUGUUACGGAACGAGUAAAGAGACUUGCCGGUAACGAGAUUGAACAAGGUAUCGGCAUACCGACGAUCGAAUCUCGGGCAAGUAUCGUACCGAUGGACAAAGGGAAUUGCAUACGGGAUUAAUUAAGUCCUUGACAUCGUGGUUCAUCCGAUGAGAUCAUCGUGGAACAUGUGGGAGCCAACAUGGGUAUCCAGAUCCCGCUGUUGGUUAUUGACCGGAGAGUCAUCUCGGUCAUGUUUGCAUGUCUCCCGAACCCGUAGGGUCUACACACUUAAGGUUCGAUGACGCUAGGGUUAUAAAGGAAGUUUGUAUGUGGUUACCGAAUGUUGUUCGGAGUCCCGGAUGAGAUCCCGGACGUCAUGAGGAGUUCCGGAAUGGUCCGGAGGUAAAGAUUUAUAUAUAGGAAGUCCUGUUUUGGUCACCGGAAAAGUUUCGGGUUUUAUUGGUAACGUACCGGGACCACCGACAGGGUCCCGGGGGUCCACCAAGUGGGGCCACAAGCCCCGGAGGGCUGCAUGGGCCAAGUGUGGGAGGGGACCAGCCCCAGGUGGGCUGGUGCGCCCCCCCACCAAGGCCCAAGGCGCAAGGAAGAGGGGAAGGGGGCAAACCCUAGGGCAGAUGGGCCCUAAGGCCCACCCUAGUGCGCCUCCCCCUCUCCCCUCCCCUUGGCCGCCCCUAGAUGGGAUCUAGGGGGCUGCCGCCACCCCUAGGGAGGGAACCCUAGGUGGGGGCGCAGCCCCUCCCCUCCCCCUAUAUAUAGUUGAGGUUUGGGCUGCCCAAUACACAUGAGUUCCUCUCUUUCUUGGCGCAGCCCUAUCCCUCUCUUUCUCCUCAUAUCUCGUAGUGCUUGGCGAAGCCCUGCUGGAUCACCAUGCUCCUCCAUCACCACCACGCCAUUGUGCUACUGCUGGAUGGAGUCUUCCUCAACCUCUCCCUCUCUCCUUGCUGGAUCAAGGCAUGGGAGACGUCAUCGGGCUGUACGUGUGUUGAACGCGGAGGUGCCGUCCGUUCGGCACUAGGAUCUCCGGUGAUUUGGAUCACGAUGAGUACGACUCCUUCAACCCCGCACUACUAGGAAAAGGCCUACUAAUGGCGCACCAGUUUUGCCUACUAAUGGCGCAUCACUGGUGCGCCAUUACUAGCACGCCAUUAGUAAUUUUUACUAAUGGCGCACCACUGGUGCGCCAUUAGUAUCUGGUAUACUAAUGGCGCACCACUGGUGCGCCAUUAGUAUAGGCCACAGGUGCACCAUUAGUAUACCAGAUACUAAUGGCGCACCGCGUGGUGCGCCAUUAGUAUACCAUUCGGUGCUCCACUGGUAUUCCCUCCAGGUGCGCCACUAAUAACCUUAUAGGUGCGCCACUAGUAAUAAAGGAAGGUGCGCCACUAAUAAGGGCUUAAAUGCGCCACUACUAAUGUAUUUGGAAAACAAAAAAAAAUCUAAAUUUACAGAAAAAAACCUAUAAGGAAAAAUAAUUUAAAAACAAAAAAUGAAAUAGAAUCAUAAUUUUUAUUAUAGUAAGAAUAUUACAAUGUCUUUACAAGUUUCCAAUAAAAGGGAAAUUGCAAGGAAAUAAAAAAAAUCCUAAAGCUAAUCUUCUAGUAAUCUUCUCUUCUUUUUCUUCACUUUAUCCCUGCAAAAUGUAACAAAAUAAACACAAACACAAACAAACUAUUUAUAACAUGUCAAUACUGUCAUUUUUUCAGACCAAGUAACUAACAACUUCAGUGAGACAGGCACAGUGCAGUGUGAAUUUCAAUUGGCUAAAUCAUAUAUAGAAAUCAGUAUCUUCUCUAUGAACCUGAAACUGAGAUGACUGGACUAAUUUUGCACAUUUGAUUUAUGAAUUUAUUCUUCUUCGACAACCAACUAAACUUCGGAUCACCUACUAAGCAUCUGUACAUACUACAUAGGCUGAUUAAUCCAACAGCCACAAUGCAAAUAUUGACUAUUUCCAUUCAACUUCUUCACUUACUCAUUAUUAUCUAAUGAAACCAUUCGUAACUAAUGAAGCAGAUUGGCUAAAGUUAUUAUCAAGUCCUAAGUCCUAAUUGAAGCAGAUCUGCUAGGGUUCUUCUCGCUAGCCCCUCAUGGCCAACCGUUUCGGAACAGGCAGGCAGAGCUGCUUGGCCGGUGGCUAGGGAGUCGCUGGUGAUGUUGGGCAUCUCACACGAGCACCUGGCUAUUUGAGGAAACCGAAAUAGUAGCAUAAACAAGAUUGAUUCCGAGGAAAUGAUAGAACCUAUUCUAUCAAAGUGCUACUCCCCCCGUUCCAUAAUUCCAGUCGUGGUUUUUUAACUAAAACCAUGAAGAGAACUAUGGAAUGGAGGGAGUAGAAAACAAUAGCAUGCUUAAAAUUCUACCAUACACAGCAGCAACAGACAUUACACAAGCAUUUAUUUAUUUAUUGCAUUUGGCACAAGUUAAAAAUUCUCACAAGCAGAGGCGGUCCUAUCAGACAAAAAGAACAUGGACCGCUCAUUACAAAGCACUUCUACUGCAGUAUCAUGGAGUAGGAAAAGGGGCUUAAGCAGCAAAGAAGUAUAAUAAGAGAAAAAAACACUAUGGCGGCUGGAACUAGAAGAGCACCAUCACAGGUUCGAAACAUCACCAUGGAGUCGAUGGCCGGCAUAGCCCAUGGCAGGGCUGGAUGGGCAGCAUAAUAACACAAUAAAAGUUUGAUGUAUACUUAUUCGUUUGAAAAGAUGCAAGCUUAUUUACACCCUAGGACUGUUGAUUAGGGUCUGGAUGGUAUUUUUGUUCCUUGCGUAAGUAAGAGAAGGACUAGCAUCCAUAGUAGAAAGAAGGGUAAACAUACAUAAAGGAAAGUUUUUAUAGCGUCACGACCGAAAGAGGCUACGUGCGGCUGGGUGAAAUGGACAAGGUUUCAUGUAUGCAAUAUAUUAUAGAAAAAUAAGUGUUGACAGAAAAUGAAAGAUUUCCUGUCAAACAAACAGAGCUUCAUUUUGUAACAUUUCUGACCCACAUGAUAAUUGUACAACAUAGUAGAGGAGACCACUGUACAUACAUGUGUUGAAUGAAGCAGACUAAGAAAUAUUGGGUGGGUAUAAAGAAUACAAUAGUACGGUAGCUGAUGUAAACAAGUGCAGAGUUGCAUCCACAGAAUAGGUAACAAAUUAAAUAGCCCUGGUGCCAACAGUAGAGUUCGUGUAUCCAAUCCAUCCUUUGUUUAACACAGCAGCUCCAACUCUUGUGUAACAAAUUAAGUUUGGCAUGGGCACACAUAAAGCACUGACAUUUUCAUGGCUCGAUGGCCGUGGGCUAAGGGAGCAGAGGAGGAGGUGCGGCUCACCUCACAUGGCGGCGGAACCGAGGGAUGAAGGUGCGGCGCACCGGAGCAGGCAGAGGUGCCUUGUGUUGGCCAAACACGUGGCCAGCAGCAGAGAAGCGCUUCUCUUGCUCGACGGAUGUUGGGUGUGUGUGAGGCGUGCUCCUGCCUGCCUGCCUGCGUGAGGAACGGGAGGACCAUUAGAGAAGAGAAGGGAAGGGAAGAAGAGCAGGUAGAGGAUGGCAAGGGGAGAGGAGGGAAUCAAAAUCAAAGAUGAGAAGAUGACCUUGAGGAGGAGCAGGGGAAGAGCGGAGCAGCAGAAACAGAGGCCUUCCUCUCCCGGUGGUGAGGACCGAGGCGACCUCCGUCACGGCCUAGCCAGGUCGACGACUCUGGCGACCGUGGCUGCCAGAUCCGGUGUCACCAUGGCCGGCCUCCUCCUGUGGUGCCUGCUAGGUCGCCAUGGCCGCGGGCUCCUUGUCCGUGGCGGCUGGAUCUGGGGCCUUGGGGUGGCGGGGAGCUCCUCCUCCUGCAGCUCGGCGGCCUCCACACCCCGGAGCAACGCCGUCGCCGGAGGACGUGGUCACCUGCUCUCCUCUGGAUCCGGUGAGGAGGGUUGGGGAAGGAGCUCACCACGGCUCCAUGCCCUGGAUCUGGUGUGAGGGAGGGGGAAGGGAGCUCGCCGUGGUCAGGAGGGAGAGGAAGAGGCGGGCGGCCGGGGCUUCCCGAUCUAAAUCAAAGUCGAGGGAGGUGGGUGGGUGUGUCAGGAGGAAGGUGAGGGGGAGAGAACGUGACAAGAUGGAGGGGAUAAGGGGUGAUAGCAAUGGCGCACUGGUAGGGGUGCGCCAUACGUAUAGAUAGCAAUGGCGCAUCUCUUACUGGUGCGCCAUUACUAGUUUAAACUAGUAAUGGUGCACGGUGGAACAGUGCGCUAUUAGUAGUUUUGCAAAAAAAAGUAAUAAAAAUAUAAUAAAAAAACAACAUUAGUGGCGCACUUUUCGACAGGUGCGCCAUUACUAGUUACAACUAGUAAUGGCGCACUGUGUCUGGAUGCGCCAUUAGUAUGUUUGGACAGGCGCACUAGUUCAAAAAAAAUUGAUACUAAUGGCGCACCCUGGGCCAGGUGCGCCAUUAGUAGUUUCAACUCUAAUGGCGUAUCAGAAGGUGGUGCGCCAUUAGUAUAUACCCUUGUAGAGGACUUAGGACUUGAUAAUAACUUUAGCCAAUCUGCUUCAUUAGUUACGAAUGGUUUCAUUAGAUAAUAAUGAGUAAGUGAAGAAGUUGAAUGGAAAUAGUCAAUAUUUGCAUUGUGGCUGUUGGAUUAAUCAGCCUAUGUAGUAUGUACAGAUGCUUAGAAGGUGAUCCGAAGUUGGAGAGGUCGGGGAUGAGCUGAUGCGGCGGGGGUGGUGAAGGGGAUCUCUGGUGGCCGGAGUUGAGGACGAGCUCGGUGCAGCGUCUCCGAGGCGAGCAAGCGCUCGGGCGCGGCCUACUCGAUGUAGUCGAUGGCGGCGGAGCUCGUGGACACGAUGGCGCGGCGCGAGGACGACGGAAGGCACGGCUACGACGACGGUGCGGCGACAGAAGUGUCGGCCAUGGUGGGGAACGGCGAAGGGAUAGAGACAGGGGGGAAAUGGCGUGUCCAGGGGCUUCGGGGUGCGACGUGGAGGCGUCCAGGCGUCUAGGGGCGCGGGCGGCAAGCAGGUGACGCCGUGGUGAGCUCGGGCACGCCGGAGUCACCUCCCUGCCUGCGUGGCGGGGAAGAAGCAGCUGGCUGGCGCGAGCCAGCACAGUGCUGGGCCGCCUGGUGGGCCGGCGGGUGAGAUAGCUGGGCCGCGCCAGGUAAGCUUCUCUCUCUCUCUCUCUUUCUUAUUUGUUUUCUUUUUCUAUUUUUCUGCAACUGUUGGGCUUUAUUAAAAAUACCUAGACAUCUUUAAAAAUCCUGAAAAUAAUCAGGGGCUCUGUUUAGAUUAUUCCCAACAGCCCACACUUAUUUCUAGAAUUAUUUGAGCAUUUAAAUUAUUUUAUAGCAUUUAAAUGCCCAAAUUCAAAUACUUAUGAUUUAAUUCAAGAAAAUCCAGAAUGUCCUAGAAAAGAGUGCACCAUUUUUGCCAGGGGUUUUAGCCCAAUCCAGAAAUGAUGAACAUUUUGUGAAAGGCAUUUUGGGUUCAUUGAAAAUAAUUUUAGUAAACCCUAGUUGUUUCCAGGGGGUGCUGGGGGUUCUGUCAUCCCCAUUUCAAAUUUAAAAGGAAUUUAAACAUGAUGCACACUCUAAUGCUUGAACUAGCUAGGGUGUGACACUAAGCAACCCGGCAACGACAUAGAUGUGUACCUAAGGCCAUUAGUUGAAGAACUCUUACAACUGUGGAAUGGAACAGGUGUACGUGCGUGGGAUGAGCACAUGGGGAAAGAAUUUGACCUAAAGGCGUUGUUGUUCGUGACCAUCAAUGAUUGGCCUGCUCUCACUAACCUUUUAGGACAGACAAACAAGGGAUACCGCGCAUGCACGCACUGUUUGGACGAUGCCGACAGUAUAUAUUUGGCUAAAUGUAAGAAGAAUGUGUACCUGGGACAUCAUCGAUUUCUUCCGAGCAGGCAUCCCGUAAGAAAGAAAGGCAAGCAUUUCAAAGGUGAGGCGGAUCACCGGACGAAGCCUCGCCACCGUACUGGUGCUGAUGUACAUGAUAUGGUCAACGAUUUGAAGGUGGUCUUUGGAAAGGGUCCUGGUGGACAACCUAUUCCGAAUGACGCUGACGGACGCGCACCCAUGUGGAAGAAGAAAUCUAUAUUUUGGGACCUGCCCUAUUGGAAAGACCUAGAGGUCCGCUCCGCAAUCGACGUGAUGCACGUGACGAAAAUCUUUGUGUGACCCUGCUUGGCUUCUUGGGCGUGUAUGGGAAGACAAAAGAUACACCUGAGGCACGGGAGGACCAACAAUGUAUGCACGGAAAAGAUGGCAUACAUCAGGGUCAUGCAAGCUACGCUCUUACCAAAGAAGAGAAGGAAAUCUUCUUUGAAUGCCUGCUCAGUAUUAAGGUACCGUCUGGCUUCUCGUCUAAUAUAAAGGGAAUAAUAAACAUGGCAGACAAAAGUUCCAGAACCUAAAGUCUCAUGACUGCCACGUGAUUAUGGCGCAACUGCUUCCGGUUGCAUUGAGGGGGCUUCUACCAGAAAACGUUCGAUUAGCCAUUGUGAAGCUAUGUGCAUUUCUCAAUGCAAUCUCUCAGAAGGUAAUCGAUCCAGAAAUAAUACCAAGGUUAGAGAAUUAUUUGGUGCAAUGUCUUGUCAGUUUCGAGUUGGUGUUCCCACCAUCCUUCUUCAACAUCAUGACGCACGUCCUAGUUCACCUAUGCGAAGAGAUUAACGUUUUGGGUCAUGUAUUUCUACACAAUAUGUUCCCCUUUGAGAGGUUCAUGGGAGUCUUAAAGAAAUAUGUUCAUAACCGUGCUAGGCCAGAAGGAAGCAUCUCCAAGGCCAUGAAAAUGAGGAGGUCAUUGAGUUUUGUAUUGACUUUAUUCCUGACCUUAAGCCGAUUGGUGUUCCUGAAUCGCGGCAUAAGGGCAGACUGGAUGGAAAAGGCACGCUAGGAGGGGAACAAAUAAUAUGUAUGUACGGACAUUCUCUCACUGAAGCACACUACACAGUUCUACAGAAUUCCGCCUUGGUGGCUCCAUAUAUGGAUGAACACAAGAAUUUGCUACGCUCCAAACACCCGGAGCGGUCUGAUGACUGGAUUACACGUGAACAAACCAGAAGUUUCGCCAGCUGGUUGCAGACACGUACCAUGCAUGACACCUCUAUUGAAGAUGACCUGUACUUGCUGUCCCAGUUACCAUCUUCGAAUAUAAUGACUUUCAAAGGGUACCAGAUAAAUGGUAAUACAUUUUACACGAUCGCCCAAGAUAAGAAGAGCACCAACCAAAACAGUGGUGUCUACUUUGAUGCAGAAACCAAGACGGGAAAGGAAACAUAUUAUGGUUAUAUACCGGACAUAUGGGAACUUGACUAUCGACGUGGUUUAAAGGUCCCUUUGUUUCGGUGCAAAUGGGUCAAUAUGACACGAGGCGGGGUAACGGAAGACCCGCAGUACGGAAUGACAACAGUGGAUCUCAACAAUCUUGCGUAUGCAGACGAACCAUUCGUCCUAGCCAAUGAUGUGGCACAGGUUUUCUAUGUGAAGGACAUGUCUACCAAGCCAAGAAAAAGAAAAGAUAAGGAAGCGAAUGCAUCGUACGAUGAGCCAAAGCGGCACAUAGUUCUUUCUAGGAAGAGAAACAUCGUGGGAGUGGAUGACAAGACAGACAUGUCAGAAGAUUAUGAAAAGUUUGAUGAAAUUGCUCCAUUCACAGUGAAUAUUGACCCGAGCAUCCCGUUAAAUGAUGAAGAUUUUCCAUGGUUACGGCGCAAAGGGACGCACGCGAAGAAAAAGUUUCACACCCAAAGAUCUGGGAUGUGAUCGGCUUCACUAUCAUCACUUUCUUCUGUGUUUCACACCCAGGAGGGAAUCUCUGUAAUAGUUAGGGUAGUUAUGUGUUUUGGCAUUUGAAACGCGAAGAAAUUUUAUGUGCAAACAAAUUCUUUCAUGCCUUUACUGAUUUUUAAAGUUAAGUUAUUCACAAACUAGUGAUUCACACUAAUUUCAAAUAAUUCAAAAUUUAAACUAUUCAAAUUUGAAAACUACAGGCACUAACAGAAAGUUUGUAAUUUUUUGUACCUAAAGCAAAAAUUGAAGGAAAUAUGCCCUAGAGGCAAUAAUAAAGUUAUUAUUUAUUUCCUUAUAUCAUGAUAAAUGUUUAUUAUUCAUGCUAGAAUUGUAUUAACCGGAAACAUAAUACAUGUGUGAAUACAUAGACAAACAGAGUGUCACUAGUAUGCCUCUACUUGACUAGCUCGUUAAUCAAAGAUGGUUAUGUUUCCUAACCAUGGACAAAGAGUUGUUAUUUGAUUAACGGGAUCACAUCAUUAGGUGAAUGAUCUGAUUGACAUGACCCAUUCCAUUAGCUUAGCACCCGAUCGUUUAGUAUGUUGCUAUUGCUUUCUUCAUGACUUAUACAUGUUCCUAUGACUAUGAGAUUAUGCAACUCCCGUUUGCCGGAGGAACACUUUGUGUGCUACCAAACGUCACAACAUAACUGGGUGAUUAUAAAGGUGCUCUACAGGUGUCUCCAAAGGUACAUGUUGGGUUGGCGUAUUUCGAGAUUAGGAUUUGUCACUCCGAUCGUCGGAGAGGUAUCUCUGGGCCCUCUAAUGCACAUCACUUAAGCCUUGCAAGCAUUGCAGCUAAUGAGUUAGUUGCGGGAUGAUGUAUUACGGAACGAGUAAAGAGACUUGCCGGUAAUGAGAUUGAACUAGGUAUUGGAUACCGACGAUCGAAUCUCGGGCAAGUAACAUACCGAUGACAAAGGGAACAACGUAUGUUGUUAUGCGGUCUGACCGAUAAAAGAUCUUCGUAGAAUAUGUAGGAACCAAUAUGGGCAUCAAGGUCCCGCUAUUGGUUAUUGACCGGAGACGUGUCUCGGUCAUGUCUACAUUGUUCUCGAACCCGUAGGGUCCGCACGCUUAAGGUUUCGAUGACAGUUAUAUUAUGAGUUUAUGAGUUUUGAUGUACCAAAGGAGUUCGGAGUCCCGGCUGAGAUUGGGGACAUGACGAGGAGUCUCGAAAUGGUCGAGACGUAAAAAUCGAUAUAUUGGACGACUAUAUUCGGACAUCGGAAAGGUUCCGAGUGAUUCGAGUAUUUUUCGGAGUACCGGAGAGUUACGGGAAUUCGCCGGGAGAAGUAUUGGGCCUUAUUGGGCCAUACGGGAAAGAGAGAGGGGCUGCCUAGGGUAGGCCGCGCGCCCCCCAAGGCCUAGUCCGAAUUGGACUAGGGGGAGGGGCUGCGCCCCUUCCUUGUUUCCUACUCCUACUACAUGGAAGGACUCCUACUUGGACUAGGAAAGGGGGAAUCCUACUCCCGGUGAGAGUAGGACUUCUCUAGGCGCGCCAUAGAGAGGGCCGGCCCUCCCCUCCUGCACUCCUUGAUAUACGGGGGCAGGGGGCACCCCAUAGACACACAAGUUGAUCCACGUGAUCAUAUUCUUAGCCGUGUGCGGUGCCCCCUUCCACUAUAGUCCUCGAUAAUAUUGUAGCAGUGCUUAGGCGAAGCCCUGCGACAGUAGUACAUCAAGAUCGUCACCACGCCGUCGUGCUGACGGAACUCUUGCCCGACACUUUGCUGGAUCGGAGUCCGGGGAUCGUCAUCGAGCUGAACGUGUGCUAGAACUCGGAGGUGCCGUAGUUUCAGUGCUUGAUCGUCGGGCCGUGAAGACGUACGACUACAUCAACCGCGUUGUCAUAACGCUUUUGCUAUCGGUCUACAAGGGUACGUAGAUCACACUCUCCCCUCUCGUUGCUAUGCAUCACCAUGAUCUUGCGUGUGCGUAGGAAAUUUUUUGAAAUUACUACGUUCCCCAACAGUGGCAUCCGAGCCUAGGUUUUAUGCGUUGAUGUAAUAUGCACGAGUAGAACACAAGUGAGUUGUGGGCGAUAUAAGUCAUACUGCUUACCAGCAUGUCACAGUUUGGUUCGGCGGUAUUGUUGGAUGAAGCGGCCCGGACCGACAUUACGCGUACGCUUAUGCGAGACUGGUUCUACCGACGUGCUUUGCACACAGGUGGCUGGCGGGUGUCAGUUUCUCCAACUUUAGUUGAACCGAGUGUGGCUACGCCCGGUCCUUGCGAAGGUUAAAACAACACCAACUUGACAAACUAUCGUUGUGGUUUUUGAUGCGUAGGUAAGAACGGUUCUUGCUAAGCCCGUAGCAGCCACGUAAAACUUGCAACAACAAAGUAGAGGAUGUCUAACUUGUUUUUGCAGGGCAUGUUGUGAUGUGAUCUGGUCAAGACAUGAUGCUAAAUUUUAUUGUAUGAGAUGAUCAUCUUUUGUAACCGAGUUAUCGGCAACUGGCAGGAGCCAUAUAGUUAUCGCUUUAUUGUAUGCAAUGCAAUCGCACUGUAAUGCUUUACUUUAUCACUAAGAGGUAGCGAUAGUCGUGGAAGCAUAAAAGUGGCGAGACGACAACGAUGCUGCGAUGGAGAUCAAGGUGUCACGCCGGUGACGAUGGUGAUCAUGACGGUGCUUCGGAGAUGGAGAUCACAGGCACAAGAUGAUGAUGGCCAUAUCAUAUCACUUAUAUUGAUUGCAUGUGAUGUUUAUCUUCUAUGCAUCUUAUCUUGCUUUGAUUGACGGUAGCAUUAUAAGAUGAUCUCUCACUGAAUUAUCCAGAAGUGUUCUCCCUGAGUAUGCACCGUUGCGAAAGUUCUUCGUGCCGAGACACCACAUGAUGAUCGGGUGUGAUAGGCUCUACGUUCAAAUACAACAGGUGCAAAACAGUUGCACACGCGGAAUACUCAGGUUAUACUUGACGAGCCAAGCAUAUGCAGAUAUGGCCUCGGAACACGGAGACCGAAAGGUCGAGCGUGAAUCAUAUAGUAGAUAUGAUCAACAUAGUGAUGUUCACCAAUGAAACUACAUCUCACGUGAUGAUCGGACAUGGUUUAGUUGAUUGGGAUCAUGUGAUCGCUUAGAGGAUUAGAGGGAUGUCUAUCUAAGUGGGAGUUCUUAAGUAAUAUGAUUAAUUGAACUUAAAUUUAUCAUGAACUUAGUCCUUAUAGUAUUUUGCAAAUUAUGUUGUAGAUUAAUAGCUCGUGUUGUUGCUUCCUUGUGUUUUUUAUAUGUUCCUAGAGAAAAUUGUGUUGAAAGAUGUUAGUAGCAAUGAUGCGGAUUGGAUCCGUCAUCUGAGGUUUAUCCUCAUUGCUGCACAGAGGAAUUAUGUCCUUGAUGCACCGCUAGGUGACAGACCUAUUGCAGGAUCAGAUACUAACGUUAUGAACGUUUGGCUAGCUAAAUAUGAUGACUACUUGAUAGUUUAGUGCACCAUGCUUAACGGCUUAGAAUCGGGACUUCAAAGACGUUUUGAACGUCAUGGACCAUAUGAGAUGUUCCAGGAGUUGAAGUUAAUAUUUCAAGCAAAUACCCGAGUUGAGAGAUAUGAAGUCUCCAACAAGUUCUAUAGCUAAAAGAUGGAGGAGAAUCGCUCAACUAGUGAGCAUGUGCCCAAAUUGUCUGAGUACUACAAUCACUUGAAUCAAGUGGGAGUUAAUCUUCUAGAUAAGAUAGUGAUUGACAGAAUUCUCUAGUCACCAUCACCAAGUUAGUAGAACUUCGUGAUGAACUAUGAUAUGCAAGGGAUAACGGAAACGAUUCCCAUGCUCUUCGUAAUGCGGAAAUUGAUGAAGGUAGAAAUCGAGAAAAACAUCAAGUGUUGAUGGUAGACAAGACCACUACUUUCAAGAAAAAGGAAGAGGGAAGAAGGGGAACUUCAAGAAAAACAGCAAGCAAGUUGCUGCUCAUGUGAAGAAGCCCAAGUCUGGUCCUAAGCCUAUGACUAAGUGCUUCUACUGCAAAGGGACUAGUCACUGGAAGCGGAACUACCCCAAGUGAUUGGCGGAUAAGAAGGAUGGCAAAGUGAACAUAAGUAUAUUUGAUAUACAUGUUAUUGAUGUGUACUUUACUAGUGUUUAUAGCAACCCCUCAGUAUUUGAUGCUAGUUCAGUUGCUAAGAGUAGUAACUCGAAACGGGAGUUGCAGAAUGAACAGAGACUAGUUAAGGGUGAAGUGACGAUGUGUUUUGGAAGUGGUUCCAAGAUUGAUAUGAUCAUCAUCGCACACUCCCUAUACUUUCGGGAUUAGUGUUGAACCUAAAUAAGUGUUAUUUGGUGUUUGCGUUGAGCAUGAAUAUGAUUUGAUCAUGUUUAUUGUAAUACGGUUAUUCAUUUAAGUAAAAGAAUAAAUUGUUGUUCUGUUUACAUGAAUAAAACCUUAUUUGGUUACACACCCAAUGAAAAUAGUUCAUUGGAUGUCGAUCGUAGUGAUACACAUAUUCAUAAUAUUGAAACCAAAAGAUGCGAAGUUAAUAAUGAUAGUGCAACUUAUUUGUGGCACUGCCAUUUAGGUCAUAUUGGUGUAAAGCUCAUGAAGAAACUCCAUGCUGAUGGGAUUUUGGAAUCACUUGGUGCUUGCGAACCAUGCCUUAUGGAUAAAAUGACUAAAGACUCCGUUCUCCGGAACAAUGGAGCGAGCAACUGACUUAUUGGAAAUAAUACAUACUGAUGUAUGCGAUCUGAUGAGUGUUGAAGCUCGCGGCGGGUAUCGUUAUUUUCUGACCUUCACAUAUGAUUUGAGCAGAUAUGGUAUAUCUGCUUGAUGAAACAUAAGUCUGAAACAUUUGAAAAGUUCAAAGAAUUUCAGAGUGAAAUGGAAAAUCAUCGUAACAAGAAAAAUAAGGUUUCUACGAUCUGAUCGCGGAGACAAAUAUUUGAGUUACGAGUUUGGUCUUCAAUUAAAACUAUGUGGAAUAGUUUCACAAAUUCAUGCCACCUGGAACACCACAGCAUAAUAGUGUGUUCGAACAUCAUAACCGUACUUUAUUGGAUAUAGUGCAAUCUAUGAUGUUUCUUACCGAUUUACCACUAUAGUUUUGGGGUUAUGCAUUAGAGACAGCUGCAUUCACGUUAAAAGGGCACCAUCUAAAUCUGUUGAGACGACACCGUAUGAACUGUGGUUUGGCAAGAAACCAAAGUUGUCGUUUCUCAAAGUUUGGGGUUGCAAUGCUUAUGUGAAAAAGUUUCAUCCUGAUAAGCUCAAACCCAAAUCGGAAAAGUGUGUCUUCAUAGGAUACCCAAAAAGUUACUGUUGGGUACACCUUCUAUCACAGAUCCGAAGGCAAGACUUUUGUUGCUAAAUUCAGAAACUUUCUGGAGAAGGAGUUUCUCUCGAAAGAAGUGAGUGGGAGGAAAGUAGAACUUGAUGAGGUAACUGUACCUACUCCCUUAUUGGAAAGUAGUACAUCACAGAAAACUGUUUCUGCGACACCUACCCCAAUUAGUGAGGAAGCUAAUGAUACUGAUCAUGAAACUUCAGGACAAGAUACUAUUGAACCUCAUAGAUCAACCAGAGUGAGAUCCGCGCCAUAGUGGUACGGUAAUCCUAUUCUGGAAAUCAUGCUGCUAGAUCAUGAUGAACCUACGAACUAUGAGGAAGCGAUGAUGAGCCCAGAUUCCGAUAAAUGGCUUGAGGCCAUGAAAUCUGAGAUAGGAUCCAUGUAUGAGAACAAAGUGUGGACUUUGGUGGACUUGCCCGAGGAUCGGCAAGCCAUUGAUAAUAAAUGGAUCUUCAAGAGGAAGACGGACACGGAUAGUAGUGUUACUAUCUACAAAGCUAGAAUUUUCGCAAAAGGUUUUCGACAAGUUCAAGGUGUUGACUACGAUGAGAUUUUCUCACUCGUAUCUAUGCUUAAGUCUGUCCGAAUCAUGUUAGCAAUUGCCGCAUUUUAUGAAAUCUGGCAAAUGGAUAAACAAAACUGCAUUCCUUAAUGGAUUUAUUAAAGAAGAGUUGUAUAUGAUGCAACCAGAAGGUUUUGUCAAUCCUAAAGGUACUAACAAAAUAUGCAAGCUCCAACGAUCCAUCUAUGGACUGGUGCAAACAUCUCGGAGUUGGAAUACACGCUUUGAUAAGUUGAUCAAAGCAUAUAGUUUUAUACAGACUUGUGGUGAAGCCUGUAUUUACAAGAAAGUGAGUGGGAGCACUACAACAUUUCUGAUAAGUAUAUGUGAAAGACAUAUUAUUGAUCGGAGAUAAUGUAGUAUUAUUCUGCAAAUCAUAAAGGAAUAUUUGAAAGGAGUUUUUCAAAGAAAGACCUCGGUGAAGCUGCUUACAUAUUGAGCAUCAAUAUCUAUAGAGAUAGAUCAAGACGCUUGAUAAGUUUUUCAAUGAGGAUAUACCUUGACAAGAUUUUGAAGUAGUUCAAAAUGGAAUAGUCAAAGAAGGAGUCCUUGCCUGUGUUACAUAGGUGUGAAGUUGAGUAAGACUCAAAACCCGACCACGGCAGAAGAUAGAGAGAGAAUGAAAGUCAUUCCCUAUGCCUCAGCCAUAGGUUCUAUAAAGUAUGCCAUGCUGUGUACCAGACCUAUUGUAUACCCUGCCCUGAGUUUGGCAAGGGAGUACAAUAGUGAUCUAGGAGUAGAUCACUGGACAUUGUUCAAAAUUAUCCUUAGUGGAAUAAGGAUAUGUUUCUCGAUUAUGGAGGUGACAAAAGGUUCGUCGUAAAGGGUUACGUCGAUGCAAGUUUUGACACUGAUCCAGAUGACUCUAAGUCUCAAUCUGGAUACAUAUUGAAAGUGUGAGCAAUUAGCUAGAGUAGCUCCAUGCAGAGCAUUGUUGACAUAGAAAUUUGCAAAAUACUUACAGAUCUGAAUGUGGCAGACCCGUUGACUAAACUUCUCUCACAAGAAAAACAUGAUCACACCUCAGUACUCUUUGGGUGUUAAUCACAUAGCGAUGUGAACUAGAUUAUUGACUCUAGUAAACCCUUUGGGUGUUGGUCACAAGUUGAUGUGAACUAUGGGUGUUAAUCACAUGGUGAUGUGAACUAUUGAUGUUAAAUCACAUGGCGAUGUGAACUAGAUUAUUGACUCUAGUGCAAGUGGGAAACUAAAGGAAAUAUGCCCUAGAGGCAAUAAUAAAGUUAUUAUUUAUUUCCUUAUACCAUGAUAAAUGUUUAUUAUUCAUGCUAGAAUUGUAUUAACCGGAAACAUUAUACCUGUGUGAAUACAUAGACAAACAGAGUGUCACUAGUAUGCCUCUACUUGACUAGCUCGUUAAUCAAAGAUGGUUAUGUUUCCUAACCAUGGACAAAGAGUUGUUAUUUGAUUAACGGGAUCACAUCAUUAGGUGAAUGAUCUGAUUGACAUGACCCAUUCCAUUAGCUUAGCACCAGAUCGUUUAGUAUGUUGCUAUUGCUUUCUUCAUGACUUAUACAUGUUCCUAUGACUAUGAGAUUAUGCAACUCCCGUUUGCCGGAGGAACACUUUGUGUGCUACCAAACGUCACAACGUAACUGGGUGAUUAUAAAGGAGCUCUACAGGUGUCUCCAAAGGUACAUGUUGGGUUGGCGUAUUUCGAGAUUAGGAUUUGUCACUUCGAUCAUCGGAGAGGUAUCUCUGGGCCCUCUCGGUAAUGCACAUCACUUAAGCCUUGCAAGCAUUGCAGCUAAUGAGUUAGUUGCGGGAUGAUGUAUUACGGAACGAGUAAAGAGACUUGCCGGUAACGAGAUUGAACUAGGUAUUGGAUACCGACGAUCGAAUCUCGGGCAAGUAACAUACCGAUGACAAAGGGAACAACGUAUGUUGUUAUGCGGUCUGACCGAUAAAAGAUCUUUGUAGAAUAUGUAGGAACCAAUAUGGGCAUCCAGGUCCCGCUAUUGGUUAUUGACCGGAGACGUGUCUCGGUCAUGUCUACAUUGUUCUCGAACCCGUAGGGUCUGCACGCUUAAGGUUUCGAUGACAGUUAUAUUAUGAGUUUAUGAGUUUUAAUGUACCGAAGGAGUUCAGAGUCCCGGAUGAGAUCGGGGACAUGACGAGGAGUCUCAAAAUGGCCGAGACAUAAAAAUCGAUAUAUUGGACGACUAUAUUCGGACAUCGGAAAGGUUCCGAGUGAUUCGAGUAUUUUUCGGAGUACCGGAGAGUUACGGGAAUUCGCCGAGAGAAGUAUUGGGCCUUAUUGGGCCAUACGGGAAAGAGAGAGGGGCUGCCUAGGGCAGGCCGCGCGCCCCCAAGGCUUAGUCCGAAUUGGACUAGGGGGAGGGGCUGCGCCCCUUCCUUGUUUCCUACUCCUACUACAUGGAAGGACUCCUACUUGGACUAGGAAAGGGGGAAUCCUACUCCCGGUGAGAGUAGGACUUCUCUAGGCGCGCCAUAGAGAGGGCCGGCCCUCCCCUCCUGCACUCCUUGAUAUACGGGGGCAGGGGGCACCCCAUAGACACACAAGUUGAUCCACGUGAUUAUAUUCUUAGCCGUGUGCGGUGCCCCCUUCCACCAUAGUCCUCGAUAAUAUUGUAGUAGUGCUUAGGCGAAGCCCUGCGACAGUAGUACAUCAAGAUCGUCACCACGCCGUCGUGCUGACGGAACUCUUCCCCGACACUUUGCUGGAUCGGAGUCCGGGGAUCGUCAUCGAGCUGAACGUGUGCUAGAACUCGGAGGUGCCGUAGUUUCGGUACUUGAUCGAUCGGGCCGUGAAGACGUACGACUACAUCAACCGCGUUGUCAUAACGCUUCCGCUAUCAGUCUACAAGGAUACGUACAUCACACUCUCCUCUCUCGUUGCUAUGCAUCAUCAUGAUCUUGCGUGUGCGUAGGAAAUUUUUUGAAAUUACUAUGUUCCCCAACAAAAAUAUUCACAAAGAAACUCUAAAUACACAAAAAAAACAACUCAAAAAUAAAUAAAGCAAAAAAAAUAAAAAAAGCCCGCCUACUGGGCCAGAGCGGCCUGCAUACGACUAGAAACUCAACCUGUUGUUGGGCCAGGAUGCAGGCCCGCAAAGGUCGAGUAGGCCCACAGGGCAGCACAGAACAUGUAGGCCCAGUAGGCCUGCUUUGGAGAGGAGCUCGAGACAGCUACCGCACGGGGGGUUAUAAACCAGUGCAGACGCCCUUCGGCUAGCGAGGUGGGACUAAACUUGCUGCACCGCACCUGCGCCAAUGCACCCCCUUUAGUACCGGGUGGUGGCACCAACCGGUACUAAAGGCGGGGGUGCCUUUAGUACCGGUUGGAGCCACCACCCGGUACUAAAGGGGGUGCGCUUCCCGCCGCUUGGACUGGCCAAAACAGGCCUUUAGUACCGGUUGGUGGCUCCAACCGGUACUAAAGGUCCAUCCUAUAUAUCCAAACACUUCAAAAAUUUCAGUUUUUCAUCUGCUUCUUCUCCUCUGCCCCGUCGCCCGCCGCCCCCGUCUCCAUAUCCCUCGUCGCCGCCCCCGUCGCCGCCCCGUCCCCGUCGUCGNNNNNNNNNNNNNNNNNNNNNNNNNNNNNNNNNNNNNNNNNNNNNNNNNNNNNNNNNNNNNNNNNNNNNNNNNNNNNNNNNNNNNNNNNNNNNNNNNNNNNNNNNNNNNNNNNNNNNNNNNNNNNNNNNNNNNNNNNNNNNNNNNNNNNNNNNNNNNNNNNNNNNNNNNNNNNNNNNNNNNNNNNNNNNNNNNNNNNNNNNNNNNNNNNNNNNNNNNNNNNNNNNNNNNNNNNNNNNNNNNNNNNNNNNNNNNNNNNNNNNNNNNNNNNNNNNNNNNNNNNNNNNNNNNNNNNNNNNNNNNNNNNNNNNNNNNNNNNNNNNNNNNNNNNNNNNNNNNNNNNNNNNNNNNNNNNNNNNNNNNNNNNNNNNNCUCGCCGAUGAGCACACACGCACAUACAUUUUUUUAGUUUUUUAGUUAUAGAAAUAGUUAUAAAAAUGUUAGAAAAUUUUCUUUUCUUAGUUAUAGAAAUAGUUACUUAUAUAUCAUUAUUAGAAAUGUUAGAAUUGUUAGAAAUUUUUUCUGUUUUUUAGUUAUAGAAAUAGUUAUAAAAAAGUUAGAAUUGUUAGAAAUUUUUCUGUUUUUUAGUUAUAGAAAUAGUUAUAAAAAAGUUAGAAAUUUUUCUUUUUUUAGUUAUAGAAAUAUUAGAAAUGUUAUACAAAUGUUAGUUAUACAGAUAGAAAUGUUAUAAUUUUUUUUGUUUUUUAGUUAUAGAAAUAUUAGAAAUGUUAUAGAAAUGUUAGUUAUAUAGCAUUGUUAGAAAUGUUAUAGGAAUGUUAGUUAUAUAGAAAUGUUAGAACUUUGAGUUAUCAAAAUCCAAUUAUUAAAAAAAUGUUACUUUUUGCGGGCAUAUAGCUAGUACUUGUUCUCGACGAUGCCCGGCCCGCAUCCUCGCCGUCGACCCGUCCGCGACGACGUCCGGCUGACCCAUGUCCGAGACUGGGCUCCGCCGGGCUGGCACUGGGGGGGCGCGCCGCUUGAUGAGGAACAUGGCCCCGGGUCCCGUCGUCGACCCUGAUCUAGUUUGGAGGCGUUCGCGUCGGCCAGUUUCGGUGCGGAGGGAGCCGGCCCCGCCGGAGGUGGUACGUCGCCGUGUUAGGGAGGAGGACGAGCACGUCCAUCGCUACAUGGUUGCGUUAGAGGGCGGCAGGUUCUCCAAUACCUGGCAGUUUCUUCAGGGAUCUCACUUCAGCUAUGAUCCUGUGAGGGUUCCUUCUCUUUGGGUGUCCACCGCCCGCGCCGCAGGAACUGCGAGUGUCCUAGAUUCUUCUGUAGUCAGUGAUGUAUUCGAUAUAUAAUAUUCGAGACGAUGUAUUCGAGAUUAUAUAUUAUUCGAGACGAUGUAUUCGAGAUUAUAUCUAUUAUUCGAGACGAUGUAUUCGAGAUUAUAUCUAUUAUUCAAGACGAUGUAUUCGAGAUUAUAUCUAUUAUUUGAGACGAUGUAUUCGAGAUUAUAUCUAUUAUUCGAGACGACGUAUUCGAGAUUAUAUUUGAUGAUGCUUAUAUGUACUAUGAUUGAUUCAGUUUUUCCUUAUUAAUUGAUUGCAUCCAUGCAUUGUAAUUUGAAUAUAUUUCUUUUGGAUUAGUUAAACAAAACCUAUGGCGGACAAUACCGGUAGAGAGGGAGAAGAGGCCCUGUUCAAUAUCAUAUGCAAUCCUCGCGGGCCAGAUGAUGAUCAGAAUGAAGAAGAUUAUGACGGCUCCGAAUAUGUAAACAACACCGGGGAGGGUGAUAUGAUAUUCGAUCGCGACGACUGAAUUGAUGAAGUCAUGAACUAUGAACAUGACAAAGAAAAUGUUGAUCUUGAAACAACAAAGACCGGCGAGGUAUAUAUAUUUAUAUAAGCAGGCAUCUGGUGAUCAUCACAUGUUUUAAAUGACUCGAAGAUAUAUUAACGAAUCGAUCUUUCUUCUUUCAGCUAUCUGGAUCGAGCAAAUCUUCAGGCAACAGGAUGAAAUGAGGCCCAAACAAAAAGUUGAAGGAGGGCGUAAAGUACAAUAUCGAGGCAAUCAGACCUAAUGGCGAACCAUUAGCGCCUAAGAAGAUUGCGGACAAGUUCGUUCGUCAGUGCGGAGUUCUUGUGAAGGACCUACUCCCGAUCUCCCUUCAAGAAUGGAGAGAGCCAGCAAACCAACGUCCAGAUCUUACUUUUGUCGAUGACAGACAAAAAGGUCUGCUUUGGGAUACUCUCAUGGAACAUUUCACCCUACCAGAUCAUUUCACAGAAGCAGAUGUGCAGAAAGUAAAGGACGCUGCUCUUAGGAAGAUGGCGGUUGCAUUCAAGAACCAUAAGAAUCAUGAAUGGGACAAGUACAUCAAGGGAGGAAGGAAGACUCCAGUAUUCGAGGGAACACUAGAGAAGCAAAGUGCUCAUUGGGACGAUUGCGUGAAAUUCAAGGAUUCGGAAUUAGCUAAGGAGCGGUCGAGAAUAAACAAGAAGAAUGUCGAAAAAAGGAUAAGUUCCAUAAGCUGGGGCCAGGUGGCUACGCGAUGGCAAUGCCUAAGUGGGAUAAGUUUGAGAAAGAGAUGGAGGAUGCAAGUGUCACUCCGGUUACUAGGAGCUGGCCCCCCAGGUGCAGGACUUGGUUCUAUGCGCAUGGGGGGAGUUGGACCCGAAGACAGGCAAAGUUUCGACGAAGGCAUGUCUGAACGGAGCCAACGAUGCGCUAAUUGUUGCAAUAGAAGAGGCUCGAACGGGGGUAUUCCAGCCCAACAGAGAGAACGACGAGCUUACGCGUGCCCUGGGAAAUCCUGAACACCCGGGAAUAACACGAGGCAAGGGCGCUAUUCCGUGGUAUGAGUGGUUUUCGGACUGGAACCGACUACAGAAACCGUGUGAGAAGGAAGAUUGCGGAGGAGAAGAAGAGGAAGAUGGAGGAGGAGCAGAGGAAGUUGGACUAUGAACGCCUUCAAGGCCUAGAAUCAAAGCACGCAGACUUGGCAGUCAAAUUCCAGCGGCAGCAGGAGCAGAUCGACUCACUUAGCCAGCAAAGGGGGUCUCAGCAGCUGCAGCGGCAAGCGGAUGAUCCAGCAUUGGAUAGCACCGCCCUAUCCAUGCCGAGAAGCAGCGUGGGUUCCGCCCCGGGCGACGCAAUGCUGGAUAGAUACCCCGUGGAUGACGUCACGGAGAACACUAACUGCGAGCUACACUUCAAAAUGAAGAACAUAUCCAUGAAGGUGGCGGAUGCCGUUGCUUUUACAAAUCCCCCCGAGGCAACCUUCCAUUGCAACCCGAUUCCAGCAGGCUAUGCUCGUGUCUUGGUUGAUGAGGUGGUGGACCCAUAUUCGGGGCUACAUCUUGACAUUCCUGGAGGUGAUGACGAGCACACAUUGGGAGAGGCCAUACAUCGUGUCAUCCUAUGGAGAAAGGAUUGCAUCGUCUUUCGAAGGCCACCGGCACCGCGUCACCCGACUCCUCGUCGAAGUCCGCCACCGAGUCAGCAAACUCCUGCUCCUCCAAGUCCACCAAUGUGUGAGGCCAUUACUCCUCCUCCAAGUCUGGCAAAGUGUCAGGCCACUCCUCCUCCAAGUCCGACACAGCGUCAGACGUCCACUCCUCCUCCAUGUCCGGCACAACUUCAGGCCACUCCUCCUCCAAGUCCGGCACAGCUUCAGGCCACUCCUCCUCAUCCAACUCAGCCCCGUCAGCCUUCUCCGCCGCCUCAGCAAUCGCAGAAGAGACACCCCGCAGCUAUGGUGCAUAGCGGUACGAGUCGAGGUAGUACAGGAAGUACAGGCGGAGGCAAGCUAUAUAAAUAUGGUCCAAGCCUCACUACUCCUCUUCCUCAGAGGGCUUAUGACAUGACCGAGGAGCAAACCAAUGCCAUAGAGCAGGCAGAAGUGGACGCCCAUUUUGGACCGAAACCGCCACCGCCGCCAAGGGAGAAACUGCCUGUGGAAAAGAUUGACCACUUCAUUCGUAUGGCCCAACCACCAGCUCCCAAGCCCGAUGACACAGACUAUGAGCGCCACAUCAGGAAGUUAAAUCGAGCACGUCUACAGAAGGAGGCGAGCUCGAGCUCGAGCAAACAACAAGCAGCUGUCAAAAAAUGCAGGAAAACCGUUCCCCAGCAGGGAGAACAGGCGACGCAAUCGAUCCCCUCGCUUGUUGUGCCAACAACACGUGAUAGUACGCGCGCCCAAUAUUAUUGUGGCCAAACAGUUUAUGUUCCCGAGGUGGGCAAUGUGGUAAUAACCGAGGAGCAUAUAAUGCAGGCUAAAAUUCUCAACAUCACUGUUGGACAACUCCUCAAGAUCGAGCCCAUGCCUGUGCUUACAGAGGAGGAAAUAAAAUGGAAAUAUGUCCGGGGCGAACCUUUGGUCAAGCCAGACGAGGUCAAGAAGCUCCUAACGCGAAUGUAUGAAUUGCAUCAAUGGUACAUGGACAUUACCAAGAGUUCCAAUCGAGAGUCCCUCAUGGUGGAAGUCAAGAAGGAUCAUUACUACCAUCAGAAAGCUGUGGCCGUUGAGUAUAAUGAACUGUUUGAGUUAUACAAUCAAGAUGCACUCGACAAAUCUAUCGUCAGUUGCUAUUGUCUGUAAGUGAUUUCUUUCUGUAAUUUAAGUCUCAAGCUAGCUGUAGUGAUCCUUUUGAUCAAUCAUUACCUGUAAUUAUCCUCACUAUAUUCUUUUCUGUGGUAUUAUGCAUGAUGAAGAUGUAUGUAAUGAAAAAAAGUGGACGCUACGGCAUUGGGUUCAUUGACCCAAACACCGUUAAUGAAUACACAUGGAAAAUAGAUCCAUAUCAUGAAAAGCAUGUAGAGGACAGCAUGCUAGAGUUCUUGAAGCGCCUCAAAUACAAUGAAGAUAUACUACUUCCUUACAACUUCCAGUGAGUCACACUGUCUUGUACUAUACAAAUUCUCUGUUUUUGCCUACUAGCUAGCUACAUGUUUUUGCUUAUGUAUGCCCGCUUAAUUAAGACAUGCAAACGUGUGUGCAUGCAGAUUUCACUGGAUCUUGUGUAUCAUUAAAGUUGACGCUGGAACAAUUGAAAUACUGGACUCACUACUCAAAGCAAAUAGUGACUAUAACAUCUUGUUUGGGAUAGUCAACAGGUAAUUUCAAUCAUUAUUAACUAUAUAUCUCGACCUAUUUAGUUCGUCAUUUCAUGAUAUGAACUAUUUAAUAACCCAUUUAUUCAUUUUCUUUGUCAGCGGGCAGGGCUUGGGCAAGGUUCAUCAGCGUCACUCCAGGCGAAUGGAAACAAAAGCUGAAAUGGUUUCGACCCAAGGUAAGUAAUUAAGUAGUACUAGCUAGCUAGCUAGCUGCCAUCUCUUUAAUUAUCAUGCUUGCUUAAUUAUUAUCUGAUCAACUUCCAUUCUCGUAAAGGCCCUGAAGGAGGCGCAGGGGACUGAUCUGUGUGCAUACUGCGUUUGCGAGAACAUUCACAUGAUGGCAUCCGAAAGGAGCAGAUCUCAAAGACAGGAAUGGCACUAGUAGAAAAAGGGUCCAAUCGUGAAGCACAUUAGUGCCGGUUUGAAUUUGAGCUGGCACUAAUGUGUGCAUUAGUGCCGGUUCCAACGGCUAGCCGGCCGCUCUCAUUAGUACCGGUCCGUGGUGAACCUUUAGCACCGGUUCGUGCCAUGAACCGGUACUAAAGUGAGUGGUGGCAGGAUGUUGUCAGUCCGGGGCCCCUCCAGCACCUUUAGUACCGGGUCGUUUCAUGAACCGGUACUAAAGGUCGUCCUACAUAGACCCUUCGUCCACCCGAGCUCGCUUUGUUCUUCCCCUUUCCCCUCUCCUCUCUGUUCUUUUCCCUCUUCCUCUCAAGCUCAUCACACAUUUUGCCCAAAAUUUGUCAAGAUUUGAAGGCCCCCAUCCAUUCAAAUGAUCACAAAGGUUAACAACUUUUUCCUUUCAUCUCUCAUUGCUAGAUUAGCUUGUGCAAUGCUUUAUAUAGUGAUUGAUUUUUGAGUUUAGUAAUUUGGGAGGAAUUAUAUAGAUGUGCUAGUAUUUGAUUUAUAUGCAAUUUGAGGUCAAAAAUAACACUUAGUUUGCAUAUGUAGGUGUGGUUUACGUAGUACCUUCUAAAUCUCCGUCGUAACCACCGUCGAUCGCUCGCAACGUCCCGUCGCCAGCACCACCUUGUGGUGAGCCUCUUGUUCUUGAACUUUUAUAUAAAAAAUUGAUGUUUGUGUGAUUUGGAUAUAUAGUUACUCGUAUAAUUAUCUUACCCAUACGUUGUUUGUUAUACAUAGUGCCAUGGUUUUGAUAUCCGUCCCCGUUGGCCCUCGUCCGGGUUAUGAUUCGGAUGUGGUAUAUUCUCUUUUAAAACUAUUCAUUGCAUUUCGUGUUUAUGACAAAUUAUGCCCAUCAAGUUGACAUAGAUAUUUGUAUGUAGGAGGUAGUUGAACCGGAAAUUCCAACCGACCCUAUUGUCGAGAGGUUAAAUUUAGUUGAAAGAGAAAACGAGGAUUUGAAGGAAAAAUUGAAAAGAAUUGAGGGGGAGAAGAUGGAAUUGGAGUUGCAUGUUGCCGAUGUCGUCGAUAAUCACAAGAUUAAGAUGGAGAAAAUGCGCUUGAAGAUUAGAAAGAUUAGAAAAUAUGCUAUUCAUAGUGAGGCUUGGUAUCAUUAUGCUGUUGGAUCAAUUGUUACCUUAGUUGCGAUCUUGAUCGCAUUUGUUGUUGCAUUUAAAUUCUUUAGCUAGAGAGUUAUUUGUUUGUUGCAUUUAAGUGUUGUAUGAUCUUUAUGUAUGAACUUUAUGUAUUGUAUUAAUUUGACGUUUUCGGUGCUGUCUAUUGAAGAUGAGCCGGCAAUGGAUGUACGAUGACCGAUGCUCUCCCGAAUUCAUUAAUGGUGUGCGUACUUUUCUGCUUGCGGCUGAGGCAAACAAGCGAGCGGAUGGUUUUAUGCCUUGUCCAUGUGCUGGCUGUAAGAAUGGUCACAAUUACUCUACGUCAAGAACCAUUCACGUCCACCUGUUUGAGUCCGGUUUCAUGCCCCACUAUAAUGUUUGGACCAAGCAUGGAGAAAGAGGGGUUAUGAUGGAAGACAAUGAAGAAGAAGAGGACGACGACAGCUAUCCUGGCCAUGGGUUCCCUGAAUACGAUGAUACAACAAUGAGGGAAGAAGCUGAGCCGGUAAUGCGGGAAGAAGCUAAAGAAGAGGCAUCGGAUGAGCCCGUUGAUGAUCUAGGUCAGGCCAUUGCCGAUGCAAAGAGAAACUGCGCAAGUGAUUUGGAGAAGAAGAAGUUGCAGCGCAUGUUAGAGGAUCACAAAAAAUUGUUGUACCCGAAUUGCGUAGGUGACAAGAAAAAGCUGGGCACCACACUGGAAUUGCUGCAAUGGAAGGCAGAGAAUGGUGUAUCUGACAAGGGAUUUGGAAAGUUGCUGGUAAUGAUAAAGGAUAUGCUUCCACAGGACAACGAAUUGCCCGAGAGUACGUACGAAGCAAAGAAGGUUGUCUGCCCUCUAGGGUUAGAGGUGCAGAAGAUACAUGCAUGCCCUAAUGGUUGCAUCCUCUACCGCGAUGAGUACGAGGAUUUGAACGCUUGCCUGGUAUGCGGUGCAUUGCGCUAUAAGAUCAGCCGCGAUGACCCUGGUGAUGUUGAGGGCGAGCGCCCCAGGAAGAAGAUUCCUGCCAAGGUGAUGUGGUAUGCUCCUAUAAUACCCCGGUUGAAACGUUUGUUCCAAAACAAAGAGCAUGCCAAUGCGAUGCGAUGGCACAGAGAAGACCGUAAGAAAGACGGAAAGUUGAGAGUACCCGCUGAUGGGUCGCAGUGGAGAAAAAUCGAAAGAAAGUACGGAAAGGAGUUUGUAGAUGACGCAAGGAACGUAUGGUUUGGUCUAAGCGCAGAUGGCAUUAAUCCUUUUGGGGAGCAGAGCAGCAACCAUAGAACCUGGCAUGUGACUCUAUGUUUGUAUAAUCUUCCUCAUUGGUUGUGCAUGAAGCGGAAGUUCAUUAUGAUGACAGUGCUCAUCCAAGGCCCUAAGCAACCCGGCAACGACAUUGAUGUGUACCUAAGGCCAUUAGUUGAAGAACUCUUACAACUGUGGAAUGGAACAGGUGUACGUGCGUGGGAUGAGCACAUGGGGAAGAAUUUGACCUAAAGGCGUUGCUGUUCGUGACCAUCAAUGAAUGGCUGUUCUCAGUAACCUUUCAGGACAGACAAACAAGGGAUACCGCGCAUGAACGCACUGUUUGGAUGAUACGGACAGUAUAUAUUUGGCUAAUUGUAAGAAGAAUGUGUACCUGGGACAUCGUCGAUUUCUUCCGAGCAGGCAUCCCGUAAGAAAGAAAGGCAAGCAUUUCAAAGGUGAGGCGGAUCACCGGACGAAGCCUCGCCACUGUACUGGUGUUGAUGUACAUGAUAUGGUCAAGGAUUUGAAGGUGGUCUUUGGAAAGGGUCCUGGUGGACAACCUGUUCCGAAUGACGCUGACGGACGCGCACCCAUGUGGAAGAAGAAAUCUAUAUUUUGGGACCUGCCCUAUUGGAAAGACCUAGAGGUCUGCUCCGCAAUCGACGUGAUGCAUGUGACGAAGAAUCUUUGUGUGACCCUGCUUGGCUUCUUGGGCGUGUAUGGGAAGACAAAAGAUACACCUGAGGCACGGGAGGACCAGCAAUGUAUGCACGGAAAAGACGGCAUACAUUAGGGUCAUGCAAGCUAUGCUCUUACAAAAGAAGAGAAGGAAAUCUUCUUUGAAUGCAUGCUCAGUAUUAAGGUACCGUCUGGCUUCUCGACGAAUAUAAAGGGAAUAAUAAACAUGGCAGAGAAAAAGUUCCAGAACCUAAAGUCUCAUGACUGCCACAUGAUUAUGACGCAACUUCUUCCGGUUGCAUUGAGGGUGCUUCUACCAGAAAAUGUUCGAUUAGCCAUUGUGAAGCUAUGUGCAUUUCUCAAUGUAAUCCCUCAGAAGGUAAUCGAUCCAGAAAUCAUACCAAGGUUAGAGAAUGAUUUGGUGCAAUGGCUUGUCAGUUUCGAGUUGGUGUUCCCACCAUCCUUCUUCAACAUCAUGACGCACGUCCUAGUUCACUUAUGCGAAGAGAUUAACGUUUUUGGUCCUGUAUUUCUACACAAUAUGUUCCCCUUUGAGAGGUUCAUGGGAGUCUUAAAGAAAUAUGUUCAUAACCAUGCUAGGCCAGAAGGAAGCAUCUCCAAGGGCCAUGAAAAUGAGGAGGUCAUUGAGUUUUGUAUUGACUUUAUUCCUGACCUUAAGCCGAUUGGUGUUCCUAAAUCGCGGCAUAAGGGCAGACUGGAUGGAAAAGGCAUGCUAGGAGGGGAACAAAUAAUAUGUAUGGACGAACAUUCUCUCACUGAAGCACACUACACAGUUUUACAGAAUUCCGCCUUGGUGGCUCCGUAUAUGUAUGAACACAAGAAUUUGCUACGCUCCAAACACCCGAGCGGUCUGAUGACUGGAUUACACGUGAACUAACUAGGAGUUUCGCCAGCUGGUUGCAGACACGUACCAUGCAUGACACCUCUAUUGAAGAUGACAUGUACUUGCUGUCCCAGUUACCAUCUUCGAAUAUAAUGACUUUCAAAGGGGACGAGAUAAAUGGUAAUACAUUUUACACGAUCGCCCAAGAUAAGAAGAGCACCAACCAAAACAGUGGUGUCUGCUUUGAUGCAGAAACCAAGACGGGAAAGGAAACAUAUUAUGGUUAUAUACAGGACAUAUGGGAACUUGACUAUCGACGUGGUUUGAAGGUCCCUUUGUUUCGGUGCAAAUGGGUCAAUAUGACACGAGGCGGGGUAACGGAAGACCCGCAGUACGGAAUGACAACAGUGGAUCUCAACAAUCUUGCGUAUGCAGACGAACCAUUCGUCCUAGACAAUGAUGUGGCACAGGUUUUCUAUGUGAAAGACAUGUCUACCAAGCCAAGAAAAAGAAAAGAUAAGGAAGCGAAUGCAUUGUACGAUGAGCCAAAGCGGCACAUAGUUCUUUCUGGGAAGAGAAACAUCGUGGGAGUGGAUGACAAGACAGACAUGUCAGAAGAUUAUGAAAAGUUUGAUGAAAUUGCUCCAUUCACGGUGAAUAUUGACCCGAGCAUCCCGUUAAAUGAUGAAGAUUUUCCAUGGUUACGGCGCAAAGGGACACACGCGAAGAAAAAGUUUCACACCCAAAGAUCUGGGAUGUGAUCGGCUUCACUAUCAUCACUUUGUUCUGUGUUUCACACCCAGGAGGGAAUCUCUCUAAUAGUUAGGGUAGUUAUGUGUUUUGGCAUUUGAAAUGCGCAGAAAUUUUAUGUGCAAACAAAUUCUUUCAUGCCUUUACUGAUUUUUAAAGUUAAGUUAUUCACAAACUAGUGAUUCACACUAAUUUCAAAUAAUUCAAAAUUUAAACUAUUAAAAUUUGAAAACUACGGGCACUAAAGAAAGUUUGUAAUUUUUUGUACCUAAAGAAAAAUAUUCACAAAGAAACUCUAAAUACACAAAAAAACAACUCAAAAAUAAAUAAAGCAAAAAAAAUAAAAAUAAAGCCCGCCUACUGGUCCAGAGCGGCCUGCAUACGACUAGAAACCCAACAUGUUGUUGGGCCAGGAUGCAGGCCCGCAAAGGCACAGUAGGCCCACAGGGCAGCACAAAACAUGUAGGCCCAGUAGGCCUGCUUUGGAGAGGAGCUCGAGAGAGCUACCGCACGGGGGGAUAUAAACCAGUGCGGACGCCCCUCGGCUAGCGAGGUGGGACUAAACUUGCCACACCGCACAUGCGCCAGCGCACCCCCUUUAGUACCGGGUGGUGGCACCAACCGGUACUAAAGGGGGGCCUUUAGUACCGGUUGGAGCCACCACCCGGUACUAAAGGGGGUGCGCUUCCCGCCGCUUGGCCUGGCCAAAACAAGCCUUUAGUACCGGUUGGUGGCUCCAACCGGUACUAAAGGUCCAUCCUAUAUAACUAAACACUUCAAAAAUUUCAGUUUCUCAUCUGCUUCUUCUCCUCUGCCCCGUCGCCCGUCGCCCCCGUCUCCAUAUCCCUCGUCGANNNNNNNNNNNNNNNNNNNNNNNNNNNNNNNNNNNNNNNNNNNNNNNNNNNNNNNNNNNNNNNNNNNNNNNNNNNNNNNNNNNNNNNNNNUUUUUCUGUUUUUCAGAAAUAGUUAGAAAUGUUAGAAUUGUUAAAAUAGUUAGAAAUGUUAGAAUUGUUAGAAUUGUUAGAAAUGUUAGAAUUGUAAGAAAUUUUUCUGUUUUUUAGUUAUAGAAAUAGUUAUAAAAAAGUUAGAAUUGUUAGAAAUUUUUCUGUCUUUUAGUUAUAGAAAUAGUUAUAAAAAUGUUAGUUAUAUAUAUAGUAAUGUUAUAAUUUUUUCUGUUUUUUAUUUAUAGAAAUAUUAGAAAUGUUAUAGAAAUGUUAGUUAUAUAUAGCAUUGUUAGAAAUGUUAUAGAAAUGUUAGUUAUAUAGAAAUGUUAGAAAUUUUAGUUAUCAAAAUCCAAUCAUUAAAAAAAUGUUACUUUUUGCGGGCAUAUAGCUAGUAUUUGUUCUCGACGAUGCCCGACCCGCAUCCUCGNNNNNNNNNNNNNNNNNNNNNNNNNNNNNNNNNNNNNNNNNNNNNNNNNNNNNNNNNNNNNNNNNNNNNNNNNNNNNNNNNNNNNNNNNNNNNNNNNNNNNNNNNNNNNNNNNNNNNNNNNNNNNNNNNNNNNNNNNNNNNNNNNNNNNNNNNNNNNNNNNNNNNNNNNNNNNNNNNNNNNNNNNNNNNNNNNNNNNNNNNNNNNNNNNNNNNNNNNNNNNNNNNNNNNNNNNNNNNNNNNNNNNNNNNNNNNNNNNNNNNNNNNNNNNNNNNNNNNNNNNNNNNNNNNNNNNNNNNNNNNNNNNNNNNNNNNNNNNNNNNNNNNUAUAUUAGAAAUGUUAUAGAAAUGUUAGUUAUAUAGCAUUGUUAGAAAUGUUAUAGGAAUGUUAGUUAUAUAGAAAUGAUAGAAAUUUUAGUUAUCAAAAUCCAAUCAUUAAAAAAAUGUUACUUUUUGCGGGCAUAUAGCUAGUAUUUGUUCUCGACGAUGCCCGGCCCGCAUCCUCGCCGUCGACCCGUCCGCGACGACGUCCGACUGACCCAUGUCCGGGACUGGGCUCCACCGGGCUGGCACUGGGAGGUGCUGCCUAGAGGGACGCACCGCUUGAUGAGGAACCCGGCCCCGGGUCACGUCGUCGACCCUGAUCUCGUUUGGUGGCGUUCGCGUGGGCCAGUUUCGGUGUGGAGGGAGCCGGCCCCGCCGGAGGUGGUACGUCGCCGUGUCAGGGAGGAGGACGAGCACGUCCAUUGCUACAUGGUUGCGUUAGAGGGCGGCAGGUUCUCCAAUACCUGGCAGUUUCUUCAGGGAUCUCACUUCAGCUAUGAUCCUGUGAGGGUUCCUUCUCUUUGGGUGUCCACCGCCCGCGUCGCAGGAACUGCGAGUGUCCUAGAUUCUUCGGUAGUCAGUGAUGUAUUCGAUAUAUAAUAUUCGAGACGAUGUAUUCGGAUUAUAUAUUAUUCGAGAUGAUGUAUUCGAGAUUAUAUCUAUUAUUCGAGACAAUGUAUUCGAGAUUAUAUCUAUUAUUCAAGACGAUGUAUUCGAGAUUAUAUCUAUUAUUCGAGACGAUGUAUUCGAGAUUAUAUCUAUUAUUCAAGACGACGUAUUUGAGAUUAUAUUCGAUGAUGCUUAUUAUGUACUAUGAUUGAUUCAGUUUUUCCUUAUUAAUUGAUUGCAUCCAUGCAUUGUAAUUUGAAUAUAUUUCUUUUGGAUUAGUUAAACAAAACCUAUGGCGGACAAUACCGGCAGAGAGGGAGAAGAGGCCCUGUUCAAUAUCAUACGCAAUCCUCGCGGGCCAGAUGAUGAUCAGAAUGAAGAAGAUUAUGACGGCUCCGAAUAUGUAAACAACACCGGGGAGGGUGAUAUGAUAUUCGAUCGCGACGACCGAAUUGAUGAAGUCAUGAACUAUGAACAUGACGAAGAAAAUGUUGAUCUUGAAACAACAAAGACCGGUGAGGUAUAUAUAUUUAUAUAAGCAGGCAUCUGGUGAUCAUCACAUGUUUUAAAUGACUUGAAGAUAUAUUAACGAAACGAUCUUUCUUCUUUCAGCCAUCCAGAUCGAGCAAAUCUUCAGGCAACAGGAUGAAACGAGGCCCAAACAAAAAGUUGAAGGAGGGCAUAAAGUACAAUAUCGAGGCAAUCAGACCUAAUGGCGAACCAUUAGCGCCUAAGAAGAUUGCGGACAAGUUCGUUCGUCAGUGCGGAGUUCUUGUGAAGGACCUACUCCCGAUCUCCCUUCAAGAAUGGAGAGAGCCAGCAAAGCCACGUCCAGGUCUUACUUUUGCCGACGACAGACAAAAAGGUCUGCUUUGGGAUACUCUCAUGGAACAUUUCACCCUACCAGAUCAUUUCACAGAAGCAGAUGUGCAGAAAGUCAAGGACGCUGCUCUUAGGAAGAUGGCGGUUGCAUUCAAGAACCACAAGAAUCAUGAAUGGGACAAGUACGUCAAGGAAGGAAGGAAGACUCCUGUAUUCGAGGGAACACUAGAGAAGCGAAUUGCUCAUUGGGACGAUUUCGUGAAAUUCAAGGAUUCGGAAUUAGCUAAGGAACGGUCGAGAAUAAACAAGAAGAAUGUCGAAAAAAGGAUAAGUUCCAUAAGCUGGGGCCAGGUGGCUAAGCGGUGGCAAUGCCUAAGUGGGAUAAGUUUGAGAAAGAGAUGGAUGAUGCAGGUAUCAUUCCGGUUACUAGGAGCUGGCCCACCAGGUGCAGGACUUGGUUCUAUGCGCAUGGGGGGAGUUGGACCCGAAGACAGGCAAAGUUUUGACGAAGGCAUGUCUGAACGGAGCCGACGAUGCGCUAAUUGUUGCAAUAGAAGAGGCUCGAAUGGGGGUAUUCUAGCCCAACAGAGAGAACGACAAGCUUACGUGUGCCCUAGGAAAUCCUGAACACCUGGGAAGAACACGAGGCAAGGGCGCUAUUCCGUGGUAUGAGGGGUUUUCGGACUGGAACGCCGACUACAGAACCCGUGCGAGAAGGAAGCUUGCGGAGGAGAAGAAGAGGAAGAUGGAGGGGGAGCAGAGGAAGCUGGACUAUGAACGCCUUCAAGGCCUAGAAUCAAAGCACGCGGACUUGGCAGUCAAAUUCUAGCGGCAGCAGGAGCAGAUCGACUCACUUAGCCAGCAAAGGGGGUCUCAGCAGCUGCAGCGGCAAGCGGAUGAUCCCGCAUUGGAUAGCACCACCCCAUCCAUGCCGAGAAGCAGCGUGGGUUCCGCCCCGGGCGACGCAAUGCUGGAUAGAUACCCCAUGGAUGACGUCACGGAGAACACUAACUGUGAGCUACACUUCAAAAUGAAGAACAUAUCCAUGAAGGUGGCGGACGCCGUUGCUUUUACAAAUCCCCCCGAGGCAACCUUCCAUUGCAACCCGAUUCCAGCAGGCUAUGCUCGUGUCUUGGUUGAUGAGGUGGUGGACCCAUAUUCGGGGCUACAUCUUGACAUUCCUGGAGGUGACGACGAGCACACAUUGGGAGAGGCCAUACAUCGUGUCAUCCUAUAGAGAAAGGAUUGCAUCGUCUUUCGAAGGCCACCGGCACCGCGUCACCCGACUCCUCGUCGAAGUCCGCCACCGAGUCAGCAGACUCCCGCUCCUCCAAGUCCACCAAUGCGUGAGGCCACUCCUCCUCCUCCAAGUCCGGCAAAGUGUCAGGCCACUCCUCCUCCAAGUCCGACACAGCGUCAGACGUCCACUCCUCCUCCAAGUCCGGCACAAGUUCAGGCCACUCCUCCUCCAAGUCCGGCACAGCUUCAGGCCACUCCUCCUCGUCCAACUCAGCCCCGUCAGUCGUCUCCGCCGCCUCAGCAAUCGCAGAAGAGACACCCCGCAGCUAUGGUGCGUAGCGGUACGAGUCGAGGUAGUACAGGAAGUACAGGCGGAGGCAAGCGAUAUAAAUAUGGUCCAAGCCUCACUACUCCUCUUCCUCAGAGGGCUUACGAUAGGACCGAGGAGCAAACCAAUGACAUAGUGCGGGCAGAAGUGGACGCCCAUUUUGGACCGAAACCGCCACCGCCGCCAAGGGAGAAAGUGCCUGCGGAAAAGAUUGACCACUUCAUUCGUAUGGCUCAACCACCAGCUCCCAAGCCUGUUGACACAGACUAUGAGCGCCACAUCAGGAAGUUAAAUCGAGCACGUCUACAGAAGGAGGCGAGCUCGAGCAAACAAUAAGCAGCUGCCAAAAAUGCAGGAAAACCGUUCCCCAGCUGGGAGAACAGGCGGCGCAAUCGAUCCCCUCGCUUGUUGUGCCAACAACACGUGACAAUACGCGCGCCCAAUAUUAUUGUGGGCAAACUGUUUACGUUCCCGAGGUGGGCAAUGUGGUAAUAACCGAGGAGCAUAUAAUGCAGGCUGAAAUUCUCAACAUCACUGUUGGACAACUCCUCAAGAUCGAGCCCAUGCCUGUGCUUACAGAGGAGGAAAUAAAACGGAAAUAUGUCCGGGGCGAACCUUUGGUCAAGCCAGACGAGGUCAAGAAGCUCCCAACGAGAAUGUAUGAAUUGCAUCAAUGGUACAUGGACAUUACCAAGAGUUCCAAUCUAGAGUCCCUCAUGGUGGAAGUCAAGAAGUAUCAUUACUACCAUCAGAAAGCUGUGGCCGUUGAGUAUAAUGAACUGUUUCAGUUAUACAAUCAAGACGCACUCGACAAAUCUAUCGUUAGUUGCUAUUGUUUGUAAGUGAUUUCUUUCUGUAAUUUGAGUCUCAAGCUAGCUGUAGUGAUCCUUUUGAUCAAUCAUUACCUGUAAUUAUCCUCACUAUAUUCUUUUCUGUGGUAUUAUGCGGGAUGAAGAUGUAUGAAAUGAAAAAAGGUGGACGCUAUGGCAUUGGGUUCAUUGACCCAAACACCGUUAAUGAAUGCACAUGGAAAAUAGAUCCAUAUCAUGAAAAUCAUGUAGAGGACAGCAUGCUAGAGUUCUUGAAGCGCCUCAAAUACAAUGAAGAUAUACUACUUCCUUACAACUUCCAGUGAGUCACACUGUCUUGUACUAUACAAAUUCUCUAUUUUUGCCUACUAGCUAGCUACAUGUUUUUGCUUACGUAUGCCCAUUUAAUUAAGACAUGCAAAUGUGUGUGCAUGUAGAUUUCACUAGAUCUUGUGUAUCAUUAAAGUUGACGCCGGAACAGUUGAAAUACUGGACUCACUACUCAAAGCAAAUAAUGACUAUAACAUCUUGUUUGGGAUAGUCAACAGGUAAUUUCAAUCAUUAUUAACUAUAUAUCUCGGCCUAUUUAGUUCGUCAUUUCAUGAUAUGAACUAUUUAAUAACCCCUUUAUUCAUUUUCUUUGUUGGCGGGUAGGGCUUGGGCAAGGUUCAUCAGCGUCUCUCCAGGCGAAUGGAAACAAAAGCUGAAAUGGUUUCGACCCAAGGUAAGUAAUUAAGUAGUACUAGCUAGCUAGCUAGCUGCCAUCUCUUUAAUUAUCAUGCUUGAUUAAUUAUUAUCUGACCAAAUUCCAUUCUCGUAAAGGCCCUGAAGCAGGCGUAGGGGACUGAUAUGUGUGCAUACUGCGUUUGCGAGAACAUUUGCAUGAUGGCGUCCGAAAGGAGCAGAUCUCAAAGACAGGAAUGGCACUAGUAGAAAAAGGGUCAAACGUGAAGCACAUUAGUGCCGGUUUGAAUUUGAGCCGGCACUAAUGUGUGCAUUAGUGCCGGUUCCAACGGCUAGCCGGCCGCUCUCAUUAGUACCGGUUCGUGGAGAACCUUUAGCACCGGUUCGUGCCACGAACCGGUACUAAAGUGAGUGGUGGCAGGAUGUUGUCAGUCCGGGGCCCCUCCAGCACCUUUAGUACCGGGUCGUAUCACGAACCGGUCCUAAAGGUCGUCCUACAUAGACCCUUCGUCCACCCGAGCUCGCUCUGUUCUUCCCCUUUCCCCUCUCCUCUUUGUACUUUUCCCUCUUCCUCUCAAUCUCAUCACACAUUUUGCCCAAAAUUUGUUAAGAUUUGAAGGCCCCCAUCCAUUCAAAUGAUCACAAAGGUUAGCAACUUUUUCCUUUCAUCUCUCAUUGCUAGAUUAGCUCGUGCAAUGCUUUAUAUAGUGAUUGAUUUUUGAGUUUAGUAAUUUGGGAGGAAUUAUAUAUAUGUGCUACUAUUUGAUUUAUAUGCAAUUUGAGGUCAAAAAUAACACUUAGAACCAUUCACGUCCACCUGUUUGAGUCCGGUUUCAUGCCCCACUAUAAUGUUUGGACCAAGCAUGGAGAAAGAGGGGUUAUUGUGGAAGACAAUGAAGAAGAAGAGGACGACGACAGCUAUCCUGGCCAGGGGUUCCCUGAAUACGAUGAUACAACAAUGAGGGAAGAAGCUGAGCCGGUAAUGCGGAAAGAAGCUGAGCCGGCAAUGCAGGAAGAAGCUGAAGAAGAGGCAUCGGAUGAGCCGUUGAUGAUCUAGGUCGGGCCAUUGCCGAUGCAAAGAGAAACUGCGCUAGUGAUUUGGAGAAGAAGAAGUUGCAGCGCAUGUUAGAGGAUCACAAAAAAAUGUUGUACCCGAAUUGCGUAGGUGACAAGAAAAAGCUGGGCACCACACUGGAAUUGCUGCAAUGGAAGGCAGAGAAUGGUGUAUCUGACAAGGGAUUUGGAAAGUUGCUGGUAAUGAUAAAGGAUAUGCUUCCAAAGGACAACGAAUUGCCCGAGAGUACGUACGAAGCAAAGAAGGCUGUCUGCCCUCUAGGGUUAGAGGUGCAGAAGAUACAUGCAUGCCCUAAUGAUUGCAUCCUCUACCGCGGUGAGUACGAGGAUUUGAACGCUUGCCCGGUAUGCGGUGCAUUGCGCUAUAAGAUCAGCCGCGAUGACCCUGGUGAUGUCGAGGGCGAGCGCCCCAGGAAAAAGAUUCCUGCCAAGGUGAUGUGGUAUGCUCCUAUAAUACCACGGUUGAAACGUUUGUUCCAAAACAAAGAGCAUGCCAAGGCGAUGCGAUGGCACAGAGAAGACCGUAAGAAAGACGGAAAGUUGAGAGUACCCGCUGACGGGUCGUAGUGGAGAAAAAUCGAAAGAAAGUACGGGAAGGAGUUUGCAGAUGACGCAAGGAACGUAUGGUUUGGUCUAAGCGCAGAUGGCAUUAAUCCUUUUGGGGAGCACAGCAGCAACCAUAGCACCUGUCCUAUGACUCUAUGUUUGUAUAACCUUCCUCUUUGGUUGUGCAUGAAGCAGAAGUUCAUUAUGAUGCCAGUGCUCAUCCAAGGCGCUAUGAAAAAAAUUCUUAUUUUUAACAGAAGCGCGAUAAAAUACUGAUUAUUUUUGCAGAAGAUUAAUAAAUAAAUUGUUUAGGUCGUCCUAAAUAUUCAGAAUUUUUGAAGUUAAAGAAGUAUUCAUAAUAUCCAGAUUGCUACAGACUGUUCUGUUUUUGACAAAUUCUGUUUUCUAUGUGUUGUUUGCUUAUUUUGAUGAAUCUAUGGCUCGUAUCGGGGCGGGGGGUAUGAACCAUGGAAGAGUUAAAAUACAGUAGAUAUUACACCAAUAUAAAUAAAAAAUGAGUUCACAACAGUAUCAAAAGUGGUGAUUUAUUUUCUUAUAACGGGGCUUAUGAUAUUUUCUGUCGAGUUUUGUGUUGUGAAGUUUUCAAGUUUUGGGUAAGGAAUUGAUGGACUAUGGAAUAAAGAGUGGCAAGAGCCUAAGCUUGGGGAUGCCCAAGGCACCCCAAGGUAAUAUUCAGGGAUAACCAAGAGCCUAAGCUUCCGGGGCAUCCCCUCUUUCGUCUUCAUUUAUCGGUAACUUUACUUGAGGCUAUAUUUUUAUUCACCACAUGAUAUGUGUUUUGCUUGGAGCAUCGUGUAUGAUUUGAGUCUUUGCUUUUCAGUUUGCCACAAUCAUCCUUGUUGUACACACCUUUUGAGAGAGACACACAUGAAUCAUGAUUUAUUAGAAUACUCUAUAUGCUUCACUUAUAUCUUUUGAGGUAGGCAAUUUUGCUCUAGUGCUUCACUUAUAUCUUUUUAGAGCACAGCGGUGGUUUUAUUUUAUAUAAAUUGAUGAACUCUCAUACUUCACUUAUAUUAUUUUGAGUGUCUCUAAACAGCAUGGUAAUUAGCUUUGGUUAUAAAUUUAGUUCUAAUAUGAUAGGCAUCCAAGAGAGAUAUAAUAAAAACUUUCAUAUAAAGUGCAUUGAAUACUAUGAGAAGUUUGAUUCCUUAUGAUUGUUUUGAGAUAUGAAGAUGGCGAUAUUAGAGUCAUGCUAGUGAAGUAGUUGUGAAUUUGAGAAAUACUUGUGUUAAGGUUUGAGAGUCCCGUAGCAUGCACGUAUGGUGAAUCGUUAUGUAACGAAGUUGGAGCAUGAGAUAUUUUUGAUUGUCUUCCUUAUGAGUGGCAUCUGGGGACGAGCGAUGGUUUUUUCCUACCAAUCUACCCCCUAAGAGCAUGCGCGUAGUACUUUUGAUGACUAGUAGGUUUUUGCAAUAAGUAUGUGAGUUCUUUAUGACUAAUGUUGAGUCCAUGGAUUAUAUGCAGUCUCACCCUUCCGCCAUUGCUAGCCUCUCUUGUACAGCACAACUUUCACCGCUAUCAUAAACCCACCAUAUACCUUCCUCAAAACAGCCACCAUACCUACCUAUUAUGGCAUUUCCAUAGCCAUUCCGAGAUAUAUUGCCAUGCAACUUUCCACCGUUCUGCUUAUUAUGAAAUGCAUCAUCAUUGUCAUAUUGCUUUGCAUGAUCAUGUAGUUGACAUUGUAUUUGUCGCAAAGCCACCGUUCAUUAGUUUUUUAUACAUGUCGCUCUUAAUUCAUUGCACAUCCCGGUACACCGUCGGGGGCAUUCAUAUAGAGUCAUAUCUUGUUCUAGUAUCGAAUUGUAAUUUUUGAGUUGUAAGUAAAUAGAAGUAUGAUGAUCUUCCUUUUUAGAACAUUGUCCCAUGUGAGGAAAUAAAAUAAAAAAGAGGAAAAGAAAAAAAGAGCAAAAAAAGAAAAAAAGAGAAGAAGAAAAAAAAAGGAGGGAAAGAAAGAAAAAACGAGAGAAAAAGAGAGAAGGGGCAAUGUUAUUGUCCUUUUCCAUACUUGUGCUUCAAAGUAGGACCUUGAUCUUCAUGAUAGAGAGUCUCCUAUGUUCUUACUUUCAUAUACUAGUGGGAAUUUUUCAUUAUAGAACUUGGCUUGUAUAUUCCAACGAUGGGAUUCCUCAAAAUGCCCUAGGUCUUCAUGAGCAAGCAAGUUGGAUGCACACUCACUUAGUUUUCUUUUCGAACUUUCAUAAACUUAUAGCUCUAGUGCAUCUGUUGCAUGGCAAUUCCUACUCACUCACAUUGAUAUCUAUUAAUGGGCCUCUCCAUAGCCCGUUAAUACCCCUAGUUGAUGUGAGACUAUCUCCCUCUUUUUGUCUUCUCCACAACCACCGUCUAUUCCACCUAUAGUGCUAUGUCCAUGGCUCAUGCUCAUGUAUUGCGUGAAAGUUGAAAAGGUUUGAGAACAUCAAAAGUAUGAAACAAUUGCUUGGCUUGUCAUCUGGGUUGUGCAUGAUUUGAAUAUUUGUGUGAUAAAGAUGGAGCAUAGCCAGACUAUAUGAUUUUGUUAGGAUGAGAUUUCUUUGGCCAUGUUAUUUUGAGAAGACAUAAUUAUCUUGUUAGUAUGCUUGAAGUAUUAUUGGUUUAUGUCAAUAUUAAACUUUUGUUUUGAAUCAUACGGAUCUGAACAUUCAUGCCACAAUAGAGAAAAUUACAUGGAUAAAUAUGUUAGGUAGCAUUCCACAUCAAAAAUUAUGUUUCUAUCAUUUACCUACUCGAGGACGAGCAGGAAUUUUCCGGAGUACCGGGGGCUACCGGAACCCCCCGGGAGUUAAUGAGCCUUCAUGGGCCCUAGUGGAGAGAGGAGGCGGCAGCCAGGUGGUGGCGCACGCCCCCCCAAGCCUGAACCGAAUUGGACUAGGGUUGGGGGGCCGGCCCCCCUUUCCUUCUCUCCUUCUCCUCCUUCCCUCCUUCUCCUAGUGGGAAUAGGAAGGGGGGCGAAUCCUACUUGGACUGGGAGUCCAAGUAGGACUCCUCCCAUGGCGCAUCCCCCCUUGGGCCGGCCACCUCUCCCUUCCCCUUUGUAUACGUGGGAGGGGGGCACCCCAAAGGCACACCAAGCCUUCUCUUAGCCGUGUGCGGUGCCCCCCUCCACAGUUUCACACCUCGGUCAUAUCGUCGUAGUGCUUAGGCGAAGCUCUGGGCCGGUAGCUUCAUCAUCACCGUCGACACGCCGUCGUGCUGACGAAACUCUCCCUCAUCCUCAAUUGGAUAAAGAGAUCGAGGGACGUCAUCGAGCUGAACCGCUAGGGGUACGAAGGAGGAGGAGACCGGAUGCGUUAAGCUAGUUGGUAAGAGUUCUUGUCAUUAUUGAUAGUGGCCCUAGAGAAAGAGAUUACGCUGAUUGUUCUAACUUCAUUCAUAUUUGAUUCCGCAACUGAGACCUUUUCCCACAUCUGUGCCAGGAGGGCAAGUGGUCAAAGCAGAAAGGGUUCUCGCUUCUCCUUCUGGAAGGGUGUGCUGAACACGGAGGUCCCGUAUGUUCGGUGCUUGGAUCGGUUGGAUCGCGAAAACGUUCGACUACAUCAACCACGUUACUAAACGCUUCCGCUUUCGGUCUACGAGGGUACGUAGACAAACUCUCCGCUCUCGUUGCUAUGCAUCUCCUAGAUAGAUCUUGCGUGAUCAUAGGUAAAAAUUUUGAAAUACUGCGUUCCCCAACAUGCUUGCGUUUAUUUCACUACAUCAUGUCAUCUUACUUAAUGCGUUACUCUGUUCUUAUGAACUUAAUACUCUAGAUGCAGGCAAGAGUCGGUCGAUGUGUGGAGUAAUAGUAGUAGAUGCAGGCAGGAGUCGGUCUACUUGAUACGGACGUGAUGCCUAUGUUCAUGAUCAGUGCCUUAGAUAUCGUCAUAACUUUGCGCUUUUCUAUCAAUUGUUAGGCAGUAAUUUGUUCACCCACCGUAAUAUUUUCUAUCUUGAGAGAAGCCUCUAGUGAAACCUAUGACCUCUAGGUCUACUUUCCAUCAUAUAAGUUUCCAAUCUACAAUUUUAGUUUCCUAUUUACUUCCUUUGCAACCUUUUACUUUCCGUUUCAUAAACCAAAAAUAUCAAAAAUAUUACUUUACCGAUUAUCCAUCUCUAUCAUAUCUCACUUUGCAAAUAAUCCCAAAGGGAUUGACAACCCGUUUAGCGCCUUGGGUGCAAGUAGGUGUUUGUUUGUGCAGGUACUCAAUGACUUGUGUGUCGUCUCCUACUGAAUUGAUACCUUAGUUCUCAAAACUGAGGGAAAUACUUACUCUACUUUGCUUCAUCACCAUUUCCUCUUCAAGGGAAAAACCAACGCAAGCUCAAAAGGUAGCAGACCUCCAGUCGUAGCCGCCAUGAUUUUCUUCACGUCUAUCAAUGCCUUGAGAAUUUUGACUUGGACAUGUCCUAUGGCAUGAAUAAGAAAUCGAAGCUUCGCGCCGCGUCCUCUUGAGGCCGUGUUGGCUGAUAAUAUUAGUGCGCAUGACCAGAGCCUUUCUGAUCAAGAUAUCCAAGGACGACAUACACCAAUUCAUAUAGAUCUCCGCUCGGAAAGACCGAAACUCAUCAACGGCCAGAUCCAAGUUGUCGACAUCUGACAGAAAGACGACUUGGCGGAAGAAAAGCAUCAGGGCCAAACCACCAUUAUUAGUCCAAAGCUAAUAGCCUCCACGCCGCCCUCCUCUCGAUCCAGACAGGAAGAAAAAGAUCAACGACGUCGCAUCAUGCCACUCGCAUUCGUGGAGGCUUGAACAUGGCAAGACGCCAACCAUGGCUAGAGACGGGGACCAGCCACUCUGGCCAGAUCCGGCGACUCCUAGUCCCACCGCUCCCGCUACGGCGGCACCGCAUGUAGCCUACAAGCCCAUCCACGAUGAUGUCUGAUUAGAAGGAUAUAUGGAUAUACAGAUGAAAAGGCCCUUGUUAUCCCUCCAACAAUAUAUAUAAAGCUUAUUGGGACAUGAGAAAGCUUGCACAAGGCUAUGGAAAUGUAUUGCCAGACAGAGAUAUACGAUUUUCGUUCGGCAUCCAAACCGCUUGUGUCACGCUUAAUCGAUGGUCACUCUAAUUUUUCCGGCGGGCCUUCCCUGUGGUACUGCAGCCUUACAUGUGUAUUAGUGGUUAGGGCGUCAUCCGUGGCGCCGCUUAAGAGGAAGUUGUUUGCACGCUUUUAUUUUUUUUAAAUCAUGUACUCCUCAUCUCUAUCUAAAAAAAUAUUUAUAGAAAAUCCUCAUCUCCAUCUAGAAAAAGAAGUAAAAAAGAAAAAAAAAAUCACCAACGCAACCUUACAGCGAGCGCCACUUAGCGUAGUCCUCCAUUUAAAAAAAUAUGAAGUCAUCACCUUCAUAUAAAAAGAAAAAAACAUUUUAAAAACGUUUUCAUCUCCAUCUAAAAAUAAUAUCCCAAAAGCUUUUUCACUACGGCCAACCAGCUUGUACCAUGUGCCAUAACUGAUUGGCCGCUCUUCAUGCAUAGCUUAAUGGGUUUAAUGAGUUUCAUAUAGCUAUUCAUUAAGAAGAAAACCAAAAUUACUUGGAGUUAAUAACUAAUACGUUUCCUUUAACUAACACGUGCACGGCGAGGAUUUACGUGCAUGAUGUUUUUUCCUCUCCCCACGUCGUAUUGGGCCGGCCCAUUCGUGCACAUCUCUAUUUCUAAUGCAGCAGUUGGUAGUCUCAUUUUCAGGGUUUUUUUGUCCCACCUUUCAUGGUUUUUUUAUACCUCCUUCCACCUUCGCUGGUUUUUUUCAUAAAUUUUUUGUCCCCUCCCCCUAUUUCAUCGGUUUAUUUUCGCGUCACCCUCUCACACAAUGAAAGAAAUCUGAACAGAUUAGAACUUUCCAUGCUGGCGCAAGUUAUUUAGUAAUGUAGAAUCAAUCACGAACAAUCGCUAAAGAUCAAAUCCAAGUUAAUUAACCUUACCUUAAAUCACUCAAUCACAUUAAUUAGAAAACAAAUAAUUGAUUUUCAGAAAAAUUGCUCAAUCACAUUAACCUUACCUUAACUCACGGAUGGUAAUCAAUCUUCAAACAAAGGAAACAAUACAUCAAGGGAGCAGUAAAUAAACUCCCUUUCUUAUGACAUGUAUAUGAUCUUUCCUUCCCUCUCCGUUGUCGAGCGUUCUUGAUUCUCAAGGCCGAUUCUUGGGCUGCGUCACUGGGUCGCGACGGUGCCGAAGGACGAGGAUGGCGAGGCCGGGUGUCGCGGCACCGCGUUGGCCGUGGCUGAUGAAGGGGGUGAAGAAGGGCGGCUUCCCUGGCCGUGGCCCUGGGAGUUGGUGCGGUGGAAACGUCACUUGAAGGACCCGACGUGGGUGGCCGACGCGCAGACGCACUUGGAAGCGGGCCCAUGGCCCGCGCCGGACGGCGCCGACGCCGACCUGGACCACCUCCUCCGUGUAUCCUUGGAGCUAUGGCUGGCCAAUUUAUAUGAAAUUAAUUCCCUCAGUUGUGGUGGCAAAUAUAAUACACAUAAUCCAUAUUGUUAUGCACUAGUGUGUGUGUGUGUGAAAUAGAUGGAUUAUGGUCCCGUACCAAUAAGAUGGAUAUAUGUGUGUGUUAGAGAGAGAGAGAGAGAGAGAGACAGAGAGGGAGAGGGGGAGAGAGAGUGAGGAAAAGGGAGGGAGAGUGUGUGUAUGAGGAUUUGAUGGUAAAAAAAGUCGCCAAUGUCAUUUGAUAUGUAUGAAAAUAUUAAUAUUAAACUUUUAAAGUUAAUGUGGCCCCGUUAAAAUACACAAGCGUUCUUAUAGUAUAGUUAGAGAAAGACAUGAGGAAAAGGAAGAACCGGGAUCGAUUCCUAGUCUUCUCAAGGUGGCCGCGUGGGUUUGUCUCAAAAAAAAAAGGUGACAGCGUGGGUGCUACUACCGGUCCGCCCAAGUCCGGUUCGUGAUAAGUUGUAGGUGCGCGUCGUACUUGAGGCGAUUGAGGCCUGUUUUAUUUGAGUUUUUCCUCUCUUUUUUCUUCUUCAUUUUUUUCAUUCUUUUUUGCACUCCGUUUCUUUGUUUUGUCAUUCUUUUUUUCUUUUGUUUAUUUUCUUUUUUUCCGGUUUUCUUUGUUCUAUUGGUUAUUAUUGUACAUUUUUUGUAUACGUCUACAACAUUUUUUUCUAAUACACAUCUAACAUUUUUCAAAUACAAACCAACCAUUUUUGUAAUACAUUGUCAAGAUUUUUUUGUACACAUUUUUAAAUGCUUGUUUGUCAUUUUUCAAAUACAAGAUUAACAUUUUUUCAAUACAUGGUCAACAAUUGUUUUUGCCAUUUUUACAAAAAAAUUAAAUGCUUGAUUAACAUUUUCUUAAUGCAUGGUCAUUUAUUUUUCUAUACACAUUUAACAUUGUCCAAAUGCUUAAUUAACAUUUUCAAACCCUUGUUCAACAUCUCUUUUAAAAUGCUUGAUUCACAUUUCUGUAUACAUGAUCAAACAUUUUUAUCAUUUUUAAUACAUGGUCGACGGUAUUACCCAUACACAUUUAACAAUUUCCCAAUUCUUGAUUAACAUUGUUUAAGUACUCGUUCAACAUUUUCUCAAAUGCAUAACGUUGACAUUGUUGAAAAGUGGCAUCACAAGUUCCAGGGAGUAGAAAAGAGAUUAAUCAACGAAACCGCGCGAACUUUGUGGUGCUAUUGUGUUAUAUCAACUACUCCUUUCGUUCCGAAUUACUUGUCACAAGUAUGUAUGUAUAUCUAGAUAUAUUUUAAUUUUAGAUACAUCCAUUUAUGCGACGAGUAAUUUGGAACGGAGGGAGUAUGUGUCUGUUAUGUCACCAAAUUCAGUAUAUAUAGAACAUGGAAAUACAGUAAUAGUGAGCUCACUCGGUGGGAGCCCGUCACGGCCAUGGGAAUAGGAUCCUCCUCGUACUGCUCCUCUCCUGCCCUGCCCUGAGGAGCAGUAUCGUCCGUCGUCGCCGAGCGGCGCAGCAGCCGGUGGCCGAGGGGAGACCGAGAUUUAUUCUCCGGAGGCGCCGAAUCCGGCUCGUAAGUCGAAAUCCCUCUCUGUCCCGCCUCUCGGAUCCUCCCACCGAUCUCCUACUUCCCUGCCGCCAAUGCCCGCCUUUUCUUUGGACUCCGAGCGAGGAAUCGGAGGGAAAGCUGUGUACUUCCUGUGGCUUCAUACCCCGGUAAUGGCGGCCCUGCUUGCCGUUGCCGCUUGGUCCACUCUCUGCGUGCCCGUCUGCAAGGUGUUCGAUGGAUUGUGCGCAGGGUGUCGGCCCGGCUGGCCUCGUUUCACUUCUUCCAGGUUUCAGUCCGUUUACCGCCGGUUGCUGAAAAUGUGCACGAGAAGCAUAAGAAUGCUGGGAUAUGCGCUCUUUGUUUACCGUUUACUGUCAUUUGUUUGGUUGCAGGAAGCACCCGGCCUUAAGCAUAGUACUACAUAUAAAGUUGUAUGUUCUGUUCCGUUUGUUUGUUUGCUGUCUGAUGAUUGAGACAAGUGCAUAAUCUAAAGUUUGGCACCUGCACUUGCACCUGCUCCUGCACAUUUAUGUGUUGGAAACUGGAAUCUGUUCAGUGUAGUAUGGCCAUGCCACAUGUUUUGGCUUUAGCCUAAGGACCAAUUGCUUCUUGACUUUCUUGGAUGCUUGCUGGCCCAACCUUGGAUCUGUAUCUUUCUAAUAGUCUUCUAAAUCAGAAACAUAACGAUUUUUUGUGCUGCUUACUAGAUUCGGUGUGUUUACUUAGCGUGUUUAGUCGAAUCAUCUGUCAUUGUUCUCUCAAGUUACUUUUCCUUGCGAUAUUCAACCCAGCGGUUUAAAAUUCCUGCAAUUGCUUCAUUCAGAUUGAUUUUUCGCUUCUUUGUUGCUGAUUUCCUUUCAACGUUUGGGCUGAGGCUCCAAAUGUUGGUACUCUUUUAACCGGAGUAUGUUACUUUGGAGAAUAGAAGAAUUAUGCAUUGGUAUCAUGAUAACAUAUGCCUAAUGGUUUUUCUUACAGGAGGGCGUUUCCAACACAUAAAUAGUUUGCUAGCAUGCAGACAGUGUCCAGUAGCCUUUGCGCCAUUUGAGGCAUAAUGGACAUAGCUUUUAUCAUGUUGUUGGUUCUUUCUCUGCUCCUGUUCCCUAAUGGCAUCUGCAAGAGUUUAGCUACAGGACCUCCUGUUGUGAAUAUUGGGUCUAUUCUUCAGUUUGACUCCACCACCGGGGGUGUUGCGGCAGUUGCCAUCCAUACAGCCGUGGAAGAUAUCAACUCUGAUCCAACAGUUCUAAAUGGAACUACACUAAAGGUUCAAAUCAAGGAUACAAAUUGCUUUGAUGGUUUCCUUGGCAUGGUUCAAGGUAGGCUAGCUUUAAUGCCACUCAUUCAUUUCACAACCUUCAAAUAGUUAUUACUUCUGUUGUGGAGUUGUGGCAAUGAUGCCGUGUUCCUUGUAUCAGCUUUGCAGUUCAUGGAGACUGAUGUUAUUGCACUCAUUGGCCCUCAGUGCUCCACAAUUUCUCAUAUCAUUUCAUAUGUAGCAAAUGAGCUUCGAGUCCCUUUGAUGUCCUUUGCUUCUGAUGCAACUCUUUCAUCAAUACAGUUCCCGUUCUUUGUCAGGACGGGUCCCAGUGAUCUCUAUCAAAUGGCGGCUGUGGCAGAAGUUGUUGACUACAACCACUGGAAGAUAGUGACUGCCAUAUACAUUGAUAAUGUUUAUGGUAGAAAUGGCAUUGCUGCUUUGGAUGAUGCACUCACUUUAAAGCGCUGCAAAAUAUCCUACAAGGUUGGGUUUCCUUCCAACGCUAAAAGGAGUGACCUCAUAAAUUUGUUGGUUAGUGUCAGUUCUAUGGAGUCUCGUGUUAUCAUUCUCCAUACUGGAACUGAACCUGGACUCAAGCUUUUCUCUAUGGCACACCAACUGAACAUGAUGGGCAACGGCUAUGUGUGGAUUGCAACUGACUGGCUGUCUGCAUAUCUUGAUGCUAAUUCAUCAGUUCCUGUUGAGACUAUAUCUGGCCUGCAAGGUGUUCUUACUUUACGGCCACAUAUUCCCAACUCAAAGAUGAAGAGUAAUUUGGUCUCCAAAUGGAGCACGCAAAGUAAAAAGUACAACUACAGUGAUGUUUGUAUAAAUACUUAUGGUUUUUAUGUUUAUGAUAGUGUCUGGGCAGUAGCUCAUGCUCUGGAUGCCUUCUUUGAUGAUGGUGGUAGGAUUUCCUUUUCAAAUGACUUGCAUGAUGGAACUGGAGGAACUCUUCACCUUGAAGCAAUGAGCAUUUUUGACAUGGGAAAUAAAUUACUGGAGAAGAUUAGAAAGGUAAACUUCAGUGGGUUAUCUGGGCAAGUGCAAUUCGAUGCUGUAGGCAACCUCCUUCACCCUGCGUAUGACAUCAUAAAUGUCAUCGGAAAUGGCAUGCGGACCAUUGGUUUUUGGUCAAACUAUUCUGGCUUGUUGUCGACUGUCUCUCCAGAGGCUCUAGAUUCAAAGCCUCCUAAUACUUCUCUAGCCAAUCAGCAUCUCUAUGAUGUUAUUUGGCCUGGGGAGACUGCACAGAGGCCUCGAGGAUGGGUUUUUCCUUCUAAUGCCAAGCAGUUGAAAAUUGGUGUUCCCAACAGAUUUAGCUUCAAAGAGAUCGUCACGGUAGACAAUGCUACUGGGUCAAUGAAGGGUUAUUGCAUCGAUGUCUUUACUCAGGCAUUGGCUUUGCUUCCUUAUCCUGUUAGUUACAAGUUUGUACCUUUUGGGAAUGGUACUGAAAAUCCUAAUUAUGACAAACUCGUACAGAUGAUUGAAUCAAAUGUAAGUACGGAAUGCCUCUUUUUUCUUCCUCGAACCAUUUCAUCAUAUACCAUGCUGACCAGGGGCAUCUUAUCCUGCAGGAGUUUGAUGCAGCUAUAGGGGAUAUUGCAAUUACAAUGAGGCGGACAGUAACUUUUGAUUUCACCCAGCCAUUCAUUGAAACAGGCUUGGUUAUCUUGGCUCCGGUUAAAGAGCAUAUAACAUCGUCCUGGGCAUUCUUGCAGCCAUUUAGUUUGGAGAUGUGGUGUGUUACAGGGCUAUUCUUUCUUAUUGUGGGUGUGGUUAUUUGGAUUCUUGAACAUCGGAUCAAUGACGAUUUCCGUGGUUCAGUAUGUCAACAAAUAAUAACUAUUUUCUGGUAAGGAGCUGACCUGCACCUUUUGUACCGUCUUCUUGUAUAUCAUUCCUGUUUUCGAAGUGUUGAUGUUUUAACAAGUCUUGUGCAAUAUGUUGCAUACAGCGAGUACCUUAGAGCAGUGGCCAGUUAACAUACCUAAAUGAAGCAUCUAGUGAUUACCAAUGAACUACUCCCUCCGCCCCAUAAUAUAAGGGCGUUUUUGACACUACACUAGUGUCAAAACGCUCUUAUAUUAUGGGACGGAGGGAGUAUUAUCUUAAUAAUCUUGUGAGACAUAUAUACAUGCACAGCAUAUAUAUUCGCUUAAUGAUAUUUAUGAUGCAUUGCUCUAUUUUUCCUGUUUUCACAUACUUCUCUUCUCCACAUGUAUUUGCCAAAUGCUCUUAUAAUGGCGUGAUUCCUUGCUGUGAUUAUAAUUUCAAUUUUUAUUGCCUGCAGGUUCAGCUUUUCGACUUUGUUCUUCGCACACAGUAAGUAAACCAACCUUCUCUCUUAUGUGUUUUUUUUUUUGGCUAUAACAUUUUGUUCUGAGGCAUGAGGCAUGACUCGUGAUUUCAUAUGUAUCUGCGCGCAGGAGAAAAUACUAUGAGCACCUUAGGGCGUGGUGUCCUGAUCAUAUGGCUGUUUGUUGUUUUGAUAAUUGUAUCCAGCUAUACCGCGAGUCUUACUUCCAUCCUGACCGUGCAACAACUCGAUACUUCUAUAAAAGGAAUCGAGGACCUGAAAAAUAGCAAUGAUCCUAUUGGUUUCCAAGUUGGUUCUUUUGCACAAGACUACAUGGUCAAGGAGCUCAACAUCUCACGGUCAAGGCUAAGAGCUCUUGGUUCACCACAAGAAUACGCUGAAGCCCUCAAGAUAGGCCCUAAGGAAGGAGGUGUUAUGGCCAUUGUCGACGAGCGCCCCUAUGUUGAACUGUUUUUGUCAUCCUACUGCAAGAUUGCGGUAGCUGGCACAGAUUUCACCAGCAGAGGAUGGGGCUUUGUAAGUACAGUUCAACCAUAUUCUUUUAUAUAAAUUAGAAUAUAAGAACAAAAAUUGCUGUUAAUGUCCUGGAAUAGAGGUUUUAACUUUGAAUAGUUGUGUCUAGUCUUUAGUUUAUGCAACUUUUAUUGCACUUACCUGCGGCUACUUUGUUUCACAAAUCGAAAUGUAGCACCUUACAAAUUCAUUCUGCCAGGCAUUUCCAAGGGACUCCCCUUUGCAAGUAGACCUCUCCACCGCAAUCCUGUCUCUGUCAGAGAAUGGGGAGCUGCAGCGGAUCCAUGCCAAAUGGCUCAAUACAGGGGAGUGCACAACUGACAACAGUGAGCUUGUCGACUCGAACCAGCUCCGCCUUGAGAGCUUCCUUGGUCUGUUCCUAAUCUGUGGUGUGGCAUGUGUUCUCGCGCUGCUACUCUACUUUGGUAUCAUGCUAUGCAAAUAUCUGAGGCAUGAACCGUGGAAGAGCCUCAGAAGAUUCAUCUCGUUCGUCCAUGGGAAGGAGCCGCCGAAGAACAAGGAGAGGCGGUCCAUGAGCCUGCCUGGAAGCUCAACGCCAACAACGCCGAUGAGCAGCCAUAGUUCCCUUGACAUGGAAAGGCCGGCCAGGCCAGUCAGAAACGGUAGCAUUAUUGACAUGGAAAGCUAAUUCAUGUGUAGAAAGCUAGUUAACAAUGCGGUCGACUAACCUAGGUUCUGGUAGUCGGACAGCAGGGCUGUAUAGGAGGAUUCGAAAUACUUCUUAAGUACUCCCUCCGAUUCAACUUAAUUAACUUUGACUUGGUACAACCUUAGUACAAAGUUGUACUAAGUCGGCGCAAUUAAUUUUGAUCUGAGGGAGUACUAAAGUUUAUGAAAUAACAGAAGGAAGGAUUAAUAAGAAAUAGAAAUAUUGAAAUGCUCCUCCUGUCCUACAUAUAUUGUUUUUACCUUUGCAUGUGUUUGAUAGGGCGUAGUAGUAGUGUGUGGGUACUUCAGUUAGAAGGUAUGCAGUGGACCAGUCUAUCGACCGUGUGGCAAUGCCUGUAGUUUGUAGCACUAAACUUUGAUGCCCAUUCAUAAACUAAUUUAGAUGGAGCCGCACAAAAAUUGUGUUUUUUUUUUUGCUCACACACUCUGUUUUGUCUCAGUUUUAGUCCAGCGCAACUUUGAAGCUUAUCCAGGGCAACUUUGAAGCUUAUCCAGGGCAACUUUAACUAUUUACAGGAGAAAUUGUUAAAGACCUUAUUAAGUGAAGAAGAAUAGACGUCUCCAGUUUUUGUUUCUCCAACUCUAUGCCUACACUGUAAAUUAUUUAUGAAUUAGCUCCAGUUGAUGCAACUGUACUCUUUCUGGUAGGUCUGAGAUGGACUGAGCAUCCUAAGCUAGCUACUUGUCUCCCUUAGGUUUUACAGCAAGACAAAUGCACUGGACUACAAAGAGGAAAAUUCUUGCAGGUUCGUAAUGAAUCUGUUUUGGUUCUGGCAUUCACACCAAUCAUAAAGCAGUGUUUGUUAGUAGCGGAGUGGUAGGCAGACGCAAAUCAAACCAUCAUUUUUCUUCUAAAUACACUUGUAAAAGCAUCGAUGCAUCUCCGUCGCUUAAUUUUAUUUGUCAUUCUGUUCAGUACCUGGUUUGGUUUAGGAAGAGCUCUUUUUCCUAUGCAAAAUGUAUAACGUGUAUGUUUCUAAUUCCGAUUGCAGGCAUAUUCAUCGCGCUUGUGUUUUGACGUGUUGCGGGCAACCAAGAGUCGUUCAACAGUGUGUUGCUGGGGUACGCCACCGGUCUGACAGUAAAAGGUAGCGCUGAUGAACUGGUUUCAAGCCGAGCUGAUCAGUUCUGCUGUUACUAAUAUAUCAUGGCAUCUUGCGGCUCUCGGUCGAUGUUCUGUCAUCUAUGAGGAGAGAGUUUCCAUUUAAUCUAGUUGCUAAUGCUUUGUAUACAAAAUUAUAGAUGCCUACACAAUACAAAAUCAAAAGUUAUUUUCUUAGUCAAACUGGAAAAUUCAUAGAUUUGCAGGAACAUCUGUACAUAAAGCCUUUUCCAUCAAAGUAUGUACAUACAUUGUCUAUUUUAACAUAAGAAUGUAGGACUCGUUCAAAACUAUUUGACUAUUCAUACAAAAAAAAUAGAAUUUCUUAAAAUAAGGGAGCACAUCUUCUCUGGUUUGAUCACUGAAGUCAUCAAUUGAGCAGUCCAGGUUCACCUAGUUAUCUAUUUCAAAACUUAGGGAGAACAAUUUGGGUGAUACUUUUUCAAAGUACAAGGCACAUAUUUAUAGUUCAUUGAAAUGCACCUAUAUUUUGACCUCAUUAAUAUCUCAUCCUUCAUAAUAAAGUAUGGCCAAACAAACAGAGAAACCGCUAGUUUCUUUCAUGUUCCCCAGACAAUAACACCAUAGCUAUUACUGUCAUUCCCCUUCUCUCUUAAUACCUUCCAUCCUUUCCAUUAUAAUUAAUGAAACUGAAACAUAUCAUUCUCUUGGUUGUAUUUUUUUCCUAAAAUGUUUAAGGUGUAUGUGUCAUUGAGUGAAUAUAUUAUGUUGCAAAGUUUCACGAAAUUUAGUAUGCAACCAGUAUGCAAGAGAAAUAAAGAUUAAAGUAAAUUUAGUUAUUUUUAUUAGCCAUUAUUGUUUUUAGAGAAAACAAUAGGCAAGUCACUUUUUCAUGAAAGCUGGAGACAAAUAGUGUAUUCUAACAUAAAAAUGGUCAAUUUUCCUCACACACACACACACACACAUACACAUAAACUUAGAAUUUUUGGAAAUAAUGGGAGCAAUGGCCAUGUGAAAAUAUGAGGUUUAUAUCUUGUGGAUUUCCUUUCAGUGUACAAGGCCUGCAUGUAGAAUGGAUAUUUUUUUUUCUAUAUUUGCUUCCCUAAUUUAAAUCUUAUCCUUCAUCAUCAAUUAUGACUAAACAUAAAUAGUAACUGCUAGUUUCUCUUAUGCUUAUGAGGAGAUAAGACCAUGGAUAUUUUAGUCAUUCCACUUUGCUAUUGAUUGUUUCUGUUCUUUUGCGCUAAAUAGUAGUCAAACAUGUUAUUCAUGUAUUUCGUAAGGAUAAGGUCAAGCCUCAUGAUAAGGAUAGGGUCGCGCUAUUCGUCACCCUGGGUGAGGCAUUGUUAUUUUUCACCCACUUCUAUUUUAUCAUCAAUGCACCGUAAAUUUACGUUUCAUAAGUUUUGUCUUAUUUCCGACGCAAAAAGGGACCGUAAGAAAAUAUAUAAUCGCCAUAAAAAAUAUUUUAUGUUAUAUAAAAUUACAAACAUAAAAACAUAGUCUAAAAUACACACAAACUGCAAAUUUUCUUGUCUUAUAACCUAUAUUUUUAUUUUUUUAUGUCAAAUUUUACGUAGUGAAUCAAUAGAAAUAUAACUAUUUGAAUUCGAAAUGUAAUUUAAUUAUGAAAUGAUCGUAAGAUUACCUCGGGUGAAGAAUAACUUAUUCUGCACCCUGAUUGAUGAAUAAUAAAUUUAAUUAUAUUAUAUACAUAUAGGAUAACACUAUUCUAAUCCUAGAAUUAGAAUAGCUAUUUGGAUCACAGCCAGCCCGACCACAUCUUAGUGAGAUCGCGCGAGCAAAAGAAAAAACCCAAAACGCCCCGCCCCGUUUAUCCCCUUGUCGCUCCACCACCACCCCCCGACCUCUGGCCGCCGCCCACCCUGCUCCGGCGCGCCUCCCACCCUCGCCUCCUUCCGAGCGCUCCGCCGGCCCCGCCUUCUUCCAGGCGCGCCGCCGGCCCCGCCUCCUCCUGGCGUGCUGCCACCCCCACCUCUUGCAGCGCGAGGUCGCCGCCACCGCCUACUUCCCGGCGUGCCGCCAGCCCCGCCCCCUUCGGCGCGAGGCCGCCGCCCCCACCUCCUCCUGGCGCGCCGUCGUCCCCUGUACCUGACGCGCCCCCCGGUGCCGCCGGCCCGCAACCCGCCGCCCAGCACCUUCCCGUCGCGCGCCUCCCAACACCGAGGCGCCGCCGCCCACAGGUUCUGUAGAUGCUGACCUGCCACUGCACCGCCGCUGCAACCUGCUGCUCACUCUUCCUCGCACAUGUGUCAGCAACACAAAAGUGGGUCGCUGCAGUCCACCUCCUGCUACAGCAGCAGGACGACUCCUUCAGGACGCAUCUCACACUCAUGGAGGCGGUGCUAUCUCUGGCGAGCUCCUCCAUCCCCGAGCGCGAUGCUUCCACUACUGCGUCCUCCUCACGUUCCCUUCCCCAUCCUUGUGUAUGCUUAUUUCGAUGUGGAAAACUCCAUCAACUAGUUCGCAUCACGUAUCAGGGCACGGCCAUAACAUGCUAGCAAUAUUAUGCUUUGGCUGCUAGUAAUGUGUUUGUGCUAAUGUCUAGUAGGAACUCUAGUUGUACUGAUAAAAGAGAACCAAACCAUCAUAUAAGGGAAAAGUCGCAUCUCUCUAUCUUUGAUCUCUCUAUGAUACAGAUAUGGACGUAUAUGGAAUUAGUAAAAUUCCUCUUUUAUAUUGCUUGUUCAUUAAUCAUUCAUGCAUCGUGUCCUAAAAGAAAUAUAGUGUGCUCUGUUUGAAAAAGCAUGUGGUCAGCACAUGUUUGUUAUUAUAUGGAUCUAAAGGUUUAACAAACAAACACAUUCAGAUUUCUCUUUAUUCGUAUAAAGGUUGGAGUGAGGUAGCGCUUAUUUCCUAUAUAGCUGCUCAUUUUGGAUGCAGUUUGAACAAUCAGGCUAGGGAGCGGUGAGCGUGGGUAGGCUGGCCAAACCUUCCCUCCACUGGGUCAACCGGCAGCGUCGCCCACCACCGUACUGUCCUACGGCAACGGCCCCAACCUGGGCAGGCGUGCUUUCUGCGACAUGCUCCUGCUCAUGGAUGUCUUGGUGAGGUAAAAACUUCUGUUAACUUAACUUAGCUACCUCAACUGAUUGAACUGCAGGGGUUGUGUGCAGUCUGAUGUGGUUCUAGUGUUUGAUUAAUGCAAUUUGGAAGAACUUGCGUCUCUAAAAUUCAAACUCUGCAUUUUGGUGUAUUUUUAUUUAGAAGUUCAGGUCAUCAUAAGUUGCUUCGGUUUAGCUAGUUACUGUUGUGAAAAAGUUCAGCUCGUCAUAUUUGAACAUCGGAAGAAGAGCUGCUAUAGUCUCCUGCUAUAUGCUUGUUAUAUUCCUAAAUAGUACAGGCUCAACCAAAGCAAGUAGUUAUAGUCUCCUGCUAUAUGCUUAAAUAGUACAUUUUUUCUGUAUUCUUGUUCGGAAGUUCAGGUCAUUCAAAGAGACCAAAUAGUACAGGCUCAACCAAAUAGUGAAAAGUCUACUAGAGUCGAAAAAAUAUAAUGAUACAAAAAUGCAACUCUGCACUUUCCUCAAAAUGGUCAUCAUAUUCUUAAGAAGAUUGGGAUUGCACUAUUUGUUUGAGCUAGUACUACCAGACUGAACAAAUUGCAGAGUUGGAUUUUAGAGCCUGGACAUUUUCAGACAUUUUCAAAAGUGGUCAAUUGAACCUGAACCAAAAAGAUUGACCUGAAAUUCGUUUGGGCUAGUUACUACCAGACUGAAAAAAUUGUAAUAGGUGGAUAAGUGGUAUUGUACUAUUUUCUAUUGUGUGGUAAUGCUCGUACCCCAUGGCCAUGGAAGGUUCAGAUGUUGUGCUCUUCUUUUCUAGCUGAUUCAUGUUCUAUUUGGUAGCUUUAAUGAUAUUCUAUACACUGAUGGCGAGAGUUCAACCAUGGCUAUACGCCAAGUUCUACUAUGGCUAUAUGUCGGCCAUCGUGAAGUCCUACUAUAGCUAUAUGCCAAGUUUAAUUAUGGCUGUAUGCUUGUGCUUCCAGGCUACUAUUGAACGUGUCUUGGCCUUCAUUUUUACGGGUUAUAGUCUCCUGCUAUAUGCUUGCUUUUGCUAUCAGCAUGUUCAUGCAAGUGCCUCUGAAUAAUCUGAAAUUUAAACUUGUACCUAAAACUGAACUUCUACCUCUUUGCUACAGGUGCGGUCGUCGGAGUCCUUUAAGUGCUUGCACUAGUGCUUCUAACUUGUCCAUGAAGGCACUGCAUGGUGUGCCACCUCCCGUCUGCCGCCGCAGCUGCCAUGUGUCCUUGCGACCUCUGCGGCCAGUCACCAACGCCCUAUGAGUGCGCCCUAAGUGUGGCAUGGGGAACAUGCUAAUGUGUGUGUUUCUGCACUGGUGUGUGCGUGCAUGCUCACGUUUAUGCGUGACUGAGUGUGCUGCUUGUGUGCUGUGAUGUAUGUUGUAUAGAUUUUUAUGAAGUUCAUGUUGUGAACCCAACUUAAUUAGAACACAAAAGUUUAGAUCGCAGCUGCUUUGAAUUAUGUAGUGUUUCUAAAUAGCUUCUUGUCUGAAGUUCAGUCGUACAUGUGGGUGCAAGAAAGUUAGUGUCGGAGCCAGAAAAACUGACUUUGAGCAACUGUUGGGUAUUUAUAUAAAAACAUUGUGUGUAGCAAUUCGUUGUGUUUAUUGAAAAAUGAAAAGACAGAAGUUCACCAUGCAAAACUUUCACAGUCCAAUUGGUAUUAAGAAGGCAGAAAUAUAAAACAACAGUGAAGUUCACUAAAAAUGCAACUUUUCACAUUGCGAAGAAACAAUAAUUAACUUCUCAGUGUACAAUUUAGUUUUUGUUUCUCUUUUCCAAAAAAUAAGAAUAGAAGUAAUAUGUGGAAGCUAUUUGUGUUUAUGUCUCAAAUUAGAAUAAUUAUAAGAAUUGCCUCUAUAUGUGCUAUGUGUUACACACCUUUCCGAAUCAAAAGAGAUUAGAUUCAUCCAUGAGUAAGGUAGGUACAAUUAUUUUUAAACAGUUCAAUUGCUCGAUAGAUGUAUGUCCAGAAAAAUAAAAGAUAGUUCAACACAAUAUAAACCCAUGAGAUUGCAAAAAAUCUUUGGAUUAAGUGGAUGAGAACCAAUAAGUUCAUAUAUGAAACCUUGGGGAGUUCAAAAAAAGUUAAAAAGGUUCGAUGUUUGUUGCGAAGCUAGGAUUUUCUUCAUUACUAAUGAAUAAAUCAAGAAGUUCAAAUUAAAAAAGGAUGAGCGGUUCGAUGUUUAUUACGAACCUAGAAUUUUUUCCGUUACUAAAAGAAAUAAUACCAACAAGUUCAAAUUAAAAAAAUCGAGUAGUUUGAUAUUUCUUUGAAAACUCAAAUUUUUCCGGUUAGUAAAUAAUAAAACCAAUAAGUUCAAUUCAAAAUAACGAAGAAGUUCAACUUUUAAAAGCAAAGCAAUUUGAUAUUCAUUUAAAAACUCAAUUUUUUCGGUUACUAAAGAAUAAGACCAACAAGUUCAAUUCAAAGUAACGAAGAAGUUCGAUGUUUCUAACAAAACUCCAAUUUUCACAUUUCUAAAAACUCCAAUUUUAGGUGAGCCCAAUUUUUGUGUGGAUGUGUUGUGCAUGUGCUUGUGCGUAGUACAUUUAAUAGAACAAAAACACUAUUAUGGGUGCCCUCUAAAUGUUUGUCCUAUUGCUUAUGAGAAUUGACCCGAAUUUUCCUAUUGUUUUUGCACAUGUUGGAUUCAAGGGAAAAUGUGUAUAAAACAGGUGUGAUUUCAGAAGUUCAGGUGUAACGAACAUCGAAGUCCAAACCAAAAGAAUGUAAACAAAAAAAUCAUGGAAUUCAAAAGAAUAAAUACUAUCGAGUUUCAUGAAAGAAAAUAGCAUGCGAAGUUCAUGUUUCAGAAAGUUUGAAGUUCACGUGUACCACAUACAGAAGAAAAAUGAUCAAAUGAAAAAAGGGACCGCCUAGGCCAUUUCACCGAAAAGCAAAAAAUGCAUAAAAUGUCACGACAAAAUUCUAUAAGAAGUUCCAAUUUAAAAGCCGAAGUAGGUCAACGUUAAAGAAAAUGAAGUUUUUAAUAUCUAAAAGAAAAUUUUGGAAGCUCAACAAAUUUGUGCAAGGAGUUAAAAAAAUUAGUUGAAAAAUAUUUAUAACGGAUUUUCCCCGUGUAUAAAAAAAUCAGAGAAGUUCAAAUUAAAAAGAGGAGCAUUUCAAAAGAUUGUAUAAAAACUGAUUUACUCAAAAUAGAUAAAGGUGAAGUUCAAAUUGAAAUAACGGAGAUGUUCGGAGUUUAUUAAAACCUAGAAUUUACCUGUUCGAAAAAUAAAAAACACAACACCAUUUUUUUGCACUUUUAGAGACAACUCAUAAACGAAAAAAUGGUUGCUGGAAGUUCAAGUGCUCGGUGAGGAAAAGUUCAAAAAAUUCUUGUAAGAGAGGUUCACCGUGUAUUUAGAUGUCCAAAAUACAUAAAAAAUAUGUUGUUUUUUGUGUUUUAAAAUAAUUCUCUCAAACCAGAGAGAAGUUCAAAGUGAUAAUAGCCGGAAGUUCACGUACUACAUGGUGUGUAUUUCAUAUAAGAAAAAUAGAAUAAAGUGAAACAGAGUAAAGUUCAAACGGACAUGCCCUAGAAGUUCAACUACUUCACGUAGUGCAAAAAAAUAUCACAUCAAAAAUAGAGUGAGGACAGACAUGCCUGAGAAGUUCAACUACUUCACACAGUGUGUUUCCAUUCGCAAUGAAGGCAGAAAUCAUGAUCUCGUCAUUUCUCUAAUUUACUUCAAAACGAUAGGAAUAUCAUUUGUGUAAGUUCAAGUCCUCGGUCGGAGAAAGUUAAAAAAAUAUUGUGAGAGAGGUUUGUACAAAAAGAAUAUCAUUUGUGUAACACUGACGAAAUGGAUGAGAAAAUUACAAACAAAAAACGUCACAGAAGUUCAACGUGAAAACAACAGGAAGUUCGACUACUAUAGUGAAUGAAUUUGAGAUGAAAAACUUUUAAAAUCAUCGCGAGUAUGAAAAAACGAUCAACACGGGAAAGUUAUGUGCUUACAGCAGCUUUCCACCGGUAUAUCACUUUCUCAAUUCCGGUGAGUGGAUGGAGAGUUACGAGCAGUGGAUGGAGACCUACGAGCAAAAAAAUCACGUGAAAAACAGAGUGAAGUUCAGGUACACGCGCCGAGAAGUUCAGGUUCUUCACGCGGUGCAUUUUCGAAGAAUCUGUUUGACGAUAAAGGCAGAACGCAUGAUCUCGCCAUUUUCGAAAUUACUUGAAAAUGGCUAGGAAUCAGAGAAAACCAUCAACAUGAAAAAGUUUUGCAAUUUCCGUAGCUUUUCAGCGGUAUAUUAUUUGCCCCAUUCCGAUAAAGUUUGUAGAAAUUACGGCGAAAAUACGUUUUUCGCCAUUUUCGAAACUGACUUAAAACUGUAAAGAAUUGGGAGAAACAAUACAUACCAAAAAGUUUCACAUUUGUUCAAGAUUUCCAAAGCCAUAACAUUUGCUGCAUUCGGACAGACGGUUAAAAAAUUAGAUCAAAAAUACGAACUCGGUAGGACUAGGACCAUUUUCUAAAUUACUCUUAAACCAUUCAAAAUUAGAAAAAAACUUUCAAGAUGAAAAAGUAGCGCAUUUUCAUAAGCUUUACAAUGCCGUAUCAUAUGCCUCUAUUGGAUUAGCCGUUUAGAAAUGACAUCGAAAAUACGAACUCAGCUGUUCGAUUUACGAAAUUUUACGUUUUUUCAAAUUACUCUUUAACUAUAGGGAAUUAAAGAAAACUUUCAACAUGUGGAAGGAGCGGUUUUGCAGCAGCUUUCCAACGCCAUAUUAUAUGCCUCAUUAAGAUAAACGGUUUAGAAAUGCGGUCGAAAAUACGAUUCACGUUUUUUGUGCGAAGAAAAAACGGUUUUCAAAACUGCUCUUAAACCGCUUAUAUUUUGCCAAAAAUUUAAGUUGGAUAAUGAUACUGAUGUUCAAAACUUUCCAACGGUAUAUAGCAAGCCUCAUUUGGGCAAUGUUGGCGGAAGUUCAACCUAGUUCAUAGGGAAGUUCAGCGUACUACUAGCGGGGCAGGUCAGGUUGUGAUCAGAAUAUUAUUCUGAUCCCGUGAUUAGAAUAGUGUUUAUAUAUAUAUAUAUAUAUAUAUAUAUAUAUAUAUAUUAUAUUUGCCACAUUAACUUUAAGAGUUCAAUAUUAAUAUUUUCAUACAUAUCAAGUGAUAUUGGCGACCUUUUUUACCAUCAAAUCCUCGCGCACACACGCUAGUGCAUAACAAUAUGAAUUAUAUGUAUUAUAUUUGCCACCACAGCUGUGGGUAUUAAUUUCAUGUAAAUCGGUCAAUCACAGCUCCCAGAAUAUGCGAAGGAGGUGGCCUGAAUCGGCGUCGACGCCGUCCAGUGCGGGCCACGGGCCCGCUUCACUAGUAGAAAAAGGGCCUAUUGUCCCGGUUCGUAAGGGCCUUUUGUCCCGGUUCCUGAACCGGGACUAAAGGAUCGGUACUAAUUCCCUGUCCCUUUAGUCCUAGUUCAAUCCAGAACCGGGACAAAUGGGCCUCCACGUGGCCUGUGCGCGGAGCCCAGGCAGGAGGGCCUUUGGUCCUGGUUGGUGGCACCAACCGGGACCAAUAGGCAUCCACGCAUCAGCAUUUCUGUGGCUGGGGUUUNNNNNNNNNNNNNNNNNNNNNNNNNNNNNNNNNNNNNNNNNNNNNNNNNNNNNNNNNNNNNNNNNNNNNNNNNNNNNNNNNNNNNNNNNNNNNNNNNNNNNNNNNNNNNNNNNNNNNNNNNNNNNNNNNNNNNNNNNNNNNNNNNNNNNNNNNNNNNNNNNNNNNNNNNNNNNNNNNNNNNNNNNNNNNNNNNNNNNNNNNNNNNNNNNNNNNNNNNNNNNNNNNNNNNNNNNNNNNNNNNNNNNNNNNNNNNNNNNNNNNNNNNNNNUAGGUGUUUCAUAUAUUGUGUUAGCUAGCUAUAAUUAAUAGAGAGAAGUGUCCUCUCUUAUGUCCAUGCUUGGUCGGCGCUACGUACUAUACAUACGUAUAGAGAGGACUAGACAGGCUAGCUAGCUAGUUAGAAAACGAAGGAAACAGAAGAUCGUCAUGAACAUAUAUGCAUAGAGAGAGAAGUGAUAUCGACCACCUCUCCUUCUCCGAGAGAUUGGUCGAACAACAAGUUCUCGUAUAUCUAUCCGACACUACCGGCUACAUAUAUACAAUAAUUAUCUCUUACAAAUAUAAUCUCCUAACAUACGGACUCAUGGUCCACAUAGUAUUCUCCGUCUUCAGCGAUCACGUGGUCAAGAAAGAAUGCCGACAAUUCCUUUUGAAUUGCUCGCAUGCGAGCUGGUGCUAGGAGUUCAUCUCGCUUCCGAAACAUCUAAUUUGAAGAAGGGGCCGGGGUCAAUACAUAUAUAUAUGAAUGAAUGAAACUAAACACAAAUGAUGGUAAUAAAAUAAAAUUGUGAAUGUUGUUAUUUGCGCACUUCAUAUUGUUCAUCAGAGUAGCCCCGCUCACAGGCCGUGUGGUAGAUGGACUCGCAAACGUAGUAUCCACAGAAAUCAUUCCCUUGUAACUGCCACAACCCCUUUACAAGAAAUAGAGGUCAAUCAAACUGAUAAGCAAGAAUGCCAAAUGGUAUUGAUGAAACUAGCGCUUGAAUCAAUAGGAGAUGCGCGGAACAUGCUACUAUAGUACUUACUUUGGGGUGUCUAAAUUGCAGCUUCUCCGGGAGUCCCGGAGCUUUUUUGGUGAAUUUUUUCCAAACCCUGCCAGACAAAGAAAACAGUUACUUGAUAUAUCAGGAAAUGAACAAAGUUGCUGAUAUGGUGGAUAAUGAUCGAUUUAACUUACUUCUCGAGCAUUUGAGUCAUGUCCGCAUAGUCCUGGGGAUCUUUUCGUCUUGAGUCUAAGACGGUUACUAGUCCCUGCUCAAGCUUAAUCUCUAGGAGAAUAUAGUGGAAACUGCACACGCAUGCAUAACUCAUCAAUUACAUUACUAUAACCUUGACUAAUAUAUAAGGGAAACCGAAUAUGCACAAGACAGUAACACUCACUUGAAGUUGUAAGGAAAAAGUAUUAUAUCUUUGUUUUCAUUUAUUACCAACGAUCGUAGCAAGUUGGCCUCGGUAUCCGCGACAUGAAAUUUAACCUCAGUUGCAUCUAUGAUAUUUGUGUUAAUGAACCCAAUAUCACCGAUUUGUCUUUUCUUCAAUUCGACGAUCUUCAAUCUGCAUAAUAUAGUGAGGAUAAUUAUAAAUACAUGCAAUGAAAGAGCUGAGCUAUAUAGAGAGACUUAAUGACAGAAGUAGUACUACUUACAGACAGUAGCAGGUGACCGUUGCUUUAUCGAGGGCCAAUUGAUUGAAAAACUGAAAGAACUCCUCAAAUGGAACAGGUAACAAACACUAGUAGAAAAAGGGUCAAACGUGAAGCACAUUAGUGCCGGUUUGUAAAAAGACCGGCACUAAUGUGAUCAAUAGUGCCGGUUCGAAUGGCUAUGCAUUAGUGCCGGUUCGUAAUGAACCUUUAGUACCGGUUCAUGCCACGAACCGGUACUAAAGGGGUGGUGGCAGGCUGGCGUCAGGCCAGGCCCCACGAGCCCCUUUAGUGACGGUUUGUGACACAAACCGGUACUAAAGGUCUAACCUAUAGUACCGGUUUGUGUCACCAACCGGCACUACAAAGUCUUAACCUAUAGUCCCGGUUGAAGACACAAACCGACACUAUAGGGCAAUUUUCAAACUCUACCCCCCCCCCCGUGUAUCGCCAUUUCAGUUUUGAAAAAAUCAAAAGAAAAUGAUAAAAACUUCAAAAAAUAAAAUCCUUCGAGAGGUAGUUAUAUUACUACAUCUACUAGUUAGGAAAAUUUGAAAACUUAAAUUUGGACAUGUUUUGCAAAAAGUGUAGGGAAAAUGUAAAACGGCUAUAACUUUUGCAUAUGAUGUCGGAAAAAACGUAUAAUAUAUCAAAAAAUUCAGCACGAAAAUCCUCAAAUUCCAAAAGGAAAAAAAGAUAUGGUCAAAUUUAAGUUUUUUUUAAAAAAAAUUGGUUAAAUCUGGUCAAACUACUUAUUCAAGAAGUGUUAAUGUUACUACAUAAUUAUUCAAGAAUAUUAGUGUUACUAAAUAAUUAUUUCAAUUUUUUGAAUUUUGGUCAAAUCUGGUCAAACUAUGGUCAAACUGUGGUCAAACUAUGGUCAAACUUAUUCAAGAAAUAUUAGCGUUACUAAAUAAUUACUGUUUUUUUAGAAUAAUAGUUUCAAACUCAAACGGUGAAAUGUGUGACUUCAUGCUCAAGCUAAACUCCUGAGGGUUAAUAGGAUUAACAUCUUACUAUCAUCACGAAAACAACAAGUGCAGACAUGGAAACGAAGGAGAAUAGAACCCGAAAGUUAAGCGUGCUCGGGCUGGAGUAGUGAGAGGGAUGGGUGACCGGUCGAGAAGUUAGAUGAUUUGGAAUGAGUGAUCCACACUUGAGCAGUUAAGAGAGGUGAUUAGAGACUAAAUCAUCAAAUAAUUUAGAAAAAUUAAAAAAAUCAAAUUAAUUUUCAAAAAAAAUAUUCAAAAAAAAAACCAUUAGUACCGGUUGGUAACACCAACCGGUACUAAAGGUCCCCCAUACCAGGGCGUGAACUCACGCCACGUGGUGGCACUUUAGCGCCGGUUCGUGCCGAACCGGUACUAAAGGGGGGGGGGGCUUUAGUGCCGGUUCCAUAACCGGCACUAAAGGCACUUACAAACCGGUUUUAAAGCUCCGUUUUCUACUAGUGAAAUCAAUUCCAACGAGGUCAUGCUCCUUUUUAACUCUCACAUACAAAGUACUCCUCCCCUAGACUCUCUGCAGAUUUUCAAGUACCAAUCAUGCAAUCUUUGCAUCAUCGUUGAUAGAGAUCUUUCAUCUUUGACGAGAGGCUUCCCGUACUCGUAUCUUUGUAUCUGCACCUCCAUGAAAUCAUAAUGUACAUCGUCGGGCAGGUAAUCUCCAAGAUUGCUAUAACCGGGCACCAUCCUCGGAUCAUUAGCGACGAUGUCGCUAGGUACCUUGAGCGGGGGGGGGGGGGCACGAUUGCUUCCCUUGUUCGCCAAGCUGGGAAAUUUGUUUCCCAACUCGUCGUUCUUUCAGCCUUUGAUCACUGACAGUACUUCCCGACCGCUCCGCUUCGGCAAAUUCCUUUCCAAUAAUGCGCUCAUAGUUUCCUUUCGGUGGAGACUUGGGUGGUUUUGUUAGGGCAGCCAGAGUGCGCUUCGCUUUCACCGGAUCUACCUUCUCCUCCAGAGGUGGAUGUUUCUUUGCUUUCACCCCUUCAAAGAAGUUCCUGACUUCUUCUCGCACGAUCUCGGCGUUCUCCUCCGGGGUCCUCUCGUAUGGUAACUUCUCUGGAGUCUUUAGAGAAGGACCGAAUCUGUAUGUCCUCCCGCCUCUGGCUGUACUGCUAGACGCCGGCAGAGCAGACGGAGCGGUUGUCUUCUUUACUUGCUUACGAGGCAGAGGAGAAGGACUACGACGCACCAGAGCAGCCGGAGCGGCCGCAGGUCUCUUCCGCCCUUGCUGACGAGGCGGAGAAGGAGGAGGCUGGCUGCUCGGGCGCGCCGGCGCAGGCGGAGAAGGAGGCGGAGUGCCGCCACGCGCCGGAGAAGGAGCCGGCCGAGUGCCCUGAUAGUCACUCGCCAGAGGAGGAGGCGGUGGAGGGGGCGGAGUGCCCUGACUCGCCGAAGGAGGAGGAGGAGGCGGAGGCAUCCAAUUCGGAAGGUUCAUGACCUCCUUCCGCCAUAGGCAUGGAGUCUUCAGAGCAGAACCCAGCCGAGUCUCCCCUUCACCGGUAGGGUGGUCAAGCUGGAGGUCCUCAAAUCCCUCCGUUAUUUCAUCCACCAUCACCCUAGCAUAUCAUUCUGUAAUCGGCCGGCAGUGAAAAGUUGCGCUGGGUUCAGUAGGAAAAACAGAGCCAAUAGCCGCCUUGACCUUCAUAUUAACCCAUUGCGUCAUAAGGUGGCAAUUAUGAGACUCCGUGAUAGCAUCCACGGGAUAGCUGGCAGGAGCCGUCAAGACAUGCUCCUGCUGAAGCAGCUCGGUGGAAGCCAUGCUGCUUCUCCGCUGAGAUGGCGGGGUAGCUUCGGCAGUUCGUUUUGUGCGAUUUGCUUCUCGUUCCUCUAUUGCUUGUACCCUAGCGUGCAGCGCCUGCAGUUGGGUCUGCUCCACUUUCUUCCUCCUCUCGUGGCAUUUGUAACCGCCUGCGUCCGGAAACCCAGCCUUACACGGAAUGGAGCCUGGCGUGCCUCAUGUCCGUCCAGGGUGUUCAGGAUUCCCGAGGGCCAUUGUGAGCUCGUCGUUCUCUCUGUCUGGAACAAACAUACCUUGCUGCGCUGCUUCGAUAUAGUGCUUAAGCCUCUUGACUGGUAUUUCCAUUUGCUCGUCCGUCCAAAUGCACUUUCCUGAUACAGGGUCCAAGGUUUCACCAGCCCCGAAGAACCAAGUCCGGUAACGGUCUGUCCAGUUAAUUGUCUCUGGUUCGAUCCCUUUAUCAACCAGAUCAUUCUCAAUCUUGGCCCACUUAGGCCGAGCUGCCAGGUAGCCACCUGACCCCGUGCGAUGGUGAUGCUUCUUCUUCACAGCAUUUUGCUUGUUUGUCGACGACAUCUUCUUACUCUUUUCCGAUGUCUUGUGGGCCACAAAUGCGGGUCAGUGAUCUCUGAUCUUCUCAUAUCUGCCCUUGAAUUCCGGUGUCUCUUUAUUUUCGACAAACUUAUUCAGCUCUUUCUUCCACCUCCUGAAUAGUUCUGCCAUCCUCUUAAGAGCAAAAGACUUGAUUAAUUGCUCUUUAACUGGCUUCUCCGGAUCAUCCUCUGGCUGUAGGGUGAAAUUUGACUUCAGCUCAGUCCAAAGAUCAUUUUUCUGCAUAUCAUUGACAUAAGACACCUCAGGGUCUUCUGUAGCCGGCUUUAACCAUUGCUGCAUGCUGAUCGGGAUCUUGUCCCUAACCAAAACCCCGCACUGAGCAACAAAUGCGCUCUUUGUCCGGAUAGGUUCAUUCGGUUGGCCCUCGGGCGCGAUUGCUAUGAUCUCAAACUUUUCAUCCGAGCUCAACUUUUUCUUCGGGCCUCGUCUCUUUACCGAAGUUGUGCUCGAUCCGGAGGGCUAGAAAAAAGAACAAAGACUUAAUUAAUAUGUGUACAUACCAAAACAAUGAAUGCAUCAAUUAGCUAGUCAGCAGAAGCUUAACUAAUACUAGAUCAUUGAUGGUGCGUGUUGUUGCGCCCAUCUAUUUUGGAUCUUGGUUGUUAAGGAUAUAACAUUGCUAGUAUACAUUUCUUGCAUUGUUUUAAAAUAUUAUGCUUUCUAUAGCAUGUACUUCUCUUUAUUUUCAAAAUAAUGGUAUGUAAAUCAUCUUCAUUGGGGCAACAUUACAACUUCCAUAUCAACAUAAGCUUAGAUAUAAAUAGGGCAGUGCCAUAAGCCAACCUAUCCAUAUCCACGUUAUAAUAAUGGAUGGCUAUGUACAUUUUUGUUCAAGCAUAGUACAAGCUUGUUGCAGUUGCAUAGGAACAUAGACUUAAACAUAAUAUAAACUUGAAAUGUAUAAUGAUGGAAGAAGGCGGCAUGACAGUAUAUUAUACUUGGAAAACAAAUUGUACGAUGGAGUAGAGCGAACUGGAGAAGAUGUAGACCUCAAAUAGGCACCAGAAACACUGCACCAAAAUUUCUAUGAUUAUGGAUACAUCCAACAUGGCGGACGGUCAGAGGGCAUGAGAAGUAUAAUCAUAUACUAUCUAAGAAAAUCAAGACUCUUGAUUAUUACAUCAAAAGCAAGGCACAGAACAAGCUUACAUAUCGUAUUGUUCGUGCUAACACAAAUAAUAAUAUCUUCUAACACACGAAUGUAAUUUGGCCAAAAGAUAAUUUCUUCAUACGAAUUCCAACGUCACUACAUUUUUUUUCAUUGGGGCUUAAAAAUUGUUUGACCGUUUUACAUGAGAUAGAAAGAACUGACUGAACCGAGCAACAAAAGGCAACAAAAACACAAAUCAGUUUCCUCUCAUUCUCUGCCUACAUCAUAUUUUUUUUCCUGUAAAUAUAUCUUGUGAUUCAUCAUUGUUUCAGACCGUAAGGGCCGGAAGCUCUACCUAAGGCGGCUGCCAUACAAGGAUACACACAGCUUCGCCUUAAACACCCUCCUUGUGGCGAUGCUUAGAAAGGGAAUAACCUCAUGUAUUACCUUGCUCGGAAUAGCCAUGUUUUCAAAUCCCAACUAAUCCACCUUAAUCCUAACAUCAAAUGAACACAACAUUAACUUGAGAUCAGACGCUAUGGAGUCAGAGUGAUUGCAUGACUCGAGGCACAAGGCAACAGGCUGGGGUGAAGGCGUGGCAGCUGCAUGCCACCACGAAACACCGGCGAGCAGAGAACCGGAAGAUACAUAAUCGUUUAUGUCUUAUGAGUUAAUUUCUCCACUCAUUGCACGCUACAAAACAUUAGCGAGUAUACAUAGGAUGUCCCUUUCUGAACAACUACAUAAUAUAUAAAUUCCAAUUGCAUUAGGGAUUUCAUCUAGAGUAUAUUCCCUGAAUUAUUUGAAAUGAAGUAAUGGUUUUUCUAAUCCUACUUUGACCUGGAGCAUCACUCUGAAACAUCAGGGAACACACACAUCUUCAGAAGUAGCAGCAGUAGCUAAUGUGAAAAGUUCACUGGAAUGCUAGGAUACUAAAAAAGCUAGUACAUCCCAAUAGCCAAAGAACAUAACAAAAUUUGGCAUCAUGUGUCAAGUAGCUCACAGUGGGCAUAAAUUUGUACAUUAUAUGUCCCUUUAUUAACUCACUUGUCUCUGAUUUUUAACUAUUAGGAAAUAAUAGUGGUCAUCAAAAUUAGAAUAUAUUGUAAUGCUCUAGAAUAGGAUCUAAUUGUUGGGAGUUGUUACCUGAGGGAAUCCUUGCGGGGAGCUGAGCAUAGGAACCAAUGCUGUUCCGCACUGUCCACGUGACUGACCACCGUGCUGCCUCCAUGAGCCGAUGUGGAACUUCUACCAACAAGUGAUUUGUACAUGACUGCUCAAGCAAACUAAACCACUAAAUCCAAAGGGGAUUCGUUCCAGAAAGGUGCAACACCUUGAGAAAUCUACGUGUAGAAUUGAAGAGGGGAGAGUAUCAGGAGGUAAACCUAGAGAACCUGCAUAGUUUGUGAGUACAAAGAACAGUAUGAGUAAAAUAAAUUUCAAAAAUUGGAUUAGAUGAAGAAUCAGGUGAAGAGGAGAUAAAGGAAAGAACCAUCACCCAUUGCUGCACGAGAGUGGUUUUCAGAAGUAAGGGGAGUAGGGAAGGAGCAACAGCACUUUGGAUCGUAUAUUCGUAUAUGCGCGCGAGUGAAUUGAAGUAAAAAGCAUGAAUCAUCAGACCUGCAAUAAUCUUCAGUUUAGCCGGUUCAUCAAUUGCCAUUAAUCGAUCCUGAUUAAAACCUCAACGAAUCGAUGGCUAGUGAAUUUCAAUCGACAGCGGCUGUUCGCGGCCCUGACCAUCUCCCUAUUGCGUCACCGACCAGGACGCCGUUCGGUCGCUCGGCGAGGAGCGCCGUGUCAGUCGGACCUGAAGCACAGUGGCCAUGAGACACCAUCGGUCGCGUCGAUCCGACCCCAACACGGCCGCCAUCACUACUGCCCAGAUUCUGCUGCCAGCCGACAGCAGCAACCGUGCGAAACUGCGAACCAAAGGAUCUGGCGACGACGCGCCUGAGAACUCUAGAUAUGGCUUGAAAACCAGAAAUAUGCUUCACGGAUGUAGAGCGUGUUUGGUUGAGUUCCAGGAGCAAAAUUGCCUGGCCUGAGACCUUCCUGGGUUGUGCCUGCUUGUUGUUUGGAUAGUAGCCUCAAAUCACAGGCAUGUUCCUGGCCUGGAGUUGACAUGCACCUGAUUAGCCUGGGUAGAUCACAGGCAGCUUGAUUAGCCUGGAUGAGGCCAACGGAACCAGACGCCUGGCCUCCAGGCAGAUGCGUUUUGCGUCAAUUAGCAAGUUGUAUACUGUACUUUUUGUCAACUCAGCCGUCCCAUCUAAUUAUUUAAUAUUUAAGUACGUGUCCCAGGCCAGGUUUGCAACCAAACAUCACAUGCACACAGCAGCCUGGCCAGGCAAAAAUCCUCCUUCUCCCAGGCUACUAUCAGGCAUCAACUUUUGCUAGGCAUCACACCCAGGACAUGAACCAAACAUGCCCGUAGUGCGUCACUGACCUGGGGAUGAGCUCGUCGCCGGCUCGAGAAAAAGUCGCUCCCUGCUGCGCUUUUGGGGAAGAUAGGAAAUGUAGAAGAAUGAGCCAAUCUAGUGAAUCCCGUGGAACUUAAUGGAACCUGCACUCAUUUGGGAGCACAAAGAACAACAUCAAUUGAAAAAAAUUCAUGCAGAAUUUGGGGGAGAGUAGAGGUACCAACGAGGGAACACUUGUAAAAGGCCAGUAGCGGAGACUAAUUAUCGUCCUGUCAACCAUGGCAGCCUGCAAGUAAAAGGAGGAGAAUGAGGAAGGAGAAGCUCCACGAUGGAGAUUAAAUGGACGCAAUUGAAUGGAUGUUGUAACUGAGCCCAGUUAUUGGCCACCGGUGAGUGCGCCUCAUCGAUUGCAAAUUUGCCAUUAUAAUGGUCCGCUGCAACUAUGAAUUGAGUCCCGAAUCGCGGGCAACUGGAGGCAACCGACAGGGGACGAUCCGUUGCCCCGGAUACCUCCUGCUGGCGUCGCCCAGCGAGGCAACCCGGCCGGUCGCGUAGGUCGAGGCACAUCCGGUCGGUCCAAUCGACCUCGCAUCGGCACUGUUUUUUUUUCUCGCAUCAGGACUGGAUGAACGCUCAUCGGUCGCUCGUGUGUAACCCUAGUCGAUGGAACCGCACAAGUGGACCUUCUUCAGCGAAGCCCGUGGGCUGGAAUGGGCUGGCCGACGGCCCAGUUAACCACAGGGCUACGUUUUGGCCUGCGGAGCAGAAGCCCCAGGACAGCCGGCCCAGUUUUUAUCAGAUGUGGGACAGAUUGCUUUAAACAGGAGAUCCGACGACCAAAAACGUCUAGAUCGUGCAAACGGAUGGUCAGAAACGCGAAGCGCUGAGAGAGCUCGCUUUAGGUGCAGUUGUAUUGUACUUAAUAUAUACCUGGCCGGACUCGGUUCGGUCACCAGAGACGUCAUCACGGUCUCCUUCUUGCACCGGCAUUGUGUCACCGGAGCCGUCCUCACGGUCUCCUUCUUGCACCGGCAUUAGGUCACCGGAGCCAUCAUAAUCAUAGCCAGCUGCUUCCAUACCAUCGGUGUCGUUGAGAAACAACGAGCAGACGGCAUCCCUUCCUCGUGCGAUUAUGUCCCCCAACAACUCUUCUUGUACUUCGUCUCGGGCGGUGUCCAUAGUUUCUACAAAUAUUUAUAACAUGGCAAUUAUUAUUCAAACAUGACAGAUGGAUAUAUUAGUGGCAAACGUAGAACUAAUAUUAAUUAGUGGCCUCGACGCUACUUCUCUAGGGUUUGGGGUGGCCUCGACGCUGCUUCUCCAGGGUUUGAAGUGGCCUCGACAACGCUUCAAGGAUAAAAAAAGAAGAGGAAGAAGAAAAAAAGGGGAGAAGAAAGAAUAGAUCCUCUUUUUUUUUCUUCUUCUUCCUCUUUUUUUUUAUCGGGAACGAGGGUCGUCGACGCCCACGUCACUUGUGGGACGUGGAUGUAGUGUCCGACACCGAUGGCCACAUGUAUCUCACACCCACGAUACUUACUAUUUAGGGUUUCCUCUACCGCUCGGCGACCCUGACCCUCGACGACCCUCGUUUCNNNNNNNNNNNNNNNNNNNNNNNNNNNNNNNNNNNNNNNNNNNNNNNNNNNNNNNNNNNNNNNNNNNNNNNNNNNNNNNNNNNNNNNNNNNNNNNNNNNNNNNNNNNNNNNNNNNNNNNNNNNNNNNNNNNNNNNNNNNNNNNNNNNNNNNNNNNNNNNNNNNNNNNNNNNNNNNNNNNNNNNNNNNNNNNNNNNNNNNNNNNNNNNNNNNNNNNNNNNNNNNNNNNNNNNNNNNNNNNNNNNNNNNNNNNNNNNNNNNNNNNNNNNNNNNNNNNNNNNNNNNNNNNNNNNNNNNNNNNNNNNNNNNNNNNNNNNNNNNNNNNNNNNNNNNNNNNNNNNNNNNNNNNNNNNNNNNNNNNNNNNNNNNNNNNNNNNNNNNNNNNNNNNNNNNNNNNNNNNNNNNNNNNNNNNNNNNNNNNNNNNNNNNNNNNNNNNNNNNNNNNNNNNNNNNNNNNNNNNNNNNNNNNNNNNNNNNNNNNNNNNNNNNNNNNNNNNNNNNNNNNNNNNNNNNNNNNNNNNNNNNNNNNNNNNNNNNNNNNNNNNNNNNNNNNNNNNNNNNNNNNNNNNNNNNNNNNNNNNNNNNNNNNNNNNNNNNNNNNNNNNNNNNNNNNNNNNNNNNNNNNNNNNNNNNNNNNNNNNNNNNNNNNNNNNNNNNNNNNNNNNNNNNNNNNNNNNNNNNNNNNNNNNNNNNNNNNNNNNNNNNNNNNNNNNNNNNNNNNNNNNNNNNNNNNNNNNNNNNNNNNNNNNNNNNNNNNNNNNNNNNNNNNNNNNNNNNNNNNNNNNNNNNNNNNNNNNNNNNNNNNNNNNNNNNNNNNNNNNNNNNNNNNNNNNNNNNNNNNNNNNNNNNNNNNNNNNNNNNNNNNNNNNNNNNNNNNNNNNNNNNNNNNNNNNNNNNNNNNNNNNNNNNNNNNNNNNNNNNNNNNNNNNNNNNNNNNNNNNNNNNNNNNNNNNNNNNNNNNNNNNNNNNNNNNNNNNNNNNNNNNNNNNNNNNNNNNNNNNNNNNNNNNNNNNNNNNNNNNNNNNNNNNNNNNNNNNNNNNNNNNNNNNNNNNNNNNNNNNNNNNNNNNNNNNNNNNNNNNNNNNNNNNNNNNNNNNNNNNNNNNNNNNNNNNNNNNNNNNNNNNNNNNNNNNNNNNNNNNNNNNNNNNNNNNNNNNNNNNNNNNNNNNNNNNNNNNNNNNNNNNNNNNNNNNNNNNNNNNNNNNNNNNNNNNNNNNNNNNNNNNNNNNNNNNNNNNNNNNNNNNNNNNNNNNNNNNNNNNNNNNNNNNNNNNCGGGACUAAAGGGGGGCAUUGGUCACGGUUUGUGCCACGAACCGUGACCAAUGCCCCCUUUAGUCCCGGUUGGUGCCAUCAACCGGGACCAAAGGCCUGCGCCUGCCAAAGCCGUGGUGCGGUAGGAUGUUUAGUCCCACCUCGCUAGCUGAGGAGCGGCCGCACCUGUUUAUAAGCGCUGCACCUGUUUGGGCCUAAUCUCACAACGCUAUGCCUGCUGGGCCUUCUGCGGGCCUGAAUCCUGGCCCAUGGAUGGGCUUCUAGUCGUAUUCAGGCCGUGGUGGCCCAGUAGGUGGCAUUUUUUAUUACUAUUUGAUUUUUCAUUUCUACUUAGAACUAAAUACUUGUAGUUUUUUAGUGAUUUUUUUCUUUUAGGUCACAAAAAUUAUAAACUUUCUAUUAUUGCCAUUAGUUUUAAAAUUUGAAUAGUUUAAUUUUGAAUUUUUUAAAAUUUGUGUGAAUCACUAGUUUAUGAAUAACUUUACCGUAAAAAUUGAUUUUUGAGUCAUUUUUUUCCUGCUAUUUAAUAUUACUGUGUUUUAUCAUUAUACUCAAUUUGGUAAUUUUAGUUAGUCAUAACAAAUAUUAUAGGCAUUUUUUUCUUUUUUGCUAUUUUUUUUCAUUUCUACUUAGAACAAAAUACUUAUAGUUCUUUAGUGAUUUCUUUUUUCUUUUAGGUCACAAAAAUUAUAAACUUUCUGGUAGUUCCAUUAGUUUUCANNNNNNNNNNNNNNNNNNNNNNNNNNNNNNNNNNNNNNNNNNNNNNNNNNNNNNNNNNNNNNNNNNNNNNNNNNNNNNNNNNNNNNNNNNNNNNNNNNNNNNNNNNNNNNNNNNNNNNNNNNNNNNNNNNNNNNNNNNNNNNNNNNNNNNNNNNNNNNNNNNNNNNNNNNNNNNNNNNNNNNNNNNNNNNNNNNNNNNNNNNNNNNNNNNNNNNNNNNNNNNNNNNNNNNNNNNNNNNNNNNNUUAAUUCUUUUUGCUUUUCGUUUUAGAAAAAUUAUAAACUUUCUGUUAGUGCCAUUAGUUUUCAAAUUUGAAAACACUUUUUUAGUUUUUUUGCUUUCUUUGUUGCUUUAUUUAUUUUAUUUUGUUUCUACUUACAAAAAAAUACUUAUUGUUGCUAUUUUUUUUCAGUUUUUGUUUUGUUUUCUUUAUUAUUUAUUUUCUUUUGUUUUUUGCUUUAAUUUUUAAUUCUUUUUGCUUUUAGGUCAGCAAAAUUAUAAACUUUCUGUUAGUGCCACUAGUUUUAGAAAAAUUAUAAACUUUCUGUUAGUGCCAUUAGUUUUCAAAUUUGAAUAGUUAAAAUUUGAAUUCUUUAAAAUUUGUAUGAACCACAAGUUUGUGAUUAACUUUACUAAAAAAAUGAACAUAGAUGCACCUAUAGAGAAAAUUCGACCUAAAUUCAUAGUUUUCAAAUGAACUCUCAAAAAGUUGGCAUAGCAUACUCGUGUGUUACAAAGUUGGCAUGGUAUCAUCAUAAUAGUUGCUUGAGAAAGUCUUCACUUUUUCUUCGCUUGUGUCAUUUGCUUAUUGCGCCGUAACCAUGGAUAAUCUUCAUCGUUUAUCAGGAUGCUUGGGUCAGCCUUGACAUUGAAGGGAGGAAUUUCAUGAAACUUUUCAUAAUCUUCAGACAUGUCUGUCUUGCCCUCCACUCCCAGGAUAUCCCUUUUUCCUGAAAGAACUAUAUGGCGCUUUGGCUCAUCGUAUGAUGUAUUCGCUUCCUUAUCUUUUCUUUUUCUCGGUUUGGUAGACAUGUCCUUCACAUAGAUAACCUGUGCCACAUCAUUGGCUAGGACGAACGGUUCGUCAGUAUACCCAAGAUUUUUCAGAUCCACUGUUGUCAUUCCGUACUGUGGGUCUACCUGUACCCCGCCGCCUGACAGAUUGACCCAUUUGCACUUAAACAAAGGGACCUUAAAAUCAUGUCCGUAGUCAAGUUCCCAUAUGUCCAUUAUGUAACCAUAAUAUGCAUCCUUUCCGCUCUCGGUUGCUGCAUCAAAGCGGACACCGCUGUUUUGGUUGGUGCUCUUUUGAUCUUGGGCGAUCAUGUAAAAUGUAUUCCCAUUUAUCUCGUAUCCUUUGUAAGUCAAUACAGUCAAAGAUGGUCCCCUGGACAACAAGUGCAACUCAUCACAAACAGUGUUGUCACCUCUGAGACGUGUUUCCAACCAACUGUUGAAAGUCCUGAUGUGUUCACAUGUAAUCUAGUCGUCGCACUGCUCCGGAUGUUUGGAGCGCAGACUGUUUUUGUGUUCAUCGAUAUACGGGGCCACCAUGGUAGAGUUCUGUAGAACUGUGUAGUGUGCUUGAGACCAAGAAUAUCCGUCCCUGCAUAUUAUUGAGUCACUUCCAAGAGUGCCUUUUCCAGUCAGUCUCCCCUCAUACCGCGAUUUAGGGAGACCUAUCUUCUUAAGGCCAGGAAUGAAGUCAACACAAAAUUCGAUAACAUCCUCUGUUUGAUGGCCCAUGGAGAUGCUUCCUUCUGACCUAGCGCGGUUACGGACAUAUUUCUUUAGGACUCCCAUGAACCUCUCAAAGGGGAACAUAUUGUGUAGAAAUACGGGCCCCAGGAUGACAAUCUCGUCGACUAGAUGAACUAGGACGUGCGUCAUGAUAUUGAAGAAGGAUGGUGGGAACACCAGCUCGAAACUGACAAGACAUUGCGCCACAUCACUCCUUAGCCUUGGUACAAUUUCUGGAUCGAUCACCUUCUGAGAGAUUGCAUUGAGGAAUGCACAUAGCUUCACAAUGGCUAAUCGGACGUUUUCUGGUAGAAGCCCCCUCAAUGCAGCCGGAAGCAGUUGCGUCAUAAUCACAUGGCAGUCAUGAGACUUUAGGUUCUGAAACUUUUUCUCUGGCAUAUUUAUUAUUCCCUUUAUAUUCGAUGAGAAGCCAGUCGUGACCUUCAUACUGAGCAGGCAUUCAAAGAAGAUUUCUUUCUCUUCUUUCGUAAGAGCAUAGCUGGCAGGACCUUUAUACUGCUUCGGAGGCAUGCCGUCUUUUUCAUGCAAAUGUUGCAGGUCCUCCCAUGCCUCGGAUGUAUCUUUUGUCUUCCCAUACAAGAAGCCUACCAGGUUCACACAAAGGUUCUUCAUCACGUGCAUCACGUCGAUUGAAGAGCAGACCUCUAGGUCUUUCCAGUAGGGUAGGUCCCAAAAUAUAGAUUUCUUCUUCCACAUGGGUGCGUGUCCCUCAGCGUCAUUCGGAACAGCUAGUCCGCCGGGACACUUUCCAAAGAUUACAUGUAAAUCAUUGACCAUAGCAAGUACGUGAUCACCGGUACGCAUGGCGGGCUUCUUCUGGUGAUCUGCCUCGCCUUUGAAAUGCUUGCCUUUCUUUCGACAUUGAUGGUUGGUCGGAAGAAAUCAACGAUGGCCCAGGUACACAUUUUUCCUGCAUUUGUCCAGGUAUAUACUUUCAGUGUCAUCUAAACAGUGCGUGCAUGCGUGGUAUCCUUUGUUUGUCUAUCCUGAAAGGUUACUGAGAGCGGGCCAAUCAUUGACGGUCACGAACAGCAAAGCCUUUAGGUUAAAUUCCUCCUGUCUAUGGUCAUCCCACGUACGUACACUGUUUCCAUUCCACAGCUGUAAAAGUUCUUCAACUAAUGGCCUUAGGUACACAUCAAUGUCCUUGCCGGGUUGCUUAGUGUAGGGGAACAUAGUAAUUUCAAAAUUUUCCUACGCACACGCAAGAUCAUGGUGAUGCAUAGCAACGAGAGGGGAGAGUGUUGUCUAUGUACCCUCGUAGACCGAAGCGGAAGCGCUGACACAACGUAGAGGAAGUAGUCGUACGUCUUCCCGAUCCUACCGAUCCAAGCACCGUUACUCCGGCACCUCCGAGUUCUUAGCACACGUACAGCUCGAUGACGCUCCCCAGGCUUCGAUCCAACAAAGCUUCGGGGAUGAGUUCCAUCAGCACAACGGCGUGGUGACGAUGAUGAUGUUCUACCGACGCAGGGCUUCGCCUAAGCACUACAAUGAUAUGACCGAGGUGGAAUAUGGUGGAAGGGGGCACCGCACACGGCUAAGGAACGAUCACGUUGAUCAAUUGUGUGUUCUAGGGUGUCCCCUUGCCUCCGUAUAUAAAGGAUCCAAGGGGGAGGGGUUCGGCCGGCCCUAUGGAGGCGCAGGAGGAGUCCUACUCCUACCGGGAGUAGGACUCCCCCCUUUCCUAGUCCAAGUAGGAUUGGUGGAGAAGAAAGGGAAAGAGGGGGGUGCAGCCCCUCCCUCCUUGUCCAAUUCGGACUAGGGGGAGAGGGGGCGCGCGGCCUGCCCUGGCAGCCCCUUCCUAUUCUCCACUUUAGGCCCAUGAGGCCCAUUAACACCCCGGGGGGUUCCGGUAACCCCCCGGUGCUCCGGUUUUAUCCGAAACUUCAUCGGAACCCUUCCGGUGUCUGAAUAUAGUCAUCCAAUAUAUCAAUCUUUAUGUCUCGACCAUUUCGAGACUCCUCGUCAUGCCCGUGAUCACAUCCGGGACACCGAACUAACUUCGGUACAUCAAAAUGUAUAAACUCAUAAUAACUAUCAUCGUAACGUUAAGCGUGCGGACCCUAUGGUUCGAGAACAAUGUAGACAUGACCGAGACACGUCUCCGGUCAAUAACCAAUAGCGGGACCUGGAUGCCCAUAUUGGCUCCUACAUAUUCUACGAAGAUCUUUAUCGGUCAGACCGCAUAACAACAUACGUUGUUCCCUUUGUCAUCGGUAUGUUACUUGCCCGAGAUUCGAUCGUCGGUAUCCAAUACCUAGUUCAAUCUCGUUACCGGCAAAUCUCUUUACUCGUUCCGUAAUACAUCAUCUCACAACUAACUCAUUAGUUGUAAUGCUUGCAAGGCUUAUGUGAUGUGCAUUACCGAGAGGGCCCAGAGAUACCUCUCCGACAAUCGGAGUGACAAAUCCUAAUCUCGAAAUACGCCAACCCAACAUCUACCUUUGGAGACACCUGUAGAGCACCUUUAUAAUCACCCAGUUACGUUGUGACGUUUGGUAGCACACAAAGUGUUCCUCCGGCAAACGGGAGUUGCAUAAUCUCAUAGUCAUAGGAACAUGUAUAAGUCAUGAAGAAAGCAAUAGCAACAUACUAAACGAUCGGGUGCUAAGCUAAUGGAAUGGGUCAUGUCAAUCAGAUCAUUCAACUAAUGAUGUGAUCUCGUUAAUCAAAUAACAACUCUUUGUUCAUGGUUAGGAAACAUAACCAUCUUUGAUUAACGAGCUAGUCAAGUAGAGGCAUACUAGUGACACUCUGUUUGUCUAUGUAUUCACACAUGUAUUAUGUUUCCGGUUAAUACAAUUCUAGCAUGAAUAAUAAACAUUUAUCAUGAUGUAAGGAAAUAAAUAAUAACUUUAUUAUUGCCUCUAGGGCAUAUUUCCUUCAGUCUCCCACUUGCACUAGAGUCAAUAAUCUAGAUUACACAGUAAUGAUUCUAACACCCAUGGAGCCUUGGUGCUGAUCAUGUUUUGCUCGUGGAAGAGGCUUAGUCAACGGGUCUGCAACAUUCAGAUCCGUAUGUAUCUUGCAAAUCUCUAUGUCUCCCACCUGGACUAGAUCCCGGAUGGAAUUGAAGCGUCUCUUGAUGUGCUUGGUUCUCUUGUGAAAUAUGGAUUCCUUUGCCAAGGCAAUUGCACCAGUAUUGUCACAAAAGAUUUUCAUUAGACCCGAUGCACUAGGUAUGACACCUAGAUCGGAUAUGAACUCCUUCAUCCAGACUCCUUCGUUUGCUACUUCCGAAGCAGCUAUGUACUCCGCUUCACAUGUAGAUCCCGCCACAAUGCUUUGUUCAGAACUGCACCAACUGACAGCUCAACCGUUUAAUGUAAACAUGUAUCCGGUUUGUGAUUUAGAAUCGUCCGGAUCAGUGUCAAAGCUUGCAUCAACGUAACCGUUUACGAUGAGCUCUUUGUCACCUCCAUAUACGAGAAACAUAUCCUUAGUCCUUUUCAGGUACUUCAGGAUGUUCUUGACCGUUGUCCAGUGAUCCACUCCUGGAUUACUUUGGUACCUCCCUGCUAAACUUAUAGCAGGGCACACAUCAGGUCUGGUACACAGCAUUGCAUACAUGAUAGAGCCUAUGGCUGAAGCAUAGGGAACAUCUUUCAUUUUCUCUCUAUCUUCUGAAGUGGUCGGGCAUUGAGUCUGACUCAACUUCACACCUUGUAACACAGGCAAGAACCCUUUCUUUGCUUGAUCCAUUUUGAACUUCUUCAAAAUCUUGUCAAGGUAUGUGCUUUGUGAAAGUCCAAUUAAGCGUCUUGAUCUAUCUCUAUAGAUCUUUAUGCCUAAUAUGUAAGCAGCUUCACCGAGGUCUUUCAUUGAAAAACUCUUAUUCAAGUAUCCCUUUAUGCUAUCCAGAAAUUCUAUAUCAUUUCCAAUCAGUAAUAUGUCAUCCACAUAUAAUAUCAGAAAUGCUAUAGAGCUCCCACUCACUUUCUUGUCAAUACAGGCUUCUCCAAAAGUCUGUACAAAACCAAAUGCUUUGAUCACACUAUCAAAGCGUUUAUUCCAACUCCGAGAGGCUUGCACCAGUCCAUAAAUGGAUCGCUGGAGCUUGCACACUUUGUUAGAUCCUUUCGGAUCGACAAAACCUUCCGGUUGCAUCAUAUACAACUCUUCUUCCAGAAAUCCAUUCAGGAAUGCAGUUUUGACAUCCAUCUGCCAAAUUUCGUAAUCAUAAAAUGCGGCAAUUGCUAACAUGAUUCGAACGGACUUAAGCAUCGCUACGGGUGAGAAGGUCUCAUCAUAGUCAACCCCUUGAACUUGUCCAAAACCUUUUGCGACAAGUCGAGCUUUGUAGACAGUAACAUUACCGUCAGCGUCAGUCUUUUUCUUGAAGAUCCAUUUAUUCUCAAUUGCUUGCCGACCAUCGGGCAAGUUAACCAAAGUCCAUACUUUGUUCUCAUACAUGGAUCCCAUUUCAGAUUUCAUGGCUUCAAGCCAUUUUGCGGAAUCUGGGCUCACCAUCGCUUCUUCAUAGUUAGUAGGUUCAUCAUGAUCUAGCAGCAUGAUUUCUAGAACAGGAUUACCGUACCACUCUGGCGCGGAUCUCACUCUGGUUGAUCUACGAGGUUCAGUAGUAUCUUGUCCUGAAGUUUCAUGAUCAUUAUCAUUAGCUUCCUCACUUAUGGGUGUAGGUGUCGCAGAAACAGUUUUCUGUGAUGUACUUCUUUCCAAUAAGGGGGCAGGUACAGUUACCUCGUCAAGUUCUACUUUCCUCCCACUCACUUCUUUCGAGAGAAACUCCUUCUCUAGAAAGGAUCCAUUCUUAGCAACGAAUGUCUUGCCUUCGGAUCUGUGAUAGAAGGUGUACCCAACAGUCUCCUUUGGGUAACCUAUGAAGACACAUUUCUCCGAUUUGGGUUCAAGCUUAUCAGGUUGAAGCUUUUUCACAUAAGCAUCGCAGCCCCAGACUUUAAGAAACGACAACUUUGGUUUCUUGCCAAACCAUAGUUCAUAAGGCGUCGUCUCAACGGAUUUUGAUGCUGCCCUAUUUAACGUGAAUGCGGCCGUCUCUAAAGCAUAACCCCAAAACGAUAGCGGUAAAUCAGUAAGAGACAUCAUAGAUCGCACCAUAUCUAGUAAAGUACGAUUACGACGUUCGGACACACCAUUACGCUGUGGUGUUCCGGGUGGCGUGAGUUGCGAAACUAUUCCGCAUUGUUUCAAAUGUACACCAAACUCGUAACUCAAAUAUUCUCCUCCAUGAUCAGAUCGUAGAAACUUUAUUUUCUCGUUACGAUGAUUUUCAACUUCACUCUGAAAUUCUUUGAACUUUUCAAAUGUUUCAGACUUGUGUUUCAUUAAGUAGAUAUACCCAUAUCUGCUUAAAUCAUUUGUGAAGUUGAGAAAAUAACGAUAUCCGCCACGAGCCUCAAUAUUCAUCGGACCACAUACAUCGGUAUGUAUGAUUUCCAACAAAUCUGUUGCUCUCUCCAUAGUACCGGAGAACGGUGUUUUAGUCAUCUUGCCCAUGAGGCACGGUUCGCAAGUACCAAGUGAUUCAUAAUCAAGUAGUUCCAAAAGUCCAUCAGUAUGGAGUUUCUUCAUGCGCUUUACACCGAUAUGACCUAAACGGCAGUGCCACAAAUAAGUUGCACUAUCAUUAUCAACUCUGCAUCUUUUGGUUUCAACAUUAUGAAUAUGUGUAUCACUACUAUCGAGAUUCAUCAGAAAUAGACCACUCUUCAAGGGUUCAUGACCAUAAAAGAUAUUACUCAUAUAAAUAGAACAACCAUUAUUCUCUGAUUUAAAUGAAUAACCGUCUCGCAUCAAACAAGAUCCAGAUAUAAUGUUCAUGCUUAACGCUGGCACCAAAUGACAAUUAUUUAGGUCUAAUACUAAUCCCGAAGGUAGAUGUAGAGGUAGCGUGCCGACCGCGAUCACAUCGACUUUGGAACCGUUUCCCACGCGCAUCGUCACCUCGUCCUUUGCCAGUGUUCGCCUAAUCCGUAGUCCCUGUUUCGAGUUGCAAAUAUUAGCAAUAUAACCAGUAUCAAAUACCCAGGUGCUACUGCGAGCUCUAGUAAGGUACACAUCAAUAACAUGUAUAUCACUUAUACCUUUAUUCACCUUGCCAUCCUUCUUAUCCGCCAAAUACUUGGGGCAGUUCCGCUUCCAGUGACCAGUCUGCUUGUAGUAGAAGCACUCAGUUUCAGGCUUAGGUCCAGACUUGGGUUUCUUCUCCUGAGCAGCAACUUGCUUGCCGUUCUUCUUGAAGUUCCCCUUCUUCUUCCCUUUGCCCCUUUUCUUGAAACUAGUGGUCUUGUUGACCAUCAACACUUCAUGCUCCUUCUUGAUUUCUACCUCCGCAGCUUUCAGCAUUGCGAAGAGCUCGAGAAUAGUCUUAUUCAUCCAUUGCAUAUUAUAGUUCAUCACAAAGCUCUUGUAGCUUGGUGGCAGUGAUUGGAGAAUUCUGUCAAUGACGCAAUCAUCUGGAAAAUUAACUCCCAUCUAAAUCAAGUGAUUAUUAUACCCAGACAUUUUGAGUAUAUGCUCACUGACAGAACUAUUCUCCUCCAUCUUGCAGCUAUAGAACUUAUUGGAGACUUCAUAUCUCUCAAUCCGGGCAUUUGCUUGAAAUAUUAGCUUCAACUCCUGGAACAUCUCAUAUGCUCCAUGACGUUCAAAACGUCGUUGAAGUCCCAAUUCUAAGCCGUAAAGCAUGGCACACUGAACUAUCGAGUGGUCAUCAGCUUUGCUCCGCCAGACGUUCAUAACAUCUGGUGUUGCUCCAGCAGCAGGCCUGGCACCCAGCGGUGCUUCCAGGACGUAAUUCUUCUGUGCAGCAAUGAGGAUAAUCCUCAAGUUACGGACCCAGUCCGUGUAAUUGCUACCAUCAUCUUUCAACUUUGCUUUUGUUGGGGAACGUAGUAAUUUCAAAAAUUUCCUACGCACACGCAAGAUCAUGGUGAUGCAUAGCAACGAGGGGGAGAGUCUGAUCUACGUACCCUUGUAGAUCGCAACGGAAGCGUUGACACAACGUAGAGGAAGUAGUCGUACGUCUUCUUCCCGAUCCGACCGAUCCAAGCACUGUUACUCCGGCACCUCCGAGUUCUUAGCACACGUUCAGCUCGAUGACGAUCCUCGGGCUCCGAUCCAGCAAAGCGUCGAGGAAGAGUUCCGUCAGCACGACGGCGUGGUGACGAUCUUGACGUACUACCGACGUAGGGCUUCGCCUAAGCACUACAACGGUAUGAUCGAGGUGGAAUUUGGUGGCAGGGGGCACCGCACACGGCUAAGGAACGAUUUCAAGGAUCAACUUGUGUGUCUAUGGGGAGCCCCCCGCCCCUGUAUAUAAAGGAUGGAGGAGGAGGAGGCCGGCCAAGGCAAAGGUGCGGCCAGGAUAGGGAGUCCUACUAGGACUCCAAGUCCUAGUAGGAGUCCACCAAAAGGGGAGGAAGGGAGAAGGAAUAGGAGGAGAAGGAGAGGUGGCCGGCCCCCUUUUCCCUAGUCCAAUUCGGACCAAAGGGGAGGGGGGGCGCAGCAGCCUUUUCCUCUUCCCACUAAAGCCCAUCAAGGCCCAUUACUUCUCCCGUAACUACCCGGUACUCCGAAAAAUACCCGAAUCACUCGGAACCUUUCCGAUGUCCGAAUAUAGUCGUCCAAUAUAUCGAUCUUUACGUCUCGACCAUUUCGAGACUCCUCGUCAUGUCCCCGAUUUCAUCCGGGACUCCGAACUCCUUCGGUACAUCAAUACUCAUAAACUCAUAAUAUAACUGUCAUCGAAACCUAAAGCGUGCGGACCCUAUGGUUCGAGAACAAUGUAGACAUGACCGAGACACGUCUUCGGUCAAUAACCAAUAGCGGGACCUGGAUGCCCAUAUUGGCUCCUACAUAUUCUACGAAGAUCUUUAUCGGUCAGACCGCAUAACAACAUACGUUGUUCCCUUUGUCAUCGGUAUGUUACUUGCCCGAGAUUCGAUCGUCGGUAUCCAAUACCUAGUUCAAUCUCGUUACCGGCAAGUCUCUUUACUCAUUCUAUAAUACAUCAUCCCACAACUAACUCAUUAGUUGCAAUGCUUGCAAGGCUUAAGUGAUGUGCAUUACCGAGAGGGCCCAGAGAUACCUCUCCGAUAAUCGGAGUGACAAAUCCUAAUCUCGAAAUACGCCAACCCAACAUCUUCCUUUGGAGACACCUGUAAUGCUCCUUUAUAAUCACCCAGUUACGUUGUGACGUUUUGUAGCACCCAAAGUGAUCCUCCGGCAAACGGGAGUUGCAUAAUCUCAUAGUCAUAGGAACAUGUAUAAGUCAUGAAGAAAGCAAUAGCAACAUACUAAACGAUCGGGUGCUAAGCUAAUGGAAUGGGUCAUGUCAAUCAGAUCAUUCAACUAAUGAUGUGACCUCGUUAAUCAAAUAACAACUCUUUUGUCCAUGGUUAGGAAACAUAACCAUCUUUGAUUAACGAGCUAGUCAAGUAGAGGCAUACUAGUGACACUCUGUUUGUCUAUGUAUUCACACAUGUAUUAUGUUUCCGGUUAAUACAAUUCUAGCAUGAAUAAUAAACAUUUAUCAUGAUAUAAGGAAAUAAAUAAUAACUUCAUUAUUGCCUCUAGGGCAUAUUUCCUUCAGUCUCCCACUUGCACUAGAGUCAAUAAUCUAGUUCACAUCGCCAUGUGAUUUAACAGCAAUAGUUCACAUCACCAUGUGAUUAACACCCAUAGUUCACAUCGUCAUGUGACCAACACUCAAAGGGUUUACUAGAGUCAGUAAUCUAGUUCACAUAUCUAUGUGAUUAACACCCAAAGAGUACUAAGGUGUGAUCAUGUUUUGCUUGUGAGAUAAUUUUAGUCAACGGGUCUGUCACAUUCAGAUCUGUAAGUAUUUUGCAAGUUCUAUGUCUACAAUGCUCUACACGGAGCUACUCUAGCUAAUUGCUCCCACUUUCAAUAUGUAUCCAGAUUGAGACUUUAGAUUCAUCUGGAUCAGUGUCAAAAACUUGCAUCGACGUAACCCUUUACGACGAACCUUUUUGUCACGUCCAUAAUCGAGAAACAUAUCCUUAUUUCACUAAGGAUAAUUCUGACCGCUGUCCAGUGAUCUACUCCUAGAUCACUAUUAUACUCCCUUGCCAAAUCAAUGCAGGGUAUACAAUAGAUCUGGUAUACAGCAUGACAUACUUUAUAGAACCUAUGGCCAAGGCAUAGGGAAUGACUUUCAUUCUCUUUCUAUCUUCUGCCGUGGUCGGGCUUUGAGUCUUACUCAACUUCACACCUUGUAAUACAGGCAAGAACUCUUUCUUUGACUGCUCCAUUUUGAGCUACUUCAAAAUCUUGUCAAGGUAUGUACUUAUUGAAAAAACUUAUCAAGCGUCUUGAUCUAUCUCUAUAGAUCUUGAAGCUCAAUAUGUAAGCAGCUUCACCGAAGUCUUUCUUUGAAAAACUCCUUUCAAACACUCCUUUAUGCUUUACAGAAUAAUUCUACAUUAUUUCCGAUCAACAAUAUGUCAAUCACAUAUACUUAUCAGAAAUGCUGUAGUGUCCCACUCACUUUCUUGUAAAUACAGGCUUCACCGCAAGUCUGUAUAAAACUAUAUGCUUUGAUCAACUCAUCAAAGCGUAUAUUCCAACUCCGAGAUGCUUGCACCAGUCCACAGAUGGAUCGCUGGAGCUUGCACAUUUUGUUAGCACCUUUCGGAUUGACAAAACCUUCUGUUGCAUCAUAUACAACUCUUCUUUAAUAAAUCCAUUAAGGAAUGCAGUUUUGUUUAUCCAUUUGCCAGAUUUCAUAAAAUGCGGCAAUUACUAACAUGAUUCGGACAGACUCAAGCAUAGAUACGAGUGAGAAGCUCUCAUCGUAGUCAACACCUUGAACUUGUCGAAAACCUUUUUGCGACAAUUCUAGCUUUGUAGAUAGUAACACUACUAUCAGCGUCCGUCUUCCUCUUGAAGAUCCAUUUAUUCUCAAUUGCUUGCCGAUCAUUGGGCAAGUCAACCAAAGUCCAAACUUUGUUCUCAUACAUGGAUCAUAUCUCAGAUUUCAUGGCCUCAAACCAUUUCGCGGAAUCUGGGCUCAUCAUUGCUUCCUCAUAGUUCGUAGGUUCAUCAUGAUCUAGUAGCAUGACUUCCAGGAUUGGAUUACCGUACCACACUGGUGCGGAUCUCACUCUGGUUGAUCUACGUGGUUCAGUAGUAUCUUGUCCUGAAGUUUCAUGAUCAUCAUCAUUAGCUUCCUCACUAAUUGGUAUAGGUGUCGCAGAAACAGUUUUCUGUGAUGUACUAUUUUCCAAUAAGGGAGCAGGUACAGUUACCUCGUCAAGUUCUACUUUCCUCCCACUCACUUCUUUUGAGAGAAACUCCUUCUCUAGAAAGGAUCCAUUAUAAGCAACGAAUGUCUUGCCUUAGGAUCUGUGAUAGAAGGUGUACCCAACAGUCUCCUUUGGGUAUCCUAUGAAGACAUAUUUCUCCGAUUUGGGUUUGAGCUUAUCAGGAUGAAACUUUUUCUCAUAAGCAUCGCAACCCCAAACUUCAAGAAACGACAACUUUGGUUUCUUGCCUAACCAUAGUUCAUACGGUGUCGUCUCAACGGAUUUAGAUGGUGCCCUAUUUAACGUGAAUGCAGCUUUCUCUAAUGCAUGAUCCCAAAACGAUAUUGGUAAAUCGGUAAGAAACAUCAUAGAUUGUACUAUAUCCAAUAAAGUACGGUUAUGACGUUCGGACACACCAUUAUGCUGUGGUGUUCCAGGUGGCGUGAGUAGUGAAACUAUUUCACAUUGUUUUAACUGAAGACCAAACUCGUAACUCAAAUACUCUUUUCCACGAUCAGAUCGUAGAAACUUUAUUUUCUUGUUACGAUGAUUUUCCACUUCACUCUGAAAUUAUAUGAACUUUUCAAAUGUAUCAGACUUCUAUUUCAUUAAGUAGAUAUACCCAUAUCUGCUCAAAUCAUCUGUGAAGGUUUAGAAAAUAAUGAUACCCGCUGCAAGCCUUAAAUAUUCAUCGGACCACAUACAUUUGUAUGUAUGAUUUCCAACAAAUCUGUUGCUUGCUCCAUUGUUCCGGAGAACGGCGUUUUAGUCAUCUUGCCCAAAAGGCAUGGUUCGCAAGCAUCAAGUGAUUCCGAAAGCCCAUCAGCAUGGAGUUUCUUCAUGUGCUUUAUACCAAUAUGACCUAAACGGCAGUGCCACAAAUAAGUUGCACUAUCAUUAUUAACUUUGCAUCUUUUGGUUUCAAUAUUAUGAAUAUGUGUAUCACUACGAUCGAGAUCCAACGAACUUGUUUCAUUGGGUGUAUGACCAUCGAAGGUUUUAUUCAUGUAAACAGAACAACAAUUAUUCUCUGACUUUAAUGAAUAACCGUAUUGCAAUAAACAUGAUCAAAUCAUAUUCAUGCUCAACCAAAUAACACUUAUUUAAGUUCAACACUAAUCCCGAAAGUAUAGGGGAGUGUGUGAUGAUGAUCAUAUCAAUCUUGGAACUACUUCCAACACACAUCGUCACUUCACCCUUAACUAGUCUUUGUUUAUUCUGCAACUCCUGUUUCGAGUUACUACUCUUAGCAACUGAACCAAUAUCAAAUACUGAGGGGUUGCUAUAAACACUAGUAAAGCACACAUCAAUAACAUGUAUAUCAAAUAUACUUUUGUUCACUUUGCCAUCCUUCUUAUCCGCCAAAUACUUGGGGCAGUUCCGCUUCCAGUGACCAGUCCCUUUGCAGUAGAAGCACUUAGUCUCAGGCUUAGGACCAAACUUCGGCUUCUUCACUUGAGCAGCAACUUGCUUGCCGUUCUUCUUGAAGUUCCCCUUCUUCCCUUUGCCCUUUUCUUGAAACUAGUGAUCCUGUCAACCAUCAACACUUGAUGUUUUUCUUGAUUUCGACCUUCGUUGAUUUCAGCAUCACGAAGAGCUUGGGAGUUGUUUCCGUUAUCCCUUGCAUAUUAUAGUUCAUCACGAAGUUCUACUAACUUGGUGAUGGUGACUAGAGAAUUUUGUCAAUCACUAUCUUAUCUGGAAGAUUAACUCCCACUUGAUUCAAGCGAUUGUAGUACUCAGAUAAUCUGGGCACAUGCUCACUAGUUGAGCGAUUCUCCCCCAUCUUUCAGCUAUAGAACUUGUUGGAGACUUCAUAUCUCUCAACUCGGGUAUUUACUUGAAAUAUUAACUUCAGCUUCUGGAACAUCUCAUAUGGUCCAUGACGCUCAGAACGUCUUUGAAGUCCCGAUUCUAAGCCAUUAAGCAUGGUGCACUAAACUAUCAAGUAGUCAUCAUAUUGGGCUAGCCAAACGUUCAUAACGUCGGCAUCUGCUCCUGCAAUAGGUCUGUCACCUAGCGGUGCAUCAAGGACAUAAUUCCUCUAUGCAGCAAUGAGGAUAAAACUCAGAUCACGGAUCCAAUCCGCAUCAUUGCUACUAACAUCUUUCAACACAAUUUUCUCUAGGGACAUGUCAAAAUAAACACAGGGAAGCAACAACGCGAGCUAUUGAUCUACAACAUAAUUUGCAAAAUACUACCAGGACUAAGUUCAUGAUAAAUUUAAGUUCAAUUAAUCAUAUUACUUAAGAACUCCCACUUAGAUAGAUAUCCCUCUAAUCCUCUAAGUGAUCACGUGAUCCAAAUCAACUAAACCAUAACCGAUCAUCACGUGAGAUGGAGUAGUUUUCAAUGGUGAACAUCGUCAUGUUGAUCAUAUCUACUAUAUGAUUCACGCUCGACCUUUCGGUCUCUGUGUUCCGAGGCCAUAUCUGCAUAUGCUAGGCUCGUCAAGUUUAACCUGAGUAUUCUGCGUGUGCAAAACUGGCUUGCACCCGUUGUAGAUGGACGUAGAGCUUAUCACACCCGAUCAUCACGUGGUGUCUGGGCACGACGAACUUUGGCAACGGUGCAUACUCAGGGAGAACACUUCUUGAUAAUUCAGUGAGAGAUCAUCUUAUAAUGCUACCGUCAAUCAAAGCAAGAUAAGAUGCAUAAAAAGAUAAACAUCAUAUGUAAUCAAAAUAUGUGACAUGAUAUGGCCAUCAUCAUCUUGCUUCUUUGAUCUCCAUCUCCAAAGUACUGUCAUGAUCUAUAUCGUCACCGGCAUGACACCAUGAUCUCCAUCAUCUUGAUCUAUAUCAAUGUGUCGUCGUGUGGUCGUCUCACCAACAAUUGCUCUUGCAACUAUUGCUAUCGCAUAGCGAUAAAGUAAAGCAAUUACUGGACGCUUGCAUCUCAUGAAAUAGAGAGACAACCAUAAGGAUUUUGUCAGUUGCUGAUAACUUCAACAAAACAUGAUCAUCUUAUACAACAACUUAUAACUCAUCACGUUUUGACCAUAUCACAUCACAACAUGCCCUGCAAAAACAAGUUAGACGUCCUCUACUUUGUUGUUGCAAAUUUUACGUGGCUGCUACGGGCUUAGCAAGAACCAAUCUUACCUACGCAUCAAAACCACAACGAUAGUUUGUCAAAUAGACUCCGUUUUAACCUUCGCAAGGACCGGGCGUAGCCACACUCGGUUCAACUAAAGUUGGAGAAACAGUCACCCGCAAGUCACCUAUGUGCAAAGCACGUCGGGGAAACCGGUCUCGCGUAAGCGUACGCGUAAUGUCGGUCCGGGCCGCUUCAUCCAACAAUACCGCGGAACCAAAGUAUGACAUGCUGGUAGGCAGUAUGACUUAUAUCGCCCACAACUCACUUGUGUUCUACUCGUGCAUAUAACAUCAAACCAUAAAACCUAGGCUCGGAUGCCACUGUUGGGGAACGUAGUAAUUUCAAAAAUUUCCUACGCACACGCAAGAUCAUGGUGAUGCAUAGCAACGAGGGGGAGAGUCUGAUCUACGUACCCUUGUAGAUCGCAACGGAAGCGUUGACACAACGUAGAGGAAGUAGUCGUACGUCUUCUUCCUGAUCCGACCGAUCCAAGCACCGUUACUCCGGCACCUCCGAGUUCUUAGCACACGUUCAGCUCGAUGACGAUCCUCGGGCUCCGAUCCAGCAAAGCGUCGAGGAAGAGUUCCGUCAGCAUGACGGCGUGGUGACGAUCUUGAUGUACUACCGAUGUAGGGCUUCGCCUAAGCACUACAACGGUAUGAUCGAGGUGGAAUUUGGUGGCAGGGGGCACCGCACACGGCUAAGGAACGAUCUCAAGGAUCAACUUGUGUGUCUAUGGGGUGCCCCCUGCCCCUGUAUAUAAAGGAUGGAGGAGGAGGAGGCCGGCCAAGGCAAAGGUGCGGCCAGGAUAGGGAGUCCUACUAGGACUCCAAGUCCUAGUAGGAGUCCACCAAAAGGGGAGGAAGGGAGAAGGAAUAGGAGGAGAAGGAGAGGUGGCCGGCCCCCUUUUCCCUAGUCCAAUUCGGACCAAAGGGGAGGGGGGCGCAGCAGCCUUUUCCUCUUCCCACUAAAGCCCAUCAAGGCCCAUUACUUCUCCCGUAACUACCCGGUACUCCGAAAAAUACCCGAAUCACUCCGAACCUUUCCGAUGUCCAAAUAUAGUCGUUCAAUAUAUCGAUCUUUACGUCUCGACCAUUUCAAGACUCCUCGUCAUGUCCCCGAUCUCAUCCGGGACUCCGAACUCCUUCGGUACAUCAAUACUCAUAAACUCAUAAUUUAACUGUCAUGGAAACCUUAAGCGUGCGGACCCUACGGUUCGAGAACAAUGUAGACAUGACCGAGACACGUCUCCGGUCAAUAACCAAUAGCGGGACCUGGAUGCCCAUAUUGGCUCCUACAUAUUCUACGAAGAUCUUUAUCGGUCAGACCGCAUAACAACAUACGUUGUUCCCUUUGUCAUCGGUAUGUUACUUGCCCGAGAUUCGAUCGUUGGUAUCCAAUACCUAGUUCAAUCUCGUUACCGGCAAGUCUCUUUACUCGUUCUAUAAUACAUCAUCCCACAACUAACUCAUUAGUUGCAAUGCUUGCAAGGCUUAAGUGAUGUGCAUUACCGAGAGGGCCCAGAGAUACCUCUCCGACAAUCGGAGUGACAAAUCCUAAUCUCGAAAUACGCCAACCCAACAUCUUCCUUUGGAGACACCUGUAAUGCUCCUUUAUAAUCACCCAGUUACGUUGUGACGUUUGGUAGCACCCAAAGUGUUCCUCCGGCAAACGGGAGUUGCAUAAUCUCAUAGUCAUAGGAACAUGUAUAAGUCAUGAAGAAAGCAAUAGCAACAUACUAAACGAUCGGGUGCUAAGCUAAUGGAAUGGGUCAUGUCAAUCAGAUCAUUCAACUAAUGAUGUGACCUCGUUAAUCAAAUAACAACUCUUUUGUCCAUGGUUAGGAAACAUAACCAUCUUUGAUUAAUGAGCUAGUCAAGUAGAGGCAUACUAGUGACACUUUGUUUGUCUAUGUAUUCACACAUGUAUUAUGUUUCCCGUUAAUACAAUUCUAGCAUGAAUAAUAAACAUUUAUCUUGUGCUUGUGAUCUCCAUCUCCGAAGCACCUUCAUGAUCACCAUCGUCACCGGCGCGACACCUUGAUCUCCAUCGUAGCAUCGUUGUCGUCUCGCCAAUCUUAUGCUUCCACGACUAUCGCUACCGCUUAGUGAUAAAGUAAAGCAUUACAACGCGAUUGCAUUGCAUACAAUAAAGCGACAACCAUAUGGCUCCUGCCAGUUGCCGAUAACUUGGUUACAAAACAUGAUCAUCUCAUACAAUAAAAUUUAGCAUCAUGUCUUGACCAUAUCACAUCACAACAUGCCCUGCAAAAACAAGUUAGACGUCCUCUACUUUGUUGUUGCAUGUUUUACGUGGCUGCUACAGGCUUAAGCAAGAACCAAUCUUACCUAUGCAUCAAAACCACAACGAUAGUUUGUCAAGUUGAUGCCGUUUUAACCUUCGCAAGGACCGGGCGUAGCCACACUCGGUUCAACUAAAGUUGGAGAAACAGUCACCCGCAAGCCACCUUUGUGCAAAGCACGUCGGGAGAACCGGUCUCGCGUAAGCGUACGCGUAAUGUCGGUCUGGGCCGCUUCAUCCAACAAUACCGCCGAACCAAAGUAUGACAUGCUGGUAGGCAGUAUGACUUAUAUCGCCCACAACUCACUUGUGUUCUACUCAUGCAUAUAACAUCAAACCAUAAAACCUAGGCUCUGAUACCACUGUUGGGGAACGUAGCAAUUUCAAAAAAUUUCUACGCACACGCAAGAUCAUGGUGAUGCAUAGCAACAAGAGGGGAGAGUGUUGUCUAGAAGCGUUGACACAACGUAGAGGAAGUAGUCGUACGUCUUCCCGAUCCGACCGAUCCAAGCACCGUUACUCCGGCACCUCCGAGUUCUUAGCACACGUACAACUCGAUGACGCUCCCCGGGCUCCGAUCUAGCAAAGCUUCGGGGAUGAGUUCCGUCAGCACAACGGCGUGGUGACGAUGAUGAUGUUCUACCGACGCAGGGCUUCGCCUAAGCACUACAACGAUAUGACCGAGGUGGAAUAUGGUGGAAGGGGGCACCGCACACGGCUAAGGAACGAUCACGUUGAUCAAUUGUGUGUUCUAGGGUGCCCCCUUGCCUCCGUAUAUAAAGGAUCCAAGGGAGAGGGGUUCGGCCGGCCCUAUGGAGGCGCAGGAGGAGUCCUACUCCUAUCGGGAGUAGGACUCCCCCCCUUUUCCUUGUCCAAGUAGGAUUGGUGGAGAAGAAUGGGAAAGAGGGGGGCGCCGCCCCUCCCUCCUUGUCCAAUUCGGACUAGGGGGAGAGGGGGCGUGCGGCCUGCCCUGGCAGCCCCUUCCUCUUCUCCACUUUAGGCCCAUGAGGCCCAUUAACCCCCCGGGGGGUUCCGGUAACCCCCCGGUGCUCCGAUUUUAUCCGAAACUUCAUCGGAACCCUUCCGGUGUCCGAAUAUAGUCAUCCAAUAUAUCAAUCUUUAUGUCUUGACAAUUUUGAGACUCCUCGUCAUGUCCGUGAUCACAUCCGGGACUCCGAACUAACUUCGGUACAUCAAAAUGUAUAAACUUAUAAUAACUGCCAUCGUAACGUUAAGCGUGCGGACCCUACGGUUCGAGAACAAUGUAGACAUGGCCGAGACACGUCUCCGGUCAAUAACCAAUAGCGGGACCUGGAUGCCCAUAUUGGCUCCUACAUAUUCUACGAAGAUCUUUAUCGGUCAGACCGCAUAACAACAUACGUUGUUCCCUUUGUCAUCGGUAUGUUACUUGCCCGAGAUUCGAUCGUCCGUAUCCAAUACCUAGUUCAAUCUCGUUACCAGCAAGUCUCUUUACUCGUUCCGUAAUACAUCAUCUCGCAACUAACUCAUUAGUUGUAAUGCUUGCAAGGCUUAUGUGAUGUGCAUUACCGAGAGGGCCCAGAGAUACCUCUCCGACAAUCGGAGUGACAAAUCCUAAUCUCGAAAUACGCCAACCCAACAUCUACCUUUGGAUACAUCUUUAGAGCACCUUUAUAAUCACCCAGUUAUGUUGUGACGUUUGGUAGCACACAAAGUGUUCCUCCGGCAAACGGGAGUUGCAUAAUCUCAUAGUCAUAGGAACAUGUAUAAGUCAUGAAGAAAGCAAUAGCAACAUACUAAACGAUCGGGUGCUAAGCUAAUGGAAUGGGUCAUGUCAAUCAGAUCAUUCAACUAAUGAUGUGAUCUCGUUAAUCAAAUAACAACUCUUUGUUCAUGGUUAGGAAACAUAACCAUCUUUGAUUAACGAGCUAGUCAAGUAGAGGCAUACUAGUGACACUUUGUUUGUCUAUGCAUUCACACAUGUAUUAUGUUUCCGGUUAAUACUAUUAUAGCAUGAAUAAUAAACAUUUAUCAUGACAUAAGGAAAUAAAUAAUAACUUUGUUAUUGCCUCUAGGGCAUAUUUCCUUCACUUAGGGCCUUGGAUGAGAACUGGCAUCAUAAUGAACUUCCGCUUCAUGCACAUCCAAGGAGGAAGGUUAUACAUACAUAGAGUCACGGGCCAGGUGCUGUGAUUGCUGCUCUGCUCCCCUAUAGGAUUAAUGCCAUCCAUGCUUAAAGCAAACCAUACAUUCCAUGGGUCGUUUGCAAACUCAUCCCAGUACUUUCUCUCGAUUUUUCUCCACUGCGACCCGUCAGCGGGUGCUCUCAAUUUUCCGUCUUUCUUCCGGUCCUCACUGUGCCAUCGCAUCAACUUGGCAUGCUCUUCGUUUUUGAAUAGACGUUUCAACCGUGGUAUUAUAGGAGCAUACCACAUCACCUUCGCAGGAACCCUCUUCUUGGGGGGCUCACCGUCAACGUCACCAGGGUCAUCUCGUCUGAUCUUAUACCGCAAUGCACCGCAUACCGGGCAUGCAUUCAGAUCCUUGUAUGCACCGCGGUAGAGGAUGCAGUCAUUAGGGCAUGCAUGUAUCUUCUCCACCUCCAAUCCUAGAGGGCAUACGACUUUCUUUGCUGCGUAUGUACUGUCGGGCAAUUCGUUAUCCUUUGGAAGAUUCUUCUUCAAUAUUUUCAGUAGCUUCUCAAAUCCUUUGUCAGCCACAGCAUUCUCUGCCUUCCACUGCAGCAAUUCCAGUACGGUACCGAGCUUUGUGUUGCCAUCUUCGCAAUUGGGCUACAACCCUUUUUUGUGAUCCUCUAACAUGCGAUCGAACUUCAGCUUCUCCUUUUGACUUUCGCAUUGCGUCCUUGCAUCGACAAUGACCCGGCGGAGAUCAUCAUCAUCGGGCAGAUCGUCUGGUUCCUCUUGAUCUUCAGCAGCUUCACCCGUUGCAGCAUCAUUGGGCACAUCGUCUGUUUCCUCUUGAUCUUCACCAGCUCCCUCCAUUGCAGCAUAACCGUAUUCAGGGGGCACAUAGUUGUCAUCGUACUCUUCUUCUUUGCCAUCUUCCAUCAUAACACCUAUUUCUCCGUGCCUCGUCCAAACAUUAUAGUGUGGCAUGAAACCCUUGUAAAGAAGGAGGGGGUGAAGGAUUUUCCGGUUAGAGUAAUACCUCGUAUUCCCACAUUCAGUGCAUGGACAACACAUAAAACCAUUCUGCUUCUUUGCCUCAGCCGCACCGAGAAACUCAUGCACGCCCUUAAUGUACCCGGAGGUGUGUCUGUCACCGUACAUCCAUUGCCAGUUCAUCUACGUGCAUUAUAUAUAAUUAAGUGUCCAAAUUAAUAGAAGUUCAUCAUCACAUUAAAACCAAAGUACAUACAUAGUUCUCAUCUAACAACAUAUAGCUCUCCAGAGCAUCUAAUUAAUUAAACCAUACAUUGAAACUAUGUAAAACAUUUCAAUGCGAAAACAAAUGCGAUCAUAAUUGCAACCAAGGUAACAAUUGAUCCAACGGCAUAAUGAUACCAAGCCUCGGUAUGAACGACAUAUUUUCUAAUCUUUCUAAUCUUCAAGCGCAUUGCAUCCAUCUUGAUCCUGUGAUCAUAGACGACAUCCGCAACAUGCAACUCCAAUAUCAUCUUCUCCUCCUCAAUUUUUUUAUUUUUUCCUCCAACAAAUAGUUUUCUUCUUCAACUAAAUUUAGCCUCUCGGCAAUAGGGUCGGUUGGCAUUUCCGAUUCACAUACAUCCUACAUAAAUAAAAUCUAUGUCACGUUGAUCGGCAUAAUUUUCAUAAACAAUAAAUGAACCAAUAGUUAUAAAGAUAAUAUAUAUACCACAUUCGAAUCAUAGACAGGACGAGGGCGACGGGGGCGGAUACCAAAACCAUCGCACUAUAUAAGAUGCAAUAAUAAAAGUAAGAAAAUAAUACAAGUAUCUAUGUAAACAUACAAGUAAGAAUAUUUUUCCUUUCAGAAAGAAGAUAAGAACAAGAGGCUCACCAUGGUGGUGCCGGCAAGGCCCACCUUGGUCCAUGCGGGGAUGCACAAAAUAAGCUAUGUGCGGCCCAUGCGGGGAAUUUUGGUUACGCAUGGCCCAUACAUAUGGUGAUCCAGCCGUACGUGACCAAAUAGGAUGGACGGACAAACGAAAACGGACAAAAAUUAGGGACCAACCAAUUAGUACCACCUCGCGUAUAUGUUUUAUAUUUAAACUGAAAGCGUAAAUUUUCAUGAAAAGAAAUGUACUGUGACGGUGAACCCGACAAAGUCAAUCCGUGCUUUAUUAUUAGGGAAAGAUAUACUAAUUGGAGGCACCUUUGGAGCGUCUACGUUAAUCCACGUCAUUAAGAUUAAUAUAGCCGUUUGAUAUUAAAUUUAAUGGUUAAGAUAUGCUAGAAGACUAUGCCUUAUUAUAGAAGAAAACAACAUGUACGUAGGGAUGAAAUCCACGCAUACAAAAAAAAACUCAUGUAAAGAAAAAUCAAUUCUCACCACAUAGAUGAAACUCAUUAAACUUGCACAUGCAAAAAAAGUCCUAAGCUCCCACGUCCAUGAAAGAUUAGACAUGCACAUAAAAAAAGAGUCCUAAAUGCCCACGCCCAGGUUCCAAGAAAAAGUACGUGCCUACUCCUUGCAAAAAGAGGACGCGUGGCAAAACUAAAAAAUAUGAAUAUAAUCAUCUCAAUCUCUUUCUAAUAAUAAAAUAUGAAUUGAUUUUGUCAGGUUCGUCGUCACAAUACACUUUUUCCUGUAAAUUUACGCUUUCACUUUGAAUUUAAAACAUAUAGGUGAGGUGGUACUAAAAAACUGUUCAUUGGUCGCGUACGUCAAUUAGUAUAAGUCGCUUUUUUUAGUCCCUCCGGCUCGCUAGACUGGGCCGUGUUGAUCAUUCCCGUGAUGACUGAACUGGGCCUGGUCAAAAAGAAAAAAAACGAUGCAAAAAAUAAUUCCCCAUGAGCUUCGAACCAAGACGAAGGCCCUCAGUCACAAAGGAGAACGCCAACUAGAUUGCUCUAUUUUGUUCUGCCAAAUUGUGUCCCUGUAGAUAUAAUAGUCCCACAUCGCUUCUUUGCACUGUAUCUUAUCGAUUUUUAUACAUCGGCGGACUUGUCCUAGCAGAAGUUAAUUGGAAGAGGAAGCAAGGAAUAAAGAACGAACGCAGGAGGAAUUUGGCCAGAAGAAACAAGGUCGGGGAGCGUGAGGUUUAUGGUGAAUAUUCAGAGAACGGCAGCUGCAUUGUUCGAAUUUAGUCUAUCUUUGGACAUGUCUUUUCCGGGGAUUCGACACCAUGUUUUGUGCGCGAAUGGUUUUAUUAGGGUUUUUGACUGUUCCAAGUUAGAAGAGGCCAGAGUUUUCUCUGGUUCUUCAGUGGCCUGAAGCAACCAUGCUUACGCUUUUUUUUUUCAACCAUUCAUUGCCCAUUUUCAUUAAUUUCUUAAAGAAAAUACAUCAACCGUCCUUGCAGAAAGAACGAGGCAGCUUCACAGCUGGAAAUCAAGAGUGCGGUGUCCAGUUUUACGGGGAAAAGAAUUCUAUGAGACCAGGUCUCACGCGAGACCCAUCCUAAUGAAUGCCACGUGCUAUCCAUCAGAACGGGUCUCACCUGCUAACCGUGAGACUUGGUCUCAUAUAUUUUUUUUCCGUUUUACGGGGAAGCAUCAUCAGAAAUCUAGCAAAUCAUUCGCAUUAUUCUCUCACAUACAGUACAGAUCCUUCGGAUCGCCACAUCACAGCUGGACUUCAUUGCUUUGGGUGUCUAAUUAAGGGCUUGUUCGGUUAAUCCUCUCGCGAAGAGGAUUGGAGGGGAUUGGCAAGGAUUGGUUCGUAUUUUGACUUCUAAGAGGUUUAAGUCCUCCUCAAACCCCUUCAAUCCAUUCGGAUUCACACGCAACCAAACAAGGCCUAAACGGGAUCCGCAUCUGAACUAUUAAGCAGCAAAUGAUAGUGUGCGUGAAACAGGUAGGCAAUGUCAAUGAGGACAAACUGUGAUGAUAUCGUUUGAAAACUCAGCUGUCGUCCGUAGUGUUUGGCAUGUGACAGAUAGAUCCUGUUGAUUGUCUAACGAAAGCCAACGGUGAUGUCAAACUAGACUAUUUUAACAUAGUCGGUAAGACAAAAAUGGGAAACAUAUGUAUAUAUGACUACCGAGAACACGACAUCCAUUGUAUCUCGAUUAAGCAUCUUCAAAUAUUAUUCCUGUCGUGAUAUUGACAACAUUAUUAGUUUGUACUUGAAUGAAUAGUCAAGGAACUUUUGAGUGUUCCAAGUUAAACAUCCAAAUUUGUGUCGCAUUUCAGUAUGGGAGGCGCGUAUGACUCUCAAGUUUUUCCGAAUUUGAGUAAUACGGGUCAACUAUUUGCAAAAAUAAAAUAAAAACAUGUUAUCUAGCAUAUGUUUUUACCGUGUUAACACAUUCACAAUUAUUCCAUUUUGAAAAAAGGUACCUAGGUGGUAAAUGAACUACAAACCUUGCUCGACAUAUAUCGAGAAAUAUGUAUUGACAUACACAACAGAGAAAAUAAAUCAAAAUACAUUGCGCAGAACAUUGACAAUAAAUUAGUUGGUGAAAUUAGACAAUUUAGUUGGUGAACUUAGAAAAUUGUUACAUAAGGCUCCAACUUAAUUUCUCAGCAGUUGGAUCAGUUUUUUUUUUUGAGGACCAUGGAAAUACUGAAACCAUGGUUGAUACAAACUCCCCUCUCACACCUAAACUUUGAGCUAGAUAUUUCCUUUUAGUGAGUUUAGCUACUAAUUUUAAAGGGGUUCGCUAAAUCUCAGUCAAUUGAGAUUUAAUGUAGUCUCAAUCACCUUUCCAAGCCGUUGAAUACAUGCACACUAAGAUUAUGUGCUAGGAAACUUUUCUUUGUUAUUGUGAGGUGGAACGGAAAGAGAUGUGUGUGUGCCUUUCUGGACUAUUCGAAGUGUGCGUGUUUUUCCGAGGAAAGAGCCUACAAUCUACACGAGAAGCUUGUGUUUGGGCCAAGUCCAAACAUAAUAUAAUUUGUCAAACCAAACAACCAACAUUUUCUAAAACCGAAAUCAACAUAGCAAAAACAUGUUUGCUUUCGAAUAUUAAUAAAUAACUGUAUAUAAAUAAUCCCACUUCAAUGCACCACUCCUCUCACACCCGGUGAUAGUGUGAUGUUCGUUGAGGCAACAUCGAAGGACAUGAAUGUAGUUUCAUUAAUCUUUUUCCGAAUUGUGUACACCAAAAAUUGUAUCAUCAUUAACGACGGUGGCAAAAAUGAAAAGUGGCAACAUGAACGAGUCACUGAAAACAUGCGAAGACUUUCUCCUUCCGGUGCAAUGCACGACACAUUAAAUGAUGCAUACAAAGGUUAAAGGGAACCUUCUUUUGAGAAACAAAGACAAACACAGACUCACAAACACGUACAUACAUGAACACCUAGAGAGACUGAGCUGACAAGUCUUGAGAUUGAUGAACACACCACAAGUGUCUCGCUUCGACGCGAACGUCACCAUGCACUGAAAAAAUAUUUCACCUUUGUGAAACAUGAAAUUAAGCGUCAAAGUUAGGUUUUAAUUCUUGCUCUAUUGGGUAUCACCGCCCUGCAAACCAUCCAAUCAGAGAUUGGUUCUCAGGGUUAAAGCGAAACUAACCAAUACAUUUAUUUGAUAUGAAAAAAUGAACCCUUCCAAACCAAGCAAACAACUAUCUCUAAGAAAUCCAACAUAGCAACAAUGCUUUGUAUUCAAAUGUUUUGGAAAUUCUAAAAAAAAACUUUUGGAUUAGUUUUUAAACUCUCGGUUAGUAUAGAACAUUCCAAUGUUUGUAUGUUGCACUAAAAAUAAAUGCACCACUCUUUCACCCGGUGGUAGUGCUAAGCUAAAGGAGUGCCAUCAAAGGACACCACUAUGACUAUCUUAACUCUACUCCAUGAUGCGGACACCAAUAAUCAUUUUUAUUUACCAACACGAAGGCGUUUUUUUAAGAUAGUGAGUGUUUCUAAAUGUUCUUGGUUUCAAAAAAUAUAUUCAUGUUUUAAAUAUGUUUAAACUUUUGAAGAAAUGCUGAAAAUUCCUAAAAAAUGGUUCCAAUUAAAAACCAGCUAUAAUUGUUCAAAAAAUCAUUAAAAAAAAUCAUGAAAUCGCUUGUUUAUAUAAUGUUCGACUUCAAAAAAUAUUCCAAUUCUAGUAAGAAAUUAAAAAAUAGUCGAUUUCUUAAAAAAUAAAGAAAUAUUUGUGUUGUCUUUCAAAAAGCAAAAUAUAUACCGAUUCACAUACUAUUCCAUGCACAACUAUUCUUCCAACAGAUGUGGGAAGUUAGGUUGGUUCUUCAUGUACACACUUCAAGCUCCGAACAAAAAUUAGAGUUUAACAUUAUUACUCUGGUUUAUCAGCCUUUGAUACAAGAAAUGGCACAUGAAGCGCACUUUUAUUUGCCCGUUGCAACGCACGGGCAUUUGUACUAGUAAAUAUCAAUUGAAGGAAUAUCAUUCUGCAAAGGCAGAUUCUUGAAUAGGAUUGUUUCACAACUGCAUCCAUCAAUUUUAAAGUUUACUAUCUAAUAUGAUGCUAGAUAGAUAAAGCCUCAAUUAAGUAUAACAUUGUGUUUGUUGGUUAAGUUAGGAGCACUUACUAAUGUACUAAAAGAGAAAUAUAUAUUAUAUAUGGUUUGAGUACCAUUGUAGUAGUGGUGCAUAUACAUACGCGCACCACCUACUAUAUAUCGAAAUAAUUCAUACUCGCUUUCUCCCUUAUAUAUAUAGUAGGUGGUGUCAAAUUCUUGCUAAUUUGACAUGAAGGCUUCAUUCAGACCAGUGAUGAUACUUUGCGCAACAUAAAUGGGAAAGUAGAGGCACUCUUCCAUAUAAUGAAGUUUAUAAUAUAUGUGUUUAUAUUGUACUAUAAUUGUUUGAAUAACUUACCAUAUGUUCAGAUGUAUGAUAUCUGUAAUUUAAGCGCUUGAAUUUUACAUAUAAAUAUAAUUUUAUUAAUAAAUAUGUACCCAUAUAAUAGCUAGGCCGUGUAGUUGCACGGGUAGAUGACUAGUGAUUACAAUCUUGUUUGUGAGCAAGUCAAGAUUAUCUAGUUUACACGUAACAACUUGUAGAACAUUACAAAAAUUAUGCUUGCUAAUAACUUCUAGAACACUACAACACUUGACAUGUAAAAGGAAUUUGAUGAGUCAUGGCCUACUAAAGCAAGUUACAUUACUACUCUUAUCUAUCUUAACAGACCACACAAGAUUACAAACUAAGUACCGUGACAGCCAUGCUUAUCUAAUUUAUGCGUAACAAUUUGCGGAAAAUUACAAAUUUAGUUUUAGAAAAAUAGGCAAUCUAGAUUAGUGUUUGAGCUGUAAUGUGAAUAAGAUGAGUCGUGCGUCUUGUCACACCUUUUUGGUGGUGGAAUGAUAGUGCAACAACAAGGAACUUUAAUGACCAGUCCAAGAAUACACUUGUAAGUAGUGCCACCAAACAGAACAUACCAAAUUAUGAUUUUGAGAAGAAUCCAAGCACUUUCCACACAAGCAAAUGCCAAUUGUGAAAGAGAUCAUUCCAUGGCAGCUAUAAAUAGCCCCAUAGCAUGACGCUCAUCCUUCCUCAUCCAUCAUUCUCAUAAGUAGAGUGCAUCAUUUAAGCCAAGCAAGCUGUGGUCAAUACAAAUCCACCAUGAAGACCUUUCUCAUCCUUUCCCUCCUUGCUAUCGUGGCAACCACCGCCACAACUGCAUUUAGAAUUCUAGUGCCACAAUUGCAGCCACAAAAUCCAUCUUAGCAACAACCACAAGAGCAAGUUCCAUUGGUACAACAACAGCAAUUUCUAGGGCAGCAACAACCAUUUCCACCACAACAACCAUAUCCACAGCCGCAACCAUUUCCAUCACAACAACCAUAUCUGCAGCUGCAACCAUUUCCGCAGCCGCAACCACCAUAUUCGCAGCCGCAACCAUUUCGACCACAAUAACCAUAUCUCCACAACCGCAACCACAGUAUUCGCAACCACAAUAACCAAUUUCGCAGCAGCAACAACAACAACAACAACAACAACAACAACAAAUCCUUCAACAAAUUUUGCAACAACAACUGAUUCCAUGCAUGGAUGUUGUAUUGCAGCAACACAACAUAGCGCAUGGAAGAUCACAAGUUUUGCAACAAAGUAGUUACCAGCUGUUGCAAGAAUUGUGUUUUCAGCACCUAUGACAGAUCCCUGAGCAGUCGCAGUGCCAAGCCAUCCACAAUGUUGUCCAUGCUAUUAUUCUGCAUCAACAACAAAAACAACAACAACAACAACAACAAAAACAACAACCAUCGAGCCAGGUCUCCUUCCAACAGCCCCAGCAACAAUAUCCAUCAGGCCAGGGCUCCUUCCGGCCAUCUCUGCAAAAUCCACAGGCCCAGGGCUCGGUCCAGCCUCAACAGCUGCCCAGUUCGAGGAAAUAAGGAACCUAGCGCUACAGACGCUACCUGCAAUGUGCAAUCUCUACAUCCCUCCAUAUUGCACCAUCGCGCCAUUUGGCAUCUUCGGUACUAACUGAGAAGAAAAUAACUCUAGUACUAGAUAUAUGAAACACCGUUUUCUUAGUCCAUGGUUUGGUCAUUGUAGCGGUGAAAAAAUAAAGUGACAUGCACUACCAUGUAAGAACUCGAACUAUACUAGUUCAAACUUGGGAAUAAAAGACAAACACAGGUCUUGUCUACAUAUUUAUGUUGCAUUUAUCUAAAGAUAACAAAAUGAGUCUAAAAUUUGAAUUAAAUUGAAGUAUUUUCUUGGACUUUCAAAUUGAGUAUUAUUAACGUAGUAAGGACUAUCCUCAUCCUUGGCCUGCCCCUAAUCAAUUAUUUCCAGAGAAGCAUUCAAUUCAUCAAUCAAUUACAUUGAUUUUUGUGGCUGGUACUUCUCCUCAACAUCAGUAUAUUCACCGUGGCUACUCCAAAUCGGCAAGAAUGAGGUACCGGUGCUCUGGAGCAGUGCCAACUAAUUGCUUCUCAUGUGAAGGGGUGCGGGCGCGGGAGAGGUAUUUCUGGUGGGCCAAGGGAGUAAGAAGCCACCGUGGGAGUGGUACAGACGCCCGUAAAGCCCCAUAGUUUCUUUUUGGUUUACAGGAAAAUGCACAUCCAUACCGGCCUGGGGAGUAUAGGACCGUAUUGGAUGGAAAACCAUGUCCGGAUGGUUGCGAGCGGUUUGAGGGUUAGCUUUUGUAACGCCCGGUUAGUUAUGCUAUAGCAAUUCCCUGCUAAUGAUGUCACGUCACCAAGAUUACUGUUGUUAUCCUCACAAUGAUUCAAUGCCAUUCUAAUUCAAAUUUAAAAUAAAGGCAAGCAUCAAAAGUUUUCAAACAUUAAAACUAAAAUCUUUGAGAGGUAACAAAUAAUGCAUAAGUAAUUAUGGUGGAGAAACCACACUUUAAUAAAAUGUUUAAAUACUCUAAAAUGAAAAAAACAGUGGCUUAAACUAUUAUUUAAAUGCUUUUAAAAUAGUAAAAAUGUUCUAACUAAAUUAAUUGGGUACCAACCUUUUGGUGGCAGUGGUAUAUUUAGUAGAACUAAUUUAGAUGCUAGUUAUAUGAUUUAGAAAAUUAGGGUCAAUUGAAAAAUAGGAUAAAACAGAGAAGGAAAGACAAAACAAAUAAAAGCAAAAGGGGGCAACCCCUCACUGGCCUUGGCCUAGCUGGCCACUGGGCUAGCUAGGUCGGCCCCGCCGCCUCCCUUAACCCCCUGUCGGUGUCGAAACCGGUGGAUGGUACCAUGAGUAGAUCUACCACGAGAUCGGAGAGGCUAAACCCUAGAGGCUAGCCUAUGAUAUGAUUGUAUGUGUCCUACGGACUAAAACCCUCCGGUUUAUAUAGACACCGGAGAGGGUUAGGGUUACACAAGGUCGGUUACAAAGGAGGAGAUAUCCAUAUCCGUAUUGCCUAGCUUGCCUGCCACGCCAAGUAGAGUCCCAUCCGGACACGGGACGAAGUCUUCAAUCUUGUAUCUUCAUAGUGCAACAGUCCGAAAAAGGAUAUAGUCCGGCUGUCCGGAGACCCCCUAAUCCAGGACUCCCUCAGUAGCCCCUGAACCAGGCUUCAAUGACGAUGAGUCUGGCGCGCAGUAUUGUCUUCGACAUUGCAAGGCGGGUUCCUCCUCCGAAUGCAUCACAGAAGAAUUUGAAUACGAGGAUAGUGUCCGACCCUGCAACAUAAGUUCCACAUAAUUCCAUACAGAGAAUAAUAUUUUCGCAAAUCUAAUUUGCUUACUUGUUUUGACAGUACGACAUUAUGUCAUGGCCCGGUGAUUAUUCGAACCGUUUCCUUUAACUAGCCCCGCACAUAACGCGAGGCAGUUUUUCGACAUGUCUUGUCAAAGCAGAGAUCGUGUCCCCUUAUUACUGGAUUCUCAUCAAUACGGGCGUGGGUAACCCAACCGCGCCAUCGAUUGCGGCACUUGGGGGAUGAGCUAUUUUUACCUGGCAAGUGGGGACGCUUAGUUUCGUCCGCCCAUAUAAAGGGAUAAGGAUUCACCUUUCUAUCCAUGCCUUCUUCCUCCUUUGCUCAUCCGUUUUUGCACACUCGAGCUCUAGCGCCCAAGUUCGCACUUCCCACCUCAACCUUCUCCAACCAUGUCCCGAGCGGGAGGCAGGUGGAUGGUAUCCUCCGUCACGGAUGGAGACAUCAAGAAGCUGAGGAGCGCCGGAUACCUGCCUGACGACAUCGCGCACCGGCUCCCAGAUGAGGGGCAGCUCACCCCCACCCCCAGGCCCCAUGAGAGGGUAGUGUUCCUCACCCAUUUCCUCCGCGGACUGGGAUUCCCUCUCCACCCAUUUGUCCCGGGGCUCAUGUUCUAUUACGACCUGGAUUUCCAUGAUCUGGCCCCGAACUUCAUCCUCAACAUCUCGGCGUUUAUCGUUGUGUGCGUGGCCUUCCUCCGCAUCAAGCCCCACUUCGGCUUAUGGUUGAAGACCUUUAAUGUCAAGCCGAAGGUUGUGGGCGACCGCCAGGCGGAGUGCGGAGGCGCCAUGGUGGGCAAGAUGCCCAACGUAACAUGGCUCGAGGGCUCUUUUGUGGAAACCAUAAAGGGGUGGCAAUCGGGUGGUUCUACAUCACCGAGCCGCGUGACCCUGCAUGGGCAGCGGCCCCCCGAGUUCUGAUCUGGCAUCCCCACGCGGCUCACCUCCUGGAAAGAGAAGGGCCUGUCCUGGGGUAGUUUGGAAGAGCUGACCAGACUCCAAACAUGUAUUCAAAACAUGGUGAACAAGAAGCUCAAACUCGUCAACGUGGUCCAGGUCAUGCUCCACCGCCGGAUCCUCCCGUGCCAAUAACGGGAGUUCAACUUGUGGGAGUACAACCCAGCGCAGCACCGAACUCUGAACAGGCUUUUCGACACAACUCACGAAGAUGCCUCGAGGGUGCUGUUCAAAAUCACCAAGGUCCCCCUCCCAUUACUGAGGAUCACGGAUUCAGCGUGAAGCGCCAAGCCAGUGCGGCAGGCUGCUUUACCUUUCACAGGCUACUUAUUUUUUAUAGAUUGACUCCAUGCGGGAUCUAAACUCCCGUACCUUUGACAGGACUGGCAGGAGAUGGCCGGACAGAUCGACUGUCCGGCUCCUAUGCCCGAAGGCCCAGCAGACGCUCUUCUAGCGAAGAUGCUGACUUCGGCUCCUUAUACGGUGCCGGAGAAGACCAAGAAGGACAAGGGAACCCGAAAGAGUUCCCGACGCCAGGCGUCGUCGGACUCACCGUCCGAUGACUCUGCGGCGCACUCCUCCCCCGAAGACGAGGAAGAGGAAGAAGACGCUCCCUCUCUGGCUGGGGGAGAUAAGAAAAGGAAGGCCGCCCCAACUGGGGGGGCGGAAGGGUCCAAGAAGGGAAGGAAUCUCCUUCCGGAUAGUUGCACCGCUGCCGACGAAGGCGAAGACGAGGGGUUGCCCAGGGCCAAGCCCCUGGGGAGAUCGUAAGUAUUCAGAUACCAGAGUAACUCAUAGCAUUCCUUUGUCGCACUGCUUUCCCUAACGUCAAACAUAAUUAUGCAGGUCGCCAUGAGCCAGUAUCGAUGUGUGACGCCCGGAUAAUCAUGCUACAGUAAUCCCACGCUAAUCAUGCCACGUCACCUCGGUUACUGUUGCUAAUCUAUCGUUAGGUCAAAGCUGGUCCAAAAUUCAAAUUCAAAGUUUGGUAAAUAAUAACAGUUUUCAAAAAUUAAAACAAAAAUGUUCGGUGAUUGCCGAAUAAUGCAUAGGUAAUUAUGGUGGAGAAACCACACUUUUAUAAAAUGUUUAAAUAAUCUAAAAUGAAUAAAACAGUAGAAAAACCAAAUCUAAAUGCUUUUAUAAAUAAAUAAAACACUAAACUAAAUUGUUUUGGGAUAAAGCCUUUUGUGGCAGUGGGUUUCGUGGUAUUACAAUUUUAGAGUUCAUUUUAAUACUAAGUAAGAAGUAUAAUUAAGAGAAACUAAAAUAAAGAACAGAAAAAAAAGAAUAAAUAAAAGGAAAAGAAAACACAAAACAGAAAAGAAAACUACCAAAAAAAUAUGGUAAAAGGAGACCCCCCCCACUGGACCCCUUGGCCCAACUGGGCCAUGGCCCAGCCGGCCACCCCCNNNNNNNNNNNNNNNNNNNNNNNNNNNNNNNNNNNNNNNNNNNNNNNNNNNNNNNNNNNNNNNNNNNNNNNNNNNNNNNNNNNNNNNNNNNNNNNNNNNNNNNNNNNNNNNNNNNNNNNNNNNNNNNNNNNNNNNNNNNNNNNNNNNNNNNNNNNNNNNNNNNNNNNNNNNNNNNNNNNNNNNNNNNNNNNNNNNNNNNNNNNNNNNNNNNNNNNNNNNNNNNNNNNNNNNNNNNNNNNNNNNNNNNNNNNNNNNNNNNNNNNNNNNNNNNNNNNNNNNNNNNNNNNNNNNNNNNNNNNNNNNNNNNNNNNNNNNNNNNNNNNNNNNNNNNNNNNNNNNNNNNNNNNNNNNNNNNNNNNNNNNNNNNNNNNNNNNNNNNNNNNNNNNNNNNNNNNNNNNNNNNNNNNNNNNNNNNNNNNNNNNNNNNNNNNNNNNNNNNNNNNNNNNNNNNNNNNNNNNNNNNNNNNNNNNNNNNNNNNNNNNNNNNNNNNNNNNNNNNNNNNNNNNNNNNNNNNNNNNNNNNNNNNNNNNNNNNNNNNNNNNNNNNNNNNNNNNNNNNNNNNNNNNNNNNNNNNNNNNNNNNNNNNNNNNNNNNNNNNNNNNNNNNNNNNNNNNNNNNNNNNNNNNNNNNNNNNNNNNNNNNNNNNNNNNNNNNNNNNNNNNNNNNNNNNNNNNNNNNNNNNNNNNNNNNNNNNNNNNNNNNNNNNNNNNNNNNNNNNNNNNNNNNNNNNNNNNNNNNNNNNNNNNNNNNNNNNNNNNNNNNNNNNNNNNNNNNNNNNNNNNNNNNNNNNNNNNNNNNNNNNNNNNNNNNNNNNNNNNNNNNNNNNNNNNNNNNNNNNNNNNNNNNNNNNNNNNNNNNNNNNNNNNNNNNNNNNNNNNNNNNNNNNNNNNNNNNNNNNNNNNNNNNNNNNNNNNNNNNNNNNNNNNNNNNNNNNNNNNNNNNNNNNNNNNNNNNNNNNNNNNNNNNNNNNNNGCCCCUCGGCGCCCGCUCGGCCCUCUCCUGGGUCGGGCGCCCGUAACGCCCAGCGCCCGUAACCCGCUAUGGCCCCCUGGGCAGUUGACAGAUGGGGCCCACGCCCCUGUCUUGUUAGAAAAAAAAACGAAAAGAAAAUGUAAUUAAAAAAAUGAAAAUAAGUAAUUAGUUAUUUAAUUAAUUAUGUAACUAAUUAAUUAAUUAAAUAAGUAAUUACUUAACUUAAUUAACUCCGUUUAGUACUUAAUUAACUUGAUUAGUUAAUUAAAAUUGUUAAUUAGUUGUUAGACUAUGACGAAUGGGACCCACACGUCAGUUUGACCCAGUCAACGCCCUGUUGACUGCUGACGUCAUGCUGACGUCAGCGUACACUAUUCUGGAUAAUGUUAAUUUAAUUAAUAAUUAAUAAAUUAGAAAAUGAUUUAAAAAUUUAAAAAUUAAUAUAAAUUAAACCGUAGCUCAGAUGAAAAAACUUUGUACAUGAAAGUUGCUCAGAACGACGAGACAAAUCUGGAUACACGGCCUGUUUGUUCGUCACGCAUCCCUAGCAUAGCAAACUCGCAACUUUCCCCUCCGGCUCCUCUGCCCGAAAACGCAAAACACCGGGGAUACUUUCCCGGAUGUCAUCCCCCUUCACCGGUAUCACCUAUUACCGCGUUAGGGCACCUCUAACGCCGUUACUUGUCAUGUCAUGCAUCACUAUGCAUAUGCUUGCUUAAAUAUUUAUUAUUUCUUCCCCCUCUUCUCUCGAUAGACACCGAGACCGACGCCGCUGCUACCCAGUACGACUACGCUGUUGACGACCCUCUUUCUUGCCAGAGCAACCAGGCAAGCGCCCCCCUUGAUCACCAGAUAUCGCCUACUCUCUUCUAUACUGCUUGCAUUAGAGUAGUGUAGCAUGUUACUGCUUUCCGUUAUUCCUAUCCUGAUGCAUAGCCUGUCCUUGCUACUACUGUUGUUACCAUUACCUGCUAUCCUACUGCUUAGUAUAGGAUGCUAGUGUUCCAUCAGUGGCCCUACACUCUUGUCCGUCUGCCAUGCUAUACUACUGGGCCGUGAUCACUUCGGGAGGUGAUCAUGGGCAUAUGCUAUAUACUUUACACAGUUACUUUACCUGUGGUACUGUUCGGAGAUGGGGGCUGAAGGGGCAGGUGGUUCCACCCAGGUAGUGGUGGGCCUGGGUUCCCGACGGCCCCCGACUGUUACUUUGUGGCGGAGCGACAGGGCAGGUUCAGACCACCUAGGAGAGAGGUGGGCCUGGCCCUGGUCGGCGUCCGCGGAUACUUAACACACUUAACGAGAUCUGGGUAUUUGAUCUGAGUCUGGCCAUUUGGUCUAUACGCACUAACCAUCUACGCGGGAGUAGUUAUGGGUAUCCCGACGUCGUGGUAUCAGCCGAAGCCUUCGUGACAUCAGCGACUAAGUGGCGCGUGCCGGAUUGGACCGUAAGCCUGCUCUUGUAUUAAGGGGGCUAGUUCUGCUUCCGGCCGCGUUCGCAACGUGCAGGUGUGCAAAGGGCGAUGGGCCCAGACCCCUGCGCCAUAGGAUUUAGACCAGCGUGCUGACCUCUCUGUUGGGCCUAGGUAGGGCUGCGACGUGUUGAUCUUCCGAGGCCGGGCAUGACCCAGAAAAGUGUGUCCGGCCAAAUGGGAUCGAGCGUGUUGGGGUAUGUGGUGCACCCCUGCAGGGAAGUUUAUCUAUUCGAAUAGCCGUGUCCCUCGGUAAAAGGACGACCCGGAGUUGUACUUUGACCUUAUGAUAACUAGAACCGGAUACUUAAUAAAACACACCCUUCCAAGUGCCAGAUACAACCGGUGAUCGCUCUCUCACAGGGCGACGAGGGGAGGAUCAUCGGUUAGGAUUAUGCUAUGCGAUGCUACUUGGAGGACUUCAGUCUACUCUCUUCUACAUGCUGCAAGACGGAGGUUACCAGAAGCGUAGUCUUCGAAAGGACUAGCUAUCCCCCUCUUAUUCCGGCAUUCUGCAGUUCAGUCCACAUAUGAUAGCCUUAUUCCAAUUGAUACCAAUGCAUACAUAUGUAGUGUAGCUCCUUGCUUGCGAGUACUUUGGAUGAGUACUCACGGUUGCUUUCUCCCUCUUUCCCCCCUAUCCCUUCUACCUGGUUGUCGCGACCAGAUGUUGGAGCUCAGGAGCCAGACGCCACCGUUGACGACGACUCCUACUACACCGGUGGUGCCUACUACUACGUGCUGUCCGCUGACGACGACCAGGAGUAGUUUAGGAGGAUCCCAGGCAAGAGGCCUGCGCCUCUUUCGAUCUAUAGCUCAGUUUGUGCUAGCCUUCUUAAGGCAAACUUGUUUAACUUAUGUCUGUACUCAGAUAUUGUUGCUUCCGCUGACUCGUCUAUGAUCGAGCUCUUGUAUUCGAGCCCUCGAGGUCCCUGGCUUGUAAUAUGAUGCUUGUAUGACUUAUUUUAUUUGUAGAGUUGUGUUGUGAUAUCUUUCUGUGAGUCCCUGAUCUUGAUCGUACACGUUUGCGUGUAUGAUUAGUGUACGGUCAAAUCGGGGGCGUCACACGAUGUAUCAUCGGACGGUUCCCUAGGCUCGUCGGACAUGGAUAGCGAUCCAGUCCCGACCCCCACCUCCCCUCAUCCUGCUGACGACGCCGAGGUGCUGUCUCAAGAGGCAUCGGGUCGAGGGGAGACAGUCCUGGAGGCACCUCAAGGCGACCUUCCGGACUCCGGGAGCCGAGGGGACGGGGCCCCUAAGAGCUUCGAGUUCGGCCCUCAGCCGAACACCGCGCUGGAACCUCCAGUGGUUCCGGGCUCGGUCAGGCGGCCUCCUUCUAAGAGGGGCAAGACACCUGUGCCGGUGACCUCUGUCUAUCCAGAGGCGCCGGACAAUCUGCUGGAAGCGCUUCGCAGCGCUUCCAUCGACGAGGAGCACCGCACUAUCAUGAGUGCGGCGAUCCAGAAAGUUUAGUCCGCCAAGAGCGGAUUGACUGAAGCCUGUGCCAGCCUUCUAACAGGCUUUGAGGUAAGUGUUUUAAAAUAUAGGAAAAAUACUACUGCAUAUAUAGUAGCCCCUGAUGCUUUGUUCGGUGUUCAGAAAGAAAAGCCGAACAGAGGAUCAAAUAAUAUCGCAGGACUCUAAUAUAAGUAUGUCAAUAUGCGUAUGCAAGCCUCACUGCUGGCAUCCGCCACACUGACUGCGGAGGUCGCCCUACUGAAGCAGGACCUCGAGAGGUCUAGGAGAGAGCUCGGCCUUGUCAAGAGGCAGCUCGAGGAGAACAAGGGUAAGUAAUACCUUGUCUUUAGAUAUGUAUAUAUAAAAGAAGAAGCGAUUGCAAAAUGACAGGAUCAUCGUACAUUCGCCAGGGGCCACGACCAAGGUGGCAACCCUCAAGCAAGCGCUAACCAAGGCCGAAGAUAACGCGGCCAAGGAGCGCACCGAGUGAGAGAAGCACGAGGCUCGGGUGGGCGAGGUGCAGCAAGAGCUCUAGGCUAUCAUGGUGAAGCACGAGGCAUUGGAGCUUGACUAAAAGACGCGAGAGUCUGAGCUUUCCGCGGCCCUCGAGAGCGCAAAAAGUGCCAAGGCCGAAGCCCAAAGGGGUCUCCAGGCGGGUAUGGCUUUCUAUAUGCAAAGCAAGCAUGUAAAAGUAAAUUACCGAUUACUUACUCGAAUCCGGAGCUCUCCAGGAGCAUUCGCAGAUUUUCCACGCAGCGUGUCCGAUGCCGCACAAUUUUACCAGGCCGAGGAUGGAAGCUCAAUGGAGAAGCUGUUCUGGUAUCAGUAUGCUGAGGCCGGACACCCGGUGCCAAUGAGCGACCAGCUGAAGCAGGUGGUCGAGCUACAUAAGGCGGCCGAUCAGGCCAUGAAGGGCUUUAUAGUCCGGCUGUGGCCUGGCGACGCCCUUCCGAACAGCUUCCUCGGCCUGGUGAGGCGGCUUGUGGAUGCCUGCCCGCGGCUGGAGGUCGUCAAGCGAUCUGUCUACAUUGAGGGUGCACGCCGGGCUUUCGCCCGUGUGAAAUUGCAGUGGGUCAAGCUAGACGCCGUGAAGCUGAUCAAGGAGGGGCCGCCGGAGGGCAAGGAGCACCGCCACCCCGAGAUGUACUACGAGGGUGUUCUGCUGGGUGCCCGUCUCAUAGCGGACGAGUGUUCAAAAGAUGUAAUAUUUGAGUGAGACUUGCUCGUUUUAUCCUGUAUUUAUGAAAACUUGUUUCAUAUGCACUAUGCAACGCUUGUUUGAAUUUAGAAUAUUACCUUCUGUUUGGCCGUUUAUCAAUCUGAGAGAUGGCUAGUCCUCAGCUUCUGCCCCCAUGCCACGAGUGCUGGGGUCUUCGGGAUAAACCUGAGCACUCUUGUUCCCAUAUUUGGGUCCUUGGAGGGAGGUGCUCAGCACAACGAACAAGGAAACCCGACUAAUAAUGCUUUAUCACUCUCACUUAGCGAUAGAAUUCUAUAAUUUUAAAUUUCGGCGAAGCCCCUGGUAUUCGGAAGGCCGAAUUCGGGGCGCGAUACACGCCUUUAAGCCGGACAGGGCCGGCCCCUCGCCCUAAGCGGCAUAAGUCUUUGGGGACUCGAUAACCUCGCCGAACAGCGAUCAGUCUCUCCCCUUAUCAUGACAGUCAGUUUUAGCUUUCUCUACUUAGGUGCCGAACCCAGCAAAACCGGGGCACAAUCGCAGUAGUUCUCCUAGCGCUACCUUAGCCGAUAGAGUGGAACGUAAGGUACCAAAACAUAGGAGCCGGGCAAACCCAACAUUUGACCAAAGACAUGAUUCGGAGCUGAUGCAUAUAAUGCUAUAAGUUUGGGGUGCCGCACUUGUGAAAGUGUUCGGACUUUUCACACCGUAUUGUGGGGUACGUAAGCCCCUGGUGUAUUGGCCGUACCAAAGUGUACGGUUGCAAGGCAUCAUUAAUGAACAUAUAUAUAUAUAUAUAUAUAUAUAUAUAACAAGAGUGCAAUAAUAGUCGUAAUGUCAUGCAUUGUUUAUUCAAAAAAUUACGUUAAAGUAGGGUGAUACAGAUAGUGUGAUAAGCAAAGAGUAGGACUAUGUCCCUUCCCAAGGCAAGCUAAGGAAUGAUAUUAAAUUGAAUAUUUCGCUCGUUACAGUAAUCCACCUAGGAAUUCCGUGGUGUGACGUAGCUAUCUGCCUCCUUGGUUGCUGCAUCGUGUGUUCGGCAAUAGUGCUGCCGGACAGUGUUUCCAGAGGUUAAUGUCCUGAAAAAAAGAGAAAAAUAACCAAACGGGAAGCCCCUAGUGCGGUUUAAGCCGCGUCUUGGGGCGUGCUGCAGUUGUGCCACCCUCCCCACCUGUGCCCAUGGUAUUUUUAAUGCGUAAUUAUGUACGCGUGGCAUGAGUUUCGUCGUUGGGCUGGGAUUGGGGUGGCCGCCUUAUUGCUACGCGAGCUCAGAUCGCGCAAGGCGGUCUAUUUGCCGAUUGCUCCGAGCGCGCUUGAAGGUGUCCGGGCUUUGAAGCGCCGGACUGGUUGAUUGCCUUGAGAGGCUGCUUUGCGCUUCUGCUGCGAGGGCCGCGGUGUGCUCCUCUGUUCGGAGAGAGCACUCUGUGUUUCCAUUGACUGUAAUAACUCCGCGAGGUCCUGACAUCUUGAGCUUGAGGUAUGCAUAGUGCGGUACCGCAUUGAAUCUAGCAAAUGCGGUUCGCUCGAGCAGCGCGUGGUAACCACUGCGGAAUGGGACUAUAUCGAAGAUUAGCUCUUCGCUUCGGAAGUUAUCCGGGGAUCCGAAGACCACUUCCAGUGUAAUUGAGCCUGUGCAAUGGGCCUCUACACCUGGAAUGAGGCCUUUAAAGGUCGUUUUUGUGGGUUUGAUCCUUGAGGGGUCUAUACCCAUUUUGCGCACUAUAUCCUGAUAAAGUAGGUUCAGGCUGCUGCCGCCAUCCAUAAGGACUCGAGUGAGGUGAAAUCCGUCAAUGAUUGGGUCUAGGACUAGUGCGGAAAAUCUACCAUGAUGGAUACUAGUGGGGUGGUCCCUUCGAUCGAAGGUGAUCGGAUAGGAGGACCAAGGGUUGAACUUUGGGGUGACUGGCUCGAACGCAUAUACGUCCAUGAGCGCACGCUUCCGCUCCCUCUUAGGGAUGUGGGUUGCGUAUAUCAUGUUCACCGUCUGCAGUUGCGGGGGAAACCUCUUCUGUCCUUCGAUGUGCGGCUGCCGGGGCUCCUCCUCGUCAUCGCUAUGCGGCCCCUUGUCCUUCUUUUCGGCAAUUAACUUGCGGGCCUGCUUGAACACCCAACAAUCCCUGUUGGUGUGAUUGGCUGGCUUGUCUAGGGUGCCGUGUAUUUGACACGAGCGAUCGAGUAUACGUUCCAAGCUGGAUGGACCUGGCGUACUUUGUUUGAAUGGCUUUUUCCGCUGACCGGGUUUAGAGCCUUUGAAUCCGGCAUUGACUGCCGUAUCCUCGGUAUUUUCGCUGUUAAUGCGGCGGUUAUGUUUGUUGUGACAUGACCUGCUAUUGCCAUCCUUGGUAUCGGAGGUACCAUGGUUCUUUGAUAUGUUAUUACUACGGGCCAGCCAGCUGUCUUCUCCCGCACAAAAGCGGGUCAUGAGCGUCGUGAGAGCUGCCAUAGAUUUCGGCUUUUCCUGACCAAGGUGCCAGGCUAGCCACUCGUCUCGGAUGUUGUGUCUGAAAGCCGCUAAGGCCUCUGCAUCCGGACAGUCGACGAUUUGAUUUUUCUUUGUGAGGAACCAAGUCCAGAAUUGCCUAGCCGACUCUUCUGGCUGCUGAAUUAUGUGGCUCAAGUCAUCGGCGUCUAGUGGUCGCACAUAAGUGCCCUGAAAGUUGUUGAGGAAUGCGGCUUCCAGAUCUUCCCAACAGCUAAUGGAGUCCGCUGGCAAGCUGUUAAGCCAAUGCCGCGCUGGUCCUUUGAGCUUUAGUGGAAGAUAUUUGAUGGCGUGUAAGUCAUCACCGUGGGCCAUGUGGAUGUGGAGGAGGAAAUCCUCGAUCGAUACUGCAGGAUCUGUUGUGCCGUCGUAUGAUUCAAUAUUUACAGGUUUGAAACCUUCUGGGAAUUGAUGAUCCAUUACUUCGUCUCUGAAGCAUAAGGGGUGUGCGGCGCCUCUGUAGUGGGCUAUAUCGCGACGCAGCUCGAAUGGGUCUUGCCCGCUGUGUUCGGCCCGGCCGGAUUUGCUUUUACUGUAUCCGGCGUGACAUUUAUCGUCUCGCAGAGUUGUGCGCCCUCGUGAUCCGUAGAUCGAUCUUGCAUGCUUUGCUUUGUCCUCCAAUAUAUCUCGCAGGUCUGGCGUAUCUCCCCAUGCCUUUUUAUUUGAAUGGCGUCGGGGUGGAGGCUGAGUUUUUGGCUGGACUGCCUCUCUAUCGCGGCCACGAGGUGGCCGAUCCGGGCAGUAACCUGCACUUUGGGUAAUUCUUGGAGGGGUGCUUGAGUUUAUAUUCCUCGGCCGCGAGGACUUCAGUCCAUCUGUUAGUUAAGAGAUCUUGAUCAGCUUGAAGCUGCUGCUGCUUUUUCUUUAGGCUAUUUUCCGUGGCCAUAAGCCGGUGCUUGAAGCGCUCUUGUUCGAUGGGAUCCUCUGGUACAUCGAAUUCAUCAUCGCCGAGGCUUGCCUCGUCUUCGGAGGCGGGCGUGUAAUUGUCAUCCUCCUCCUCUCCGUCUGCCGCUCUUUCAGGAGGGUUGGCUCCUCCAUCCUCCUGCUCUAAAUCUUGCUGGAGGGGAUUAUUGUUGUCUUCGGCACUAUCCGGAGUGUUAUUAUCUCCUGUGCCGGUAUCACCACUUUUGCUUUGGCGGGACUUAGAGCGGCGCCGCUGACAUCGGCGCUUGGGUUGCUUCUUGGAGAGGUCAUCCUCCGUUAUCUCGUCGCCAUUGCCUUCUUUGGGUGUAUCCACCAUGUAUAUGUCGUAUGAUGAUGUGGCUUUCGAGUGCCCUAUGGGCGCUGGUUCAUGUUCAUCUCCUACAUCGUCGUCCAUACCAUCGAUGUCUUCGGAGUCGAAGUCGAGCAUGUCGGUUAAAUUAUCGACAGUGGCUACGAAGUGGGUGGUGGGUGGGCAUCGAAUUUCUUCGUCGUCCGCCUCCCAAUCCUGUUGGCCAUAGUCCGGCCAGGGCUCUCCUGACAAAGAGAGAGACUUUAGUGAAUUCAGAAUGUCACCGAAGGACGAGUGCUGCAAGAUAUCAGCGGCGGCGAAUUCCAUGAUCGGCGCCCAGUCGGAUUCAAUUGGCAGGGGCGCGGACGGUUCGGAGUCCGGAAAAGAGUCCGGCACCUUGGAGUCACGGGCUUUGCAGAGGAUUAGGCUGGUGUUCAACUCGAUCACCGUUGAGACUGCAGCCCCUGAGGCGGUGUCUAGCCACCCGUCCUCGACUGGCGCAGUUGGCUCCGAGCUAAGGGUCAGAGCUGAUGCGGGCGCGGCCUCUGGGGUACUGUCCGGUGGUAGAGCUAGGUCAUACCCAUCGUGACAGUGCAGCGCGCCCGGCUGUGGCUUGAAUCCGUCGAAGAUCAAGUCUCCGAGGAUGUCGGCCGUGUAGUUCAAACUUCCAAAUCUGACCUGAUGGCCAGGGGUGUAGCUUUCAAUCUGCUCCAGAUGGCCAAGCGAAUUAGCCCGUAGUGCAAAGCCGCCGAACACUGGACCGCAUCGUUGUUCAUGAUCGGAGGAGCCAUCGGGCCUAAAGGUGACGACACCGAGGAAAUCUCAAUGGAAGCACCAAUGUCGGUGUCAAAUCCGGCGGAUCUCGGGUAGGGGGUCCCGAACUGUGCGUCUAGGCCGGAUGGUAACAGGAGGCAGGGGACACAAUGUUUUACCCAGGUUCGGGCCCUCUUGAUGGACGUAAAACCCUAUGUCCUUCUUGAUUAAUAUUGAUGAUAUGUGUAGUACAAGAGUAGAUCUACCACGAGAUCAGAGAGGCUAAACCCUAGAAGCUAGCCUAUGGUAUGAUUGUAUACGUCCUACGGACUAAAACCCUCCAGUUUAUAUAAACACCGGAGAGGGUUAGAGUUACACAAGGUCGGUUGCAAAGGAGGAGAUAUCCAUAUCCGUAUUGCCUAGCUUGCCUUCCACGCCAAGUAGAGUCCCAUCCGGACACGGGACGGAGUCUUCAAUCUUGUAUCUUUAUAGUCCAACAGUCCGGCUGUCCGGAGACCCCCUAAUCCAGGACUCCCUCACCCCCACUCCCUAUCGAACCCUAGCCCAAUCGCCCCACCUCCCCCACACCCCCUCGCCAGCCUCCCCACCUCUUGAUCCCAUCUGGAUCGGGGAGGGGAUCACCCCCAUCGACCCCGUCGCCGUCGCCGGAUCGCCCGUCAGCGUCGCCAGGCCUCCUCCCCGCCGCCCGUCUCCGGCUCGCCUCCCCUCUCGCUCCUCUUUCCCGACCCGAUCAGGAUCGUGAACGAGCAAUGAGCGCGACGCCCCCCCUUCAUCGGCGCCAUCACCGUGCGCCACCACCACCGCCUGAAGACCUCGCCGUCGCUGACCUUGUGUCGUCUCCUGGUAUCCCUUCCCGACUCGCGUCCUCAAGCCAGGCCGACCCCCUUCUCGGCAAUGCUGUGAGACGCCCCCCGUUUCCCUCCUCUUUCCACCGUGUUCACCGCGCCGCCUGACGAAGCUACGUACCUAGGGUAGGGGCAUGGACCUGUCCUAAGAGCCCUACCCAAGGACAUCCCUGGAAGAAGUCACCUUUCAAUCGACUUGAAGGUACCCACUCGACGGGUUUAAGACACUCGACCAAGAAGCUACCACUCGACAUGAAGCCAAUCACUCGACUGCCAGGAGAUCUAAAGUCAUUCCACGGGCAAACGGUCGGCUAUUAAGUAGUCUUUAUGGUCAUUAUAGCACUUUAUUACCAGCAUUACCAGUAACGCCCCGCCUUAAUGUACAUUGAACCCUUGGUAACGUAGGCUGGCCGGGGUCCUGGCGCGCUCUAUAUAAGUCACCCCCUCCUCCGAGACAAGGGUUCGCACCUCUAUUGUUCACAUGCCUAUAAUCCAAUCGACCGCCUCCGGGCACUGAGACGUAGGGCUGUUACUUCCUCCGCGAAGGGCCUGAACUCGUACACCUUGGUGUGUUUACAACUUCCCAAUAGCUGAGAUCUAGCCUCUCCAUACACACCCCCCUACAUCACUGUCAGAGUUAGAACCACAAUAGUUGGCGCCCACCGCGGGGCCAGAAUCUUAGCGCUUACUUGGAGAAGUUGCGAUUCUUCUGAUCCCUUUGAUCAUGGUUUCAUGCGGAGUUUUGGUGGAGGGGCGCGAGAUCCGUCUCGGCGCGCUCACAUUCAUCGCCGACGACUCCGCUUGGUUUCAGGAGGCUCCACUCGACAUCGACGUGCUCCCCGUCCGUGGUGCGACGCACUUCCGCGCAUGCGUUCGUGGCGUCCUCCUGCGGCAGCCGUCGACCCAGUAUCGGUCGGCCCUCGUGUCGUCUCCCCGCUCUGUCUCCCUCCGACGCAAGCGCUUUGGUAGGUCGAGACUUUAGAGGUGGGUGAGGCAUGCCGUGGCUCGCCAGUCGGCCGCCCCACAAGUCGCGGCAAUCGAGCCCGACAAAUCCCUCUGCAGCCUGUUCGACUGGCUCCGCGGAGACUUCAUCCGAGUGUGACAGCAGAGACCCAGCGGCUGAGGUUCUGGCGGUCGAUGGGACACACUGUCCUCCCGGUUUCCCUCGCGCUAAUGGAGGCGCGGGUGGGGGCGACCCGUCGCAUCCCCACGAUGAGUAUCUCCCCGAAUGUCUCACGGCAUCGCAGCGAGAGGAACUUCACCGCCGGAACAUAGACGCACUCCACACUCCUAUCGUCGGAGAAACCCCCGAGGCCCGGGCCUUGGAGGACGCGCGCUUGGCUAACUUGGCUGAGCGCACUCGACUGGAGAAUCUCCAGCUAAUACUCGAUGAGCAAGCGCGCCAGUGAGCUCCCGAGUCCAGUCGACGUCAGCUCUUUCCGCCGAUGCAGGUAUAUUGAACCCUAGUUCAGAAUUUGGCCGCCGCGGCCCGUAUAGCAGAGUCAAUUCAGCCCUCCCAGUCAGAGGCUGGCAGGGGCUUGUUGCAGAUCAGAGCAUUGCUCCGGGCGGCGGGGAACCAGAAUUCCGCUGUUUCUCAGUCGCAGAAUAGGAUCCACAGUCGAUCCGUUGCAACAGAUACAGUCCAGUCGGCUCACAGCCCGAGAUCGCCCCCGAGGCGUGAGGGACAUGGAGACCGGCACGAUCAGUACAGAAGAAAUGAGCAGUAUGAUCACCGAUUCGAUCGUGAGGAUCGACGUCGAGUGCCAACCCCUCCCCCGAGGAGUGGGUCAUAUGCGCCUCGAUAGCGAGAUGACAGGCGCCCUCAUAGUGUUGGGCAGAGGAUUCCAGUCGACCCCAGGGACCCAGGCUUUGAUGCGAGAUCCAUCCUUGAUCAAGGUCUGGUUGACAGGAACGGGGCUCACCGAGAAUGCCAGGACAGAGAUGCGCCUGCCAGCAGCAGAGUGCGUGUUUCAGGGACAGAGUGUUUCAGUCGAGCCAUCAGAGCCACAGUGAUUCCUCCCAACUUCAGGUUGGCGACUGGAGUCAGCUAGUUCACCGGUGAGUCUAAGCCUGACACUUGGCUCGAAGAUUACCGAGUGGCUGUACAGAUUGGCAGUGGCAAUGAUGAGGUGGACAUGAAGCAUUUGCCUCUCAUGUUAGAGGGCUCAGCCAGAGCAUGGCUAAAUCAGUUAGUGCCCAGCAGCAUUUACACUUGGGAGGACCUCUCCCGAGUGUUUGUCACAACCUUUGAGGGAACAUGCAAGCGACCUGCAGGCCUUACAGAGUUGCGGUCUUGCACGCAGAAACCGAAUGAAACGCUGAGGGAUUACAUCCAGAGGUGGAUCACAUUGCAUCACACAGUUGAGAAUGUUCCAGAUCAUCAAGCAGUUUGUGCCUUCAAAGAAGGCGUUAAGUACAGAGAAUUGAAUCUGAAGUUCGGUCGAACUGGAGAGAUGUCUCUGAAUCGGAUGAUGGAGAUUGCCACCAAAUACGCUAAUGGUGAAGACGAAGAUCGCCUCCGGAGUGGCAAGCGCAAGGCAGUCGCCCAAGAAACCGGAGGAAACUCCAGUCAGAAACAGAAGCGGAAGGCUGAGCCAGCCGCCCCUGGGGAGGCCCUGGCCGUAACCCAGGGAAAUUUCAAGGGAAAACCCAAGGGCCCCUGGAAGCCCAAGAAAGUCAAGGAUCAAGAUGGAAAUGAUGUUUUGGAUCUGCCAUGUCACUCCACACCAAGAAAGAUGAAGAGGGUAAUUUUAUUUACCCAAAGCAUACCACUCGACAGUGCCAGCUCCUGAUCCAGCAGUUUCAGGGCAAGCAACCCAAAGAUAAGGAAAAAGAGCCAGACAGAGUUGAGGACAAGGAUGAUAGUGACGAUGGAUACCCCCAAGUCAAUUCCACCCUGAUGAUUUUUGCUGAUGUCGAAAGCAAAAGUCGACUGAAAGUCAUUAAUCGUGAAGUGAAUAUGGUUGCUCCGGCAACACCUAGUUAUCUGAAGUGGUCUCAGGCUGCCAUAACAUUCGACCAGUCUGAUCACCCUACGCACAUUGCCACCCCUGGGAGGCAAGCUUUGGUGGUCGACCCAGUUGUCGAAGGCACUCGACUGACCAAAGUCCUGAUGGAUGGUGGCAGUGGCCUGAACAUACUGUAUGCUAAAACAUUGAAAGGGAUGGGCAUUCCGAUGUCCGGGCUCAGUACCAGCAACAUGAGCUUCCACGGAGUCAUUCCCGGGAAGUAAGCCGAAUCACUCGGCCAGAUUGCUCUUGAUGUGGUUUUCGGUGAUUCAAAGACUUACCGCAAGGAAAAGUUGACAUUCGAGGUUGUGGACUUCCAAAGUGCUUAUCAUGCCAUUUUGGGCAGACCAGCUUAUGCACGCUUCAUGGCCUGACCAUGUUAUGUGUAUCUCAAAUUGAAGAUGCCUGGUCCUAAAGGUGUGAUCACUGUUACAGGCAAUCGGAAGAAGGCAGAAGAGUGUUUUCAGAAAGGCUCAAAGAUUGCUGACGCUCAGAUGGCAGUGGUUGAGCUGCAAGAGUAUCAGAAGACUGCAGAUCCGAGUGAGUUGCUACGAGCUAAGAAGCCCACUUCGGAGUCAGCUUUUCAGUAGUCUGGUGAAAUGAAGGCAGUUCACAUUCACCCGACCAACCCCGAGGCUGCCCCGACUCACAUCUCAAAGACGCUCGACUCCAAAUAGGAAGAAGUGCUCAUCCAGUUCCUCCGUGAGAACUGGGACAUCUUCGCAUGGAAGCCUUCUGACAUGCCUGGAAUAACCAGGGGGCUGGCUGAGCACCGUCUACGAGUCGACCCAAAGUUCAAGCCUAUGAAAGAACAUCUUCGACGGUCCGCCGUCCAAAAGAGGAAAGCUAUUGGCGAGGAGGUGGCUCGGCUCUUAGCAGCAGAGUUCAUCCGAGAGAUGUACCACUCUGAGUGGCUCGCCAAUGUUGUCAUGGUCCCCAAGAAGGACAAGUCGCUUCGCAUAUGCAUCGACUUUAAACAUAUCAAUCGGGCCUGCCCGAAAGAUCAUUUUCCUCUCCCUCGCAUCGACCAAAUAGUCGACUUGACCGCGGGGUGUGAGCGAUUGUCUUUUCUAGACGGCUAUUCCGGGUACCAUCAGAUCCGUCUGUAUGGACCCGAUGAGAUCAAAACAGCUUUCAUCACUCCAUUCGGGUGCUUCCGUUAUGUCACCAUGCCCUUCGGCCUCAAGAACGCUGGAGCCACGUUCAUGAGGAUGAUUCAGAAGUGUUUGCUCACUCAAAUCAGUCGGAACGUGGAAGCAUACAUGGAUGAUAUUGUGGUCAAGUCGCGGAAAGGUUCCGACCUGCUGACUGACCUUGCUGCAACCUUUGCCAACCUUAGGAGGUAUGAUAUCAAGCUUAAUCCAUCAAACUGCACAUUCGGAGUUCCGGGUGGAAAGUUACUCGGUUUUCUCGUUUCCGAAUGAGGAAUCAACGCCAAUCCCGAGAAAGUUGGCACCAUACUCCGGAUGAAGCGCCCUGUGCGUGUGCACGAUGUCCAGAAGCUUAUGGGUUGCUUGGCCGCUCUAAGUCGAUUCAUUUCUCGUCUCAGUGAAAAGGCAUUGCCUCUUUACCGACUGAUGAAGAAGUCUGACAAGUUCGAGUGGACUCCAGAAGCUGAUGCAGCGUUUGCAGACCUCAAAGCUCUGCUCUCCACCCAGCCGGUGCUUGCUGCCCCAAUCAGUAAAGAGCCUUUGCUGCUUUACAUUGCAGCCACAGGACAAGUUGUCAGUACAGUACUUAUGGUCGAGCGGGAAGAUGAAGGAUAGGCCUUCAGAGUUCAACGCCCAGUAUAUUAUGUGUCUGAAGUUUUGACACCUUCAAAACAAAGAUAUCCUCAUUAUCAGAAGCUUGUAUACGGGAUUUAUAUGACCACGAAGAAGGUUGCACAUUACUUCUCUGACCACUCCAUUACAGUCGUCAGCGACGCCCCACUGUCAGAGAUUCUGCAUAACAGAGAUGCAACUGGUCGAGUGGCGAAGUGGGCGAUUGAACUCCUUCCCCUAGAUAUCAAGUUUGAAGCAAAUAAGGCUAUCAAGUCCCAAGCAAUUGCAGAUUUCAUCACCGAGUGGAUCGAACAGCAGCUUCCGACUCAAGUUCACCCGGAGCACUGGACCAUGUUCUUCGAUGGAUCUAAGAUGCUGAAUGGUUCCGGUGCUGGGGUAGUAUUGGUCUCCCCCCGAGGAGAUAAGCUCAGAUAUGUUCUCCAGAUUCACUUUGAUUCCUCCAAUAAUGAAGCAGAAUAUGAAGCACUUUUGUAUGGGUUGCGCAUGGCCAUUUCACUUGGCGUCCGUCGCCUCAUGGUCUAUGGCGACUCAGAUUUGGUGGUUAAUCAGGCGAUGAAGGAGUGAGACGUCAGAAGUCCGGCAAUGACUGGUUAUUGCAAUGUAGUGAGAAAGCUAGAAAAGAAAUUCGAGGGGUUAGAGCUUCAUCACAUCCCCCGACUGAAAAAUCAGGUAGCUGACGAUUUGGCAAAGAUAGGCCCCAAGAGAGAAGCCAUUCCCAGCAACGUGUUCCUGGAACACAUUCAUUCGCCAUCAGUCCAAGAAGAUCCUUUUACAGAAGAAGCCCCGCAGCCGAAAAGUGCCACAGAUCCGACUGAAGUCGAAGUCCCUGCUGUGGUCGACCUAAUCAUGGAAGUCUUCGCAAUCACUCCCGACUGGACGAUACCGUACAUCGCGUAUAUCCUAAGGAAAGAACUCCCGGAGGACGAGGAAGAGGCUCGACAGAUCGUCCGCCGAUCCAAAGCCUUCACAGUCACAAGGGGACAGUUGUAUAGAGAAAGCGCGACUGGGAUCGGUCAGAAGUGCAUAACACUAGAAGAGGUUCAGAUAAUCCUUGACGACAUCCACUCGCGGACCUGUGGUCACCAUGCGUCUUCUCGGACCAUUGUGGCUAAAGCAUACCGAGCGGGAUUUUACUGGCCAAGAGCAAAUGAGAUGGCAAAAGAGAUAGUCGACCAGUGUGGAGGGUGCUAGUUCUACUCCAACAUGUCACACAAGCCUGCGUCAGCCCUGAAGACCAUUCCACUCGUCUGGCCCUUUGCUGUCUGGGGACUGGACAUGGUUGGUCCACUAAGAACAGGCAGGAGCGGUUUCACUCAUGUGCUUGUGGUAGUCGACAAGUUUACCAAAUGGAUUGAGGCUAAGCGCAUCAAGAAUCUUGAUGCUUGCACUACUAUCAGUUUCGUCAGAGGGCUAACAUUCAGAUAUGGAGUCCCGCAUAGCAUCAUCACUGACAAUGGGUCAAACUUUGAUUCGGACAAGUUCAGAGCUUUUUGCGCCUCUCAAGGCACACGAGUCGACUACGCAUCGGUCGCCCAUCCCCAGUCGAAUGGACAAGCAGAGAGAGCAAAUGGUUUGAUUCUCAAAGGACUAAAGCCUCGACUGAUGCGCGAUCUCAAGCACGCGGCAGGUGCUUAGGUCGACGAGCUUCCGUCAGUUCUGUGGGGAUUGAGGACCACCCCGAACCGGUCGACUGGAGGAACUCCAUUCUUUCUGGUUUAUGGAGCCGAGGCAGUUCUGCCGAGUGAUCUUCUUCACAACGCACCCCGAGUCGAACUUUAUACCGAAGAUGAAGCAGAACAAGCCCGGCAAGACGCAGUCGACCUACUAGAAGAAGAGAGGGAGAUGGCCAUGAUCAGAUCGACCAUUUAUCAGCAAGACUUGCGUCGAUUCCACGCUAGGAAUGUGAAGAGUCGAGCCUUCCAAGAAGGAGAUUUGGUCCUCCUAGUGGAUCAACAGAAACCACACAAGCUUGCUCCUACUUGGGAAGGCCCCUUCAUCGUCACCAGAGUCCUCCACAAUGGAGCGUAUCACCUCUACAAUGUUGAUCGCCAGAUCGAUGAGCCGCGAGCUUGGAAUGCGGAACUGCUCCGCCCCUUUUACACUUGAGUUCUCCCUUGGACGAGAUGUAAUAAGAAAAAAUUUCUGCAGUUCAUUUUUAUCAAAGGCAAGAGUGUUCCAAUAAUUGCUGUCACUUUUGUUUGCAUACGAAAUCCCCCAGUGGGUGACUUAGCUGCGAAUCCGUUUCGCCUAAGUUUGAAAAAUCCUACCGAGUGGAGAGCCAGAUUCCCACUCGGGGGCUUAGCUCCAGCCCAGUGCUUGCCUAAGUGUUCAAAAAUCCUACCAAGUGAGAGCAAUCCUCCCACUUGGGGGCUUAGCUGCAGUCCAGUACUCGCCUAAGUUCUCCCACUUAGAGACUUAGCUGCAGUCAGGCACUCGCCUAAGUUUGAAAAAAUCCUACCGAGUGGAGAGCAAUCCUCCCACUCGAGGGCUUAGCUGCAGUCCAGUACUCGCCUAAGUUCUCCCACUUAGAGACUUAGCUACAGUCAGGCACUCGCCUAAGUUUGAAAAAAUCCUACCGAGUGGAGAGCAACCCUCCGACUCGGGGGCUUAGCUGCAGUCCAGUACUCACCAAAGUUCUCCCACUUAGAGACUUAGCUANNNNNNNNNNNNNNNNNNNNNNNNNNNNNNNNNNNNNNNNNNNNNNNNNNNNNNNNNNNNNNNNNNNNNNNNNNNNNNNNNNNNNNNNNNNNNNNNNNNNNNNNNNNNNNNNNNNNNNNNNNNNNNNNNNNNNNNNNNNNNNNNNNNNNNNNNNNNNNNNNNNNNNNNNNNNNNNNNNNNNNNNNNNNNNNNNNNNNNNNNNNNNNNNNNNNNCUCUCCUUCCGAGCUACGCCACAAGUACAACAUGCGCUCUGCAAGGAGGACGAGGUGCAGGUCGACUGCUACCCUCUCCUUCCGAGCUACGCCACCAAUUCAAAAUCCUACUGAGUGGAGAGCAAACCUCCCACUCGGGGGCUUAGCUGCAGCCCAGUGCUCGCCUAAGUAUUUGAAAUCCUACCGAGUGGAGAGCAAACCUCCCACUCAGGGGCUUAGCUGCAGCNNNNNNNNNNNNNNNNNNNNNNNNNNNNNNNNNNNNNNNNNNNNNNNNNNNNNNNNNNNNNNNNNNNNNNNNNNNNNNNNAAAUCCUACCGAGUGGAGAGCAAACCUCCCACUCGGGGGCUUAGCUACAGCCCAGUGCUCGCCUAAGUAUUUAAAAAUCCUACCGAGUGGAGAGGAAACCUCCCACUCGGGGGCUUAGCUGCAGCCCAGUGCUCGCCUAUGUGUUUAGAAAUCCUACCGAGUGGAGAGCAAACCUCCCACUCGGGGGCUUAGCUGCAGCCCAGUGCUCGCCUAAGUGUUUAGAAAUCCUACCGAGUGGAGAGCAAACCUCCCACUCGGGGGCUUAGCUGCAGCCCAGUGCUCGCCUAAGUGUUUAGAAAUCCUACCGAGUGGAGAGCAAACCUCCCACUCGGGGGCUUAGCUGCAGCCCAGUGGUCGCCUAAGUGUUUAAAAAUCCUACCGAGUGGAGAGCCAGACUCCCACUCGGGGGCUUAGCUGCAGCCUAGCGCUCGCCUAAGUGUUUAAAAAUCCUACCGAGUGAGAGCAAACCCCUCACUCGGAGGGCUUAGCUGCAGCCCGGUGCUCACCUAAGUACAGGACACAACCCAAUCCGCAAGAAGUUACGCCACAAAUACAAGGUUAUUCCGAGUGAAGAUCAAGUUGCACUCGACAGAUCAAACCAUGAAGAUAUCCAACGAGAAAUCAAGUUCGGAUAAAGCCUAAAGGUCCCAGACCUCAGAUCAAAGUACUCGAGCCCUCGGCUCGGCAGAGUUUAACGGUUACAAAUCCACUCAGCAUUCCGAGGCAAAUUUAAAGUGAAGCACGACGAACUCGUCCAAGUCGAUCCCGUCUGCAAUACGAGUGGCAGCAGCGAUGAAAGUCUCCAUGAAGUCUUGAAAGCUGUGCUUCCUGGUAUUGGCAACUUGGAUGGCGGCCGGCUUUUCUUCUCGCGCCUCCUUGCAAUGGACGCGGACCAGAGACAGAGCGACAUCAGCACCACAUCUAGCAGAAGAUUUCUUCCAUUCCGCCACUCAACCCGGGACUUCAUUCUGUCGAGCCAUCAGAGACUCGAGGUCGUUCUGAAGCAUCAUCCCAGGCCAGAGUGAUGUGUCAAUCCGCGACAUCGCAACCUUCAGUCGAGCAAGAUAGUCAACAACACUGGUAACACGAGACUCCAGUCGGAGCACGUUCAUAGCAGCUUCAUCCUUCACGAGAGAAUUGGCGGGGUCCAAGCCUGGCUCCACUCGACUGGUUUCCUCUUCGAAGUUCUGGCAGAAUUCUGCAAACACGAUUCAAGAGUCAGACAUUGGCUCUACACAGGCUUGGCAACUGCAAGACAGUCGGGGCAGAGUAAUUACCUUCGAGCAUGACGAACAGCUUCUUGGUGAGUCCACCGAGAUAAGCCUCCAGAUCAUUUACCUUCCCCGCCAGCUUACCCGCCUGGUCGUGUAGAACCAUCUUUUCAUUCUUCAGUCGGCUGACCUCUUGAUUAGCUGUCUCGAGAGCAGUUUUCAGCCUCGAGUUCUCCUGUUCAAGAGUUCCGACCGAAGCCAUUUUCUCUUCUCCAAGCUUCGUUCUGCUCAAGGCCUCCUUCUGUGAUUCUGCAAGAUCUUGAUCCUUCUUCUUCAGAGCUUCUUCCAGUUUAUCUGCGGCACGUCGAGUGAAAUCAACAUCAAGAAUGGACAAGCAAGAAAAAUCACUCGUCAAGAAUGGAGAACCUCACCAGCCAUACCUUUUGCUUCUUCUUGCGCCUUCCUCAAAUUCUCUUGAGCAAGCUUCAAGUUAAGGUUGAGCUGGAUCUGCUUAUUCUCCAACUCAGUAUAGCGAGCUACAAGUUCACAGGAUUUCUGCAAAAAGAAAAAUCAGUGGACAGACGUCCAAGAUAAGUUGCUUCCCAAUAACUAAAAGACAACGAUGGCGUUUCUAAGACUAUAGCCGAAUCUAAAACAUUCGACAGUAGUCUCGGGGACUACACCCAGUGGGUGCACUCUGCGUGCCCCCAUUGUAAAAAAAGUCGACUGCCCGCAGUCGACCGGAUACAGUUCCAUUCGACAUGGCCUGACCAGACCGAAUGAAGAAAUACAGCUACAACAACACAAUAUAAAGACUACAGUCGACUGCCAGCAGUCCACCAUAGUCUCGGGGACUACACCCAGUGGGUGCACUUAGCGUUCCCCCACUCGUCCAAGAAUUGGCAGACACACCCAGUGGGUGUACAGAUAUAAAGAUCUUCAAAAAAAAAGAUUCUUCAAACAGCAUAUCGUAACAGACCAAGUGUUGAGUCGACUGACCUGGACGUUACUCUGAAGAGCCGAACUCGCGUCAUAAGCCGCUUGGCUGGCCUCCCAAGCCGCUUUCACUUGUUCCAUCAUAAUCCCCGCCUGGCGUAUGGCCUCUUUUGCAGCAGCUGCUUGGUCCUCAGGGACGGGGUACGUGGCAAAAAGCGAAGGCGGAUCCGCAGUCGACGUCAAGGGCCGCACCCUCGUCAGAGGAAUGGCGAAAGUCACAGAAGCCCGAGUGGUUUCACCACCGUCUCGGGCUACGGCCUCAGGCGCCGGAGUGGAUUGUGGGGUCUCGCCAGCCGACGCUCCCCUGUUCCUUCUCACUCUCAGCGGCACGUCAUCGUCGUCAUCCGGAAGGUUGAUAACAUGAUAAGGAGCUACAAGAAAAAAUUCAAUCGACCAGAGUUGCAAUAAGUGUCCAGUCGACUGAAGGCAGAACAUCAGUAAUCAUACCAGGGUGGAGGUAACAGCAUCCUCCAUCUCUUGGUCGUCGUCCUUGGCAGAGACCUCCGAAGUAGGAGCACUGCAAAUCUCGAAAGUCAGUCAGUUGGCUCAAUGAAUCGACCAAGGAUCUGUCCACGGUCGACAAAGGAAAACAAGUUUUGUUAUUACCCAGAAAUGGUGGGGACAGCCAUCUUCAUCUUGGGCAGAGCCUUGGGCGGCUUGGACGGCGUCGCGCGUGGGUGCUUGGGAGCCUUUCCAGUCAGCGUAGGAGAAGAGGUUCGAGGGCGUUUCGACAACUGCCCAACAGGAGCAGUCGCCUACCACGUUCCCGCGCUGGAUCAUGUGUGAGCUUGGAUCGCCUCUCCCGGUGGGGGGGGGGGGGGGGUCAACCUCCUCCUCCUCCUCUUCGCUGGAGUUGACGUCGUCGUCUCCCUCUCCUUCGCCAUCGGACUCCCACUCGCCUUGAUCGUCUCCACUCUCACAUCCGCUCGCCUCCCCUUCCUCAGUUGGCUCCUGUGCCCCGUUGGGUGUCGAGUACAUCUCAGUAGUCGCCUGGAAAACAACAGACAAGACAAAAGUUAGUCGACCAAUUCAAAGAAGACCAAUGAAGAAAACAAGAUUUCAAUCGGGAGCGUAAAGUCAGACCUGGUCCACUUCGUAUUGUUGUCGAGUGGAGAAACCCUCCUGGCGCCUCGGGGGUUGUCUUUGUUUCCUGUGAUGCUCGUCAGCCACCCCUCCAACAUCUCAUCAGUGACCUCCUCCGGGUGGAUCCGAGUGGUGUCUUCGAGGCCCGAGUACAGCCACAUCGGGUGGCCGCGAGCCUGGAGCGGUUGGAUGCGCCUCCGAAGAAAGACCUCCAGCAAGUCCAUGCCAGUCACGCCAUCACGGACGAGCUGAACCACUCGACCAACCAGCACUUUGAAUUGGGUCUUUUCUUCUGGCGUCACUUUCAGAGAAGCAGGUUUUUGAGCUCGGUCGAGAGAGAAAUGGGGAAGCCCGGUCGACUGUCCUGGGGUCACCUGGUCUUUGCAGUAAAACCAGGUCGCCUGCCAACCACGGACCGACUCUGGGAAAAUGAUAGAUGGAAAACAACUCUUUCCCCUCGUCUGGAUCGCGAGGCCCCCGCACAGCUGGAUCACUUGCGUCCUUUCCUCACUCGACUUGGCCUUCUUGACCGAUUGGGAGCGGCAAGUAAAGAUGUGCUUAAAGAGCCCCCAAUGGGGGCGGCAACCCAGGAAACCCUCACACAAGGAAAUGAAGGUAGCAAGGUACACGAUAGAGUUGGGAGUGAAGUGGUGGAGCUGCGCUCCGAAGAAAUUUAGAAAACUCCGGAAAAAAGGAUGAGGAGGCAGAGAAAACCCUCGAUCGAUGUGGGUGGUGAGAAGGACACACUCACCAUCACGGGGUUGAGGCUCGACUUCUCCCCCCUGGAGACGCGCAGCCUCGUAAGGAAUGACUCCCCCCUCAACCAUAUCGUCGAGGUCUUCCUGCCGAAUCACCGACGGCAUCCAAUCGCCCUGGAUCCAGCCUCUGGGCAGAGCAGUCCUUGAGGAAGAUCCGCCCCAAGCGGACUUCUUCCCUUUCCCCUGCACCGACGCCUUCUUCGCGCGCUCCAGAGCAGACGUCUUGCCCUUCACCAUCGUCGCCGGCGAAUCUCAAACGGGUCUGCGGCGCUAGGGUGAGAGCGGAGGUGGCGGAGGACUUCGCGAAGGGAGAAAGAAGAGAAAGAAGAGAAAGGAGAGAGCACUGUUCGGGAACCCGAGCAGGCGGCUUAUAAGAGGCCGCUCCUGAGUGGCUGACUGGUAGGCCCAGGCUAUCCCGUCAAAUCCCGCAGUAGACGCGCGCGCAGCUCGUGGCGGAAAAGGUGGCACGGGAAUCGAGGAGCUUCUGCCUUAUCACAUCCGAUUACUGCGGCCGCGCCCGUCCCGCUCGCUCCCCGAUGUUCAAAUCCCGCGAAAUCCGCGGGCUGCGGAACAACUCAUCAAAUAGAAGAUCCCUCUCGUGCCGGCACUCGGUAUUUCACAAGUAAGGAAAUUCACUCGACGGGAGACCAAGAAUGGAUCAAGGCGACCGAAAGAAGUUGACAACGUCAUCCUUGGCGAUAGAUCUAGUACAAGACGUCCAUAUGACGCUAAAAACCAGUCGGAAGGACCCCCAACUCCUUCCCCACUCGAACCUCGAUCCAUUCGGGGGCUAAUGACGAAGCUACGUACCUAGGGUAGGGGGAUGGACCUGUCCUAAGAGCCCUACCCAAGGACAUCCCUGGAAGAAGUCACCUUUCAAUCGACUUGAAGGUACCCACUCGACGGGUUUAAGACACUCGACCAAGAAGCUACCACUCGACACGAAGCCAAUCACUCGACUGCCAGGAGAUCUAAAGUCAUUCCACGGGCAAACGGUCGGCUAUUAAGUAGUCUUUAUGGUCAUUAUAGCACUUUAUUACCAGCGUUACCAGUAACGCCCCGCCUUAAUGUACAUUGAACCCUUGGUAACGUAGGCUGGCCGGGGUCCUGGCGCGCUCUAUAUAAGCCACCCCCUCCUCCGAGACAAGGGUUCGCACCUCUGUUAUUCACACGCCUAUAAUCCAAUCGACCGCCUCCGGGCACCGAGACGUAGGGCUGUUACUUCCUCCGCGAAGGGCCUGAACUCGUACACCUUGUUGUGUUUACAACUUCCCAAUAGCUGAGAUCUAGCCUCUCCAUACACACCCCCAACAUCACUGUCAGAGUUAGAACCACGACACCGCCUGCCGUGCCCCUCGCCGCACGCCCACCACCGCGCCAGCCCCCACUCUGUGGACGACCCUAGCCGCGCCCGCGCCGUGAUCCCCUUUUCCGCCCUACCUUCCCGCACUCGCCGCGGUCCCGAUGCUCCCCCGCGCCCUCUUUCAGGGGCGCCGACUGCCCCUGUCCCAUUACUCGCCGCCGCGCCUCGCCACCGCUCUACUGCUACGUUACUACUGCGCUGCGGCCGCCGCCUCUUCCCGCUGCUCCGCUAGCGCCGAAGCUCCCGGCUGGCUCUGCCACUGGUCACGUUUAACUACCGGUCUAAAUGGCCUAACCUCCCGGCAAAUGAACCCCCAGUAACCCACUGACACCGGGAGCCACAUCCCCUAAUUAACCAUUAAUAAAUUAAAACUCUUAAAUUAACAUUAGUGUAUGACAUGUGCGUCCCCUGUUAAUUAAUAAUUUACAUUAGUGUAUGACAUGUGCGUACCCUGUUAAAUAAACUGAUUUAAUUAAAAUCUAUUAACUUCGAGUCUAUGACAUAUCACUACUUGGGAAAAUCCUAGCAGUAGCGUGGGUAUUUUUCCUAUCAGUUGCGCCGGAUACCGCUCUACUGAUAAGGCACUACAGCUAACAUGUAGCAGUAAUGCGUGUCAUCCAACGCUACUGCUGUACAUGGCUAGCAGUAGCGAGCUUUAGUGCAAAGCGCUGCUGCUAAUAUCUGCAGCGCUUUUCAGCAUGAAGUGAUACUGGUAAGGGACCUCUACUACUAACUUUAUUCCCCUCGCUACUGCUAGUUUUAUUAGUUUCUGUUUUUUUCUGCAUAUUUCUUUUGUAUUUGAACAGGCUUUAUACAAUAAUAUUUAGCGUAUCAUACACAUACAAAUGUAAUCAUAGCAUAUACAUACAAAUAGUCUCGUCAAAUCAUGUCAUCAUCAUAAUCAUCAUCCAUCACAAAGUGGUCUCUCGUCAUCAUCUCUAAAAUAGCGAUACAAGUCUCGAUUACUUGCAACUACAUUGUCAUCCGUCUAAACAAUGAUAUACGCGAGAAGAGCUAUCACUAUGAGUGAGAGCGGAACUAUGCAGUACAUGAGUUUGUAUCCCUCUCUCGCAUUAGCGUGAACCUAAACUAACUACUAGUUGUCGCUCGGAAACCAGAAACCGGUACACCUGGGCCUGACACUCCGUCCACUCAUCUUAUACUCCUGGCGUAGCACUUCUGUGCCAUCGAUGAUCUAUGCACCUGCAUCGUCACAUGAGUCGAUGAUAUGCAACAUAUAUAGUUGAGCAAUAGAAACAGACAGACUUGGCAAAAAUAGAAGCAACAUAUCAUAAGCAUAAAUAACAAAGUUCAUCAUACCCAAAAUGCCCUAACUAGAGUGAUCUUCGCUAGUCGAGGAGGACGGUUUAAUUACAUCACAAAUAAUGUUUCAUCUUGCAUAACUCAAAGUGCCAUCAUACAGAAAGUAUGAACUAAACGGACACAUUGUCAUAUGUCGACAAUCACUCCAACAUGUCGUGCCAUCGAUCCAAGUCAAGGAGAUAGUCCCCGAGCUUAGUGAAAGGCUUCAGGUUGAGACGCUGAGCGGCAACGCGUGUUCGGACGUCUUCCCUCGACAUUUUUCCUUCUUCAUAGAACAUCCCUGUUUUUUCGAUGACCUCCCUCAUGAUGAUUUGGGCAAGUUCGCACUGGAAGUGAUAGAACUCAUCUUGAAGUCGAUGAUCCUCGAUAUCUCCUAAGUUCUUUGCCCAUUGCAGAAUAUGGGCAUCGCCGAAUCUAGGUGUCAUGCAAAGGUUCUGGUGAUCCCGUAUGUACUCCAUCAUGUGGUGUAGGACAUAGAAUCCAUCAUUAAGAGAAUCACUCAGUUGCUGGAUACAGCAGAAGCCGGUCUUAUGGCCGAAGGCGGGCCUGCCGUCCCUUUUCUUCUUGUCCUUGACCUCUCCACCCCGUGCACCGUAGUAAAACAUAGCACCGUCGAGAACAUACUUGAUGUGGGUGUAAUCCUUUUUUUUAAUGUUCUUCGAUGAGUCCAAGUAAAGAGCGUGGGAGUAUCGGGGGUAGAGGAUGAUGAGGAUGGUGCACCCGCCGCUGCGCAAAAUAAGUACACCUCAAAUUAAUUAGCCUCCACCGUGCAAAUGAAUGAUUGAAAUCGUAGGAAGGAUAUCCGCGUGGAUGACUUACAGGGGAUGAUAAGGCACAAGAAUCACCUCCUUGUCCUUAUUGGCACGCAUGAAAUUGACGAUGUAUUCCUCGCGUAUUCACGGUGCUUUGCGUGGACUCACAAGAAGACCUCGUGCAUGAAGUACCGAUCAGUGACACAGAUAUGAGGUAUUUGCUCAACCCCGAUGAGGUAGUUCAUGUGCAAGGCAUAAAGGUGGACGAAUGUAAAAUCCAGCUUCUUUAAGUGAAACAUGUCGAAGAUGUAAUCCAAUCGAAGGAAGAACUUGUUCGAGGGGAAUGUGUCGAUGUACGACAAUUGCAGCGACACGUUAACCACGGAGAGUGGGUAUGCUGGAUUUUUUGAGGCAAUGAGGCCUUUCUCUAUCAGCAACACAUCAUCAUGAAGUCUCCUUAUAUCGCCAAAUCAGGCCCCUAGCGCUGCUUUAGGUAGGAUUGGUUAACCGGGGAUACGCCAUAUUGCCGCACCGAGGAUAUCUAUACGGUCUUGAACCCGAGCCUGCUGAGGUGGCUGGAUCAUAGAAGCACCUUUGUUUCCUUUCCUCGGUGUCUUCCUUGGCUUCUUUGCUACCGGAAAGUCGUCUAUAAUAUGUUCAGCCUCUGGAGGCGGCAAUUCAGGCACCAACUCAUGCGCUCAAACCCUGAGUAGGCGCCAGUAUUGAGGUAUUGUUGAAUGUCAUCGUCGUCCUCAUCUAUGGCGAUGUCACUAGCGACAAAUCGAGCCUCUUCCUCACCCCGUCCGCUAUCACCCAGCACGACAGCCGACGCUAAUUGGGUAGGUGGGGUGUUGAUGUUCGUACCUAACUGCGUGCUCGUGUGUGUGCUCCCGGCCGCCUCCAGACAAAGCAGACUCUUUGACCACAACAGGACCCACCCAUUGCAACCACCAAGCCGCUGCGGGGUCUCGUCGUCAUCCCCUAGUAUCGGAGGAGCCAAAUUCUCGUGGCCCGGUUUGACACUGGCCACGAAAACUUUGAAGACAUACGGGGGGAUUGGUCGGCCAUGGAACAAUGGUUCCUUCGGCUUCAUUACCGUCACCUUCCCCACGUCCACCUUUUGGUCGCCGAUGUUGUACAAUAUGGUGCACGGGGUUACAUCGGCCUGCAAAGACACCGUGAGAUUAUACAUUUAUGGAAGAGGGCCGGUGUGACAGAUACCGUGAGGGCGUCGAGCUCAGCCAAAGACGAAGGACAGCUGAGCACGGCCGGUGUGGGAGCCGGUGUGGGAGCCGGUGCAGGUGCAGGUGCUGGUGCAUCGCUAGUCGUGCUACUCCCGAAGAAGUCAACAAUGGGAAAGUCCGCUGCAUUUUUUCUGGAUUUUGCAUGCUCCAAUUGAAAACGGCUGGAACCAAGACAAUAGACAUAUCUGCAACCACCUGUUUUGCGGCAGCUACCGUUAUCGUGACAGUCUCAGAUGAUUUCUUCUCUACUGCAAUCUCAACCUUCUUGUCGAUGUUUUCUUCAGUUAACCUCCAUCUUUCCUUUCUCUCCUCCGUGGUCUCACGGUAGCACUUCUUCCACGUGGCCCCGUCUCCGACACCGUGAACGCGUCCAUACGACGACCGAGUCUCCACUGGGAGUCCUUUCAAUAUGUUCAAUGCCCGGUUGAAUGGAGUGUCCCACUUGGGCCUCGCCAACGCCUCAGACGGCGAGUCUCUUUCGGUCGCAAUCUUGUGCUGCUCUCUCUACAAAAGGAACAAGGAUCAUUUACAAAUAUGACUAAACGUGCAGUCGAAUUGAUCAGAAACUAAAAUUACCAGCAGUCUCAUGAACUCCGUCGUGAUCGGGUCCGUCUUGAAAACCUUCUUGACCGAGUGCCAAUGGUGCCGUGCCCUGAGGACGUCAUGCUCCUACAGGACGGUGAAGUCCGCCAAGGGGUCUAGGAUGCCAGACUUUCGCGUUUCGUGUCCUCCUUGGCCCAUAUGGACCUCUUCCUGCUGUAACCACGGCUUCCGAGGUGGCGGUGCCCCAUGUUCCUUUGUUGAAACCCCUUCAUGUACUUUGACUUUGUUUUGGCAGUUUCAGCCUCGCAAGCCGCCUUGAAUAUUUCAAAGUGCUCUCCCGUGAUUGUCGGAUUAUCCUUUACAAUCUCGGAGUAGGGUUGAUACGUCUCCAAUGUAUCUAUUAUUUUUGAUUGCUCCAUGCUAUAUUAUCUACUGUUUUGGACAUUAUUGGGCUUUAUUAUCUACUUUUAUAUUAUAAUUUGGACUAACCUAUUAACCGGAGGCCCGAGCCCAGAAUUGCUGUUUUUUUGCCUGUCUUAGGGUUUCAAAGAAAAGGAAUAUCAAACGGAGUCCAAACGGAAUGAAACCUUCGGGAACGUGAUUUUCUCAACGAACAAGACCCAGGAGACUUUGACCCUACAUCAAGACACAAGGCGAAUCAUGUACGUAGCCACUAGUGAAACAUAUUAUCUUUAUUAUAUCUAUCAGAUCUCACUCUCGUAAGUGGCCGUGUUGGGAUUGACAACCCCUAUUCAUGUUGGUUGAGAGGAUUGAUUUGUUUUGUGCAAGUACAAAGGACUCGCGCGUAGCCUCCUAUUGGAUUAAUAGCUUGGUUCUCAAAAAGUGAGGGAAAUACUUACGCUACUUUGUUGCAUCAUCCCUUCCUCUUCGGGGAAAACCAACGCAGUGCUCAAGAGGUAGCAAGAAGGAUUUGCUGNNNNNNNNNNNNNNNNNNNNNNNNNNNNNNNNNNNNNNNNNNNNNNNNNNNNNNNNNNNNNNNNNNNNNNNNNNNNNNNNNNNNNNNNNNNNNNNNNNNNNNNNNNNNNNNNNNNNNNNNNNNNNNNNNNNNNNNNNNNNNNNNNNNNNNNNNNNNNNNNNNNNNNNNNNNNNNNNNNNNNNNNNNNNNNNNNNNNNNNNNNNNNNNNNNNNNNNNNNNNNNNNNNNNNNNNNNNNNNNNNNNNNNNNNNNNNNNNNNCCUCCACCCUCGUGGGCCCCCUGUUGCUCCACCGACGUACUCCUUCCUCCUAUAUAUACCUACGUACCCCCAAACGAUCAUAUACGGAGCCAAAACCCUAAUUCCACCGCCACAACUUUCUGUAUCCACGAGAUCCCAUCUUGGGGCCUGUUCCGGAGCUCCGCCGGAGGGGGCAUCAAUCACGGAGGGCUUCUACAUCAACACCAUAACCUCUCCGAUGAAGUGUGAGUAGUUCACCUCAAACCUACGGUUCCAUAGUUAUUAGCUAGAUGGCUUCUUCUCUCUUUUUGGAUCUAAAUACAAUGUUCUCCCCCUCUCUUGUGGAGAAUUAUUCGAUGUAAUCUUAUUUUUGCGGUGUGUUUAUUGAGACCGAUGAAUUGUGGGUUUAUGAUCAAGUCUCUCUAUGAAUAAUAUUUCAAUCUUCUCUGAAUUAUUUUAUGUAUGAUUGGUUAUCUUUGCAAGUCUCCUCGAAUUAUCAGUUUGGUUUGGCCCACUAGAUUGAUCUUUCUUGCAAUGGGAGAAGUGCUUAGCUUUGGGUUCAAUCUUGCGGUGUCCUUUCCCAGUGACAGUAGGGGCAGCAAGGCACGUAUUGUAUUGUUGCCAUCAUGGACAACAAAAUGGGGUUUUCAUCAUAUUGCAUCAGUCUAGCCCUCUACAUCAUGUUAUCUUGCUUAAGGCGUUAAUUUGUUUUUAACUUAAUACUCUAGAUGCAUGCUGGAUAGCGGUCGAUGAGUGGAGUAAUAGUAGUAGAUGCAGGCAAGAGCGGUCUACUUGUCUCGGACAUGAUGCCUAUAUACAUGAUGAUACCUAGAUAUUCUCAUAACUAUGCUCAAUUCUGUCAAUUGCUGAACAGUAAUUUGUUCACCCACCGUAGAAUACUUAUGCUCUCGAGGGAAGCCACUAGUGAAACCUAUGGCCCCGGGUCUAUCUUUAUCAUAUUAAUCUUCUACUACUUAGUUAUUUCCUUUGCUUUUUACUUUUCCUUUAUUUUACUUUGCAUCUUUAUCACCAAAAUACCAAUAAAAUUAUCUUUAUCAUAUCUAUCAAAUCUCACUCUGGUAAGUGGCCGUGUAGGGAUUGACAACCCCUAUUCGUGUUGGUUGCGAGGAUUUAUUUGUUUUGUGCAGGUACGAGGGACUCGCGCGUAGCCUCCUACUGGAUUGAUACCUUGGUUCUCAAAACCUGAGGGAAAUACUUACGCUACUUUGCUGCAUCAUCCCUUCCUGUUCGGGGAAAACCAACGCAGUGCUCAAGAGGUAGCAAGGGUUCCUUUUUGUCGACGAUCCGAUGUUUCAACCUUGUUUUCCAGGCGGCCAACGCGUCGCUAAACUUGGGCAUGGCGUGUUUGUUUAUCUUCUUCAUUGCCACGUCCUUAUCUGGAUCAUUAUUAUCCUUUUCAUUGCAGUCAGGGAACAAGAAUAUCUGGUGCAGCUUCUUUAGGAGGGAGGGCCUCAUAUUAUCUAUCUUCUGUAGUUUCCCAUCGUUGAUCGUGGCAGUUGUCCGUACGAUGCAACCUAUUUGAUUGCCGUAGCACGAUCGCGCUUCCUCGGGCGCUAUUGUCUCAAAAAUACCGUUGUCCAUCUCCGUGACCACCAGUCUAGUACUCAUGAGCUGGUUUGGGUGCCGUGGCCUCUUUGCUUUCGGUUCUAGACCAGCUCCGCUAGUCUCGGCGCCGGUCUCAGUCUCAUCACCGGUCUGCAUGUCGGUAUCAGUCCCCGAUGCGACAGCACAGUCGCUGCAACAUGGGUAAGGGAGACCACAUCAGUGCUGGGGUGGUCUGAAAAUUGGGACACACUUUCGCGCAUUGCGGGCCGCCUCUCAGACAGCUACUGGGGAGGCGGCGGAGUACCUGGGUGCGCGACGAAUCCCCGGGAACUCGGUGACCAACUUCCUUCCCAUGUAGCGCAUGGAGACGAUGGCGACCCCGCCGAAGAGCAGCUUAGUUGCGAGCUGCACAGCCUCGUCCACCUCCUAAGUUGGGACCUCCGCGCGAGCGUUGCGGGGCCGCCGCUCGGAUGGCUUCUGGAAGGCGCUUGUACAUGGGCACAGGGUGAAUCCCGGCAAGAGCUGGCCAUUGGUGCGCGCAAGUAGACGACGACGUCGCCGACGAAGAGCAGCCCGGCCAGCUCGCCUCACUCUCCUUUGAUUAGAAUUGAAAGAUUGGGAAGAAGCAGACUUGAGCCUGCAGGGAAAGGAUAAGGUGACGAUGCAGUCUCCACUCGUUCGGGGCGACACGCGUACUGAAUGUAUGAGAAACGCGACGUGGCAGGGACCCCAAGAUACUCCCUCCAUUUAUUUUUAGUCUGCAUAUAAAGUUUGGUCAAAGUCAAGAUUUGUAAAUUUUAACUAACUUUAUAAUAAAAAAAAUCAACAUUCACAAUAUGAAAUAAUUAUUACCAGAUGCGUCAUGAAAUGUAUUUCCAUACUAUAUAGGUUUGGUAAUGUAGAUGUUCAUAUUCUUUUAUAUAAAUGGGAAGUAGAGGCACUCUUCCAUAUAAUGAAGUUUAUAAUAUAUGUGCUUAUAUUAUACUAUAAUUGUUUGAAUAACUUAGCAUAUGUUCAGAUGUAUGAUAUCUGUAAUUUAAGCGCUUGAAUUUUACAUAUAAAUAUUUAUUAAUAAAUAUGUACCCCUAUAAUAGCUAGGCCGUGCAGUUGCACGGGUAGAUGACUAGUGAUUACAAUCUUGUUUGUGUGCAAGUCAAGCUUAUCUAGUUUACACGUAACAACUUGUAGAACAUUACAAAAUUUAUGCUUGCUAAUAACUUCUAGAACACUACAACACUUGACAUGUAAAAGGAAUUUGACGAGUCAUGGCCUACUAAAGAAAGUUACAUUACUAGUCUUAUAUCUAUCUUAAUAGACCACACAAGACUACAAAUUAAGUACCGUGACAGCCAUGAUUAUCUAGUUUAUGCGUAACAAUUUGCAGAAAAUUACAAACUUAGUUUUAGAAAAAUAGGCAAUCCAGAUUAGUGUUUGAGCUGUAAAGUGAAUAAGAUGAGUCAUGCGUGUUAUCACACCUUUUUGGUGGUGGAAUGAUAGUGCAAAACAAGGAACUUUAAUGAACAGUCCAAUAAUACACUUGUAAGUAGUGCCACCAAACAGAACAUACCAAAUGAUGAUUUUGAGAAGCAUCCAAGCACUUUCCACACAAACAAAUGCCAAUUGUGAAAGAGAUCAUUCCAUGGCAGCUAUAAAUAGCCCCGUAGCAUGACGAUCAUCCUUCCUCAUCCAUCAUUCUCAUAAGUAGAGCGCAUCAUUUAAGCCAAGCAAGCUGUGGUCAAUACAAAUCCACCAUGAAGACAUUUCUCAUCCUUGCCCUCCUUGCUAUCGUGGCGACCACCGCCACAACUGCAGUUAGAGUUCCAGUGCCACAAUUGCAGCCACAAAAUCCAUCUCAGCAACAGUCACAAGAGCAAGUUCCAUUGGUACAACAACAACAAUUUCUAGGGCAGCAACAACCAUUUCCACCACAACAACCAUAUCCACAGCCGCAACCAUUUCCAUCACAACAACCAUAUCUGCAGCUGCAACCAUUUCCGCAGCCGCAACUACCAUAUUCGCAGCCACAACCAUUUCGACCACAACAACCAUAUCCACAACCGCAACCACAAUAUUCGCAACCACAACAUCCAAUUUCACAGCAGCAGCAGCAGCAACAACAACAACAACAACAAGAACAACAAAUACUUCAACAAAUUUUGCAACAACAACUGAUUCCAUGCAUGGAUGUUGUAUUGCAGCAACACAACAUAGCGCAUGGAAGAUCACAAGUUUUGCAACAAAGUACUUACCAGCUGUUGCAAGAAUUGUGUUGUCAGCACCUAUGGCAGAUCCCUGAGCAGUCGCAGUGCCAGGCCAUCCACAAUGUUGUUCAUGCUAUUAUUCUGCGUCAACAACAAAAACAACAACAACAACCAUCGAGCCAGGUCUCCUUCCAACAGCCUCAGCAACAAUAUCCAUUAGGCCAGGGCUCCUUCCGGCCAUCUCAGCAAAACCCACAGGCCCAGGGCUCUGUCCAGCCUCAACAACUGCCCCAGUUCGAGGAAAUAAGGAACCUAGCGCUACAGACGCUACCUGCAAUGUGCAAUGUCUACAUCCCUCCAUAUUGCACCAUCGCGCCAUUUGGCAUCUUUGGUACUAACUAAGAAGAAAAUAACUCUAGUACUAGAUAUAUGAAACACCGUUUUCUCAGUCCAUGGUUUGGUCGUUGUAGCGGUGAAAAAAUAAAGUGACAUGCACUAUCAUGUAAGAACCCAAACUAUACUAGUUCAAACUUGGGAAUAAAAGACAAACACAGGUCUUGUCUACAUAUUUAUGCUGCAUCUAUUUAUAUAUUAAAAGUAAUAUAAGGUGAACCAGGAGCAAGGUAAAUAUGGUAGAAAAUUGCACGUUAAUUAGAAAUUACUAGCCCUCGAUCUGGUAAAUCUUAACAAAUAUAAUUAUCUUGACCGUUAGAUUUAUGUAACAUAUAUAAUGCUCUAGGCCUCCAACGACUGUACGUGACACAUCUGAACGCAGAUAUGUUAAAGAAAAUAUAUUUGGUAAAUGGUGGGCCUCUUUAAAAAGAGAACUUACGUACAUACACCAACUAAGAAAAACACAUACAUGUAAACGGGAAAAGGAUGAGAUUUUCUCACAUACGUGUGUUGAUGCUUAAAAGUGGCAUGAUCAUAAAGCAGCAUGCCAGGGUGAAAACCUUGCCGGGGUAAAAUCUUGCCGGUGUGAAAGCUUGCCGGUGUGAAGGCUUGCCGGUGUGGAAAGCUUGCCGGCACAGAAAGAUCGCCGGUGCUUGCCGGUGUGAAAUCUUGCCGGGGGAGAAACCUUGUCAGGGAGGAACCCUUGCCGGAGUACAAACCUUGCCGUAGUGAAACCUUGCCGGUGUGAAAGCUUGCCGGGUAGAAACAUUGCCGGUGUGGAAAGCUUACUCGGAUGGAAAACUUGCCGGGUUGGAGGCUGUGAUAGUCAAUCGAACGAGAAGUUGAAGAUGGGCUCAAAAGGUUAUUCAGAUGAUCUCGGAUGGAAAAAUGAUCUACAGGGGUUGUCUUCGUCUCGUCGAAACGAUCGAUUUUGAUAUAAAAAUCAUUCAAAUCCGAGUUCGUAUGCAAAAUUUAGAGCAAUCGGAGUGCAGCCCUGUCACGAGGCGAGAUGUGGCGCGCCCCACCAAACACAUGUCUGACGGGUAGCGCGAGGAAAUAGCCUGUGUUGCGAGACCGAUCUGACCCUCAAGAUGAUCUCUGAUCCAAAAACCUUCAACAUGAAAGUUGUUCGUCUCAUCGAAACGGUCAAGAUUGCUUUUGGGCUUGUUUUCAUCCGGGAUCGUUUACCACCGCAAAAAAGACCCGCAAGGUGCAGCCAGUUUAAACCGAACAGUUUUGGAAAGUUUGGAUAAACCAGUCCGAAUUUGACUAGGGUUUUGGACGUGAAUUGAUGUAAUUUUCUUGUAAGGAAAGCCUAGAUAAAUUCUUUGCUUGUACGGGAAGUCCAGCUGCCUCUUAUAUAUGUUGGGGGUGACGGGCGAUUGAAACAACACACAAUCGAACAAACACAUCUACUACUUUUUCGUGUUCAUCUACUUUUUAUCUCUCCCUUGUAUCUUUCUUCUCGUUCUUCGCUAGUUCUUCUUGCUGGAGGCUGCGGAUCCACGAGGCUCUAGGGGCGAGCGAAUCGACCUAGGGCAGCCCUGACGGGGUCCCUCCCGGGUGCGCGGGGUUUCGGGUCUGCAAAAGCGCCCGCCGACUGUCUUGCGUAUCACGCUAUCGGUCGGGUCUCCUUCGACGUGAGCUGCGGUGCAUCACCCCCGGCAUCGAGGGUACACGUGACGUGUUCGUGUGCGAACACACUUUUUCGCGACUCCACUGGGGACGAAGCUUUGAAUAGUCUCCAGCCUGUUCUUGCUACGAGGAGAGCGUCAUCAAGCGACUGCAUUCUACAACGGUAACAUGUAUCAUCAAUCUCCUUGCGUAGAUGCAAAUAGCCAUUAUGUUGAUGUUGCUAGAUCUUUCAAUGGACAUGUGAUGUCGGCCAGCCCUAAUGAGGAAAGGCCGACUAGUUAUUCCAUUGGAGAAACUUGGAAUUUACAGAAUCGUGACAUGCAACUUAUGAAUCUGAACUUUCGUGCAUCGGCAACAACUUUCAAUAUGCCGGUGAACAACACGAUUUGUUCGAGUGAUCAAUAUAGGACACCUCAUGUAAAAGUUUUAUCCAUCGGCAGCCGACUCGCAAUAUGCUGGUUCAUCCCCAAACAUGCCGAUGAAUGGGGGAAUCAGCCAUGCUUCUGUUAGCUAUUUGGCCGGUUAUCCUCAAACAUCAUAUACUACACCUCAUCCGAUUAAUUGUUCAGUGGCAUAUGAAACUAAAAAUAUUAAUAACACGGCUCACGUUCACGGUCAUGGACGAGUGAAUGGGGAUACUAUAGGAGCAUAUGUGUGUGACGCCCCCAAUUUAAUCGUACACUAAUCAUACACGCAAACAUGUACGAUCAAGAUCAGGGACUCACGGGAAGAUAUCACAACACAACUCUACAAAUAAAAUAAGUCAUGCAAGCAUCAUAUUACAAGCCAGGGGCCUCGAAGGCUCGAAUACAAGAGCUCGAUCAUAGACGAGUCAGCGGAAGCAACAAUAUCUGAGUACAGACAUAAGUUAAACAAGUUUGCCUUAAGAAGGCUAGCACAAACUGGGAUACAGAUUGAAAGAGGCACAGGCCUCCUGCCUGGGAACCUCCUAACUACUCCUGGUCGUCGUUCUGAGGGCAGCACGUAGUAGUAGGCACCUCCAGCGUAGUAGGAGUCGUCGUCGACGAUGGCGUCUGGAUCCUGGGCUCCAGCAUCUGGUUGCGACAACCAGGUAGAAGGGAUAGAGGGAAAAGAAGGAGAAAGCAACCGUGAGUACUCAUCCAAAGUACUCGCAAGCAAGGAGCUACACUACAUAUGUAUGCGUUGGUAUCAACUGGAAUAAGGCUAUUAUAUGUGGACUGAACUGCAGAAAGCCGGAAUACGAGGGAGAUAGCUAGUCCUUUCGAAGACUACGCUUUUGGUAACCUCCAUCUUGCAGCAUGUAGAAGAGAGUAGACGGAAGUCCUCCAAGUAGCAUCGCAUAGCAUAAACCUAACCGAUGAUCCUCCCCUCGUCGCCCUGUGCGAGAGCGAUCACCGGUUGUAUCUGGCUCUUGGAAGGGUGUGUUUUAUUAAGUAUCCGGUUCUAGUUGUCAUAAGGUCAAGGUACAACUCCGGGUCGUCCUUUUAUCGAGGGACACGGCUAUUCGAAUAGAUAAACUUCCCUGCAGGGGUGCACCACAUAACCCAACACGCUCGAUCCCAUUUGGCCGGACACACUUUUCUGGGUCAUGCCCGGCCUCGGAAGAUCAACACGUCGUAGCCCUACCUAGGCACAACAGAGAGGUCAGCACGCCGGUCUAAAUCCUAUGGCGCAGGGGUCUGGGCCCAUCGCCCUUUGCACACCUGCACGUUGCGAACGCGGCCGGAAGCAGACCUAGCCUAGUGGCGUUCCAGUCCAAUCCGGCGCGCGCCACUCAGUCACUGAUGUCACGAAGGCUUCGGCUGAUACCACGACGUCGAGUGGCCAUAACUGUCCCCGCAUAGAUGGUUAGUGCGUAUAAGCCAGAUGGCCAGACUCAGAUCAAAUACCCAGAUCUCGUUAAGCGUGUUAUGUAUCCGCGAACACCGACCAGGGCCAGGACCACCUCUCUCCUACGUGGUCUGAACCUGCCCUGUCGCUCCGCCACAAAGUAACAGUCGGGGGCCGUCGGGAACCCAGGCCCACCUCUACCGGGAUGGAGCCACCUACCCCUUCAGCCCCAACUACGAACAGUACCACAGGUAAUGUAACAGUGUAAAGUAUAUAGUAAAUGCCCGUGAUCACCUCCCGAAGUGAUCACGGCCCAGUAGUAUAGCAUGGCAGACGGACAAGAGAGUAGGGCCACUGAUGGAACACUAGCAUCCUAUACUAAGCAGUAGGAUAGCAGGUAAUGGUAACAAUAGUAGUAGCAAGGACAGGCUAUGCAUCAGGAUAGGAAUAACGGAAAGCAGUAACAUGCUACACUACUUUAAUGCAAGCAGUAUAGAGAAGAGUAGGCGAUAUCUGGUGAUCAAAGGGGGGGCUUGCCUGGUUGCUAUGGCAAGAGAGAGCGGUCGUCAACACCGUAGUCGUACUGUGUAGCAGCGCCGUCAGUCUCGGUGUCUAGCGAGAGAAGAGGGGGAGGAAACAAUAAAUAUAAUGCAAACAAAUGCAUGAUGAUGCAUGACACGACAAAGCGUGAUGCUAGGUGUGCCCUAACGCGGUACGAGGUGGUACCGGUGAAGGGGGGAAACAUCCGGGAAAGUAUUCCCGGUGUUUCGCGUUUUCGGACAGAGGAGUCAGAGGGGGAAAGUUGCGUGUUCGGUAUGCUAGGGAGGCGUGGUGGACGAACGGGUUGUCUAUCCGAGUUCGUCUCGUCGUUCUGAGCAACUUUCAUGUUGAAAAUAAUUUAAUCCGAGUUACGUAUUAAAAGAUAUGGUUUUCUAAAGAUUUUACUAAUUUCUGGAAUUUAAUUAAUUAUUUAAUUUAAUUUGAAAUUUGGAUUUAUGACAUCAGCAUGAUGUCAUGCUGACAUCAGCAGUCAACAUGGGUUGACUAGGUCAACUGAUGCGUGGGUCCAGUGGGACCCACCUGUCAUACUAUAUUAGGUUAAUUAGGGUUUAGUUAAUUGAUUAGGCUAAUCUAAUCAGGAUUACUUUGUUUAAUUAAUUCUUUAAUUAAUUAAUUAUCAUUUUAACUAAUUUUAAUUAUUAUUUAUUAAUUCAUUCAUUUUUUUAAAUUAUUAUUUUUAUUUCGUUCUCGUUUCAGGGGGGCGUGGGGCCCCGCACACAGGGCCACCGCGAGGCUGUUGCCAGCGGGCGCUGGGGCGAUGGGUGCGGGCGCACCCGAGCGGGCACUCGCCCGCAGGGCGGGAUGAGCCGCCGGCGGGCAGCGACAGGCGCGUGCCAACCGGGCGGUGGCCGCGGCUGAUAGGGCGCAGGAAGGGGAGAGGCGAGAACGCGACGCACGGGGAAGCAGCAUCAGGGGCGAGGAGCACCACGGGACGAAGCGCAGCGGGCGCCGGUCNNNNNNNNNNNNNNNNNNNNNNNNNNNNNNNNNNNNNNNNNNNNNNNNNNNNNNNNNNNNNNNNNNNNNNNNNNNNNNNNNNNNNNNNNNNNNNNNNNNNNNNNNNNNNNNNNNNNNNNNNNNNNNNNNNNNNNNNNNNNNNNNNNNNNNNNNNNNNNNNNNNNNNNNNNNNNNNNNNNNNNNNNNNNNNNNNNNNNNNNNNNNNNNNNNNNNNNNNNNNNNNNNNNNNNNNNNNNNNNNNNNNNNNNNNNNNNNNNNNNNNNNNNNNNNNNNNNNNNNNNNNNNNNNNNNNNNNNNNNNNNNNNNNNNNNNNNNNNNNNNNNNNNNNNNNNNNNNNNNNNNNNNNNNNNNNNNNNNNNNNNNNNNNNNNNNNNNNNNNNNNNNNNNNNNNNNNNNNNNNNNNNNNNNNNNNNNNNNNNNNNNNNNNNNNNNNNNNNNNNNNNNNNNNNNNNNNNNNNNNNNNNNNNNNNNNNNNNNNNNNNNNNNNNNNNNNNNNNNNNNNNNNNNNNNNNNNNNNNNNNNNNNNNNNNNNNNNNNNNNNNNNNNNNNNNNNNNNNNNNNNNNNNNNNNNNNNNNNNNNNNNNNNNNNNNNNNNNNNNNNNNNNNNNNNNNNNNNNNNNNNNGGCCUGGGGUUUGUCCUAGCUAGCAGCUGGGCCGAGUGGCCCAGUGGGGGGGGGGUUGUUUUAUUCCUUUCCCUUUUAUACCUUUUCACACUUUUCUUCUUUUGUUUUAUUUUAGUUACACAUUAAUUUUAAUUUUUGACAAAUAUAUCUAUAGCCCCUAAAAUAAUGUUUCAGAACAAUCCACUACUAUAGAAAGUUUUACCCUGAUAAAAUAGUCUAGUAUUUUAUAAAAUACCAAACUCGUUUAAAUAGUUGUUUAGCUACUAUUUAAAUCAUUUUAGUGCUUUAAAUCUUUUUACUAAAAUGUGGUUCCUCCACCAUUUGGACUUAGGAUUUAUUUGUCCCAUUUUGAACAUUUUAGUCUUAACGUUUGAAGAAUUUACCGUUUGACUCGAUUUUGAAUUUGAAUUUGAAUCGGUGUCGAACUAACACGAGAUUAGCAACAGUAACCAUCGUGACGUGGCAUCAUUAACAGAGGUUUACUGUAUAUCAAAUACCCGGGCGUCACAAUUCUCCUCCACUACAAGAAAUCUCGUCCCGAGAUUUAAGAGGGGAGUAUGGGGGAAAGAUCUGGUUACGAAAUUCUAACGAGUCUUCUCGGUCUUGCUUGCUCUUGUCGAAAUGGUCGAUCCAUUAUGUUGAUGUUUUCAUUUCUCUGCUUCAGGUCAUCAUGGUGAAGUCGUCCUUUUCUUCGGGAACUCCAACGUGCUUACGAAUAGGUAAGGGGCAGCUUGGCUACGACAGAAUGCUUAUGAGGGAAACAAUCUGGUGAUAACCCAUGAAUGAACAUAAGAUUAUCUCUCGAGUUGAACAUAUAAAAUACAUCAAGAGUAAGGUACGAAGGUACCAUGAGAAGUUUCAAACGGAUAGGCAAUCGUUCGAUGUCUGAAACAACACGCGAAAGGGGUCCAGAGCAACGAGAUUGAGUAUUGCGUCUGUUACCAGAAUAGAUCACUAGGACGGUGGUCUGUGAAUUACAUACAAGGUCACGCACGAGGAAUAACUUUAGGAACAGGGGGUGUACAGGAGAGUCAGGUUCGAUCCUGUGGAACUGUGGGUUAUGGGCCCACCAUGUGGGUUAAAGUAGGAAGGGCAGUGACGUCUUGCAAGAUCAUGUAAGCAAGGCAUGUCAGAGGAUAGCCUGUCAGCUAUGUCGACGACAACAUCGAUACCAAGGGCGAGGGACGAAGAGAACCAUUUUCCUGCUCGUUGAACGAGGCGGACCAAUAAGAAAAGUUCUCGUCCAUCAGUGGUUACCAGAAUGUCAUCAACAAAGGUAAUAGGGUCUUUCUGACAGAGUGGUACAACGAGGUGACUGCUUAUAUAAUAUAGAUUACAAGAAGGUUUAAACAGAACAAUGGAAAGGAAAAUGUGUGUAAACACACAUUUCAAGGGUAUAUCCUUCCCAAGGACAAGCAAAGCAAGAUAUCCAUGAAAGGAUAUAAUGUAGAAAACUCUUUAGGUAAGGUGAGAGAAAUUUCAUGACAUUACCCAUACAAUGGUGUUUGGAUAAAUGAGCGAGAAACAUUUAGCAUUGGGCUUCAAAUGUUCUUUGUGGAAAAUUGGAGUACCACAGACAUGCUUCGAGAUAGCGUUGGCGUGGUAUUCAAGCAAAGGUCAGACUUAGGAUGCACAAAGGAUUCAUCAGGAACAACUUAUAGAAUAAGUCUUACCAUUUCUCAAGGAAGAAUAGAUAACCUUGCUAAAAAGAAAAACUAUAACAUUAGGUCCUCCGACCAGGUGGGCUAGGCAUGCUAUCACCUUACUGGGUUAUAUUGAUAACAAUGUUAUAACUCUUGGAAAUAUGUCUCAACCAUCAUAUCUGACCGAGAUUCAGAUCCGAUUGGUGUCAGGAUACAUCAGACAUCAGGAUGCCUGAGAAGAGAAGGUGCAACACAAUUUAACGAGAUGACACUGCGAGAAUCUCAGAAAUGAUCUAUGGAAGCGAGUUCCGAAGCAAGAGUUCAUCAUUAAACCAAGGAGAGGAUGAGGGGUGGCUGAUGAACUAACGGCAAUUCAUCGAGAUUUCCAAAAGAUGGAUUUCCACAAUCAUGUGAACAAAGAGUUAACAUUUGUCAGAUCAAACAAUAUAAUGAGGUGUGCUCGAGGAAAACAUACUCAAUUAAACAUUGGUGGAAAGCUGCACCCAAAAUAUGGGCUUAGGUAGCCUGAUCAAUGUUGGAACGGUGAUUCGAUAACCAAUAUUCUAAGAAUGAAAGGUCGACCAUUAACUUCAAAGCAAUAUGGUUGCUAGAAGUACAGAAUCCAAGCAACAACGUUCACCUGUUGGUAUCCCGGUUAGAAUCAACACGGGAACCAAGAAAGAAUGAUGAUGGUGAGGAGUAUCGCUAUACCAAGAAUUCUCAAGAGGUGGAGCAAUCCUCACAACAUACAUGUCAUCAAGGACAUUGAUACUUCAAGGUAGAAUAUCAUAAAAGCUAGAUAGCAAGUUGCAUCCAUAACAUGGACAAGUUUGUGUUGGGGGAAGGCAAGAAAGUGAUCGAUGAUAACACAAAUCAUCGAGGGCAAGGAUGGUACUUUUCAUUAUGAAUUCGAUUGAUAUCCUGCAAGAGCUCAAGAUGUGGGUGCUGAUGACGACACAUUUGUCGAGAGAUUUCAUGAAGAUGUAGUCUAUCGGCGAUGACAUCAAGUCAAAGGAAUUAUGAAGCAAAAGGUUAUCGGAACCAUGGGUACGACACAAACUCAAAAUCAAGCUUGUUGUUCAAGGUGAAAGAUAUGACGAGAAAGAUCAACGUAAGCUUAGCUCAUCGUUGAAAGUUGUGUUCCGGGAAGAAGGACCAGGUAGCACAGUUAAAAUUUAGCACGGUAAUGAUAUAGCCAACCGGGCUAGGAAUGACUUGAAGGAUUAUUAAACUCAUAAGCAGUAAAAAUUACUUAUAGUUAUUGAAUCGAAGUACAGACUCGAUUCACUGUCGGUGUCCUUGAGUGUCUAACAACUCAGAACCCGGGGAAAAUUUUGGAACCAGUGAGAAAUAAUACUUGAAGAAUAACUCAUAAGAAGUUAUGCAGUUCCAUGAUAAUCUCGAGAUACCAGGGGGUAAUACUCGACGACAGAUCAAAGUAGAGGUUGGACUAGGGAUUGCUCUGUAGAAGACAAGUGCUCAAACUUGCACGAGAAAUGGAAUCAAGGAGAAACAUGGUCGAAACCUCGUCCACAGGUACAAGAUGAACUUAUAACAAGUGGACAAUUAUUUUAAGAGAAGCUUCCAUGAUAAGGUAUACAUCGUGUCCAUGGGCAUGAACACAGGGUUCAAGGUCGACUCCCACUUAUUCAACACAUAACCUUUCAUGCACCUCUCGUAUUUCAAAAAUGACAUUAGUUCUUGAAAGUUUUUACCUGGUGCAAUACCAGAUACAUAUUACCCGUGAAAUCUUUCGGGUUCACACGGAUUAGGCAAGGCGUAGGUUCAACCCAUCAGGGCAUCUUAGGAACAUAUACCACAAACUUCGGAGUAAAUAAUACAAGCUUGAAAGUAGAGCAUGGUUGACAAAAGGGGAGGAUACAAUUUACCACAGGCAUUAUGUAUCGGAGAAAGAACUCACAAGGUGAUUAAUUUUGAAGGACACUGUCGGAUAAUAAUCCAACAGUGGAAUUGGCGAUCCACAAUGGAGCUGAUGUGAGUAUCGAUACCCAAUCAGAGGAAGAAAGAAUGCAAAUGCAUCGGUUUAUAGAACAUCUGAAUAAUUCAACGUUUAAAUAGCAAAGGAAUUAUGAUUUUCAAAUCAAGGGAUCGGGAGCAAAUGCUCUGAUUAGGGAUGGGUAAGUAGAAUAGCCUUAGGGGUACAUGCGACGACAUUUGGAUUUGUUGAGAACCAGCUCAUGUUUAAAAUGACGUCUGAGCCGGAAUGAUAAUUUAAAAGGAUCAACUGAUGAUUGCGUGCAUUCGCACUCAUGUUGAGUCAAUAGGAUCAAAAAGACGAUGCCUAAGGAUACUAACGAAUAUUUCCAGACAUAUGGAAAGCAUCCAUAAUGCAAGCAGGCAAGUAUUGCAGAGCAAUAAGCUACUAAGGAUUUUUGGAGGAUCGAAUAGUAUUUUGAAGACCAUUGUGAAACACAUGAACAACUGGGGAUGAGUGGAUACUCGACAAGUGCGAGGAUUUAAUUGAAGGGGUAUUCAUGUGGCAAGGAACUGCUAGGCAGUAGGCACAAAGUAUUCUCGGAACAAUAGAGAGAAUUUUGGGGCAUCUUGUAAUAACAAGAUCAAUGAGGAAUGAUUAUAUGAAUAGCACAUGUAGGUGGUUAUCCAUAGAGGUCUAUCGAUAGAAGGGAAUUGCAAAAGCAACAGGCACAAGGUCUCGACAGAAUAUCGGAGAGUAUCUUCGAAAUCUUCUAGUGUAGUCGGCGAUCAUCUGGAUUGAAAGGGCUCUCCGGGAGAAAGUAUUUUCGAGAACCUAAGUUAGAUUUUUAGUAAAUUCAUUAAACCCGAAUAGGAGGGAGUUCAGAGUCCCAGAGCAUAGACGAGGAAUAAAAGAUCCUAAUACCACCCAAUGGCGACGUGGGCCCAUAGGCCACACAGCCAUGUUAGUAAAGGUUUUGCAAUGACUAGACUCAACUUCGGCCAAGGAGGUGGAAAGGGGAUUCCUACAGGCAGUCGGCUCUGAUACCAACUUGUGACACCCCCGAUUUAAUCGUACACUAAUCAUACACGCAAACGUGUACGAUCAAGAUCAGGGACUCACGGGAAGAUAUCACAACACAACUCUACAAAUAAAAUAAGUCAUACAAGCAUCAUAUUACAAGCCAGGCGCCUCGAAGGCUCGAAUACAAGAGCUCGAUCAUAGACGAGUCAGCGGAAGCAACAAUAUCUGAGUACAGACAUAAGUUAAACAAGUUUGCCUUAAGAAGGCUAGCACAAACUGGGAUACAGAUCGAAAGAGGCGCAUGCCUCCUGCCUGGGAUCCUCCUAACUACUCCUGGUCGUCGUUCUGAGGGCAGCACAUAGUAGUAGGCACCUCCAGUGUAGUAGGAGUCGUCGUCGACGAUGGCGUCUGGAUCCUGGGCUCCAGCAUCUGGUUGCGACAACCAGGUAGAAGGGAUAGAGGGAAAAGAAGGAGAAAGCAACCGUCAGUACUCAUCCAAAGUACUCGCAAGCAAGGAGCUACACUACAUAUGUAUGCGUUGGUAUCAACUGGAAUAAGGCUAUUAUAUGUGGAUUGAACUGCAGAAAGCCGGAAUACGAGGGGGAUAGCUAGUCCUUUCGAAGACUACGCUUCCGGUAACCUCCAGCUUGCAGCAUGUAGAAGAGAGUAGACGGAAGUCCUCCAAGUAGCAUCGCAUAGCAUAAACCUAACCGAUGAUCCUCCCCUCGUCGCCCUAUGAGAGAGCGAUCACCGGUUUUAUCUGGCUCUUGGAAGGGUGUGUUUUAUUACGGUUCUAGUUGUCAUAAGGUCAAGGUACAACUCCGGGUCGUCCUUUUACCGAGGGACACGGCUAUUCGAAUAGAUAAACUUCCCUGCAGGGGUGCACCACAUAACCCAACACGCUCGAUCCCAUUUGGCCGAACACACUUUUCUAGGUCAUGCCCGUCCUCGGAAGAUCAACACGUCGCAGCCCUACCUAGGCACAACAGAGAGGUCAGCACGCCGGUCUAAAUCCUAUGGCGCAGGGGUCUGGCCCCAUCGCCCUUUGCACACCUGCAUGUUGCGGACGCGGCCGGAAGCAGACCUAGCCUAGUGGCGUUCUAGUCCAAUCCGGCGCGCGCCACUCAGUCGCUGACGUCACGAAGGCUUCGGCUGAUACCACGACGUUGAGUGCCCAUAACUGUCCCCACGUAGAUGGUUAGUGCGUAUAAGCCAGAUGGCCAGACUCAGAUCAAAUACCCAGAUCUCGUUAAGCGUGUUAAGUAUCUGCGAACGCCGACCAGGGCCAGGCCCACCUCUCUCCUAGGUGGUCUGAACCUGCCCGGUCGCUUCGCCACAAAGUAACAGUCGGGGGCCGUCGGGAACCCAGGCCCACCUCUACCGGGAUGGAGCCACCUGCCCCUUUAGCCCCCAACUCCGAACAGUACCAUAGGUAAUGUAACAGUGUAAAGUAUAUAGUAAAUGCCCGUGAUCACCUCCCGAAGUGAUCACGGCCCAGUAGUAUAGCAUGGCAGACGGACAAGAGUGUAGGGCCACUAAUGGAACACUAGCAUCCUAUACUAAGCAGUAGGAUAGCAGGUAAUGGUAAUAAUAUUAGUAGCAAGGACAGGCUAUGCAUCAGGAUAGGAAUAACGGAAAGCAGUAACAUGCUACACUACUCUAAUGCAAGCAGUAUAGAGAAGAGUAGGCGAUAUCUGGUGAUCAAAGGGGGGGCUUGCCUGGUUGCUCUGGCAAGAGAGAGGGGUCGUCAACACCGUAGUCGUACUGUGUAGCAGCAACGUCGGUCUCGGUGUCUAGCGAGAGAAGAGGGGGAGGAAACAAUAAAUAUAAUGCAAACAAAUGCAUGACGAUGCAUGACACGACAAAGCGUGAUGCUAGGUGUGCCCUAACGUGGUACGAGGUGGUACCGGUGAAGGGGGGAAACAUCCGAGAAAGUAUUCCCGGUGUUUCACAUUUACGGACAGAGGAGUCAGAGGGGGAAAGUUGCGUGUUCGGUAUGCUAGGGAGGCGUGGUGGACGAACGAGUUGCGUAUCCGGGUUCGUCUCGUCGUUCUGAGCAACUUUCAUGUUGAAAAUAAUUUAAUCCGAGUUACGUAUUAAAAGAUAUGGUUUUCUAAAGAUUUUACUAAUUUCUGGAAUUUAAUUAAUUAUUUAAUUUAAUUUGAAAUAUGGAUUUAUGACAUCAGCAUGAUGUCAUGCUGACAUCAGCAGUCAACAUGGGUUGACUGGGUCAACUGACGCGUGGGUCCAGUGGGACCCAUGAAGGAAAUAUGCCCUAGAGGCAAUAAUAAAGUUAUUAUUUAUUUCCUUAUAUCAUGAUAAGAGUUUAUUAUUCAUGCUAGAAUUGUAUUAACCGGAAACAUAAUACAUGUGUGAAUACAUAGACCAACAGAGUGUCACUAGUAUGCCUCUACUUGACUAGCUCGUUAAUCAAAGAUGGUUAUGUUUCCUAACCAUGAACAAAGAGUUGUUAUUUGUUUAACGAGGUCACAUCAUUAGUAGAAUGAUCUGAUUGACAUGACCCAAUCCAUUAGCUUAGCACCCGAUCGUUUAGUAAGUUGCUAUUGCUUUCUUCAUGACUUAUACAUGUUCCUAUAACUAUGAGAUUAUGCAACUCCCGUUUACCGGAGGAACACUUUGGGUACUACCAAACGUCACAACGUAACUGGGUGAUUAUAAAGGAGUAUUACAGGUGUCUCCAAUGGUAGAUGUUGGGUUGGCGUAUUUCGAGAUUAGGGUUUGUCACUCCGAUUGACGGAGAGGUAUCUCUGGGCCCUCUCGGUAAUACACAUCACAUAAGCCUUGCAAGCACUGCAACUAAUAAGUUAGUUGUGAGAUGAUGUAUUACGGAACGAGUAAAGAGACUUGCCGGUAACGAGAUUGAACUAGGUAUUGGAUACCGACGAUCGAAUCUCGGGCAAGUAACAUACCGAUGACAAAGGGAACAACGUAUGUUGUUAUGCGGUCUGACCGAUAAAGAUCUUUGUAGAAUAUGUAGGAGCCAAUAUGGGCAUCCAGGUCCCGCUAUUGGUUAUUGACCGGAAGCGUGUCUCGGUCAUGUCUACAUUGUUCUCGAACCGUAGGGUCCGCACGCUUAACGUUACGAUGACAGUUAUUAUGAGUUUAUGCAUUUUGAUGUACCGAAGGUUGUUCGGAGUCCCGGAUGAGAUCACGGACAUGACGAGGAGUCUCGAAAUGGUCGAGACGUAAAGAUUGAUAUAUUGGAAGCCUAUGUUUGGGCACCGGAAGCGUUCCGGGUGAAAUCGGGAUUUUACCGGAAUACCGGGAGGGUUACCGGAACCCCCCGGGAGACUAAUGGGCCUAUUGGGCCUUAGUGGAAAAGAGAAAAGGGAAGCCCACUAGCUGGCCAGCGCCCCCCUAGAGUCCUAUUAGGAAUAGGACAAGGGGCCGGCCCCCCUUCUCUCUCUUUUUCCCCGGGAGUCCUAAUAGGAUUAGGAUUAGGGGGAGGAGUCCUACUCCCGGUGGGAGUAGGACUCCCCUGCGCCUCCUCUCUCCUAGCCGGCCGAACCCCCUGCCCCUGGCCUUUUAUAUACGGGGGCAGGGGGCACCCCAAGACACACAACUUGAUCCUUGAGAUCGUUCCUUAGCCGUGUGCGGUGCCCCCUGCCACCAAAUUCCACCUCGAUCGUACCGUUGUAGUGCUUAGGCGAAGCCCUGCGUCAGUAGUACAUCAAGAUCGUCAACACGCCAUCGUGCUGACGGAACUCUUCCUCGACGCUUUGCUGGAUCGGAGCCCGAGGAACGUCAUCGAGCUGAACGUGUGCUAAGAACUCGGAGGUACCGGAGUAACGGUGCUUGGAUCGGUCGGAUCGGGAAGAAGACGUACGACUACUUCCUCUACGUUGUGUGAUCGCUUCCGCAGUCGGUCUGCGUUGGUACGUAGACAACACUCUCCUCUCUCGUUGCUGUGCAUCACCAUGAUCUUGCGUGUGCGUAGGAAAAUUUUUGAAAUUACUGCGUUACCGAACAGUGGCAUCUGAGCCUGGUUUUAUGGUUUGAUGUUAUAUGCACGAGUAGAACACAAGUGAGUUGUGGGCGAUACAAGUCAGACUGCCUACCAGCAUGUCAUACUUUGGUUCGGCGGUAUUGUUGGUUGAGACGAUCCGGACCAACCUUACGCGUACUCUUACGCGAGACCGGUUCCCUCGACGUGCUUUGCACAUAGAUGGCUUGCGGAAGACUGUCUCUCCAACUUUAGUUGAACCAAGUGUGACUACGCCCGGUCCUUGAGAAGGUUAAAACAGAGUCUAUUUGACGAACUAUCGUUGUGGUUUUGAUGCGUAGGUGAGAUGAGUUCUUACUUAAGCCCGUAGCAGCCACGUAAAACUUGCAACAACAAAGUAGAGGACGUCUAACUUGUUUUUGCAGUGUAUGUUGUGAUGUGAUAUGGUCAAGGCAUGAUGCUGAUUUUAUUGUAUGAGAUGAUCAUGUUUUGUAACUAAGUUAUCGGCAACUGGCAGGAGCCAUAUGGUUGUCGCUUUAUUGUAUGCAAUGCAAUCGCGAUGUAAUGCUUUACUAGAUUACUAAACGGUAGUAAUAGUCGUGGAAGCAUAAGAUUGGCAAGACGACAACGAUGCUACGAUGGAGAUCAAAGUGUCGCGCCGGUGACGAUGGUGAUCAUGACGGUGCUUCGGAGAUGGAGAUCACAAGCACAAGAUGAUGAUGGCCAUAUCAUAUCACUUAUAUUGAUUGCAUGUGAUGUUUAUCCUUUUAUGCAUCUUAUCUUGCUUUGAUUGACGGUAGCAUUAUAAGAUGAUCUCUCACUAAAUUAUCAAGAAGUGUUCUCCCUGAGUAUGCACCGUUGCCAAAGUUCGUCGUGCCCAGACACCACGUGAUGAUCGGGUGUGAUAAGCUCUACGUCCAUCUACAACGGGUGCAAGCCAGUUUUGCACACGCAGAAUACUCAGGUUAUACUUGACGAGCCUAGCAUAUGCAGAUAUGGCCUCGGAACACAGAGACCGAAAGGUCGAGCGUGAAUCAUAUAGUAGAUAUGAUCAACAUAACGAUGUUCACCAUUGAAAACUACUCCAUCUCACGUGAUGAUCGGUUAUGGUUUAGUUGCUUUGGAUCACGUGAUCACUUAGAAGAUUAGAGGGAUGUCUAGCUAAGUGGGAGUUCCUAAGUAAUUUGAUUAACUGAACUUAAACUUAUCAUGAACUUAGUACCUGAUAGUAUCUUGCUUGUUUAUGUUGCUUGUAGAUAGAUGGCUCGUGCUAUUGUUCCGUUGAAUUUUAAUGCGUUCCUUGAGAAAGCAAAGUUGAAAGAUGAUGGUAGCAAUUACACGGACUGGGUCUGUAACCUGAGGAUUAUCCUCAUUGCUGCACAGAAGAAUUACGUCCUGGAAGCACCGCUGGGUGACAGGCCUGCUGCUGGAGCAACGCCAGAUGUUAUGAACGUCUGGCAGAGCAAAGCUGAUGACUACUCGAUAGUUCAGUGUGCCAUGCUUUACGGCUUAGAAUCGGGACUUCAACGACGUUUUGAACGUCAUGGAGCAUAUGAGAUGUUCCAGGAGUUGAAGUUAAUAUUUCAAGCAAAUGCCCGAAUUGAGAGAUAUGAAGUCUCCAAUAAGUUCUAUAGCUGUAAGAUGGAGGAGAACAGUUCUGUCAGUGAGCAUAUACUCAAAAUGUCUGGGUAUAAUAAUCACUUGAUUCAGAUGGGAGUUAAUCUUCCAGAUGAUUGCAUCAUUGACAGAAUUCUCCAAUCACUACCACCAAGCUACAAGAGCUUCGUGAUGAACUAUAAUAUGCAAGGGAUGAACAAGACUAUUCCCGAGCUCUUCGCAAUGCUGAAAGCUGCGGAGGUAGAAAUCAAAAAGGAGCAUCAAGUGUUGAUGGUUAGCAAGACCACUAGUUUCAAGAAAAAGGGUAAAGGGAAGAAGAAGGGAAACUUCAAGAAGAACAGCAAGCAAGUUGCUGCUCAAGAGAAGAAACCCAAGUCUGGACCUAAGCCUGAAGCUGAGUGCUUCUACUGCAAGCAGACUGGUCACUGGAAGCGGAACUGCCCCAAGUAUUUGGCGGAUAAGAAGGAUGGCAAAGUGAGCAAAGGUAUAUGUGAUAUACAUGUUAUUGAUGUGUACCUUACUAGAGCUCGCAGUAGCACCUGGGUAUUUGAUACUGGUUCUGUUGCUAAUAUUUGCAACUCGAAACAGGGACUACGGAAUAAGCGGACACUAGCAAAGGACGAGGUGACGAUGCGCGUGGGAAACGGUUCCAAAGUCGAUGUGAUCGCGGUCGGCACGCUGCCUCUACAUCUACCUUCGGGAUUAAUAUUAGACCUAAAUAAUUGUUAUUUGGUGCCAGCGUUGAGCAUGAACAUUAUAUCUGGAUCUUGUUUAAUGCGAGACGGUUAUUCAUUUAAAUCAGAGAAUAAUGGUUGUUCUAUUUAUAUGAAUAAUAUCUUUUAUGGUCAUGCACCUUUGAAGAGUGGUCUAUUCUUGUUGAAUCUCGAAGAUAGUGAUACACAUAUUCAUAAUGUAGAAGCCAAAAGAUGCAAAGUUAAUAAUGAUAGUGCAACUUAUUUGUGGCACUGCCGUUUAGGUCAUAUCGGUGUAAAGCGCAUGAAGAAACUCCAUACUGAUGGGCUUUUGGAAUCACUUGAUUAUGAAUCACUUGGUACUUGCGAACCGUGCCUCAUAGGCAAGAUGACUAAAACACCGUUCUCCGGUACUAUGGAGAGAGCAACAGAUUUGUUGGAAAUCAUACAUACCGAUGUAUGUGGUCCGAUGAAUAUUGAGGCUCGCGGCGGAUAUCGUUAUUUUUCACCUUCACAGAUGAUUUAAGCAGAUAUGGGUAUAUCUACUUAAUGAAACACAAGUCUGAAACAUUUGAAAAGUUCAAGGAAUUUCAGAGUGAAGUUGAAAAUCAUCGUAACAAGAAAAUAAAAUUUCUACGAUCUGAUCGUGGAGGAGAAUAUUUGAGUUACGAGUUUGGUGUACAUUUGAAAAAUUGUGGAAUAGUUUCGCAACUCACGCCACCCGGAACACCACAGCGUAAUGGUGUGUCCGAACGUCGUAAUCGUACUUUACUAGAUAUGGUGCGAUCAAUGAUGUCUCUUACUGAUUUACCGCUAUCGUUUUGGGGUUAUGCUUUAGAGACGGCCGCAUUCACGUUAAAUAGGGCACCAUCAAAAUCCGUUGAGACGACGCCUUAUGAACUAUGGUUUGGCAAGAAACCAAAGUUGUCGUUUCUCAAAGUUUGGGGCUGCGAUGCUUAUGUGAAAAAGCUUCAACCUGAUAAGCUCGAACCCAAAGCGGAGAAAUGUGUCUUCAUAGGAUACCCAAAGGAAACUGUUGGGUAUACCUUCUAUCACAGAUCCGAAGGCAAGACAUUCGUUGCUAAGAAUGGAUCAUUUCUAGAGAAGGAGUUUCUCUCGAAAGAAGUGAGUGGGAGGAAAGUAGAACUUGACGAGGUAACUAUACCUGCUCCCUUAUUGGAAAGUAGUACAUCACAGAAAACUGUUUCUGCGACACCUAUACCAAUCAGUGAGAAAGCUAAUGAUGAUGAUCAUGAAGCUUCAGAACAAGAUACUACUGAACCACGUAGAUCAACCAGAGUGAGAUCCGCACCAGAGUGGUACGGUAAUCCACUUCUGGAAGUCAUGAUGCUAGAUCAUGAUGAACCUACGAACUAUGAAGAAGCGAUGGUGAGCCCAGAUUCCGCAAAGUGGCUUGAGGCCAUGAAAUCUGAGAUGGGAUCCAUGUAUGAGAACAAAGUAUGGACUUUGGUUGACUUGCCCGAUGAUCGGCAAGCAAUUGAGAAUAAAUGGAUCUUCAAGAAAAAGACUGACGCUGACGGUAAUGUUACUGUCUAUAAAGCUCGACUUGUCGCAAAAGGUUUUCGACAAGUUCAAGGGGUUGACUACGAUGAGACUUUCUCACCCGUAGCGAUGCUUAAAUCCGUCAGAAUUAUGUUAGCAAUUGCCGCAUUUUAUAAUUAUGAAAUAUGGCAGAUGGAUGUCAAAGCUGCAUUCCUGAAUGGAUUUCUGGAAGAAGAGUUGUAUAUGGUACAACCAGAAGGUUUUGUCGAUCCAAAAGGAGCUAACAAAGUAUGCAAACUCCAGCGAUCCAUUUAUGGACUGGUGCAAGCAUCUCGGAGUUGGAAUAAACGCUUUGAUAGUGUGAUCAAAGCAUUUGGCUUUAUACAGACUUUUGGAGAAGCCUGUAUUUACAAGAAAGUGAGUGGGAGCUCUGUAGCAUUUCUGAUAUUAUAUGUGGAUGACAUAUUGCUGAUUGGAAAUGAUAUAGAAUUUUUGGAUAGCAUAAAGGGAUACUUGAAUAAAAGUUUUUCGAUGAAAGACCUUGGGGAAGCUGCUUACAUAUUAGGCAUAAAGAUCUAUAGAGAUAGAUCAAAACGCUUAAUUGGACUUUCACAGAGCACAUACCUUGACAAGAUUUUGAAGAAAUUCAAAAUGGAUCAAGCAAAGAAAGGGUUCUUGCCUGUGUUACAAGGUGUGAAGUUGAGUAAGACUCAAUGCCCGACCACUGCAGAAGAUAGAGAGAAAAUGAAAGAUGUUACCUAUGCUUCAGCCAUAGGCUCUAUCAUGUAUGCAAUGCUGUGUACCAGACCUGAUGUGUGCCUUGCUAUAAGUUUAGCAGGGAGGUACCAAAGUAAUCCUGGAAUGGAUCACUGGACAGCGGUCAAGAACAUCCUAAAAUACCUGAAAAGGACUAAGGAUAUGUUUCUCGUAUAUGGAGGUGACAAAGAGCUCACCGUAAGAGGUUACGUUGAUGCAAGCUUUGACACUGAUCCGGACGAUUCUAAAUCGCAAACCGGAUACGUGUUUACUUUAAACGGUGGAGCUGUCAGUUGGUGCAGUUCUAAACAAAGCGUCGUAGCGGGAUCUACAUGUGAAGCGGAGUACAUAGCCGCUUCGGAAGCAGCGAACGAAGGAGUCUGGAUGAAGGAGUUCAUAUCCGAUCUAGGUGUCAUACCUAGUGCAUCGGGUCCAAUGAAAAUCUUCUGUGACAAUACUGGUGCAAUUGCCUUGGCAAAGGAAUCCAGAUUUCACAAGAGGACCAAACACAUCAAGAGACGCUUCAACUCCAUCCGGGAUUUAGUCCAGGUGGGAGACAUAGAGAUUUGCAAGAUACAUACGGAUCUGAAUGUUCCAGACCCGUUGACUAAGCCUCUUCCACGAGCAAAACAUGAUCAGCACCAAGGCUCCAUGGGUGUUAGAAUCAUUACUGUAUAAUCUAGAUUAUUGACUCUAGUGCAAGUGGGAGACUGAAGGAAAUAUGCCCUAGAGGCAAUAAUAAAGUUAUUAUUUAUUUCCUUAUAUCAUGAUAAGAGUUUAUUAUUCAUGCUAGAAUUGUAUUAACCGGAAACAUAAUACAUGUGUGAAUACAUAGACCAACAGAGUGUCACUAGUAUGCCUCUACUUGACUAGCUCGUUAAUCAAAGAUGGUUAUGUUUCCUAACCAUGAACAAAGAUUUGUUAUUUGUUUAACGAGGUCACAUCAUUAGUAGAAUGAUCUGAUUGACAUGACCCAAUCCAUUAGCUUAGCACCCGAUCGUUUAGUAAGUUGCUAUUGCUUUCUUCAUGACUUAUACAUGUUCCUAUAACUAUGAGAUUAUGCAACUCCCGUUUACCGGAGGAACACUUUGGGUACUACCAAACGUCACAACGUAACUGGGUGAUUAUAAAGGAGUAUUACAGGUGUCUCCAAUGGUAGAUGUUGGGUUGGCGUAUUUCGAGAUUAGGGUUUGUCACUCCGAUUGACGGAGAGGUAUCUCUGGGCCCUCUCGGUAAUACACAUCACAUAAGCCUUGCAAGCACUGCAACUAAUAAGUUAGUUGUGAGAUGAUGUAUUACGGAACGAGUAAAGAGACUUGCCGGUAACGAGAUUGAACUAGGUAUUGGAUACCGACGAUCGAAUCUCGGGCAAGUAACAUACCGAUGACAAAGGGAACAACGUAUGUUGUUAUGCGGUCUGACCGAUAAAGAUCUUCGUAGAAUAUGUAGGAGCCAAUAUGGGCAUCCAGGUCCCGCUAUUGGUUAUUGACCGGAAGCGUGUCUCGGUCAUGUCUACAUUGUUCUCGAACCGUAGGGUCCGCACGCUUAACGUUACGAUGACAGUUAUUAUGAGUUUAUGCAUUUUGAUGUACCGAAGGUUGUUCGGUGUCCCGGAUGAGAUCACGGACAUGACGAGGAGUCUCGAAAUGGUCGAGACGUAAAGAUUGAUAUAUUGGAAGCCUAUGUUUGGGCACCGGAAGCGUUCCGGGUGAAAUCGGGAUUUUACCGGAAUACCGGGAGGGUUACCGGAACCCCCCGGGAGACUAAUGGGCCUAUUGGGCCUUAGUGGAAAAGAGAAAAGGGAAGCCCACUAGCUGGCCGGCGCCCCCUAGAGUCCUAUUAGGAAUAGGACAAGGGGCCGGCCCCCCUUCUCUCUCUUUUUCCCCGGGAGUCCUAAUAGGAUUAGGAUUAGGGGGAGGAGUCCUACUCCCGGUGGGAGUAGGACUCCCCUGCGCCUCCUCUCUCCUCGCCGGCCGAACCCCCUGCCCCUGGCCUUUAUAUACGGGGGCAGGGGGCACCCCAAGACACACAACUUGAUCCUUGAGAUCGUUCCUUAGCCGUGUGCGGUGCCCCCUGCCACCAAAUUCCACCUCGAUCGUACCGUUGUAGUGCUUAGGCGAAGCCCUGCGUCGGUAGUACAUCAAGAUCGUCAUCACGCCGUCGUGCUGACGGAACUCUUCCUCGACGCUUUGCUGGAUCGGAGCCCGAGGAACGUCAUCGAGCUGAACGUGUGCUAAGAACUCGGAGGUACCGGAGUAACGGUGCUUGGAUCGGUCUGAUCGGGAAGAAGACGUACGACUACUUCCUCUACGUUGUGUGAUCGCUUCCGCAGUCGGUCUGCGUUGGUACGUAGACAACACUCUCCUCUCUCGUUGCUGUGCAUCACCAUGAUCUUGCGUGUGCGUAGGAAAUUUUUUGAAAUUACUGCGUUACCCAACAACCCACCUGUCAUACUCUGUUAGGUUAAUUAGGGUUUAGUUAAUUGAUUAGGCUAAUCUAAUCAGGAUUACUUUGUUUAAGUAAUUCUUCAAUUAAUUAAUUAUCAUUUUAACUAAUUUAAUUAUUAUUUAUUAAUUCAUUCAUUUUUUUAAAUUAUUAUUUUUAUUUCGUUCUCGUUUCAGGGGGGCGUGGGGCCCCGCACACGGGGCCACCGCGGGGCUGUUGCCAGCGGGCGCUGGGGCGCUGGGUGCGGGCGCACCCGAGCGGGCACUCGCCCGCAGGGCGGGACGAGGCUGCCGAGGCAUCGACAGCGGGGCAAGCCNNNNNNNNNNNNNNNNNNNNNNNNNNNNNNNNNNNNNNNNNNNNNNNNNNNNNNNNNNNNNNNNNNNNNNNNNNNNNNNNNNNNNNNNNNNNNNNNNNNNNNNNNNNNNNNNNNNNNNNNNNNNNNNNNNNNNNNNNNNNNNNNNNNNNNNNNNNNNNNNNNNNNNNNNNNNNNNNNNNNNNNNNNNNNNNNNNNNNNNNNNNNNNNNNNNNNNNNNNNNNNNNNNNNNNNNNNNNNNNNNNNNNNNNNNNNNNNNNNNNNNNNNNNNNNNNNNNNNNNNNNNNNNNNNNNNNNNNNNNNNNNNNNNNNNNNNNNNNNNNNNNNNNNNNNNNNNNNNNNNNNNNNNNNNNNNNNNNNNNNNNNNNNNNNNNNNNNNNNNNNNNNNNNNNNNNNNNNNNNNNNNNNNNNNNNNNNNNNNNNNNNNNNNNNNNNNNNNNNNNNNNNNNNNNNNNNNNNNNNNNNNNNNNNNNNNNNNNNNNNNNNNNNNNNNNNNNNNNNNNNNNNNNNNNNNNNNNNNNNNNNNNNNNNNNNNNNNNNNNNNNNNNNNNNNNNNNNNNNNNNNNNNNNNNNNNNNNNNNNNNNNNNNNNNNNNNNNNNNNNNNNNNNNNNNNNNNNNNNNNNNNNNNNNNNNNNNNNNNNNNNNNNNNNNNNNNNNNNNNNNNNNNNNNNNNNNNNNNNNNNNNNNNNNNNNNNNNNNNNNNNNNNNNNNNNNNNNNNNNNNNNNNNNNNNNNNNNNNNNNNNNNNNNNNNNNNNNNNNNNNNNNNNNNNNNNNNNNNNNNNNNNNNNNNNNNNNNNNNNNNNNNNNNNNNNNNNNNNNNNNNNNNNNNNNNNNNNNNNNNNNNNNNNNNNNNNNNNNNNNNNNNNNNNNNNNNNNNNNNNNNNNNNNNNNNNNNNNNNNNNNNNNNNNNNNNNNNNNNNNNNNNNNNNNNNNNNNNNNNNNNNNNNNNNNNNNNNNAGUGGCCCAGUGGGGGGGGGGGUUGUUUUAUUCCUUUCCCUUUUAUACCUUUUCACACUUUUCUUCUUUUGUUUUAUUUUAGUUACACGUUAAUUUUAAUUUUAGACAAAUAUAUCUAUAGCCCCUAAAAUAAUGUUUCAGAACAAUCCACUACUAUAAAAAGUUUUACCCUGAUAAAAUAGUCUAGUAUUUUAUAAAAUACCAAAGUCGUUUAAAUAGUUGUUUAGCUACUAUUUAAAUCAUUUUAGUGCUUUAAAUCAUUUUACUAAAAUGUGGUUCCUCCACCAUUUGGACUUAGGAUUUAUUUGUCCCAUUUUGAACAUUUUAGUCUUGACGUUUGAAGAAUUUACCGUUUGACUCGAUUUUGAAUUUGAAUUUGAAUCGGUGUCGAACUAACACGAGAUUAGCAACAGUAACCAUCAUGACGUGGCAUCAUUAACAGAGGUUUACUGUAUCUCAAAUACCCGGGCGUCACAAUGUGCCUAAUAUUGCAGGAGAUGAGGUGGCUCUGGCUGCAUUAAAAUUUUUAGCCCAAAAUAAGAAGAUUAGUGAUAUUUUCCUUGAGCAACACGACAAGGGAUUGGUUCCUCAUUAUGAGGCAAUAAUAGCUAGGGUUUUGAAAGAAGACCAAGUGUUGCCGAUUGAUCAAAUUGUCGAGAGAAAAUAUUCAACAAUGAUGCAGAUGCCUUCACCUAUCAUUGCAACAUGUUAUACACCCCCUGUACAAGCGCAAAAUUUCGGCAACAUCAAUUCAUUGCCGAAAGAUCCUAAAAGUAUUGGGGGGCAAGCCGAUCCAAGCAGGGUUGAGUUUAAAGAAAAAUAUCUAGCCCAGGUGGACAAGAUCAAGCCAAAGCUCACAGGGAAUAGAGUCAACGAAUUUACUACACCUACCCUUGAGGAAUUACCAGCAGAAUAUCAACAGGCCUACGAAGCACUCAAGAAGAAACGUGGAGAGAGAUAUUUGCAAGAAUACGUCAAGUGCCUUCCUCCAUGUAGCAACCAUGUUGGCCCUUCUACACUAUUGAGGCAAGAUAAAAAAGAAGCUUUGCAAGCAAACCAGCAAAAAAGGAUUCACUCGGCUAAUACGGUGGAUUCGGUUGAAACCGGAUUGAGCAACAGGAUGUUUAAGGCCGAGUGCGUUGCAUCGUGCCAGCCGAGUGCAUCGUUCCAGACGAGUGCAUCACCAGCUAAAGCCGAGUGCAUCAAGCCAACUAUUGCCUCGUGUACGAAAAUAGAAGAUGCAAGCUUGGCUGAGCAAAGGAACGACAAACGCAACAAAUUGGUUGUGCUCGAUUUUUCUGGAUGUAAGGGAGCUUACAUGCUACCUUAUGAGUUUCAUGCUAAAGAUAUUGAUGAGCAUCAAGAACACAGUAAUGGCUGAACACAGUUCAGUUAACGAUGAACAUCAAGACCAAGAAAAUGCGGCCGAGCAAAGUUCAACUGACAAAGAGCGUCCGAGUGAAAUCCACUCGGGCAAUCCGACUGAAAUAUACUCGGGCAAUUCAAGUGAAAUAUACUCGGGCAACCUGAGUGAUGAGGCACCAGAUCCAGAAAAAGAGGAAGAGGCAUUGGAGAAUUAUUCAGAAGUGGAGCAAUGUAUUGUUCCAGUGGUACAACCAUCUUCUCCUUCCAACGUCUUCACAAAGGUACACCUAGCAGAUAGUUUACUCAAUUUUCGAUUUGGUCAAAAUCAUAUUGUUGAUGCACCUAUUAGUAAGAUUCUAAUUAAUUUUGAAAGACCAAUUGAAAUGAGUAAUCUUUUUGUUAGGAAGGAUCUUGUCACUAAUCAUGAUAGUCAACACAUGGUAUCGUUCAUAGAGGUUAAUAGUGACAACUUAUCAAAACCAAAGUUGUUCUUGUCAUGCCAACUGAACUUUGUAUUCAUAUGGACAACUUUGUUUGUUUCAUGCCUAGCUAACAUUUGGACUCCUAUGAGCCGUAUAUUCUGUAAUUAUUUUAGUUGCAGAAACAUAAAGUCAGGUCCAAAGUCCUUCGAAGCCGAUUCAAAUGCAUCAGGAAAAGAAGAUGAAUCUUUCCCAAUUGAUAAAAUUGGCGAGCAAAAAUAUGGUUUUACAACAAUGCAUAUGCCUUCACCUAAUACUACAUCAUAUUAUACAGCCCCUACACAAUUGCAAAGUUUCGGCAACACCCAUGUGCCAUUGCCGAAAGAAUCUAAAAGCAAUGGGGGACAAUCGUAUCCGAAGUGGGCUGAAAAUGAGAAAAAGAUUAAAGCCAAUUUCGCCGCUCGCCGGCAGAAACAAAAAGAAACAGAAUUGGCUCAAGUGAAAGAAGCAUUGCCAAUUGGUAGAAGCAAUGUAAAGAAAGAUGAUUCAGAACAUGAAAGUACUAAGGUUAAAAGAGCCGAAUCAAGGAGUAUAUAUUCUGAAUCCAUCAAAUGCAAAGAGGCAAGCAUUAUUGAGAAAGGGCAUGGCAAGCAUAGCAAAGCGACCAUACUUGAUUUUUCUAAAGUUAAUGGAACCUACUUCCUGCCCUAUGAGUUUUGUGCCAGAGAAAUUGAUGAACUUCAAGGACAAGAAUAAGUAGCCGAACAAAGUUCGGCCGACAAAAAUCUUCAAUGUAAUGAUGCACGAAAUCAACAAAAAGAUGAUGAAGAAGCGUUGGGGAGCCAUCCAAAGGCGGAGCAAGAUAUUGUUCAAGUCACACCACCAUCGUGCUCUCCCAACAUAUUUGAAGAGGUAUGUUUAGCAAGUAAUUUACCUAUUUUCAGAUUUGGUCAGGACUUUAUUGUUGAUGCAUCUAUUAGAAAAAUCCUCAUAAGUAAUUUUGAAAGACCAAUGAAGCAGGGUAAUUUACUUGCUAGCAAUAAAGUUGUUAUUGAGCAUAUCGGUCAACCCAUUACGCCAUUUAUAAAGACCGAUAGUGACUUAUUAUUACAGCCAAAGUUUUCCCCGUUGCUUUAUCUAAAGUUCAUAUCUAUUUGGGUAGCUUUGCUUAUUUCAUACUUGGCUUGCACUUGGUCCCAAUUGAGACAUGUGUGUUCUAACUAUUUUCGUUUUAGAAAUUUAAAGCCAAGAUUAAAUUCUGUUGAGAAAACCGAUGCUAGUAUAAUAUCUUACCCAAAGACAUCGGAGAUAGAUUGCAAAACACAAUGCAUAGCCGAAUGGUGUGAUGCAAAAUCUGAACCAUUCGUUUGCUUCAUUCCGAAGCCGUUCUCACAGCAAGAUCGGCUAGAAAACAAGAAGUAUACCUUCAAUUCAAGCAUGUGUGUUCAAAUAUUUGAUUUGUUGCUGAAAAAUAAUUACAUUACAAUUCUUGAUCACCAUGUUAAGCCAUCAAUCCAAGGACGAAUGUAUUGUAAGUUGCAUGAUUCGUCCAAGCAUAAUUUUGAGGAUUGCAACAUGUUUCGUCAAAUAGUUAAAUCGGCCAUUGAAAAAGGACGAUUGAAGUUUGUUGAAACACCAAGAGAUGACCAGUCUAUUCCGAUUGGUCCCGAUGGCAAAAAGUUUUUGCAUCGACUGCUUCAAGCCGAUCCAUUUAAAGAGAAGGUAAAAACUGCAGGUGAUGGGAUCAAGCUUUCAAGUAAAGAAGUUGUUGAAGAGCAUAAUGAACAUAAUCUUGAGGGUGAGAAUUCCAUCCAAGCUACAAUGGAGACGCCAAGGACUGGGGGGCAGCAAGCAAAUCCAACGAUCGAUGAAAGAAAACCAAAAGAAAACAAAGGCCGAAAUAAGCGCAAGUGUAAAAGAUCAAAAAUCACCUUCGAUGAACUAUUUGAGAAAUAUCAAAAGAAGAGUGAAGAGAAGAAUGCUUAUCGGCCCAAUCAUGCAAAGAAACCAAGAUCACCCCCAAGGCGCAAAUAUGAGGAUCGGUAUUGGCAAUGUGAGAGUUUCAAUGCAACAUAUUCAUAUCCUUAUUUUGGGCCGCCAAUGCCAAUGCCGUGGAUGCCUCCCUAUGCUCAUGUAGAUCCAUAUUCAUCAUGGGACAGGUAUGAUACAAGGGCACAUUCUCCAUCUUAUUUUAGACCAUCUCACCAAUAUUAUGCAGCUCCGAGAAGAUCAACAUUUGAACAGUCACAUGUUAAAGACCGUUUCAAUUAUAAGGAAUCGGUCCGGACACCAUGGAUGAAAAAAGAGGUGGUCAAGCAAGUCUACCGCGUGAAACUAUGAAGGACCGAGCCGAAGGAUUCAACAUCUUUGGUCUACACAUUAUCCAAAUUCUUCAACUAUGUCGUUAACGCCUAUGCCAUGGAAUUCGUCAUCAGGUAUGAUCGGUAACCCUCAAUGGGCUUAUUUUAAUCCAUGGAUGCAAUAUAAUUUCUUACGUCAUGAAAGGGUAUUACCAAGUCACUAUACAUUUGAUUAGCUACAAGUUUGUUGCUGAUCCAAAGGGCCGAAAUACUUGAUUUGUCAUUUCAUUUGUUUAUUUCGGCUAUAUGUGCUUUGAAUGAAGUUUAGAUGGUAAUGGCCGAUGAUAUUUAUCUAUCGUCCUAAGAGUAUGUCAAUGCAUGGCAGGUGUAGUAUUCUAAUAUCGUCCUUAGUUUGAUUGGUGAGCGAGACAAUGUACAUGCUCAUGAAAAUUUAUAUGUAUGCCUAUAUUAUGAUUGAAUGGAGUUGAGACAUCAUGACCGAUGUCAUUGAAUAUAUGCUGCAUAGACCAAUUCAUAGCUGCGGAAUUGGUUGAUGGGCUUAUACUUUGUUUGGAUAUGAUUUGGCUUAUGCAUCUUUGAGAUCUAUAAGAGGCCAAAUCAUAGUUGAUUUUGUUACUGAACAUCGGAUUAGUGUCAUGCAUAAUAUUAAUAUUAGCCUUGUCUCUCUAGUACUAUGGAGAUUAUGUUUUGAUGGUUCAAUUCAUAGCAAUGGCCAAAGUGUUGGUGUUGUUUAUAUAUUUCUUUAUGGUACUAUUUUUUGAAGCCUCGUGCCGCUUAGAAUAUUUUUAUGCACGAUUAAUCAAGGCCGAAUAUGCAUUGUUAUUCGGAUUGACUCUUUUACUUGCUAUAGGUGUUAUACAUAUUGAGGCUUUUGGUGAUUCGUUCUGAGUAGUGCAACAAAUAUCCAAGGAUUAUCAAUGUGUUUUACCGAAUCACUUAUAGUUUAUCUUGGGCUAUGUCUAGAUGAAGAAUUUACCUUGGGUUGCAUUCAAAUUGUUCAUAUAUUUAGACAUGGCAAUUGGAGAGAGUUGGCAUAGCAAGCAUCCGGCUACCAUGUCCAUCAUGUUGUAUUGCAUUUCUCUCAAUAGCCGAUGCUUAGUCUUGUCAACAUAGGUAAGGUCGAACCGAAGUCCAGAACUUCGGCCACUAAUGAAAUUUUUAUGCAGGCCAAAGUAAGGAUUGGAGAAAGUUUAUUGUUGAUUGUCUACAAAAUCCUAGCAAAAGGGUGAACAAUAUGGUUCGGAGGAUGACAUUGAGAUACAUAUCUAUGGAACUUUAUCACCGGAUUGUUAAUGAAGCUGAGAAGGUUUCACCCGAGUUUGCAUCAGAAAGUUCACACAAGACAUGGCCGAUAUAUACUUAUCGUCCUAAGAACAUAUAAAUGGCCGAUGGAGUGUUGACAUCGUCCUUAGAACAAACUUGGUACAAGUAUUUUUCGACACGCUAGGUUUACCGAAAAACAGUGGGGCAUGUGUUGACGCUCAAAAGUGGCACGAUCAUAAAGCAGCAUGCUGGGGCGAAAACCUUGCCGGGGUAAAAUCUUGCCGGUGUGAAAGCUUGCCGGUGUGAAAGCUUGCCGGUGUGAAGGCUUGCCGGCGUGGAAAGCUUGCCGGCACAGAAAGAUCGCCGGUGCUUGCCGGUGUGAAAUCUUGCCGAGGGAGAAACCUUGUCAGGAAGGAACCCUUGCCGGAGUACAAACCUUGCCGGAGUGAAACCUUGCCUGUGUGAAAGCUUGCCGGGUAGAAACAUUGCCGGUGUGGAAAGCUUACUCGGACGGAAAACUUGCCGGGUUGGAGGCUGUGAUAGUCAAUCGAACGAGAAGUUGAAGAUGGGCUCAAAAGGUUAUUCAGAUGAUCUCGGAUGGAAAAAUGAUCUACACGGGUUGUCUUCGUCUCGUCGAAACGAUCGAUUUUGGUAUAAAAAUCAUUCAAAUUCGAGUUUGUAUGCAAAAGUUAGAGCAAUCGGAGUGCAGCCCUGUCACGAGGCGAGAUGUGGCGUGCCCCACCAGACACAUGUCUGACGGGUAGUGCGAGGAAAUAGCCUGUGUUGCGAGACCGAUCUGACCCUCAAGAUGAUCUCUGAUCAAAACACCUUCAACAUGAAAGCUGUUCGUCUCGUCGAAACGGUCAAGAUUGCUUUUGGGCUUGUUUUCAUCCGGGAUCGUUUACCACUGCCAAAAAGACCCGCAAUGUGCAGCCAGUUUAAACCGAACAGUUUUGGAAAGUUCAGAUAAACCAGUCCGAAUUUGACUAGGGUUUUGUACGUGAAUUGAUGUAAUUUUCUUGUAAGGAAAGCCGAGAUAAAUUCUUUGCUUGUACGGGAAGUCCAGCCGCCUCUUAUAUAUGUUGGGGGUGACGGCCGAUUGAAACAACACACAAUCGAACAAACACAUCUACUACCUUUUCAUGUUCAUCUACUUUUUAUCUCUCCCUUGUAUCUUUCUUCUCGUUCUUCGCUAGUUCUUCAUGCUGGAGGGCUGCGGAUCCACGAGGCUUUAGGGCCUAGCUAGCGAAUCGACCUAGGGCAGCCCAUAGCCGCCGCAAUCCCUGACGGGGUCCCUCUCGGGUGCGCGGGGUUUCGGGUCUGCAAAAGCGCCCGCCGACUGUCUUGCGUAUCGCGCUGUCGGUCGGGUCUCCUUCGACGUGAGCUGCGGUGCAUCACCCCUGGCGUCGAGGAUACAUGUGACGUGUUCGUGUGCGAACAACGUGCUCCCUGGCUCCACCCCAUUGAAAAAAUAUACAUCUGGAGGCUGCUUUGUUUCCUCAUCAAAAAAAACUUACGUUAAAAAGAUUGCAUGCAUCCCAGGAAAAAUAAUCAAGAAGUCGGACUCAUCCUUACAAAAACAAGGAACGUGUUAAGUUGACUUCAAAGAAAAAAGGAACAUGUUAAGUUAAAAAAAACAAGAAACCUGUUAAGUUAGAAAAAAACAAGGAACGUGUUGUCCUAGGAAAGAUAUGUGUCAAAUCUUACAAAAAAAAGAAUACACACACGUACGUUCAUGCACUUGGAAAAUAGAAAAAAAAGAACAUCACGUAUGUAUACACUUUGGAAACUCAUUACAUGACCAUGUCUGAUAUACUCCUCUAAUGCUUAACAUUAGUGCCUAAUAAUUUAUAUUUAAAAUUUAAUUUACUGAUCAAAUAUCCCCACUGUUUAAAUUUUAAUUUGGCACAUUGUUUGACUACAGUAUGAACCUAAAUUUCCUCUUAUUAAUAUAUAUCAUGGUAAUAAUCCAAAGGCGACUAAUCUGCGCCGGUGCACCGGCGCAAUCAAUUUGGCCGGACACAGCGCGGCCUUUUGAUUAGAUUGCAUUUAACCAUCAGAUCUGGAAUCGUUUUCUUUCCAAUUAAACGGAUUCAACCAAACAGCAGAGGGGAAAACAAAGCAGCGCCGCCGCCAACACUAGCCAUGGACGAUCGAUGUACCAAAACCUUGAAUAACUGCCGCCGGUCGCCACCCUCGCCGCUGGUGGCCGCCCUCGCCGUCGGUCACCGCCGAUCACCGCCCUCGCUGCCUGCGUUUCUCAUCGGCUUCAUGCAUGCAACAGCAUGCAGUCGUGGUUGCAGGCUUGCAGCUCCGGCUCCGGGGGACAUGGCCGCAUCUCCGGUAACGCCAGCCGCCGACCGCAGCACCUGUCGUUAUGGUCGCGUUGUACCUCGCCGUGUGCCCUCCCGAGGCUCUUGCUGGUUCCAACAAAAAACAAUACGUGUUGUAGCAAAAAAGUUUAUCGCUUCCAGCAAAAAAGCUUACCGCUACAGCCCGCCAUCGUCAUUGUAGCAAAAAUGUUAACCCGAUGUAGCUUUUGUGGUUGCCGACUGCAACAAAAAAUGACGUGGUUGUAGCAAAACACAAAAGAAAAAUGCCGGCCGGCCGCUGUGUAUGGUGGUAACAAACCCUAUAGCCGGUGGUAGCGAAAAACUUCAUAGUUUGCAGCAAAAAAAUGUUGUCGCCCGUCGUCGAGGUUGCAUCGUCUUCAUGAAUUAUGUCGCAAAAAAACAUUGUCGCCGGUAGUAGCAAAUGAAGCCGCCGGUAGUAGCAAAACAAGACACUGGUUCCAGCCAAAAAAUAAAUCAGCGACAGAACCUUUGGUUGGUUACAACAAAAAAACUUGUCGGUUGUAACAUCCCUCGCCGCCGGAUGUAGCAUCUCCCGGGGCUGGUUGCAACACUCCAUAAAAAAAAUGUUGUCUAUGAGCGCAUCCAUGGCGACUGCUGCACCAUCAGCAACGAGGGGAAGAGGAGGCAAUGAAAAUCGUUCGAGUCGUAGCUCCACAGGACGCGGCUGCAGCAUGGGGAGUCCAAAAAUCUGUCACAAGCAACAUGCGCCUCACCAUCCUCCUGCGCAGGAGAGAGAAGAAAAAGGAAUAAGAGGAAGAAGAAAGGAAACGGGAGGAAGAAAAAAGAAACGAUUGGUGGUGGGCUGAGGCAAUUAGUCAAACGAGGGGCACGCGGGGCCGCAGGAUACAGCGCAAUCGAACGAAGCGCGCGCGUCCGGCCGAAGACUCGGCCGGACUGCCGUCUGGAAACGUUUCCCUAAUCCAAAGGCUUUGUCUGAAUGACAAGUCGUCUGGGUUACCGGCUAACUAGAAAAAAGAUAAAUAUGCUAGAGAAUUUCAUAAUAAUUAGAAAUAUCUAGCCUUUAAUUAUGUAAAUCAGAAAAUCACAACCGUUGGAUUUACUUUAAAGGUAAAUUUCUCUAAAUUCCCACCAUUGCCAGUAUGUAGAAACAUGUGCUGCUUCAAUUCUCCCAUAAUCACCAAUCAAUCAACAACACAAAACAUACCUCAGUUAAAAAAACUGAACAAAAAAAAAGAAAAAAGAAGAAAGGACAAGAUACACGCAUGUACACGACAGCCUUGGCUUGAAACACAUCAGUAGAUCAAGUGUCCGCCUCCCUUACACAGAAUAAACUCAUAGGGAAGAAAAUAAUUGUGCAACCUAACCUUAUACGUACUAUUCUAUCCUCACGUCCCAUGAGGUUUACUAGCCUACCGCCGCCGCAUCAUGCCAUCCCCUCCUUUCAGCUCCCAUGCUUUCCAGCACCCUCAUUGCCGCGCCACUACUUGCCUAGGGAUAUUGCUGCUCAGACCGUGGAGCUUAACCUGCUUCUUCUUCAGCAAAUAUGGUACUGCUUUAGGAUCCUUCUCACAUCAGCACGUAUGGGCCUCAUUAUACUGCAGCUCCUGGACCUCCUACAAUUGGUUGGCUAUGGCCAGUUGAUCGAUGUGCCGAAGUCCAGGUCUGUUUGCUGGCACAUAUGCUUUGGAAAUAGGCCACUAUGUUUGUACUUCAAAAUUGUUUCUGUAUUCUUGAGUGGUACAUCCUUUUAAGCGCCAGUUUUUUAUGUCAAUUCAUGCUGACAACACUUAACCUAGCCUUUCAUCUUCACGUACUAAAUACAGGAGCAAGUAAAAACAACAGACCACCUAAUUGCUCUGCAUGUACUACAUAGGAAAAUUUGUCAUGUUCUACGAUCGCACCAUCCCACACUUCUCUCUUGGUAUGGGCGCCAAUUGAGGGAUUGAUAAAACUGAAACGAAGACGUCACGGGGCUGGAAGUACCGCUAGCCUGGUUUGCACUGCAACCUACUCAACGCCAUCAGAAACUAGCAACUGAGGCAGUUGUUGAUCGAUUCUCUCAAAUUGCUCUCAUGUAAGUACUACCCCUUGCAUGUGCGUACAUACCUUUGUUCCAUUCUCAAACAGAUAGAACAUUUAUGAUCGGUGCAUGGCUAUUUUUCAUCACAUGACAUCCAGAUAACAAGCAUGAAAGGACUACAUUGGAGAUCAAAAAAUAUUGGUUCCUGGCUAGAGGACCACUACCUAUGGACUUGUCUCCAUAGAAUUUGUUCCCAAGACGUUAUUUUAAUUAACCUCUUUAGCUUUCUUCCAUUGCAAACGGUGAUGUGCAUCAUGGUAUAUACGUGACCAUCUUGCACAUGUAUACACAAGAGGCUCAGACGGAGGUGCUGGAUUCUGGACGAGGGAAUAUGAAGCAGGAGUGAGCGAAGAGUAAAUAAUGGUGGGAGUACCGAUUGGUGUUAUGAAGAAAAAUGCCAUUCAAAGAUUGAUUAGUGUCAUGGAAGAUUAAUUUCUGAAUGCGAAUAUAUAUGUUACAUUGGUUUGGAUCUUUUUGAGAUAAUUGCACCUAAAUUAGGUUCUUUCUUAUUUCAUAUGUAUACCUUAUUUCAGUAAAAGUUCACAACGAACUUAGUAGGACAAAUAUAAUUUUGUUUGUGCUUUCUGUUGUCCGCCACCAAAGCUCAGUUUGAACUCUCUAGAAAUGGACAAUGAUUUAUGCAUUCUAUAUCUUCUUGAUUGAUUAGUCAUGACAAGGAAAUAAAAUGAUUGACUGAUAUAGCAUAACUUUGGAACGAUCUGUUCGUAGAGGUUACUACAAAUUAGAGUAGUGUCUGUUGGAAUUUUGCUAGUAGGCCUUUGGCCCAAAGCCCAACUAAAAUUCUGAAAUUCUCUUGGCUCAUUCAUGCACACAUGUGAGUGGAGUGAGUGAGACUAAAGUUUAGUCCCUCCCCGAAAGUUGAGAGAGUGUUGCACCUCUUUAUAAGGUGAGCUCUUCUACCACUUGUAUGAGCAUGGGAAGAGGAGACCUACACGCGCGCUCCUCCUCCUCGCUCACCAUGCCUCGUCACGACGCGCCGCGCCGCACCGCGUGGUGGGUUGUGGGAUUGAGCCGAGCCGAGGACGUUGUCUAUAUUUUUGCUGCUCGGGAAAAAUUAAUGAGUCAUUAAUUAAUAAUUAAUGGACGCGUUAAUUACUGAACCGUUUCCGAUUCUUUUGGAUCCUGACGACUCGGACGUGGGGUUUACUCCCACGACCUACCCGACCUGCACUACAUAGCCAGGCAGACGUCUACCUUAGCCGCCGCCCCUUCGUAUGGUUUCUCACCACCGUUACAGAUCAUUGCGCCGCCAAGCAAGUUUUCUCCAUCCCUCGUUUCGGCGUGCACCGGGAGAAGGGACAGCAGGCCUCCGGAACCCCGCCUCUCGUGAUCCUGUACGGAAGAGGGGCGAUCAGGUUUUUGGGGAGCGCAUCGCACGACUGCUGGCAGCGACGACUUCGCGAACGACGACUUCUUCCCCGACCUCGGCAACCUCAUCCUCGAGGACAUGGGCGACAACGUCAACGCCGGCGGUGCUACACCCACUGCACCGUAUGUUAUUCUAUCCUUCUUGUUCGAGAUCGUGGUAGAAUUCAUGUUUCUAGUAUGUGCCCUAGAGGUGAUCUGUUCAUCUACUAUGCUAGUUCGCAUGAUUAGUUUAAUCUCUGCUAUUGCUGUCAUGAUCUAUUUCCUAUUUAUUCGGAUUAAAUCUCGUAGUAAUUUUCUCAUUUUUCCAACAAUCCAAAAACCUAAUUAUAGGCAACUUACUCCGAGUGGUUUUGAUGCGCAUCUGAAAGCCGCCUGCCUUUAAGGGGGCGCAAUAUAAGAGGUGGCGCACGAGAGCAGUCUACUGGUUUCAGAUCAUGGGCUGCUAUGACGCCAUCGAUACCCUCUUUAAAGGCACUCUUCUGAGUGUUCUUGAUGACUCCAUUGUGGAUUCGUAUAUGUCGUUGACAACGGCAAGAAUAUGUGGGCUGCGCUCGAGGCCAAGUUUGGUGCCUCGGAUGCUAGUAGCGAGUUGUACGUCAUGGAGCAAUUCUAUGACUCCAAGAUGACUGAUGAGCGCCCUGUUGUACAGCAGGCUCAUGAGAUACAGUCGCUCGGAAAAGAACUUGAGUACUUCAAGUGUGUGUUGCCGAACAAAUUUUUUGCCGGAGGCAUCAUUGCCAAGCUUCCACCUUCGUGGAACAAUUUUGCUACUUCCCUGAAACACAAGAGACAGGAGUUUUUCGUUGCGGAUCUCAUUGGUACUCUUGAUGUUGAAGAGAAGGCGAGAGCAAAGGAUACACGUGCUCGAGUUGCUGAGGGAGGUUCUAGUGCCCACAUGGUACAGAAGAAGAACUUCCAGCCCGUUCAAAAACAACAAGAACAAAACUCAGGGCAAAGGCAAGUUUGAUACAAAGAACAAGCCAUCACAUUCUACCAACUUCAAGAAGAAUUCUCAUAAGAAGGGGAAGGGACUUUGCCAUGUCUGCGGUGAUCCUAAUCACUGGGCUCUGAAGUGUCCUAACUGCUUUGAGGAGCGCGAACAUGAGAAGAGCGGCAAGUCCGCUAAUGUUGUCAUCGGUGAUACUGAUAUGAAGGAAUCAGGGUACGGUAUUUUUCCUACCAUCCUUUCAGUUUUCCAAACCCCUGAUUGGUUAAUUGACACCGGUGCCAAUGUACAUGUUUGUGCUGAUGCCUCCAUGUUUUCUUCUUACCAGGCCAUUGGGACUUCACCCGUGCUGAUGGGGAACGGGUCACAUGCCAUCGUUCGAGGUGUUGGUACGGUCGAUCUGAAGUUUACUUCGGGGAAGACCGUGCGUCGGAAGAACGUUCAUCAUGUUCCAUCCAUCAAUAAAAAUCUCGUUAGCGGUUCCCGUUUAUGUCGAGAUGGUUUUAAGUUGGUUUUCGAAUACACUAAAGUUGUAAUUUCUAAGUACGGACAAUUUGGUGGAAAAGGCUAUGAGAGCGAAGGCUUGUUUUGCCUGUCUUUGUCAGAUAUUUUCACUAAAGUUAUUAAUAAUGUUUGCCACAACAAUGAGUCUGAUAUUUGGCAUUCACGACUUUGUCACAUUAACUUUGGUUGCAUGACGCGGCUAGCCAAUAUGAAUUUAAUUCCGAAAAUCUCUACUGUCAAAGGCUCUAAGUGCCAAGUAUGUGUGCAAGCUAGCUAAGCAACCUCGCAAGUCCCAUAAGACUGUAGAGGCAAGAGACUUGGCGCCACUAGAGCUUAUACAUUCUGAUAUUUGUGAGAUGAAUGGCGUGUUGACAAAAGGUGGAAAGAGAUACUUCAUGACGUUGAUUGAUGACUCCACUAGAUAUUGUUAUGUGUAUCUUAUGAAAUCAAAAGAUGAGGCUUUGACUUUCUUCAAAAACUAUAAAGCUGAGGCAGAGAACCAACUUGAUCAAAAAAUUAAACGGCUUAGGUCCGAUCAUGGUGGAGUGUAUUUUUCCAAUGAAUUUGAUCUGUUUUGUGCGGAACAUGGUAUAAUCCAUGAGAGGAUGCGUCCCUACUCAGCCUAGUCAAAUGGGGUAGCCAAAAUAAAGAACCGAACUCUAACUGAUAUGGUUAACACCAUGUUAGACACUUCAGGUCUAUCCAAGGAAUGGUGGGGGCAGGCGCUAACGACUGCGUGUCAUGUCCUAAACAGAGUACCCACAAAGCAUAAGACCAUGACUCCAUUUGAGGAAUGUGAAAGGAAAAUGUUGAAACUCUCUUACCUACGUACUUGGGGUUGUUUGGCGAAAGUCAAUAUACCAAUUCCCAAGAAGCGCAAGGUUGGACCAAAAACCGUGGAUUGUGUUCUUCUGGGCUAUGCUUUUCAUAGCAUCGGCUAUAGAUUUUUGAUAAUAAAAUCUGAGGUAUCCGACAUGCAUGUUGGUACGAUUAUGGAGUCGAAUGAUGCAACUUUCUUUGAGGACAUAUUUCCUAUGAAGGAUAUGUCGAGUUCAUCAAAUCAGGAGACACCUACUCCAUCUAGUGAGGAAUUCACUGUAAUUCCUGAACCCACCAUUGCGAUGGAACACGUUGAGAAUCCUGUUGAGGGUGACAAUGGAACUCCUAUGAGGAGUAAGAGACACAGGACUACAAAGUCCUUUGGUGAUGAUUUCAUUGUGUUCCUCGUGGAUGACACACCCAGGACUAUUUCAGAAGCCUGUGCAUCUCUUGAUGCUAACUACUGGAAGGAAGCUGUACGUAGCGAGAUGGAUUCCAUCUUAGGUAACGGAACCUGGGAGAUCACUGACCGUCCUUAUGGGUGCAAACUUGUAGGAUGUAAGUGGGUGUUCAAGAAGAAGCUUAGACCUGAUGGUACGAUUGAAAAGUACAAGGCACGGCUUGUGGCCAAGGGUUAUACCCAGAAAGAAGGUGAAGACUUCUUUGAUACUUACUCACCCGUGGCUAGAAUGACCACAAUUCGGGUGCUACUAUCACUUGCUGCCUCACAUGGUCUUCUCGUUCAUCAAAUGGAUGUUAAGACAGCUUUCCUCAAUGGAGAGAGUUGGAGGAAGAAAUUUACAUGGAUCAGCCAGAUGGUUUUGUAGUACCUAGUUAGGAAGGAAAGGUGUGCAAGUUAUUAAAGUCUUUAUAUGGCCUUAAACAAGCUCCUAAAGAGUGGCAUGAGUAGUUUGAAAGAACAUUAACUGCUGCCGGCUUUGUAGUAAACGAUGAUGACAAGUGCGUGUACUAUCGCUAUGGUGGGGCGAAGGAGUUAUUCUUUCUCUGUAUGUCGACGACAUAUUGAUCUUUGGAGCCAAACUUGAUUUAAUCAAGGAGGUUAAGGAUUUCUUAUCUUGUUGUUUUGAGAUGAAGGAUCUAGGAGUAGCUGAUGUUAUCUUAAACAUCAAGCUGUUGAGAGAUGAGAAUGGUGGGAUCACACUACUUCAGUCUCACUAUGUGGAAAAGGUCUUGAGUCAUUUUGGGUAUAGCGACUGCACACCUUCUCCAACUCCAUAUGAUGCUAGUGUGUUGCAUCGAAAGAAUCGAUGGAUUGCUAGAGAUCAACUGAGGUAUUCUCAUAUUAUUGGCCCGCUUAUGUAUUUGACGAGUGCCACGAGGCCUAACAUCUCAUUUGCUGUUAGCAAGCUGAGUCGGUUUGUGUCAAAACCGGGAGAUGAUCGUUGGCAUGCUCUUGAGAGAGUUAUGCGCUAUUUGAAAGGCACCGCGAGCUAUGGGAUUCACUACACCGGGUAUCCAAGGGUACUGGAGGGUUAUAGUGACUCAAACUGGAAGUCCUGCAAACAGACCAUCUUAACAAGGUCAAGUAUGGAAGCAGAACUCACAGCAUUAGAAACUGCCACUGUGAUAAUCAAACUAUGAUCGUCAAGAUAAACAGUUACGGACAAUAUGAAGUCCUCAAGGCAUGUGAAGAGGAGACUGAAAUCUGUCAGAAAAUUGAGGAACUCUGGAGUUAUUACGUUGGAUUAUAUCGAAACAUCGAAAAAUUUGGCAGAUCCCUUCACAGAGGGUCUAUCACGUAAUGUGAUAGAUAAUGCAUCGAUGGAGAUGGGUCUGAGACCCACCGCAUGAGUUGUCCAUAGUGGUCUAUGUGAUCGGAGAUCCCGUGAAGUAGAAGUGGGAGACAAGUUGUUGAUCAGCUGGGAGGAUAGUAUCCCUAUAUUACCUAUCCCACUCCAUGAAGAUGCAAUACUCUCCUAAUCUGCAUGGCAGGUUGACACUUAUGUUAAUGUGUUCCAAGUGGCUUAUUCGGGUAAGCAGAGAUGUUGUCCUGCAGAACAUCUUCUAAGGAACACACCUAUAUGAAUUUGACUGUUAACGUCGCAGUAUGUGAGAAUUGGGUGUUCUCUAAUAAAUUGAUGAAAAGGCCCUGGAGUAUGACGUAUACGCUCCACCCGCGGGGAAGCCUUGCGGCAGCCCAGUAUCGGUCAAGAAUUUGUGUGAAACUAGUCUCGCAGAAAAUUUGUAGUUCAAGGCGUAGUCCAAACGGAAUAUCAAACGGAGUCCAAACGGAAUGAAACCUUUGGGAACGUGAUUUUCUCAACGAACAAGACCCAGGAGACUUGGACCCUACGUCCAGACACAAAAGAGGAGGCCACGAGGUAGGGGGGCGCGCCCUCCACCCUCGUGGGGCCCCUGUUGCUGAAGGACAUAUGCCCUAGAGGCAAUAAUAAAGUUAUGAUUUAUUUCCUUAUAUCAUGAUAAAUGUUUAUUAUUCAUGCUGGAAUUGUAUUAACCGGAAACAUAAUACAUGUGUGAAUACAUAGACAAACAAAGUGUCACCAGUAUGCCUCUACUUGACUAGAUUGUUAAUCAAAGAUGGUUAUGUUUCCUAACCAUAGACAAAGAGUUGUUAUUUGAUUAACGGGAUCACAUCAUUAGUUGAAUGAUCUGAUUGACAUGACCCAUUCCAUUAGCUUAGCACCCGAUCGUUUAGUAUGUUGCUAUUGCUUUCUUCAUGACUUAUACAUGUUCGUAUGACUAUGAGAUUAUGCAACUCCCGUUUACCGAAGGAACACUUUGUGUGCUACCAAACGUCACAACGUAACUGGGUGAAUAUAAAGGAGUUCUACAGGUGUCUCCAAAGGUACAUGUUGGGUUGGCGUAUUUCGAGAUUAGGAUUUGUCACUCCGUUUGUCGGAGAGGUAUCUCUGGGCCCUCUCGGUAAUGCACAUCACAUAAUCCUUGCAAGCAUUGCAACUAAUGUGUUAGUUGUGAGAUGAUGUAUUACGGAACGAGGAAAGAGACUUGCCGGUAAUGAGAUUGAACUAGGUAUUGGAUACCGACGAUCGAAUCUCGGGCAAGUAACAUACCGAUGACAAUGGGAACAACGUAUGUAGUUAUGCGGUCUGACCGAUAAAGAUCUUCGUAGAAUAUGUAGGAGCCAAUAUGGGCAUCCAGGUCCCGCUAUUGGUUAUUGACCAUAGACGUGUCUCGGUCAAGUCUACAUUGUUCUCGAACCGUAGGGUCUGCACGCUUAAAGUUACGAUGACAAUUUCAUUAUGAGUUUAUGUAUUUUGAUGUACCGAAGGUUGUUCGGAGUCCCGGAUGUGAUCACGGACAUGACGAGGAGUCACGAAAUGGUCGAGACAUAAAGAUCGAUAUAUUGGAAGCCUAUAUUUGGACAUCGGAAUCGUUCCGGGUGAAAUCGGCAUUUUACCAGAGUACCGCGGGGUUACCGGAACCCCCGGGGGGGUUAUUGGGCCUACAUGGGCCUUGAAGAAGAGAGGAGGCAGGAGGUGGCCGCGCGCCCCUCCCCUUCCUAGUCCGAAUAGGACAAGGGAAGGGGGGUGGCGCCCCCCCUUUCCUUCCCCUCUUCCUCCUCUUUCCCCCCUUCUCCUUCUCCAACUAGGAAAGAAGGGAGUCCUACUCCCGGUGGGAGUAGGACUCCCCCUGGCGCGCCCCUCCUUGGCCGGCCGCCCCCUCCCCUUGGUUCCUUCAUAUACGGGGGCAGGGGGCACCCUAGGACACAGAAGUUGAUCUUCGUGAUCGUUCCUUAGUCGUGUGCGGUGCCCCCCUCCACGAUAUUACACCUCGAUCAUAUUGUAGCAGUGCUUAGGCGAAGCCCUGUGACGGUUAAACAUCAAGAUCGUCACCACGCCGUCGUGCUGACCAAACUCCUCCCCGAAGCUUUGCUGGAUCCGAGCCGGGGGUGCGUCAUCGAGCCGUACGUGUCUCAAGAACUCGGAGGUGCCGGAGUAAAGGUGCUUGGAUUGGUUGGACCGGGAAGACGUACGACUACUUCCUCUACGUUGCGUCAACGCUUCCGCUUCGGUCUACAAGGAUACGUAGACAACACUCUCCCCUCUUGUUGCUAUGCAUCACCAUGAACUUGCGUGUGCGUAGGAAAUUUUUUGAAAUUACUACAUUCCCCAACAGUGGCAUCCGAGCCUAGGUUUUAUGGUUUGAUGUUAUACGCACGAGUAGAACACAAGUGAGUUGUGGGCGAUAUAAGUCAUACUGCCUACCAGCAUGUCAUACUUUGGUUCGGCGGUAUUGUUGGAUGAAGUGGCCCGGACCGACAUUACGCGUACGCUUACGCGAGACUGGUUCUACCGCCGUGCUUUGCACAUAGAUGGCUGGCGGGUGUCAGUUUCUCCAACUUUAGUUGAACCGAGUGUGGCUACGCCCGGUCCUUGCGAAGGUUAAAACGGCAUCAACUUGACAAACUAUCUGUCACAGCCCUAGAAUUUGCUUGUAGCUAUUUACCCGAGUGAGCAUGAUGCAUCAUGUCUAAAUUCUGAAAGUUGAAUUGAGGUUAGUAGAAACCCUCAUAAAUCACUUCAAAAAUAAUCAACAUUAAAAUCUUUUCAAAGAAGUCCAAGAAAGUGUUCCUCUUAGUCUCUGAAAAUAUUGGCAAGAGGUAAAACUUAAAACAAUAUUUUUGGAAUCUCAGAGAUAUUUAUUUUGGGCCUUUGAAUUAAUUCAAUAACAAUUUGCAUUGGAUAUAUAUUUUAUAUAUAACUAAUAUAUGUCCAAUAAUUCUAGAACAUUUUAUGUGGUUUGUUAUAUUUUAGUUCUAGCCACAUAAUUAUUUUCAGGAUUUUAUUAAAUGGUUUAGUAUUUUUACUAAACCAAAACAAAACAGAACAAAAUAGAAAAAAACUGAAACAGAAAGCAAACAGAAAAUAGAGAGAGAGAGAGGAGCUACCUGGGCUUACCUGGCGCCCCAACUGGCCCACCUCUGUAGCAGCCCAACUGGCCAAAGCCAGCCCGGCCCAUCAGGGGCAGCACUGUCUUCUUCCUCCUGCCAGGAGGAGAAGCAGCUGCGUGCCCGAUGGCCGGCGAGCCGCGCUGGCUCCUCCCUGCCUGCGUGCCCCCCCUCGACUUCCUGGAUGCCAUGCACUCCCCCUCGCCCCCUGCACCUCUCCUCUCUCCCCCUGGACCCCAUCCCCUCCUCUGCUCCCCUCUCGCGCGCACCACCGAGCGGAGCUCGUCGUCAUCGUCGCCGUACUCGUGGCCACCGGCCACCCCUCGCCCUGCCGCUGCGCCCAAAAGCUCUGCCAUUUCGUCCUCGACCCCCUCACCGAGCCACGCCACCGCGGGAGCCCCACAUCGCGGCUACGAGUCGUCCUCCCCGAGCACGGCCGCCGGACUUCAUCGAUGAAUUCGUCGCCUUCCGGUCGUCCCCGAGCCAGCUGAGCUCCGCUUCGACCUCACCGUGAGAUCCUCUACCAAACCCCUCUCUCCCCGCCGUCUAUUUCCUCCUCUAGCCUCACUAACCACCGUGGCCGAAGCUCGCCGCCGCCGUACCUCAUCGCCGCCACGGCCAUAGCUGCCGCCACCCACGCCCGAGCUUUGCCCCAUGCUCAGCACUCUCCCAGGAGCCGGGCGCGCCCACCCAUUCGACCCGUUGUGCCCCCUAGCGCCAACCCCGACCUCGCCCGAAUUCCGGCCGCCGCAAAAGUUGCCGCCACCGUCGAUUUAGUCAACCCCGGUGCGAGGUGUUGCCACCGAUGGAUGCGCGAGUCUCCCAGCUCGCCGUAGCCACAAACCACGAGCGAAACGAUGCUCUGUAGCUCCGUCCCGAGCAUCUCCGGCGAGCCACGGCCGUGCUUUUGGUCGCCGGCGUCGACCGCUGACGUGGUCGCUUAAUUAAGUCUAAUCACCACUAAUCCCUGCCUAACAGACGCUGACUCACGGGCCCCACCUGUUAAUUAACCACAAGGUUAUACCCUGUUUAAUUUAAGCUAAUGACCGUGGCCCCACGGGUCAGUUUGACCUGGCCACGUCACCGUUGACCUGGUCCCACACGUCAGCCACAGAAACCAGCCCUGGGUCACUGACCAGUGGGCCCCACUAGUCAGGUUUGACCCGGACCAGCCCUGUUGACUUGCUUACGUCACCCUGAUGUCAUGCUGACGCAGUAAUUAAUUUCUGUUUUAUAAUAAUUCAGAAAAUUUCAGAAAAUGUCCAAAACUUCUAAAAAUCAUAGAAAUUAAACUGUAACUCCAAAUAAAAUAAAUUAUAUAUGUAAAAUUAUCAGAAAAAUUCAAGGAAUCUGUUUAUGGCAUUUUCAUGCAUGUUUGAAAAAUGUUUGACCUCUGUUUUGGACAAAACAAUAAAGGGCAUUUAAAUAAUCAUAUAUGGAGUUUGAAUUUGAAUCUUGUAUUCAAACCAACUUCAUUUAAUUGUGUUGUUAGUUGCUUUAGGUCAAUCAAUAGCAUAUUGCCAUGUCAUUAUCAUGCAUCAUAUUGUUGCAUCGCAUUGAUUGUGUCCUUCCUUGUUUGCCGGUAAUUGCCCCCUCUCAGUAGACGUUGUUUCCGACGACGUGAUCGAUGACACCGAUGAAGAGCUAUUCUAUCUUCAGAAGUGCCAGGCAAGCACAACCCCCUUGUUCAUUCCGAUACAAGCCCACUCUCUCGCUCCUGCUCUCUUUUACUGCAUUAGGACAACAAUGAUUCAUUUGUUACUUGUUGCGGUAGUUGAACCCCUUAUCCUCUGCAUGACCUAUCAUUGCCACAGUAAUUAGAUGAAACCCGCUAGCAUGAGUAGGAGUUGUUUGAGCCCUGAUGUGCCUACUCAUUCAUGCUUGUUUGUCAUGCCUGCUACUGCUUAGAGUUGAGUCAGGUCUGAUUCAUCGGGGAUGGAUCGGAGGUGUGUAAACAUGUCCUAUUGUGUGUGAGCUAAGUGUGUGAACACGUUUUGGUAAAGGUAGCGGUGACAGGCCAUGUAGGAGUACAUGGUGGGUUGUCUCAUUGAAACCGUCCACAGGAACUAAGUUCUGUGUUUGUGAUCCAUGAAACAGCUGCUACCACACGUUGGGCCCCGAAAUAUGACCCCGCUCGACUUACUGACCCCUCUCUUCCUCUGUCCAGGAGUUGCAAUUAGUUUCUGGUGUUUAUAGGAUAUGUGUUGGCGGCCGUGUGUAGCGCUGACCCUAGGGGUGGGCUAUGAUGCGGUAGAUACACUGUGGCCCGGUGUACCGGGCGCCCGUUUGGUGUCUCUGGAACCCUGCACACAUCGUUUGGGGCUGUGAGCGAAACUCCGUCCGGAUCUCCUCGCGGAUGGAACCCGAAUAGGCGAUAAACCUGGACUAGAGACUUGUGUGGUUAGUCAGGUCGUGGUCUACACCCACGUCGGCUUUCGCUUGAAGUCUGCCGAGCACAUGUCGUGUGCAGACGCUAAGUGGUGGAAACAUGUGUGACGAAGUACACCCCCGCAGGGUUAUAAAUGAUCUAUUCGAAUAGCCGUGUCCGCGGUAAAGGACUUCUGGGUUGCCUAUAACAGUUCAUAGACAAGUGAAAGUGGAUACUCUAAAAACUCGCAAGAUAAGUGUGAGUGCUACGGAUGGCCUUCUCGUAGGGAGACGAGAGCGGAUCCAUAGUGGUCUAUUGAAUGGUGAAUAUGUGGACUCGUGUGCGCCACCUUAAAAGAGUUGCUUGCCAUCGUAGUUCAGGUUAGCCCCGGAAUCAAAGCUGGCUUGCUGCCGUUAAACUCCACCCCCCUUUGAUGAUACCGAUGCAUAUGUAGUUUAGAUCUGAUGUAAGUAUUGCUGAGUACCUUUGUACUCACGUUUGCUUAAUUUAUGUUUUGCAGAGAGACUUCAGUCUCGCUAGUAGUUCCGCGUGGACUUCGACGUUUAGCUUGAUACCUCAGCUACGAUCUUGUGCCCUCGACAGGAUCUGGUAGAUAGUCAGGCUUCUUAGCCUUUUUCAUUUAUAGAUGUCUGUACUCAGACAUGUUAAGCUUCCGCAUGUGCUUUGCAUUGUAUGCUAUGAUUGUCGGGUCAUGAGACCCAUGCUUGUAAUAUCUAGCUCUUCGGAGCCUAAUGAAUUAAUACUUGAGUCGUAGAGUCUUGUUUUGAUGCCAUGUUGUAUUUACACAUAUCGAGCAUAUUGUGUGUAUGAUUGAAAUGCUUGGUAUGUGUAGGAUCCAACAACCUAGUUGUUUAUCCUUCGCAGCCUUUCUUAUGGGGAAAUGUAGUCUAGUGUUCCUCGAGCCAUAGUAGUCCGCUACAGCCCGGUUCACCGGAGUCCUGCUAGCCCAGCACUACUGUUCAGGACACUUGACUGGCCGGCAUGUGUUUCACUUCAUCCCUAUGUCUGUCCCUUCGGGGAAAUGUCACGCGGUGAUUUCCGGAGUCCUGCCUAGCCUGCUACAGCCCGGGAUCCCCGGAGUCCUGUUAGCCCAGUGCCACAGCCCGGAAUAACUCAUUGAUGACCGACAUGUUCGAUGUGAUUCAUGUAUGCCUGUCUCCAUAGGUCUGUGCCACUUUGGGUUCACGACUAGCCAUGUCGGCCCGGGUUCUUUGUCAUAUGGAUGCUAGCGACACUAUCAUAUACGUGAGCCAAAAGGCGCAAACGGUCCCGGGCCAGGUAAGGUGGCACCCGUGGGAAUACCGUGCGUGAGGCCACAAAGUGAUAUGAUGUGUUACAUGCUAGAUCGGUGUGACCUAGGAUCGGGGUCCUGAUAGCGUUGGUAUCAGAGCCUGACUGCCUGUAGGAUUACCAAGCCAAACUGGUCGAAGUUGAGUCUAGAAAUGCUUUAGUUAUGUAAGGGAAUUGAUUGCGGAAGGGAACGUAAGGCUCUUUUUAUUCCUUAUACCUCAUGCCCUUGUGAUCUGAGUCAUCCUCUUCCUUUCUAUGGGGAUUAAGAACUAGGCUUUCUUAUCUAUCUAUCAGGAUGACGUGUUACUAACCCGUUGACUUAUAGGAUUGAUGGAUUCAUGCUGCAGUUCAGUUCCUACUACUUCCAUAUAUUCAUAACUGGCCGCAGAACCUUGAUAUUAUGAUUCGAGUGGUUAUGCCACCAUUUUUGCAGGAUGUCUCAAAUCUUUUCGAGCAUUUACAGCCGUUAUGCUGUCCGAGUCAUCCCAGGUUUCUAAAUAGUCUGAUGCAUUUGCAAACCUUUUCCCCUGUUCCUGAUGUCCAUUUAGGCCAGGUUAAUCACACUAAUUGUGAGUUGGCGUAUUCUUUUGCCUGGACAUAUAUUUUGGAAUUAUUAUUAUGACCCUAGAUGUCUUAGAGUGCCACCUAGUAAUCGAACCAUGUUUUGCGUUUCUAGUGUGAUGAUUCUGGCCGUUAUUCUUGAAAGCAUCCCGUGAUGCCAUUUAGUUAGUAGGCAUUCUAUUCCUGGGUUUUGAACCCGAGACCCACCCUACCUGCUUCAUGUUGAUAGUGUUUGCUAGUUCCUUAGGACAUUAGUAAACCUUGUGAUAGACCUCGAGGUCCGUGGUAUUUCCUUCUUCCAAUUAUCAUGAACCAUUCAUGGCAGGAGUUCUUUUGAACCAAAAGGUCACGACAGAGUGCUCUUGAUGAGUUCUCCAUUCUAUAUUGUGGCUCUGCCAGUUCUACCUUUCUGCAUGGGUUAUCCGGAAGAAAUAUGUUGAACUCGUUCGACAUACUAACCUAUGCAUCCACAACUCAGAAAGUUAUAUGUUCCUUGAGUUGUUCCUCUUCAGUUGUAUUCCGACCAUCCUCUAUCAGUAGAUAGCCAAGAGUAUGUGUGCAUUUGUGUUCAUCGGUGCCUCUUAUUCUUGUGGUUCGUCGAGCCGUUCUAUUUUAGAAUGACUAGGAGAAACAAACUCCAGUACCUCAUCCAUAUCUAGGGUUGGGUCAAAAUAGUUGUAUUCCGCAGAUCAAAAUGCAACCCAGCUUUUGGUUCUGUUCUACCCUGAAGUAUUACCCACCUUAUGUCAAGAGCGACGUGAGAAUUGCACCUUCUCCUAUGAAUUCUUGACGCAGUGAUACUUCUUGCCAUCAUUGUUCAUUCCUCGGUUCCUGUGUUAUUGUAACCAGAAUGCCGGCACGUGAGUCGUUAUGUGUGAAAUCAAUACUCCUAGCAACUAUGCUGCUUGGUAGUUAAUGGACAAUAUUCUCAUUCUUAGCGUGUUGGUUAUUGAAUUAUCAUUCUAAGACUGAUCGUGCUACCUAGUCCAUAUUUCUGGUGCACACUUCGAUCAAUGGGUUAGGACUGUGCCAAUCCCUCACUCUUUGAUCAUAUCAUCUUGCCCUGAAAAGCAAGGUUGUUCUCGAGCUUAGUAACAUACCGGUGGUUCGUGAUUUUCCGAAUAUCUUCUCAGAAGUGUUACUAGGUUGUCACCUGACCGUUAUGUUGAGUUCAUGAUCAAGAUGGUUUUUCAAUAAACCACUUUUCCCUAAGAAUCUGUGUUGGAUACCCCUGAGCUAGUUGGUUAAGCUUAACAACAACUUGGAGAGUUGGAAGAUGAAAACUUGUCCGACUUAGCUCAUCCCUAAGGGAUAUCCUUGUGUGUGUGGGUGUUGAAGAAAGAUGAUAUAUUCACCAAUUGGUCCUCAUGAUCAGUUGUUGUAUCUAUUAUCUUGUCCAAACCUUGAUUUGAGUGUGGGCUAUCGUCAAAUCAAAUCAGAACCAACGAUGUUCAUAAUGUUGUCUUACUUACGGUUGUCCCUCGAGCAUACACCAUUAUAUAUUUGGUUUGACCAAUACUAUCACAUUGUUCACAUAGUGGUGGAAGUCCAGUGAUAUGGAAAUACCGAUGCGUUGUUGUUGAUCCCAUCAGCAGCCUUUUGUCUCCCCCAUGAGUCAUGUUGAAUGCUACACUAGUAUUGGAAACUUAUAAGCAUUAUCUUUGUGUUUCGUUCAUGAAGCAUAUGUUUGGAUGAAAGAAGUGACUUCCUCUAAUUCAUGUGCACUCGAUGUAAGUUGCCACCAUGAAUUGAGCAAGGUUUGUUUUGUUUCCCUUGGAAUCAUCCCAAAUCAGUCAUGCAUAUGUGCGAAGUAUUCUAUGGUUUGGUAGAUUAAUUACCUCCACUCCAUAUGUGUUCCUAGCACACCAAGCCACUGGUUGAUUUGUUCAAGGAGAAGAAGUUCCUUCUUAAGAAUCAUGACUUAUGUUAGGACUUUGUUAUCCUCGAUAAUGGUUCCCCACCUGAACUCGGUAGUGUUUUAUUAUAAGACUACCAUGUGGUCAUGCUUUUCUGGGACAGCGUGUUCACAUGUGUUUAGCAGAACCAGCUCAUGCUUUGGAGCUUACUACCGUAGUUCAUUCCCCGAGAAUCUCGCAAUGUCGUCUCGUCGAUUUGUGUUGCAAACCUUCAUUUUCCUUUCUAGACUCGAUGAGUCUGGAAUAUCCCGUCACCAACCAGAUCUGAAUCUCAGGCAGAUAUGAUGGUUGGAGCAUUUUCCAAGAACUAUAAUAUUGGUCUCCCGAUAACCGGUAAAGUGGAUGUCGUGGCCAACACAUCCAGCCGGGCGACCUAUUAUUGUAGUAUCUUGAUUGAAGAAAGUUGGCCACCUUCCCAUGAGGAUUUCAUAGGAUUUACUCCAGAAGUUGUUCCUUAUGGAUCUAUUGUAUUCCGAAGUCCGACCACUACUUGGUGGCUAUGCCGAUGCUUAAAGCAUGACCGUGGUUGCCCCCUCUCAGUAGACGUUGUUUCCGACGACGUGAUCGAUGACACCGAUGAAGAGCUAUUCUAUCUUCAGAAGUGCCAGGCAAGCACAACCCCCUUGUUCAUUCCGAUACAAGCCCACUCUCUCGCUCCAGCUCUCUUUUACUGCAUUAGGACAACAACGAUUCAUCUGUUACUUGUUGCGGUAGUUGAACCCCUUAUCCUCUGCAUGACCUGUCAUUGCCACAGUAAUUAGAUGAAACCCACUAGCAUGAGUAGGAGUUGUUUGAGCCCUGAUGUGCCUACUCAUUCAUGCUUGUUUGUCAUGCCUGCUACUGCUUAGAGUUGAGUCAGGUCUGAUUCAUCGGGGAUGGAUCGGAGGUGUGUAAACAUGUCCUAUUGUGUGUGAGCUAAGUGUGUGAACACGUUUUGGUAAAGGUAGCGGUGAGAGGCCAUGUAGGAGUACAUGGUGGGUUGUCUCAUUGAAACCGUCCUCAGGAACUGAGUUCUGUGUUUGUGAUCCAUGAAAUAGCUACUACGACACGUUGGCCCUGAAAUAUGACCCCGCUCGACUUACUGACCCCUCUCGUCCUCUGUCCAGGAGUUGCAAUUAGUUUCUGGUGUUUAUAGGAUAUGUGUUGGCGGCCGUGCGUAGCGCUGACCCUAGGGGUGGGCUAUGAUGCGGUAGAUACACCGUGGCCCGGUGUACCGGGCGCCCGUUUGGUGUCUCGGGAACCCUGCACACAUCGUUUGGGGCUGUGAGCGAAACUCCGGCCGGAUCUCCUCGCGGAUGGAACCCGAAUAGGCAAUAAACCUGGACUAGAGACUUGUGUGGUUAGUCAGGUCGUGGUCUACACCCAUGUCGGCUUUCGCUUGAAGUCUGCCGAGCACAUGUCGUGUGCAGACGCUAAGUGGUGGAAACAUGUGUGACGAAGUACACCCCUACAGGGUUAUAAAUGAUCUAUUCGAAUAGCCGUGUCCGCGGUAAAGGACUUCUGGGUUGCCUAUAACAGUUCAUAGACAAGUGAAAGUGGAUACUCUAAAAACUCGCAAGAUAAGUGUGAGUGCUAUGGAUGGCCUUCUCGUAGGGAGACGAGAGCGGAUCCAUAGUGGUGUAUUGAAUGGUGAAUAUGUGGACUCGUGUGCGCCACCUCAAAAGAGUUGCUUUCAAUCGUAUUUCAGGUUAGCCCCGGAGUCAAAGCUGGCUUGCUGUAGUUAAACUCCACCCCCCCCCUUUGAUGAUACCGAUGCAUAUGUAGUUUAGAUCUGAUGUAAGUCUUGCUGAGUACCUUUGUACUCACGUUUGCUUAAUUUAUGUUUUGUAGAGAGACUUCAGUCUCGCUAGUAGUUCCGCGUGGACCUCGAGGUUUAGCUUGAUACCUCAGCUACGAUCUUGUGCCCUCGACAGGAUCUGGUAGAUAGUCAGGCUUCUUAGCCUUUUUCAUUUAUAGAUGUCUGUACUCAGACAUGUUAAGCUUCCGCAUGUGCUUUGGAUUGUAUGCUAUGAUUGUUGGGUCAUGAGACCCAUGCUUGUAAUAUCUGGCUCUUCAGAGCCUAAUGAAUUAAUACUUGAGUCGUAGAGUCUUGUUGUGAUGCCAUGUUGUAUUUACACAUAUCGACCAUAUUGUGUGUAUGAUUGAAAUGCUUGGUAUGUGUAGGAUCCGACAACCUAGUUGUUUAUCCCUCGCAACCUUUCUUAUGGGGAAAUGUAGUCUAGUGUUCCUUGAGCCAUAGUAGUCCGCUAUAGCCCGGUUCACCGGAGUCCUACUAGCCCAGCACUACUGUUCAGGACACUUGACUGGCCGGCAUGUGUUUCACUUCGUCCCUAUGUCUGUCCCUUCGGGGAAAUGUCACGCGGUGAUUUCCGGUGUCCUGCCUAGCCUCCUACAGCCCGGGAUCCCCGGAGUCCUGUUAGCCCAGUGCCACAGCCCGGAAUCACUCGUUGAUGACCGACAUGUUCGAUGUGAUUCAUGUAUGCCUGUCUCCAUAGGUCUGUGCCGCUUUGGGUUCACGACAAGCCAUGUCGGCCCAGGUUCUUUGUCAUAUGGAUGCUAGCGACACUAUCAUAUACGUGAGCCAAAAGGCGCAAACGGUCCCGGGCCAGUUAAGGUGGCACCCGUGGGAAUACCGCGCGUGAGGCCACAAAGUGAUAUGAUGUGUUACAUGCUAGAUUGGUGUAACCUAGGAUCGGGGUCCUGACACUAUCGUUGUGGUUUUGAUGCGUAGGUAAGAUUGGUUCUUGCUUAAGCCCGUAGCAGCCACGUAAAACUUGCAACAAACAAAGUAGAGGACGUCUAACUUGUUUUUGUAGGGCAUGUUGUGAUGUGAUAUGGUCAAGACAUGAUGCUAAAUUUUAUUGUAUGAGAUGAUCAUGUUUUGUAACUGAGUUAUCGGCAAUUGGCAGGAGCCAUAUGGUUGUCGCUUUAUUGUAUGCAAUGCAAUCGCCCUGUAAUGCUUUACUUUAUCACUAAGCGGCCGGUAGCGAUAGUCGUAGAAGCAUAAGAUUGGCGAGACGACAACGAUGCUACGAUGGAGAUCAAGGUGUCGCGCCGGUGACGAUGGUGAUCAUGACGGUGCUUCAGAGAUGGAGAUCACAAGCACAAGAUGAUGAUGGCCAUAUCAUAUCACUUAUAUUGAUUGCAUGUGAUGUUUAUCUUUUAUGCAUCUUAUCUUGCUUUGAUUGACGAUAGCAUUAUAAGAUGAUCUCUCACUAAAUUAUCAAGAAGUGUUCUCCCUAUGUAUGCACCGUUGCUAAAGUUCGUCGUGCCCAGACACCACGUGAUGAUCGAGUGUGAUAAGCUCUACGUCCAUCUACAACGGGUGCAAGCCAAUUUUGCACACGCAGAAUACUUGGGUUAAACUUGACGAGCCUAGCAUAUGCAGAUAUGGCCUCGGAACACGGAGACUGAAAGGUCGAGCGUGAAUCAUAUAGUAGAUAUGAUCAACAUAAUGAUGUUCACCAUUGAAAACUAAUCCAUUUCACGUGAUGAUCGGUUAUGGUUUAGUUGAUUUGGAUCACGUGAUCACUUAGAGGAUUAGAGGGAUGUCUAUCUAAGUGGGAGUUCUUAAGUAAUAUGAUUAAUUGAACUUCAAUUUAUCAUGAACUUAGUCCCUGAUAGUAUCUUGCUUGUUUAUGUUGAUUGUAGAUAGAUGGCCCGUGCUGUUGUUCCAUUAAAUUUUAAUGCGUUCCUUGAGAAAGCAAAGUUGAAAGAUGAUGGUAGCAAUUACACGGACUUGGUCCAUAACUUGAGGAUUAUCCUCAUUGCUGCACAGAAGAGUUACGUCCUGGAAGCACCGCUGGGUGCCAGGCCUGCUGCUGAUGCAACUGACGACGUUAAGAACGUCUGGCAGAGCAAAGCUGAUGACUACUCGAUAGUUCAAUGUGCCAUGCUUUACGGCUUAGAACCGGGACUUCAACGGCGUUUUGAACAUCAUGGGGCAUAUAAGAUGUUCCAGGUGUUGAAGUUAAUAUUCCAGCAGAAUGCCCGGAUUGAGAGAUAUGAAGUCUCCAAUAAAUUCUAUAGCUGCAAGAUGGAGGAGAAUAGUUCUGUCAGUGAGCAUAUACUCAAGAUGUCUGGGUAUUGUAAUCACUUGAUUCAACUGGGAGUUAAUCUUCCGGAUGAUAGCGUCAUUGACAGAAUUCUCCAAUCACUUCCACCAAGCUACAAGAGCUUCGGGAUGAACUAUAAUAUGCAAGGGAUGGAUAAGACAAUUCCCGAGCUCUUCGCAAUGCUAAAGGUUGCGGAGGUAGAAAUCAAGAAGGAGCAUCAAGUGUUGAUGGUCAACAAGACCACUUGUUUCAAGAAAAAGGGCAAAGGGAAGAAGAAGGGGAACUUCAAGAAGAACAGCAAGCAAGUUGCUGCUCAGGAGAAGAAACCCAAGUCUGGACCUAAGCCUGAAACCGAGUGCUUCUACUACAAGCAGACUGGUCACUUGAAGCGGAACUGCCCCAAGUAUUUGGCGGAUAAGAAGGAUGGCAAAGUGAACAAAGGUAUAUGUGAUAUAGAUGUUAUUGAUGUGUACCUUACUAGAGCUCGCAGUAGCACCUGGGUAUUUGAUACUGGUUCUGUUGCUAAUAUUUGCAACUCGAAACAGGGACUACGGAUUAAGCGAACACUGGCAAAGGACGAGGUGACGAUGCGCAUGGGAAAUGGUUCCAAAGUCGAUGUGAUCGCGGUCGGCAUGCUACCUCUACAUCUACCUUCGGGAUUAGUAUUAGACCUAAAUAAUUGUUAUUUGGUGCCAGUGUUGAGCAUGAACAUUAUAUCUAGAUCUUGUUUAAUGCGAGACGGUUAUUCAUUUAAAUCAGAGAAUAAUGGUUGUUCUAGUUAUAUGAGUAAUAUCUUUUAUGGUCAUGCACCCUUGAAGAGUGGUCUAUUUUUGAUGAAUCUCGAUAGUAGUGAUACACAUAUUCAUAAUGUUGAAGCCAAAAGAUGCAGAGUUGAUAAUGAUUGUGCAACUUAUUUGUGGCACUGCCAUUUAGGUCAUAUCGGUGUAAAGCGCAUGAAGAAACUCCAUACUGAUGGACUUUUGGAACCACUUGAUUAUGAAUCACUUGGUACUUGCGAACCGUGCCUCAUGGGCAAGAUGACUAAAGCACCAUUCUCCGGUACUAUGGAGAGAGCAACAGAUUUGUUGGAAAUCAUACAUACAGAUGUAUGUGGUCCGAUGAAUGUUGAGGCUCGUGGCGGAUAUCAUUAUUUUCUCACCUUCACAGAUGAUUUAAGCAGAUAUGGGUAUAUCUACUUAAUGAAACAUAAGUCUGAAACAUUUGAAAAGUUCAAAGAAUUUCAGAGUGAAGUGGAAAAUCAUCGUAACAAGAAAAUAAAGUUUCUACGAUCUGAUCGUGGAGGAGAAUAUUUGAGUUACGAGUUUGGUGUACAUUUGAAACAAUGCGGAAUAGUUUCGCAACUCACGCCACCCAGAACACCACAACGUAAUGGUGUGUCCGAACGUCGUAAUCUUACUUUACUAGAUAUGGUGCAAUCUAUGAUGUCUCUUACAGAUUUACCGCUAUCGUUUUGGGGUUAUGCUUUAGAGACGGCCACAUUCACGUUAAGUAGGGCACCAUCAAAAUCCGUUGAGACGACAACUUAUGAACUGUGGUUUGGCAAGAAACCAAAGUUGUCAUUUCUUAAAGUUUGGGGCUGCGAUGCUUAUGUGAAAAAGCUUCAACCUGAUAAGCUCGAACGAUAAUCGGAGAAAUGUGUCUUCAUAGGAUACCCAAAGGAAACUGUUGGUUACACCUUCUAUCAUAGAUCCGAAGGCAAGACAUUCGUUGCUAAAAAUGGAUCCUUUCUAGAGAAGGAGUUUCUCUCGAAAGAAGUGAGUGGGAGGAAAGUAGAACUUGAUGAGGUAACUAUACCUGCUCCCUUAUUGGAAAGUAGUUCAUCACAGAAACCGGUUUCUGCGACACCUACACCAAUUAGUGAUGAAUUUAAUGAUGAUGAUCAUGAAAUUUCAGAUCAAGUUACUACUGAGCCUCGUAGAUCAACCAGAGUAAGAUCCGCACCAGAGUGGUACGGUAAUCCUGUUCUAGAAGUCAUGCUACUAGAUCAUGAUGAACCUACGAACUAUGAAGAAGCGAUGGUGAGCCCAGAUUCCGCAAAAUGGCUUGAAGCCAUGAAAUCUGAGAUGGGAUCCAUGUAUGAUAACAAAGUAUGGACUUUGGUUGACUUGCCCGAUGAUCGGCAAGCAAUUGAGAACAAAUGGAUCUUUAAGAAGAAGACUGACGUGACGGUAAUGUUACUGUCUACAAAGCUCGACUUGUCGCAAAAGGUUUUCAACAAGUUGAAGGGAUUGACUACGAUGAGACCUUCUCACCCGUAGCGAUGCUUAAGUCUAUCCGAAUCAUGUUAGCAAUUGCCGCAUUUUAUGAUUAUGAAAUUUGGCAGAUGGAUCUAAAAACUGCAUUCCUGAAUGGAUUUCUGGAAGAAGAGUUGUAUAUGAUGCAACCAGAAGGUUUUAUCGAUCCAAAGGGAACUAACAAAGUGUGCAAGCUCCAGCGAUCCAUUUAUGGACUGGUGCAAGCCUCUCGGAGUUGGAAUAAACUCUUUGAUAGUGUGAUCAAAGCAUUUGGGUUUGUAUAGACUUUUGGAGAAGCCUGUAUUUACAAGAAAGUGAGUGGGAGCUCUAUAGCAUUUCUGAUAUUAUAUGUGGAUGACAUAUUACUAAUCGGAAAUGAUAUAGAAUUUCUGGAUAGCAUAAAGGGAUACUUGAAUAAGAGUUUUUCAAUGAAAGACCUCGGUGAAGCUGCUUACAUAUUGGGCAUUAAGAUCUAUAGAGAUAGAUCAAGACGCUUAAUUGGACUUUCACAAAACACAUACCUUGACAAAGUUUUGAAGAGGUUCAAAAUGGAUCAAGCAAAGAAAGGGUUCUUGCCUGUGUUACAAGGUGUGAAGUUGAGUAAGAAUCAAUGCUCGACCACUUCAGAAGAUAGAGAGAAAAUGAAAGAUGUUCCCUAUGCUUCAGCAGUAGGCUCUAUCAUGUAUGCAAUGCUGUGUACCAGACCUGAUGUGUGCCUUGCUAUAAGUUUAGCAGGGAGGUACCAAAGUAAUCCAGCAGUGGAUCACUGGACGGCGGUCAAGAACAUCCUGAAGUACCUAAAAAGGACUAAGGAUAUGUUUCUCGUAUAUGGAGGUGACAAAGAGCUCAUUGUAAACAGUUACGUUGAUGCAAGCUUUGACACUGAUCCGGACAAUUCUAAAUCGCAAACCAGAUACGUGUUUACAUUAAACGGUGGAGCUGUCAGUUGGUGCAGUUCUAAACAAAGCGUCGUGGCAGGAUCUACAUGUGAAGCGGAGUACAUAGCUGCUUCGGAAGCAGCAAACGAAGGAGUCUGGAUGAAGGAGUUCAUAUCCGAUCUAGGUGUCAUACCUAGUGCAUCGGGUCCAAUGAAAACCUUUUGUGACAAUACUAGUGCAAUUGCCUUGGCAAAGGAAUCCAUAUUUCACAAAAGAACCAAGCACAUCAAGAGACGCUUCAAUUCCAUCCGAGAUCUAGUCCAGGUGGGAGAGAUAGAGAUUUGCAAGAUACAUACGGAUCUGAAUGUAGAAGACCCAUUGACUAAGCCUCUUCCACGAGCAAAACAUGAUCAUCACCAAGGCUCCAUGGGUGUCAGAAUCAUUACUGUGUAAUCUAGAUUAUUGACUCUAGUGCAAGUGGGAGACUGAAGGAAAUAUGCCCUAGAGGCAAUAAUAAAGUUAUUAUUUAUUUCCUUAUAUCAUGAUGAAUGUUUAUUAUUCAUGCUGGAAUUGUAUUAACCGGAAACAUAAUACAUGUGUGAAUACAUAGACAAACAAAGUGUCACUAGUAUGCCUCUACUUGACUAGCUCGUUAAUCAAAGAUGGUUAUGUUUCCUAACCAUAGACAAAGAGUUUUUAUUUGAUUAAUAGGAUCACAUCAUUAGUUGAAUGAUAUGAUUGACAUGACCCAUUCCAUUAGCUUAGCACCCGAUCAUUCUUCAUGACUUAUACAUGUUCCUAUGACUAUGAGAUGAUGCAACUUCCGUUUACUGGAGGAACACUUUGUGUGCUACCAAACGUCACAACGUAACUGGGUGAUUAUAAAGGAGCCCUAUAGGUGUCUCCAAAGGUACAUAUUGGGUUGGCGUAUUUCGAGAUUAGGAUUUGUCACUCCGUUUGUCGGAGAGGUAUCUCUGGGCCCUCUCGGUAAUGCACAUCACAUAAGCCUUGCAAGCAUUGCAACUACUGUGUUACUUGUGAGACGAUGUAUUACGGAACGAGUAAAGAGACUUGCCGGUAAAGAGAUUGAACUAGGUAUUGGAUACCGACGAUCGAAUCUCGGGCAGGUAACAUAUCGAUGACAAAGGGAACAACGUAUGUAGUUAUGCGGUCUCAACGAUAAAGAUCUUCGUAGAAUAUGUAGGAUCCAAUAUGGGCAUCCAGGUCCUGCUAUUGGUUAUUGACCGGAAACGUGUCUCGGUCAUGUCUACAUUGUUCUCGAACCGUAGGGUCCGCACGCUUAAAGUUACGAUGACAGUUUCAUUAUGAGUUUAUGUAUUUUGAUGUACCGAAGGUUGUUCGGAGUCCCGGAUGUGAUCACGGACAUGACGAGGAGUCUCGGAAUGGUCGAGACAUAAAGAUCGAUAUAUUGGAAGCCUAUAUUUGGACAUCGGAAUCGUUUUGGGUGAAAUCGGCAUUAUACCGGAGUACCGGGGGGUUACCGGAACCCCCCGGGGGGUUAUUGGGCCUACAUGGGCCUUGAGGAAGAAGAGAGAAGGAGGUAGGAGGUGGCCGCGCGCCCCUCCCCUUCCUAGUAUGAAUAGGACAAGGGAAGGGGGCGGUGCCCCCCCCUUUCCUUCCCCUCUUCCUCCUCUUUCCUCCCUUCUCCUUCUCCAACUAGGAAAGAAGGGAGUCCUACUCCCGGUGGGAGUAGGACUCCCCCCUGGUGCGCCCCUCCUUGGCCGGCCGCCCCCUCCCCUUGGCUCCUUUAUAUACGGGGGCAGGGGGGCACCCUAGGACACAGAAGUUGACCUUCGUGAUCGUUCCUUAGCCGUGUGCGGUGCCCCCCUCCACGAUAUUACACCUCGAUCAUAUUGUAGUAGUGCUUAGGCGAAGCCCUGCGACGGUUAAACAUCAAGAUCGUCACCACGCCGUCGUGCUGACGAAACUCCUCCCCGAAGCUUUGCUGGAUCGGAGCUCGGGGUGCAUCAUCGAGCUGUACGUGUGUCAAGAACUCGGAGGUGCUGGAGUAACGGUGCUUGGAUUGGUUGGACCGGGAAGACGUACGACUACUUCCUCUACGUUGCGUCAACGCUUCCGCUUCGGUCUACGAGGGUACGUAGACAACACUCUCCCCUCUCGUUGCUAUGCAUCACCAUGAUCUUGCGUGUGCGUAGGAAAUUUUUUGAAAUUACUACAUUCCCCAACAGUUGCUCCACCGACGUACUCCUUCCUCCUAUAUAUACCUGCGUACCCCCAAACGACCAGAUACGGAGCCAAAACCCUAAUUCCACCACCGCAACUUUCUGUAUCCACGAGAUCCCAUCUUGGCGCCUGUUCCGGAGCUCCACCGGAGAGGGCAUCGAUCACGGAGGGCUUCCACAUGAACAGCAUAGCCUCUCCGAUGAAGUGUGAGUAGUUGACCUCAGACCUACAGUCCAUAGUUAUUACCUAGAUGGCUUCUCCUCUCUUUUUGGAUCUCAAUACAAUGUUCUCCCCUCUCUUGUGGAGAACUAUUCGAUGUAAUCUUCUUUUUGCGGUGUGUUUAUUGAGACCGAUGAAUUGUGGGUUGAUGAUCAAGUCUAUCUAUGAAUAAUAUUUGAAUCUUCUCUGAAUUCUUUUAUGUAUGAUUGUUUAUCUUUGCGAGUCUCUUCGAACUAUUAGUUUGGUUUGGCCUACUAGAUUGAUCUUUCUUACAAUGGGAGAAGUGCUUAGCUUUAGGUUCAAUCUUGCGGUGUCCUUUCCCAGUGACAGUAGGGGCAGCAAGGCAUGUAUUGUAUUUUUGCCAUCGAGGACAACAAGAUGGGGUUUUCAUCAUAUUGCAUUAGUUUAUCCCUCUACAUCAUGUCAUCUAGCUUAAGGCGUUACUCUGUUUUUAACUUAAUACUCUAGAAGCAUGCUGGAUAGCGGUCGAUGAGUGGAGUAAUAGUAGUAGAUGCAGGCAGAAGUCGGUCUACUUGUCUCGGACGUGAUGCCUAUAUACAUGAUCAUACCUAGAUAUUCUCAUAAAUAUGCUCAAUUCUGUCAAUUGCUCAACAGUAAUUUGUUCACCCACCAUAGAAUAAUUAUGCUCUCGAGAGAAGCUACUAGUGAAACCUAUGGCCUCGGGAUCUAUGUUUAUCAUAUUAAUCUUCUACUACUUAGUUAUUUCCUUUGCCUUUAUUUUACUUUUCAUUUUUAUCAAAAAAAAUACCAAACAUAUUAUCUUUAUCAUAUCUAUUAGAUCUCACUCUCGUAAGUGGCCGUGUAGGGAUUGACAACCCCUAUUCGUGUUGGUUCCGAGGAUUUAUUUGUUUUGUGCAAGUACGAGGGACUCGCACGUAGCCUCCUACUGGAUUGAUACCUUGGUUCUCAAAAACUGAGGGAAAUACUUAUGCUACUUUGCUGCAUCAUCCCUUCCUCUUCGGGGAAAACCAACGCAGUGCUCAAGAGGUAGCAAGAAGGAUUUCUGGUGCCGUUGCCGGGGAGGUCUACGCAAAAGUCAACAUACCAAGUACCCAUCACAUACCCUUAUCUCCCGCAUUACAUUAUUUGCCAUUUGCCUCUCGUUUUCACCUCCCCCACUUCACCCUUGCCGUUUUAUUCGCCGUCUCUCUCUAUCCUCCCUCUCUUUCUCUAUUUGCCUCUUUUUUCCCGCUUGCUUUCUGUUUGCUUGUGUGUUAGUUGCUUGCUUGUCAUGAUGGCUCAAGAUAAUACUAAAUUAUGUGACUUCACGAUGGCUAAAGCUUGGUUUUCAUCUUUGCCUAAAAAUAGUAAUGAUUCAUGGAAUAAGUGCAAAGAUGCUUUUUUCUCUAAGUAUUUUCCUCCUGCUAAGAUCAUCUCUCUUAGAAACGAUAUUAUGAAUUUUAAGCAACUUGAUCAUGAACAUGUUGCACAAGCUUGGGAGAGAAUGAAACUAAUGGUACAUAAUUGCGCUGCCCAUGGUUUAAAUUUGUGGAUGAUUAUACAAAUAUUUUAUGCCGGAUUGAAUUUUGCUUCAAGAAAUCUUUUAGAUUUGGCCGCGGGAGGCACUUUUAUGGAAAUCACUUUAGGAGAAGCUACUAAACUCAUAGAUAAUAUUAUGGUGAAUUAUGCUCAACGGCAUACUGAAAGAUCUACUAAUAAAAAGGUGCAUGCGAUAGAAGAAAUUAAUGUUUUGAGUGGAAAGAUGGAUGAACUUAUGAAAUUAUUUGCUAAUAAGAGUGUUUCUUCUAAUCCUAAUGAUAUGCCCUUGUCUAGUUUGAUUCAGAAUAAUAACGAAUCUAUGGAUGUGGAUUUUGUUGGUAGGAACAAUUUUGGUAACAACGCGUAUAGAGGAAAUUUCAACCCUAGGCCUUAUCCUAGUAAUCUCUCUAAUAAUUAUGGUAAUUCCGACAACAAUUCUUAUGGAAAUUAUAAUAAGAUGCCCUCUGAUUUUGAAUCUAAUAUUAAAGAAUUUAUUACUUCGCAAAAGAAUUUCAAUGCUUUGAUUGAAGAAAAAUUGCUUAAGAUUGAUGAUUUGGCUAGGAACGUUGAUAGAAUUACUCUUGAUGUUGAUUCUUUGAAACUUAGAUCUAUUCCACCUAAGAAUGAUGUCAAUGAGUCUCUCAAAGCCAUGAGAAUUUCCAUUGAUGAGUGCAAAGAAAGAACCGCUAGGAUGCGUGCUAAGAAAGAUGCCUUUAUAAUAGCGUGUUCUUCUAGUUCCUAUGAAAAUAAUGAUGAAGAUCUAAAAGUUAUUGAUGUGUUCCCUAUUAAAUCUUUGUUUUGCAAUAUGAAUCUUGAUAGUGAUGGGACUGAAUAUGAUCCACCUUUACCUAGAAGGCGUUCCAAGAAUUCAGAAUUUGUUGAUCUUGAUGCUAAAAUUGAUAAAGGAGGGAUUGAAGAAAUUAAAACCCUAGAUGUUGCUAAACCCACUAUUAUGGAUUUCAAGGACUUUAACUAUGAAAAUUGCUCUUUGAUUGAUUGUAUAUCCUUUUUACAAUCCGUGCUAAAUUCUCCUCAUGCUUAUAGUCAAAAUAAAUCGUUUACUAAACAUAUCGUUGAUACCUUGAUGCAAUCUUAUGAAGAAAAACUUGAAUUGGAAGUUUCUUUCCCUAGAAAGCUUUAUGAUGAGUGGGAACCAACUAUUAAAAUUAAAAUUAAAUAUCAUGAAUGCUAUGCUUUAUGUGAUUUGGGUGCUAGUGUUUCCACGAUUCCAAAGACUUUGUGUGAUUUGUUAGGUUUCCAUGAUUUUGAUGAUUGCUCUUUAAACUUGCGCCUUGCGGAUUCCACUAUUAAGAAACCUAUGGGAAGAAUUAAUGAUGUUCUUAUUGAUGCAAAUAGGAAUUAUGUGCUUGUAGAUUUUAUUGUUCUUGACAUAGAUUGCAAUCUUUCAUGUCCUAUUAUUCUUGGUAGACCUUUCCUUAGAACGAUUGGUGCAAUUAUUGAUAUGAAGGAAGGAAAUAUUAGAUUCCAAUUUCCAUUAAGGAAAGGCAUGGAACACUUUACUAGAAAGUCAAUUAAAUUACCUUAUGAAUCUAUUAUGAUAGCCACUUAUGGAUUGUUGGGGAACGUAGUAAUUUCAAAAAAUUUCCUACGCACACGCAAGAUCAUGGUGAUGCAUAGCAACGAGAGGGGAGAGUGUUGUCUAUGUACCCUCGUAGACUGAAGCGGAAGCGUUGACGCAACGUAGAGGAAGUAGUCGUACGUCUUCCUGAUCCGACCGAUCCAAGCACCGUUACUCAGGCACCUCCGAGGUCUUGGCACACGUUCAGCUCGAUGACGAUCCCCAGGCUCCGAUCCAGCAAAGCGUCGGGGAGGAGUUCCGUCAGCACGACUGCGUGGUGACGAUCUUGAUGUUCUACCGUCGCAGGGCUUCGCCUAAGCACCGCUAAAAUAUGACCGAGGUGUAAUAUCAUGGAGAGGGGCACCGCACAAGGCUAAGGAACAAUCACGAAGAUCAACUUGUGUGUCCAUGGGGUGCCCCCUGCCCCCGUAUAUAAAGGAGUGGAGGACGGGAGGGCGACCCUCUCUAUGGCGCGCCCUAGGGGAGUCCUACUCCCAUAGGGAGUAGGAUUCCCCCUUUUCCUAGUCCAACUAGGAGUCCUUCCAUGUAGUAGCACUAGUGCAGAACCGGGCAAUAGCACCGGUUCGUAAGGCCCUUUAGUGCCGGUUAGGUAACCGGCACUAAAAUUUCAGCACUAAAGGCCCCCCCUUUAGUACCGGUUCAGCACGAACCGGUGCUAAAGGGCAACCACAUGGCACGAGCGAGCUCCGGGGGCCGGGAGCCCUUUAGUACCGGUUGGUAACACCAACCGGUACUAAAAUGUUUGGGGGGUUUUUGGUUUUAUGAUUUCUUUUUCAUUAAAUUUUGUGUUUUCCAUUUUAAUUCUUUUUCGUUUGCUGGUAUUUUACGGUACUACACGUUGUACACGUUAUAUAUAUAUAUAUAUAUAAAUAGAAUUUCUAGUAGAACCAAUCAUAUAUAUAUCAUCAAUCAUGUCUCACAAAACACCAUAUUAAUUCACACAUACACACAUGUAUAGCUAUAUACAAUUUCUCCUACAUAUGCAUGUUGCCUUCGGAGCCAGUGGCAUUAGCCUGAUUGGUGCCUUCGGAGCACGAUGACAAUUGGAAGUGGUUCAUGACCUGGUCGAUGGGGGCGGUAGCGGGUAAUAGUAUUCUCCCUUCGGAUUUAUGACCUGGUCGAGCAAAAAUCCUGCUAUUUCCUAUUGAAGUGCUUCUACGCGCUCCGUUUCUAGGAGCUUGUCCCGCACCUCUUUGAACUAUUAAGAAGGAGAUCAAUAUGCAUGUGUAUUAGUUGUGUGACUAGAUAUUGAUAAUGGUGUAAAAAUUGUGAAUAGUGUUCUGACAAGCGUACCCAUUCCUGUCUUUGAGAUCUGCUCCUUCCGGACGCCAUCAUGCGAAUGUUCUCGCAAACGCAGAAUGCACACAGUUCAGUCCCCUGCGCCUGCUUCAGGGCCUUUAUUACGAGAAUGGAAUUUAAUUUGAUCAGAUAAUAAUUAAUCAAGCAUGAUAAUUAAAGAGAUGGCAGCUAGCUAGCUAGCUAGUACUACUUAAUUACUUACCUUGGCUCGAGACCAUUUCAGCUGUGGUUUCCAUUCGCCUUCCGUGUCGCUGAUGAACCUUGCCCAAGCCCUGCCCGCCGACAAAGAAAAUGAAUAAAGGGGUUAUUAAAUAGUUCAUAUCAUGAAAUGAAGAACUAAAUAGGCCGAGAUAUAUAGUUAAUAAUGAUUGAAAUUACCUGUUGACUAUCCCAAACAAGAUGUUAUAGUCACUAUUUCCUUUGAGUAGCGAGUCCAGUAUUUCAACUAUUCCGGCAUCAACUUUAAUGAUACACAAGAUCCAGUGAAAUCUGCAUGCACACACGUUUGCAAGUCUUAAUUAAGCGGGCAUAUGUAAGCAAAAACAUGUAGCUAGCUAGUAGGCAAAAAUAGAGAAUUUGUAGUACAAGAAAGUGUGACUCACUGGCAGUUGUAAGGAAGUAGUAUAUCUUCAUUGUAUUUGAGGAGCUUCAAGAACUCUAGCAUGCUGUCCUCUACCUCUUUUUCAUGAUGCUUGUUUAUUUUCCAUGUGUAUUCAUUAACGGUGUUUGGGUCAAUGAACCCAAUGCCAUAGCGUCCACCUUUUCUCAUUCCAUACAUCUUCAUCCUGCAUAAUACCACAGAAAAGAAUAUAGUAAGGAUAAUUACACGUAAUGAUUGAUCAAAAGGAUCACUACAGCUAGCUUGAGACUUAAAUUACAGAAAGAAAUCACUUACAGACAAUAGCAACUGACGAUAGAUUUGUCGAGUGUGUCUUGAUUGUAUAACUGAAACAGUUCAGAAUACUCAACGGCCACAACUUUCUCAUGGUAGUAAUCAUCCUUCUUGACAUACACCAUGAGGGACUCUCGAUCGGAUCUCUUGGUAAUGUCCAUGUACCAUUGAUGCAAUUCAUACAUUCUCGUUGGGAGCUUCUUGACAUCUUCUGGCUCGACCAAAGGUUGGCCCCGAACAUAUUUCCGUUUUAUUUCCUCCUCUGUAAUCAGAGGCAUGUCCUCGAUCUCGAGGAGUUGUCCAACAGUGAUCUUGAGUUCUUCAGCCUGCAUUAUAUGCUCCUCGGUUAUUACCACAUCGCCCACCUCGGGAAUGUAAACUGUUUGGCCACAAUAAUAUUGGGCGCGCGUACUGUCACGUGUUGUUGGCGGCACAACAAGCGGNNNNNNNNNNNNNNNNNNNNNNNNNNNNNNNNNNNNNNNNNNNNNNNNNNNNNNNNNNNNNNNNNNNNNNNNNNNNNNNNNNNNNNNNNNNNNNNNNNNNNNNNNNNNNNNNNNNNNNNNNNNNNNNNNNNNNNNNNNNNNNNNNNNNNNNNNNNNNNNNNNNNNNNNNNNNNNNNNNNNNNNNNNNNNNNNNNNNNNNNNNNNNNNNNNNNNNNNNNNNNNNNNNNNNNNNNNNNNNNNNNNNNNNNNNNNNNNNNNNNNNNNUUCCCAGCUGGGCAACGGUUUUCCUGCAUUUUUUGACAGCUGCUUGUUGUUUGCUCGAGCUCGAGCUCGCCUCCUUCUGUAGACGUUGUCGAUGUAACUUCCUGAUGUGGCGCUCAUAGUCUGUUUCAACAGGCUUAGGAGCUAGUGGUUGAGCCAUACGAAUGAAGUGGUCAACUACUUCCACAGGCACUUUCUCCCUUGGCGGCGGUGGCGGUUUCGGUCCAAAAUGGGCGUCGACUUCUGCCCGCACUAUGGCAUUGGUUUGCUCCUCAGUCCUGUCGUAAGCCCUCACAGGAAGAGGAGUACUGAGGUUUGGACCAUAUUUAUAUCGCUUGCCUCCACCUGUACUUCCUGUACUAUCACCUCGACUCGUACCGCUACGCACCAUAGCUGCGGGGUGUCUCUUCUGCGAUUGCUGAGGCGGCGGAGACGGCAGACGGGGCUGAGUUAGACGAGGAGGAGUGGCCUGAAGCUGUGCCGGACUUGGAGGAGGAGUGGCCUGAGGUUGUGCCGGACUUGGAGGAGGAGUGGACGUCUGACGCUGUGUCGGACUUGGAGGAGGAGUGGCCUCACACAUUGCCGGACUUGGAGGAGGAGGAGUGGCCUCACGCGUUGAUGGACUUGGAGCGGGAGUCUGCUGACUCGGUGGUGGACUUCGACGAGGAGUCGGGUGACGCGGUGUCGGUGGCCUUCGAAAGAUGAUGCAAUCCUUUCUCCAUAGGAUGACAUGAUGUAUGGCCUCUCCCAAUGUGUGCUCGUCGUCACCUCUAGGAAUGUCAAGUUGUAGCUCCGAAUAUGGGUCCACCACCUCAUCAACCAAGACACGAGCAUAGCCUGCUGGAAUCGGGUUGCAAUGGAAGGUUGCCUCGGGGGAAUUUGAAAAAGCAACGGCGUCCGCCACCUUCAUGGAUAUGUUCUUCAUUUUGAAGUGUACCUCGCAGUUAGUGUUCUCCGUGAUGUCAUCCAUGGGGUAUCUAUCCAGCACUGCGUCGCCCGGGGCGGAACCCACGCUGCUUCUCGGCAUGGAUGGGGUGGUGGUAUCCAAUGCUGGAUCAUCCGCUAGGUGCUGCAGCUGCUGAGACCCCAUUUGCUGGCUAAGUGAGUCGAUCUGCUCCUGCUGCCGCUGGAAUUUAGCUGCCAAUUCCGCUUGACUUGCUUCUAGGCCUUGAAGGCGUUCAUAGUCCCGCUUCCUUUGCUCCUCCUCCAUCUUCCUCUUCUUCUCCUCCGCAAUCUUCUUUCUCGCACGGGUUCUGUAGUCGGCGUUCCAGUCCGAAAACCCCUCAUACCACGGAAUAGCGCCCUUGCCUCGUGGUCUUCCCGGGUGUUCAGGAUUUCCCUGGGCACGCGUAAGCUCGUCCUUCUCUCUGUUGGGCUGAAACACCCCCGAUCGAGCCUCUUCUAUUGCAACAAGUAGCGCAUCGUCGGCUCCAUUCAGACAUGCCUUCGUCAAAACAUUGCCUGUCUUCGGGUCCAACUCCCCCCCAUGCGCAUAGAACCAAGUCCUGCACCUAGGGGGCCAACUCUUAGUAAACGGAGUGGCACCUGCAUCCUCCAUCUCUUUCUCAGACUUAUCCCACUUAGGCAUUGCCACCGUGUAGCCAGCUGGCCCCAGCUUAUGGAACUUAUCCUUUUUUCGGCAUUCUUCUUGUUUAUUCUCGACCGUUCCUUAGCUAAUUCGGAAUCCUUGAAUUUCAUGAAAUCGUCCCAAUGAGAACUUUGAUUCUCUAGUAUCCCCUCGAAUACUGGAGUCUUCCUUCCUCCCUUGACGUACUUCUCCCACGUCGUUCUCUUGUGGUUCUUGAAUGCAACCGCCAUCUUCCUAAAAGCAGCGUCCUUGACUUUCUGCACAUCUGCUUCCGUGAAAUGAUCUGGUAGGGUGAAAUGUUCCAUGAGAGUAUCCCAAAGCAGUUUUUUAUAUUCUCGUCUACAAAAGUAUCAUUUGGACGUGGCUUUGCUGGCUUUCUCCAUUCUUGAAGGGAGAUCGGGAGUUGGUCCUUCACAAGAACUCCACACUAACGAACGAACUUGUCCGCAAUCUUCUUAGGCGCUAAUGGUUCGCCAUUAGGUUUGAAUGCCUCGAUAUUGUACUUUACGCCCUCCUUCAACUUUUUGUUCGGGCCUCGUUUUGUCCUUUUGCCUGAAGAUUUGCUCGAUCCGGAUGGCUGAAAGAAGAAAGAUCGAUUCGUUAAUAUAUCUUCAACUCAUUUAAAACAUGCGAUGAUCACCAGAUUCCUGCUUAUAUAAAUAUAUAUACCUCGCCGGUACAUGUUGUUUCAGGGUCAACAUGUUCUUCGUCGUAGUUCAGGACUUCAUCUUCUCGGUCAUCGCGAUCAAAUAUCAUAUCACCCUCUCCGGUGUUGUUUAGAAAUUCAGAGCCGUCAAAAUCUUCUUCAUUCUGAUCAUCAUCUGGCCCGCGUAUGAUACCGAACAUGGUAUGUUCUCUCUCUCUGUCGGUAUUGUCCGCCAUAGCUUUUAUUUAACUAUGCCAAAAGAAAUAUAAAAUAAUUUAGUAUAAUCUCGAAUAAUAGAUAUAAUCUCGAAUACAUCGUCUCGAAUAAUAGAUAUAAUCUCGAAUACAUCGUCUCGAAUAAUAGAUUUAAUCUCGAAUACAUCGUCUCGAAUAAUAGAUAUAAUCUCGAAUACAUCGUCUCGAAUAAUAGAUUUAAUCUCGAAUACAUCGUCUAGAAUAAUAGAUUUAAUCUCGAAUACAUCGUCUCGAAUAAUAUAUAAUAUUGAAUAGUACAUCAUUGGCUAGGCGGUGGACACCCAAAGAGAAGGAACCCUCACAGGAUCAUAGCUGAAGUGAGAGCCCCGAAGAAACUGCCAGGUUUUGGAGAACCUUCCGCCCUCUAACGCAACCAUGUAGCGAUGGAUGUAAUCGUCCUCCUCCCUGACACGACGACGUACCACCUCCGGCGGGGCCGGCUCCCUCCGCACCGAAACUGGCCCACGCGAACGCCACCAAACGAGAUCAGGGUCGAUCACAGGACCCGGGGCCGGGUUCCUCAUCAAGCGGCGCGCCCCUCCAGGCAGCACCUCCCAGUGCCAGCCCGGCGGAGCCCAGUCCCGGACAUGGGUCAGCUGGACGUCGUCGCGGACGUGUCGACGGUGAGGAUGUGGGCCGGGCAUCGUCGACAACAAAUACUAGCUAUAUGCCCGCAAAAAGUAACAUUUUUUUAAUGAUUGGAAUUUGAUAACUAAAAUUUCUAACAUUUCUAUAUAACACUAAUUAUGCUAUCAUUGCAUAUGUCAAAAUUCUAUAUGCUAUUUCAUACUAAUUAAGCAUCUAACACUAAAAACAGAAAACACAACUUCUAUACAUCCAUUAAAAAAACUGAAAAACAACAUUAUAUAAACAAAUUUCAAUACUAAUUAAACACUAAUUAUAUCCAUCUAACAUGCAUUCAUACAUAUAUGCUAGUGAAAAAAUAAUAAUCUAAAAAAUCUAAACUAAUUAAACAUACAAAAUACGUAUAUACUAAUAUAUACAUGCAUUAAUUCAUACAUAUGUACGUGUGUGUGUGUGUGUGCUCGGGGAGGGGUGGUGCCCAUGGUGGCCGCCGGGGGCGAGGGAGAGGGGUUAGAGGGGGAGAGCUCACAGCAGGGUGACGGCGACGGCCAGGGGCGGCGACGGGCCGGGGUGUGACGCGGGGGCGGCGACGCGGGGACGGUGCGACGGGGACGGGCCUGGGGCGGCGACGGGGACGGGCCCGAUGACGGGGACGGGGGCGGCGACGGCGACAUCGUCGAUUGAUCGGGGUGCGCGGGCGGUGCUUCAAUGGGGAAACAGAGGAAGAAACAAAGGGAGAAUGAAAUUUUCGUAAGUGUUCUAUAUAUAGAAGGCACCUUCAGUACCGGUUGGAGCCACCAACCGGUACUAAAGGCCUGUUUUGGCCAGGCCAAGCCGCGGGAAGCACCCCCCUUUAGUACCGGUUCCUGGCUCCAACCGGUACUAAAGGCCCCCCCUUUAGUACCGGUUGGUGCCACCAACCGGUACUAAAGGGGGGUACGCUGCCAGGCGAGGGGCACAAAACUUUAGUCCCACCUCGCUAGCCGAGGGGCACUCACACCUUCUUAUAAGCCCCGCCGUCGCUGCUGUCUCGAGCUCCACUCUUAAGCACGCCUUCUGGGCCUACCUCUUCUGCGAUGCCCUGUUGGGCCUACUGGGCUAGUGGGCCUGCAUCCUGGCCCAACUUGAAUAUGGGUUUCUAGUCGUAUGCAGGCCGCUGUGGCCCAGUAGGUGGGCUUUUUUUUCUUAUUUUUUUGCUUUAUUUAUUUUUGUGAAUAACUUAACUUUGAAAAUAGAUUUUUCAGUGAUUCUUUUUUCUUAUGUUUAAUAUUAGUGUGUUUUAUCAUUAUAUUCAAUUUGGUAAUGCUUAGGUUAUUUAAAAAAUGAAAUGCCUUUGUAACGGAUGAGUUUUCGUCCGAAACCCUGAUACUUCGAAACAGAUUGUCCAUUUUGUACACGAAGUGCAUCCAGUUUUUGCGGUAACCCUCUCUACUUUUUUGCACAUGCUAUGUGGGUGAAAUUAUGAUACCAUGCCAACUUUCAUCCUUUUCUGAGUUCAUUUGAAAUUCUUUUCAAUUUUAGGGUCAUUUAGGUGAAAAAAAUCAGUAAAUGCAUGAAAGAAUUUGCUUGCACAUAAAAUUUCUUCGCGUUUCAAAUGCCAAAACACAUAACUAGCUACCCUAACUAUUACAGAGAUUCCCUCCUGGGUGUGAAACACAGAAGAAAGUGAUGAUAGUUACGCCGAUCAUAUCCCAGAUCUUUGGGUGUGAAACUUUUUCUUCGCGUGUGUCCCUUUGCGUCGUAGCCAUGGAAAAUCUUCAUCAUUUAACGGGAUGCUCGGGUCAAUAUUCACUGUGAAUGGAGCAAUUUCAUCAAACUUUUCAUAAUCAUCUGACUUGUCUGUUUUGUCAUCCACUCCCAUGAUGUUUCUCUUCCCAGAAAGAACUAUGUGCCGCUUUGGCUCAUCGUACGAUGCAUUCACUUCCUUAUCUUUUCUUUUUCUUGGCUUGUUAGACAUGUCCUUCACACAGAAAACCUAUGCCACAUCAUUGGCUAGGACGAACGGUUCGUCUGCAUACGCAAGAUUGUUGAGAUCCACUGUUGUCAUUCCGUACUGCGGGUCUUCCAUUACCCAGCCUCGUGUCAUAUUAACCCAUUUGCACCGAAACAAAGGGACCUUCAAACCACGUCGAUAGUCAAGUUCCCAUAUGUCCUGUAUAUAACCAUAAUAUGUUUCCUUUCCCGUCUUGGUUUCUGCAUCAAAGCGGACACCACUGUUUUGGUUGGUGCUCUUAUUAUCUUGGGCGAUCGUGUAAAAUGUAUUACCAUUUAUCUCGUACCCUUUGAAAGUCAUUAUAUUCGAAGAUGGUAAUUGGGAUAGCAAGUACAUGUCAUCUUCAAUAGAGGUGUCAUGCAUGGUACGUGGUUGCAACCAGCUGGCGAAACUCCUGGUUUGUUCACGUGUAAUCCAGUCAUCAGACCGCUCCGGGUGUUUGGAGCGUAGCAAAUUCUUGUGUUCAUCCAUAUACGGAGCCACCGAGGCAGAAUUCUGUAGAACUAUGUAGUGUGCUUCAGUGAGAGAAUGUCCAGCCAUAUAUACAUAUUAUUUGUUCCCCUCCUAGCGUGCCUUUUCCAUCCAGUCUGCCCUUAUGCCGCGAUUCAGGAACACCAAUCGGCUUAAGGUCAGGAAUAAAGUCAAUACAAAACUCACUGACCUCCUCAUUUUGACGGCCCUUGGAGAUGCUUCCUUCUGGCCUAGCACGGUUAUGAACAUAUUUCUUUAAGUCUCCCACGAACCUCUCAAAGGGGAACAUAUUGUGUAGAAAUACAGGACCCAAAACGUUAAUCUCUUCGCAUAGGUGAACUAGGACGUGCGUCAUGAUGUUGAAGAAGGAUGGUGGGAACACCAACUCGAAACUGACAAGACAUUGCACCAAAUCAUUCUGUAACCUUGGUAUGAUUUCUGGAUCGAUUACCUUCUGAGAGAUUGCAUUGAGAAAUGCACAUAGCUUCACAAUGGCUAAUCGAACGUUUUCCGGUAGAAGCCCCCUCAAUGCAACCGGAAGUACUUGCGUCAUAAUCACGUGGCAGUCAUGAGACUUUAGGUUCUGGAACUUUUUCUCUGCCAUGUUUAUUAUUCCCUUUAUAUUCGACGAGAAGCCAGAUGGUACCUUAAUAAUGAGUAGGCAUUCAAAGAACAUUUCCUUCUCUUCUUUGGUAAGAGCGUAGCUUGCAUGACCCUGAUGUAUGCCGUCUUUUCCGUGCAUACGUUGCUGGUCCUCCUGUGCCUUAGGUGUAUCUUUUGUCAUCCCAUACACGCCCAAGAAGCCAAGCAGGGUCACACAAAGAUUCUUCGUCACGUGCAUCACGUCGAUUGCGGAGCGGACCUCGAGGUCUUUCCAAUAGUGCAGGUCCCAAAAUAUAGAUUUCUUCUUCCACAUGGGUGCGCGUCCGUCAGCGUCAUUCGGAACAGGUUGUCCACCAGGACCCUUUCUAAAGACCACCUUCAAAUCCUUGACCAUAUCAUGUACAUCAGCACCAGUACGGUGGCGAGGCUUCGUCCGGUGAUCCGCCUCACCUUUGAAAUGCUUGCAUUUCUUUCUUACGGGAUGCCUGCUCGUAAGAAAUCGACGAUGUCCUAGGUACACAUUCUUAUUAGCCAAAUAUAUACUGUCGGUAUCGUCCAAACAGUGCGUGCAUGCGCGGUAUCCCUUGUUUGUCUGUCCUGAAAGGUUACUGAGAGCAGGCCAAUCAUUGAUGGUCACGAACAGCAACGCCUUUAGGUCAAAUUCUUCCCCCAUGUGCUCAUCCCACACACGUACACCUGUUCCAUUCCAUAGUUGUAAGAGUUCUUCAACUAAUGGCCUUAGGUACACAUCAAUGUCGUUGCCGGGUUGCUUAGGGCCUUGGAUGAGCACUGGCAUCAUAAUGAACUUCCGCUUCAUGCACAACCAAGGAGGAAGGUUAUACAAACAUAGAGUCACAGGCCAAGUGCUAUGGUUGCUGCUCUGCUCCCCAAAAGGAUUAAUGCCAUCUGCGCUUAGACCAAACCAUACGCUCCUUGCGUCAUUUGCAAACUCCUUCCCGUACUUUCUUUCGAUUUUUCUCCACUGUGAACCGUCAGCGGUUAGUGUCAACUUUCCAUCUUUCUUACGGUCUUCGCUGUGCCAUCGCAUCGCCUUGGCAUGCUCUUUGUUUUGGAACAAACGUUUCAACCGUGGUAUUAUAGGAGCAUACCACAUCACCUUGGCAGGAAUCUUCUUCCUGGGGCGCCGGCCCUCGACAUCACCAGGGUCAUCGCGGCUGAUCUUAUAGCGCAAUACACCACAUACCGGGCAAGCGUUCAAAUCCUCGUACUCACCACGGUAGAGGAUGCAAUCAUUAGGGCAUGCAUGUAUCUUCUCCACCUCUAACCCUAGAGGGCAGAGAACCUUCUUUGCUUCGUACAUACUCUCGGGCAAUUCGUUGUCCUUUGGAAGGAUAUCCUUUAUCAUUACCAGCAACUUUCCAAAUCCCUUGUCAGAUACACCAUUCUCUGCCUUCCAUUGCAGCAAUUCCAGUGUGGUGCCCAGUUUUUUCUUGUCAGCUACGCAAUUCGGGUACAACAAUUUUUUGUGAUCCCCUAACAUGCACUGCAACUUCUUCUCCAAAUCACUUGCGCAGUUUCUCUUUGCAUCGGCAAUGGCCCGACCUAGAUCAUCAACGGGCUCAUCUGAUGCCUCUUCUUCAGCUUCUUCCCGCAUUGCCGGCUCAGCUUCUUCCCGCAUUACCGGCUCAGCUUCUUCCACCAUUGUUGUAUCAUCGUAUUCAGGGAACCCAUGGCCAGGAUAGCUGUCGUCGUCCUCUUCUUCUUCAUUGUCUUCCAUCAUAACCCCUCUUUAUCCGUGCUUGGUCCAAACAUUAUAAUGGGGCAUGAAACCAGACUUAAACAGGUGGACGUGAAUGGUUCUUGACGUACAGUAAUUGUGACCAUUCUUACAGCGAGCACAUGGACAAGGCAUAAAACCAUCCGCCCCCUUGUUUGCCUCAGCCGCAAGCAGAAAAGUAUGCACGCCCUCAACGAACUGGGGAGAGCAUCGGUCAUCGUACAUCCAUUGCCGGCUCAUCUUCAUUACACAACAACGAAUAGAACAAAUUAAUACAAGUUCAUACAUAAAGUUCAUACAACACUUAAAUGCAACAAACAAAUAACUCUCUAGCUAAAGCAUUUAAAUGCAACAACAAAUACGAUCAAGAUCGCAACUAAGGUAACAAUGGAUCCAACAGCAUAAUGAAACCAAGCCUCACUAUCGAUGGCAUAUUUUCUAAUCUUUCUAAUCUUCAAGCGCAUUUUCUCCAUCUUGAUCUUGUGAUCAUCGACGAUACCGGCAACAUGCAACUCCAAUUCCAUCUUCUCCCCCUCAAUUCUUUUCAAUUUUUCUUUCAAGUACUCGUUUUCUCUUUCAACUAAAUUUAACCUCUCGGCAAUAGGGUAGGUUGGAAUUUCCGGUUGAUGGGCAUAAUUUGUAAUAAACACGAAAUGCAACUAGUUUUAAAAGAGAAUAUACAUACCACAUCCGAAUCAUAACAAGGACUAGGGCCGACGGGGACGGAUAUCAAAACCAUGGCACUAUAUGUAUAACAAACAACGUACAGGUAAGAUAAUUAUACGAGUAACUAUAUAUCCAAAUCACACAAACAUCAAUUUUUAUAUAAAAUUUCAUGAACAAGAGGCUCACCACAAGGUGGUGCCGGCGACGGGACGGUGCGGGCGAUCCACGGUGGCUACGAUGGAGAUUUAGAAGGCACUAAGUAAACCACACCUACAUAUGCAAACUAAAUGUUAUUUUUGACCUCAAAUUGCAUAUAAAUCAAAUACUAGCACAUAUAUAUAUAUCAUCCCAAAUUACUAAACUCACAAAUUAAUCACUAUAUAAAGCAUUGCAAGAGCUAAUCUAGCAACGAGAGAUGAAAGGACAAAGUUGCUAACCUUUGUGAUCAUUUGAAUGGAUGGGGGCCUUCAAAUCUUGACAAAUUUUGGGCAAAAUGUGUGAUGAGCUCGAGAGGAAGAGGGGAAGAACAGAGAGGAGAGGGGAAAGGGGAAGAAUAGAGCGAGCUCGGGUGGACGAAGGGUUUAUGUAGGACGACCUUUAGUACCGGUUUGUGCCAAGAACCGGUACUAAAGGGGCUGGAGGGGCCCCAUACUGACAACAUCCUGCCACCACUCUCAUUAGUACCGGUUCGUGGCACGAACCGGUGCUAAAGGUUCGCCAUGAACCGGUACUAAUGAAAGCAGCCUGGUUAGCCGUUGGAACCGGCACUAAUGUAUACAUUAGUGCCGGCUCAAAUACAAACCGGCACUAAUGUGCUUCAUGUUUGACCCUUUUUCCACUAGUGUAGGAGUAGGAGACAAGGAAGGGGAAGGGAGAAGGGAAAGAAGGAGGGGGCGCGGCCCCUCCCCCUAGUCCAAUUCGGACUAGGCCUUGGGGGGGCGCGCGGCCUGCCCUAGGCAGCCCCUCUCUCUUUCCCGUAUGGCCCAAUAAGGCCCAAUACUUCUCCCGGCGAAUUCCCGUAACUCUCCGGUACUCCGAAAAAUACCCGAACCACUCGAAACCUUUCCGAUGUCCGAAUAUAGUCGUCCAAUAUAUCGAUCUUUACAUCUCGACCAUUUCGAGACUCCUCCUCAUGUCCCCGAUCCCAUCCGGGACUCCGAACUCCUUCGGUACAUCAAAACUCAUAAACUCAAAAUAUAACUGUCAUCGAAACCUUAAGCGUGCGGACCCUACAGUUCGAGAACAAUGUAGACAUGAUCGAGACACAUGUCCGGUCAAUGACUAAUAGCGGGACCUGGAUGCCCAUAAUGGCUCCUACAUAUUCUACGAAGAUCUUUAUCGGUCAGACCGCAUAACAACAUACGUUGUUCCCUUUGUCAUCGGUAUGUUACUUGCCUGAGAUUUGAUCGUCGGUAUCUCAAUACCUAGUUCAAUCUUGUUACCGGCAAGUCUCUUUACUCGUUCCGUAAUACAUCAUCUCGCAACUAACUCAUUAGUUGCAAUGCUUGCAAGGCUUAUGUGAUGUGCAUUACCGAGAGGGCCUAGAGAUACCUCUCCGACAAUCGGAGUGACAAAUCCUAAUCUCGAAAUACGCCAGCCCAACAUGUACCUUUGGAGACACCUGUAGAGCUCCUUUAUAAUCACCCAGUUAUGUUGUGACGUUUGGUAGAACACAAAGUGUUCCUCCGGCAAAUGGGAGUUGCAUAAUCUCAUAGUCAUAUGAACAUGUAUAAGUCAUGAAGAAAGCAAUAGCAACAUACUAAACGAUUGGGUGCUAAGCUAAUGGAAUGGGUCAUGUCAAUCAGAUCAUUCAACUAAUGAUCUGAUCCCGUUAAUCAAAUAACAACUCUUUGUCCAUGGUUAGGAAACAUAACCAUCUUUGAUUAACGAGCUAGUCAAGUAGAGGCAUACUAGUGACACUCUGUUUUCUAUGUAUUCACACAUGUAUUAUGUUUCCGGUUAAUACAAUUCUAGCAUGAAUAAUAAACAUUUAUCAUGAUAUAAGUAAAUAAAUAAUAACUUUAUUAUUGCCUCUAGGGUAUAUUUCCAUCAGUCUCCCACUUGCACUAGAGUCAAUAAUCUAGAUCACAUCGCCAUGUGAUUUAACAUCAAUAGUUCACAUCUUUAUGUUAUUGGUUCACAUCUCCAUGUGACUAACACCCAAAGGGUUUACUAGAUUCAAUAAUCUAGUUCACAUCGCUAUGUGAUUAAGACCCAAAAAGUGAUCAUGUUUUGCUUGUGAGAGAAGUUUAGUCAAUAGGUCUUCCACAUUCAGAUCCGCAUGUAUUUUGCAAAUUUCUAUGUCAACAAUGCUCUGCAUGGAGCUACUCUAGCUAAUUGCUCCCACUUUCAAUAUGUAUCCAGAUUGAGACUUAGAGUCAUCUGGAUCAGUGUCAAAACUUGCAUCGACGUAACCCUUUACGACGAACCUUUUGUCACCUCCGUAAUCGAGAAACAUAUCCUUAUUCUACUAAGGAUAAUUUUGACCGCUGUCAAUAGAUCUACUCCUAGAUCACUAUUGUACUCCCUCUCUUAACACAGUGUAUGGUAUACAAUAGAUCUGGUACACAACAUGGCAUACUUUAUAGAACCUAUGACUGAGGCAUAGGGAAUGACUUUCAUUCUCUUUCUAUCUUCUGCCGUGGUCGGGCUUUGAGUCUUACUCAACUUCACGCCUUGUAACACAAGCAAGAAACUUUUUCUUUGACUGUUCCAUUUUGAACUACUUCAAAAUCUUGUCAAGGUAUGUACUCAUCGAAAAAACUUAUCAAGCGUCUUGAUCUAUCUCUAUAGAUCUUGAUACUCAAUAUGUAAGCAGCUUCACCGAGGUCUUUCUUUGAAAAAACUCCUUUCAAACAUUCCUUUAUGCUUUGCAGAAUAAUUCUACAUUAUCUCCGAUCAACAAUAUGUCUUUCACAUAUACUUAUCAGAAAUGAUGUAGUGCUCCCACUCACUUUCUUGUAAAUACAGGCUUCACUGCAAGUCUGUAUAAAACUAUAUGCUUUGAUCAACUCAUGAAAGCGUAUAUUCCAACUCUGAGAUGCUUGCACCAGUCCAUAGAUGGAUCGCUGGAGCUUGCAUAUUUUGUUAGUACCUUUAGGAUUGACAAAACCUUCUGGUUGCAUCAUAAACAACUCUUCUUUAAUAAAUCCAUUAAGGAAUGCAGUUUUGUUUAUCCAUUUGCCAGAUUUCAUAAAAUGCGGCAAUUGCUAACAUGAUUCGGACAGACUUAAGCGUAGAUACGAGUGAGAAACUCUCAUCGUAGUCAACACCUUGAACUUGUCGAAAACCUUUUUGCGACAAUUCUAGUUUUGUAGAUAGUAACACUACUAUCAGCGUCCGUCUUCCUCUUGAAGAUCCAUUUAAUCUCAAUGGCUUGCCGAACAUCGGGCAAGUCAACCAAAGUCCACACUUUGUUCUCAUACAUGGAUCCUAUCUCAGAUUUCAUGGCCUCAAGCCAUUUAUCGGAAUCUGGGCUCAUCAUCGCUUCCUCAUAGGUCGCAAGUUUGUCAUGGUCAAGUAACAUGACCUCCAGAACAGGAUUACCAUACCACUUUGGUGCGGAUCUCAAUCUGGUUUACCUACGAGGUUUGGUAGUAACUUGAUCUGAAGUUACAUGAUCAUCAUCAUUAGCUUCCUCACUAAUUGGUGUAGGAGUCACAGGAACAAAUUUCUGUGAUGAACUACUUUCCAAUAAAGGAGAAGGUACAAUUACCUUAUCAAGUUUUCUACUUUCCUCCCACUCACUUCUUUCAAGAGAAACUCCUUCUCUGGAAAGGAUCCAUUCUCAGUCAACGAAUAUCUUGCCUUCGGAUCUGUGAUAGAAGGUGUACCCAACAUUUUCUUUAGGGUAUCCUAUGAAGAUGCACUUUUCCGAUUUGGGUUUGAGCUUAUCAGGAUGAAACUUUUUCACAUAAGCAUCACAACCCCAAACUUUAAGAAACGACAACUUUGGUUUCUUGCCAAACCACAGUUCAUAAGGCGUCGUCUCAACGGAUUUUGAUGGUGCCCUAUUCAACGUGAAUGCAGCUGUCUCUAAUGCAUAACCCCAAAACGAUAGUGGUAGAUCGGUAAGAGAUAUCAUAGAUCGCACCAUAUCUAAUAAAGUACGGUUAUGAUGUUCGGACACACCAUUACAUUGUGGUGUUCCAGGUGGCAUGAGUAGUGAAACUAUUUCACAUUGUUUUUAACUGAAGGCCAAACUCAUAACUCAAAUACUCUUCUCUACGAUCAGGUCGUAGAAACUUUAUUUUCUUGUUACGAUGAUUUUUCACUUCACUCUGAAAUUCUUUGAACUUUUCAAAUGUUUCAGACUUAUGUUUCAUCAAGUAGAUAUACUCAUAUCUGCUCAAAUCAUCUGUGAAGAUCAGAAAAUAAUGAUACCUGUCGCGAGCCUCAAUAUUCAUCGGACCACAUACAUUAGUAUGUAUGAUUUCCAACAAAUCUGUUGCUCGCUCCAUUGUUCUGAAGAACAGAGUCUUAGUCAUCUUGCCCAUUAGGCAUGGUUCGCAAGCAUCAACUGAUUCAUAACCAACUGAUUCCAAAAGCCCAUCAGCAUGGAGUUUCUUCAUGCGCUUUACACCAAUAUGACCUAAACGGCAGUGCUACAAAUAAGUUGCACUAUCAUUAUUAACUUUGCAUCUUUUGGUUUCAAUAUUAUGAUUAUGUGUAUCACUACAAUCGAGAUCCAACGAACUAUUUUCAUUGGGUGUGUAACCAUAUAAGGUUUUAUUCAUGUAAACAGAACAACAAUUUAUUCUCUUACUUAAAUGAAUAACCGUAUUACAAUAAACAUGAUCAAAUCAUAUUCAUGCUCAACGCAAACACCAAAUAACACUUAUUUAGGUUCAACACUAAUCCUGAAAUUAUAGGGAGUGUGCGAUGAUGAUCAUAUCAAUCUUGGAACCACUUCCAACAUACAUCAUCACUUCACCCUUAACUAGUCUCUGUUUAUUUUGCAACUCCCGUUUCGAGUUACUAAUCUUUGCAACUGAACUAGUAUCAAAUACUGAGGGGUUGCUAUAAACACUUGUAAAGUACACAUCAAUAACAUGUAUAUCAAAUAUACUUAUGUUCACUUUGCCAUCCUUCUUAUCCGCCAAUCACUUGGGGUAGUUCCGCUUCUAGUGACCAGUGCCUUUGCAGUAGAAGCACUUAGUCUCAGGCUUAGGACCAGACUUGGGCUUCUUCACUUGAGCAGCAACUUGCUUGCUGUUCUUCUUGAAGUUCCCCUUCUUCCCUCUGCCCUUUUCUUGAAACUAGUGGUCUUGUCAACCAUCAACACCUGAUGUUUUUCUUGAUUUCUACCUUCAUUGAUUUCAGCAUCACGAAGAGCUUGGGAGUUGUUUCCGUUAUCCCUUGCAUAUUAUGGUUCAUCACGAAGUUCUACUAACUUGGUGAUGGUGACUAGAGAAUUCUGUCAAUCACUAUCUUAUCUGGAAGAUUAACUCCCACUUGGUUCAAGCAAUUGUAGUACCCAGACAAUCUGAGCACGUGCUCACUAGUUGAGCGAUUCUCCUCCAUCUUUUAGCUAUAGAACUUGUUGGAGACUUCAUAUCUCUCAAGUCGGGUAUUUGCUUGAAAUAUUAACUUCAACUCCUAGAACAUCUCAUAUGGUCCAUGAUGUUCAAAACGUCUUUGAAGUCCUGAUUCUAAGCCAUUAAGCAUGGUGCACUAAACUAUCAAGUAGUCAUCAUAUUGGGCUAGCCAAACGUUCAUAACGUCGGCAUCUGCUCCUGCAAUAGGUCUGUCACCUAGCGGUGCAUCAAGGACAUAAUUCCUCUAUGCAGCAAUGAGGAUAAAACUCAGAUCACGGAUCCAAUCCGCAUCAUUGCUACUAACAUCUUUCAACACAAUUUUCUCUAGGAACAUAUCAAAAUAAACAUAGGGAAGCAACAACGCGAGCUAUUGAUCUACAACAUAAUUUGCAAAAUACUACCAGGACUAAGUUCAUGAUAAAUUUAAGUUCAAUUUAAUCAUAUUACUGGAGAACUCCCACUUAGAUAGACAUCCCUCUAAUCCUCUAAGUGAUCACGUGAUCCAAAUCAACUAAACCAUGUCCGAUCACCACGUGAGAUGGAGUAGUUUCAUUGGUGAACAUCACUAUGUUGAUCAUAUCUACUAUCUGAUUCACGCUCGACCUUUCGGUCUCCGUGUUCCGAGGCCAUAUCUGUAUAUGCUUGCCUCGUCAAGUAUAACCUGAGUAUUCCGCGUGUGCAACUGUUUUACACCCGUUGUAUUUGAACGUAGAGCCUAUCACACCCGAUCAUCACGUGGUGUCUCAGCACGAAGAAGUUUCGCAACGGUGCAUACUCAGGGAGAACACUUCUUGAUAAUUAGUGAGAGAUCAUCUUAAAAUGCUACCGUCAAACUAAGCAAAAAUAAGAUGUAUAAAAGAUAAACAUCAUAUGCAAUCAAAAUAUGUGACAUGAUAUGGCCAUCAUCAUCUUGCUUCUUUGAUCUCCAUCUCCAAAGUACUGUCAUGAUCUAUAUCGUCAUCGGCAUGACACCAUGAUCUCCAUCAUCUUGAUCUAUAUCAAUGUGUCGUCACGUGGUCGUCUCGCCAACAAUUGCUCUUGCAACUAUUGCUAUCGCAUAGCGAUAAAGUAAAGCAAUUAUUGGACGCUUGCAUCUUAUGUAAUAGAGAGACAACCAUAAGGAUUUUGCCAGUUGUUGAUAACUUCAACAAAACAUGAUCAUCUCAUACAACAACUUAUAUCUCAUCACGUCUUGACCAUAUCACAUCACAACAUGCCCUGCAAAAACAAGUUAGACGUCCUCUACUUUGUUGUUGCAAGUUUUACGUGGCUGCUACGGGCUUAAGCAAGAACCAAUCUUACCUACGCAUCAAAACCACAACGAUAGUUUGUCAAGUUGGUGCUGUUUUAACCUUCGCAAGGACCGGGCGUAGCCACACUCGGUUCAACUAAAGUUGGAGAAACUGUCACCCCCAAGCCACCUAUGUGCAAAGCACGUCGGGAGAACCGGUCUCGCGUAAGCAUACGCGUAAUGUCGGUCUGGGCCGCUUCAUCCAACAAUACCGCCGAACCAAAGUAUGACAUGCUGGUAAGCAGUAUGACUUAUAUCGCCCACAACUCACUUGUGUUCUACUCGUGCAUAUAACAUCAACACAUAAAACCUAGGCUCAAAUGCCACUGUUGGGGAACGUAGUAAUUUCAAAAAAUUUCCUACGCACACGCAAGAUCAUGGUGAUGCAUAGCAACGAGAGGGGAGAGUGUUGUCAACGUAGCCUUGUAGACCGAAGCAGAAGCGUUGACGCAACGUAGAGGAAGUAGUCGUACGUCUUCCCGAUCCGACCGAUCCAAGCACCAUUACUCCGGCACCUCCGAGUUCUUGGCACACGUUCAGCUCGGUAACGAUCCCCAGGCUCCGAUCCAGCAAAGCGUCGGCGAGGAGUUCCAUCAGCACGACGGCGUGGUGACGAUCUUGAUGUUCUACCGUCGCAGGGCUUCGCCUAAGCACCGCUACAAUAUGACCGAGGUGUAAUAUCGUGGAGAGGGGCACCGCACACGGCUAAGGAACGAUCACGAAGAUCAACUUGUGUGUCCAUGGGGUGCCCCCUGCCCCCGUAUAUAAAGGAGUGGAGGAGGGGAGGGCUGGCCCUCUCUAUGGCGCGCCCUAGGGGAGUCCUACUCCCAACGGGAGUAGGAUUCCCCCUUUUCCUAGUCCAACUAGGAGUCCUUCCAUGUAGUAGGAGUAGGAGACAAGGAAGGGGAAGGGAGAAGGGAAAGAAGGAGGGGGCGCGGCCCCUCCCCCUAGUCCAAUUCGGACUAGGCCUUGGGGGGCGCACGGCCUGCCCUAGGCAGCCCCUCUCUCUUUCCCGUAUGGCCCAAUAAGGCCCAAUACUUCUCCCGGCGAAUUCCUGUAACUCUCCGGUACUCCGAAAAAUACCCGAACCACUCGGAACCUUUCCGAUGUCCGAAUAUAGUCGUCCAAUAUAUCGAUCUUUACGUCUCGACCACUUCGAGACUCCUCGUCAUGUCCCCGAUCCCAUCCGGGACUCCGAAAUCCUUCGGUACAUCAAAACUCAUAAACUCAUAAUAUAACUGUCAUCGAAACCUUAAGCGUGCGGACACUACGGUUCGAGAACAAUGUAGACAUGACUGAGACACGUCUCCAGUCAAUAACCAAUAGCGGGACCUGGAUGCCCAUAUUGGCUCCUACAUAUUCUACGAAGAUCUUUAUCGGUCAGACCGCAUAACAACAUACGUUGUUCCCUUUGUCAUCGGUAUGUUACUUGCCCGAGAUUUGAUCGUCGGUAUCUCAAUACCUACUUCAAUCUCGUUACCGGCAAGUCUCUUUACUCGUUCCGUAAUACAUCAUCUCGCAACUAACUCAUUAGUUGCAAUGCUUGCAAGGCUUAUGUGAUGUGCAUUUCCGAGAGGGCCCAGAGAUACCUCUCCGACAAUCGGAGUGACAAAUCCUAAUCUCGAAAUACGCAAACCCAACAUGUACCUUUGGAGACACCUGUAGAGCUCCUUUAUAAUCACCCAGUUACGGUGUGACGUUUGGUAGCACACAAGGUGUUCCUCCGGCAAACGGGAGUUGCAUAAUCUCAUAGUCAUAGGAACAUGUAUAAGUCAUGAAGAAAGCAAUAUCAACAUACUAAACGAUCGGGUGCUAAGCUAAUGGAAUGGGUCAUGUGAAUCAGAUCAUUCAACUAAUGAUGUGAUCUCGUUAAUCAAAUAACAACUCUUUGUCCAUGGUUAGGAAACAUAACCAUCUUUGAUUAACGAGCUAGUCAAGUAGAGGCAUACUAGUCACACUCUGUUUGUCUAUGUAUUCACACAUGUAUUAUGUUUCCGGUUAAUACAAUUCUAGCAUGUAUAAUAAACAUUUAUCAUGAUAUAAGGAAAUAAAUAAUAAUUUUAUUAUAGCCUCUAGGGCAUAUUUACUUCAUGGAUUGCCUACCAAAGAUGGCAAUAGCUAGAUCUAUCCUUGCUUGUUAUGCCUAACUAGGGGCGUUAAACGAUAGCGCUUUUUGGGAGGCAACCCAAUUUUGUUUUUAUUCCUUGAUUUUUGCUCCUGUUUAGUAAUAAAUAAUUUAUCUAGCCUCUGUUUUGGUUGUGUUCUUUGUGUUUAAUUAGUGUUUGUGCCAGGUAGAACCGUUAGGAAGACUUGGGGAAAGUCUUGUUACACUUGCUGUAAAAAACAGAAACUUCAGCGCUCACGAGAACUGCUGCCAUUUUUAUUUGGAAAGUGCUAUUUAGUUAAUUAUUUCCGCAGAUGAUUAAUAGAUAAAUUCCUCACGUCCAGCACUUUAUUUUAGAAUUUUUGGGGUUCCAGCUCUUGAGCUAGCUACAGAUUACUACAGACUGUUCUGUAUUUGAAACAUUCUGUUUUUUCGUGUGUUGUUUGCUUAUUUUGAUGAACCUAUGGCUAGUAAAAUAGUUUAUAAACCACAGAGAAGUUGGAAUACAGUAGUUAUAACACCAAUAUAAAUAAAUAAUGAGUUCAUUAAAGUACCUUGAAGUGGUCUUUUUUAUUUUCUUUCGCUAACGGAGCUCACAAGAUUUUCUACUUCAAGUUUGUGUUGUGAAGUUUUCAAGUUUUGGGUAAAAAUUUGAUGGAUUAUGGAACAAGUAGUGACAAGAGCCGAAGCUUGGGGAUGCCCAUGGCACCCCCAAGAUAAUCUAAUUACACCUAAAAGCCAAAGCUUGGGGAUGCCCGGGAAGUCAUCCCCUCUUUCGUCUACUUCUAUGGGUAACUUUACUUGGAGCUAUAUUUUUAUUCGCCACAAGAUAUGUGUUUUGCUUGGAGCGUCUUGUAUUGUUUGACUCUUUAUUUUUUAGUUUACCACAAUCAUCCUUGCUGUACACACCUUUUGAGAGAGCCAUACAUGAUUUGGAAUUUGUUAGAAUACUCUAUGGGCUUCGCUUAUAUCUUUUGAGUUAUAUAGUUUUGCUCUAGUACUUCACUUAUAUCUUUUAGAGCACGGUGGUGGAUUUGUUUUAUAAAAACUAUUGAUCUCUCAUGCUUCACUUAGAUUAUUUUGAGAUGCUUAAUAGCAUGGUAAUUUGCUUAAAAUCCUAAUAUGCUAGGUAUUCAAAGUUAGUAAAAUUUUCUUACGAGUGUUUUUAAUACUAAGAGAAGUUUGAUGCUUGAUGAUUGUUUUGAGAUAUGGAGGUAAUAAUAUCAAAGUCGUGCUAGUUGAGUAGUUGUGAAAUUGAGAAAUACUUGUGUUGAAAUUUGCAUGUCCCGUAGCAUGCACGUAUUGUAAACGUUGUGUAACAAAUUUGAAACAUGAGGUGUUAUUUGAUUGUCUUCCUUAUGAGUGGCGGUCGGGGACGAGCGAUGGUCUUUUCCUACCAAUCUAUUGUUUGGGAACGUACUAAUUUCAAAAAAAAUCCUACGCACACGCAAGACCAUGGUGAUGCAUAGCAACGAGAGGGGAGAGUGUGAUCUACGUACCCUUGUAGAUCAACAGCGGAAGCGUUGAUGCAACAUAGAGGAAGUAGUCGUACGUCUUCCUGAUCCGACCGAUCGAAGCACCAUUACUCCGGCACCUCCGAGUUCUUAGCACACGUACAGCUCGAUGACGAUCCCGGGCUCCGAUCCAGCAAAGGGUCGGGGAGGAGUUCCGUCAGCACGACGGCGUGGUGACGAUCUUGAUGUUCUACCGUCGCAGGGCUUCGCCUAAGCACUGCUACAAUAUGAUGGAGGUGGAAUAUGGUGGCACGGGGCACCGCACACGGCUAAGGAACGAUCUCAAUGAUCAACUUGUGUGUCUAGAGGUGCCCCCUGCCUCCGUAUAUAAAGGAGCCAAGGGGGAGGGGGCCGCCGGCCAGGAGGAGGGCGCAGGAGGAGUCCUACUCCUACCGGGAGUAGGACUCCCCCCCCCCAAUCCUAGUUGGACUAGGAUUCCCCGAGGGGGAAAGAGAGAGAGGGGGGCCGGCCACCUCUCCUAGUCCUAAUAGGACUACGGGAGGGGGGAGGCGCGCGGCCACCUUGGGCUGCCCCUUUCUCCUUUCCACUAAAGCCCAUCAAGGCCCAUAUGGCUCCCGGGGGGUUCCGGUAACCUCCCGGUACUCCGGUAAAAUCCCGAUUUCACCCGGAACACUUCCGAUGUCCAAAUAUAGGCUUCCAAUAUAUCAAUCUUUAUGUCUCGACCAUUUCGAUACUCCUCGUCAUGUCUGUGAUCACAUCCGGGACUCCGAACUAACUUCGGUACAUCAAAAUGCAUAAACUCAUAAUAACUGUCAUCGUAACGUUAAGCGUGUGGACCCUACGGUUCGAGAAUAAUGCAGACAUGACUGAGACACAUCUCCGGUCAAUAACCAAUAGCAGGACCUGGAUGCCUAUAUUGGCUCCUACAUUUUCUACGAAGAUCUUUAUCAGUCACACCGCAUAACAACAUAUGUUGUUCCCUUUGUCAUCGGUAUGUCAUUUGCCCGAGAUUCGAUCGUCAGUAUCCAAUACCUAGUUCAAUCUCGUUACCGGCAAGUCUCUUUACUCGUUCCGUAAUACAUCAUCUCGCAACUAACUCAUUAGUUGCAAUGCUUGCAAGGCUUAAGUGAUGUGCAUUACCGAGAGGGCCCAGAGAUACCUCUCCGACAAUCGGAGUGACAAAUCCUAAUCUCGAAAUACGCCAACCCAACAUCUACCUUUGGAGACACCUGUAGUACUCCUUUAUGAUCACCCAGUUACGUUGUGAUGUUUGGUAGCACCCAAAGUGUUCCUCCGGUAAACGGGAGUUGCAUAAUCUCAUAGUCAUAGGAACAUGUAUAAGUCAUGAAGAAUAGCAACAGCAACAUACUAAACGAUCGGGUGCUAAGCUAAUGAAAUGGGUCAUGUCAAUCAGAUCAUUCAACUAAUGAUGUGACCUCGUUAAUCAAAUAACAACUCUUUGUUCAUGGUUAGGAAACAUAACCAUCUUUGAUUAACGAGCUAGUCAAGUAGAGGCAUACUAGUGACACUCUGUUUGUCUAUGUAUUCACACAUGUAUUAUGUUUCCGGUUAAUACAAUUCUAGCAUGAAUAAUAAACAUUUAUCAUGAUAUAAGGAAAUAAAUAAUAACUUUAUUAUUGCCUCUAGGGCAUAUUUCCUUCAGUCUCCCACUUGCACUAGAGUCAAUAAUCUAGAUUACACAGUAAUGAUUCUAACACCCAUGGAGCCUUGGUGCUGAUCAUGUUUUGCUCGUGGAAGAGGCUUAGUCAACGGGUCUGCAAUAUUCAGAUCCAUAUGUAUCUUGCAAAUCUCUAUGUCUCCCACCUAGACUAGAUCCCGGAUGGAAUUGAAGCGUCUCUUGAUGUGCUUGGUUCUCUUGUGAAAUCUGGAUUCCUUUGCCAAGACAAUUGCACCAGUAUUGUCACAAAAGAUUUUCAUUGGACCCGAUGCACUAGGUAUGACACCUAGAUCGGAUAUGAACUCCUUCAUCCAGACUCCUUCGUUUGCUGCUUCCGAAGCAGCUAUGUAUUCUGCUUCACAUGUAGAUCCCGCUACGACGCUUUGUUUAGAACUGCACCAACUGACAGCUCCACCGUUUAAUGUAAACACGUAUCCGGUUUGCGAUUUAGAAUCGUCCGGAUCAGUGUCAAAGCUUGCAUCAACGUAACCUCUUACGGUGAGCUCUUUGUCACCUCCAUAUACGAGAAACAUAUCCUUAGUCCUUUUCAGGUAUUUCAGGAUGUUCUUGACCGCUGUCCAGUGAUCCACUCCUGGAUUACUUUGGUACCUCCCUGCUAAACUUAUAGCAAGGCACACAUCAGGUCUGGUACACAGCAUUGCAUACAUGAUAGAGCCUAUGGCUGAAGCAUAGGGAACAUCUUUCAUUUUCUCUCGAUCUUCUGCAGUGGUCGGGCAUUGAGUCUGGCUCAACUUCACACCUUGUAACACAGGCAAGAACCCUUUCUUUGCUUGAUCCAUUUUGAACUUCUUCAAAAUCUUGUCAAGGUAUGUGCUUUGUGAAAGUCCAAUUAAGCGUCUUGAUCUAUCUCUAUAGAUCUUUAUGCCUAAUAUGUAAGCAGCUUAACCGAGGUCUUUCAUUGAAAAACUCUUAUUCAAGUAUACCUUUAUGCUAUCCAGAAAUUCUAUAUCAUUUCCAAUCAGCAAUAUGUCAUCCACAUAUAAUAUCAGAAAUGCUACAGAGUUCCCACUCACUUUCUUGUAAAUACAGGCUUCACCGAAAGUCUGUAUAAAACCAAAUGCUUUGAUCACACUAUCAAAGCGUUUAUUCCAACUCCGAGAGGCUUCCACCAGUCCAUAAAUGGAUCGCUGGAGCUUGCACACUUUGUUAGCUCCCUUUGGAUCGACAAAACCUUCCGGUUGCAUCAUAUACAACUCUUCUUCCAGAAAUCCAUUCAAGAAUGCAGUUUUGACAUCCAUCUGCCAAAUUUCAUAAUCAUAAAAUGCGGCAAUUGCUAACAUGAUUCGGACAGACUUAAGCAUCGCUACGGGUGAGAAGGUCUCAUCGUAGUCAACCCCUUCAACUUGUCGAAGACCUUUUGCGAGAAGUCGAGCUUCGUAGACAGUAACAUUACCAUCACCGUCAGUCUUCUUCUUGAAGAUCCAUUUAUUCUCAAUUGCUUGCCGAUCAUCGGGCAAGUCAACCAAAUCCAUACUUUGUUCUCAUACAUGGAUCCCAUCUCAGAUUUCAUGGCUUCAAGCCACUUUGCGGAAUAUGGGCUCACCAUCGCUUCUUCAUAGUUCGUAGGUUCAUCAUGAUCUAGCAGCAUGAUUUCCAGAACAGGAUUACCGUACCACUCUGGUGCAGAUCUCGCUCUGGUUGAUCUACGAGGUUCAGUAGUAUCUUGUCCUGAAGUUUCAUGAUCUUUAUCAUUAGCUUCCUCACUAAUUGGUAUAGGUGUCGCAGAAACAGUUUUUCUGUGAUGUACUACUUUCCAAUAAGGGAGCAGGUAUAGUUACCUCGUCAAGUUCUACUUUCCUCCCACUCACUUCUUUCGAGAGAAACUCCUUCUCUAGAAAUGAUCCAUUCUUAGCAAUGAAUGUCUUACCUUCGGAUUUGUGAUAGAAGGUGUACCCAACAGUCUCCUUUGCGUAUCCUAUGAAGACACAUUUCUCCGAUUUGGGCUCGAGCUUAUGAGGUUGAAGCUUUUUCACAUAAGUAUCGCAGCCCCAAACUUUAAGAAACGACAACUUUGGUUUCUUGCCAAACCACAGUUCAUAAGGCGUCGUCUCAGCAGAUUUUGAUGGUGCCGUAUUUAGCGUGAAUGUGAGCGUCUCUAAAGCAUAACCCCAAAACGAUAGCGGUAAAUCAGUAAGAGACAUCAUAGAUCGCACCAUAUCUAGUAAAGUACGAUUCCGAUGUUCGGACACACCAUUACACUGUGGUGUUCCAGGUGGCGUGAGUUGCGAAACUAUUCCACAAUUUUUCAAAUGUACACCAGACUCGUAACUCAAAUAUUCUCCUCCACGAUCAGAUCGUAGAAACUUUAUUUUCUUGUUAUGAUGAUUUUCAACUUCACUCUGAAAUUCUUUGAACUUUUCAAAUGUUUCAGACUUAUGUUUCAUUAAGUAGAUAUACCCAUAUCUGCUUAAGUCAUCUGUGAAGGUGAGAAAAUAACGAUAUCCACCACGAGCCUCAAUAUUCAUCGGACCACAUACAUCAGUAUGCAUGAUUUCCAACAAAUCUGUUGCUCUCUCCAUAGUACCGGAGAACGGUGUUUUAGACAUCUUGCCCAUGGGGCACGGUUCGCAAGUACCAAGUGAUUCAUAAUCAAGUGGUUCCAAAAGUCCAUCGGUAUGGAGUUUCUUCAUGCGCUUUAUACCGAUAUGACCUAAACGGCAGUGCCACAAAUUAGUUGCACUAUCAUUAUCAACUCUGCAUCUUUUCGCCUCAACAUUAUGAAUAUAUGUGUUACUACUAUCGAGAUUCAUCGAAAAUAGACCACUCCUCAAAGGUGCAUGACCAUAAAAGAUAUUACUCAUAUAAAUAGAACAACCAUUAUUCUCUGAUUUAAAUGAAUAACCGUCUCGCAUCAAACAAGUUCCAGAUAUAAUGUUCAUGCUCAACGCUGGAACCAAAUAACAAUUAUUUAGGUCUAAUAUUAAUCCCGAAGGUAGAUGUAGAGGUAGCGUGCUGACCGCGAUCACAUCGACUUUGGAACCGUUUCCCACGCGCAUCGUCACCUCGUCCUUCGCCAGUGUUCGCUUAAUCCGUAGUCCCUGUUUCGAGUUGCAAAUAUUAGCAACAGAACCAGUAUCACAUACCCAGGUGCUACUGCGAGCUCUAGUAAGGUACACAUCAAUAACAUGUAUAUCACAUAUACCUUUGUUCACCUUGCCAUCCUUCUUAUCCGCCAAUACUUGGGGCAGUUCCGCUUCCAGUGACCAGUCUGCUUGCAGUAGAAGCACUCAGUUUCAGGCUUAGGUCCAGACUUGGGUUUCUUCUCUUGAGCAGCAACUUGCUUGCCGUUCUUCUUGAAGUUCCCCUUCUUCUUCCCUUUGCCCUUUUUCUUGAAACUAGUUGUCUUACUGACCAUCAACACUUGAUGCUCCUUUUUGAUUUCUACCUCCGCAGCUUUCAGCAUUGCGAAGAGCUCGGGAAUAGUCUUGUUCAUCCCUUGCAUAUUAUAGUUCAUCACAAAGCUCUUGUAGCUUGGUGGCAGUGAUUGGAGAAUUCUGUCAAUGACGCAAUCAUCUAGAAGAUUAACUCCCAUCUGAAUCAAGUGAUUAUUAUACCCAGACAUUCUGAGUAUAUGCUCACUGACAGAACUGUUCUCCUCCAUCUUGCAGCUAUAGAACUUAUUGGAGACUUCAUAUCUCUCAAUCCGGGCAUUUUCUUGAAAUAUUAACUUCAACUCCUGGAACAUCUCAUAUGCUCCAUGACGUUCAAAACGUCGUUGAAGUCCCGAUUCUAAGCCGUAAAGCAUGGCACACUGAACUAUCAAGUAGUCAUCAGCUUUGCUCUGCCAGACGUUCAUAACAUCUAGUGUUGCUCCAGCAGCAGGCCUGGCACCUAGCGGUGCUUCCAAGACGUAAUUCUUCUGAGCAACAAUGAGGAUAAUCCUCAAGUUACGGACCCAGUCCGUGUAAUUGCUACCAUCAUCUUUCAACUUUGCUUUCUCAAGGAACGUAUUAAAAUUCAACGAAACAACAACACGAGCCAUCUAUCUACAAUCAACAUAAACAAGCAAGAUACUAUCAGGUACUAAGUUCAUGAUAAGUUUAAGUUCAAUUUAAUCAAAUUACUUAAGAACUCCCACUUAGAUAGACAUCCCUCUAAUCGUCUAAGUGAUCACGUGAUCCAAAUCAACUAAACCAUAACCGAUCAUCACGUGAGAUGGAGUAGUUUUCAAUGGUGAACAUCGUUAUGUUGAUCAUAUCUACUAUAUGAUUCAUGCUCGACCUUUCGUUCUCCGUGUUCCGAGGCCAUAUCUGCAUACGCUAGGCUCGUCAAGUUUAACCUGAGUAUUCUGCGUGUGCAAAAACUGGCUUGCACCCGUUGUAGAUGGACGUAGAGCUUAUCACACCCGAUCAUCACGUGGUGUCUGGGCACGACGAACUUUGGCAGCAGUGCAUACUCAGGGAGAACACUUCUUGAUAAUUUAGUGAGAUAUCAUCUUAUAAUGCUACCGUCAAUCAAAGCAAGAUAAGAUGCAUAAAAAGAUAAACAUCACAUGCAAUCAAUAUAAGUGAUAUGAUAUGGCCAUCAUCAUCUUGUGCUUGUGAUCUUCAUCUCCGAAGCACCGUCAUGAUCACCAUCGUCACCGGUGCGACACCUUGAUCUCCAUCGUAGCAUCGUUGUCGUCUCGCCAAUCUUAUGCUUCCACGACUAUCGCUACCGCUUAGUGAUAAAGUAAAGCAUUACAUCGCGAUUGCAUUGCAUACAAUAAAGCGACAACCAUAUGGCUCCUGCCAGUUGCCGAUAACUCGGUUACAAAACAUGAUCAUCUCAUACAAUAAAAUUUAGCAUCAUGUCUUGACCAUAUCACAUCACAACAUGCCCUGCAAAAACAAGUUAGACGUCCUCUACUUUGUUGUUGCAAGUUUUACGUGGCUGCUACGGGCUUAAGCAAGAACCAAUCUCACCCACGCAUCAAAACCACAACGAUAGUUUGUCAAAUAGACUCCGUUUUAUCCUUCGGAAGGACCGGGCGUAGCCACACUCGGUUCAACUAAAGUUGGAGAAACAGUCGCCCGCAAGGCACCUGUGUGCAAAGCACGUCGGGGGAACCGGUCUCACGUAAGCGUACGCGUAAUGUUGGUCCGGGUCGUCUCGUCCAACAAUACCGCCGAACCAAAGUAUGACAUGCUAGUAGGCAGUAUGACUUGUAUCACCCACAACUCACUUGUGUUCUACUCGUGCAUAUAACAUCAAACCAUAAAACCUAGGCUCGGAUGCCACUGUUUGGGAACGUAGUAAUUUCAAAAAAAUUCCUACGCACACGCAAGAUCAUGGUGAUGCAUAUCAACGAGAGGGGAGAGUGUGAUCUACGUACCCUUGUAGAUCAAUAGCGGAAGCAUUGACGCAAUGUAGAGGAAGUAGUCGUACGUCUUCCUUAUCCGAUCGAUCCAAGCACCAUUACUCCGGCACCUCUGAGUUCUUAGCACACGUACAGCUCGAUGACGAUCCCCGGGCUCCGAUCCAGCAAAGCGUCGGGGGGGAGUUCCGUCAACACGACGGCGUGGUGAUGAUCUUGAUGUUCUACCAUCGCAGGGCUUCGCCUAAGCACUGCUCCAAUAUGAUCGAGGUGGAAUAUGGUGGCAGGGGGCACCGCACACGGCUAAGGAACGAUCUCAAUGAUCAACUUGUGUGUCUAGAGGUGCCCCCUGCCUCCGUAUAUAAAGGAGCCAAGGGGGAGGGGGCCGCCGGCCAGGAGGAGGGCGCAGGAGGAGUCCUACUCCUACCAGGAGUAGGACUCCCCCCCCCCAAUCCUAGUUGGACUAGGAUUCCCCGAGGGGGAAAGAGAGAGGGGGGGCCGGCCACCUCUCCUAGUCCUAAUAGGACUAGGGGAGGGGGGAGGCGCGCGGCCACCUUGGGCUGCCCCUUUCUCCUUUCCACUAAAGCCCAUCAAGGCCCAUAUGGCUCCCGGGGGGUUCCGGUAACCUCCCGGUACUCCGGUAAAAUCCCGAUUUCACCCGGAACACUUCCGAUGUCCAAAUGUAGGCUUCCAAUAUAUCAAUCUUUAUGUCUCGACCAUUUCGAGACUCCUCGUCAUGUCCGUGAUCACAUCCGGGACUCCGAACUAACUUUGGUACAUCAAAAUGCAUAAACUCAUAAUAACUGUCAUCGUAACGUUAAGCGUGUGGACCCUACGGUUCGAGAAUAAUGCAGACAUGACUGAGACACAUCUCCGGUCAAUAACCAAUAGCGGGACCUGGAUGCCCAUAUUGGCUCCUACAUUUUCUCCGAAGAUCUUUAUCGGUCAGACCGCAUAACAAAAUACGUUGUUCCCUUUUCAUCGGUAUGUUACUUGCCCGAGAUUUGAUCGUUGGUAUCUCAAUACCUAGUUCAAUCUCGUUACCGGCAAGUCUCUUUACUCGUUCCGUAAUACAUCAUCUCGCAACUAACUCAUUAGUUGCAAUGCUUGCAAGGCUUAUGUGAUGUGCAUUACCGAGAGGGCCCAGAGAUACCUCUCCGACAAUCGGAGUGACAAAUCCUAAUCUCGAAAUACGCCAACCCAACAUCUACCUUUGGAGACACCUGUAGAGCUCCUUUAUAAUCACCCAGUUACAUUGUGACGUUUGUUAGCACACAAAGUGUUCCUCCGGGAAACGGGAGUUGCAUAAUCACAUAGUCAUAGGAACAUGUAUAAGUCAUGAAGAAAGCAGUAGCAACAUACUAAACGAUCGGGUGCUAAGCUAAUGAAAUGGGUCAUGUCAAUCAGAUCAUUCAACCAAUGAUGUGACCUCGUUAAUCAAAUAACAACACCUUGUUCAUGGUUAGGAAACAUAACCAUCUUUGAUUAACGAGCUAGUCAUGUAGAGGCAUACUAGUGACACUAAGUUUGUCUAUGUAUUCACACAUGUAUUAUGUUUCCGGUUAAUACAAUUCUAGUAUGAAUAAUAAACAUUUAUCAUGAUAUAAGGAAAUAAAUAAUAACUUUAUUAUUGCCUCUAAGGCAUAUUUCCUUCAUCUAUCCCCCUAGGAGCAUGCGCGUAGUACCGAGGUUUUUGAUGACUUGUAGAUUUUUGCAAUGAGUAUGUGAGUUCUUUAUGACUAAUGUUGAGUCCAUGAAUUAUACGCACUCUCACCCUUCCAUCCUUGCUAGCCUCUUCGGUACCGUGCAUUGCCCUUUCCCACAUUGAGUGUUGGAGCAAACUUCGCCAAUGCAUCCAAACCCUGUGAUAUGAUACGCUCUUUCACACAUAAACCUCCUUAUAUCUUCCUCAAAACAGCCACCAUACCUACCUAUUAUGGCAUUUCCAUAGCCAUUCCGACUUAUAUUGCCAUGCAACUUUCCACCAUUCCGUUCAUCAUGACACAUUUAGCAUUGUCAUAUUGCUUAGCAUAAUCAUGUAGUUGACAUAGUAUUUGUGGCAAAGCCACCGUUCAUAAUUCUUUCCUACAUGUCACUAUUGGUCCACUGCAUAUCCGGUACACCGCCGGAGGCAUUUAUAUAGAGUCAUACUUUGUUCUAGUAUCGAGUAGUAAUUAUUGAGUUGUAAAUAAAUAGAAGUGUGAUGAUCAUCAUUAAUAGAGCAUGGUCCCAAAAAGAGAAAAAAGGAAGGGCCAAAAAAAGGCCAAAUAAAAAAAUAUAAAAAAGGGGGGCAAUGCUACUAUCCUUUUUUUCCACACUUGUGAUUCAAAGUAGCACCGUAAUCUUCAUGAUAGAGAGUAUCUUGAUUUGUCACUUUCAUAUACUAGUGGGAAUUUUGCAUUGUAGAACAAUGGGCCUCCUCAAGUGCCCUAGCUCUUCGUGAGCAAGCAAGUUGGAUGCACACCCACUUAGUUUCUUUUGUUGAGCUUUCAUACAUUUAUAGCUCUAGUGCAUCCGUUGCAUGGCAAUCCUUACUCCUUGCAUUAACAUCAAUCGAUGGGCAUCUCCAUAGCCCAUUGAUUAGCCUCAUUGAUGUGAGACUUUCUCCUUUUUGUCUUCUCCACAUAACCCCAGUGAUUAUAUUCUAUUCCACCCAUAGUUUUAUGUCCAUGGCUUGCAAUCAUAUAUUGCGUGAAAGUUUAUAGGUUUGAGAUCACUAAAGUAUGAAACAAUUGCUUGGCUUGUCAUCGGGGUUGUGCAUGAUGAGAGCAUUCUUGUGUGAAGAAAAUGAAGCAUGAUUAAACUAUAUGAUUUUGUAGGGAUGAACUUUCUUUGGCCAUGUUAUUUUGAGAAGACAUAAUUGCUCAGUUAGUAUGCUUGACUCUUUUGGAUCUGAAUAUUCAUACCACAAGUAAGAAGAAUUACAUUAAAAUCAUGCCAAGUAGCACUCCGCAUCAAAAAUUCUGUUUUUAUCAUUUACCUACUCUAGGACGAGCAGGAAUUAAGCUUGGGGAUGCUUGAUACGUCUCCAACGUAACUAUAAUUUUUGAUUGCUCCAUGCUAUAUUAUCUACUGUUUUGGACAAUAUUGGGCUUUAUUAUCCACUUUUAUAUUAUUUUGUAACUAACCUAUUAUCUACUGUUUUGGACAAUAUUGCCUAGAUUUGCUGUUUUUUUGCCUGUUUUAGGGUUUCGAAGAAAAGGAAUAUCAAACGGAGUCCAAACGGAAUGAAACCUUCGGGAACGUGAUUUUCUCAACGAACAAGACCCAGGAGACUUGGACCCUCCGUCAAGACACAAAAGAGGAGGCCACGAGGUAGAGGGCGUGCCUACCCCCCCCCCCCUGCGCGCCCACCACCCUCGUGGGCCCCCUGUUGCUCCACCGACGUACUCCUUCCUCCUAUAUAUACCUACGUACCCCCAAACGAUCAUAUACGGAGCCAAAACCCUAAUUCCACCGCCGCAACUUUCUGUAUCCACGAGAUCCCAUCUUGGGGCCUGUUCCGGAGCUCCGCCAGAGGGGGCAUCGAUCACGGAGUGCUUCUACAUCAACACCAUAACCUCUCCGAUGAAGUGUGAGUAGUUCACCUCAGACCUACUGUUCCAUAGUUAUUAGCUAGAUGGCUUCUUCUCUCUUUUUGGAUCUAAAUACAAUGUUCUCCCCCUCUCUUGUGGAGAAUUAUUCGAUGUAAUCUUCUUUUUGCGGUGUGUUUGUUGAGACCGAUGAAUUGUGGGUUUAUGAUCAAGUCUAUCUAUGAAUAAUAUUUCAAUCUUCUCUGAAUUAUUUUAUGUAUGAUUGGUUAUCUUUGCAAGUCUCUUCGAAUUAUCAGUUUGGUUUGGCCUACUAGAUUGAUCUUUCCUGCAAUGGGAGAAGUGCUUAGCUUUGGGUUCAAUCUUGCGGUGUCCUUUCCCAGUGACAGUAGGGGCAGCAAGGCACGUAUUGUAUUGUUGCCAUCGAGGACAACAAGAUGGGGUUUUCAUCAUAUUGCAUGUGUCUAUCCCUCUACAUCAUGUUAUCUUGCUUAAGGCGUUAAUCUGUUUUUAACAUAAUACUCUAGAUGCAUGCUGGAUAGCUGUCGAUGAGUGGAGUAAUAGUAGUAGAUGUAGGCAGGAGCGGUCUACUUGUCUCGGACGUGAUGCCUAUAUACAUGAUGAUACCUAGAUAUUAUCAUAACUAUGCUCAAUUCUGUCAAUUGCUCAACAGUAAUUUGUUCACCCACCGUAGAAUACUUAUGCUCUCGAGGGAAGCCACUAGUGAAACCUAUGGCCCCGGGUCUAUCUUUAUCAUAUUAAUCUCCUACUACUUAGUUAUUUCCUUUGCUUUUUUACUUUGCCUUUAUUUUACUUUGCAUCUUUAUCACAAAAAUACCAAUAAAAUUAUCUUUAUCAUAUCUAUCAAAUCUCACUCUUGUAAGUGGCCGUGUAGGGAUUGACAACCCCUAUUCGCGUUGGUUGCGAGGAUUUAUUUGUUUUGUGCAGGUACGAGGGACUCGUGCGUAGCCUCCUACUGGAUUGAUACCUUGGUUCUCAAAACCUAAGGGAAAUACUUACGCUACUUUGCUGCAUCAUCCCUUCCUCUUCGGGGAAAACCAACGCAGUGCUCAAGAGGUAGCAAGGGUUCCUUUUUGUCGACGAUCCUAUGUUUCAACCUUGUUUUCCAGGCGGCCAAUGCGUCGCUAAACUUGGGCAUGGCGUGUUUGUUUAUCUUCUUCAUUGCCAGGUCCUUAUCUGGAUCUUUAUUAUCCUUUUCAUUGCGGUUAAUGAACAAGAAUAUCUGGUGCCGCUUCUUUAAAAGGGAGGGCCUCAUAUUAUCUAUCUUCUGUAGUUUCCCAUCGUUGAUCGUGGCAGUUGUCCGUACGAUGCAACCUAUUUGAUUGCCAUAGCACGAUUGCGCUUCCUCGGGCGCUAUUGUCUCAAAAAUACCGUUGUCCAUCUCCGUGACCACCAGUCUAGUACUCGUGAGCUGGUUUCGGCGCCGUGGCCUCUUUGCUUUCGGUUCUAGACCAGCUCCGCUAGUCUCGGCGCCGGUCUCAGUCUCAUCGCCGGUCUGCAUGUCGGUAUCAGUCCCCGAUGCGACAGCACAGUCGCUGCAACAUGGGUAAGGGAGACCACAUCAGUGCUGGGGGGGUCUGAAAAUUGGGACACACUUUCGCGCAUCGCGGGCCGCCUCUCAGACAGCUACUGGGGAGGCGGCGGAGUACCUGGGUGCGCGGUAAAUCCCCGGGAACUCGGUGACCAACUUCCUUCCCGUGUGGUGCAUGGAGACGACGACGACCCCGGCAAAGAGCAGCUUAGCCGUGAGCUGCACAGCCUCGUCCACCUCCUAAGUUGGGUCCUCCGCGCGAGCGUUGCGGGGCCGCCGCUCGGAUGGCUUCUGGAAGGCGCUUGUACAUGGGCAUAGGGUGAAUCCCGGCGAGAGCUAGCCAUUGGCGCGCGCAAGUAGACGACGACGUCCCCGACGAAGAGCAGCCCGGCCAGCUCGCCUCACUCUCCUUUGAUUAGAAUUGAAAGAUUGGGAAGAAGCAGACUUGAGCCUGCAGGGAAAGGAUAAGGUGACGAUGCAGUCUCCACUCGUUCGGGGCGACACGCGAAUUGAAUGUAUGAGAAACGUGACGUGGCAGGGACCCCAAGAUACUCCCUCCAUUUAUUUUUAGUCUGCAUAUAAAGUUUGGUCAAAGUCAAGAUUUGUAAAUUUUAACUAACUUUAUAAUAAAAAAAUAUCAACAUUCACAAUAUGAAAUAAUUAUUACCAGAUGCGUGAAGAAAUGUAUUUCCAUACUAUAUAGUUUUGGUAUUGGAGAUGUUCAUAUUUUUUUAUAUAAAUGGGAAGUAGAGGCACUCUUCCAUAUAAUGAAGUUUAUAAUAUAUGUGCUUAUAUUGUACUAUAAUUGUUUGAAUAACUUAGCAUAUGUUCAGAUGUAUGAUAUCUGUAAUUUAAGCGCUUGAAUUUUACAUAUAAAUAUUUAUUAAUAAAUAUGUACCCCUAUAAUAGCUAGGCCGUGCAGUUGCACGGGUAGAUGACUAGUGAUUACAGUCUUGUUUGUGUGCAAGUCAAGCUUAUCUAGUUUACACGUAACAACUCGUAGAACAUGUUUAUGCUUGCUAAUAACUUCUAGAACACUACAACACUUUACAUGUAAAAGGAAUUUCACGAGUCAUGGCCUACUAAAGCAAGUUACAUUACUAGUCUUAUAUCUAUCUUAACAGACCACACAAGACUACAAACUAAGUACCAUGACAGCCAUGCUUAUCUAGUUUAUGCGUAACAAUUUGCAGAAAAUUACAAACUUAGUUUUAGAAAAAUGGGCAAUCCAGAUUAGUGUUUGAGCUGUAAAGUGAAUAAGAUGAGUCAUGUGUGUUAUCACACCUUUUUGGUGGUGGAAUGAUAGUGCAACAACAAGGAACUUUAAUGAACAGUGCAAGAAUACACUUGUAAGUAGUGCCACCAAACAGAACAUACCAAAUGAUGAUUUUGAGAAGCAUCCAAGCACUUUCCACACAAACAAAUGCCAAUUGUGAAAGAGAUCAUUCCAUGGCAGCUAUAAAUAGCCCCGUAGCAUGACGAUCAUCCUUCCUCAUCCAUCAUUCUCAUAAGUAGAACGCAUCAUUUAAGCCAAGCAAGGUGUGGUCAAUACAAAUCCACCAUGAAGACAUUUCUCAUCCUUGCCCUCCUUGCUAUCGUGGCGACCACCGCCACAACUGCAGUUAGAGUUCCAGUGCCACAAUUGCAGCCACAAAAUCCAUCUCAGCAACAGCCACAAGAGCAAGUUCCAUUGGUACAACAACAACAAUUUCUAGGGCAGCAACAACCAUUUCCACCACAACAACCAUAUCCACAGCCGCAACCAUUUCCAUCACAACAACCAUAUCUGCAGCUGCAACCAUUUCCGCAGCCGCAACUACCAUAUUCGCAGCCACAACCAUUUCGACCACAACAACCAUAUCCACAACCGCAACCACAGUAUUCGCAACUACAACAACCAAUUUCACAGCAGCAGCAGCAGCAGCAACAACAACAACAACAACAACAACAACAACAACAACAACAACAACAACAACAACAACAACAACAACAACAACAACAACAACAAGAACAACAAAUCCUUCAACAAAUUUUGCAACAACAACUAAUUCCAUGCAUGGAUGUUGUAUUACAGCAACACAACAUAGCGCAUGGAAGAUCACAAGUUUUGCAACAAAGUACUUACCAGCUGUUGCAAGAAUUGUGUUGUCAGCACCUAUGGCAGAUCCCUGAGCAGUCGCAGUGCCAGGCCAUCCACAAUGUUGUUCAUGCUAUUAUUCUGCAUCAACAACAAAAACAACAACAACAACAACCAUCGAGCCAGGUCUCCUUCCAACAGCCUCAACAACAAUAUCCAUUAGGCCAGGGCUCCUUCCGGCCAUCUCAGCAAAACCCACAGGCCCAGGGCUCUGUCCAGCCUCAACAACUGCCCCAGUUCGAGGAAAUAAGGAACCUAGCGCUACAGACGCUACCUGCAAUGUGCAAUGUCUACAUCCCUCCAUAUUGCACCAUCGUGCCAUUUGGCAUCUUCGGUACUAACUGAGAAGAAAAUAACUCUAGUACUAGAUAUAUGAAACACCGUUUUCUCAGUCCAUGGUUUGGUCAUUGUAGCGGUGAAAAAAUAAUGUGACAUGCACUAUCAUGUAAGAACCCGAACUAUACUAGUUCAAACUUGGGAAUAAAAGACAAACACAGGUCUUGUCUACAUAUUUAUGUUGCAUUUAUCUAAAGAUAACAAAAUGAGUCUAAAAUUUGAAUUAAAUUGAAGUAUUUUCUUGGACUUUAAUUUGCACAUUAAUUAGAAAUUACUAUCCCUCGAUCUGGUAAAUCUUAACAAAUAGAAUUAUCUUGACCGUUAGAUUUAUGUAACAUAUAUAAUGCUCUGGGCCUCCAACGACUGUACGUGACACAUCUGAACGCACAUAUGUUAAAGAAAAUAUAUUUUGUAAAUGGUGGGCCUCUUUAAAAAGAGAACUUACGUACAUACACCAACUAAGAAAAACACAUACAUGUAAAUGGGAAAAGGAUGAGAUUUUCUCACGUACAUGUGUUGAUGCUUAAAAGUGGCACGAUCAUAAAGCAGCAUGCCGGGGCGAAAACCUUGCCGGGGUAAAAUCUUGCUGGUGUGAAAGCUUGCCGGUGUGAAGGCUUGCCGGCGUGGAAACCUUGCCGGCACAGAAAGAUCGCCGGUGCUUGCCGGUGUGAAAUCUUGCCGGGGGAGAAACCUUGUCAGGGAGGAACCCUUGCCGGAGUACAAACCUUGCCGGAGUGAAACCUUGCCGGUGUGAAAGCUUGCCGGGUAGAAACUUUGCCGGUGUGGAAAGCUUACUCGGAUGGAAAACUUGCCGGGUUGGAGGCUGAGAUAGUCAAUCGAACGAGAAGUUGAAGAUGGGCUCAAAAGGUUAUUCAGAUGAUCUCGGAUGGAAAAAUGAUCUACAGGGUUGUCUUCGUCUCGUCGAAACGAUCGAUUUUGAUAUAAAAAUCAUUCAAAUCCGAGUUCGUAUGCAAAAGUUAGAGCAAUCAGAGUGCAGCCCUGUCACGAGGCGAGAUGUGGCACGCCCACCAGACACAUGUCUGACGGGUAGUGUGAGGAAAUAGCCUGUGUUGCGAGACCGAUCUGACCCUCAAGAUGACCUCUGAUCAAAAAACCUUCAACAUGAAAGUUGUUCGUCUCGUCGAAACGGUCAAGAUUGCUUUUGGGCUUGUUUUCAUCCGGAAUCGUUUACCACCGCAAAAAAGACCCGCAAGGUGCAGCCAGUUUUAACCGAACAGUUUUGGAAAGUUUGGAUAAACCAGUCCGAAUUUGACUAAUGUUUUGGACGUGAAUUGAUGUAAUUUUCUUGUAAGGAAAGCCUAGAUAAAUUCUUGGCUUGUACGGGAAGUCCAGCUGCCUCUUAUAUAUGUUGGGGGUGGCGGCCGAUUGAAACAACACAUAAUCGAACAAACACAUAUACUACUUUUUCGUGUUCAUCUACUUUUUAUCUCUCCCUUGUAUCUUUCUUCUCGUUCUUCGCUAGUUCUUCAUGCUGGAGGGCUGCGGAUCCACGAGGCUCUAGGGGCGAGUGAAUCGACCUAGGGCAGCCCAUAGCCGCCGCAAUCCCUGACGGGGUCCCUCCCGGGUGCGCGGGGUUUCGGGUCUGCAAAAGCGCCCGCCGACUGCCUUGCGUAUCACGCUGUCGGUCGGGUCUCCUUCGACGUGAGCUACGGUGCAUCACCCCCGGCGUCGAGGGUAAACGUGACAUGUUCGUGUGCGAACACACUUUUUGGCGACUCCGCUGGGGACGAAGCUCUGAACAGUCUCCAGCCUGUUCUUGCUACGAGGAGAGCGUCACCAAGCGGCUGCAAUCUACAACGGUAACAUGUAUCGUCAAUCUCCUUGCGUAGAUGCAAAUAGCCAUUAUGUUGAUGUUGCUAGAUCUUUCAACGGACAUGUGAUGUCGGCCAGCCCUAAUGAGGAAAGGCCGACUAGUUAUUCCAUUGGAGAAACUUGGAAUUUACAGAAUCGUGACAUGCAACUUAUGAAUCUGAACUUUCGUGCAUCGGCAACAACUUUCAAUAUGCCGGUGAACAACACGAUUUGUUCGAGUGAUCAAUAUAGGACACCUCAUGUACAGGAGGGUAUCUCAAAGUUUUAUCCAUCGGCAGCCGGCUCGCAAUAUGCGGGUUCAUCCCCAAACAUGCCGAUGAAUGGGGGAAUCGGUCAUGCUUUUGUUAGCUAUUUGGCCGGUUAUCCUCAAACAUCAUAUACUACACCUCAUCAGAUUAAUUGUUCAAUGGCGUAUGAAACUAAAAAUAUUCAUAACUCGGCUCACGUUCACGGUCAUGGCCGAGUGAAUGGAGAUACUAUAGGAGCAUAUGUGCCUAAUAUUGCAGGAGAUGAGGUGGCUCUGGCUGCAUUAAAAAUUUUAGCCCAAAAUAAGAAGAUUAGUGCUAUUUUCCUUGAGCAACACGACAAGGGAUUGGUUCCUGAUUAUGAGGCAAUAAGAGCUAGGGUUUUGAAAGAAGACCAAGUGUUGCCGAUUGAUCAAAUUGUCGAGAGAAAAUAUUCAACAACGAUGCACAUGCCUUCACCUAUCAUUGCAGCAUGUUAUACACCCCCUGUACAAGCGCAAAAUUUCGGCAACAUUAAUUCAUUGCCGAAAGAUCCUAAAAGUAUUGGGGGGCAAGCCGAUCCAAGCAGGGUUGAGUUUAAAGAAAAAUAUCUAGCCCAAGUGGACAAGAUCAAGCCAAAGCUCACAGGGAAUAGAGUCAACGAAUUUACUACACCUACCCUUGAGGAAUUACCAGCAGAAUAUCGACAGGCCUACGAAGCACUCAAGAAGAAACGUGGAGAGGGAUAUUUGCAAGAAUACUUCAAGUGCCUUCCUCCAUGUAGCAACCAUGUUGGCCCUUCUACACUGUUGAGGCAAGAUAAAAAAAGAAGCUUUGCAAGCAAACCAGCAAAAAAGGAUUCACUCGGCUAAUACGGUGGAUUCGGUUGAAACCGGAUUGAGCAACGGGAUGUUUAAGGCCGAGUGCGUUGCAUCGUGCCAGCCGAGUGCAUCGUUCCAGACGAGUGCAUCACCAGCUAAAGCCGAGUGCAUCAAGCCAACUAUUGCCUCGUGUACGAAAAUAGAAGAUGCAAGCUUGGCUGAGCAAAGGAACAACAAACGCAACAAAUUGGUUGUGCUCGAUUUUUCUGGAUCUAAGGGAGCUUACAUGCUACCUUAUGAGUUUCGUGCUAAAGAUAUUGAUGAGCAUCAAGAACACAGUAAUGGCUGAACACAGUUCAGUUAACGAUGAACAUCAAGACCAAGAAAAUGCGGCCGAGCAAAGUUCAACUGACAAAGAGCGUCCGAGUGAAAUCCACUCGGGCAAUCCGACUGAAAUAUACUCGGGCAAUUCGAGUGAAAUAUACUCAGGCAAUCCGAGUGAUGAGGCACCAGAUCCAGAAAAAGAGGAAGAGGCAUUGGAGAAUUAUUCAUAAGUGGAGCAAUGUAUUGUUCCAGUGGUGCAACCAUCUUCUCCUUCCAAUGUCUUCACAAAGGUACACCUAGAAGAUAGUUUACUCAAUUUUCAAUUCGGUCAAAAUGAUAUUGUUGAUGUACCUAUUAGUAAGAUUCUAAUUAAUUUUGAAAGACCAAUUGAAAUGAGUAAUCUUUUUGUUAGGAAGGAUCUUGUCACUAAUCAUGAUAGUCAACACAUGGUAUCGUUCAUAGAGGCUAAUAGUGACAACUUAUCAAAACCAAAGUUGUUCUUGUCAUGCCAACUGAACUUUGUAUUCAUAUGGACAACUUUGUUUGUUUCAUGCCCGGCUAACAUUUGGACUCGUAUGAGCCGUAUAUUCUGUAAUUAUUUUAGUUGCAGAAACAUAAAGCCAGGUCCAAAGUCCUUCGAAGCCAAUUCAAAUGCAUCAGGAAAAGAAGAUGAAUCUUUCCCAAUUGAUAAAAUUGGCGAGCAAAAAUAUGGUUUUACAACAAUGCAUAUGCCUUCACCUAAUACUACAUCAUAUUAUACAGCCCCUACACAAUUGCAAAGUUUCGGCAACACCCAUGUGCCAUUGCCGAAAGAGUCUAAAAGCAAUGGGGGACAAUCGUAUCCGAAGUGGGCUGAAAAUGAGAAAAAGAUUAAAGCCAAUUUCGCCACUCGCCGCCAGAAACAAAAAGAAACAGAAUUGGCUCAAGUGAAAGAAGCAUUGCCAAUUGGUAGAAGCAAUGUAAAGAAAGAUGAUUCAGAACAUGAAAGUACUCCGGUUAAAAGAGCCGAAUCAAGAAGUAUAUAUUCUGAAUCCAUCAAAUGCAAAGAGGCAAGCAUUAUUGAGAAAGGGCAUGGCAAGCAUAGCAAAGCGACCAUACUUGAUUUUUCUAAAGUUAAUGGAACCUACUUCCUGCCCUAUGAGUUUCGUGCCAGAGAAUUUUGAUGAACUUCAAGGACAAGAACAAGUAGCCGAACAAAGUUCGGCCGACAAAAAUCUUCAAUGUAAUGAUGCACGGAAUCAAGAAAAAGAUGAUGAAGAAGCGUUGGGGGGCCAUCCAAAGGCGGAGCAAGAUAUUGUUCAAGUCACACCACCAUCGUGCUCUCCCAACAUAUUUGAAGAGGUAUGUUUAGCAAGUAAUUUACUUAUUUUCAGAUUUGGUCAGGACUUUAUUGUUGAUGCAUCUAUUGGAAAAAUCCUCAUAAGUAAUUUUGAAAGACCAAUGAAGAAGGGUAAUUUACUUGCUAGCAAUAAAGUUGUUAUUGAGCAUAUCGGUCAACCCAUUACGCCAUUUAUAAAGACCGAUAGUGACUUAUUAUUACAGCCAAAGCUUUCCCCGUUGCUUUAUCUAAAGUUCAUAUCUAUUUGGGUAGCUUUGCUUAUUUCAUACUUGGCUUGCACUUGGUCUCAAUUGAGACAUGUGUGUUCUAACUAUUUUCGUUUUAGAAAUUUAAAGCCAAGAUUAAAUUCUGUUGAGAAAACCGAUGCUAGUAUAAUAUCUUACCCAAAGACAUCGGAGAUAGAGUGCAAAACACAAUGCAUAGCCGAAUGGUGUGAUGCAAAAUCUGAACCAUUCGUUUGCUUAAUUCCAAAGCCGUUCUCACAGCAAGAUCGGCUAGAAAACAAGAAGUAUACCUUCAAUUCAAGCAUGUGUGUUCAAAUAUUUGAUUUGUUGCUGAAAAAUAAUUACAUUACAAUUCUUGAUCACCAUGUUAAGCCAUCAAUCCAAGGACGAAUGUAUUGUAAGUUGCAUGAUUCGUCCAAGCAUGAUUUUGAGGAUUGCAACAUGUUUCGUCAAAUAGUUAAAUCGGCCAUUGAAAAAGGACGAUUGAAGUUUGUUGAAACACCAAGAGAUGACCAGUCUAUUCCGAUUGGUCCCGAUGGCAAAAAGUUUUUGCAUCGGCUGCUUCGAGCCGAUCCAUUUAAAGAGAAGGUAAAAACUGCAGGUGAUGGGAUCAAGCUUUCAACUAAAGAAGUUGUUGAAGAGCAUAAUGAACAUAAUCUUGAGGGUGAGAAUUCCAUCGAAGCUACAAUGGAGACGCCAAGGACUGGGGGGCAGCAAGCAAAUCCAACGAUCGAUGAAAGCAAACCAAAAGAAAACAAAGGCCGAAAUAAGCGCAAGUGUAAAAUAUCAAAAAUCACCUUCGCUGAACUAUUGGAGAAAUAUCAAAAGAAGAGUGAAGAGAAGAAUGCUUAUCGGCCCAAUCAUGCAAAGAAACCAAAAUCACCCCCAAGGCGCAAAUAUGAGGAUCCGUAUUGGCAAAGUGAGAGUUUCAAUGCAACAUAUUCAUAUCCUUAUUUUGGGCCGCCAAUGACAAUGCCGUGGAUGCCUCCCUAUACUCAUGUAGAUCCAUGUUCAUCAUGGGACAGGUAUGAUACAAGGGCACAUUCUCCAUCUUAUUUUAGACCAUCUCACCAAUAUUAUGCAGCUCCGAGAAGAUCAACAUUUGAACAGUCACAUGUUAAAGAUCGUUUCAAUUAUAAGGAAUCGGUCCGGACACCAUGGAUGAAAAAAGAGGUGGUCAACCAAGUCUACCGCGUGAAAAGAGAUGGUCGUAAGUGUGCUACUUCAGAUUUGAUCUCAAAUAAUAAAGAGCCAAUUAAAGUGUUGACAUUGUCUACAAAAGGCAAUGAGACGAAGCAACCAAUUAUUGAGAGUCAAAGUGCCAAAUCAGAAGAAAAGAAGUUGAGAGUGCACAAGGUCAAAAAGGAAUUGCCAUUGGUCAGAACAGAAUCAUAGCCGAGAUGCCCACUCGGCUUAUCGUAUUGGCAAAAGAGGGAAUUACACAAACUUAGUGCACAAGAACUUGAAGAAAGGAACAUGGCAUGGGUUCCCAAAGGAAGUGCUCAAAAUAAGAAUUAUGUGCAUGCCUCCAUUACAAGAAGUGCGGCAAAAGUGAAGAAGGAAAAGAGUAAAAACUAUGAAGGACCAAGCCGAAGGAUUCAACAUCUUUGGUCUACACAUUAUCCAUAUUCUUCAACUAUGCCAUUAACGCCUAUGCCAUGGAAUUCGUCAUCAGGUAUGAUUGGUAACCCUCAAUGGGCUUAUUUUAAUCCAUGGAUGCAAUAUAAUUUCUUACGUCAUGAAAGGGUAUUACCAAGUCACUAUACAUUUGAUUAGCUACAAGUUUGUUGCUGAUCCAGAGGGCCGAAAUACUUGAUUUGUCAUUUCAUUUGUUUAUUUCGGCUAUAUGUGCUUUGAAUGAAGUUUACAUGGUAAUGGCCGAUGAUAUUUAUCUAUCGUCCUAAGAGUAUGUCAAUUCAUGCCCGGUGUAGUAUUCUAAUAUCAUCCUUAGUUUGAUGGAGAGCGAGACAAGGUACAUGCUCAUGAAAAUUUAUAUGUAUGCCUAUAUUAUGAUUGAAUGGAGUUGAGACAUCAUGACCGAUGUCAUUGAAUAUAUGCUGCAUAGACCAAUUCAUAGCUGCAGAAUUGGUUGGUGGGCUUAUACUUUGUUUGGAUAUGAUUUGGCUUAUGCAUCUUUGAGAUCUAUAAGAGGCCAAAUCAUAGUUGAUUUUGUUACUGAACAUCGGAUUAGUGUCAUGCAUAAUAUUAAUAUUAUCCUUGUCUCUCUAGUACUAUGGAGAUUAUGUUUUGAUGGUUCAAUUCAUAGCAAUGGCCAAAGUGUUGGUGUUGUUUAUAUAUUUCUUUAUGGUACUAUUUUUUGAAGCCUCGUGCCGCUUAGAAUAUUUUUAUGCACGAUUAAUCAAGGCCGAAUAUGCAUUGUUAUUCGGAUUGACUCUUUUACUUGCUGUAGGUGUUAUACAGAUUGAGGCUUUUGGUGAUUCGUUAUGAGUAGUGCAACAAAUAUCCAAGGAUUAUCAAUGUGUUUUGACGAAUCACUUAUAGUUUAUCUUGGGUUUGUCUAGAUGAAGAAUUUACCUUGGGUUGCAUUAAAUUUUUUCAUAUAUUUAGACAUGACAAUUGGAGAGAGUUGGCAUAGCAAGCAUCCGGCUACCAUGUCCAUCAUGUUGUAUUGCGUUUCUCUCAAUAGCCGAUGCUUAGUCUUGUCAACAUAGGUAAGGCCGAACCGAAGUCUAGAACUUCGGACACUAAUGAAAUUUUUAUGCAGGCGAAAGUAAGGAUUGGAGAAAGUUUAUUGUUGAUUGUCUACAAAAUCCUAGCAAAAGGGUGAACAAUAUGGUUCGGAGUAUGACAUUGAGAUACAUAUCUAUGGAACUUUAUCACCGGAUUGUUAAUGAAGCUGAGAAGGUUUCACCCAAGUUUGCAUCAGAAAGUUCACACAAGACAUGGCCGAUAUAUACUUAUCGUCCUAAGAACAUAUAAAUGGCCGAUGGAGUGUUGACAUCGUCCUUAGAACAAACUUGGUACAAGUAUUUUUCGGCAUGCUAGCUUUACCGAAAAACGGGAGGGCAUGUGUUGACGCUCAAAAGUGGCACGAUCAUAAAGCAGCAUGCCGGGGCGAAAACCUUGCCGGGGUAAAAUCUUGCCGGUGUGAAAGCUUGCCGGUGUGAAGGCUUACCGGCGUGGAAAGCUUGCCGGCACAGAAAGAUCGCCGGUGCUUGCCGGUGUGAAAUCUUGCCGAGGGAGAAAUCUUGUCAGGGAGGAACCCUUGCCGGAGUACAAACCUUGCCAGAGUGAAACCUUGCCGGUGUGAAAGCUUGCCGGGUAGAAACAUUGCCGGUGUGGAAACCUUACUCGGAUGGAAAACUUGCCGGGUUGGAGGCUGUGAUAGUCAAUCGAACGAGAAGUUGAAGAUGGGCUCAAAAGGUUAUUUAGAUGAUCUCGGAUGGAAAAAUGAUCUACACGGGUUGUCUUCAUCUCGUCCAAACGAUCGAUUUUGAUAUAAAAAUCGUUCAAAUUUGAGUUUGUAUGCAAAAGUUAGAGCAAUCGGAGUGCAGCCCUGUCACGAGGCGAGAUGUGGCGCCCCCCACCAGACACAUAUCUGACGGGUAGCGCGAGGAAAUAGCCUGUGUUGCGAGACCGAUCUGACCCUCAAGAUGAUCUCUGAUCAAAAAACCUUCAACAUGAAAGUUUUUCGUCUCGUCGAAACAGUCAAGAUUGCUUUUGGGCUUGUUUUCAUCCGGGAUCGUUUACCACCGCAAAAAAGACCCGCAAUGUGCAGCCAGUUUAAACCGAACAGUUUUGGAAAGUUCGGAUAAACCAGUCGGAAUUUGACUAGGGUUUUGGACGUGAAUUGAUGUAAUUUUCUUGUAAGGAAAGCCUAGAUAAAUUCUUUGCUUGUACGGGGAGUCCAGCCGCCUCUUAUAUAUGUUGGGGGUGACGGCCGAUUGAAACAACACACAAUCGAACAAACACAUCUACUACUUUUUCGUGUUCAUCUACUUUUUAUCUCUCCCUUGUAUCUUUCUUCUCGUUUUUCGCAAGUUCUUCAUGCUGGAGGGCUGCGGAUCCACGAGGCUCUAGGGCCGAGCGAAUCGACCUAGGGCAGCCCAUAGCCGCCGCAAUCCCUAACGGGGUCCCUCUCAGGUGCGCGGGAUUUCGGGUCUACAAAAGCGCCCGCCGACUGUCUUGCGUAUCGCGCUGUCGGUCGGGUCUCCUUCGACGUGAGCUGCGGUGCAUCACCCCCGGCGUCAAGGUUACAUGUGACGUGUUCGUGUGCGAACAACGUGCUCCCUGGCUCCACCCCGUUGAAAAAAUAUACAUUUGGAGGCCACUUUGUUUCCUCAUCAAAAAAAACUUACGUUAAAAAGAUUGCAUGCAUCCCAGGGAAAGUAAUCAAGAAGAAGUCGGACUCUUCCUUACAAAAACAAGGAACGUGUUAAGUUAACUUCAAAGAAAAAGGAACAUGUUAAGUUAAAAAAAAGAAGAAACAUGUUAAGUUAGAAAAAAACAAGGAACGUGUUGUCCUAGGAAAGAUAUGUGUCAAAUCUUACAAAAAAAAGAAUACACACACGUACGUUCAUGCACUUGGAAAAUAGAAAAAAAAGGAACAUCACGUAUGUAUACACUUCGGAAACUCAUUACAUGACCAUGUCUGAUAUACUCAUCUAAUGCUUAAUAUUAGUGCCUAAUAAUUUAUAUUUAAAAUUUAAUUUACUGAUCAAAUAUCCCCAAUGUUUAAAUUUUAAUUUGGCACAUUGUUUGGCUAUAGUAUGAACCUAAAUUUCCUCUUAUUAUUAUAUAUCAUGAUAAUAAUCCAAAGGCGACUAAUCUGCGCUGGUGCACCGGGGCAAUCAAUUCGGCCGGACACAGCGCGGCCUUUUGAUUAGAUUGCAUUUAACCGUCUGAUCUGGAAUUGUUUUCUUUCCAAUUAAACGGAUUCAACCAAACAGCAGAGGGGAAAACAAAGCAGCGCCGCCGCCAACACUAGCCAUGGACGAUCGAUGUAGCAAAACCUUGAAGAACCGCCGCCGGUCGCCACCCUCGCCGCUGGUGGCCGCCCUCGCCAUCGGUCACCGCCGGUCGCCGCCCUCGCCGCCUGCGUUUCUCAUCGGCUUCAUGCAUGCAACAACAUGCACUCGUGGUUGCAGGCUUGCAGCUCCGGCUCCGGGGGACAUGGCCGCAUCUCCGGUAACGCCGGCCGCCAACCAUAGCACCUGUCAUUGUGGUCGCGUUGUACCUCACCGUGUGCCCUCCCAAGGCUCUUGCUGGUUCCAACAAAAAACGAUACCUGUUGUAGCAAAAAAGUUUAUCGCUUCCAGCAAAAAAGCUUUCCGCUACAGCCCGCCAUUGUCAUUGUAGCAAAAAUGUUAACCCGAUGUAGCUUUUGUGGUUGCCGACUGCAACAAAAAAUGACAUGGUUGAAGCAAAACACAAAAGAAAAACGCCGGCCGGCCGCUGUGUAUGGUGGUAACAAACCCUAUAGCCGGUGGUAGCGAAAAACUUCAUAGUUUGCAGCAAAAAAAUGUUGUCGCCCGUCGUCGAGGUUGCAUCAUCUUCAUGAAUUAUGUCGCAAAAAAACAUUGUCGCCGGUAGUAGCAAAUGAAGCCGCCCGGUAGUAGCAAAACAAGACACUGGUUCCAGCCAAAAAAAAUCAGCGACAGAACCUUUGGUUGGUUCCAACAAAAAAACUUGUCGGUUGUAACAUCCCUCGCCGCCGGAUGUAGCAUCUCCCGGGGCUGGUUGCAACACUCUAAAAAAAAGUUGUCUAAGAGCGCAUCCAUGGCGACUGCUGCACCGUCAGCAACGAGGGGAAGAGGAGGCAAUGAAAAUCGUUCGAGUCGUAGCUCCACAGGACGCGGCUGCAGCAUGGGGAGUCCAAAAAUCUGUCACAAGCAACAUGCGCCUCGCCAUCCUCCUGCGUAGGAGAGAGAAGAAAAAGGAAUAAGAGGAAGAAGAAAGGAAACGGGAGAAAGAAAAAAGAAACGAUUGGUGGUGGGCUGAGGCAAUUAGUCAAACGAGGGGCACGCGGGGCCGCAGGAUACAGCGCAAUCGAACGAAGCACGCGCGUCCGGCCGAAGACUCGGCCGGACUGCCGGCUGGAAACGUUUCCCUAAUCCAAAGGCUUUGUCUGAAUGACAAGUCGUCUAGGUUACCGGCUAACUAGAAAAAAGAUAAAUAUGCUAGAGAAUUUCAUAAUAAUUAGAAAUAUCUAGCCUUUAAUUAUGUAAAUCAGAAAAUCACAACCGUAGGAUUUACUUUAAAGGUAAAUUUCUCUAAAUUCCCACCAUUGCCAGUAUGUAGAAACAUGUGCUGCUUCAAUUCUCCCAUAAUCACCAAUCAAUCAACAACACAAAACAUACCUCAGUUAAAAAAAACUGAACAAAAAAAAGAAAAAAAGAAGAAAGGACAAGAUACACGCAUGUACACGACAGCCUUGGCUUGAAACACAUCAGUAGAUCAAGUGUCCGCCUCCCUUACACAGAAUAAAUUCUAGGGAAGAAAAUAAUAGUGCAACCUAACCUUAUACGUACUAUUCUAUCCUCACGUCCCAUGAGGUUUACUAGCCUACCGCCGCCGCAUCAUGCCAUCCUCUCCUUUCAGCUCCCAUGCUCUCCAGCAUCCUCCUUGCCGCGCCACUACUCGCCUAGGAAUAUUGCUGCUCAGACCGCGGAGCUUAACCUGCUUCUUCUUCAGCAAAUAUGGAACUGCUUUAGGAUCCUUCUCACAUCAGCACGUAUGGGCCUCAUUAUACUGCAGCUCCUGGACCUCCUACAAUUGGUUGGCUAUGGCCAGUUGAUCGAUGUGCUGAAGUCUAGGUCUGUUUGCUGGCACAUAUGCUUUGGAAAUAGGCCACUAUGUUUGUACUUCAAAAUUGUUUCGGUAUUCUUGAGUGGUACAUCCUUUUAAGUGCCAGUUUUUUAUGUUAAUUCGACAACACUUAACCUAGCCUUUCAUGUUCACGUACUAAAUACAGGAGCAAGUAAAAAAAACAGACCACCUAAUUGCUCUGCAAGUUCUACAUAGGAAAAUUUGUCAUGUUCUACGAUCGCACCAUCCCACCCUUCUCUCUUGGUAUGGGCGCCAAUUGAGGGAUUGAUAAAACUGAAAUGAAGACGUCACAGGGCUGGAAGUACCGCUAGCCUGGUUUGCACUGCAACCUACCCAACGCCAUCAGAAACUAGCAACUGAGGCAGGUGUUGAUCGAUUCUCUCAAAUUGCUCUCAUGUAAGUACUACCCCUUGCAUGUGCGUACAUACCUUUGUUGCAUUCUCAAACAGAUAGAACAUGUAUGAUCGGUGCAUGGCUAUUUUUAGGUAUAGCGACUGCACAACUUCUUCAACUCCAUAUGAUGCUAGUGUAUUGCAUCGAAAGAAUCAACGGAUUGCUAGAGAUCAACUGAGGUAUUCUCAUAUUAUUGGCUCGCUUAUGUAUUUGACGACUGCCACGAGGCCUAACAUCUCGUUUGCUGUUAGCAAGCUGAGUCGGUUUGUGUAAAAACCAGGAGAUGAUCAUUGCCAUGCGCUUGAGAGAGUUAUGCGCUAUUUGAAAGGCACCGCGAGCAAUGGGAUUCACUACACCGGGUAUCCAAGGGUACUGGAGGGUUAUAGUGACUCAAACUGGAUAUCUGAUGCUAAUGAGAUUAAGGCCACAAGUGGUUAUGUUUUUACACUUGGUGGUGGCACUGUUUCUUGGAAGUCCUGCAAACAGACCAUCUUAAUGAGGUCAACUAUGGAAGCGGAACUCACAGCAUUAGAAACUACCACUGUUGAAGCAGAGUGGCUUCGUGAGUUCUUGAUGGACUUACCUAUAGUUGAAAAACCAAUACCCCCUAUCCCUAUGAACUGUGAUAAUCAAACUGUGAUUGUCAAGAUAAACAGUUCUAAGGACAAUAUGAAGUCCUCAAGGCAUGUGAAGAGGAGACUGAAAUCUGUCAGAAAAUUGAGGAACUCCGAAGUUAUUACGUUGGAUUAUAUCAAAACGUCGAAAAAUUUGGCUGAUCCCUUCACAAAGGGUCUAUCACGUAAUGUGAUAGAUAAUGCAUCGAUGGAGAUGGGUCUGAGACCCACCGCAUGAGUUGUCCAUAGUGGUAACCCACUCUAUGUGAUCGGAGAUCCCGUGAAGUAGAAGUGGGAGACAAGUUGUUGGUCAGCUGGGAGGAGAGUAUCCCUAUAUUACCUAUCCCACUCCCUGAAGAUGCAAUACUCUCCUAAUCUGCAUGGCAGGUUGAUACUUACCUUAAUGUGUUCCAAGUGGCUUAUUCGGGUAAGUAGAAAUGUUGUCCUGCAGAACAUCUUCUGAGGAACACACCUAUAUGAAUUUGACUGUUAACAUUGUAGUCUGUGAGAAUUGGGUGUUCUCUAAUAAAUUCAUGAAAAGGCCCUGGAGUAUGACGUAUACGCUCCACCCGCGGGGAAGCCUUGCGGCAGCCUAGUAUCGGUCAAGAAUUUGUGUGAAACUAGUCUCGCAGAAAAUUUGUAGUUCAAGGCAUAGUCCACUAUUUAAGUUGUGAUCUAGUGUAGCAUAAAUCUCUAAGUGGAAGUUCAACUUCAUAGUCUCCACUAAGCACCGGUAUAUAAACAAUGUUUUGGAACUAAAUGAUGAGAUGUUCCAAUGAGUCUUUGUGGGGGAAUUGUUGGAAUUUUGCUAGUACGCCUUUGGCCCAAAGCCCAACUAAAAUUAUGAAAUUUUCUUGGCCCAUUCAUGCAUACAUGUGAGUGGAGUGAGUGAGACUAAAGUAUAGUCCCACCCCGGAAGUUGAGAGAGAGCACCUCUUUAUAAGGUAAGCUCUUCUACCACUUGUAUGAGCAUGAGAAUAGGAGACCUACACACGCGCUCCUCCUUGCUCGCCACGCCACGCCUCGUCACGACGCGCUGCAGGUUGCGGGAUUGAGCGGAGCCGAGGACAGAGCUAUGCACGUUGUCUAUUUUUUGCUACCCGGGAAAAAUUAAUGAGUCAUUAAUUAAUAAUUAAUGGACGCGUUAAUAACUGAACCGUUUCCGAUUCUUUUGGAUCGUGACGACUCGGACAUGGGGUUUACUCCCACGACCUACCCGGCCCGCACUAUAUAGUCAGUCAGACGUCUACCCUAGCCGCCGCCGCUUCGUAUGGUUUCUCACCACCAUUCCAGAUCAUUGCGCCGCAAAGCAAGUCUUCUCCAUACCUCCUUUCGGCGUGCACUGGGAGAAGGAACAGCAGGCCUUCGGAACCCCGCCGCUCGUGAUCCUGUACGGGAGAGGGGCGAUCAGGUUUUUGGGGAGCGCACUCGCGCGACUGCUGGCAGCGACGACUUCGCGAAUGACGACUUCAUCCCGGACCUCGGCAACCUCAUCCUCGACGACAUGGGUGACAACGUCAACGCCGGCGGUGCUGCAGCCGCUGCACCGUAUGUUAUUCUAUCCUUCUUGUUCGAGAUCGUGGUAGAAUUCAGGUUUCUAGUAUGUGCCCUAGAUGUGAUCUGUUCAUCUACUCUGCUAGUUCGCAUGAUUAGUUUAAUCUCUGCUAUUGCUGUCAUGAUCUAUUUCCAAUUUAUUCGGAUUAAAUCUCGUAGUAAUUUGCUCAUUUUUCCAACAAUGCCAUCUGAUAGAUGAUGUAAUUCUCGUCAAGUUUGACGUUGUUGAGCUAAUUUACAAAAAAACCUCAUCAUUAUUGGAUGUCCUUAACAGCUCAAGAACAAGUUGGGGUCGAACUAAUGGAUUUUACACUUUUACAUUAAAGGUUUAGCUAAAGCUAGCAGGUGUUUUUAAACCUGAUUUUUUUCCUCCUAAAUUUCUUUGUAUUUUCUUAUUGACACUAUUUAUACAAUCAUCUGACAAAGAUUUGCUAAAGCUGCUUGUAGAUACGUUGAAACCUGAAAAGCUUCUUUGGUUUUCUCAUAGGUCUUAAUUCUUAUGUAAUACCAAGAUGCAUUGUGGUAGUGUACAUGUGUUAAAUUCGUGUUGUUAUUCACAAUUUGCGACAAAAUUUAGCUCACGCUACAUUUCAAUAUGUUGAAAUGUGAAAGCUCUUUUUCUUCUCCUUUCUACACCUUGCAUCGGAUUGCAUCCCUUUAGUUAUCCAACAUUUUGUACAACAUGUAGAGAUUAGGAAGUUCAUCAUAGUUUGUCUAUUUCGGUGCUAAUAAAUGUAUGAAAUCUGCAUUUCCAAGCUAUUAGGACAAGUAAAAAAUAAUAAUUUUACUAUAGGAUUCAAAAACAGCAGUUCUGAAGUGCACUUUAUUUAUUUGCGAAAGUGACCACAUUUUGUUUCAUUUUUCUAUAGACAAAUCUACUAAUACAUACUCACGAUAAAACUAUAAAAGUUCUAGUCCGCACAUUGGGCGGGCCACCCGGCUGGUUCGUCUAAAGAAAACAAAAUGAGUCUGGAAUUUGAAUUAAAUUGAAGUAUUUUCUUGGACUUUCAAAUUGAGUAUAGUUAAAGUAGUAAGGACUAUCCACAUCCUUGGCUUGCCCCUAAUCAAUUAUUUCCAGAGAAGCAUUCAAUUCAUCAAUCAAUUACAUUGAUUUUAGUGGCUGGUACUUCUCCUGAACAUCAGUAUAUUCACCGUGGCCACUCCAAAUCGGCAAGAAUGAGGUACCAGUGCUCUGGAGCAGUGCAAGCUAAUUGCUUCUCAUGUGAAGGGGUGCGGGCGCGGGAGAGGUAUUUCUGGUGGGCCAAGGGACUAAGAAGCGACCGUGGCAGCGGUACAGACGCCCGCAAAGCCCCAUAGUUUGUUUUUGAUUUACAGGAAAAUUGCACAUCCAUACUGGCCUGGGGAAUAUAGGACCGUAUUGGAUGGAAAACCAUGUCCGGAUGGUUGCGAGCGGUUUGAGGGUUAGCUUUUGUAACACCCGGUUAGUUAUGCUACAGCAAUUCCCUGCUAAUGAUGUCACGUCACCACGAUUACUGUUGUUAACCUCACAAUGAUUGAAUCCCAUUCAAAUUCAAAUUUAAAAUAAAGGCAAACAUCAAAAGUUUUCAAACAUGAAAACUAAAAUCUUUGAGAGGUGACAAAUAAUGCAUAAGUAAUUAUGGUGGAGAAACCACACUUUAAUUAAAUGUUAAAAUACUCUAAAAUGAAAAAAACAGUGGCUUAAACUAUUAUUUAAAUGCUUUUAAAAUAGUAAAAAUCUUCUAACUAAAUUAUUUGGGUACCAAACUUUUGGUGGCAGUGGUAUAUUUAGUAGAACUAAUUUAGAUGCUAAUUAUAUAAUUUACAAAAUUAGAAUAAAUUGAAAAAUAGGAUAAAACGGAAAAGGAAAGACAAAACAAAUAAAAGCAAAAAGGGGGCAACCCCUCGCUGGGCCUCGGCCUAGCUGGCCACUAGGCGAGCUAGGCUGGCCCCGCUGCCUCCCUUAACCCCCACACUCCUCAUCGAACCCAAGCCCGAUCGCCCCACUUCCCCACACCCCCUCGCCAGCCUCCCCACCCCUUGAUCCCAUCUGGAUCGGCGAGUGUAUUGCCCCCAUCGACCCCGUUGCCAUCGCUAGAUCGCCCGCCGACGUCGCCAGGCCUCCUCCCCGCCGCACGUCUUUGGCUCGCCUCUCCUCUCGCUCCUCUUCCCCGGCCCGAUCUUGAUCGUGAACGAGCAAUGAGCUUGAAGCCCCCCUUCACCGGCGCCAUCACCGUGCGCCACCACCACCGCCUGAAGACCUCACCGUCGCUGAACCUUGCGUCGCCUCCUCGUAUCCCUCCCCUACUCACGUCCUCAAGCCAGGCCGAGCCCCUUCUCGGCAACGCUGUGAGACGCCCCCGUUUCCCUCCUCUUUCCACCGCGUUCACCACGCCGCCCGCCAUGCCCCUCGCCGUGCGCAUGCCCACCACCGCACCAGCCCCCGCUCCGCGCACGACCCUACCCGCGCCCGCGACAUGAUCCCCUUUUCCGCCCUAUCUUCCUGCGCUCGCCGCGGUCCCGAUGCUCCCCCGCGCCUUCUUUCAGGGGCGCCGACUGCCCCUGUCCCGCUGCUCGCCGCCGUGCCUCGCCACCGCUCUACUGCUGCGUUACUACUGUGCUGCGGCCGCCGCCUCUUCCUGCUGCUCCGCCAGCGCCGAAGCUCCCAGUUGGCUCCACCACUGCUCACUUUAAACCGCCGGCCUAAAUGGCCUAACCCCGGCUAAUGAACCCCCACUAACCCACUGACACCGGGACCCACAUUCCCUAAUUAACCAUUUAAUAAAUUAAAACUCUUAAAUUAACAUUAGUGUAUGACAUGUGCGUCCCCUGUUAAUUAAUAAUUUUGCUGCUAGUUUUAUUAGUUUCUGUUUUUCUGCAUAUUUCUUUUGUAUUUGAACACGCUUUAUACAGUAAUAUUUAGCGUAUCAUACACAUACAAAUGUAAUCAUAGCAUAUACAUACAAAUAGUCUCAUCAAAUCAUGUCAUCAUCAUAAUCAUCAUCCAUCACAAAGUGGUCUCUCGUCAUCAUCUCGAAAAUAGCGAUACAAGUCUCGAUUACUUGCAACUACAUCGUCAUCCAUCUAAAUAAUGAUAUACGCGAGAAGAGCUAUUACUAUGAGUACGAGCGGAACUAUGCAGUACAUGAGGCUGUAUCCCUCUCUCGCAUUAGCGUGAACCUAAACUAACUACUGGCUGUUGCUCGGAAACCGGAAACCGGUACACCUAGGCUUGACACUCCGGCCACUCGUCGUAUACUCCUGGCGUAGAACUUCUUCUCCAUCGAUGAUCUAUGUGAAGGAAAUAUGCCCUAGAGGCAAUAAUAAAGUUAUUAUUUAUUUCCUUAUAUCAUGAUAAAUCGUGAUGGGAAUGGGCCGGGUCGGCCCGCUGGGUCACUGACUCGGCCCGAAAUCUCGAGGCCAAUGGGCCAGGGAGGUUGGCCUCGAAUCACAAAACGGGUCAGUGGAGCCGGCCCCGUGUGACCCGAUGGACCAGAUGGGUCGACCCAGCGCUGCCCUAGUCCUCCAUCUAUGCCGCCGCCCCCCACGAUCUCUGUAGCCGCUCCCGAUGAUUUCUUCCGCCGCCGGCCAUCUUUGCCGCCCCUGGCAUCCCCCGACCUUCUCUAUCGGCCGCUCCCGACCUGCUGCCGCCGCCGGCUGCCCCUGAACAUCUUUGCUGGCCUGCUGCCGCCGGCGUUCCUCCCGCAUCUCGUUCGUCGUCUUGGUCGCCGUCGAGCUCGCUGACCUGCGGUCCCGUCCACCAUCUACCUCGCCAUUCCGGUCGCCGUCCUCAUCGUCAUCAUCACGCAGGUGAGACUCUUGCCGGCUUCCUCCCUGUCCCAGCGCAGCUGCAAUGACUGGUCUAGUUUAGGUUCUUGGUCUUGCUGGCACUCUCUGCGUUGUCUGCAAUUGUUUCAGUAGUUGGAGCUUGGAAGAAAUAGUCAACACUCAAAAAUAGACUGUUUGAUUGUUCAGCAUGGGACUUGUUUGAUUGUUCUCAAGAAGAAAUAGUGCUUCAGUUGAGCUCCUGUGUAGCUGCAGUUUAGCAUUCAACAACAGUUUUCUUUUUUGUGCAGCAUGCCACUUUCUUUUUUGUGCAGCAGCUUAGCUGCAGUUUAGCCUUUCGGUCCUCUGAUCCGAGGAAAAGUAAUUAGUGUUACUUCCUGUUGUUGGUUACUAAAUAAACCAGAAAUAGUUGUCCUGUGAAACAAUUUUACUCUGUUUUUUUGUUGAAUCGGCAAAUUUUACUCUGCUGGUAGGAUGGAGUAGUGCAUAUGUUGAUGAUGCUCACGAAAAACCUUCCUGGAGUAGUGCAUAUGUCCAACUGUGAGUUUCUUCUAUUCCUCGAAUGGCCGUUUGGUGUGGUGUUCUCCUAAUUUGUUGCCUGACAAGCUAGGUGUUGUGGGCGUGCUGCAUAAGAAGUAACAAUGGUUAGAAGAUGUAGUUAAUGCUUAGUUUUUUAUGUGAUAUAGGGUCAUGUGACUUCUUUUUCUUGGGCUAGCUGCCAGGUUGAGUUUGCGUAUAUGCAUAUCAGUGUAGCUGAUCCAUCGACAAGUCCAGCAUUUUUUAGUGUCAGUUCAGGGGAUGCUUUACUGGCAGCGAUUUCUGUAGUGUUGCUCAAUGGGAUGCUUUGCCGACAGUGAUUAGACCGUAAACUAAACUAUCCGGUUUCUUAUCUGCAUGCAUCUGCUGUUGAUUUUGAAAGUUAAUGCUCUCUAAUGUUCAUAUAUUUCCCUCUGAUUAGAAAAAUGGAAGAGGAGGAAGGGGACCAUGAGGCAUACCAAAGUGGUGGUUCAUCGUUGAUAUCCGGUGCGAUAAUGAGAAGGGCUCAACCACCCCCAGGGGUGUCUCCUUCUUCGAUAGACAUCUGUAGAGCUUAUCAUGGUGAGUAUUGUUAAUCUUUCUUUUUAUAGGGAUGCAAAUUAAUGGUUGCUAAAAUAAAAAAUACUCAUAAUUGUAAUGUUAACACUCGUGUCCUUUGCUCAGCAGGACGUUCGCAAGACACUCGUAUGGUUGAUUUUGAAGAAGAUGAGGCUGAUGAAGAAGAUGUUGACUAUGAAGAAGCAGAGGAAGGAGAAGAAGAUGAGGAUGAUGAAGAAGAAGAAGAAGAUGAUGAUGAUGAAGAAGAAGAAGAAGAGGGAGAUAAUGUGGAUGAAGAGGGAGAGGUUGAGAUCAUUGACAUGGGAUCGUUUUCUGAACCGGGAAGAAAGUUUUUGUCGAAAGUGUGGAAAGAAUAUGAGCCUAUCCGUGUUGAUGGCAUUGUUGUAGCUGCUGAGUGCAAACACUGUGCAAGGAAUAUUUGUGCUGAGCGUAAACAUGGAACAAGUUCAUUGCGCAAACAUUUGAAGAGAUGCAGGGAAAGGAAGAAGGUUCUUAGAGUUUCUGGACAGCUGAGUGCUUCUAUCGUGAGUCCUGAUGGAGUUGCAAUGGGGCUUUGGACCUUUAAUCAGGCAUUAGCACGCCGAGAGCUGAUGAGGAUGAUAGUGUUGCAUGAAUUGGCAUUCUCAUUGGUGGAGUACGAUGGAUUUAGAAGAUUUGUCUCUAGUUUAAAUCCUAGCUUCAAGAUGAUAUGCAGAAAAACUGUGAAGGAGGACUGCAUGAAAGCAUUUAAGGAAGAGAAGAGAAUUUUGCAAAGGAUGUUCCAAAACUCCAAAUCCAAGAUUUCUUUGACUACGGACCUAUGGACAUCAAAUCAGACAGUGGGGUACAUUUGCAUCACAGCUCACUUCAUUGAUGAGGAGUGGAAGCAGCAGAAGAGGAUAGUGAAAUUUGCAGCUAUGGAGACGCCGCACACAGGAGCUGCAAUGUUCAACGUCAUGGUGAAUUUCAUAAGAGAGUGGAACAUUGAAGAUAAUCUCUUUGCUGUGACGCUAGACAAUGCAUCGAACAAUGGUGCAAUGAUGAAGCUAUUGAAGGCACAUCUCCUGCUUAAGAAGAUGUUACCUGGUGGUGGCAAGUUGUUUCACCAACGUUGUGCCGCCCAUGUCAUAAAUCUGAUAUGUCAAGCAGGAUUGAACUUCCUUGGUCCAGUGAUCAACAUGAUACGUGAAACUGUGAAAUAUAUUCGAAGCUCACCAAGUCGAAAGGAAAAAUUUCAAGAAAUUGUUGAGCAACAUGGUGUAUCAUGUAGGAGAACUCCAAUUCUUGAUGUUCCAACUCGUUGGAACUCAACCUACAUGAUGAUUGAUAUAGCAAAAGAGUAUCGUGGAGUGUUUGACUCUUUGGCCAUUCAAGAUAAACAAUAUACCUUCAAGCCAUCUUUUGAGGAUUGGGAAAAUGCUGAAGAUGUUUGCAGGCUACUGAAGGUAUUUUAUGAAGCCACUAAUGUGAUAUCCGGCACAAAAUAUCCAACUGCUAACUUGUAUUUCCAUGAAAUGUGGAAAGUGAAGCUGACCUUAGAGCAACAACAUUAUGAAGAGGAUUCUGAGAUGGGCACAACGGUCAAAUAUAUGAAGAGAAAAUUUAGAAGGUAUUGGAAGAUGACAUGGUUGAGCCUUUGUAUUCCAGUGAUUUUGGACCCACAAUUCAAGUUGAAAUAUGUUGAUUUCCGAUUUGGCCUAGAGUUUGGGAACGAAGUUGCAGCAAUGAUUGCUAAAAUAAAAAAUGUGUUCCAAGGGUUGUUCAAGGAAUACCUCCAAUUGAAUGACAAUGGAUCAGAUCCCAUGUCACAAGGAGGUGAUGAUGACAUGGCUGUAAGUGGUGAAGAUCCUAUGGCUGAUUGGGUCCAACAUGUCACCCUCACUGCUCGAUCAACAAAUUUGGAUUAUACCGAACUUGAUUCGUACUUGUCAAAGGUACCCAUCCGCCGAAGUGAUCAAUUCAAUAUCCUUACAUGGUGGCAGACGAACUCCAGUGAAUACCCAACGCUGAGUCGCAUGGCAGCUGAUAUCUUGGCGGCUCCUUCCUCUGCGGUGGCAUCCGAGUCCGCCUUCAGCACAGGGAAGAGAGUCCUAUCAGAUUUUCGAAGUCGAAUGACCGCAACGACACUUGAAGCUCUUGUUUGUUUACAAGAUUGGAUAAGGGCCAACGGUAAAGCCAUACGACACAAGUUUCUUCUUUGUUUCUUAUUAAUGCUUCAAGUUUACAAGUUUCUUUUUUUUCUGCAGCUAAUACUCAACGUAGCUUGGCUUCAGUUCAUGACAUUAUAAUGGACUUACAAGGUAUGAGAAAUCUUCUGAUGUAUAUAGUGCCAUGUAUAUGAAGUACACUUAGUAUGAAGUCUGCUUUUUAUUUAGGGAUUUCAUAUCUACAGUUUGUUCCAGGGAACUAUUUGCAAGAUGCAACCCAAACAUGUAGAUGAGUAUAUAGAGUGUUUUACACACAGAACUAGUGCUUUUAUUUUUGGUUUCCCCAAGUUGUAGUUGAUCUCUAAUAUAUAUUUCUUUUUUCUCUCAGAUAUGAAUGUGUAGUUUAGAUUCAUUUUUUUAAUCGCCAAACUAUAUUAAAAAUAUGCAUUGCUAACUACAGUAACUUGAUUAGAAUAUGUUGCGGAGUGGAUGACAGGUAGUGUAUAAUGGAUAUUUAGAAGUGUAUUUUCUUGCAAACCUGAUCAUGAAUUGGUUUUCUGGAACACGCCUUUGCUACUAAGAAUAUUCCUCUGUUCAUAAAUAUAUUAUUUAGUUUUUUUGUGGAUAAAUAUACUAUUUAGUUGAUGUGCACAGAAUUACUCUUGUAACAUUUCUUUGCAAAUACAGAUAUCGAGGACUGAUGCUUGUUGGAGCAAUUGAUGUUAAAGCUCAAGCAGAUGGUGAAGAAGAUAUGUCAGCUUUCUCUAUAACCUACUGGAUGUGAAAAGAUUAGCAUGUUGAACUUGUAAUAUUUUGAUCUUGCAUGAGUCUGUUGGAUUGAGGUCAUUAGCUUGACGUUCUUUGAAAUCUGUAAUCUUUUGGUCUUGUUCGAAUCUGUUGGAUUGAGGUCUUUUGCUUGAUGCUCUUUGAAACAUGUAAUCUCAUGAUCUUGCCAUUCUAGAAACAUUUGCUAAAUUCUGGGUCGGCCUCAUGUACCCAAUGGGUCAAUGGGGCCACAAAAUUCUGAUGAAAUGGGCCGGCCCGUGGCCUCACAUUUUGACCUUGGGGCCACGGGGCCGGGGCCGGGGCCAGGGCCGGGUCGGCCCAUUCCCAUUCUGAAUGAUAAAUGUUUAUUAUUCAUGCUAGAAUUGUAUUAACCGGAAACAUAAUACAUGUGUGAAUACAUAGACAAACAGAGUGUCACUAGUAUGCCUCUACUAGACUAGCUCGUUAAUCAAAGAUGGUUAAGUUUCCUAACCAUAAACAAAGAGUCGUUAUUUGAUUAACGAGGUCACAUCAUUAGUUGAAUGAUCUGAUUGACAUGACCCAUUCCAUUAGCUUAGCACCCGAUCGUUUAGUAUGUUGCUAUUGCUUUCUUCAUGUCUUAUACAUGUUCCUAUGACUAUGAGAUUAUGCAACUCCCGUUUGCCGGAGGAACACUUUGUGUGCUACCAAACGUCACAACGUAACUGGGUGAUUAUAAAGGAGCUCUACAGGUGUCUCCAAUGGUAGAUGUUGGGUUGGCGUAUUUCGAGAAUAGGAUUUGACACUCCGAUUGUCGGAGAGGUAUCUCUGGGCCCUCUCGGUAAUGCACAUUACACAAGCCUUGCAAGCAUUGCAACUAAUGAGUUAGUUGCGGGAUGAUGUAUUACAGAACGAGUAAAGAUACUUGCCGGUAACGAGAUUGAACUAGGUAUUGGAUACCGACGAUCGAAUCUCGGGAAAGUAACAUACCGAUGACAAAGGGAACAACGUAUGUUGUUAUGCGGUCUGACCGAUAAAGAUCUUCGUAGAAUAUGCAGGAGCCAAUAUGGGCAUCCAGGUCCCUCUAUUGGUUAUUGACCAGAGACGUGUCCUGGUCAUGUCUACAUUGUUCUCGAACUGUAGGGUCCGCACGCUUAACGUUACGAUGACAGUUAUUAUGAGUUUAUGCAUUUUGAUGUACCGAAGGUAGUUCGGAGUCCCGGAUGUGAUCACGGACAUGACGAGGAGUCUCGAAAUUGUCACACCCUAGCUAGUUUAUGCAUUAGAGUGUGCAUCAUGUUUACCUUCAUCAGAAAUUGAAAUGGGGAGAGCAGAACCCCCAGCACCCCCCCCCUGAAAUCAACGAGGGUUUACUAAAAAUAAAUUCAAUGAACCUGAAAUGCCCUUGAAAUAUGUUCACCCUCUUUGCCUUGGGUUAGAACCCUUGGGAAAAAUGGUGCAUAUAAUUUUAGGUCAACAAAAGGGGCAUUGACUUAAUUCAUAAAUAUUUGAAUUUGGGCAUUUAAAAUACUAUUAUAUAAUUCAAAUGCUCAAAUAAUGUUGGAACUAUUUUUGGGCCACUGAAAUAUUUCAGAAAGUGUCCAUAAAUAUUUUCAGGAUUUUAUAAAAUGAUUUAGUAUCUGAACUAAAUCAAAACAGAAUAACAGAAAUAGAAAAACAAAAAAAAAUAAAGAGGGAAAGACCAUGGGCCACUUACCUGGCCCAGCGCCAGGCCACUAGCGGCCCAGCCCACCAGGCCGAUGCCAGUCGUCCCCUAGCUCCUGCCAGGAGGACGAAGGGCGUGUGCCCGCGGUGCGCCAGCACGCACACGGCCACCGACGGCCACCUCCUGCUUCGGCCGCCUCCCCGACGUCGCUUUGGACGCCACGCAUCCCCCCCUGACCCCUCGCUCACUCUCUUUCAUCCUCAUCCCCUCCUCUGCUCUCUCUCCCGCGCAACCGCCAUGAGCCCGAGAGCGCCGACGAGGACCACCACGGCCACCGCCUACCCCUCGCUUCCCUGACCAGCUUAGAGGCUCCGCCUCGACCCCGUCUUCCUUCUCACCGAACCACGCCCCGCCGGAAGCCCUGCGUCAUCAAAUUCAAGCUCUUCUUCAAGCUUCGGCACCGACGAUCGCCGCCGUCGAUUCGCUUGCUCCAGUGCCUCCCCGAGCUUGCCGAGGCCACCGCUGCAACUGCUGUGAGCUCCUGUGUCGUUUCCCCCUCCCCCCUGGCUCGAUUUCUUCUUCUAACACCGAUGCCCGUCAGAACCGAGAGCUCUUCGCCGCCGGCCAUGCCGCCACCGUGACCACAGCCGUGCAAGCUCACUCCCGAGCACGGCAACGUGCUCCACACCUCACCAAGAGCACGUGGAACCCAUCAGUUUCCCCUCCCGUGCACCACAACGCCGAUCCGCUCAACUCCCGAACUCCGGCCGCCGCGCAAGUUGCCGCCGCCGUCGUUUUAGGCCACUAGGGCUGCUGCCGUGUGCACAGAUAGAUGCGGGCGAGUCCCAGCUCCGCGUAGAUGCCCUCCGCUGGCCAUUUGGUCGCCGGAGGAGGAUUUCCGAGCCCCUCCGCCGUCUCUGGCCUUGCCGGCGACGAGCCGGGGUCAACUCCGGCGUGUUUUGACCCCGGGUCGGCUGGGUUGACUCCCCCCUGACUCACUGACGUGUGGGCCCAGGCGCCUGCCUAAUUACCAUUAGUUAAUUAGAGUUAAUAAAAAUUAGCUAAUUAGUGAGCCACUGACAUGCGGGCCCCGCCCGGCUAACCAAGUUAGUUAGGGUUAACUAACUUAGUUAGUUGAUUGUGUCACUGACCAGUGGACCCCACUGGUCAUGUUUGACCUGGAGGCGCCAGUUGACCUGCUGACAUCAGGGUGAUGUCAUGCUGACGCAAUAACUCUUUUUCUGGAUUUAAUUUUAUAUAGAAAAUUCCAGAAAAUUGCCUAAACUUCAAAAAUUCAUAGAAAUUCAACCAUAACUCCAAAUGAGACAAAUUAUAUAUGAAAAAUUAUCAGAAAAAUUCAAGGAAUCCAUCUGUACCAUUUUCAUGCAUGUUUGAACAAUGCUUGUCCUCUGUUUUGGACAAAACAAAUAAAGGGCAUUUAAAUAAUCAUAUAUGGGGUUGGAAUUUGAAUCUUGUACUCAAACCAACUCCAUUUAAAUCAUAGCUAGUUGCAUAAGCUCAAGACACAUCCAUAUUGCCAUGUCAUAGCAUGCAUCAUAUUGUUGCAUAUCAUCAUGUGUUGAUUGUGCUCGGUUGUGUUCUUCGUGGUAGGUUCUGCCUCCGAGGAUAUUCACGAGUAUCCAACUGAAGGGCAGUAUCCCGUUACCACUCCAUCAGGCAAGCAACCAUUGAUCAUUCCGAUACAACCCAUGUUCUCGCUCCUACUCUUGUUUACUGCAUUAAGACAACACGAUUCAAACUGCCGUGUGCUACGGUAGUUGAACCCUUAUCCUCUGCAUGACCUGUCAUUGCCACAGUAACUAGAUGAAACCCACUAGCAUGUGUAGGAGUUGAUUGAGCCAUGUUUUGUGAUUCCUACCUUGCUAUGCCUGCUAUGCUUAGAGUUGUGUCAGGUCUGGUUCAUCUGGGGAAUGGGCUAGAGUGAAAUGCUUGUGCCAGUAAAUUGUGGGAUGUGUUGAACAUGUUUUGGUAAAGGUAUCGAUGAGAGGCCAUGUAGGAGUACAUGGUGGGUUGUUUCAUUGAAGCCGUCCCUAAGAACUGAGUUCUGUAUGCGUGAAUUAAGAUUCAGCUACUACCACACAUUGGGCCCUGAAAUAUGACCCCGCUCGACUUACCGACCCCUCUCGCCUCAGUCCAGGAGUUGCAACUAGUUUCUGGUGUUUGUAGGAUAUGUGUUGGCGGCCGUGCGUAGCGCUGACCCUAGGGGUGGGCUAUGUUGCGGUAGAUACACCGUGGCACGGUGUACUGAGUCACCCGUUUGGUGUCUCGGGAACCCUGUUCACAUCGUUCGGGGCCGUUGAGGACACCCCGGCCGGAUUUCCUUGCGGAUGGAACCUGAAUAGGCGAUGACCCUGGACUAGAGACUCGUGAGGUUAGUCAGGUCGUGGUCUACACCCACGUCGGUUUUCGCUUGAAGUCUGCCGAGCACAUUUCGUGUGCAGACGCUAAGUGGUGGAAACAUGUGUGACGAAGUACACCCCUGCAGGGUAUAAAACUAUUCGAAUAGCCGUGUCCGCGGUAAAGGACUACUUGGUUGCAUAUACAGUUCAUAGACAAGUUAAUGGAUACUACUAAAAGACUCAAGAUAAGUGUGAGUACCGAGGAUGGCUCCCUCGCAGGAUACGAGGGAGGAUCCACGGUGGAGUAUUGUGAUGGUGAGUAGUGGACUCGUGUGCAAAAACUAUUUUGCUAAAAGAUUCCGUAGGAUAGCUUAGCCAAGAGUCAAAGCUGGUUUGCUGCAUAAACCCCACCACCUUCUUGAGAAUGAGCAUGUACAGUAGGUUCUGAUGUAAGACUUGCUGAGUACCUUUGUACUCAUGUUUGCUUAUUUAUUGUUUUCAGACGACAACACUGCCCCCUCCGAUGGGUUUUACGUAGACCUUGACGUCGACGAGUGACUAGCCACCCAGGUGGUGAUCCAGGCCAUGGAGGGCCCUAUGUAGAUAGACAGGCUUCGAGAAGCCUUCUUUCUUUCUAGAGUCUGUACCCAGACUAGUUGCUUCCGCAUGUGCUUGUAUGACUGUAUGACUUGAGUGUCGGGUCAUGUGACCCCUACCUGUAUGGAUAUGUUAUGUAUGGCUCCCUGGAGCCUUUAAAUAAAGUACCUGAGUUGUAGAGUUUUGUUGUGAUGCCAUGUUGUAUGUACUCAUAUCGAGCAUAUUGUAUGUAUGAUUGAAAUGCUUGGUAUGAGUGGGAUCCGACAAUCUAGUUGUUUGUCCUUCGCAGCCUUUCUUAUGGGGAAAUGUAGUCUAGUGCUCCUCGAGCCAUAGUAGUCCGCUACAGCCCGGUUCAGCGGAGUCCUACUAGCCCAGCACUACUGUUCAGGACACUUGACUAGCCGGCAUGUGUUUCACUUCGGGGAAAUGUCACGCGGUGAUCUCCGGAGUCCUGUCUAGCCUGCUACAGCCCGGGAUCCCCCGGAGUCCUGUUAGCCCAGUGCUACAGCCCGGAAUCACUCGUUGAUGACCGACAUGUUCGUUGUGAUUCAUGUAUGCCUGUCUCCAUAGGUCUGUGCCGCUUUGGGUUCACGACUAGCCAUGUCGGCCCGGGUUCUCGGUCAUAUGGAUGCUAGCGACAUUGUCAUAUACGCGAGCCAAAAGGCGCAAACGGUCCCGGGCCAUGGUAAGGCGACACCCGUGGGAUACCGUGAGUGAGGCCGCAAAGUGAUAUGAGGUGUUACCGGCUAGAUCGAUGUGGCUUAGAAUCGGGGUCCUGACAGCGUUGGCAUCAGAGCCGGACUGCCUAUAGGUUCGUUCAGCCAAACUGGUCGAUGUCGAGUCUAGAAAUGCUUUAGUUAUAUGUAAGGGAAUUGAUUGUGGGAGGGAACGUAAGGUUCUUUUACUCCUUUACCCUAUGCUUCUGAUCUGAGUCAUUCUCUUCUCAUUCAACGUGGGUUAAGGACUAGGCUCUCUUCUUCUAUCAGGUUCACGUGUUACUAAUCCGUAGUAGUUCAUAGGAUUAUUGCUACGAGUUCCAGUCCAGUUUCUACUAUUUUAGUACGUUGCUAUUUGAAUCAGAACCUUGAUAUGAUGCUGUUGAGCGGUAUUGUGAACUGUUGUGGAUGUCUCAAAUCUUUUUCUGAGCAUUUACAACCGCUAUGCUGCCCAAUUUUCCCUAGGAAUUCUGAUGUCUUUGUCUUGUGGUUGUGCUUUCAGAUGGCCAACCAUUCUCAAAAUCAAGUGGUUCGCCUGACUAGGUGCCUCGACGUGCCCGGUCAUACUGCUAUGUUGGUCCGGGUCAUGAUCGAGACAGGAUACCGUUGGUAUCCCGAAUACACUGUUGAAGAGCAGUUCCGCGACUUUAAUCAAAGCCAGUAUUUAUGCACCGUCAGGAUAUUUCCUUCCUAUCCUGGAUCUACCGAGCCCCUUCACUGUUCCUAUGGACUCGGAGUUACCAUUGAGAUGGCUGUGCAGGAUGCUGCCUAUUUCAUGAUGACCAUCUUGCGAGUCCGGACUGGCCUGCUUCGGAACACUGACUUCCGUUACAUGCCAGCUUCACUUCCGGGAGCGCAGGGGUAUCUUCAGGCUAUCUAUGCUGACUCCACUCAGGAGGACUCAUUAACUCGUACCACCGCUGAGAUGCUCGAAGAUAUGGACCGAGAGAAUCGGGCCUUGAGGCUGGAGCUCUUUAAUACCCGUGCUGAUCAUUGGGCCACAUUGACUCGGUUUGCACCCGCGGUGCAAGCGGGAUGUAUGGAUACCAGGGAUCUGUAUCCUGUGAGAGCAGCUCUGCCAGACAUGGUGGAUUGGCGUGAUGUGGGAGGCAUCACCCCACCCCUUGGUCACCGCAGGCCACCGUUUGUGGGUCCAAGACCUUAUCCUAGCCCCUAUGGUCCACAGGCUCCUCAGGACCGUCUGUUUCCGGAUGAUCACGUUGAACUUCCAGGCUAUGGAGGUGACUUCUAUGAGGACUACUACGGAGCUAUCUGAGUUAGUAGUAGUACCACUAGUAUUGUAGUAGUUGUAUCUCCACUGUCCUGUGUGACUUGUGGAAUACGACUUGGUGUGUAAUCGAUUCCGGAGGUGUAGACAAAUAAUGUAUAGGGACUCGGAAUGCCUCCGAUGAGAUGUAACGUCUACCUUCAUAGUUGUACUGUAGCAUGGGCUUGUACUAAACUAUGUAUGACGAGUAUGACCGUUGGUGUAUAUAUGGCAGUUUUAUAUUACCAUGGCAUACGAAUGAGCAUCUCUGCAUUCCGCGUUAUCCUUUACAUUCUGCACUUCCCUGUUAAGUUUGAGCCAUCCUUGUCUAAACCGUUGUCUUGUUUCCUCCUAGGAUGGUCAACACCCGCGGAAACCCUGCUGCCCCGGAGCAGGGGGAAGCCAAUGCAGCUAGAGGUGAAAAUUUGCCUCACCCGCCUUCCCUGGCCGAAGUGAUGCUGGAGGCGGAAAGGAACAAGCGUGAGACCAACCGCCUGCUGGAGCGGAUUGAGCAGAACACUGCACGCCACCCACGAAAUGACUUGGUGUCAAUCAACGACUUUAUCAAGCUGUACCCACCAAAGUUUAACCAUUCCGUCGAGCCCCUCGACGCGGAUGAUUGGCUUCGCAGCAUCACCCACAAGCUACGUUCUGCCAACGUAGCUGAAGCCGACAAGGUUACCUAUGCUGCUUAUCAUCUUGAGGGCCCCGCUAGCCAUUGGUGGGAAAACUACGAAGCUAUGCGCCCGGUCGGCCAAAUCACUACCUGGGCUGAGUUCAGCGAGGCUUUCCGUGAGCAUCACAUUCCGGAAGGUCUCAUGGAUCGCAAGAGGGAGGAGUUCUGUAACUUCACCCAAGGAAGGCUGACUGUGGAUGCAUAUAGCCGAGAAUUUGGGAACCUGGCACGCUAUGCUCCUGAAGAGGUUUCUACUGACGCCAAGAAGCAGGGAAGGUUCCGUAAGGGACUUAGCCCUGAGCUUCGCUGCGAUCUCCGUCCGCACGAGUGCACAUCCUUCCAGAAGCUGGUCAAUAAAGCUAUCAGUGCUGAGACAGGCCAGACUGAUUAUGACGCUUCACGCAAGCACUCUCGUGAUUUUGGGUCUUCAUCCGGCUCUGGAGCUCAGAAGCGCCGGGUGUGGAUUCCAAGCACCGCACUGCCAGCCAGAUUCACCCCGAGGCCAUCCUUUGAGGCGCCUCAUCCCAACCAGCAAUUUGCACCGCCCAAGCCCUAUGGUGGCCCCGCUGCUAAUGUUGCUCCACGCCCCACUAUGGUAACAUGCUUCAUGUGUGGAGAACCGGGUCACUAUAGUCGAGAGUGUCCCCAGAACAACCCCAAUCAAGCUGGAAAGUCCGUUGGCCGUGGUAAGCCCGCGGGAAAGACUUUCUAUGCCAAGCCGGCCACUACUGCACGUGGCCAUGUAAACUACGUCUCAGCCGAAGAGGCUCAUGAGGAUCCCAACGUCGUCCUUGGUACGCUCCUUGUUAACUGCCAUCCGGCAUCUGUUCUUUUCGAUACUGGAGCAUCUCAUUCAUUCAUAUCCGAGAAUUAUGCUCGGUCGCAUAACACGACAUUCUGUGACAUGCCCACUUCCAUGGUAAUUCAAACUCCGGGUUCCAAAUGGCAAACUUCUAGGGUAAGCCAUGGGAACGAAAUUCUUGUCGAUAGGCUUGUUUUCCUUGCAUCUUUAAUAGCUCUCAAGUCCUCCGACAUAAACAUCAUCUUGGGUAUGGACUGGAUGUCGGCUCAUUAUGCCAAGAUCGAUUGUGCCACUAGAACCGUUCAACUUAUUCAUCCCUCAGGCAAGACAGUUAAUGUCUUAACUCGAGUGGCCAAGCGCCAACUUUACUCUCUCAAUGCCAACCCUCUUCCAGACCUUGAGGACGUUCCGGUAGUCCGAGACUUCCCGGAUGUGUUUCCGGAAGAACUGCCAGGUGUUCCACCUGACCGGGAUGUCGAGUUUGUGAUAGACCUUGUUCCAGGAACCGUUCCAAUUGCUAGAAGACCCUACAAGAUGGCACCCUUAGAACUAGCCGAGCUUAAGAACCAACUCGAUGAGUCCUUGAACAAAGGGUUCAUCCGUCCUAGCUCCUCUCCUUGGGCUUGCCCCGUCCUCUUCGUCAAGAAGAAGGAUGGAACGGAUCGAAUGGUUGUGGAUUACCGACCUGUCAAUCUGGUCACCAUCAAGAACAAAUACCCGCUUCCCAGGAUCAACGACCUGUAUGAUCAGCUCACUGGAUCCUCAGUCUUCUCCAAGAUGGAUUUGAGGCUGGGCUACCAUCAAAUCAAAAUCAGAAACGGGGACAUUCCCAAAACGGCCUUUGUUACUCGUUAUGGCCAAUACGGGUACACCGUCAUGUCCUUCGGUUUAACCAAUGCCCCGGCCACUUUCUCCUGGUUAAUGAACUCGGUUUUCAUGGAGUACUUGGACAAAUUCGUUGUAGUAUACCUCGAUGACAUACUCAUCUACUCCAAGAAUGAAGAGGAACAUGCCGAACAUCUAAGGCUGGUAUUGAUGAAACUUCGAGAGCAUCGCCUUUAUGCCAAAUUCUCCAAGUGUGAAUUUUGGUUGUCAGAAGUGACCUAUCUAGGCCAUGUAAUCUCUGGUAAGGGUAUUGCUGUCAAUCCCGAGCGAGUUCAAGCCGUCCUUGAUUGGACUCCACCUGAAACGGUCAAGCAAGUUCGGAGUUUCCUUGGCCUAGCGAGCUAUUGCCGCCGCUUCGUCGAGAAUUUCUCCAAGGUUGCUAAACCUCUAACUGAACUCCUCAAGAAAGAUAAAAAGUUCGAGUGGACUCCGCAGUGCGAGUUCAGUUUUCAGGAAUUGAAAAGACGCCUGACAUCUGCUCCCGUACUGGUACCACCAGAUUUCUCCAAGGACUUUAUUAUCUAUUGCGACGCCUCGCGACAAGGACUAGGUUGCAUACUCAUGCAAGAUCGUCAGGUAAUUGCCUAUGCUUCAUGGCAAUUACACCCACAUGAGGAAAAUUAUCCCACACAUGAUCUAGAGCUUGCAGCUGUAGUCCAUGCACUCAAAACCUCGCGACAUUACCUCCUCGGUAAUCGUUGCGAGAUCUUCACCGAUCACCAAAGCUUGAAAUAUAUCUUCACCCAACCAGAUUUGAAUCUCAGGCAAAGACGUUGGGUCGAGUUGAUCUCGGAUUACGACUUAGGAAUAACUUACACCCCUGGCAAAGCCAAUGUCAUGGCCGAUCCGCUAAGUCGUAAGUCCUACUGUAACAACCUGCUGUUACAACAAAGUCAACCACUUCUCCAUGAGGAAUUUCGCAAGCUUAAUCUUCACAUUGUUCCUCAAGGAUUCUUGUCUACUCUGGUGGCGAAACCUACCCUUAUGGAUCAAAUCAUAGCUGCCCAAAAGCGUGAUAAGGGCAUAUCCCGGAUUAAGGAAAACAUUGCUAGCGGAGUAGCUAAAUGUUUUUCCAUGGAUGAGCAAGGUGCUGUCUUCUUUGAGAACCGCCUGGUGGUUCCCAAGAACCAACAUCUACGCCAGAUGAUCCUUAAGGAAGCUCAUGAAUCCCCUCUCACCAUUCAUCCCAGUAGUACUAAAAUGUAUCAAGACUUACGCCAGAGGUUUUGGUGGACUAGGAUGAAGAGAGAAAUCGCUCAAUACAUUGCUAAUUGCGACGUUUGUCGUCGUGUUAAAGCAGAGCAUCAACGGCCUGCUGGCACCCUUCAACCUUUGGCUAUUCCUGAAUGGAAAUGGGACAAAAUCAGUAUGGAUUUCAUCACUGGGUUUCCCAGGACCAAGAGGGGAAAUAAUGCCAUCUUCGUCGUGAUCGACCGUCUUUCCAAAGUAGCCCAUUUUCUACCUGUUCGUGAGAGUAUCACCGCUAGCCAGCUAGCUGACCUAUACAUCUCCCGAAUAGUGUCUCUUCAUGGUGUCCCAUUGGAAAUUAACUCAGACCGUGGAAGUCUCUUCACCUCUCGAUUUUGGGAAAGUUUCCAAAAUGCUAUGGGAACUCAUCUCUCCUUUAGCACCGCCUUCCAUCCUCAAUCAAGUGGUCAAGUAGAGCGAGUAAAUCAAAUUCUGGAAGAUAUGCUCCGAGCUUCUGUUAUCUCGUUCGGAAUGAGUUGGGAAAAAUGCCUUCCAUUCGCGGAGUUUGCUUAUAACAAUAGCUAUCAAGCUAGUUUGGGCAAGGCUCCCUUCGAAGUUCUCUAUGGACGAAAAUGUCGAACGCCUCUUAACUGGUCAGAAACCGGGGAAAGGCAACUCUUUGGCCCGGAUAUGAUUCAGGAAGCAGAAGAGCAGGUUCGCGUUAUUCGUGAGAAAUUGAAAACGGCCCAAUCUCGCCAAAAGAGUCAAUAUGAUCGUAAGCAUAAGCCAAUGACAUUUGAAAUUGACGAGAAAGCUUAUCUUCGGGUUACCCCGUUAAAGGGAACCCAUCGCUUCGGUAUCAAAGGCAAAUUGGCUCCUCGUUACAUUGGACCCUUUCGCAUUCUUGCCAAACGAGGAGAAGCUGCCUACCAAUUGGAACUACCUCCGCAUCUUUCCAGAGUUCACGACGUCUUCCACGUUUCGCAACUCAGGCGUUGCUUCGCGGAUCCUAUCCGUGGAGUGGACCACGAAACGCUUGAUUUACAAGAUAACCUCUCUUAUCGGGAAUACCCCGUUCGUAUCCUUGAUCAAGCCGAGCGUACCACUCGACGUCAUAAUAUCAAGUUUCUCAAGGUUCAAUGGUCACACCAUUCCGAGGAAGAAGCCACUUGGGAAAGGGAGGAUCGUCUUCGACUCGAGUACCCCGCCUUCUUCCCAGAUGAUCCUAAAUCUCGGGACGAGAUUCUAUUGAGUGGGGGUGAGUUGUCACACCCUAGCUAGUUUAUGCAUUAGAGUGUGCAUCAUGUUUACCUUCAUCAGAAAUUGAAAUGGGGAAAGCAGAACCCCCAGCACCCCCCCUGAAAUCAACUAGGGUUUACUAAAAAUAAAUUCAAUGAACCUGAAAUGCCCUUCAAAUAUGUUCACCCUCUUUGCCUUGGGUUAGAACCCUUGGGAAAAAUGGUGCAUAUAAUUUUAGGUCAACAAAAGGGGCAUUGACUUAAUUCAUAAAUAUUUGAAUUUGGGCAUUUAAAAUACUAUUAUAUAAUUCAAAUGCUCAAAUAAUGUUGGAACUAUUUUUGGGCCACUGAAAUAUUUCAGAAAGUGUCCAUAAAUAUUUUCAGGAUUUUAUAAAAUGAUUUAGUAUUUGAACUAAAUCAAAACAGAAUAACAGAAAUAGAAAAACACAAAAAAAAAUAAAGAGGGAAAGACCAUGGGCCACUUACCUGGCCCAGCGCCAGGCCACCAGCGGCCCAGCCCACCAGGCCGAUGCCAGUCGUCCCCUAGCUCCUGCCAGGAGGACGAAGGGCGUGUGCCCGCGGUGCGCCAGCACGCGCACGGCCACCGACGGCCACCUCCUGCUUCGGCCGCCUCCCCGACGUCGCUUUGGACGCCACGCAUCCCCCCCUGACCCCUCGCUCACUCUCUUCCAUCCUCAUCCCCUCCUCUGCUCUCUCUCCCGCGCAACCGCCAUGAGCCCGAGAGCGCCGACGAGGACCACCACGGCCACCGCCUCCCCCUCGCUUCCCUGACCAGCUUGGAGGCUCCGCCUCGACCCCGUCUUCCUUCUCACCGAACCACGCCCCGCCGGAAGCCCUGCAUCGUCGAAUUCAAGCUCUUCUUCAAGCUUUGGCACCGACGAUCGCCGUCGUCGAUUCGCUUGCUCCAGUGCCUCCCCGAGCUUGCCGAGGCCACCGCUGCAACUGCUGUGAGCUCCUGUGUCAUUUCCCCCUCUCCCCUGGCUCGAUUUCUUCUUCUAACACCGAUGCCCGUCGGAACCGAGAGCUCUUCGCCGCCGGCCAUGCCGCCACCGUGACCACAACCGUGCAAGCUCACUCCCGAGCACGGCAACGUGCUCCACACCUCACCAGGAGCACGUGGAACCCAUCAGUUUCCCCUCCCGUGCACCACAACGCCGAUCCGCUCAACUCCCGAACUCCGGCUGCCGCGCAAGUUGCCGCCGCCGUCGUUUUAGGCCACUAGGGCUGCUGCCGUGUGCACAGAUAGAUGCGAGCGAGUCCCAGCUCCGCGUAGAUGCCCUCCACUGGCCAUUUGGUCGCCGGAGGAGGAUUUCCGAGCCCCUCCGCCGUCUCUGGCCUUGCCGGCGACGAGCCGGGGUCAACUCCGGCGUGUUUUGACCCCGGGUCGGCUGGGUUGACUCCCCCCGGACUCACUGACGUGUGGGCCCAGGCGCCUGCCUAAUUACCGUUAGUUAAUUAGAGUUAAUAAAAAUUAGCUAAUUAGUGAGCCACUGACAUGCGGGCCCCGCCCGGCUAACCAAGUUAGUUAGGGUUAACUAACUUAGUUAGUUGAUUGUGUCACUGACCAGUGGACCCCACUGGUCAGGUUUGACAUGGAGGCGCCAGUUGACCUGCUGACAUCAGGGUGAUGUCAUGCUGACGCAAUAACUCUUUUUCUGGAUUUAAUUUUAUAUAGAAAAUUCCAGAAAAUUGCCUAAACUUCAAAAAUUCAUAGAAAUUCAACCAUAACUCCAAAUGAGACAAAUUAUAUAUGAAAAAUUAUCAGAAAAAUUCAAGGAAUCCAUCUGUACCAUUUUCAUGCAUGUUUGAACAAUGCUUGUCCUCUGUUUUGGACAAAACAAAUAAAGGGCAUUUAAAUAAUCAUAUAUGGGGUUGGAAUUUGAAUCUUGUACUCAAACCAACUCCAUUUAAAUCAUAGCUAGUUGUAUAAGCUCAAGACACAUCCAUAUUGCCAUGUCAUAGCAUGCAUCAUAUUGUUGCAUAUCGUCAUGUGUUGAUUGUGCUCGGUUGUGUUCUUCGUGGUAGGUUCUGCCUCCGAGGAUAUUCACGAGUAUCCAACUGAAGGGCAGUAUCCCGUUACCACUCCAUCAGGCAAGCAAGCAUUGAUCAUUCCGAUACAACCCAUGUUCUCGCUCCUGCUCUUGUUUACUGCAUUAAGACAACACGAUUCAAACUGCCGUGUGCUACGGUAGUUGAACCCUUAUCCUCUGCAUGACCUGUCAUUGCCACAGUAACUAGAUGAAACCCACUAGCAUGUGUAGGAGUUGAUUGAGCCAUGUUUUGUGAUUCCUACCUUGCUAUGCCUGCUAUGCUUAGAGUUGUGUCAGGUCUGGUUCAUCUGGGGAAUGGGCUAGAGUGAAAUGCUUGUGCCAGUAAAUUGUGGGAUGUGUUGAACAUGUUUUGGUAAAGGUAUCGAUGAGAGGCCAUGUAGGAGUACAUGGUGGGUUGUUUCAUUGAAGCCGUCCCUAAGAACUGAGUUCUGUAUGCGUGAAUUAAGAUUCAGCUACUACCACACAUUGGGCCCUGAAAUAUGACCCCGCUCGACUUACCGACCCCUCUCGCCUCAGUCCAGGAGUUGCAACUAGUUUCUGGUGUUUGUAGGAUAUGUGUUGGCGGCCGUGCGUAGCGCUGACCCUAGGGGUGGGCUAUGUUGCGGUAGAUACACUGUGGCACGGUGUACCGAGUCACCCGUUUGGUGUCUCGGGAACCCUGUUCACAUCGUUCGGGGCCGUUGAGGACACCCCGGCCGGAUUUCCUUGCGGAUGGAACCUGAAUAGGCGAUGACCCUGGACUAGAGACUUGUGAGGUUAGUCAGGUCGUGGUCUACACCCACGUCGGUUUUCGCUUGAAGUCUGCCGAGCACAUUUCGUGUGCAGACGCUAAGAGGUGGAAACAUGUGUGACGAAGUACACCCGUGCAGGGUAUAAAACUAUUCGAAUAGCCGUGUCCGCAGUAAAGGACUACUUGGUUGCAUAUACAGUUCAUAGACAAGUUAAUGGAUACUACUAAAAGACUCAAGAUAAGUGUGAGUACCGAGGAUGGCUCCCUCAUGUGACCCCUACCUGUAUGGAUAUGUUAUGUAUGGCUCCCUGGAGCCUUUAAAUAAAGUACCUGAGUUGUAGAGUUUUGUUGUGAUGCCAUGUUGUAUGUACUCAUAUCGAGCAUAUUGUAUGUAUGAUUGAAAUGCUUGGUAUGAGUGGGAUCCGACAAUCUAGUUGUUUGUCCUUCGCAGCCUUUCUUAUGGGGAAAUGUAGUCUAGUGCUCCUCGAGCCAGAGUAGUCCGCUACAGCCCGGUUCACCGGAGUCCUGCUAGCCCAGCACUACUGUUCAGGACACUUGACUGGCCGGCAUGUGUUUCACUUCGUCCCUAUGUCUGUCCCUUCGGGGAAAUUUCACGCGGUGAUCUCCGGAGUCCUGUCUAGCCUGCUACAGCCCGGGAUCCCCCGGAGUCCUGUUAGCCCAGUGCUACAGCCUGGAAUCACUCCUUGAUGACCGACAUGUUCGUUGUGAUUCAUGUAUGCCUGUCUCCAUAGGUCUGUGCCGCUUUGGGUUCACGACUAGCCAUGUCGGCCCGGGUUCUCGGUCAUAUGGAUGCUAGCGACAUUGUCAUAUACGCGAGCCAAAAGGCGCAAACGGUCCCGGGCCAUGGUAAGGCGACACCCGUGGGAUACCGUGCGUGAGGCCGCAAAUUGAUAUGAGGUGUUACCGGCUAGAUCGAUGUGGCUUAGAAUCGGGGUCCUGACAGAAAUGGUCGAGACAUAAAGAUUGAUAUAUUGGAAGCCUAUAUUUGGAUAUCGGAAGUGUUCCGGGUAAAAUCGAGAUUUUGCCAGAUUACCGGGAGGUUACCAGAACCCCCCGGGAGCCAUAUGGGCCUUAUUGGGCUUUAGUGGAAAGGUGAAAAGGGCUGCCAUGGUGGGCUGCACGCCUCCCCCCUCCCCUAGUCCUAUUAGGACUAGGAGAGGUGGCCGGCCACCUCUCUCUCUCUUUCCCCCUUGGGAGUCCUAUUUGGAAUAGGAUUGGGGGGGAGUCCUACUCACGGUAGGAGUAGGACUCCUCCUGCACCCUCCUCUUUGCCGGCCAGCCCCUCCCCCUUGGAUCCUUUAUAUACAGGGGCAGGGGGCACCUCUAGACACACAAGUUGAUCAUUGAGAUCGUUCCUUCGCCGUGUGCGGUGCCCCCUGCCACCAUAUUCCACCUCGAUCAUAUCGUUGUAGAGCUUAGGCGAAGCCCUGUGUCGGUAGAACAUCAAGAUCGUCACCAUGCCGUCGUGCUGAUGGAACUCCUCCACGAAGCUUUGCUGGAUCGGAGCCCGGGGAUCGUGAUCGAGCUGUACGUGUGCUAAGAACUCGGAGGUGCCGGAGUAACGGUGCUUGGAUCGGUCGGAUCGGGAAGAAGACGUACGACUACUUCCUCUACGUUGUGUCAACGCUUCCGUUGCGAUCUACAAGGGUACGUAGAUUAGACUCUCCCCCUCGUUGCUAUGCAUCACCAUGAUCUUGCGUGUGCGUAGGAAAAUUUUGAAAUUACUACGUUCCCCAACACUAUGCACCUGCAUCGUCACAUGAGUCGAUGAUAUGCAACAUAUAUAGUUGAGCAUCAGAAAGAGAUAGACUUGGCAAAAAUAGAAGCAACAUAUCAUAAGCAUAAAUAACAAAGUUCAUCGUACCCAAAAUGCCCUAACUAGAGUGAUCUUCGGUAGUCAAGGAGGAAGGUUUAAUUACAUCACAAAUAAUGUUUCGUCGUGCAUAACUCAAAGUUCCGUCAUACAGAAGGUAUGAACUAAACGGACACAUUGUCAUAUUUCGAAAAUCACUCCAACAUGGCGUGCCAUCCAUCCAAGUCAAGGAGAUAGUGCCCGAGCUUAGUGAAAGGCUUCAGGUCGAGACGCUGAGCGGCUACGCGUGUUCGGACUCUUCCCAUGACAUUUGUCCUUCUUCAUAGAACAUCCCUGUUUUUUCGACGACCUCCAUCAUGAUGAUUUGGGCAAGUUCGCACUGGAAGUGAUAUAACUCAUCUUGAAGUCGAUGAUCCUCGAUAUCUUCUAAGUUCUUUGCCCAUUGCAGAAUAUGGGCAUGGCUGAAUUUAGGUGACAUGCAAAGGUUCUGGUGAUCCUGUCUGUACUCCAUCAUGUGGUGUAGGACAUAGAACCCAUCAUCAAGAGAAUCACUCGGUUGCUGGAUGCAGCUGAAGUCGGUCUUAUGGGCCUGCCGUCCCUUUUCUUCUUGUCCUUGACCUCUCCACCCCGUGCAUCGUAGUAAAACAUAGCACUAUCGAGAACAAACUUGAUGUGGGUGUAAUCCUUUUUGUUAAUGUUCUUCGACGAGUCCACAAUAUCGGGGGUAGAGGAUGAUGAGGACGGCGCGCCUGCCGUUGCGCAAAAUAAGUACACCUCAAAUGAAUUAAACUCCAUCGUUCAAAUGAAUGAUUGAAAUCGAAGGAAGGAUAUCUGCGCGGAUGACUUACACGGGAUGAUAAGGCACGAGAAUCGCCUCCUUGUCCUUAUUGGCAAGCAUGAAAUUGACGAUGUAUUCCUCGUGUAUUCAUGGUGCUUUGCGCGGACUCCCAAGACGCCCUCGUGCAUGAAGUACGGGUCAGCGACAUAGAUAUGAGGUAUCUGCUCAACCCCGAUGAGGUAGUUCAUGUGCAAGGCAUAAAGGCGGACAAACAUAAAAUCCAGCUUCUUUAAGUGAAACAUGUUGAAGAUGUAAUCAGAUCGAAGGAAAAACUUCUUCGAGGGGAAUGUGUCGACGUACGACAAUUGCCCGGCACGUUAACCACGUAGAGAGGGUAUCCUGGAUUUUUCGAGGCGAUGAGGCCUUUCUCUAUCCGCAACACGUCGUCAUGAAGUCUCCUUAGAUCGCCGGAUCUGGCCCCUAGCGCUGCUUUCGGUAGGAUUGGUUCACCAGGAUACGCCAUUUUGCCGCUCCGGGGACAUCUAUACGGUCUUGAACCCGAGGCUGCUGAGGCGGCUGGAUCAUAGAAGCAGCUUUGUUGGCUUUCCUCAGUGUAUUCCUAGGCUUCUUUGCUACAGGAAGGUCAUCUAUGAUAUGUUCAGCCUCCAGAGGCGGCAAUUCAGGCACCGACUCAUGACGCUCAAACCCUGAGUAGGCGCCAGUAUUGAGAUACUGUUGAGUGCCAUUGUUGUCCUCAUCUAUGGCGGUGUCACCAGCGACAAAUGGAGCCUCUUCCUCACCCCGUUCGCUAUCACCCAGCACGACAGCCGGCGCUAAUUGGGUAGGUGGGGUGUUGAUGUUCAUACCUAACUGCGUGCUCGUGUGUGUGCUCCCGGCCGUCUCCAAACAAAGUAGACUCUUUGGCCACAACAGGACCCACCCAUUGCAAUCACCAAUCCCCUGCGGGAUCUCGUCGUCAUUCCCCCUAGUACCGGAGGAGCCAAAUUCUCCUGGCCUGGUUUGACACUGGCCACGGAAACUUUGUAGACGUCCGAGGGGAUCGGUCGGCCGUGGAACAAUGGUUCCUUAGGCUUCAUUAUCGUCACCUUCCCCACGUCCACCUCCUGGUAGCGGAUGUUGUACAAUAUGGUGCACGGGGUUACAUUGGCCUGCAAAGACAUUUCUGCGAUGUGAGAUAUCCGACAGGCAACAAAAAAUGGGAGAUUAUACAUUUAUUGAAGAGGGCUGGUGUGACAGAUAUAGUGAGGGCGUCGAGCUCAUCCAAAGAUGAAGCACCGCUGAGCACGUCCGGUGUCGGAGCCGGUGCGGGAGCAGGUGCAGGUGCUGGUGCAACGCUAGUCGAGCUGCUCCCGAAGAAGUCAGCAAGGGGAAAGUCCGCUGCAUUUUUUUUCUGGAUUUUGCGUGCUCGAAUUGAAAACGGCCGAAACCAAGACAGUAGACAUAUCUGCAACCACCUGUUUUGCGGCAGCUAUCGCUGUUGCGACUGUCUCAGAUGAUUUCUUCUCAAUCGGAAUCUAAACCUUCUGGCUGAUGUUUUCUUCAGUUAACCUCCGUCUUUCCUUUCGCUCCUCCGUGGUCUCACGGUAGUACUUCUUCCACGUGGCGCCGUCUACGACACCGUCCACGCGUCCAUACGACGGCCGAUUCUCCACCAGGAGUCCUUUCAAUAUGUUCAAUACCCGGUUGAAUGGAGUCUACCACUUGGGCCUCGCCAACGCCUCAGACGGCGAGUCACUUUCGGCUGCAAUCUUGUGCUGCUCUCUCUUCAAAAGGAACAAGGAUCGUUUACAAAUAUGACUAAACGUGCAGUCGAAUUGAUCAGAAACUAAAAUUACCAGCAGUCUCGUGAACUCCGUCGUGAUCGGGUCCGUCUUAAAAACCUUCUUGACUGAGUCCCAAUGGUGCCGUGCCCCGAGGACGUCACGCUCCUGCGGGACGGUGAAGUCCGCCAAGGGGUCUGGGAUGCCCAGACGUUCGCGUUCCGCGUCCUCCUUGGCCCAUAUGGACCUCUUCCCGCCGUAACCACGGCUUCCGAGGUGGUGGCGCCCCAUGUUCCUUUGUUGAAGCCCUUUCAUGUACUUCGACUUUUUUUUGGCAGCUUCGGCCUCGCAAGCCGCCUUGAAUUUUUCAAAGUGCUCUCCCGUGAUUGUCGGAUUAUCCUUUACAAUCUCGGAGUAUGGUUCCUUUUUGUCGACAAUCCGAUGUUUCAACCUUGUUUUCCAGGUGGCCAACGUGUCGCUAAACUUGGUCAUGGCGUGUUUGUUUAUCUUCUUCAUUGCCGGGUCCUUAUUUGGAUAUUUAUAAUCCUUUUCAUUCCGGCCCGGGAACAACAAUAUCUGGUGCAGCUUCUUUAGGAGGGAGGACCUCAUAUUAUCUAUCUUCUGUAGUUUCCCAUGGUUGAUCGUGGCAGUUAUCCGUACGAUGCAGCCUAUUUGAUUGCCGUAGCACGAUCGCGCUUCCUUGGGCGCUAUUGUCUGAAAAAUACGGUCGUCCAUCUCCGUGACCACCAGUCUAGUUGUCAUGAGCUGGUUUGGGCGCCGUGGCUUCUUAGCUUUCGGUUCUAGAUCAGCUCCGCUAGUCUCGGCGCCGGUCUCAGUCUCAUCGCCGGUCUGCAUGUCGGUAUCAGUCCCCGAUGCGACAGGUCGGCCCAGCAACAACAUUCGUUGAUCGUCGGCAAGGCUCAAAAAUUCAUCUGCCGCCAGGUAGACGUGUCGCAAUCACCAGAACCCUAUCCUUCAUCAUUGCUAGCCAUGUUUCCUACGAUUAUAUCUAGUCAAUUAAUUCUAGACCUAAUAAAAUGAAUAAUGACAUAAAACAGGCCAAUGUUUUGCAGGAUUACAACUCAACCCAUUGCAGAUUAGAAAACAAUCCCGUGUGAAUGCACAGGCUGACGACUAGUAUAUAUAAAGCUUAAUGGUGCCUAAGAAAGCUCGCACAAUUUUACAGUGGCUAUGGAAAUGUGUUGCCAAACUUUGACAUAAGAUUUUCGUUUGGCAUCCAGAGUUGCAAAACGCUUGUGUUGUCCUUAAUCCAUGGCCACUCUAAUUUUUCCGGCUGGGCCUUCCCUGUGGUAUCGCGGCAAGGCUUGCGUGUGUAUAUGUUUCCUUUAACUACCACUAGCACAUAUGCCCGUGCGUGCGUUGCAACGGGAGAGAUAAUGGCGUAUCCACCAAUAUAUCUAACAGCAUGACCCAACAAUAUCCGAAUGAUGUCACCCGAUGACGGCAGGAAGGCACGCACAGAGGUCUAGUAAAAACUCAUAUCAAUUGUAAGGGCAUGGUUAAUUCGCGUGAAUUCAGGGGUGUGAGAUUAGUUAGUGUUGGUCCCACAAUUGAAUUCGGGGGGUGAUUAGUUAGUGUGGGCCCACCCUCGAAUUCACGGGGGGAGACAAAAUAAUUAGGGUGAGGAGAGAUUUACGGGGCUUGGUCCCCAGAUGCGUUGUGGCAGUCAUUAUUCGAGCAUUGCAAUGCUCGCACGUGACGAGCUCUUUUUCCAAUUGUAUAUUAAGAAGCAUGCUACAGAUACAAUGUUUUUGAUACGUUUUUUGUACAAUGAUCCUGAUCUUAAAGGGCCACCUAAUUUUUAUAUCUUAAAGGCAUUAUUUGUAAGUUGUCGUGAAAAAAAUCUCGCUAAAAGGGUUGUGUUAGACCAUCUUCAGUACAUUAGAAAUAACGAAUUAUAAUUCCUUGGCAUUUGAAGAAACAAUCGCUACUUAUUUACACAUACAAUUCUUUUGGUACGAUUUUGAAAUCUUGAAGGCAUUAUUUGUAAGUUGAAGCAAUUUUGAAAUCUCACUAAAAGGUCUGUUAGACCCUCUAGAGCUUUAGAAAUAACUAAUUAUAAUUUUGCAAAAAAAAGAAAUAACUAAUUAUAAUUCCUUAAGCAUCUGACCGAAACGACCCCGAAUUAUUGUCUGGGUAGUAAUUCCUUUGCAACAUUAUUCUCUCCUUUUUUGAAGGAGCUCUUGCCUGGGUAGUAAUUCCUAUUUGCAAGGUUAUUCUCUCCUUCAUUUUUACAGGAGCUCUCCUUCCUUAUACUAAUUGGUCAUUAUCCUCUCCUUCCUUUUUCUUUUUGCCAAACUCUCUUUCCAUACUUAUGCCGCUAACCACGCCACUCUUUUUCCUUAUUUAUGCCCUUUGAUCACGCCACACAUCUCAUGAAAUCUAAGCCAUAUCACCCAUCUUUUUUCCUUAUUCUCAAAGGCGCUUUCCUCACAAACAGUAGUUCUCUAGGAUGCUUAACGAUUUUGAAACAGAAACAUAUAUAAAUCGGUAGAACGGGUUGUCAAGCAGCGAGGUGGUACUAGUUUAUAAAGAAACAAAUUAACCUUUUCUUUUUGUGUAAUGAUGCCUUGGUUCGGCUGGUUGCUGCCUUUGCCCUUGAUGUGCAGCGUUGGGAAAAGGAUGGGCGAAGUGGACGAACCAAAAACGGACAAAAUUACGGUAGUAAGAAGCGAUAGCCCAUUUAUUAGUAGGUAUAGAUAUAGAUGUCGAGGAUGAGGAUUUACUGCACACAAGUGCGGGGGCACUCAGGUCCUGGUGCCGGCCUUUUAUUUUGGCUUCCGAUUUUCAAACUUCUAUAUCUUUUAAACGAAAAGUUCAAUUUAAGUUACGUUUUCAUAUUCGUGCUUCUCGCGGCCAGCGCUUUCAAAUAAGAUCCAUUUUGCAUACAUUUUGGCUGCUUUUGGAAACAUUGCUAAGUUUCAUUGUUUGAAACUUAGUACGAGCGACCGAUAAAAUUUAAUUAUUUUGUGUCUACGACCAACAGGAGAAAUUGCUUAAAAUUACAUCUUUGAAACUGGUCAUUUUUUUACUGUGUCCUACUUCACGAAUCACGAGGCAAAUCAAGUAGGCGGCAUGCCCUGGCCGGUGAGUGCCAUUGCACUUACUUGCCCCAGCGAUUUUCCGCGUGCAUUGUAGAAUUCUUUCUCCGAGUCCUGUGAAUUAAAGAUGGUGCAGACAAAAGUAUAUCCUAUAUGCGUACAUGUGCAUGAUCAGAACAUGUUUUUACGUGCGUCUACUAUAAAUCAUGACCAUUUUUAACACAAAUCAUGACCAUUCAUGAUUAGUGAAUCAUACUGUCUUAACUUAUGUGAAAUCAUGUGGAGUAAUAUAAUAUAAUACAAUAGAUAGACAGAUCCAUGUUGUAUUAUUUUUUGUUUACAAAAAAAUCUGUAAUUACACAUUUUGAUUUAUGCAUUUGUUUACAAAAAAACAGUAACAUUUCAUGGUGGAAAGUUUGUAUUGUUUCAUACUGAACACCAAUGUUUUCCUGUAAAAGAAAAUAAUGCCUACGCAUAUGCUUUUAUAUUAUUAUUAUUCUUUCAAACUUAUUCAUAUAGUAUUUUUGAUUGUGCAACCAUAAUUUUUAUUAUCUCUCUCGUUCCACUACAUGCUCUUACUCAAUGAUUUUCUUUAUAAUGGGUGUUUUUAUUAACUCAAAAUAUAGCAUCAAGCGGAUACAGAACAUACUGAGCCACACCCGGUCUCUGCAUAACUAAGAUGCACACAGCCAAAAGCGGAAGUCUGACAAAAAUAAGAUAAGAAAAUCGACAUAUCGACAACAGUGAGUCAUAUAGUUCCGACACUAUGCCUCUGUCGAAGGAGGGGGUGGAGCGAUCUAGAGAUUAUGCUGCCUUCCAUGUUGAGUAAACACCUCCCUGGCCACUUGUUCCAACUGCAUAGACGCCGCCACGAAUAACGGUUGGUACUCUGUUCGGUGUAGCAUACACCAUGUAGGAAGUGAGUGCUCACUCCUAGUUACUGAAUUAUGUACACACUAGUAGAAAAAGGCCCAUUUGUCCCGGUUCGUAAGGCCCAUUUGUCCCAGUUGGGGAACCGGGACUAAAGGGUCGGUACUAAAGCCCUACACCUUUAGUCCCGGUUCUUACACCAACCGAGACAGAUGGGGCUCCACGUGGCCGUUGCGGCUUACCGUGGCAGGUGGGCCUUUUGUCCCGGUUGGUAGCACCAACCGGGACCAAUAAGCUACCACGCGUCAGCAUUUGAGGGGCUANNNNNNNNNNNNNNNNNNNNNNNNNNNNNNNNNNNNNNNNNNNNNNNNNNNNNNNNNNNNNNNNNNNNNNNNNNNNNNNNNNNNNNNNNNNNNNNNNNNNNNNNNNNNNNNNNNNNNNNNNNNNNNNNNNNNNNNNNNNNNNNNNNNNNNNNNNNNNNNNNNNNNNNNNNNNNNNNNNNNNNNNNNNNNNNNNNNNNNNNNNNNNNNNNNNNNNNNNNNNNNNNNNNNNNNNNNNNNNNNNNNNNNNNNNNNNNNNNNNNNNNNNNNNNNNNNNNNNNNNNNNNNNNNNNNNNNNNNNNNNNNNNNNNNNNNNNNNNNNNNNNNNNNNNNNNNNNNNNNNNNNNNNNNNNNNNNNNGGUUAAUUUUGGAGGGUUUCAUAUAUUGUGUUAGGUAGCUAAUUAAUUAAUACAGAGAAGUGUCAUCUCUUAUCUCCGUGCUUGGUCGACGCUACGUACUAUACGUACAGAGAGGCCCUCGACACGCUAGCCAGUAAGCAAAUGAAGGAAACCAUUAAGUACAGAAGUUCGUCAUGAACAUAUGCAUACAAACUAAGUGAUAUCGACCUCUCCUUCUCUGAGAGAUAGGUCGAACAACAAGUUUCCGUAUAUCUAUCCGGCGCUACUAGCUACAUAUAUACAAUAUUAAGAUCUCUUACAAUAUAAUCCCCUAAUUAUAUAUGAACUCAGCUUUCAGAUGGUAUUCUCCGGCUUUAUUGAUGACGUGGUCAAGAAAGAAUCCCUCCAAUUCCUCUUGAAUUGCUUUGAUGCGAUCUUCUGGUAGGAGUUCAUCCCGCAUCUGCCACAUCUAAUUUGAAGAAGGGGGUCAAUCACUAGUAGAAUAACAGCCAUUUGUCCUGGUUCGUAAGGCUCAUUCGUCCUGGUUGGGGAACCGAGACUAAAGGGUCGUUACUAAAGCCCUACACCUUUAGUCCCGGUUCUUACACCAACUGGGACAGAUGGGCCUCCACGUGGCCGCUGCGGCGAGCCCAGGCAGGAGGUCCUUUGGUCCCGGUUAGUGGCACUGAUACUUCUCCAACGUAUCUAUAAUUUUUGAUUGCUCCAUGCUAUUAUGUUAUCUAUUUUGGAUGUUAAUGGGCUUUAUUUUACACCUUUAUAUCAUUUUUGGGACUAACCUACUAAUCGGAGGCCCAGCCCAAAUUGUUGUUUUUUUGCCUAUUUUAGGUUUUCGAAGAAAAGGAAUAUCAAACGAAGUCCAAACGGAAUGAAACCUUCGGGAACGUGAUUUUCUCAACGAACAUGAUCCAGGAGACUUGAAGUGUGCGCCAAGAAAGAAGGGAGGAAGGCAAGAGGCAGGGGGCACGCCUACCCCCCUUGGGCGUGCCCUCCACCCUCGUGGGCCCUCCGCUGCUCCAUCGACGUACUUCUUCCUCCUAUAUAUAUCCACGUACCCCUCGAACAUCCAGGAGCACCACGAAAACCUAAUUCCACCGCCGCAACCUUCUGUACCCGAGAGAUCCCAUCUUGGGGCCUUUUCCGGAGGUCCACCGGAGGGGGCAUCGAUCACGGAGGUCCUCUACAUCAACUCCAUGGCCUAUCCAGUGAUGUGUGAGUAGUUCACUUCAGACCUACGGGUCCAUAGUUAUUAGCUAGAUGGCUUCUUCUCUCUCUUUGGAUCUCGAUACAAAGUUCUUUUCGAUUUUCUUGGAGAUCUAUUUGAUGUAACCUUAUUUUGCGGUGUGUUUGUCGAGAUCCGAUGAAUUAUGGGUUUAUGACCCAGAUUAUCUAUGAACAAUAUUUGAUUCUCCUCUAAAUUCUUUUAUGUAUGAUUGGUUUAUCUUUGCAAGUCUCUUCGAAUUAUCAGUUUGUUUUGGCCUACUAGAUUGAUCUUUCUUGCAAUGGGAGAAGUGCUUAGCUUUGGGUUCAAUCUUGCGGUGUUUGAUCCUAGUGACAGAAAGGGAACCGAUACGUAUUGUAUUGUUGCCAUCGAGGAUAAAAAGAUGGGGUUUAUAUCAUAUCGCAUGAGUUUAUCCCUCUACAUCAUGUCAUCUUCCUUAAAGCAUUACUCUGUUCUCUUGAACUUAAUACUCUAGAUGUGUGCUGGAUUGCGGUCGAUGUGUGGAGUAAUAGUAGUAGAUGCAGAAUCGUUUCGGUCUACUUGUCUCGGACGUGAUGCCUAUAUACAUGAUCAUACCUAGAUAUUCUCAUAACUAUGCUCAAUUCUGUACAAUAUGGUGCACGCGGUUACAUCGGCCUGCAAAGACAUUUCUGCGAUGUGAGACAUCCGAAAAGCAACGAAAACGGGAGAUUAUACAUUUAUUGAAGAGGGCCGGAGUGACAGAUACCGUGAGGGUCUCGAGCUCAGCCAAAGACAAAGGACAGAUGAGCACGGCCUAUGUCGGAGCCAGUGCGGGAGCCGGUGCGGGAGCAGGUGCAGGUGCAGGUGCUGGUGCAAUGCUAGUCGAGCUGCUCCUAAAGAAGUCAACAAUGGGAAAGUCCGCUACAUUUUUUCUGGAUUUUGCGUGCUCCAAUUGAAUACAGCUGGAACCAAGACAGUAGACAUAUCUGUUGGAAAUAUGCCCGAGAGCCAAUAAUAAAUUGGUUAUUAUUAUAUUUCCUUGUUCAUGAUAAUCGUUUAUUAUCCAUGCUAGAAUUGUAUUGAUAGGAAACUCAGAUACAUGUGUGGAUACAUAGACAACACCAUGUCCCUAGUAAGCCUCUAGUUGACUAGCUCGUUGAUCAAUAGAUGCUUACGGUUUCCUGACCAUGGACAUUGGAUGUCGUUGAUAACGGGAUCACAUCAUUAGGAGAAUGAUGUGAUGGACAAGACCCAAUCCAUAUCUAGCACAAGAUCGUGUAGUUCGUAUGCUAAAGCUUUUCUAAUGUCAAGUAUCAUUUCCUUAGACCAUGAGAUUGUGCAACUCCCGGAUACAGUAGGAGUGCUUUGGGUGUGCCAAACAUCACAACGUAACUGGGUGGCUAUAAAGGUGCACUACGGGUAUCUCUAAAAGUGUCUGUUGGGUUGGCACGAAUCGAGACUAGGAUUUGUCACUCCGUGUAAAUGGAGAGGUAUCUCUGGGCCCACUCAGUAGGACAUCAUCAUAAUGAGCACAAUGUGAUCAAGGAGUUGAUCAAGGGAUGAUGUCUUACGGAACGAGUAAAGAGACUUGCCGGUAAUGAGAUUGAACAAGGUAUCGGGAUACCGACGAUCAAAUCUCGGGCAAGUAUCGUACCGAUAGACAAAGAGAAUUGUAUACGGGAUUGAUUGAAUCCUUGACAUCGUGGUUCAUCCGAUGAGAUCAUUGUGGAGCAUGUGGGAGCCAACAUGGGUAUCCAGAUCCCGCUAUUGGUUAUUGACCGGAGAGUUGUCUUGGCCAUGUCUGCAUGACUCCUGAGCUCGUAGGGUCUACACACUUAAGGUUCGAUGACGCUAGGGUUAUAGGGAAAGUAUGUACGCGGUUACCGAAUGUUGUUCGGAGUCCCAGAUGAGAUCCCAGACAUCACGAGGAGUUCUGGAAUGGUCCGGAGGUAAAGAUUUAUAUAUGGGAAGUUCCGUUUUGGUCACCGGAAAUGUUUCGGGUGCUAUCGGUAACGUACCGGGACCACCGGGAGGGUCCCAGGGGUCCAUCAGGUGGGGCCACCAGCCCCGGAGGCCUACAUGGGCCAAUAGUGGGAAGGGACCAGCCCCUAGGUGGGCUGGGGCGCCUCCCGACAAGGCCCAAGUCGCCUCCAAGAGGGGAAGGGGGCAAACCCUAGGGCAGAUGGGCCCCAAGGCCCACCCUAGGUGCGCCUCCCCCUCUCCCCCUUGUAGCCGCCACCCUAGAUGGGAUCUAGGGCUGCCGCACCCCUUGGGGUGGGAACCCUAGAGGGGGCGCAGCCCCCUCCCCUCCCCCUAUAUAUACUUGAGGUAUGGGGGCUGCCCAACAUACGAUUUGAUCUCUCUCUUGGCGCAGCCCUACCCCUCUCCCUCCUCGUCUCUCAUAGUGCUUGGCGAAGCCCUGCUGGAGUUCCGCGCUCCUCCACCACCACUACCACGUCGUCGUGCUGCUGCUGGACGGACUCUUCCCAACCUCUCCUUCUCCCCUUGCUGGAUCAAGGCGUGGGAGACGUCACCGGGCUGCAGAUGUGUUGAACGCGGAGGCGCCGUGGUUCGGCGCUUAGAUCGGAAUCAACCGAGAUCUGAAUCGCUACGAGUACGGCUCCUUCAUCCGCGUUCUUGCAACGCUUCCGCUUAGCGAUCUACAAGGGUAUGUAGGUGCACUACCCUUCCCUUCGUUGCUAGGUUACUCCAUAGAUUGAUCUUGGUGAUGCGUAGAAAAUUUUAAAUUUCUGCUACGAUCCACAACAGUGGCAUCAUGAGCUAGGUCUAUGCGUAGUUUCUAUGCACGAGUAGAACAUAAAACAGUUGUGGGCGUCAAUAUUGUCAAUUACUUGCCGUUAGUAGUCUUAUCUUGAUUCGGCGGCAUCGUGGGAUGAAGCGGCCCGGACUGACCCUACACGUACGCUUACGUGAGACUUGUUCCACUGACUGACAUGCACUAGUUGCAUAAGGUGGCUAGUGGGUGUCUGUCUUUCCCACUUUAGUCAGAUCGGAUUCGAUGAAAAGGGUCCUUAUGAAGGGUAAAUAAAAAUUGGCAUACCACGUUGUCGUUUUGGCGUAGGUAAGAAAUGUUCUUGCUAGAAACCUAUAGGAGCCACGUAAAAACUUGCAACAACAAUUUGAGGACCUCUAACUUGUUUUUGCAGCAUGUGCCGUGUGAUGUGAUAUGGCCAAAAGGAUGUGAUGAAUGAUAUAUGUGAUGUAUGAGAUUGAUCAUGUUCUUGUAAUAGGAAUCACGACUUGCAUGUCGAUGAGUAUGACAACCGGCAGGAGCCAUAGGAGUUGUCUUUAUUUAUUUAUGACCUGCGUGUCAACAUAAACGUCAUGUAAUUACUUUACUUUAUUGCUAAAGCGUUAGCCAUAGUAAUGGAAGUAAUAGAUGACAAGACAACUUCAAGAAGACACGAUGAUGGAGAUCAUGAUGAUGGAGAUCAUGGUGUCAAGCCCGUGACAACGAUGAUCAUGGAGCCCCAAAGAUGGAGAUCAUAAGGAGCAAAAUGAUAUUGGCCAUAUCAUGUCACUAUUUGAUUGCAUGUGAUGUUUAUCAUGUUUUACCUCUUAUUUUCUUAGAACGACGGUAGCUUAAAUAAGAUGAUACCUCGCAAUAAUUUCAAGAAAGUGUUUCCCCUAACUGUGCACCGUUGCGAAGAUUCGUUGUUUUGAAGCACCACGUGAUGAUCGGGUGUGAUAUAUUCUAACGUUCAAAUACAACAGGUGUAAGCCAGAUUUACACACACAAUACACUUAGGUUGACUUGAUGAGCCUAGCAUUUACAGACAUGGCCUCGGAACACGGUAGACCGAAAGGUCGAGCAUGAGUCGUAUAGAAGAUACGAUCAACAUGAAGAUGUUCACCGAUGUUGACUAGUCCGUCUCACGUGAUGAUCGGCCACGGCCUAGUUGACUCGGAUCAUGUUUCACAUAGAUGACUAGAGGGAUGUCUAUCUGAGUGGGAGUUCAUUAAAUAAUUUGAUUAGAUGAACUUAAUUAUCAUGAACAUAGUCCAAAUUGUCUUUGCAAAUAUGUUGUGGAUAAAUAGCUCACGCUUUAGCUCCCUGUUUUAAUAUGUUCCUAGAGAAAAGACUAACUGGAAAGAUAUUGUAAGCAUUAACGCUGACUAGGUCUGUUGCCUGAGGAGUGUCCUCACUGCUACACAGAAGGCUUAUGUCUUUGAUGCACCGCUCGGUGUGCCAACCCCUCCGGCGUCGUCUGUGGAUGUUGUGAACACCCGACAGACACAUCCUGAUGACUACUUGAAAGUUUAGUGCACCAUACUUUACGGCUUAGAAUCGGGAUUCCAAUGACGUUUUGAACGCCAUAAGACAUAUGAGAUGUUCCAAGAGCUGAAAUUGGGAUUUCAGGCUCAUGCCCGUGUUGAGAGGUAUGGACCUCUGACAAGUGCUUUUGCCAACAAGAUGGAGUAGAAUAGCUCAGCUAGAGAGCAUGUGCUCGGAAUGUCUGGGUGCUACAAUCACUUAAAUCAAGUGGGAGUUAAGCUUCCAGAUAAGAUAGUGAUUGAUAGAGUUCUCUAGCCACUAUCACUAAGAUACUAGAUCUUCGUGAUGAACUAUGACAUGCAAGGGAUGGAGUUGAUCCCGGAGCUGUUCACGGUGCUUAAGAUCGCAAAAGGUAGAAAUCAAGAAGGAGCAUCAAGUGUUGAUGGUUUAACAAGACCACUAGUUUCAAGAAGGGCAAGGGCUAGAAGGGAAACUUCAUGAAUGGCAAACCAGUUACCAAUCAAGUGAAGGAACCCAAGGUUGAACCCAAACCCGAGACAAAGUGCUUCUAUUGUAAGGGGAACAGUCACUGGUAGCGGAACUACCCCAAAUACAUGGUAGAUAAGAAGGAUGGCAACUUCAACAAAGUAUAUACAUGUUAUUAAUGUGUACCUCACCAGUACUCUUGGUAGCACCUGGGUAUUGGAUACCGGUUCAGUUGCUAUUAUUGGUGACUUGAAGCAAAAGCUACGGACUAAACGGAGACUGGCUAAGGGCGAGGUGACGUUGUGUGGUGGAAGUGUUUCCAAAGUUGAUAAGAUCACCAUCGCAUGCUCCAUCUGCCUUUGGGAUUAGUAUUGAACCUAGAUAAAUGUUAUCAGGUGUCUACGUUGAGGAUGAAUAUGAUUAGAUCAUGUUCAUUGCAAUACGGUUAUUCAUUUAAGAUAGAGAAUAAUGGUUAUUCUGUUUACAUGAAUAAUACCUUUCAUGGUCAUGCACCCUAUGUGAAUGGUUCAUUGAAUCUCGGUCGUGGUAAUACAGAUGUUCACGCCAAAAGAUGUAGAGUUAACAAUGAUAGUACCACUUUCUUGUGGAACUGCCGCUUAGGUCAUAUUGGCAUAAGAUGCAUGAAGAAACUCCAUGUCGAUGGAUGUUUGGAGUCAAUUGAUUUUGAAUCGCUUGACACAUGCGAGCCAUGAUUCAUGGGCAGGAUGACUAAGACCCCGUUUUCAGGUAAAAUAAAACGGGCAAGUGACUUCUUGGAAAUCAUACAUGCUGAUGCAUGUGUUCCAAUCAGAAUUGAAGCGUGCGGUGGAUAUCGCUAUUUUCUCAUCUUCACUGACGAUUUGAGUAGAUAUAGGUAUAUUUACUUAAUGAAGCACAAGUCUGAAACAUUUGAAAAGUUCAAGCGAUUUUAGAGUGAAGUUAAGAACCAUCAUAUAUAAUAAGAAGAUCAAAUUCCUACGAUCUGAUCGAUGAGAAUUUCUGAGUUAUGAGUUGGGCAAUCACUUAAGACAUUGUGGAAUUGUUUCAUAGUUGAAGCCACCUGGAACAACACAGGGUAAUGGUGUGUCCGGACGUCGUAAUCGAACCUUAUGAGAUAUGGUGCGAUCUAUGAUGUCCCUUACCGAUCUACCAUUUUCAUUUUGAGGAUAUGCGUUAGAGAAAGCUGCAUUCACUUUUGAUAGGACACCAUCUAAGUCCGUUGAGAUGACGUCGUAUGAAUAUGGUUUGGCAAGAAACCAAAAUUGUCGUUUCUUAAUGUUUGGGGCUGCGAUGCUUAAGGCUUCAGGCGGAGAAGAUCGAACCCAAAAGAGGACAAACACAUCUUCAUAGGAUACCCAAAGGUGACAGUUUGGUAUACCUUCUAUCUCCAAUCUGAGGGCAAGUUGUUUGUCGCUAAGAAUGGUUCCUUUCUCGAGAAGGAGUUUCUCUCGAAAGAAUUGAGUGGGAAGAAGAUAGAACUUGAUGAGGUUGUCGAACCUUUGUUUCAACCAGAGAGUGAUGCAACACAGAAAGAUGUUUUCUGUGGCACCUACGUCUGUUGAAGAGGAAGUUAAUGAUAGUGAUCAUGAAGCUUCGGAUCAAGUUGCUAUCGAACCUCAUAGGUCGACCAGGAUAUGUACUACUCCUGAGUGGUACGGUAAUCCUGUCUUAGAUAUCAUGUUGUUAGACAACAAUGAACCCAUGAGCUAUGGAGAAGCGAUGGUGGGCCCGUAUUCCGACAAAUGGUUAGAAGCCAUGAAAUCCGAGAUAGGCUCCAUGUAUCAGAACAAAGUAUGGACUUUGGUGGACUUGCCCGAUGAUCGGCGAGCCAUUGAGAUAAAUGGAUCUUUAAGAAGAAGACGGACGUGGGCGGUAAUGUUACCAUCUAUGAAGCUCGACUUGUGGGAAAGAGUCUUUUCACAAGUUCAAGGAGUUGACUACGAUGAGAAUUUCUCACCCGUAGCGAUGCUUAAGUCCGUCGGAAUCAUGUUAGCAUUAGCUGUAUUUUUCGAUUAUGAAAUCUGACAGAUGGAUCUCAAAACAAGUUUUCUUACCAGUUUUCGUAAGAAAAAGUUGUAUGUGAUACAAUAAAAGGUUUUGUCGAUCCUAAGGAUGCUAAAAGGUAUGCUGGCUCCAGCAAUCCUUCUAUGGACUAGAGCAAGCAUCUCGAAGUUGGAAUAUAUGCUUUGAUGGAGUGAUCAAAGCUUUUAGGUUUAUACAAUGUUUGCUAGAAACUUGUAUUUACAAGAAAGUGAGUGGGAGAACUACAACAUUUCUGAUAAGUAUAUGUGGAUGACAUAUUGCUGAUUCAAAAUAAUGUAGAAUUUCUGGAAAGCAUAAACGGUUGUUUGAAGAGUGAUUUUCAAAGGCAGACCUGGAUAAAGCUGCUUACAAAUUGGGCAUCAAGAUCUGUAGAAAUAGAUCAAGACGCCUGAUGAUACUUUCAAAGAACGCACACCUUGACAUGUUUUUGAAGGAGUUCAAAAUAGAUCAGGCAAAGAAGGGGUUCUUACCUGUGUUGUAAGGUGUGAAGUUGAGUAAGACUUGAAAGCUUGACCACGACAGAAGAAAGAGGAAGGAUGAAGGUCAUCCCCUAUGCUUUUGUCAUAGGCUCUAUACGGUAUGCCAUGCUGAGUACCACACCAGAUGAGUGCCUUGCCACAUGUCUGGCAAGAGGGUACAAAGGUGAUCUAGGAGUGGAUCACCAGAUAGCGGUCAAAAUUGUCCUUAGAGGAAUAAGGAAAUGUUUCUCAGUUACGGAGCUGAUAAAGAGUUCGACAUAAAGAGUUACGUCGAUACAUGCUUAAACACCAAUCCGGAUAGCUCUGAGUAGAGAUACCAGAUACGUAUAAUGGAGCAACAAUUUGGAAUAGCUCCAAGUGGAACGUGGUAGCAGCAUCUACGAUAUGACAUAAAGUUUUGGGAAAUACAUAGGGAUCUGAAUAUUACAGACCCGUUGACUACAACCUCUCUCACAAGCAUAACAUGAUCAAACCCAGAACUCAUUGAGUGUUAAUCGCAUAGUGAUGUGAACUAGAUUAUUGAAUCUAGUAAACUCUUUAGAUGUUGGUCACAUGGCGAUGUGACCAGUGAGUGUUAAUCACAUGGCGAUGUGAACUAGAUUAUUGACUCUAGUGCAAGUGGGAGACUGUUGGAAAUAUGCCCUAGAGCUAAUAAUAAAUUGGUUAUUAUUAUAUUUCCUUGUUCAUGAUAAUCGUUUAUUAUCCAUGCUAGAAUUGUAUUGAUAGGAAACUCAGAUACAUGUGUGGAUACAUAGACAACACCAUGUCCCUAGUAAGCCUCUAGUUGACUAGCUCGUUGAUCAAUAGAUGGUUACGCUUUCCUGACCAUGGACAUUGGAUGUCGUUGAUAACGGGAUCACAUCAUUAGGAGAAUGACGUGAUGGACAAGACCUAAUCCUAAGCCUAGAACAAGAUCAUGUAGUUCGUAUGCUAAAGCUUUUCUAAUGUCAAGUAUCAUUUCCUUAGACCAUGAGAUUGUGCAACUCCCAGAUACAGUAGGAGUGCUUUGGGUGUGCCAAACGUGACAACGUAACGGGGUGGCUAUAAAGGUGCACUACGGGUAUCUCUGAAAGUGUCUGUUGGGUUGGCAUGAACCGAGACUGGGAUUUGUCACUCCGUGUAAACGGAGAGGUAUAUCUGGGCCCACUCGGUAGGACAUCAUCAUAAUGUGCACACUGUGAUCAAGGAGUUGAUCACGGGAUGAUGUAUUACGGAACGAGUAAAGAGACUUGCCGGUAACGAGAUUGAACAAGCUAUCGGGAUACCGACGAUCGAAUCUCGGGCAAGUAUCAUACCGAUAGACAAAGGGAAUUGUAUACGGGAUUGAUUGAAUCCUUGACAUCAUGGUUAAUCUGAUGAGAUCAUCGUGGAGCAUGUGGGAGCCAACAUGGGUAUCCAGAUCCCGCUGUUGGUUAUUGACCGGAGAGUUGUCUCGGCCAUGUCUACAUGACUCCCGAGCCCGUAGGGUCUACACACUUAAGGUUCGAUGACGCUAGGGUUAUAGGGAAAGUAUGUACACGGUUACAGAAUGUUGUUCGGAGUCUUGGAUGAGAUCCCGGACGUCACGAGGAGUUCCAGAAUGGUCCAGUGGUAAAGAUUUAUAUAUGGGAAGUCCCGUUUUGGUCACCGGAAAGGUUUCGGGUGCUAUCGGUAACGUACCGGGACCACCGGGAGGGUCCCAGGGGUCCAUCAGGUGGGGCCACCAGCCCCGGAGGCCUACAUGGGCCAAUAGUGGGAAGGGACCAGCCCCUAGGCGGGCUGGGGCGCCUCCCACCAAGGCCCAAGGCGCCUCCAAGAGGGGAAGGGGGCAAACCCUAGGGCAGAUGGGCCCCAAGGCCCACCCUAGGUGCGCCUCCCCCUCUCCCCCUUGUAGCCGCCACCCUAUAUGGGAUCUAGGGCUGCCGCACCCCUUGGGGUGGGAACCCUAGAGGGGGCGCAGCCCCCUCCCCUCCCCCUAUAUAUACUCGAGGUAUGGGGGCUGCCCAACAUAUGAUUUGAUCUCUCUCUUGGCGCAGCCCUACCUCUCUCCCUCCUCGUCUCUCAUAGUGCAUGGCGAAGCCCUGCUGGAGUUCCGCACUCCUCCACCACCACCACACCGUCGUUCUGCUGCUGGACGGAGUCUUCCCAACCUCUCCUUCUCCCCUUGCUGGAUCAAGGUGUGGGAGACGUCACCGGGCUGCACGUGUGUUGAACGCGGAGGCGUCGUGGUUCGGCGCUUAGAUCGGAAUUAACCGCGAUCUAAAUCGCUACGAGUACGGCUCCUUCAUCCGUGUUCUUGCAACGCUUCCGCUUAGAGAUCUACAAGGGUAUGUAGAUGCACUCCCCUUCCCUUUGUUGCUAGAUUACUACAUAGAUUGAUCUUGGUGAUGCGUAGAAAAUUUUAAAUUUCUGCUACGAUCCCCAACAAUAUCUGCAACCACCUGUUUUGCGGCAGCUACUGCUGUCGCGAAUGUCUUAGAUGAUUUCUUCUCAACCGCAAUCUCAACCUUCUUGUCGAUGUUUUCUUCAGUUAACCUCCAUCUUUCCUUUCUCUCCUCCGUGGUCUCACAGUAGUACUUCUUCCACGUGGCCCCGUCUCCGACACCGUGAACGCGUCCAUACGACGACCUAGUCUCCACCGGCAGUCCUUUCAAUAUGUUCAAUGCCCGGGUGAAUGGAGUGUCCCACUUGGGCCUCGCCAACGCCUCAGACGGUGAGUCGCUUUCAGCCACAAUCAUGUGCUUCUCUCUCUACAAAAGGAACAAGGAUCAUUUACAAAUAUGACUAAACGUGCAGUCGAAUUGAUCAGAAACUAAAAUUACCAGCAGUCUCAUGAACUCCGUCGUGAUCGGGUCCGUCUUGAAAACCUUCUUGACCGAGUUCGAAUGGUGUCGUGCCCUGAGGACGUCAUGCUCCUAUGGGACGGUGAAGUCCGCCAAGGGGUCUAGGAUGCCAGACUUUCGUGUUCCGUGUCCUGCUUGGCCCAUAUGGACCUCUUCCUGCCGUAACCACGGCUUCUGAGGUGGUGGCGCCCCAUGUUCCUUUGUUGAAGCCCCUUCAUGUACUUUGACUUUGUUUUGGCGGCUUCGGCCUCGCAAGCCGCCUUUAAUAUUUCAAAGUGCUCUCCCGUGAUUGUCGGAUUAUCCUUUACAAUCUCGGAGUAGGGUUGAUACGUCUCCAACGUAUCUAUUAUUUUUGAUUGCUCCAUGCUAUAUUAUCUACAGUUUUGGACAUUAUUGGGCUUUAUUAUCUACUUUUAUAUUAUUUUUGGGACUAACCUAUUAACCAGAGGUCCAGCCCAGAAUUGCUGUUUUUUUGCCUGUUUUAGGGUUUCGAAGAAAAGGAAUAUCAAACGGAGUCCAAACGGAAUGAAGCCUUCGGGAAUGAGAUUUUCUCAACGAACAAGACCCGGGAGACUUGGACCCUACGUCAAGACAAAANNNNNNNNNNNNNNNNNNNNNNNNNNNNNNNNNNNNNNNNNNNNNNNNNNNNNNNNNNNNNNNNNNNNNNNNNNNNNNNNNNNNNNNNNNNNNNNNNNNNNNNNNNNNNNNNNNNNNNNNNNNNNNNNNNNNNNNNNNNNNNNNNNNNNNNNNNNNNNNNNNNNNNNNNNNNNNNNNNNNNNNNNNNNNNNNNNNNNNNNCACCGACGUACUUCUUCCUCCUAUAUAUACCUACGUACCCCCAAACGAUCAUAUACGGAGCCAAAACCCUAAUUCCACCGCCGCAACUUUCUGUAUCCAUGAGAUCCCAUCUUGGCGCCUGUUCCGGAGCUCCGCCGGAGGGGGCAUCGAUCACGGAGGGCUUCUACAUCAACAGCAUAGCCUCUCCGAUGAAGUGUGAGUAGUUGACCUCAGACCUACGGGUCCAUAAUUAUUACCUAGAUGGCUUCUUCUCUCUUUUUGGAUCUCAAUACAAUGUUCUCCCCCUCUCUUGUGGAGAACUAUUCGAUGUAAUAUUCUUUUUGCGGUGUGUUUAUUGAGAUCGAUGAAUUGUGGGUUUAUGAUCAAGUCUAUCUAUGAAUAAUAUUUGAAUCUUCUCUGAAUUCUUUAAUGUAUGAUUGUUUAUCUUUGCAAGUCUCUUCGAAUUAUCAGUUUGGUUUGGCCUACUAGAUUGAUCUUUCUUACAAUGGGAGAAGUGCUUAGCUUUGGGUUCAAUCUUGCGGUGUCCUUUCCCAGUGACAGUAGGGGCAGCAAGGCAUGUAUUGUAUUGUUGCCAUCGAGGACAACAAGAUGGGGUUUUCAUCAUAUUGCAUUAUUCUAUCCCUCUACAUCAUGUCAUCUAGCUUAAGGCGUCACUCUGUUUUUAACUUAAUACUCUAGAUGCAUGCUGGAUAGCGGUCGAUGAGUGGAGUAAUAGUAGUAGAUGCAGGCAGGAGUCGGUCUACUUGUCUCGGACGUGAUGCCUAUAUACAUGAUCAUACCUAGAUAUUCUCAUAAAUAUGCUCAAUUCUGUCAAUUGCUCAACAGUAAUUUGUUCACCCACCAUAGAAUAAUUAUACUCUCAAGAGAAGCUACUAGUGAAACCUAUGGCCCCCGGGUCUAUCUUUAUCAUAUUAAUCUCCUACUACUUAGUUAUUUCCUUUGCUUUUUCCUUUGUAUUUCCUUUGCUUUUUUCCUUUGCCUUUAUUUUACUUUUCAUCUUUAUCACAAAAAUACCAAACAUAUUAUCUUUAUCAUAUCUAUCAGAUCUCACUCUCGUAAGUGGCCUUGUAGGGAUUGACAACCCCUAUUCGUGUUGGUUGUGAGGAUUUAUUUGUUUUGUGCAAUUACGAGGGACUCGCGCGUAGCCUCCUACUGGAUUGAUACCUUCGUUCUCAAAAACUGAGGGAAAUACUUACGCUACUUUGCUGCAUCAUCCCUUCCUCUUCGGGGAAAACCAACGCAGUGCUCAAGAGGUAGCAAGAAGGAUUUCUGGUGCCGUUGCCGGGGAGGUCUACGCAAAAGUGAACAUACCAAGUACCCAUCACAUACCCUUAUCUCCCGCAUUACAUUAUUUUCCAUUUGCCUCUCGUUUUCACCUCCCCCACUUCACCCUUGCUGUUUUAUUCGCCCUCUCUCUCUAUCCGCCCUCUCUUUCUCUAUUUGCCUCUUUUUUCCCGCUUGCUUUCUGUUUGCUUGUGUGUUAGUUGCUUGCUUGUCACGAUGGCUCAAGAUAAUACUAAAUUAUGUGACUUCACAAUGGCGAAAGCCUGGUUUUCGUCUUUGGCUAAAAAUAGUAUUGAUUCAUGGAAUAAGUGCAAAGAUGCUUUUAUCUCUAAGUAUUUUCCUCCUGCUAAGAUCAUCUCUCUUAGAAACGAUAUAAUGAAUUUUAAGCAACUUGAUCAUGAACAUGUUGCACAAGCUUGGGAGAGAAUGAAACUAAUGGUACAUAAUUGCCCUGCCCAUGAUUUAAAUUUGUGGAUGAUUAUACAAAAUCUUUAUGCCGGAUUGAAUUUUGCUUCUAGAAAUCUUUUAGAUUCAGCCGCGGGAGGCACUUUUAUGGAAAUCACUUUAGGAGAAACUCCUAGAUAAUAUUAUGGUCAAUUAUUCUCAACGGCAUACUGAAAGAUCUAAUAAUAAAAUGGUGCAUGCGAUAGAAGAAAUUAAUGUUUUGAGUGGAAAGAUGGAUGAACUUCUGAAAUUAUUUGCUAAUAAGAGUGUUUCUUCUGAUCCUAAUGAUAUGCCCUUGUCUAAUUUGAUUGGGAAUAAUAAUGAAUCUAUGGAUGUGGAUUUUGUUGGUAGGAACAAUUUUGGUGACAACGCGUAUAGAGGAAAUUUCAACCCUAGGCUUUAUCCUAGUAAUCUCUCUAAUAAUGAUGGUAAUUCCUACAACAAUUCUUAUGGAAAUUAUAAUAAGAUUCCCUCUGAUUUUGAAUCUAAUAUUAAAGAAUUUAUUACUUUGCAAAAGAAUUUCAAUGCCUAGAUUGAAGAAAAAUUGCUUAAGAUUGAUGAUUUGGCUAGGAACGUUGAUAGAAUUACUCUUGAUGUUGAUUCUUUGAAACUUAGAACUAUUCCACCUAAGCAUGAUGUCAAUGAGUCUCUCAAAGCCAUGAGAAUUUCCAUUGAUGAGUGCAAAGAAAGAACCGCUAGGAUGCGUGCUAAGAAAGAUGCCUUUAUAAGAGCGUGUUCUUCUCGUUCCUAUGAAAAUAAUGAUGAAGAUCUAACAGUUAUUGAUGUGUUCCCUAUUAAAUCUUUGUUUUGCAAUAUGAAUCUUGAUAAUGAUGGGACUGAAUAUGAUCCACCUUUACCUAUCAGGCGUUCCAAGAAUUCAGAAUUUGUUGAUCUUGAUGCUAAAAUUGAUAAAGGUGGGAUUGAAGAAAUUAAAACCCUUGAUGUUGCUAAACCCACUAUUAUGGAUUUCAAGGAAUUUAACUAUGAAAAUUGCUCUUUUAUUGAUUGUAUAUCCUUGUUACAAUCCAUGCUAAAUUCUCCUCAUGCUUAUAGUCAAAAUAAAGCGUUUACUAAACAUAUCGUUGAUGCCUUGAUGCAAUCUUAUGAAGAAAAACUUGAAUUGGAAGUUUAUAUCCCUAGAAAGCUUUAUGAUGAGUGGGAAUCAACUAUUAAAAUUAAAAUUAAAUAUCAUGAAUGCUAUGCUUUAUGUGAUUUAGGUGCUAGUGUUUCCAUGAUUCCAAAGACUUUGUGUGAUUUGUUAGGUUUCCGUGAUUUUGAUGAUUGCUCUUUAAACUUGCGCCUUGCGGAUUCCACUAUUAAGAAACCUAUGGGAAGAAUUAAUGAUGUUCUUAUUGAUGCAAAUAGGAAUUAUGUGCCUGUAGAUUUUAUUGUUCUUGACAUAGAUUGCAAUCUUUCAUGUCCUAUUAUUCUUGGUAGACCUUUCCUUAGAACGAUUGGUGCAAUUAUUGAUAUGAAGGAAGGAAAUAUUAGAUUCCAAUUUCCAUUAAGGAAAGUCAUGGAACACUUUACUAGAAAGUAAAUUAAAUUAACUUAGGAAUCUAUUAUGAUAGCCACUUAUGGAUUGCCUACCAAAGAUGGCAAUACCUAGAUCUAUCCUUGCUUGUUAUGCCUAGCUAGGGGCAUUAAACGAUAGCGCUUGUUGGGAGGCAACCCAAUUUUGUUUUUAUUCCUUGAUUUUUGCUCCUGUUUAGUAAUAAAUAAUUUAUCUAGCCUCUGUUUCGGUUGUGUUCUUUGUGUUUAAUUACUGUUUGUGCCAAGUAGAACCGUUAGGAAGACUUGGGGAAAGUCUUGUUACACUUGCUGUAAAAAACAGAAACUUCAGCGCUCACGAGAACUGCUGCCAUUUUUAUUUGGAAGUGCUAUUUAGUUAAUUAUUUCUGCAGAUGAUUAAUACAUAAAUUCCUCACGUCCAGCAAUUUAUUUUAGAAUUUUUGGAGUUCCAGCUCUUGAGCUAGCUACAGAUUACUACAGACUAUUCUGUUUUUGAAAGAUUCUGUUUUUUCGUGUGUUGUUUGCUUAUUUUGAUGAACCUAUGGCUAGUAAAAUAGUUUAUAAACCAUAGAGAAGUUGGAAUACAGUAGGUAUAACACCAAUAUAAAUAAAUAAUGAGUUCAUUAUAGUACCUUCAAGUGGUCUUUUAUUUUCUUUCGCUAACGGAGCUCACGAGAUUUUCUACUUUAAGUUUUGUGUUGUGAAGUUUUCAAGUUUUGGGUAAAGAUUUGGUGGAUUAUGGAACAAGGAGUGACAAGAGCCUAAGCUUGGGGAUGCCCAUGGCACCCCCAAGAUAAUCUAAGUACACAUAAAAGCCAAAGCUUGGGGAUGCCCCGGAAGUCAUCCCCUCUUUCGUCUACUUCUAUCGGUAACUUUACUUGGAGCUAUAUUUUUAUUUGCCACAUGAUAUGUGUUUUGCUUGGAGCGUCUUGUAUUAUUUGACUUGUCAGGACCCCGAUUCCAAGCCACAUCGAUCUAGACGGUAACACCUCAUAUCACUUUGCAGCCUCACGCACGAUAUUCCACGGGUGUCGCAUUACCAUGGCCUGGGACCGUUUGCGCCUUUUGGCUCACGUAUAUGAUAGUGUCGCUAGCAUCCAUAUGACAGAGAACCCGGGCCGACAUGGCUAGUCGUGAACCCAAAGCGGCACAGACCUAUGGAGACAGGCAUACAUGAAUCACAUCGAGCAUGUCGGUCAUCAGCGAGUGAUUCCGGGCUUUAGCACUGGGCUAACAGGACUCCGGGGAACCCGGGCUGUAGCAGGCUAGGCAGGACUCCGGAAGUCACCGCGUGACAUUUCCCCGAAGAGACAGACAUAGGAACAAAGUGAAUCACAUGCUGGCCAGUCAAGUGUCCUGAGCAGUAGUGCUAGGCUAGCAGGACUCUGGUGAACCGGGCUGUAGCGGACUACUAUGGCUCGAGGAACACUAGACUACAUUUCCCCAUAAGAAAGGCUGCCAAGGAUAAACAACUAGAUUUUCGGAUCCCACUCAUACCAAGCAUUUCAAUCAUACACACAAUAUGCCCGAUAUGAGUACAUACAACAUGGCAUCACAACAAAACUCUACAAAUCAAGUACUUUAUUUAAAGGCUCCAGAGAGCCAUACAUAACAUGUUCAUACAGAUAGGGGUCACAUGACCCGACACUCAAGUCAUACAAUCAUACAAGCACAUGCGGAAGCAACCGGUCUGAGUACGGACACUAGAAAGAAAGAAGGCUCCUCGAGGCCUGUUUAUCUACAUAGGGCCCUCCAUGGCCAGGAUCACCACCUGGGUGGCUAGUCACUCGUCGACGUCAAGGUCUACAUAGAACCCAUCGGAGGGGGCGGUGUUGUCGUCUGAAAACAGUAAUUAAGCAAACAUGAGUACAAAGGUACUCAGCAAGUCUUACAACAGAACCUACUAUACAUGCUUAUUCUCAAGAAGGUGGUGGGGAUAUUGCAGCAAGCCAGCUUUGACUCUUGGCUAAACUAUCCUAUGGAACUUCUCUAGUAAAAUAGUUUUCGCACACGAGUCCACUACUCACCAACACAAUACUCCACCGGGGAUCCUCCCUCGUCAUCCUACGAGAGGGCCAUCCUCGGUACUCACACUUAUCUUGAGUCUUUUAGUAGUAUCCAUUUACUUGUCUACGAACUGUAUAGGCAACCAAGUAGUCCUUUACCGCGGACGCGGCUAUUCGAAUAGUUUUAUACCCUGCAGGGGUGUACUUCGUCAUGCACGCUUUCACCACUUAUCGCCGUUUACACGACAUGUACUCGGCAACCUUCAAGCGGAAGCCCAGUGAGGGUGUCGGCCACGGCCUACCUAAACACUUAAGUCUCUAGUCCAGGUUUAUCGCCUAUCCAGGUUCCAUCCGCAGGGAGUCCGGCCGAGGUUUCCACAUACGGCCCGAACGAUGUGAACAGGGUCCCGAGACGCCAAUCGGGCACCCGGCAUACCCGGCCACGGUGUAUCUACCGCAACAUAGCCCACCCCUAGGGUCAGCACUACGCACGGCCGCCAACACAUAACCUACAAGCACCAGAAACUAUUUGCAACUCCUGGACAGAGUACUAGGGUGAUUAAGAAGCCGAGAGGGUCAAUUAAGGAUCCCAAUGCAUGGUAGUAGCUGAAUCUUAAAUCGCACAUACAGAUCUCAGUUCUUUGGGACGGUCUCAAUGAAACAACCCACCAUGUACUCCUACAUGGCCUCUCAUCGAUACCUUUACCAAAACAUGUUCAACACAUUCCUCAUAUUACCGACAUAAUCAUAUCACUCUAGCCCAUCACCCAGAUGAACCAGACCUGACACAACUCUAAGCAUAGCAGGCAUAGCAAGGUAGGAAUCACAGACAUGGCUCAAUCAACUCCUACACAUGCUAGUGGGUUUCAUCUAGUUACUGCGGCAAUGACAGAUCAUGUAGAGGAUAAGGGUUCAACUACCGUAGCACACAGUAGUUUGAAUCGCGUUGUCUUAAUCCAGUAAACAAGAGCAAAGGCGAGAACAUGGGUUGUAUCGGAAUGAUCAAUGGGUUGCUUGCCUGAUGGAGUGGUAGCGGGAUACUGCCCUUCAGUUGGAUACUCGUGAAUAUCCUCGGAGGCAGAACCUACCACGAAGAACACAUCGGAACACAAUCAACACAUGACGAUAUGCAACAAUAUGAUGCAUGCUAUGACAUGGCUAUGGUGUUGGCCUAAUGCAAGCUAAAAUAGAAAGGGAUGAACUCAUUUGAAUCAAAGAUUCAAAUAUUAGCUCAUUAAACAUGGCCUUAAUAGUGGAUUUCCUUAUUCUGCUUAAACAGCAAGGUAAACUUGUUUUUUCAUGCAUGAAACCAUUACAUAUGGAUAGAUUGAAUUUUUCUGAUAAAUUUUUCAUAUAUAAAUUAUUUCAUUUGGAGUUACGGUUGAAUUUCUAUGAUUUUUAGAAGUUUUAAACAUUUUCUGGAAUUUCCUGAAUAAAGAUAAAUCCAGAAAAUGCAUUACUGCAUCAGCAUUGCGUCAUGCUGACCUCAGCAGGUCAAAGGCGCCAGCCCAGGUCAAACCUGACUGGUGGGCCCCUUCUGUCAGUCUCUGAGUUAAAUAACAGGAUUAGAUUAACACUAAUUAGCUGUCAGUGGGGCCUGGGCCCACAUGUCAGUGACUGAUUAAAAUAAAAUUAGUUAAAACUAAUCCUAGAUUAGUUAGCAGACCGGCCCCACCUGUCAUAGACUCAGGGGGGUCUACCUGGGCCCACCCAGGGUCAAACUGGGUCAAACUCACCGGCGUUGAGCAGCCGGCGAGGCCCGAGACGGUGGCGCAGCUCGGAAAACGCCUAUAGGGCAUGAGGGAGGCCGUUCUUGGGCUCGUUGGAGAGCUCUUGCAAUCGCGCAUCUAGUGGUGGUGGUGGCCGAGCCUACGGUGGCCGGAGACGACGACGGCGAGCUCCAAGGCGGCGGCCGGAGUUCGGCCAUGUGCGGGGUGUGGGCUGCGGUGUGCAAACGUGGAAACUGAGGCGCUAGCGAGGCACUACGCGAUGCGGCAAGCAUGUUGCGUAGCACGGGAUGACCAAAUGGUCGCCGAAGCGGCACCGGCGACAAGCUCGAGCGGAGACGAGCUUCGGCCAUGGUGGAACUAUGGCCUAGAGGGUGCAAACGCGUGGAAAAGAAGAGGGGAAAGGUGGGGGAGCUCACAGGGAGGUCGAUGAGCAGCUCAGCGGGCUUGGGGGCGACCGGAGUGAGGCGAAUCGAUGAGCGGUGUCCGGUGGGUACCGAGGUUGAAGACGAUCCGAUGGCGGCGAUGCAGGGCCUCCGGCGAUGCGUGGCUCGGUGGGGAGGGCGAGGGCGUCACGGCAGAGCUUCUGGACAGGUCUGAGAGGCGAGAGGGUGACGGAGGGCGUGACUACGGCGGUGAGAGGGCGACGGGUGCGUCGGCCAUCGCGGGAGAGGGAGAGGGAGACGCGGUGGAGAGUGAGAGAGGAUGAGAGGGGGACGUGGGGGUCGCGUGGCAUUCCCUAGACGUCUCCCGGUGUCGGCGGAAGCAGGAGGUGGCCGGCGUGUGGCCGCGGGCGUCGGCCACGCGCUCCGCGUCCUUCUGGCACGAGGAGGACGACGACUGGCAGCGCCAGUAGGCUGGGCCGAGCCAGGUGGGCUGGCCAGCACAGGUAAGGCCCAGGUGGGCUUCUCCCUCUCUUUUUUUAAUUUGUUUCUGUUUUCUAUUUAACUGUAACUGUUGGGCUUUAUUUAAAAUACUAAAACAUUUCCAAAAAUCCUGAAAAUAAUUGUGGGCUCUAUUUGGAUUAUUUCCAACAGCAAACAUUUAUUUCCAGAAUUAUUUGAGCAUCUAAAUUAUUUAAUAGCAUUUAAAUGUCCAAAUUCAAAUACUUAUGAUUUAAAUCAAUGACCUUCUGUUGACCAAGAAAAAUUGUGCACCAAUUUUGCCAGAGGUUCUAACCCAAGACAAAGAGGGUGAACUUUUUAGAAGGGCAUUUCAGGUUCAUUGAAAAUAAUUUUAGUAAACCCUAGUUGUUUCCAGGGGGGUGUUGGGGGUUUGUGCCUUCCCCAACUCAAAUUUAAGAGGAAUUUAAACAUGAUGCACAUUCUAAUGCUUGAACUAGCUAGGGUGUGACAACUCACCCCCAGUCAAAAGAAUCUCGUCCUGAGAUUUAGGAUCCUCUGGAAAGAAGGUGGGGUACUCGAGUCGAAGACGAUCCUCCCUUUCCCAAGUGGCUUCUUUCUCGGAAUGGUGUGACCAUUGAACCUUGAGAAACUUGAUAUUAUGACGUCGAGUGGUACGCUCGGCUUGAUCAAGGAGACGAACGGGAUAUUAUCGUUAAGAGAGAUUAUCUUGUAGAUCAAGCGUUUUGUGGUCCACUCCACGAAUAGGAUCCGCGAAGCAACGCCUGAGUUGUGAAACGUGGAAGACAUCAUGAACUCUGGAAAGAUGCGGAGGUAGUUCCAAUUGGUAGGCAACUUCUCCUCGUUUGGCAAGAAUGCGAAAGGGUCCAAUGUAACGAGGAGCCAAUUUGCCUUUGAUACCGAAACGAUGGGUUCCUUUUAAUGGGGUAACCCGAAGGUAAGCCUUCUCGUCGACUUCAUAAGUCAUAGGCUUAUGUUUACGAUCAUAUUGACUCUUUUGACGAGAUUGGGCUGUUUUCAAUUUCUCACGAAUAACGCGAACCUGCUCUUCCGCUUCCUGAAUCAUAUCCGGUCCAAAGAGUUGUCUUUCCCCGGUUACUGACCAGUUAAGAGGCGUUCGACAUUUUCGUCCAUAGAGAACUUCGAAAGGAGCUUUGCCCAAGCUAGCUUGAUAACUAUUAUUAUAAGGAAACUCCGCGAAUGGGAGGCAUUUCUCCCAACUCAUUCCGAACAAGAUAACAUAAGCUCGGAGCAUAUCUUCCAGAAUUUGAUUGACUUGCUCUACUUGACAACUUGAUUGAGGAUGGAAGGCUGUACUAAAAGAGAGACGAGUUCCCAUAGCAUUUUGGAAACUUUCCCAAAAUCGAGAGGUGAAGAGACUCCCACGGUCUGAGUUAAUUUCCAAUGGGACACCAUGGAGAGACACUAUUCGGGAGAUGUAUAAAUCGGCUAGCUGGAUAGCAGUGAUAUUCUCACGAACAGGUAGGAAAUGGGCUACUUUGGAAAGACGGUCGAUCACGACGAAGAUGGCAUUAUUCCCUCUCUUGGUCCUGGGAAACCCAGUAAUGAAAUCCAUACUGAUUUUAUCCAAUUACCAUUCAGGAAUAGCCAAAGGUUGAAGGGUGCCAGCAGGCCGUUGAUGCUCUGCUUUAACACGACGACAGACGUUGCAGCUAGCAAUGUAUUGAGCGAUUUAUCUCUUCAUCCUAGUCCACCAAAACCUGUGGCGUAGGUCUUGAUACAUUUUAGUGCUACCGGGAUGAAUGGUGAGAGGGGAUUCAUGAGCUUCCUUAAGGAUCAAUUGGCGUAGAUGUUGUUUCUUGGGAACCACCAAACGAUUCUCAAAGAAGACAGCACCCCGCUUAUCCAUGAAAAAACAUUUAGCAACUCCACUAGUAAUGUUUUCCUUAAUCCGGGAUAUGCCCUUAUCAUACCACUGGGCGGUUAUGAUCUGAUCCAUAAGGUUAGGUUUCGCCACCAGGGUGGAUAGGAAUCCUCGAGGAACAAUGUGAAGAUUAAGCUUACGGAAUUCCUCAUGCAGAAGUGGUUGACUUUGUUGUAACAUCGGGUUGUUACAAUAGUAUUACGGCUUAGCGCAUCAGCCAUGACAUUGGCUUUGCAUGGGGUGUAGGUUAUUCCUAAGUCGUUAUCCAAGAUCAACUCAACCCAACGUCUUUGCCUGAGAUUCAAAUCUGGUUGGGUGAAGAUAUAUUUCAAGCUUUGGUGAUCGGUGAAGAUCUCGCAACGAUUACCGAGGAGGUAAUGUCGCCAAGUUUUAAGUGCAUGGACUACAGCUGCCAGCUCUAGAUCAUGUGUGGGAUAAUUUUCCUCAUGUGGGUGUAAUUGCCGUGAAGCGUAGGCAAUUACCUGAUGAUCUUGCAUGAGUAUGCAACCUAGUCCUUGUCGCGAGGCGUCGCAAUAGAUAAUAAAGUCCUUGGAGAAAUCCGGUGGUACCAGUACGGGAGAAGAUGUCAGGCGUCUUUUCAGUUCCUGAAAGUUGAACUCGCACUGUGGAGUCCACUCAAACUUUUUAUCUUUCUUGAGGAGUUCAGUUAGAGGUUUAGCAACCUUGGAUAAAUUCUCGACGAAGCGGCGGCAAUAGCUCGCUAAGCCAAGGAAGCUCCGAACUUGCUUGACCGUCUCAGGUGGAGUCCAAUCAAGGACGGCUUGAACUCGCUCGGGAUUGACGGCAAUACCCUUACCAGAGAUUACAUGGCCUAAAUAGGUUACUUCUGGCAACCAAAAUCGACACUUGGAGAACUUGGCAUAAAGGCGAUGCUCUCGAAGUUUCAUCAAUACCAGCCUUAGAUGUUCGGCAUGUUCCUCUUCAUUCUUGGAGUAGAUGAGUAUGUCAUCGAGGUAUACUACGACGAAUUUAUCCAAGUACUCCAUGAAAACCGAGUUCAUUAACCGGGAGAAGGUAGCCGGGGCAUUGGUUAAACCGAAGGACAUAACGGUGUACUCGUAUUGGCCAUAACGAGUAACAAAGGUCGUUUUGGGAAUGUCCCCGUUUCUGAUUUUGAUUUGAUGGUAGCCCAACCUCAAAUCCAUCUUGGAAAAGACUGAGGAUCCAGCGAGCUGAUCAUACAGAUCAUUGAUCCUGGGAAGCGUGUAUUUGUUCUUGAUGGUGACCAAGUUGACAGGUCGGUAAUCCACAACCAUUCGAUCUGUUCCAUCCUUCUUCUUGACGAAGAGGAUGGGGCAAGCCCAAGGAGAGGAACUAGGACGGAUGAAACCCUUUUUCAAGGACUCAUCGAGUUGGUUCUUAAGCUCGGCUAGUUCUAAGGGUGCCAUCUUGUAGGGUCUUCUAGAAAUUGGAACGGUUCUUGGAACAAGGUCUAUCACAAACUCGACAUCCCUGUCAGGUGGAACACCUGGCAGUUCUUCUGGAAAGACAUCCGGAAAGUCUCGGACUACCGGAACAUCCUCAAGGUCUAGAAGGGGGUUGAUAUUUAGGGAGUAAAGUUGGCGCUUGGCCACUCGAGUUAAGACAUUAACUGUCUUGCCCGAUGGGUAAGUUGAACGGUUCUAGUGGCACAGUCAAUCUUAGCAUAAUGAGCUGACUUCCAGUCCAUACCUAAGAUGAUGUUUAUGUCCGAGGACUUGAGAGCUAUUAAGGCUGCAAGGAAGACAAGUCUAUCGACAAGAAUUCGUUCCCAUGGCUUACUCUAGAAGUUUGCCAUCUAGAGCCAGGGGUUUGAAUUUCCAUGGUAGAGGGCAUGUCACAGAAUGUGGUGUUGUGCAAUCGAGCAUAGUUCUCGGAUAUGAAUGAAUGAGAUGCUCCAGUAUUGAAAAGAACAGAUGCCGGAUGGCAGUUAACAAGGAGCGUACUAAGGACGACGUUGGGAUCCUCAUGAGCCUCCUCGGCUGAAACAUAGUUGACAUGGCCACGUGCAGUGGUGGCCGGCUUGGCGUAGAAUGUUUUUCCGACGGGCUUACCACGGCCAACGGACUUUCCAGUUUGAUUGGGGUUGUUGUUCUGGGGACACUCUCGGCUAUAGUGACUCGGCUCUCCACACUUAAAGCAUGUCACCACAUUGGGGCGUGGAGCAGCAUUAGCAGCGGGGCCACCAUAGGGCUUGGGCGGUGCAAAUUGCUGGUUGGGACGUGGUACCUCAAAGGAUGGCCUCGGGAUGAACCUGGGUGGCAGUGCCGUGCUUGGAAUCCACACCCGGCGCUUCUCAGCUCCAGAGCCAGAUGAAGAGCCAAAAUCACGGGAGUGCUUGCGUGAAGCGUCAUAAUCAGUCUGGCUUGUCUCAGCACUGAUGGCUUUAUUGACCAACUUCUGAAAGGAGGUGCACUCGUGCAGAUGAAGAUCGCGGCGAAGCUCAGGGCUAAGUCCCUUGCGGAACCUUGCCUGCUUCUUAGCAUCAGUAGAUACCUCUUCGGGGGCAUAACGUGCCAGAUUCCCAAAUUCACGACUGUAAGCAUCCAUAGUCAGUCUUCCUUGGGUGAAGUUGAAUAACUCCUCCCUCUUGCGAUCCAUGAGACCUUCCAGAAUGUGAUGCUCACGGAAAACCUCACUGAAUUCAGCCCAAGUAGUGAUUUGGCCGACUGGGCGCAUAGCUUCGAAGUUUUCCCACCAAAGGCUAGCAGGGCCUUCGAGGUGAUAGGCAGCAUAAGUAACCUUCUCGGCUUCGGCUACGUUGGCAGAACGUAGCUUGUGGGUGAUGCUGCGAAGCCAGUCAUCCGCGUCGAGGGGCUCGACGGAAUGGUUAAACUUUGGUGGGUACAGCUUGAUAAAGUCAUUGAUUGACACCAAGUCAUUUUGCGGGUGGCGUGAAGUGUUUUGCUCAAUCCGCUCCAGCAGGCGGUUGGUCUCACGCUUGUUUCUUUCCGCCUCCAGCAUUACUUCAGCCAAAGAAGGCAUGUGAGGCAGAUUUUCACCUCUAGCAGCACUGGCUUCCCCCUGCUCCGGGGCUGCAGGGUUGCUGCGGGUGUUGACCAUCCUAGGAGAAAACAAGACAACGGUUUAGACAAGGAUGGCUCAAACUUAGCAAGGAAGUGCAUAAUGUAAUGGAUAACACGGAAUGCAGAGAUGUUCAUCCGUAUGUCAUGGUAAUAUAAAACUGCAAUAUAUAUACCAACGGUCAUACACAUCAUACAUAGUUUAGUACAAGCCCAGGCUACAGUACAACUAUGAUGAAAGACGUUACAUCUCAUCGGAGGCAUUCCAAGAUCCUAUACAUUAUUGUCUACACCUCCGGAAUUGAUUACACGCAAAGUCAUAUUCCACAAGUCACGCAGGACAGUGGAGAUACAACUACUACAAUACUAGUGGUACUACUAUGUCACGACCGGUUUUCCAAUAAAAAUAUUUAUUGAGAAACCAAUCUUUUGAGUCCAGUAUGAGGGAAAUCCUCCUCACUGGUAGACAAAAUUCUUGAUACAAUAAGCCAGUAGCAAAGAAUAUAUUACAAGGUUGAGCUAGGGCUGCUCAACAAUUUAUAACAAGCGCGCCAACAAUUAUAUAUAAUGGCGGAUAUACCACAAUGGUGUGGUGGCAUACUACUGACUCGGGGAUAAAGUGAUGGUGGAAUAACACAGUGGGGAGUGUGAUAACAUGACUCUCAAACUGGCAUCUCAUCGAGCGUCGAGGUGAGGCUCGAUGAAUUUUAUUCGGGUUGCGGAAGCGAAUAUAAUACAUUGACCGAAUCCAGGGUCGCACGAGACUGAUUGGGACUCCUCUAGGCGUCGGACUCGCUAUCGAACUAUUCAUCCAUGAGAUCGCCUUCGUCAGCAUCUGGCCAAAUCAACAAGCCAGUGAGUACUUUGAUAGUACUCGCAAGACAGUUUGGACUUAAGAUAUAACAAAUGCAUGCAUGAAUGCGUCAUGAUUAAUUCACCAAAUGUGCAUUCCAAAAAUUAGCAUAACAAAGCAAGUAAAAGGGAAACGGCGGUAGUCCGCCUGAAAUCCCAACAAAAGCAUAAAUGAAAACCGAUCGGGUGUCUGAAGCGAUGCCUCGAAAGGUGAACAAAUAAAUAAAGGAGAAAGUCAUGCCACAGUCGGGCGUCUUCACGACACCACAUAAAGGGCUUUGAAAGAAAUGCCACAGUCGGACGUCGGGGCGACAUCACAGAAAGGGCUUUAAAAGAAAUGCCACAGUCGGACGUCGGGGCGACAUCACAGAAAGGGCUUUAAAAAAAUGCCACAGUCAGAANNNNNNNNNNNNNNNNNNNNNNNNNNNNNNNNNNNNNNNNNNNNNNNNNNNNNNNNNNNNNNNNNNNNNNNNNNNNNNNNNNNNNNNNNNNNNNNNNNNNNNNNNNNNNNNNNNNNNNNNNNNNNNNNNNNNNNNNNNNNNNNNNNNNNNNNNNNNNNNNNNNNNNNNNNNNNNNNNNNNNNNNNNNNNNNNNNNNNNNNNNNNNNNNNNNNNNNNNNNNNNNNNNNNNNNNNNNNNNNNNNNCGGACGUCGGGGCGACAUCACAAAAAGGGCUUUAAAAGAAAUGCCACAGUCGGAUGUCGGGGCGACAUCACAAAAAGGGCUUUAAAAGAAAUGCCACAGUCGGACGUCGGGGUAACAUCACAGAAAGGGCUUUAAAAGAAAUGCCACAGUCGGACUUCGGGGCGACAUCACAGAAAGGGCUGUAAAAGAAAUGCCACAGUCGGACGUCGGAGCGACAUCGCAGAAAGGGUUUUAUUCACAAGUAAAUAAUAAUCAUAAUAAAUAUUCAAUUCAUGAUAAUAAACAGGUUAGUCCAUCCACAGGAAUAACAUUUAGCCGGGCUUAGCACUCAUGGGAUUCACCGGAGUCUCUGUCAUCAAACUGAUACUGUUAGGCCAAGAUGAUACGAAUUUGGACAUGGAAUAGAUGAUUCAAGGAAUGUAUGACUCUGCAGAGUUUGUACAAAAUUUUUUCCCACAGCCAACGGAUUUCCGUAGUCACGAGGGACUAGUUCCGUUUACGGUUUUUCGGAAGAAAACACAGCUAACCAAUACACACCCAUCCUACCUCUCGAUGCCAGGACUCACCCUAGACAUCGUCCAAGAAAAACUUUUGAGACGGGGAGAUCACAAUCUCGAAUAGCAUGGGAUCAAAUUUAUAUAUGCGCGCUCUAAGGGGUGCCCCCCUCUCGGUCCCAACCGGAAACACCCAUGCCCCCUGACCGGAUGACUGGCUUUAAUCCAGGGCCAUGGAACCAUCAUCCUGGCCUCUCCUUUUGGUGUGUACCAGGAAAGCGGUUUGCAACUUACUAAGCCAUAUUCCUUGCGAAAAACAUGUGGUAGUACAGGGAAGGAAAUGGGAGGAACUGGACUGGUACGGUUUGACCCUGAAGUCAUAUAGUCUGGCAUAAGACUGGCAUGCUACAACACUGCCAUCUUACCCAUCCUCAUGCCAACACAUGGCCAUUCAUACUCACAUCCAUCCACUUAUGGAUCAUCGAACUCACUUACCUCAACAUUUCAUAAAAAAAAUAACGUUCAUCGGUAUGCUCAUCAACAUGCCAUGAAACUAACUAAAUGCAAAACAUGCCAAGACACUCAUCAUAUCAAAAGUUCAAACAUGCUUGCCUGGUUCAGAGUAGUCGGAGCCUAGCUCGGUGAAGUUCGCGGCUCCGUCACCUCCUUCGGUAUCUAUGGUAUAAAGAAAAUAUAUGCGCUAUCGUAAAUUCCAAGAGGUGCACAGAAAGUAUUCCAAAUAUUUUUCAAAUAAAUAUGAUAAAAAACUAGACAAAAAUCUGAAGAGGACAGGAAAAGAAUCACUCAAAAAUUCCUUUCUGUUAAAAAGUUAUAAGGGUUUUAAUCCAAGGACUUAUCUGUAAUGAAACAGAAAGUUUCCAGGGGCUAGUUUAUAAAAACAGAAAACGCUUCGGCAGAAACUACGCCAGCCCAGAGGGAAGGCGCAUUUGGCAGAAGGCGUUUUCAGAAAACGAUUCGCUUAGACAGGAUAGAGAGGCUGACAGCGGGUCCCGCCCGUCAGGUUUAAACUUUCAAACGGGGGGGGGGGCAGAUUUCGCCGGUGCCCGAGAGCCGCGGUGGUCGCCGGCGGCGAUCCACGGCCAGGCAGGGUGAUCGGAGAUUACCAACGUGCUCACCGUGUCCUUCCGCAAUGGUGGGUGGUGGUGUUGGUCGCCGGUGAGCACCACGUCGACGCAGAGCUUGGUCGGGAAGGUUUAGGGAGUUGGGCGUCAUCGCGAAGUUGCACCGGUUCCAUUUAGGUGCUAAGCGAGCUUGGAUUGGGGUGCUAAGGGCGAAGUCGACGGAACGGGGCGGCGCGGGCCCGUCGGCGGCAGGGAGCAUGUUUCGUGCUUGCCGGGCCGCAGUGAUGGUGCCACGGGCGUGCGCUGGCAUGCAUGAGGACAUGCGGAGAGCCAGGGAGCUUUGGGUGGCGCCGAACGGCGUUCUGCCGUGGUGUGCCUUCUGUCGGCCGCCACAGGAGGUCCCGACGCCGCAGAAGACGCCGGCGAGGGCGGGCCAGCGCGCCACUGACGCCAGGAAAGCUCCAAGCACGCGUGUGAAGCUCCGGACAAGAGGGAGGGGCUGCGAGCAUCGAGCCAAAGGCACUGUGAGCAUAUGCCUGAAACUCUGAAGAAAACGACACUGUAAAACUGAAUUUUACUGAACUUUUCUGAAAAAUGCAAAGAACAGUGCAGCUCAGGUGAUCGACAGAAUGUUUUUGGCAUCUAGGGAUUUUUCCUUGAGCUAAAACUUGGUGGAGUGGCCUCUCAUUGCUCCAGUAGGCUGCCUGAAUUUUGGUGGAAUUUUUUUGGAGAAGUGUAGAUAUGAAUUUCACCAAAUUUGGCAAAUCUGGUCCAAACUUGCAGUGAGUGAAAUUGAAAUAUUUGAAAAGAAUAAGAGUGGAUCAAGAUGGUUCUAGGUUGUGGGUACUAAAGACAAUCCAGGGAAGUUGGUUUGGGAUAAAAACUCAAAGGCAAAGUGAUACUUGCUUUGAAAAUCACUUAAGCUCAAAAUAAAUGGCAGAAAUGUUUUGGGGGAUAAAAUAAUUGAAAUAAAAUCCAAAACUUGUUUGGACUUGUUGAGACAGAGAAUUUAGAUUGUUCAAAGGUGGAGGGAUGGAUUUUGAGAGGAUUUACUAUAGGAGACAUGGUAAAACCAUGGGUGUUUUCAAAAAGAAAGAAGUCCCAAAACUCCUAGGGUUUCCUUUUUUUUGAAAAAAAUAAGUUUGAGAGGGUAACAACCAGAAGGAAAAGCUCCCAAAAACUUCAACACCAAAUUUGAAAAGGGAAAAGAAAAUCCUUGACAAAGGAAAGGAAGUUUUUAAGAGGAAGGAUUUCUGGAAAAGAAAUUUUUAAAAAACCCUCUUUUAAAAUCCAACAAGGUUUUGAUAAAAACCAAAUUAAAAUUUUGGAGUGUCACAGCACUUACCCCCUUAGGAAAAAUCUCGUCCCCGAGAUUUCAGCUGAUCCUUAAAUAAGCGAGGAUGCUCUGUCCGAAGAAAAUCCUCUCUUUCCCAAGUUGUUUCACUGUCGGUGUGAUUGCUCCACUGGACUUUGAAAAACUUGAUGGUCUUCUGUCGGGUCCUCCUUUCAGACUCCUCUAAUAUUCUUACAGGACGUUCCCGAUAAGUGAGGUCUGGCUGCACGUCGAUGUUCUCAUGGGAUACUUGUUUCUCUGGGUUGCUUACGCACUUCCUCAAUUGCGAGACGUGGAACACGUCGUGGACAUCGGAUAAUUCCUCGGGUAAGUCUAGCUGGUAGGCUACCGUGCCUCUUCGUGCCCUUAUACAGAAAGGUCCGAUGAAUCUUGGUGCUAGCUUCCCUUCAAUCUUGAACCAUUGCAAUCCGCUCAUAGGGAUACUCUUAGGUAUACGAACUCACCGGGUUCGAAGCUGACCCCACGAUGUUUCUGAUCGUAAUAACUCUUCUGUCGACUUUGAGCAGUCUUAAGUCGGUCUCUGAUUAGUUUGACUUUUUCCUCGGCUUCUCUGAGCAUGUCUGGUCCGAAGAUGCGGCUGUCUCCGGUCUCUGACCAAUUUAACGGGGUACGACAUCUUCGUCCGUAUAAGGCCUCAAAUGGUGCCAUUUGCAGGCUGGCCUGGUAGCUAUUGUUGUACGCGAACUCGGCGUAUGGCAGGCUUUCUUCCCAACUAUUUUCAUAGGUGAGGACACAUGCUCUCAGCAUGUCUUCUAAAACCUGGUUUACGCGUUCUGUUUGCCCAUCGGUCUGUGGGUGGUAUGCGGUACUGAAGGCUAGUUGGGUUCCCAGAGCCUGUUGUAAAUGCUCCCAAAAGCUCGAGACGAACUGAGUGCCUCUGUCGGACAUUAUAGUCUUCGGGACACCGUGCAGACAAACUAUGCGGGAAAGAUAAAUCCUGGCAAGCCUCUGAGUGGUGUGGGUCGUCUUUAUUGGAAUAAAGUGUGCCACUUUGGUUAACCUAUCAGUGAUGACCCAUAUGGCAUCAUUCCCGUGUCGUGACCGAGGUAGUCCGACAAUGAAAUCCAUCCCUAUUUCAUCCCAUUUCCACUCAGGUAUUUUGUUCGGUUGCAGUAGUCCGGCUGGUCUCUGAUGCUCAGCUUUUAUGCGUUGACAUGAGUCGCAGCGCGCAAUGAAGGUGGCUAUGUCCCUCUUCAUACUGUGCCACCAAAAUCUUUCCUGAAUAUCUUUAUACGUUUUGGUUCCUCCAGGGUGGAUCGAGUACGAGGCGGUGUGGGCUUCAGCUAAAAUUUGCUAUUUAAGGUCUUCUAUGUUUGGCACGCAGAGUCUGUCUCCGUACCAUAAUAUUCCUUCAUUGUCUAUGACUAAUUCCGAGGCUUUGCCCAUACUCACCUUUCUUUUGAUGCCUUCGAUGCUGGGGUGACCGGGCUGAGCUCCUUUAAUUUCCCCCACAAGGUCGGGUUGUAUUUCCAAGUUUGAUAUGGUGCCUUCUGCUACCAUCAUCAAGUUGAGCUUGGCAAAUUCUUGUUGGAAUUCGGGCCUCAAUCUGUGCAAAUUGUUGUCGUCGGAGCUGGGAUUCCGACUAAGAGCAUCGGCCACUACAUUUGCUUUUCCUGGAUGGUAAUGGAUACCAACAUCAUAAUCCUUUACCAAUUCCAACCAACGUCGUUGCCGUAAGUUUAGUUCUGGCUGUGUGAAAAUAUAUUUGAGGCUUUUGUGAUCCGUAUAUAUUUCACAUCGAUUCCCAAGUAAGAAAUGCCUCCAUUCCUUGAGUGCAUGAAUAACUGCUGCCAUUUCUAAGUCAUGAGUGGGAUAAUUUUCCUCAUGCUUACGAAGUUGCCUUGAAGCGUAGGCGACAACCUUGCCUUCCUGCAUCAACACGCAUCCGAGGCCCUUUCUGGACGCGUCACAAUAUACUUCAAAAUUCUUGUGUAUGUUGGGUACAAUUAAUACCGGUGAUGUCGUUAAUUUCCGUUUUAGCUCUUGGAAACUUUUCUCGCAGGCUUCUUUCCAUUCAAACUUCUUGUCUUUCUUGAGUAACUGUGUCAUAGGCUUGGCUAUGGUGGAGAACACUUCAAUAAAACUGUGGUAAUAUCCUAACAUUCCCAAGAAACUUCGUAUGUCCGUUACGCUGGCUAGUGACAUCCAGCCAAGUAUGGCCUUGACUUUCUCUGGGUCCACUGCGAUACCGUCUUGGGUCAGUACGUGGCCUAGAAAGCCUACUUUUCUUAGCCAAAAUUCGCACUUGCUGAACUUGGCAUACAAUUGGUGUUUUCUGAGCUCUCCUAGCACAAUCUUGAGAUGUUCUGCGUGCUCUUCUGGUGUCUUGGAGUAUACCAGAAUAUCGUCGAUGAAUACCACGACGAACUUGUCCAUAAACUUCAUAAAUACUUUGUUCAUGAGGUGAACAAAAUAUGCGGGGGCGUUAGUUAAUCCAAAUGGCAUCACUGUGAACUCGUACAGUCCAUAUCUGGAGGUGAAGGCUGUUUUGGGAAUAUCUUCUGUUCGCACCUUUAAUUGAUGGUAUCCUGACCUUAAGUCAAUUUUUGAGAAUACCUUGGCCUGAGCGAGUUGAUCAAACAAAUCGUUUAUCCUUGGCAUCGGGUAUUUGUUCUUGACUGUGACCAUGUUAAGUGCUCGAUAGUCAAUACACAAUCUCAGUGUUCCAUCCUUCUUUUGGCAAAUAAAAUUGGUGAUCCCCAAGGUGAGGAGCUGGCUCGAAUGUAUCCUUUGUCUAGCAAUUCCCUUAUUUGUUUCUUCAACUCAACUAAUUUGGAUGGUGCCAUUCGGUACGGUUUCUUGUAUAUGGGGGUGGUUCCUAGUGCGAGCUCAAUGCUGAACUCUAUCUCUCGGUCUGGUGGCAUGCCUGGUUGCUCUUCAGGGAAUACGUCUGGAAAUUCACACACUACUGGAACCUUGUUUAGCUCAGAAAUGUCCACCUUAUUCAAUCUCGGUUGGCAGGGUAUUUUUCCUUCCUUGGCUGAUACUCUUAUUGUCUUCCCUUGGUGGUGUGUGAGAAUUACGGUCCUGUUGAAACAGUCGAUAAACCCCUUGUUGGUGGUUAGCCAAUCCAUCCCUAGGAUGACAUCCAGUCCUUUAUUUUCCAACACAAUAAGAUUUGCGUGAAACUCCAAUCCUUCGAACUCAAUGACCACAUUCUGACACUAAUUCUGAGUAACUUGCUGAAUCCCAGGGGACUUGAUGAUCAUGGAUUUCUCCAAAGGAAGCAUCGAAAAAUUAUUUUGCAAAGCAAAACUUUUCAAAAUGAAAGAGUGAGAAGCUCCAGAAUCAAACAAAACCGUUGCAGGUA